rnacentral:lncRNA from 1 species
UGGGUUCCGAACCACAAAUCUGCAUGAUCAUCACUUAGCACUGUACGUAUAAUAACCUUUACCCCUGUAUAAUUAUCUCCCUACUCUACUUAUUUCUGCCUCUUCAUGUGGUGUAAGAUAUAUGAUGAGAUGAAGUUUUUGGGAUUAGUGGUCGGGUUGCCUUAAAAACACAGAUUACAGAAACUGCUUGAACUUAACCCGAUCAUGUUUUCUCUUGUACUCGUAAAGCAUGCUGUUGUGGUUCUACUUAAUUUCGUCCUCCCCAAUGUUUGAGUGUUUAAUUGUUACGUUGGAAUAGGCUGCUAAUGCAUGUAGUUAGAGAAGCUUUCAUUUAUAUCAAAGUCCUCAAACUAUCAAGAAUUAAUGCAUCCAGAAACAUAUAUACCAAGACGCAAAACAACAUAUUUUCCAUGCUGUGUCGGUAACACCAAAGCAAACUUCCUUUAUCACAAAAGGACCAAAUUCCAAUACUAAUCUAAUCCAUCAUGUAAAGCAUACAAUCUACAACUGCCUCCCUAAAUUUGUCCAUUGGAUAUAUAUGUCACUUUUUGGUAAUUUGGUAUAGCAGCACCACGUAGUAUGCAUUUAACAGAAAAGUAAACAAAAUUGACAGUAGAACUAUUUGUCCUAACGAAACUGAAGUUGAAAGACCAUGAGAACGAUUUUGAAAAUUAAGGGACUCAAAUGAAAAUUGGGUCUAAGUUCAGGGACCAAUAAAACGAUUAACCCAUAGAUUUUGGAUCCAGUACCACAUCCCAAAGAGAAAACCACAAGUUUGCAAGCAAGUUUGUCCAUACUAACACUACGUACAGUAUGGGCAAUGUGCUAGACUCAUCUCACUUUCUCAACCUAUCCUAUACUUGUCUAAAAGAGUUUCUAAUUUAAUGUACUGAGAUUUACGAAAGAAAUAUCAGAGAAACAAUUUUCAGGCAAUAAAAAAAUGUCUUGGCAAGAAAAUGCACAAUUUGUUACAUAACUUAUUAAAUAUGAACAGUUGAAAGAAAAAAGAAUUUGGAUGAGGGAUUUGCAAAUUCCUAUGGCCCAAUUACCUUUUUUUCUUUGUUUUUUUUUGGUUCUUUUGAUCCAGUAGCAUAUUCCAAAGAAUGAAAACCACAGGCAUGCAAUGCAAGCUCUUUUCCCAUGUUUUCCUCUGUUUUUCUCCUAUCAUGGAAGUGAUUAAAACACACCUCUAAGCUUGUUUUGCGUUUGGUAGCCGAGUGUAAAAGCUCAAUGCAAGAUAGUUUGAGGUAGAAUUUUCUCCUGUUUUAUUAGGACAAUGAUGAGCUAUAUGUGACAACAAAUUGCUUUAAUAAUGAAAAUUAAAAAAGUGUGAUUCAUUGAAUAUUUGCGGGGUUUUGUUCAGAGCUGACAAAGUUCUAAGUCAACACAUCAAAUUCCUUUUUCCAACAAUCGUAUUUGAUUCACAAUUUUGUCUGAUAUACAUCACAUCAUGACACUUGCAUCAAAUGAAUUUAAUUGAGUGAGGCAAUGGGAAGUAAUUAAGCUCUAUAUUGGUGGGUGGAGUGUUACUUCUGGAAUCCUAAUCAUUCGUCCCUACAGGACUCUAGAACUCUCACACUUCUUACAAGGACUACUUAACUCUAUAGCUUAUUGCAUAUAGCAUAUAUAUGCAAACCCAAUUAGAAAUUCUACAACAGAAGCAAGAUCAAUCUCACUAUGCCUUCUAAACAAACAAACAAAUAAAACAAGCAUAUUAAUUGCUUUAAUCACUCUACUAACAUCAACACAGCACACUUAGUUUACUAACAGAUGAUAUAGAAAGGAAAAAAAAGGACCAAUAGGGAGAAAAUGGUGAACUAAGGAGAGACUAAUACUUCUGGUCCUUAGAAGGCAUAACAGAAAUAAUAGAGCACACUGCUUGAAUGCAAGUCAGUAUUAGGAGCAAAACAGCUGCAAUGAAAGAAAUAGUUGCCCAAGGUGUAUUGAAAUAAUGUUGCCUCAAAUUUGCCUUCCAUUUGUUCCAAGGCUUUCUGCAGUAGCUAUUAAGGCGCUCAGAAAGAGUAGCAAAGUAGAAGCUUUCACGAUACACUGCAAUUCCUUUUCCGAGGUUGUUAAUCAGAGUGCACACCUCAUUGUAGUCACCAAGCAUAUUUUUGACAAUCCCAUACUUCAGAAGGAACUCCACAUCCUUUUCGGUGUUCACAAACUCAUCCAUGAGUGAAACAUAAUCACUUAUGUAAUUCUUACGGCAAUGGCACUAUUCAAAGGCAAUGAGGUUAUGGAGUGUGAGCUCUGUGUAAUCGUUUAUUUUUAGUUUUGGAAUUUCUAGAAUCCCAUCGUUGAAUCGUGUUAACGCAGCUUUCCUUUCCUAGCCUACGCGGAAGUCAACUUCACAAUCUCCUCCUAGCAAUUAGCCUUUCCUACUGUAAAUCGGAUUGUAUUCAUGUCUAUAUUAUUUCCUACCUUAAAUAGAUAUCCUGUACUAGUAUACAUAGGGACUUUGUGUAAUCUGUUAAAUACAAGGAAAUAUAUACUCUACAUGGUAUCAACCUAACCUAGGGUUCUCUCUCUCCCCCUUAUUCGAUCCUCUUCUCCUUUAGGUCCACCUCAUGGCUUCGUUUGAAUCCACCAUCUCCCUCCCAAGCCCUAACUCUUCUCAUUUUAUCAAGCUUACUAACUCCAACUAUCUUCUUUGGCUCCGCCAACUCAAACCCUUUUAGUUGGCCAUGACCUCUGGAAAUUUAUCGAUGGCAUUCAUAAACAACCUUCUGCCCACACCUCCACCUCUACCACCACAACACCCACAACCACCACCACUCUUACCGAAAUCAAUCCUACCUAUGCUCAGUGGUACCAACAAGACCAACUCAUUGUUAGCUACAUCACCAGUACACUCUCUGAGUCCAUUUUCUCUCUCACUGUCGGUUGCAUCUCUGCCCGGGAUCUCUGGGAGUGUCUCCAAUGCCACUUCUCUUAAUCCAAUAUGGCCAGUGAAUCUGCUCUUCGUUUUCAACUCAUGGAUUUGCAAAAAGGCUCUCAACCCAUUGAUGCUUACCUUCGUCAUGCUAAGUCUCUUGCCGAUUCACUAGCUGCCAUCAAUUAACCUGUCUCCCCAAAAGAACUUGUCACUGCUGUGCUUCGGGGUUUAGGACCCGAUCACAAAAUGCUCAUCACAGCAAUUCUCAAUUUCUCUCCGCUUCCAGACUUUGCUGAUCUUCGUGCUCGUUUGUUAGCUUUUGAUGCACAGACUCCUCGAAUCUUUCCUGAUCAAAACACAACGCUAAUGGCCACCCAAUCUUCUCCUUACACCACCGGUCAUACUUCCUUCCCUUCUCACCGUGGUUGUGGCUCUUCCAGCAAUAGGCGCGGUGGCUGGUGCAGUAUUGGCCGUGGUGGCUGGCACAACUUCUCAUCUUCCUAGAGCAACCCGUGGAAUGGCUUCCAGCAGCCCUAAUGACCUAAUCAACUGUGGCCUCCUUUUGCUCUAAGUUUUGGAUCUCAAAGCAACUGGCCUUCCUUUCAACCUCUUUGGGCCCAAUCUGCCGCUUCUAGCAAACACUCUGCCCGACCCAACUCAGCUCCUGGUGUCUUGGGACCCGCUUGGUGCACCACAUGCAAUACCAAUCGACAUACUACUACAACAUGUCCUUAUUGCUACAAUGGCCCAGAAUUCUUCCUUUGCUGGGGCUCAAUUCAUGCAGCCACCUAACUCUACAUGGUACCCUGACACAAGUGCCACUCAUCAUAUGACUGGUAGUUCUUCUAAUCUCCAAAGGAAAUUAAAUGAAGGAGUCCUACGAAGGCUCAAGGCUCGAAAGCACACGAUCCGGCUCUGCUGCGGAGCUCACUCAACUACUGGCUGAGGGGGCGCAAAACAGAAAAUUGUGAGUGGACAAAAAUAAAAAUUCAGUUCAGUGUAAACCAACGUAAUAUAACCCCACCGUUUAGAAAACCAUGCAAGAAAUCCAAAUGCAUCUCAAAACCAUCAUAAUCAUCAAAUCAAAAUCAAAUACUGGAUGCCAAGUCCGAAAUCCAUAAAGAAAGCUUUACAAACCCACCAUCCAAAUCUUACAAUCCCACAACUAAACUCUCGAAAGCGUACCCAUUGGCAGUACCAGCAAGGAAGUAUCCUCACCGAGAAACAAGAACAAAAGAAUAGCUAUAUAUAUAAUUAUAUAAUAUAACCACACCUAGUUGUACCGGGAAAACAAUCCAACCGGGGGAUUGUUUGACUAGUCACCAUGGCAGAGUCAAAGUAAACAAAUUCCUCAAUUCACCAUGUGACUAGGGAACGAGCUGUCCAACUGGGGGACCAACUCUCAGCCAGCAUGUACCGUCGAUAGCCUCAAAACCCGUACGUCUGUGACCAGUCCUACGCGUGCAGACUACCCAAUCAAGGGUUUACAGCAACAUCCCAUCAAGGAUGCCCUAGGUUCCCACAAUUCCAAGUAUCUCAAGUUUGCGUAUCCAAGUUCCAAAUCCGGGGAGGUACAUAGGGUAGUGCUUAUAGCACUCCAAAUUGACAUUCUAUACUCAUCACUUUCCACAAUCUCAUCUCAACAACCUAAGUACCCCACACAUAGCCAAACAUAUAUAGAAAUUCUCAAAAUCCAUAUAUACAUACUCAAGAUACUCAAAUAUGUCAAAAUCCAAAAUAUAUUUCCAAUGCAUCAUAAAAAUAUCACUUUUAACAAUUGAAUAAAUAAUAUAUAUCCAAUAUACCAAUUAAAACAUCAUGCAUAAUAUUUCCCAUCAUAAAAUCAUGCAUAAGAUUUGAAAACAAAGUCCACUCACAAGUAGUCCCACACUGCUUGACCUUGAGAGGGUCCCGCCUACUGCGUAUGCGUGGUUGGAGUACCUAUUUCAGAAUACGUAUACGAGAUUAAUAAGAAGCGUUUCGAACGAGAACUUUGAAUUAAAUAUCCUAAUUUCCCAGGUUUCUAGUAAGUGUACUAGGAACGAGACGUUCUAAGGUUCCACUACCCAAUUCGAACCAUGGAAGAGCUUCGGGAGACACUCGGUCAACCGGCGGUCAAAUUCCCAAAUCGGGUCAACUGGCCCACGGGACCCACGACCUCCGUUUUUAAAAUCCGUAAGUUCCUAAAGGUUUCACAAUGUCUAAGAUACUACUAUCACAAGUUUGGUCCGAAACGGACUGUUAGAUCGCUUACGAUCGCACGAUCAGACGGUUAUUGUAAAACGUAAACUUUAAGUUAUUGAAUCAGAACAUCCGGGGCUCCGAUUCACGAUCCGCGAAUUCCUACACGAUCCUAGGAAGGUCUAGAGUAACAUAUAUUGGAAUGGAGUCGAUCCAAAGGUCCGAACAUAUCGAACCUAGACCGGAUAACUCCUAAUAUGUGAGAUUCGUUCGGGGUUCGAACAUCAACCAAAUUGGAAUCCUAAGGUACCUACGUGCUCGUGACAUUAAGGGGAUCAAUUGGGACAAAAAUGCCCCUCUGCUACAGUGCCCACGUGCCACCACACGCGGCGGUAGAGAGUGGGUGUCCAAAGCGAUUUCUCUUCGCCGGAAAAUCUCCAAAUUACAAGCCACUCUCCUGGCUACAGGUUCUACUCAACGAGUGGAACACUUUAUUCAACUACAGCCAAGUCCAAUUCGGACGGCAAGUGGCCGGAAACUCACGGUUUAACCCGGAACUUCAUGGCUUGGAUUGGGCGACCAUCGUCACCAUUGUCGUGGCACAACCUAGGAAAUAGCUAAAAGGAGAGGAGGGCUACCUAUUCCAAGCGAUGGCGCAGCUCGCGGUAGCCGAAAAUGUAGCCGAUGACGUUGGCAGUUUUGGCCGGUUUUUCACGUCGUUGCCAUCGCCGUUUGUCGAGUUUUCGAUUGGAGAAAAGGGGUGGGGUGAGUAGAGGAGGAAGAGAGGAAGCUUUUGCAAGAAAUGACACUUGUCAGGGAGGGGGGGGUUGGGGGAAGAGAGAGAGAGAGAGAGAGAGAGAGAGAGAAAAAAAAAAAAUUUCAGAUUUUCAUCCAAACCCUUUUCGAAAUAUUUACAAGUUUGCCACUAAACUACUUUUGGUUGCCAAAUCUUCGUUAUAACUCCGAUUCAAGCCUACCACGUGUCUACGGAUUCGUCUCAAUACAACCUACCCAAAAAUACCAGUCACUGCCCCAAACUCUUUUUGGGUAAGAAAAUGACCAAAAUACCCCUACCCCAAGGGUAAAUUCAUAAUUUCACUUCAAUAAUUUAAUAAAGAAUUAAAUUUGGAGUCGGGGUGUUACAUUAACUACCUGUUUAGUAGGUGUGGGGUUUUAUACAAAAAGCAUCGAUGUUAUUGGGAGUGGAACCACUUAUUAUAAGUUGUGAUUUAUUUAGUCAAGUUUCCUAUGUGGGAUUUUCUAUUCUUCAACAAGCCCCCUCAUGUGGGACCACCACAUAGUGGGCCACAUGUAAAGCUAAGUCCACAUCGGAGUCAAUCAUUCAAGCCCAAUACCUAAACACCACGUAUUGUGUGAGGGGUAGGGGUAAACAUUCAAGCCCAACAUGUGAACCACCAAAUAUUAAGUAAGGGUAAAGGCUCAAUUCAGGCCCAAUCAAUGAACCCAUUAUGAUAUCAUGUUAAAUUUCAGAUAGACGGGACUGUGGCCCACCACUAGCAACAUUGAUAUUGUCCCCAACUUAACUACAUGUUUAGUAGGUGUGGAGUUCUAUACAUAAGGUCUCGAUGUUUUUAGGAGUGGAACCACUUAUUAUAAGUUAUAAUUUAUUUAGUCAAGUUUCCAGUCAACCUGACUUUGAUACCAUGUUAAGAUUUUAAAGGGACGAACUCUUGGCACUAUUAGUAACAUCGACAUUGUCCCCAACUUAACCACCUGUUUAGCAAGUGUGGGGUUUUAUCCUAAAGGCCUCGAUCUUAUUAAGAGUUGAGUCAUUUAUUAUAUGGAACUUUCUAUUUUGUUAACUCUGUGUAUUCUUCAUCAAUGUGAACACCCCUAAACCAAUCAUACCUGAUACGAAUUGAAACACAAGUUUGUUUUUUGCCUUUGGUAGAUGAGUAGCUAGAAAAGCUCAAUGCACUUGCUCUUCUGCUACAUUUCAAUAUAAGAACAAGGUUUGGAAGUCAGGUCAACUCCUCAUAGCUUCCUUGCCUUUGCUUUGACAUGUCUAUGCACUUCUUGGGGAAGUUUGAAUAAUCCAUUGCAGGCCCCAUGACAACUAAGGAACCAACAUUUUGUAGAAGGUUUUGUCUAUACCUUUUGACUAUAAGUAAAAUCUUUUGUAUCUGCUCUUAUGUUUCGGUGAAGUUUCUAUGUGUCCUUUGUGCCGAGUUUCUAUGCGUCCUUUGUUGAACCAAAAAAUGAGGUUGUUUCUUACUAGAUUCAAAUACUUAAAAGAAAAAAAGAAAUUGUUGUUUCUUAAUGGAUUUUAUGAUGAACAAUAUCAAACUCUCCUCUUAUACGUCUGUUGGUAAAUUUUAACAACAAUAUUAAAACCUUGCAAGUGCACAAAUCAAAUGAUAGUAUAGUAAGCAAGCAAGGGUCGAUCCCACGGAGAUUGUGAUCUAAAGAGAUGUUUAUCAAUGUCACGCAAUGAAAAUCAAAACAAAGGACUUCCAAACACACGCCAACACCAAGGGGGGUUUUGAUUUGUUUUUGUGAAUCAAACAAAAUAAGGAAAAGGAAACAAAAGAGAAUUUAAAUUAGAGUUUAAGAGAAAUUGGUUUAAAAUCAAUCAAGAUCAAUAGCUAGGACUUACUAUCCACCUCCAAACAAUCAAUCAAUCCAUAAACAACAAUAGAUAAUCAAUUUCUAGUAAGCACACUACUACAAAAAAGCAAAAAGACGACGGUAAAUCACCGUCGUGUAUUCGGUUUUUCAAUGGUCGUGGAAUCCACCGUCAUCUUUUCCCUCAUAAACCACGACGCUAAAUCACCGUCGUUGUUACAAUAUACAACGUCAUCAACAAAUACAAAACGACGUCUUUGUACUGCAAAAAGAUCUAAAAAAGCAAUCGAUGAUGAGAAAAGACGACCAACUCUCUAAACAAACCGUCGUUAAAAAGAAAAAAUAUGACACAUAUUAACAGAACAUGGCCGCAAGAUAGACAUACAACGACGAAAAUUAAAAUAAGACGCCGUUAAAUAUCAUUUUCACGACAAUAAAAAAUAUGUCGUCUUUAAAUACAUUAGAAGACGACGUUAUUGAUACCUACUACGUCGCCUAUAUAAAAAUAACCGUCGUAAAAUAAAUUUUCCACUUCGAUUUUUCUAUAAAAGAUGACGUGGAAAUAGUUGUCAGUGUCAUUAUUUACGACGUAUGUAUUUAUAGAGUAGACGUUGAACAACGAAACAACGUCGGUUACAAAUAUAUGAGAGUCGUAUUACAAAAUUUAUACGUCCUAUUUUCAGAAACAAACAACGACGAUAAAUAUUAGACGUUGUUAAAUAAAACAACGUCGAAAACAAAUAAAAACAGACGUGUUUAGUCUGCUAAAGUUCUAAAAAAUAGUCGAGGAUGAGAAUAGACGACCAACUCAAACAAAUCACCGUCGUUAAAAAGGAAAAAUAUGACACAUAUUAAAAGAACAAGGCCGCAAGAUAGACAUACAACGACGACAACUAAAACACUACGCCGUCAAAUAUAAUUUUCACGACAAGAAAAAAUAUGACGUCUUUAAAUACAUGAGAAGACGACGUUAUUGAAAUAUACUACGUUUCUUAUUUACAAACAACCGUCGUGAAAUAAAUUUUCCACUUCGAUUUUUCUAAAAAAGAUGAUGUGGAAAUAGUUGUCAGUGUCAUUAUUUACGACGUAUGUAUUUAUAUAGUUGACGUUGAAAUGCGAAACAACGUCGGUGGCAUUUAUAUAGUCGACGUUGUAUUUAUAUGUAUUCAUUACUCACGACGCACUUAUUAAUAUAGACGACGUUGAACUUCUAAACAACGUCGGUUCCAAAUAAAUGAGAGCCGUAUUACAGAAAAUAUAGAUGGCGUUGAUUAUGAUGAGAGCCGUAUUACAAAUAACGUCGUUUAAUUGAUAUUAGACGGCGGUUAUAAUGAAUUACCGUCGGAAUUCAUUUCGUUCCUCUUCGUUUAUAAAAGAACUUGCGACGUGGAAAAUGUAUGAUGACGUCGUAUUUUUUAACGUUCAGAUUAUAUAUCUCGUUUUUUAGACGUCGGUAUUAUGGGAUUGGAGUCGUGUUAUUUUGAAUUACAUGGCGGUUCUUAAUCCUUCCCCGACGUGAUAUCCUGAAUAAUUGCUUCAUAAUAGCGUCGUGGUUCUUCAUUGUUACGUUGCUUUAAGACGUCGGUAAAUAUGCUGAAUAACUGGUUCACAAUAACGUCGUGUUUUAUUUGAACGUAGAAAGUGAAGAAAUCACAUUACAAUAUAUUACAAAAUUAAUGUCAUACACUGCCAAUUACAUAAGCAUCAUUCAAUCCAUAUAUCUUCACACCCAUCUCGAAUAUUUUGACCGCCUAACUCACCCACCAGUUCAUCAAAUGUGUCAACAUUUGGCAUCCCUCUAGUAAAUGGCUCACACUCAAUUAUCACAUCACCUAAGACUUCAUCACCAAUAACAUUAUUAUAUUCUCUAUUAGGCAUUGAUAACACUACCGACCAACCACGAUGCAUCGGGUCGUCAACAAAAAAUAUUUGUUUGACUUGAGAAGCCAAAACAAAUUGGUCAUUCCUAUGUCCAAUUUUACUCAAAUCUACAAGGGUAAAUCCAAGUUCGUCGACUACAAGACCAGAACUAUCUAUCCAAUCACACCUAAAGACUGGGAUUGUAAACUUUUGGUAGUCAAGGUCCCAAAUUUCUUGAAUGACACCAUAGAAACCCAUAUUUGAGAGAAUUGAGUUUUUAUCCUUGGCACUAGCAACUUGCAUGGUAUGUGCAAGUAAAUAAACUCCACUAUUUUGAGUUGUCCGCACAUCAUCUUGUGCCUUGAUAUUGAAUUUAAUACCUUUAAUAAGAUAGCUCCUAUAUAAUGGCACAGCCAUGUUUGGACCAGCUGCUAGCCACCUUAAAUUUUCUGAUACGCCAUGAUUGUCUUCCUCAAGUUCACUUUGAACCUGCAAAUUAAUCAUAUAUCUUAAUGCAAUCUAACAUAGAAAUAAGAAGAAAAUUAAAAGAGAAAUAUGUUAUUCAACAACAUAUACCUUGAAGCGUAGCCAUUGAAUGAAAGUGUUAUUGUGCUUAUCCUGCAGCCACUUUGUGAUUUAAGGUAUGACAAUCAUGUGAUUUAAGGCCAAGAAGUCUUGAAUCUUGUAAAGAUACAAGAUUUUUAAUAUUUGAAGAAUAACCUUCAGGGACCUUCAUACCAUAGAAAGAAUUGCAAACCUCUCUCUUCUCUGCUCUUGACAAAUUCCAAGGCCCAGGAGGCAAACGAGUACGUCUUUCUCCAUACUCGGGUUGCAAAUCAGUUUUGACCCCCAUGUUCAAUAAAUCUAAUCGAGCAGCAAUCCCAUCUUUAUUUUUUCCAGGGAUCUCCAGCAAUGUACCAAUGAUACUAUCGCAAACAUUCUUCUCAAUGUGCAUAACAUCUAGGGCAUGCCUCACAGGAAGGUAUUUCCAAUACUCGAGAUCAAAGAAUAUUGAUUUCUUCUUCCAACAAACUCUGUCACCAUUUUCAACCAUGUGCAGCACUUCUUCUCCGGUUAAUGGCUCGGGAGGUAUGCCAUAUUCAGGUUUCCCAUUAAAAGCUGCACGUUGCCUCCUAUAUGGAUGAUUGAUUGGUAACCAUUUUCUAUGCCCAAUGUAACAAAUUUUGUGGCCAUUUUCAACCUGUGACUAGGUGUAUCAUCGCCGCAUAUUGGACAAGCUUUAUAUCCUUUAACAACACAACCAGAUAAGUUUCCAUAGGCGGGGAAAUCAUUAAUUGUCCACAUUAAUGCAGCUCUGAGUGUAAAGUAUUCUCCAUUAUGUGCAUCAUACACUCCUCUAAUCCCAUCCCACAAAGAUUUUAAAUCAUCAAUCAAAGGCUCCAAGUAGACGUCUAUAUCAUUUUCGGGUUGUUUAGGACCGGAAAUCAAUAAGGUUAACAUCAUGAACUUUCGUUUCAUGCACAGCCAUGGAGGGAGAUUAUAUGUAACUAAGAUAACCGGCCAACAACUAUAUCUGCUACUUAGAGAACUGUGGGGAUUGAAUCCAUCAGAUGAAAGAGCCAAUCUCAAGUUUCUCGGCUCAUUACCAAACUCAGGCCAUUUAUCAUCAAGAAGUUUCCAAGACGGGGAAUCCGCCGGAUGAGACAUCUGACCGUCAAUUGAUUUUCUAGCAGCAUGCCAAGUCAAACUCUUAGCUGUCUCAUGUGAUUGAAACAUCCUUUUAAACCUUGGAAUUGGAGGAAAAUACCACACCACCUUCGCUGGCACAUCCUCUUUCAAGAUUGAAUCUUUGCCUUCCUUCCACCUUGAGAUACCACAAGUAGGACAAUUAGUUGAAUCCUCAUACUCCUUCCUAUACAAGAUGCAAUCAUUGGGGCAUGCGUGCAUUUUCUCAUAACUCAGCCCCAAUGCACACAAAGUCUUUUUUGCCUCAUACAUAGAGGUUGGUAUUGUAUUUCCUUCUGGAAGCAAAUCGCCUUGAAGUAUCAAUAAUUCUGUAAAACAGACAUCACUCAUCCCAUGUUUUGCCUUCAAAUUAUACAACUUCACUAAUGCCGAUAACUUCGUGUACUUUCUACAACCAGGGUACACUGGUUGAUCUCCAUCCCCAAUCACAUUGGCAAACUCAUACGGAUCGGAACCAAAAUCACCAAAAUCAUUAUCAUCCAUAUCAAUUUCUUCAGACACAAAACUGUACCUACUAUGGCCAUCAUCUUCUUCAACAUUUCUACUAGCAUUAGUAGUUGCUUCCCAAGGUUCUCCGUGAAAUGUCCAAUUCUUAUAGCUUUGGUCAAUUCCAUUAAAGUAUAAGUGAUCCCUUAUAAUUCCAACCCCAAACAACUUCAAAUUAACACAUUUAACACAUGGACAACGGAUAUGUGUUGUAGUUAGAAGAUUUUCUACAGCAAAGUUCAAAAAUGCUUCCACCCCAAACUCAUAUGCCUUCGAUCUUCUAUCCGAGUGCAUCCAUGACUUAUUCAUCUCCGACACUAUAACCUAUUAUCUAUAAUAAAGUGAAAAUACAGGCAAUGACCAUCACUAUAGCAGAUUAUACAAAGAUCUAAUAGCAAGUAAUACAUAACAGAGACGACGGGUUUUAAACAAAAACAGACGUAUUUGGCAUAUAUAGACGACGGAUUUUCAACAGACGUCGUCUAAUAUAAGUAAUACAAACGACGGUUUAUGAAAAAACCGUCGUGUAUAAGUAAUACAACGACGGUUUUUUCAUAAACCGUCGUGUAAUCGUCGUCGUAUGCCUAAAAAGGCGUCGUGUCUCAGUUUAUUUUCAAGAACCCAAAACCCAUUAAGAACACAACAUAUAUAUGAAACCAAGCAAGAAACCAACAUAUACAUGAAGCCAAGCAUGAAAACAAUAAAUCCAUUCCCAAUUCAACAUAACAUAGGGUGAUUAAAAGAUCCGACAAAAUUAAAACCAUUCCCAAUUCAACAUAACAGAUAAUGUAAUCCAUGAACCCAUUAAACAGAAAAUCCAUGAACCUAUACCUAUAAGCACAUUAUUAACAGAUCGCAAAGCAUAUACCUAAAACCCUUUAACAAAACAACCUAAUAUCAUUCAAUGAAUUUACAAAGGGAAGAUAGGGUUUGUACUUACAGGUUGGACGAGCUCACAGAUUCGACGAAGCCUGGAGAGUGCAACUUUUAAUUAGAGCAGAAGUGAGAGAGCGAAUGUUAUGUUGCGCGAAAUCUGAAAAUUUUAGGGUUCAGGGUUAGAAGUAUAAGAAUAAGAGCCAAAUAUAAAAAAAUUUAGGGCGCGCGAAAAUUUUUAGAGCGCGCGCUCUUUAAAACGUCGAAAGAAAAACCAUGGCGAAAGUUCUACAAGAACCGACGUAAAUGUAAUAUUCCACGACGAAAACACUUAACGUAACGCCGUUUAUUUUGACGUUCAUUUUUCGGAUUAAUUUUAAAUUUAUUUUGAAUAUUUUGAUAUAAAGACGACUGAAAAACCACGUCGAAGUUAAGAAAUUGAAAACGUUGUAAAUUAUAAUAGACGACUUACAUAUUAAAAUGACGUCGUUUAAAGUGGAAACCAUGUCGGAUAUUUUACUGCACGACGUAACAUAUGUAUUCCACGACUCAACCACCGUCGUUAACAAUUAAUACCCUAAACCCUUAAAACUAAAUUAUAUAAUUUUAAAAAUUAAGUUUAUAAAAGGGUUUAUGGUUUUACAGCCUAAUAUAUACCCUAUACUACCCAAAAAUUAUACUUUAAAAAUAAACCCCAAUAAAUAACAACCCUAAUCUCUAAACCCUAGACUCUAAACCCUAAACCAUAAAACUAGAAGUGAUUUUAUGACUCAUCAAAACAAUUUUGUUUUGGAUGGUCAUUUUAAAUUUUUUUUAUUCAAAAUGAAUUUUUUCAAGGUUUAGGGGGAAGAAAAUAUAUCAAUGACUUCAUAGGAGUUGACUUUUCAUUUUUCUGAUUUAUUUUAAAUUUAUUUUGAAUAUUUUGAUAUAAAAAUAAUAAAAUAUUCUUAUCACAAUAACAAACCACGUCGGUGUUAAUAAAUUUUAGACGUUGUAAAUUGUAAUAGACGACUAAGUUGUUAAAAUGACGUCGUUUAAAUGAGAAACCAUGGCGGAUAUUUAACUAUCCGACAUAAAAUAUAUAUUCCACGACUUAACCGCUGUCGUUACAAAGUACUACCCUGAACCCUUAAGAAAUUGAAGACGUUGUAAACCAUAAACGACUCAAUUGUUCAAAGAACGUCGUCUAAAUAUCCUUUUACGUCGGAUUUGGUUAAAACGAAACAACAAAAAACGACGGCUUUUGACUUUAUUACGUCGUUGGAAAAGUAUUACACGUCGGUUACGCAAUUUGUAUGUUUGUUUUUUUUUUUAAUUUAAGAAAACCUCAACAAAUUUUUACAUUAUAUAUUAUAGACAAAAUUUGUACAUUAUACAUAAAUAUCAAGUGUUCAAUAAUUCCCCUAUUCCAGGUGAAGGCAAACAAACUCUGACCAUUCAUUCCGGACUUCAUCAAUUGCUUCUUGGGGGUAUGGCGCUUCCUGUUUUCCCUUGGCAUACUGCAUAAACAAUGACUAUUAGGGUUUAUAAAUAAAAAGAAAUUCAAUCACAGACGACGAUAUUUUUCAUAACCGACGUACUAUAUCUAUUCAACGACGGUAAUUUUACAUGACCGUCGUUGAUAAUACAAAAAACGACGUAAAAUGUAUGAAGGUAAUUUCUUCUUACCUUCUUCUCAAACCCCAAGGAAGGAUCCAUGAUGAUGUCCCUCAUGAAGCGCAUCACAUAAUACCCGCAUUCGACAUUGCUGGGUUGCUUUGGUGUCCCUGACAGAGUUUUCCAAAUGGCUGCCUUACGGCCUGGUCUGGCUAUGUGAGAAUUAUAAAUUUUUAUAGCACUGUUCACAAUGUUUUUGGCCUCUUCAUCGACCACACGAUUUCCUGGCAGAGGAUCCAGAAAAUAGACGGUUUCUCUCUUUGCUCUUACAAUCAGCAAGAUCCAAUGACGGCUGCACAAAAUUAAUAUAAAAACGACGGUUAUUUACAAUAACGACGUAUUAUAAUGUUUCACACGACGAAAUAAAGUAGCAAUCGACGACAUUUUACAUUUAUCACGACGAUAAAUAACUACCGACGUGGUUAGUAGUUUCAAACGACUCAAUAAAAUAAAACACCGACGUGGUUAGUUUAUACGCUGUAAUUUAUUGAAAAUCAUAAAAACAAAAUCCUGUUAAGGAGACUAACCCUGGAUUGUAAGGCAUCAGGAAAAUCUGUUCACCGUCAGUCUUUUGAAGUCGAGCUGCUAGUAAGCGUGAUCUGUCAGCUAUUGUGCCAGAGUUGGCACUAACUGUAGCAAGGUCGAUAAAGCCAACCAUAUUGCACAUAUUUGCUCGUUUCAAAACAUCGUGCAAGUGCCUAAAUAUAUAAAAUAAUAUAAACAAGUCAGCACAAAAAAACACACGACGGUUAUGUAUAACAAAACGACGUAUUAUAAAAUUUCACACGACGUACUGAAAUAGACAACGACGUUAUAAUAUAUUUAUCACGACGGUAAAUACUAACGACGUGGUUAGUUAGUUAAGACGACGUAAUAAAUAAACCAACGACGUAUUAUUUUAGAAUGACAAACCUCAUAUAUACAAAAAAACACGACGGUUAUGUAUAACAAAACGACGUAUUAUAAAAUUUCACACGACAUACUGAAAUAGACAACGACGUUAUGAUAUACUAACGACGUGGUUAGUUGGUUAAGACGACGCAAUAAAUACACCAACGACGUAUUAUUUUAGAAUGACAAACCUCAUAUAUACAGCAAUGACAGUGGCUCCUAUUUCUUCCAUGCCUGCAAAUUGUGUAAUAUCUUCAGGCAGGAGGAAGGUAUCGCGCUCUAGACCAAACACCUCCUUAUCAAUUGUAAAGUGCAGGGUCUUAUCCUGAGGCACGAGUGUCGUUUCCACAUAACGACAAAGGGAGUUUAAAGAAGAUGGCGCCUCCAUAUUUGAAUAAUCAACAACUUUAAUAACCUGUUUAAAGAAAUAUAAAAAAUGACGUGGUAAUUCAAUAAAAACGACGGUUUAAGGAAUAAAACGUCGUCUGAAAAGAAUUUAAACGUCGUCUGAAGAAACCGUCGUGGUGAAUAAUUUAUUACGUCUUAAAAAAAAUUCCGCCGUCUAAGUUGUAAACAAACGACGGUUUAAAGAAAAAUAUCGACGUCUGGAAUUUUGAAAAACAAAUAAAAAAGGCAAAGUUAUGUGAACAUACCUGGUCGUCAUCUUCUUUCUCCUUUUCAUCAUGUUUUUCUUCUGUCUUCCCUUCAUCUAUUACGUCGAGAAUGACUAACUCCGUCGUCUAAAAACCACAAAGUUUUAAAAUAACGACGUUUAAUGGCGUGUAAAACAAGUAAACUAAAUACGACGUGGUAUUGAAAUACAAACGACGGUUUAUGUUUAAAAUCGUGGUGGUAUGUAUUUCAAACGACGGUUUUAUUAAUAAUAACGACAUCUAAUGGUUUUUAAAAAAACAGAGAAUUCAAAGUUCAGAUAUGUUACCUUUUCUUCCUGAUGUUUCCCAUUUUUGGCAGUAUCAUCCUCAAAAUGCUGGGAUCUCACAUCACCUCCAGAGCAGCUUGCUUUGUCAGACAUUGGAUUUUUGGGACUUUGGCUAAUUCUGGGUUUAAGCAUGCUUGGAUCAAAAUUGGGAAUUAAUUGGGAAAGCUGACUCAGGAAAUGCUCCCUCUCAGCCUCUACCAAUUGUUUCGUUCUAGCCUCCAUCCUUAAAGCCUCUUCCCUUGCCUUAGCUUCCAUCUUUUUAGUCUCUUCUUGAAGGAGAACUCUUAAACUGUCCUUCAAACGGUCGUCAAAGCUCACUCUCUGUGGUUUGGGUAAAUUGAAAUAUUGCCUUGGUGAGAUCCCAGCACCUACUCCUCUCACUCUGCCUGGAUGCUCGGGGCCCAAAGCCAUGGUCAGCACAUCAUUGCUGCCAGAAACAGUGACUUUGCCUUCCGAGACUUGUUUUUGCAAUUCAUCCUAAAACAAAGAUAUAUAAAAAAGUAAGAACAAAAACACACGACGGUUAUUUAUAUACAAACGACGUAUUAUAUAAUUUCACACGACGCAAUAACAUAUAAAUCGACGUUAUUAUAAUUUAUCACGACGGUAGUUUUUAAACCGACGUGGUUAGUUUUUAAAACGACGAAAUGAAUAAACCACCGACGUCUUAUGCUUUAUUUACAGAUAACAGAGGGAUGAUUCAAUAUUCACACCUUUAACGACCUUGUUUAAAAUAUUUCGACGUAGUAAUUCAAUACAAACGACGCGAAAAUGAACCACCGACAUCUUAUGCUAUAAUUACAGAAAACAGAGUAGUGAUUCCUGAUUUAGACCUUUAACGAUGUGGUAAUAUCAUUCACACGACGCAAAAUAUAACAUAAGACGUAAUAAGAAUUAUUCACAGUUUAAUAAAAAUUUAAAACAGAGUGAGUAGGCUUACAAUUAAUUUUGCUUUCUCUGCCACCUUUGGAUCCGGGAUGUUACCAUGUUUGUCCUGUCUAGCUCUCUUCCAUAAGGUAGAUCGAUCAAUUUCUACCCCAGGCAUGGUUUCCUCCAAUUGAUCCUCCAAACCAGCAUAUCCUUUUCGAGACAAUCGAUGAUUGUACUCAAGUUUCUCCCUAAUCUGUGCAUGUUGAGAAUGCACAGACUCAAAAUCUUUGGAUAACCUUGAAGCUACAAAGGCAUCCCAUUGUGCUUUCUCUAUGAAUUUAUAUAUUUCAGGGGGUUGGCUUAAUCUCUCCCUGUCAUUAGUGUAUGGAAGGAUAUAUUGCCUCGUUAGUGUAGACUUGAAAUCCUUCCAUUUCUUGGCAGCAGAAGCUAACACAGAGCUCUUGCCCCCUUGACCUACCACAAAAGCAAUGUCAACUGCUUCCCAAAUCUGCUCCUUUAUAUCCUUGGAGAUUUGAGCCUAUUUCAUGUCCACAAGUGGAACUCUGGAGCGUGCCAACACACCAAUGUAGGACUGCAUCUCACUAUGUGCUUGGCCAAUUCCUUUCCCCCUUUUAUUGUACUCAACAAUUGGCCUCAGUUUCUGAAGUUUUCUCUUCACAACAUGAGGCAUUGUGCUCAUACCUCGACCAGACUUUGAAUCAUCAGAGAUUGUUGUCGUGCUGGUUCGUUCUGUCUCAGCAGAUGAUGAAGCAAACUUCAUCUUCUUCGAAGGCUUCACUUGAGGAGGUACCAUUCCAAGGUCCUUACCUCCAUUUUUCUUGGAGCCAGAAUCCUUACUUUGGUCUUAGUGAGAAACCAUUUUUACAGACAAAACUGCAAGUGAAAAUAUUUCAGGAAAAGAUUAAGAACACAAACGACAGUUAUUAAUAAAAUACGACGUAUGAUAUGAUUUUAAACGACGCAAUGAAAUAAUCUCAGACGUAAUAAAUGUUUAAAACCAAGGUAAUUAAACAACGACGAAAUAAUUAACUAUAAACGACGUGAUAAUUAACUAUAAACGACGAAAUAUUUAUAUAACGUCGUGGUAUUGAUGUUCACACGACGUCAGUCGUAAUAUACCGUCGUCUAUAUAAGGAUCCAAAACCCUUCUUUCUUUCUCUGUGAAUGUUUGAUUGCAGAUUUGAUUUUUCUGAACCAUGGUUUUUGUUUUCUAAUUUGAUAAAAUACAAGGCCAAGAAAGAAAGUUUUGGAAUCUUAUAUAGACGACGGUAUUUUAAUAUGACGUCGUGGUAUUAACAUUCACACGACGUAAAACAAUAAGAUACUGUCGUCUAUAUUAGAUACCAACCCUACUUUCUUUUUCUUUAUAUUUUAUCAAAUUAGGGAAAAACAAAAACCAUUGUUCAGAGAAAUCAAACCUGCAAUUAAACAAGCAAAUAAAAAAAAGACUAUAAUUUUAAAAACAACUUUGUCAAUUUUCAGACGACGCUAGAACGACUGACGAACCGUCGUGGUCUACAUAUUUAACCACGUACAUAAGAAGCUACCGUCGUCUUAUUUAGUUGAGGUAGUUGUCUUCAAAGUUGGAAACUUUCCCUCUUUGUCUGUAUAUUUUAUUGAACUUGGAAAGAAGUAAAAUGAUUUUGGCCAGAAAAAAGGUAAAAAGAUUUUUCAAACAAAAAACGUAUGAGCAUGCAAAACAACAACCAAAAUAGUGAAAAUGAAAGCUUACCUUUUGCGUGCAAUGAAAGCAAGAGGAAGAUUAUGUUUAAGUUCAGAGACGACGAAGAAGAAGAGAGGAAGACGAUGAGAUACUCUGACAGUGCUCUGACAAGGAAAAAAGUCUAAAAGUUUUCUCUGGGAGAUUGAACUUUUUAAUCGGGUUUGAAAACGGCGCAUGUGUAUGUCAGGUAGACGAAAAGUUGCUUACAUAUAAAACCAUUUCAAAAAAAUAAUACGGCGGUUACAUAUAACUACGACGUAUAAAUUACAAAAUACGACGGUACAUUUAACUUCGGACGUGGUAAAUAAAUACGACAGUAGUGUUGUAGGUACCGUCGUAGUAAACUCAAAAAUUAAAGUACAUAAGUAAUAACUCGCGUCAUGGUAGAUUAUUUAACACGUCGUUUUUAUUAAUUUACCGACGUGGAUUUCUGUAAUAUACGUCGAUAAUACCGACGUUGAUUUUACAAUUUAAACGGCGGUUUUUUUGUAAGGACCGCCGUUGGUUUUAAAAAUUUAUUCUAUAAAUUUGUCGCUUUCAUUCAUUUUCGGUUUACAUUUAAGGUUCCAAGUUCUUCCUCUCUCAGUCUCUCACGUCUCAAAGACAAUAAUUUGGAUGUCUUUCUCAAAGAGAAAUUGAGCUUACUCGCAUCAAAUAUAUGUCCACAAGAAGAAGCUUGUCAACUAGCCUUCUCACUUCCUUGAUCAAGCCUGAUAGGACACUUAGUGCUUCUGAAUACUCCUUGCUUUCCAUCAAAAGAGAUGCAAGCCUGGCCUCCACUCGCUGUCGAAGGAAAGUUCGCUUCUCAGGGAAAUCUUCUUGAUUUUCUUGGCUAAGAAGAUCCGUCAGAUUUGUGAUAGCCUCUUCCUUUAUCCGUAGAGCUUCAGAAGAAGAAGAUGGGUUUCAAGAAUGCGAUAAAGAAUAGAAAUGGCUUCAGAUGGCCUCUAAAGCAUGAGCAAUCGAAUCAGUAGUUGUUGGGAGAUAUGAUGAAGACAUUGUCAAUGCUUUGAACUAUACAAGUCCUGCAGAAAGAUAAAGGACCAAACUGUUAAAGAAACUGAAACAAUGGCGGUUUUCUGUUCUACCGUCGUCUUUUCUCGUCGUCUAUAUUAAGGUAAGAUGGCGGUAGAUUUAUAAUUACCGACGUAGAUUAUUUUGUUAAACGUCGUUAAGUGUACUACAACCGACGUGGAUUUUAUUUUUAAAUUAUAAAUAGAGUUUUUUUUCCCCUAUUCUUUCAGUUUUAGUUUUCAAUUACAAAGCGUGAUAAAUAGAUUUUUCUUUCCCGAGGAAAUUUAAAAUGAGGGAAAUUAAUGUUCUAGAAUUUGUAAACUAACACGACGCAAUAUUUGCAAAUCUGUGUCAUCUGUUAAGAUUAUGAUGUGGAACAGAGUUCCAUCUGGUAAGAUUUCGUAACCCUUGGGAUCUCAGACAAAUCUGAUUAUGUCGGCGGUUUUCUAUAUAAAUCGUCGUGGUUAUUUCAAUUCUUGUCAUUAAGUAGAUCUACCGACGUAGGAUAAGAAAAUCAAAGAAAAAAAUUGUUAACAAAAAUUCUUAUUAAGACGACGGUUAAAAUUAAAGGUACGACGUAUAAAAUGAAUAAAUACGACGUUAAAUUUUAUUGUACGAUUUAAAGAUAACGUCGUAGAACUAUAAGAGAAUGACGUCGAUAUAUUUAUAUUUUCCGUCGUUGUACAUUAAUUUAAUACGGCGAUAUUUUGUAUUUUAAAGCCGUGGAUUUGUUUGUAAUUAUACGGCGUCUUAUACGAAAACCUCGUCGUGUUAUUUUAUGAGUAAAAACGGCAGUUUUUAUUGAAAUCGUCGUCUUUACUUUCUACGUCGGUCGAUUCAUAACUUCUGCCGUUCUUUGUUGGCAUUGAUUUUACACUGCGAAAAUCUGUUUCAAAUAGACGUCGGUUGUUUAAUUAUGUACGUUGUUGUUUUUGAACAGCCAUUUGAAUCUCCAUUUUUUAGUUGUCUAAGGUUGUAUUACACGACGGUGUUUUUAGAACCGUCGUCUUUUUAAAAACCACGACGGUUUUCACUUAGACCGUCGUUGUUUUCUGGUCGUCUUUUUCACUUUUUGUAGUAGUGGCAUAUGAUGACGACACUCACAACAAGAUCAUGGCAUUUGACUCGAGUUGUAUGAUUCUCUCUUAAGUGUAUGUAAAGUGUAUGACAUUUACAUCAAUACGUGUAUUCUUAAUUGAAAUCUACUAUGGCAUUUACUCAAAUUAACAAUCAAGAAUCCAUUAAGAUCAAAGAGAAUAUGAGUGUCACAAAAACCCUAAAACAUGGCAUUUGUUAUUAGGAAUUCAAGAAUCGAUUUCUCAUAACUAGUUCUUAACCCAAUUAUUCGUUGCAAAUAAGAACACAUUCAAUAUGGCAAUUGACCUAUGUUCUACAACAAUUUAAUUCCAAUACAUGCUUCUAAGUUAGCUACUCAAAGAAACAAAAUAUCAGAAUUCACAUAACAUAUAGAAACCGAAAACAUCACGCUUGUAGAAACUAAAAAUCCAUUAACCUUGUUUAUAAAAUUGAAAUCAUGUUUAGGGCUUCAAGAUUAAGCCCUAACUAACAAGAAAUUAGUUACUCAUGGUCUUGGAUGAACUCAAAAAUAAAUACAUAAGAACUGAAAAUUAAAGAAGGAAGGAAAAGAAAGAACUCGUUCGCAGCUUUCUCCUCUUGCGCUGUUGAUCUCUUUAGGACGUGAAUCCUUUUUAUCAGCCUUGCCUCGUCUUUUAUAUCACUUAUAUCAGAGUUCUAAACCCUAAAAUUGACUGAAAAGUCGUCCAAGAAGUCUUGGUAAACAAGGAAUCCAAAUAGGAAAGUAAAAAUCACAAUUCCUAACUCCACUGGGAAAUACAGCUCAGCCCAAUGUUCACACGAUUUUGGGAUCUUCGACCUUGUAGAAAAAUCAUUAAAAAUAUAUUUUAGAAAGAUAAAUGUCUUAUCUUUCCAACCAUAUAUAGCACGUAACUUGAAAAAUUCGGAAAGGCUUCCGUUUCUUCACAUUCACGUAGCAUGUACGAAACUGUCCUGUCUGCACGUGGGCUAACUUUACUUGUAAUACUGUACCAAUUGGCUCGGUAGAAAAUUCUAGAAAAAUCAUAGAUUGAACUUCAAGAUGUUAGCUUUCAUCUCCAAUCAGGGGCGGCCUUGGGGAGGUGCAAGUGGCGCCACCGCACAGGGCCCCCGAAAAAAAAAAUAUUUAUAUUAUAUAUAUAUAUUAAUAUUAUAUGAAUCGUAUAUAUAAUAUAGCGUCUGGAUAUUUGCACAACAGCGUGUUCAGGGGAGUUGGAUGGAGCACAUCUCUCUUUGGCAAAAGGGCCCGAGUUCGAUGCUCCUUGAUGUCGUUCUACUGGCUAGCCUUUUGUGAUAUUAUUUUUGCAUUCAAACUUUACAUAAUUAUUGAACCAUUGGAUUAAUAUGCAACGAUGGGUGACCACAAUCUCUUGGACUCCUGUGGUCCAUGAGAUCGGGACUGAUAUUACAUGACUUAUUUUAUUAAAUUAUUAUCAUGUUGAUGAUUGGUUGUAUGAGAAUAUAGUUUGUAGAAAUAUUUAUCUAUUUCUUGUUGGGGUUUUCUUCCAGGUUAUAGGGUUUUGGAAUUUUUCUUUGUAAUCUAAACAUGCCACCUACUAGAAAAUACGUUUAUGGAUAUACAAAACGGCUUAGAAAAAGAAAAUUCGAGGAAUUGACUCAAUCUCAAAGAGGAGCUCUUGAUAGAUUCAUUGUUAGAGAAUCACAUGCUACAAUUGAUGAAAAUAUUUAAAUUUUUAUGAAUUUAAUUUCUGAUUUUCAUUGCAUAUUUAUUGAUGGUGAAUUUUAGUUAUAAAAAAAAAUUGUUUAUGACAUUAAGUUAUGGCAAAUUUUUAUAGUAUUUUCGUAUUAGAUUAUGCAAGGCCCCAAUUUAAGUUUCGCACAGGGCCCUCAAAAUCUCAGGGACGGCCCUGUCUCCAAUUGGUCUUGUGCUAAAAUUCCUCCGAAAAGUUGAUUUUCCCUUAAAAACCUUCUAAGAGUGCAGAAAAGCUGAAAAUCAGAAAAAUAAAGUAAUAAGCCAUUUUUAAAUCUAAUUCUCUUACAAAACCAAAGUAAAAAGAGUACAUAAAUGAGUAUAUUUAUGGACUUAUCAACGUCUUCUUCGUUGGACUUGGGGUUGUUUUCCUUAUAUGUCCCCUAUAUAUAUAUAUGGCCUUUAGUUGAGCCCACAAAUACCUUCAGUUAGUUUUUGGGUUUAGGGGCCUACAGAACCUGCACUAAACAAUAAAAGAAAAUACCUAAUUAGUUUAGUACGAAUUUAUAAUGAAGGCUUUAUUAGGUGAAGUUUUAUUUCUUAAUCGUUAGAUCAAAUUGGUUAGCAUCUGAAGUCGCCCAAAGAUUUGAGAGGGAUUCCACAAACAUAUAAUAUAAAGAAAGAAAGCAAUAGUAGGAGAUGAACCAGUACAAAAAACAAUAUAUAAAUAGUACAUAAUAAUUCCAUAACCUUGUCACAAACGCACUCACAAAUGCUUUCCAUAAACCUUGCCCUAACAUAUAACAAAUAAAGGCAACAUUGCAUAUGAUGCAACCAUGUCCAAAUCUGAUACGUGAUAAAAAAAAAAGGACAUGGCAGCAACAUAUGACUGAAGUAGAUGGGCUCUUUGCAUCUCGUGUUAUCGUAAUUAAAGACAUCAAAAUAUUAAGGUUGAAAUCUUCUAUAGUAGCAAGCAUUAAAAUAGGUUUGAAGCAGAGUUUAAAGAAAAUUCCAAUUCCACUGAUUUGCCUCUGCUCAAAGACGAGAACCAAAAUGGUUACUUCCCUUGCUGAGUAUAUUUGUUAACGUCGGAAACGGUAAUAGAUGACCAAUCAAACCCAAGUACGACGAGUUUUGCAUAGGAUCAGAAGUAGUUGAAUCCAGCUUGCAUCACACGCUUCUUUGACUCCAUUGCAUUAGAUGAGUUUUUGUAUUUUUGAACAGCUACACUCCGAAGUCGUUUGUGUCUACGCUUCAUGCGCUGCAACUUCGCCCUAUCCAGAUUGGCCUGCCUUUUGUCAUCUUCAAUUUGGCCUUCAACAAAUUCCAAACGUGCCCUUGCCCUUUGGAUUUCAUCACCAAGUUGAAGAUGCCUCUCCUUCCAAAAAGCAAGAACUCUUUCAGACUCAAAACUUCCAACAAAAUGGUCAUUCUAUCUAGGAAUGUGACAUUGCUUGUCUGGUGACUCACCUGCGUUUCAAAGGCGGUCUUUGUUUGGAGGGGUGUUUAUUAUGCUCACAUCAAACUUGGUUAGUAAAUCCAUUCUAUGGGGGGAGUGAGUUUCUGUGGAGGAGAGAGUUUCAGUAGAUGGAGACAGAUUCGGUGGAGGAGUGAGAUUUUUGUGGAGGGAGAAUUUCUAUGAAAUGGGUGAUAGUAAUACCAAUAAAAGGGUUCCCGCCAAAAAGUAUUUGGUUGACAAUGUAUAAAUUAAUUUUUGGUCUGAUACAAUCUAAGUUUAAUCCUAACUAGUUUGGUUAGUUUGGUUGAAUUCACUAACUAGAUGUCACUUCCAUUGAGUUUCUUUCAACCACUAUCAGUGGUGUAAGGAGAGUGUGAGGUUGACAUGCUUGAAAAGCAAAACCUAACACCUCUUUUUUUUAAAAUUGAAAGAAAGUACAUAUGUUGACUACACACAAGCUUUGGUAUGUUGGUCUAUAAAGCUAUGUUCCCUUUCUCAAACGAAAUUGCAUAUGCAAUCCUCGUCCUCCCAAAACAAAUAGAAUUAUUCAAGCAUGUCAACCUCUUCAGGCGCCAACAACACAAUCAAAGAUGACAAAUUGGAGUCGCAGGUUCUAUUUCCACAUUGUACUCGCCGACCCCUUCCAUUUUCAACAUCAUUUGGGAGUGAGGGGGACUCCGAUGAUCCAUUAGAGCUAAUACAUGCAGUCAAUAGCAAGCUGGAUUAUAAUUCCAGACUGAUCAAUUCAUGGCGCGAGAAAUAUGUUGAAGACGAAGCCAUUUUGGCUGAUCUUAACAUUAGAGUGAACAAAGCGUUCUCCCAAAAGAACAAGUACUUGAAGCUGAGUCAUAAAAGGAAGCUGAAAGCUGAGGAGUUAGAUACAGUAAUGAAUGAUGAAAUUAAAGGUUGUUUGAUGAAUCAUAUGCGAUGCGAAGAGCACCACAGUGAACUGGAGUUGGCAUUCAACGAAGGAUUCGAAAAAUUACGAGCAUUUGCAGCAACUACUCAUACAAGUUAUAAUUGGGACUAUGUGUCCCCUGAUGUUGUGAGAGAGAUACUAGACGAUGGUGGUGACAUGAAUGAGCAUAAGCACGUCAAAGCUGCUUGGAAGAAGCCGACCGAUACGACUAAGUGAUUGCGGCUACAGUUGUUCAGUUGGUUGAGAGUGAUCGUGGUAUUGCACAAAUUAGAAGUAUAUUCCCAUAAUGUCAUUAUCUAAUUUAAAAUAACACAAAUAUCAGUUUCAUUUGCUUCAUAUUGUAACACCCCGACCCCAAAUUUCCCCAAAAUUUACCCUCAUUUAAUUAAUUAAUUAUUUAAGGGUAUUUUAGUCAUAUUUUUAACCGGAGAGAGUUUGGGACCAUGACUUGUAUUUUUGGAUAGGUCGUACUGAGACGAGUUCAUAGACACGUAGUGGGCUCGAAUCAGAGUUGUAACGAGAGAGAUAUGGUCAAAAGAAACCCAGUGGCACAAUCGUAAAUAUUUCAAAAUGGGAUUUUUAUAAAAAUCUGGUUUUUCUCUCUCUCUCUCUCUCUCUCUCUCUCUCUCCCGCGACUUCUCUCUCUCUCCCGUCGGCUCUCUCUCUUUCUCUCCUUGUAUCUCCGGCCACCGACCACGGCUGUGGGCGGGGCCGGUACCAAACUGACCGGGACGACGUCCCCUUCCUUCCCCGACCAUUCCCCGCCGGCAACGCGGCCGUUGCUGGCCGGAAAAUGCAGAAAACCGCCGGGAGGUCGUCGAAACUUCAACGCCGUCGAUCUCCCUCCUCCGGCCACCAUUUUCGUCGACCCAGGUAUGGAUCUUGAACCUCUCGAGCUGUUCUAGCUGUUUGUUGGUUGGGUUUUGAUCGAUUCGAUCUCUAGAUCACUCGAUUUUCGAAUUGAAAAUUGGCCGAAACUUCGGCCGCCGUGAUCGGCCAUUUUCGGCCACUUUUUGUGGUAGGUCCAAGAACAAAAGUGGCUCCAAAUAGGGUGUUAUACCUAGGGUAGAAGUUUGGAGCCGAGAUGUUGAGAUUUUCCGGCGAAGCGUUAUCGCUUUGGGCACCCACGCGUGCGGCGGCGCGUGGGCACUGUAGAAAAAGUAGAUGUGUUCCGAUGAGAUCCUUAGGUUGUCACGAGUGCGUAGGAUUUGGCGGAUCUCAAUUCGGACGUCGUUUGACUAUCGAACGGAUAAUCGCAUAUUAUGCGUUAUCCGGGUUCGAUAGGUUGAGACCGUCGGAUGGUCCCAAAUUUAAUAUAUGUUGAUCUAGGUAUUUCUAGGAUCGUGUAGGAUUUCACGGAUCGUGAAUCGGAGCCCCGGAUGUUCCGAAUAAUAAUUUAAAGUUUAUAUUUUAUAUUAACCAUCAGAUUAUGCGAUCGUGAGAAAUCCGACCGUCUGAUCUGAACCAAACUGGCAGGAAAAGUGUCCUGUACCUGGUAGAACCCAUAGGGACCUUCGGAUCGGAAAUUGGAGGUCGUGGGUUCCGCAAGUCUGUUUGACCAGGGUUAGAGUAGUUUGACCCUUGGUUGACCGUGAGUCUCCCGGAGUAAUCUCACCCUUCCAGGGGGAAUUAUCGGGAGCUAGACUAUUGUGGAGGGUUACACAAUAUUAGAAUUAUUUAUAUAAUUAUAUAUGGUUGUACAAGGGUACAACAAAGUCUAGAAUGUCAGUUUGGAGUGCUAUACGCACUACUUUAGGUACCUCCUCGGAUUUUGGAUUCGCUACAAGCACCACCAAGUGAAAGUUAGGUCCCGCGUGGCGUAGGUUAUCCGGCGUUGGGACAGACCCCAUACGUGGCGUUGGUUGUACCGGCGUAUGGGGAGAUUUGCAAUAUGAUGUUCAGGUCUCACGUGGCGUAGGUUAUCCGGCGUUGAGACAGGCCCCGUACGUGGCGUUGGUUGUACCAGCGUACGGGGAGAUUAUGUGAUAUGAUGUUGAGGUCCCGCGUGGCGUAGGUUAUCCGGCGUUGGGACAGGCCCCAUACGUGGCGUUGGUUGUACCGGCGUAUGGGGAGUUAUAUGAUAUGAUAGUAUGGCAUGGUCGCACAUGGCGUAGGUUAUCCGGCGUGUUGACAGGCCCCAUACGUGGCGUUGGUUGUAUCGGCGUAUGGGGAGAAUAUGUGAAAUGCAGAGAAAGGAAAUAAGGUAUCACCGAUGUGUGGAAUUGGGUUUUAGGGAAGAACUACGUGUGGCUUGAUCCCUCAAGGAGGGUACGUAGGCAGCCUAAGGUUAUUGGGUGCAGCCGCAGACUAAAUAUUAGUCAUAUUUGGUAUUUGAAUUGUAUGGUAGUUGUUUGAGAAUUAUUGGAAGGCCAAAGGCCAUUUAUGAGAAUUUGCAUGAAAUUAUAUUGUGCAUGCUGCUAGUUGUGGAUAUUAAAUGUGUUUUUAUGCAGGUUGAAAUUUUGGGAAAUGUCCAAUUUAUAGGGGAGACUCUGCUGAAAUUUCGGCAGGAAGUCUCGGUUUUUAGUAAGUGGGCCUGGCAUCGGGGUGAUGUCAGGAAUUCCAAAGGGUUCGUCUCGGGUUUUGAGAAAAUUCGGGGCGGGUCCUUAAACAUAUAUAAUUAUUGGGACUAUGUAUUGCAAGUCAUCAUGUGUUCCUUCUGUCUAACAUUAUAUUUUGCAAAUAUCAAAAUAUUAUUCAAUAAGCAGUCAAUAUCACAGCAAGUUGGGAAUUAGUAAAGCCCCAUUAUCAUGUCCGUUCACAUUAAAGAGCUGGCGUACUUUUUCUCAAAAAACUGACACGUGAGUCAUAAGUAACAUAACAUGUGCUAUACAUUGUUUAGUGAAUGGUUUAUGGUUUAUUUAUAUAUAAUAAAAUUCCAAAUAUUGCUGAAUAUUUGUUUUUUCUAUAUCCCUGGGAACAUGAGUGACCAUAAGCAUGUAAGACCUGUUAAGAAGAAGCUGACUAAUACGACCGAGUGAUUGUGGCUACCGUUGUUUAGUUGGUUGGGGAGAUCGUGGUAUUGCUAAGAGGGAGCACAUAAUGUGCUUUGCAAUCAAAUUUUCUUUUGUGUGUGGAAUUAUGAGUAGUUCAAAUGUUAGUGUACCCUUUAAUAUUCUUCAACCGUUUGAAAUGUGAUUAGCUGCAAUGUACUUUUUUACACGCUGCUUUCUAAUCACUCUGUUCCAACAAAGUGCUUUAAGUAUCCUUCAGUUACAAAUGUUUACAAAAUCGUGCAUCUAAUAACCAGUCGAGCUCAGAUCUUAAUAACAAGUAAAACACUAGAACAUAACAUUCGGAAAAAGUGGGUGCUGCUGGAAAUCAUUACUGGUAAUGGAAGCAAGAGCUGGCUGCUGGAAAUGCUGCAUUAGCCUGUGAUAUAAUCAAUGAAUCUCUGUUAAAACAUAAUUCACCAUAAACUACCCAUUUUACAUGGUAAAAGUCAUUGCUUCUUCACAUAACUCAAAAUUUGAUACUUUAUCAAAUGUCUAUGAAAAUUUCUAAAUAGGGGAAAGACGUAAAAUUAACAUGUGUCCAAAUUUCAUGCAAGAAUGAAACCAAGCAAAUUUUUAUUUCAAUUAUCAGUGGACAUAGUAAGAACUCAUCGGUGGACAUGAACAAAAAAAUAAUAAUAUUAAAAACUGAAUCUAGAAAACUUCACCUGAUCAUUAGUCUUCAUAACAACCGAAUUUCGUCUAAUAGAAACAUAAAUCAUUCAGUUGGUCCGUGCAUCGUGUCAAAUUCAUAGAAUAAUGGGUCACUACGAUCUAUUGGAGUUGAUUCGUCAUUGUUCGACGGUGAUGUCCUGCAUAGACAUCAAACACAAGCACAGAAAAAAUUUACCUAUUCAAAUUUUAGGUGUUAUUAUAAAUAGUGUUAGCAUCUUACGGUGUGUUCAAAUUUCUUGCGCAUUGUCUUCUAUCAUGACCAAUGUGUCCACACUCCAGACAGUGUCUAAUCCCUCGCUUCAUUGCCUUUUCUUUUGCUCCCGUUACUCGUUUCGACCUUCUUUUGCACCUCACUCUCUUAGGGUCUUUCAUAUAUUGUGUUUGAGAGCUGGACCCUCCAACUUCGUUAUUACUUGGUCCAUCCUUCAACAACUUCAACUUCACCUGCAAACUUUUUAGAGUCUCUGACAGUAGCUCACAUCCUUCUUCACUCAUUAAUGCACCCUCAACCACAUCUUAAGCAAGUCGAGACAUUGUACUCCGCCUUAUUAAAAGACCAGGAUCUGCAGAGUCUUUAAUUUCGUUGCCAUUUGCAUCUGACACCAAUUCAGAUUUUGCAGUUUUCUUCCACCUCUUUAAAAUAUAUUUAUCGGGCAUAUAUUCAAUCUGGUCCCUUCUGAACAAUGCUAGGAUGUGCUUGCAAAUAAUUCCAACAAAUUCAAAUCUUUUGCACCCACACGAUGCGUGGUCAGAAUCUUUAACAUAUACGACGUCUGCCACUCUUGUUUCCCAAUUUUUCCUUUUGCUCACGCGAAAGACAACUUUAGAAGCACCCUCUGUUUUGAGCUCUAGGAAACAUGUUGUACUUUGUAUUAGUUCUUGGUCAAACUUUUGAAACAUUGUCCUUGUGUACAAGGUAGCCAUUUGUUUGUUCAUUGGCAUCGGUAGAAUACAUUGAGCCACUUCAAAUGCAUCUACGUGAUCAGCAACUAACUCUUUUUGACGUUGAUGAGAAAGUGCCCUCUCAAAUCGUAUUAUGAAAUCCAUCAACGAAUUUCUCCUUGAUAUGUAUUGCUUGAAAAAACCAUGAGAACCUUCCACUCUUUGGCUGCUUGACAUUCCAGCGGCAAAAAAUUGUUGUGCGUAGGCUGGAACCCAAGAUUCUCUUAAAUCAAACAUUGAACUUAGCCAUGGAUGGUCAGUCAAACCAGCCUUUGUAACCACAAUAUUCCAUUUUGUAACAAACUUAUCCUUAUUGUCAGUAUCCCAUACGGCUUUCUGAAAUUCACGCCAAUACUCCUUAUAAGCAGAAUGUGGUAACUUAACAGAGAACUUUGAUGUGAUGUGCAAUAUGCAAAGUCGAUGAAAUGUAGUCGGGAAGGGUAUUGAAAUCGCUCUGGUCAUUGCCGCAUCUUGAUCUGUAAUGAUCGUUUUAGGUCCGCCACUUGGCAUGGCUUUCUUAAACUCCUCAAACAUCCAAAUAAACGACUCAGUCGUUUCCUUGCUCAAAAAUGCGCAUGCUUAGACAAUUGUCUGACCAUGGUUAUUAACUCCCAACAUUGGUGCAAAUGUCAAGUCGUAUCGAUUCGUGUUGAAUGUGGUAUCGAAUACAACAACAUCUCCAUAAAACCCGUACGCCCAUCUAGAAGUUGCAUCUGCCCAAAAACAUUGACUAAACCUGUCAUGGCCAUCUCUCUCAAUCUUGAAAUAAAAAGCCUCAUUUUUUUUUUCUGUUCAGCCAUAAAAUACUCGGUCACUAGUUCAACAUCGUGGUUCCUCAACUUCCCAUUCACACUACAUUCAAAAUUGUAGAUAUCUUUUUUGAUAAAACCGAUUUUAUCCAUUCCUCCGGAUUGCACCUCGAAAAUACUUACCUUCUGAUGAAUGAGAAUAUUAACCGAACCCAACUGUUUUGUGAGUACUUUUGUAGAAUCUGAACUAUGACGGUGUGAUCUCAAUAAAUGCAUUCUUUCUGAGGGUGUCAUCUUAUGAUUGUGUCCCUCUGCAAAAAGAGAGAUGGUAUACUUCUUGCUCCCAUUUGUCUUCACAACCACAAUCUUAGCUUUGCAAUUGCAUCUACUUAUUCCCCGCUGUCUUUUUCUCUCCCGAGUUUCAUCUCUCCUGUAUUCACCUUGUUUGCAACAUACAAAUUCUUUCCUCAAAAUCUCUUUCUUAUUUCCCCCCCAAAAGCUGGAAUGAAGUCGAAUACCAAAGCCAGCCAAGAAUGCAUAUCUAUUAUAGAAAUUGUAAACGAGGUCAAGCAAGUCGAACUUCAUCCCAACUGCUGGUGUUUCCUCAUUUCUUACUUCAAGAAUGUAAACCCUCCCAUUAGCUGUUACACAGUCAUCACUCUCUGAGCCCCCAGACAUUUUAUCCACGUAUAUUAUUGAUCCACUUCUAUAUUAUUGCAUAGCAAAUAUUAAUUCAUUAAUAAAUCAUUACUGCAUCACAACAUAUCAAUGCAUUCCACUUACACAAAACAUUGCCCAAAUUGACACAAAACACGCAUAGCCUAACUUGUUGGAUUCCGAUUACACAAAACGCAAGCAAAAUUUAAUAAUAGUUACGUCAUCUCUUGUGAAAUAAUCUAGAAAAAAUAACAUUAGAACCAACAUGUUCAACUAAGAACACAAAUGCAAUUCAAACCAGCAAUCACAUAACUUCACCCAAUAUCCUCUCCAAAUGCUUACUCCUAAUGUCAUUAAGCCUAAGUUUAGGAUCUUUUACCUACAUUUCAUAAUUUUUCACCCCCACCAAAAAUAAUCAACUAAGUAUACUGAAUAUUCAUAAGGAAAUGACGCAUUAUUGAUGCCACAAAUGACGAAUUUCCUACCCUCACAAAAAACAAAUCAAACCCAAUUAAAUCAAUCCAGCAAGAGUGAACUUACCUCUCAAAAUCAAUCGGGAGCUCCGAAGUCAGUAAGCUUGAGAGAAUGUGGUGGACAUUAGAGAAGACUCUUUGGUAUUGGAGACUCCAUCUCUACCAAAAUCGAGGAACGAACUGCUGCUACGGCGUCUAGCUACAGAAAAAGAUAUGCUACUUUACUUUCAUCUGGAAUCUUGUUUGCUGAACGAAAAAGAGAAAGGGUUUUCACUUGAGCCAUAGAAUCAAAACAAGGCAACAUCUAGGUAAGAGCCAUUAAUCGUCAUAUCGAGGAUACCAUAGAUCGCAGGCCUCCCAAGGAGCUGAUGACAAUGGAGCGACUAUAGGGUUUGGGAGCUUUGGAUCCUUCUAAUUGUGGGUUUGCGUUACAUUCAAAAAAAGAGGAGUGUGUUGUUGAGUUUUUCACAUAGAGGGAAAGAGGGAAAGAUCUUCAACUGAAGUUGGGUUUCCAACGGGUCAAAUUUCAACCCGGUUCUACAUGCACCCUCUUUUAAAAACUCACCGUUGGAUUUCAUCCAACGGCUCGUACAUACCCCUCAAAAACACCCCUUAUAACUUUCCACUCACUAUAGAAGCUCUCCCCAGGAAAUGCUUCGAGGUAGAUUUUAUGUUUUGGGCCUUGGGACCCAACUUCACAAAAAGAAAACAAAUUUGACCAAAAAACAAAGUUGAAGGACAUUGAUAUUGUACCUGUAGGAUAGGUUAAAACACUAAAAGGAAGGUAAAUAGUACGUUUACAGAGUUUAAGUGUAAUAAAGGAAUAAAAACAUGCCCAGAGAAUUGAUAAGUGAUAUCAAUUCUUGAAUAUAUAGAACGUAAAAUAAAGGAAUACGUAGAAAAUUAUUUUAUGUGGUAAAACUCAAUCUAUGGGGCCACGGGACUUCUUAGUCCAAAAAAAAUCCAUUGAACGAUGAUUACAAGAAGUACUCACACACUUAUCCUAGACACAUUCUAGAUAAUUUUUACUAACAUCUUUGUAACUCAACUUCUGUCAUAGGAUGAUUUUUUGACACUCCUUAUGUUGAACGCAAUACUGGUCACGAUUUCUUCAAGCUCGCAGGAACUCUCCUUAUAUUGAAUAUGAUACUAGUCACGAUAGAUUCAAGCUCAUCGGAGAAAAACAGCCACAACGGUCUUGGUGCCCUCAAUGGUAUGAGUCACUGAACAUGCAAAUAAAUACAAUAUGAAUGAUAAAAGUGUUUGAUAAAUCACCAAGUUAUGGAACACUUGAUGAUUUAUCUCAAAUAAAAACUCAGCUUUCCAAAGUUUAUGAAUUGAAAAUAUGAUCGUUAAAGCUCUCUAAACAAAGAAGACGAAGAUCUUAUUUUAUAGAAUUUUUCUUUAUAAGAAAGAAAACACAUUGAAAACCAAAUCUCCAAGGCUUGACAGAAAAUCACAAAAGUAUCUUUCCUAUUCUAGAGAUUGGUCACAUGUAGUCCAACCAAUAGGACAUGAGAUAUUUAAGAAAUGAAGAUUUUGAUCAAUAUCAAUAUCAAAUGAAUUCUUAUACGCCUAGUCAACUAUUAAGGGUAUCUUGACUCCUUGAUAUUGUGAUAUGAUUGAAACAUGAUUUCCACGUUAGAAAAUUAAGGGGAUGUUAAAACAUGAAAGUAAUAGGAGAAUCAAAUUGAUUUCGGCCAAAAUUGCCUAAAAAGAAAACACUCCUAAAUAAACUCAAUUCACUUUUAAAAACAGUAAAACGUGAUUGAAUUGUUCUUUAAAACAAUUCCCUAAUAUACAUGCAUGAUAAUGACAUCACUUACCUCUGAAUCAAAUGCCUUUCAUAGGUCAAGCCACAAGUCUGUGUUUUGGGGAUUGCUGAGCUGCAUCAAUCCUGCCAAUGUCAAUGCUGCCCCUAUGCUCUCUCAAAGCACGUUUACAACCUAUGCUAACAUAUACCCUAAACCCUAGUAUCAAGAAAAUGCCAACACUAAUUUCGUAACACGUAGAAAUUGUUAGAGAUUGGAAGUUUUUUUUCUUCAAGUCUCUCCACCACUCACUAAUACAGAUUGCUCAUGUGAUGAGUUUACAAAACCUAUUUCUCUACUCUCACAAAGACUAUACUUCUUCUCAAAAGACUAUAUCACUUUACCUCUAUCUCUGUGAAAUGUAAAAAGUUGAAACUUUAAUGUCAAACCUCGACAAAAGAUGAACUUCCAUAAGUUACGUUGAAUUUGGAUUUGUUGAACUUAAGUGGUUUUACUUUUCUGUCAGUGUUUGAUGACUUAAUUUGGUAUUUACUUCUUCUUUUUUUCCUUGGAAAUGUGUUCCACCAACGUGAGGAAGAAAAAUAUGCACAAAUUAAUAUAUUUAAUAGAAGCCCAAGAUUUCGGAAGCACAUAAUUUCUACAAAAUUCUACAAAGUGUUCUACUUUACAAACUUCAUAUGUCUACCAAUUUUUACUAAAAUUAAUUUAUCUGCAGUGCUCAAAUUCAUCAUAUGUGUGUCCUUAAUUUUAGUGAAAAUUGGAAGUUUCCAUUAUUUUUGUUUUACGGGAAUUUUUUGAACCAAGGAAAAUCAAGUAAAAUUAAUAAAGCAUAAAUUGGAAAGGGAAAAUAUCUAGAGGAUGCAUUGUAGGAUUGCUCAUGCCAAUAAUUGUACCCUCUAAAUAUAUAGGGACAUAUUUUUUUUGCUCAUACCACUUGUUGCAGUACACAUUCACCCGUUUUCAAAGAAAGAAAUUCUACCAAUCGAUAAUGUCUCAAAUUUAAUCACAUAUUUUAUGGACCAUCCAGCUAUGAGGUUUUAUCUCAAAAACCUUCGGUACAUUUCUCCCACAUGCCACAAUUGUAUAUUCACAAUUACGUCUGAUACAUCACAUCAUGCCACUUGCCUCAAAUGAAUUUAAGUGAGUGAGGCAGUUGGAAGUAAUUAAGCUCUAUAUUGGUGGGUGGAGUGUUAGUUCUGGGUACCCCUCAUCAUUCGUCUAUAAAAUGGUGAAGCCAGUUGCUACUGUUACCAUAAGAGCCAGCUCCGACUUUCUUUAAUUUCUUGCUUCAUAUCCACUAGCUACAUCUGUUGCUCUUCUCAGUGUAAGCUCUGCAAUUUGAUUAACUUUCCCAUUAUCUCUCACUGUACUCUAUAUAAAGGAAUAAGUGUCGUCCAUUAAUUCUCUCCGAAAGUGUCGUCCUGAUUUUAAUUAGAGUUCGAAUUAAUGUUGCAGCUAGCAGCGGUUGCACUGGCAAACCAUGCUGCUCAACCGGUACCUCAACUUUACUGGAACUCCGUCCUGCCAAACACACAGAUGCCAAGAUCUAUCAGUGAACUUCUGCAUCCUGGUUUGUGUUUGAGCACUUUAGAAUCUUAGAUAUCUCUUCUACCUGCCAUUUUACUAAAAUAUGUUCAACCACAUAUUUAUCAGUUAACUACUGUCAUUACAUGAGUGACACAUAUUCACAAAUCGGCUGAUCACUUAUUUUCCAUUAUGACGUUGAUAUAUAAUGUUGGGAAUGGAAAGCCAAUUGACCACAAGGGAAAACCUGAAAAUACUGUACUACCACAGCUAGCACGAAGCCCAUUUUCUUACAAGAGUGAUGUGGGGACCAAAUCUCAUGUAUCAUAGCUUAACCCAUAUGCCACAACUAAAAGACGUGGGAUGAUCGAACAGCAUACCCACAUGGUCAUGGAUCUCUUCAGAUAAUCAAUAUUAAACAACCCAUAAACUUCUCCCUUUGAAGAACAAAUUAAAACCAAUUUCUAGAGGAAGGUUACAAAACAUUUUAGCCCGUGAAGAACAAAUCAAGACAAUAUAACCCAUUUGAUAACAAAAUCAAAAUGAGAUUUACCAAUACUAGAUGACCACGGCGCCAGUAUAAUGGUACGACGGCGGCGUUAUUGUAACGGUGGAGAAGUGGAUGGUAUGACGACGGUGUUAGUGUGACGGUGGAGGAAACGAUAUUAUGAAGGAGGCGUUGCUAUGUUCGGUGGAGGAGUCGUGUGUUUCACAGUUCAAUAUAUCCUUUUUAGUCAUUUUAUAUUAGGGUAAAUCAGUAAUUCAAUAAAUAAUUUGAUAGUAUGGUGUACUCAGUUAAUAUUAGGGUUCAUUUAACAGCACUCAAAUUAACUAGUGUAGAGUCUAUCUAUAUUAUUAAUACUAAAAAUAAAUAUAUGACUAAAUAACUCAAAAAAAAAAUAAAUCUACAAUCUUUUUUUUAAAAAAUUUUUUUUAUAGAAUUUUAUUAGAUUAAUAGGCACUACUAAAAAAUCUCCUUAUAAACUACAAAUACACGCAUAACUUAUACUAAUGUGAGCUACUGACACCACCUGCCACAUGACAGUUGUCCAAGCAUAGUGUUGUCAUUCAUUAUUCCCCACAGCAACUAACAUCCAAUAAAGGGUUGGGGCCCACCCAUACUCCACCUCUCUGUAUGUAGCUCUUUGAGAAUACAGAAGAAAUAUUUUUUAGGGAAAUAGCUUAAAAUGAUACCCAUUUCAUAAUUUUAAUUAAAAAUACCACCCCUUUCCAAUUUUUGUACAACUAUCACCUAUAAAUAUAAAAUUAUUGUCCACUUAUUGCUGAUUUUUCACAAGUUCAGAAAUUUUGGAAAGAAGAAGCUCACACAGCUCUCUCUCUCUCUCUCUCUCUCUCUCUCUCUCUCUAGCACAACUCUCUUUCUUUGGUAUCUGUCUAUCACAGCUCUCUGUGUCUCUCUUGGCUCUCUCUAUCUUGGCUCUCUCUCUCUCUAGCACAACUCUCUGUCUCUCUCUUUGCUCUCUUUCUCAUAGCGCAGCUGUUUCUCUCUCUAGCUUCGUUAUGUCUCUUUCUCCCCUAUUCGAUCUCUUGCUUUCUGUUUGGAAUCGCGAACCCCUCCCUUUAGCUAUGUCUUCUGAAUAGCUGCUUGCAACCUUGAAGCUCUAGUGGAUUGCCGACCUCGAAAAGGUAGUGUUGAUGGUUAUUUUCUUAAUAUCAGUGGGAUUAUGUGAAAUGGGUUAUAGUUUGAUUGUUUGGGUUUGUGUUAAAUUCGUUUUGGCUUUAAUUUCUUUGGGUUAGGUUUUGUUGAAUAUUCAUACUCAUUCAUCUGGGUUUGUACCAAUUGCAUUUAGAUUGGUCUGGAUAUGUGAAUCUUGAAACUUGGGAUUUUCUAUUUGAUGUAGUAGAUCUGUAUAGUGUGAUUCUGUUGUGUUCCUCUUAUUUUACAGUCGUAUUGCUGUUAUAUUGUCAUUAUAUUGCUUAUAUAUUGCUGUUAUAUUGUGGUUAUAUUGCUAUUGUAUUGUUUGGUUAUUGUGGUUAUAUUGUGUUAAUGAAAUGUUGUUUUGUCAUGGUCAGAAAUGGAGACAAUUGUUAUUCUCGUGUGCUACAAUGGAAAAUGGGUCACCUCGAAGAAGAUGUGCAAAUACGAAGGGGGUGACUCAAAAGGCUUAAUAGUUCCACGGACCAUCAAAUUUGUUGAACUGUUGGACCGUGUGCAUUAGAUUGGUAAUACAAACAGCAGGGAAGACAAGGUUUGCUUAAAAUUCUCAGUUUUGGUGGCCUCGAAUGAGUGGAAGCACAUAAAUAUUGAGGACGAUGAUGAUAUCAAUUUUUUUAUGAAGUACAAUUCCGAGGUAACACCUUCAAAACUAGCUCCCUUACUCGUGAGUAUAGAAGAUAAAGGAUUGACAAAUGAUGUAGUUCAUAGUAUGCAUAUCACGACAGAUAGUAGUCGGAUGGGUCAUUCUUCAGUUGCCAUUGUUGAAAGCAAUGAAGUAACUUGGAAUAAUACGAAUGUCACUGAUGUGGGAGGUGAAGUAGGGACAGAUUUUGUGGAUAUGAUUGAUUUUAGCGAGGUGUAGGAGAUGCAUGGUGGUGAUAAUAGUACUGAAAGAAAUGAAGUGUCAGUGUACUCUGCCCCUCCUAAUUUGGGCUGCUUCAACAUAGCUGCCCAGUUGCCAAUAAUGCGUUUAGGAGGAGAAUCUGAACCCACUCGUCAACAUUAUUGGAGUCAAAUAGGUGAACAAAAUCGGUACAAUGCAGCCGGUGUAAAUGAUGAAGAAGCAUAUUUGGACAGCGGGUUUUCACGAAGUGAUUGGAAUCCGAAAAUUACAGUUGGGCAAAUUUUCUCUAGUAAGAAAGCAUUGUUGACGGAGUUACGGUUGACGGCAUUAAGAGGCCACUUUGAAUUUAAGGUGCAAUUCUCUUGCACUAAAAGGUUGCUUGUGGUUUGUUGUCAACGUCCAUGCCCAUGGCGGGUCCGAGCAUCGAGAAUUGGAGAAUACAGCUUCAUGAUUGUGAGGUGUACAACUGUCCAUGAAUGUGAUUUGAGGUUCGUAAGUGACAAGCAUCGUCAAGCAACCGCAGCACUUGUAGCCACUUCACUUAAAAGGAAGUGACAUUAUGAGAGAUGUGAAACACAACUUUGGUUGCACCAUCCAUUAUUCGAAAGCUUGGAAAGCAAAGGAGUUAGCUCUAUUGUCCAUUAGAGGAUCAGCGGAGGAGGCAUAUUAUAUCCUUCCAGCUUAUUGCUAUGAAUUGGAGCGUAUGAAUCCCGGCACAAAAACACACAUCCAAACUGAUGAGAACAAUCACUUUGUGUAUUUAUUUAUGGCGGUUGGCGCAUGUAUUAGAGGGUUCCGUUCUUCCAUGCGCCCAGUGAUAGCCGUGGAUGCCACUCAUUUAAAAUCCAAGUACAAGGGUGUUAUGUUUGUAGCAAAUGCAUUCGAUGGUAAUUGAAAUAUAUAUCCUCUUGCUUUUGGGAUCGGGGAUUUGGAGACGGAUGCAUCAUGGCAUUGGUUUUUCACUAAACUUCAUGAAGCCAUUGGUGAGUGUCCCAAUCUUGUUAUUAUUUCUGAUCGCAAUGUUAGCAUAGAGAAUGUGUGGAACAAAAUUUUUCCAACUGCACAACGUGGCAUAUGCUUUUAUCAUAUGAAGGGGAACAUGAAACGCACUUGCUAGUUGAAAAAGCGUGAUCACAUACUUAUGCACUUUGAGCAGGCUGCGAAAUCUUAUUCCAUUGCUGAAUUUGAUUGUCAUUUUUGCAAGAUCAAGCGAAAGGAACAUGUUGCUCAAUAUCUUGAAGAGACAGGGUUACAUAAGUGGUCUAGAGCUCACAUGGAUGGACGCCGCUACAAUGUAAUGACAACAAAUAUUGCAGAGUCAAUCAACUCAGUCCUUAGGUUUGCAAGGAUGCUGCCAGUGGUUCAUUUGAUAGGGGAAAUUGUUAAUCUCCUUGUGAAAUGGUUCACCGAACGUUGUGAGUUGGUUUUGAAUUGCACAACAACAUUGUGCCCCAAUUUUGGAGAGAAGAAGUUGAGGAACAGGUUGGAGGAUGCUGCAAGGAUGAAUGUGGUUAAAGUAAAUAAUGCACAGUUUAAUGUUUUGGACGGUGAUAUGGACGGCCUCGUAGAUUUGGCGAACAGCAGUUGUAGUUGUAGAAAGUUUCAGCUUGAGCAGCUACCUUGCAAGCAUGUAGUUGCAGUUUGCCGCUUCUUGAAAGUAAAUGUAUACGCAAAGGCUUCUCGGUAUUACACUCAGAAAACCUGGAUGAUGCUUAUUCGGAUAGCAUCUACCCGGCACAACCUCACGGAAUGUGGGAUAUUCCUGAAGAUGUUCGAAGUCGAGUUGUGCUGCCUCCCAUGGCAAGGGUCAUGCCAGGCAGACGAAAGAAGAUCAGAAUUCCCUCGCAAGGAGAGGGCACCAUUAGAAGAAAGUGCUCAAGGUGCGGUUCCGCAGGCCACAAUAAAAGCACAUGUAAAAACAAUAUUCCAUUGCGCAAUGUAUCUUAGACAAUAUGAUUUGUGUUGCUUUGGUAGGUCAUGUAAACUCUACUUUUAUUUGUGGUGGGUUUCGUGUUAUGUUGAAUGGGAAUUCUUUUAAAUUUGCAUAAUUUGGGUUGCAUUGCUACAGCAUGCUGUAUUGCUGACAGAUUGCUAUUAUAUUGGACUUUUAUUGUACUGGUAUUGCUUCCAGAUUGCUAUUAUAAUUUGAGUGCGAAAUUAAAGGGACUGGAAUGUAAUUCCAAAUGGAUCCAAAUCAUUAAAGUUCUUAGAAUUCCUAUAUUACACAGUUACUGUGAUACUCCGACUAUACCUUCUUUUAUGAUUACAAAUUCGGCCAAUGCAUAGGCCAGAUGUGGGGCAAAUACAAGGUGAAAUGUCCUAUGUGUUUGACUACAUAUACUUGUUGAAGGAGCAUUACGAAUGCUAACCUCAAUAGAUUGCUCAUGUCUUGCCAAGAACACUCUUGAAUUUAUGCAAUGUGCCCAAGCCAGUCCCAAAGCUGGACUCACCCGUCUGCCUGAUGUGUCCAGGGACUCCAAGUUUCCCAACCUCACCUCAUUCACUUUAUCAUGUGGCCCAAUAAAAUCCACCACUUGGUUGGUGACAACCACCGCCAACCCAAACUUAUUUGCUAAACCCUUCAAUGUCCCAGAUAUGUUGAAAAAUAUUUCAAACCGCCAUUUCAAAUCUGCUGGUGUUGUCUGAUACUGUGAUCGGAACAAUGCAGCAAUGGAAUCAAUGACAAUGAGUUUCACAGGUAGGUGGGUGUGAUCAAUGGCAAUAAAUGCUUCUAUGUCUCCAAGGACAUGGAUGAGUUGUUGAGCAUCAUGAACACCAUGAACAUAUAUGUCUUCCAAUGGCUCCAACCUUAUUAAGUUGGGGUAUGAUGCAUGAUAAAGGUUGCCUAGUUGUUGCAAUCGACGAAAUGGGAAGCUGAAUUCUGUGAAUAUGUAGACGGUGGAGCCCUCUAGUCCGCCAUGUGAGGGUGGGAGCUGAGCUGGUACCGUAAGUUGGAGACAAAGUUGCGUCUUCCCAGAACCACUCUCCCCUACCAAUUCUGUUAUAGAGUUGCAGGGUAUCCCACCCCCCAAGCAGUCAUCUAGUAUUGGGCAUCCAAUGGAUAAUUGAGGGGUUGAAAGAGGAAGGAGCAUGAGGUUUUAGGGUGUCAUAUUUGUGUAAUUUAGGGGGGGAUGUGAUGGUGCUACAAGGCAUGCAUUAUAUAUAUAUAUAUAUGUAGAGUUCAUUUUGAAGGUCUGUAUUGUAGGCCAUAUGUCUUUUAAGGGAUGUAUAAUCCAUCCUUUUUUCAGGUUGUAAUUAAUUUUUUGUUUAUUUAUUAGUAUUUUUUUGGACCAAAUAAUUUAAAAAACAUUAUGAUGCAGUACGUACUGUAAUAGGAUCAUAUUGUAACUCUAUCAUCACUCUAUUGUACUCUUAUUGACAUAAUAUUGCCGUUAUAUGCAUGUUUAUUAUAUAGUUAUUACUGCUAUAUCGCCACUGAACUGGACACCGAUAAACUGUAUACGCACAAAUACAAAAAGAGGCUUCAUCAUUCCAUAAAAUCCUAUUUCCAAACUUACAUAAUACAACAACAGGCCACCCCAUCGUUACAUAAUACAAAAAUACGCCACCUCAUAGUUCCAUUUCCCUACUGUUGACAAAUUCGAAGUUGCAUACUCUUCAAGUGCGGUGACCGCGACGCAUGAAAUUCAUGACCCCGGCCACAGUGAUGUUGGCCUAGUUUCCUGCCGGAUCCACUAUUUUUGCAAACUUACGAAAUAGUUCGAAUCCGCUUUCCACUUCUUCUUGCUUCAACUUGGCCGUUGCUUCUGAUUCCUUGAAUACCAUAAUUGCAGUGGUAGGGGCAAUUUCAAUUUUUGCUUUCAUUGUCUUUAUAUGUAGGAGAUGCAUGCGCGCAUGAUAACGAGAGCGAAUUGUGCGGUUUUUUAUGACACCCCAUCUAGUUUGGCCCUCCACAAUUUUGAAACUAUGUCUGCAUGAAGAUUUUUCCAAAACAUGGUAUUGCCUCGACAUUGCUGCAUGCCAUGGACCAAGUCUGCAGGGAGUGAAUUGGGUGACUUGGCUUGUGUUUCAGUCUUCUCUCCUUCAGUAAUUGAAAGUGUUGGGUGUGGUGUGAGGUUAUGGUCCAUGGUCUUCGAUAUUUAUUGUAGCCUAGUGUACAACUUAAUUGGAAAAAAAGGGGACUAAAUGCGAUGGGAGUGAAAUCAGUGGGGAAGGUAGUGGCUGUAAGCAGGAGUUAAUGUGAUGGAAGUUUUCAUUUCAAACAACUGGGUUGAUUAAUAUAGGCAAGUUUUAAUGACCUGGAGUAACUCAGAGAGUUAUUGGUGGGAGGGAUUAGAGGGAGUAAUUGGCGGGAGGGAUUGGCGGGAGUCUUAGGCGGGAUAGUAUUGGGCGGGAGUUAUUACCCAGUUGACUGUAUGCCUUUUUGUAAUAUAUUUGUAUGUUGGACGUUCCAAACUUGGUAAUUUUCCCAUUAUGUAAUUCAAAUAAGGGAUUUGCCUAUUUGCCUAAUUGACCAACUCAUUCAAAUUGACCAAUAUGGUUAUUGUCUUAUUUCUCAUUUCAGCAAUCUCAAUUCGUUUCCAUUUUUCCAUUCUUCAUAUUUUCCUAUUUUCCAUGUGUCAUCCAAUUUUCCAAUUUUCCAAUUUUUCAUUAUUUUUGCCUAUUUUUUCCUAUUCCCUAUUUUCCUAUUGUGCAAUUUCCCAAGUUUCCUUUUGUUGUAUUUCUAGUUUUCCAAUUUUUCAAUGUUCCCAUUUUCCCAUUAUGUAAUUUAAAAAAAGUUGCCUGCUUUGCCUAAUUCAGAAAGUAAUUAAAAUGGUCCAAUAUGGUAAUUGUCUUAUUUUCCAUUUCCACAAUUUCAAUUCGUUUCCAAUUUUCUUAUUUUCCAUGUGUCCCUAUUUCCUAUUUCCAUUUUUCAAAUUUUAAGUUUUUGUCCAAUUAUCCAAUUAUCUUUUUUCCAAUUGGACUAUUUUCUAAGUUUCCUUUUUUUCCUAUUUCCAAUUUUCCAAUUUUUCAAUUUGCUAACUUUCCUUUUGUUCUAUUUCCAAUUUUGCUAUUUUCCAAGUUGCCUUAUUUCCUAUUUUUCAAUUAUCCAGUUAUCCAAUAUUCCAAUUUUCCAAUUAUCCAAUUUUCAAUUUUCCAAUUUGCGAAUUUGCCUAUUUUCCAAGUGUCCUUUUUUCCUAUUUCCUAUUUCAAAUUUUCCAAUUUUCAUGUUUUCAGAGUUUCCUUUUUUUUUCCUAUUUUCCAAGUUUCCUUUUGUCCAAUUUCAAAUUUUCCAAUUUUCCAAGUUGCUUUAUUUUCCAAUUACCCAAAUUUCCUAUUUUCCAAGUGUCCUUUUUUCCUUUUUCCAAUUUUCCAAUUUUCCAAGUGUCAUGUAAUCCUAUUGCCUAGUUUCCUCUUUCCAAUUUUUCCUUUUUUCCUAUUUCCAAUUUUCAAUUUUCCAAAUUUCCCAAAUUUCCAACUUUCCAUUUUUUCGUAUUUCCGAUUUGCCAAUUUUCCUUUUGUUCUAUUUCCAAUUUUCCAAGUUUCCUUAUUUCCCAUUCUCCAAGUUUUCACUUUUCCUAUUUUUCAAUUUCGCUAUUUUCCAAUUUUCUGUUCUGAAAUUCGCAAUAAAUGCUUAGUUACACAGUCCUAUUUUGGGUUGAAAUCCACAAUUUUCAAUUUCCCAUUAAGGUUUGCUUUUUUGUCGUUUGGAAGCCAAUUUUAUUGUUGUUAAUGUAAUGUUGUACUGUUGUAAAUUACAGCCAAUGAGUUAAUGAUGUAGUUUGCAAUCCCAUCAAUUGAAUGCACCAACUAAAUACCCAAUAUACUUCAUAUAAGUUCGUACAUAUAACUCAACCUUCCUAUACAGAACUGCAACAGAGGCACCUUCUUAACGGGAAAGGUAAUUAGUCUUACUAAAACGCAAAUAUUCUCCACUACAGCUAACCAAUUGUCGUUUACAACUGGAGACUGAAUCUACCUUUAUUUGUUUUGUUGCAGGCAACAGCUGUGAAUUGUCCCCGGCAAUACUUAAAGAUGUCGGAUGUACGCCCUCCAAAUGAGCAUGUCACAGUUACCCGGGGGACCAGCCGUGGCAUGUGCCAUUCCCAUCUCCACCUCGGACUCCCAAUCAUGAUCCCACUUCAUCUGGAAGUGAGGCUGAGAGCAAUGAUCCGCUUGACAAAAUCUCUGCCGUCAAGCACCACCUCCAAUAUAUGUCAAAGGCAACGGAUUGGUGGGAGAGUAAGUGCGAUAUUCAUGGCCAAGUUAUGGGAAACUUGGCCAACAAGUUGAACAAAGCAUACGCUGGAGAGGUGAAGCAAACUCUAAAAGCAAAAAGUCGGAGCAAAGAGUUAGAGUCCUUGAAGUUGAAAUUGGAAGAGAGAAAGAAAAAUGCUGUCGAAAAAUUCACACAAUCUGAAGAAUAUAACCAUGAAAUGGUUGAAUGUUUCAACAACGGCUUUGAAAUGUUCCGAGAUUAUGCUUCGGUCAUCUCACCAGACUACAAUUGGAGUGAAAUUGAUGUAGCUGGUGUUUGGCAGGUGCUGAAUAUGGGUGCUGAGGGAAUGGCUCAUCAUAGCCUCGUGCAUGCAGCAAGGAGAAAGGACAAAGACUUGGAUCUUUUGAUGGACCUGUAGUAACAGUGAGUGCUGCUUCAGUUCAACUCACCUGAGUACAUGGAUCUUUUGUUGCCUUCAUUUUCCCUUCGCAGGCUAGUAUUGUUAAGGUUCGGUGGCGAUUUCUUUUGCAUGUGUAAAAUGUUGUCUGUAAUGUGUAUGUAUUGUAUGUAGAUUGACUUAAUAUUGUAGUUCUAUUGUAUGUAUAUUGCCUUAAUAUUGCCUUUGUAUAGCAUAGAUAGUGUAUGCAUAUUGCCACCGUAUUGGAUGUAUAUUGUAAAACUAUUGGUAUCGUAUUGCCCUUAUAUUGCUCUAAUAUUGCCUCUAUAGUGCACCUAUAUUGACCUAAUAUUGCUCUUAUAUCGUAUGUCAAUGGCAUGUGCUCUAAUAAGUCUCCAGUUCGUUGAAAGUAAUCCUGAAUUCAAAUAUGAUGGACAAGACAAUUGUUAUCCAUCCUUAUAUUACCAUGAAUUGAUUUGGACCUUUCAAAUGAUAGUUGGAGUUGCACAUGGAUUCAUAUUCAAAAGGAAAGUAAUUCUCUCCCUCAAUGAAUUGUCGUUCAAAAGAAGGCAGCUAUCAAAUUUUGGGUACAAAAAGGCAACAUCCACGGUAAAUUAAUUGGGCACAAACCACAUAUUACAAAACCAGGAUGAUUUUUGGCAUGCUUCAAAAGAGAAGGGCCAAAUACAACAGAAAAGAAAAUCCAUUCAAGCUUGUACAAUAGAAUGCACAAUAACCCUUUUACAUGUCCUUCCAACACCAGUGUUUUGCCUACUUUAGAGUCGCAGGAGGAGAGCUUAUUGCCAUUGUGCAAUUCGAGGGGGCAGUCAAUUUGGAAUGGUGGCAUAAACAUGUUUACUCCACGGAUCACCUAUAUGGGACAGAGCUUCCUUCUUCCCUUGUCGUCUGUAGGUUUCAACUUCACACUUUUUAUAUACAUGUAUGAGAACUUGUGGCUAUUUAUUUAUGGCCUUCUAACACUUGUUCUGCCAUUCCAAAGUGGGUUGGAGACUUUUUGAGUUGAAUGACUGGAAAGACUUCAGAUGACAGAAACUAGAGAGUUUGAAGAAAAAGGGUUACCAAGAACAGCAGUCAUGCCCACGACAUAAACUAAACAUGCUAUAAGCUCCACAGUAAUAUUUACUUCAUCUCCAUAAUCAGAAUAUUGGGAAAAAAAUACCACGGAGAAAUACGUGAAAUGAAAAACAACUCGGCAGUUACUGUGAGAUUGUGUACAUAAAACUUGGAACAACCAAACCAAUUAAAGCUAAGCCAUCUCAUACGUAUACCUACAUCAAAUAACAGUGUAUGGUCAUCUUGUUUAGAAUAUUGCAAUCAACACUUGGUUGAGACCGACCUGCAAAAACAACUGGGUUAAGUACAGAUGAAGCCAUUUAUGAAGGGCAGUUCCAGAAUUAAGACCUACGUUAAUUUGUAACUGCCACCGAAUCAGUUCAUAGUGCCAAAUGCAUCUACCAAGCACACAGAUAUGACCAGCCAAAAGAAAAAAAAGCAAAGUAAAAAAGAUAAAAGAGGCAUGCCAUAAAUGGGAACCUCAGCAGAAAUCAUCAGAUAUGCAUACAAGCAGAUUGAGUAACAUCUCACUAAGUAGAGGUCAUGUUGGUAAUCGCAUGUUGUGUUUGCACACAGACAUUUGGUUUUUGCAAACACAACAUGCAAUUGCAUUCCAUGAUGUGUGUGUUGUGUUUGCACACAGACAUUUGGUUUUUGCAAACACAACAUGCAAUUGCAUGAUGUGUGUGUUGUGUUUGCACACAGACAUAUGGUUUUUGCAAACACAACAUGCAAUUGCAUAUUGUGUGUGUUGUGUUUGCACACAGACAUAUGGUUUUUGCAAACACAACAUGCAAUUGCAUAUUGUGUGUGUUGUGUUUGCACACAGACAUUUGGUUUUUACACACACGAUAUGUAACAUUUAGUUUUACCCUUUUAUUCUUAUUUUCUUCGUUCAAACAUGGUGGUGAGAAAAGCACCAAACCAUCCCAUCAUAUAAAGCAAAACUCAUACAAUAUUUUAGAUGCAAAAGUUAUAUAUUUUAUAUAAAUGCAUCAUCCGCAUGGCUUGAAAUUACAAAUUCACGUUCACAUAUUACUUUUCACAAGCGCACAGACUAACAAUAAUAAUAAUCAACCAAGUAGUUGCGACAUUCAUCCUAUUACGUCCAUAUUGAUAAUGUCAGAAGUUUCAUCGAUAAGCCUCAUCAAACUACAAGUUUUUUAAUUUGAAUUAUGAAUUCAGAACUAAAAGCUCAUGAUAUGCAGAAAAUGACAUACAUUGUCCACAAUCGACUUUUCGAUAUAUUUCUGCUCUAGCAAUUUAUCGUCCAAAUUCUGGACUCUCUGUGUCAGGUGCUUCUUUGUGUUCUAUCCAGCAUAAGAAUAUUUAAUAGUGUGAUUUCAAUUGUUUAUACAAAUUCUAUAAGUAAUAUUGAUGAGUGCUGUAAAUCUAUUUGAUAUUGGGAACAAACAUGGUCCCACUAACAGAAACUCAAACAAAACAGGAAUUUUUUUUUAUUUUUUUUGGCAUAGACAGCCGAAAAGAAACUUACAGCAAUAGCCUCUGUCACGCUCUCCAGACGUUUAUGCAAUUUUGAAACAGCAGCAUUCAUACUACGCUUUGUCACAUACAGAAGAUCUGAGAAUUUUAGACCCUAACCAUUUGUGAAGAGCAAAUAUUAGAUUUGCUUAAAGAAGACAACAACUCACAGAACCAAUGGAUGAAAUAAUAUGAACAUAAAUAUAUCAUUUGGAUACCUUCCACCACAUGUAACCAUAACCCAAUGCCCCCAAGGUAGCUGUUGGCAUUAUUAGUGAUGUCAAACCUAUUAAAAAAAUCAAAAAAAAAAAUAUAACCAAGUAUAAAAUGUUUCUAUUGCAUUAUGAAAUACAUACGUGUAAGGAAUUAAUCGUUUUACAACUUAACCAAAAAGUCAAGGCAGGAGCAUGCAUUCAUUGAGUGGUUAUAAGCAAGAGGAAAAAGCACAAAGCAUGCUAAGAAUUCAUUUGAACACAGAAGAGAAAGUAAGCUACCUUGGAAUUUGGCUGUCAUUCCCCUUCAGGACGGCUCUCUGUAGUGACGAGUCUAGUUGUCGGACCUCAGCUGCCAGUCGGCGCACCUAAAACAAAGUAACACAGGAAAAUUGAUAUCCAUUACAAAAAACAAAAAUUGAACACGAGAAAGCAUCCUUCGACACUAAAUUUAUAGCAGUUUUUCCAAUACCUGUGAUGCGAUCGCAUAAAAGUCACCUUCUGAUUGUUCUCCGGUUCCAUUGAACAAAGGCUGCAAACAAAACAGAAAUAGACACAAAUCCAUCAAUUUUUUGAGCAACAAGACACAAGCUCCGAAAUAAAUAAACUAUCUAACUGAUCAAAACCCUAGUUUACCAAAUGCAUUACAAAAUUAAAAACUCAUACAAAAAUAACACCAAAUACAAAUGUUCUGCGAGUUCCACUAGCAAAGCAGAGUACAAAUCAUGAAAAUGGUACCUGAAGUUCACCGAUCAAUUCAGAUAAUUGACCAUUCUUACGCAGGAUGGUGCUCGUAUACCCUGUAGAAAGAGAACAAUCACUCAGAUCAAAUGUAGCUAAAUACACAAGGAAACUAAUCCAGUAUGCAAGAUGAAAGAGGAGUGAUUGGUACCUACUCCAGCGAAGAUCAGCAAACACAGUAUGAGGUUCCAAAUUCAAAUAACAACAUAAUGCUAAGCAGAGAAGUAGAAUUGCUGCCGAAAUUAUUUAAAACGAACUAAGUCAAAACUAAAUGGAGAAAUGUUAACAAAGUUGUAUGCUUCAGUAAGUCCAGUAACAGAUUCCCAAAACCACAGAGACAAAAUGUGAACAAUGGCUACAAAAGCAUCCAUAAAGAGCAACUAUGUUUAUAUAUGGAGGUGUACAAAAUAGUUAACCUUCAAAAUCGAAACAGUGUGUGUGCCAUGUAAGGCAAUUAGCCACUGCUUCUAGACUAUACAAUAUUACACCUCACAAUAAUAACUAAACCAACUAGCUCUAGCAAAAAGGCAGGAUGACCAUAUAAAGUACCCCCAGCAAAGCAUCUACGUCUGCAUCUUCAUAUCAAGGAGUUCCUGACAUAAGUAAUGAGCAAAGUGAAUUCCCAAGUCAUAAGUCCAGAAUGAGGUGAAUUCACGGACAUUAAAACAUUUACCUCAUAAAUAUGCCUCCCCCCUUAAACCCUCAAUUGCAAGCCUCAGCCGGUAAUAUUUGAUCUUCAAAGGGUCAACUUUAUCUACCGAAAUCCCAGCACUGAGAUGCUCGAUGAAUUUGACGGUCAUGAUUCCGCAAGACGUACUGUGAGACCAAUAAGUUGGGAAAUUAGAACUGCAGUUAUGUAAGAUUUGGAUAAACUGCACUAAAUUCACAAAGCUUACCCAUCUCGUUGUUGUGGCACAUCUGCAAUGCUGCAAACUGAGAAUGGCGUAAACGUCAACAUCUUCAGCCCCUUUUGCUUAACCUUUUCAACCUCAGAAUCUUCAUAAAAGUGCAUAUCGUACAGCACUCGUGCCAGCGUAUCGCUAAUAGGGUGCAGAAGUGUAACCAGCUUCGAACAUUUGGUAAAAGCAACAUAUGAGUCAUACACAGUUGCAGUAUGUCAGACGAAAUCAAUUUCGAUUGCAACCCAGUAAGACCCUUUAAGAUUAUAUGGAAUAUAGACCUUCCGGACUUUUGUCCAAGCUUGGCCAUACCCGUGUUGCCACGUACCGCGUACAAAGUAAUGUAUAUUCUGCAGCUUGCUGGGUGGAAGGUCAACGGUGUUUGAAGCAACUGCCUUCUUCGAUCCACGUUUCUUGGCAGUCGGUUUGAACGGAUCUAGAAAUUGCUGCAUAAAUUGAAAUGAAGGCAUAUUAGAAAAUCACAACCGAAAGCAAAUGAAGCAGCGAAUGUAACAUGGUAACAUGUUUACCUGCAAGCAACAAUCUGCUGUUGUCCAGUCAGUUCCAAAUACCAACGGAUGAGAGAGUUGCCUUUUCCAGAUAAGAAAGGUUGCCAUGUCCAGGUGCUGAAAGUUGACACACAUAAUAUCAGCACAAUUUCAUACAACUGUACACUUAAAAAAGGUGAGAAAACAAUUUAAUUAUCGCAAUAAAGUAGAGCUUUGUGUAUUCUUACCCUUGAGCUAAUCCAUUCCGUUUCAUCGAUAAGUCUGUAGAAAAAAUCAGCGCCCACUGAAAAUAAUUCCAGCUGCACCUCCGCACUACAAAAGGCAAACUUGCAAUGGUUACUUUUAUAGUCAUCUCAUAAUUCUGACUUUGUUGAUGACAAAAAUACACAUGUAUAUUAAAGCAAACUCUACGUUUUCUCAUUAGUCUAUGACUACAUACUAGAAUAGGAUGAAGAUUGGAAUUCAAAGGUAAAGAAUCCUAACCUGAUAUCGUUUUUCCAGGCAGUACAAAACUCUAUUACUGCCUUCACAUCUUCAAUGGGCACGGAUUUUGAUGGAUCAAAACAUGGCGGGGUUGCAGUCGCAGCCAACACACUCAUCGUCCUCUUCUUCCUCAAAGGAUCAGUAAAUGGGCUCAACAAUGUCUGCGCCGGGCGCUUCUGUCUGCACCCUUUACCUUCCACUUCUUUUUUUUCCACACUCGAACUACCUUCUUCAUCACCAGCCAUACUAACUGUGGGUAGACUUGGAGGAUUCAUCGGACCUCCCGAUGGCAUACUCUUAGUCACUUUCCAAUCUUCUAACAGAGACAACACUUUUUGGCAGAUUUCGUCACACCCGGCCACAUCUUCCGGGGUAGGCAGCUUCUCGGAUUGUGCCUGCUCAGCUGCUUCAUGCACUUGUAAGUGAGGAACUGAAGCGGCCAUUUCUGCCUCUUCGACUACCAUGGCUGCGGAAGGUUCGGCUCCAUCACCGGGAACUUGUGUUUCCAUUACCGCCGGUUCUGUAGGCGGACUAACAUGGUCAUGUAAUGGCGACAAGUGAUUGUCGCCUCCUUCAUUCAUAUGAGGACUACUGAGGUCCUCAUGUCCUUUCCCACCUUCAUUCACCCCACCAUUUCGUUUUUUCAGCUGCUCUAUCUCCACAUUAAAAUAAUGCUCCAUUAAAGCCAGGGUGUUGCGGAAAUCCUCCACACACUUUUUAUUUUUUUCGAACUCUCUUUCAACUUUCAAUGACUCCUUCCGUACCAUGUCUUCCAACUGAUGCACUCUGUUGCGAAGCGCUCGAUUUGAUAUGGCAACUUUGGCCAAUUCAUCCUUUGUCCUUUGAAAGUCACGCUUCAAAGUGCGUAACUCUCUGGACGCGACUGUACCCUGCAUUCAGUUAUAAUGCAAGUGUUACAAUAUUUUCAAAAUAUAUUGCAACAAUACAGCAGUUAUUUUCCUAUUGUAUUAUGACGUAUAUCUUGGAAAAAAAUGUAAUGCUUGCCUUAGAAGACGACGGAAGGCUAGCAGUUUCGUCAAUGUCCUUAUCUUUUUCUUCUACAGAGGCAGAAGUGCUGGUUUUUUGUUCAGCGUCAUCGCCAAACAACUGAACAAGUUCUUCAGUGUCGUCAACACUGUCACCCCAAGUCCAAUACGGCUGCUGCUUGUCGAUUACAGAUGGCCGGAGAAGUUGCACAUCAACCUGCAAUUUACACAUACAAUAUACAUAUCAGUAAACUUAUUAUAUUAUAUUUUCAUAUGCCUAACAUUAUCAUUAAAAACUUAACUAACCUCACGGUUCUCGAAUACUUGGCUCAUUAGCUCAUAAAAACACGGCGAACUAUUGCUCCUCCAAUGUAGUAAACGAGGGAUGUAGGCAUUAUCUUCGUGCACCACCAAAUGUAGUGCAGCCAACGCUGGAAAAACCUCAUAAGCCCAAAUCUGGUUUGAGGAAUAAAACGUGAGUCACUGUAAACAAAUGAAAUUUAACUUCAACAUGAAUGGAAAUUUGCUCACCUGAAGUGCAUAGGCAAAACCUUUGAGGUGGUACUCUCUUGGUCUACCAGUUGCCGUUGUUUUUGCUUUCUUUUCAGAUUUUUUUGUUUUUGCAGCUUUUUUGGGCACUUUCACUCGCUGGUAAUCUGUACAAAGUGCCCUCAGAAGUGACACAAUUGUCUUGGCAUAACACACAGCACCCCAUGGAUACUUCCCAAACUCUUCAAGGUCUUCCACCAACUUCAAAUAUCGCAUGUCAAUCUGGACAUGUUUUUCACUGCCCAACAGCACAAACACAGCAAAGUAUACAAAUCUGAGCUUCAAUACAUCGUCCGCAUCAACGCAUUUGAGGAAGGCCUUUUCUAAUUCCAAAACAUUGACAGUUUUAUAGUUGCCAAAGUACUUCCUUUUCAAUGAGCAGUUCUCAUUAGUGGGAAUCGGAAUAAAGGGAAGGUUUCCAAACCUUAGCCCUGUCACGAUGCAAAAUUGCUGCGCCGUGAAUUGGAUCACCUUAUUGCCAACGAUGAAUUUGAUCCCGUUGAGUUGGGAAACUGUCUUUGGAUCAGCUUUCCUCAGCAGCAAGCCGUGGACAAUUGGCGAAGUCCACUUGAGGUCCUCAAUCAGUAGGAGAUGCCCAAAACAACUCUCUUCAAACCUUUGUAGCUGUUGUUCACUGAAUUUCUCCUUUAUCGUGCUGAUUGCAGUCUUCGUAUGGGAUAGGGACAAUGCUUUUCCUUGGAACUUUUCUUCCUCUGCAAUCAUCAACUUCAUUUGAGCAACCAUCUUUCCCUGCAUGCCAAUAUUAUAAAAAAAAAUUCAGUCCGUUGCAAUCUAGACAAUAACAAGCAAUAAACAAUCAGCACUUAUCUACAGCCUAUUAUAGGAUAUUAAGUGAAAACAAAAAAACAAAAAAUACAGGGCAUAAACAAAACCCCAGCUAUUUACAACUGACCUACUAAUUCAAUAGCUCAAAGCCACAUCCCAAGACACCCAGUACUCUACCACUCUUGCAUAAUAUAAUAUCUAAAGACACAUCUCAACACACCAGAUAAUCAUGACACAGCUUCAGCUAGAAUGGGAAUGUGCGGUAGCACAAGCCUAAUUGAGAACAAUUCAAGACUAACGAUAGAAAUCUAUCUGACUAGAAAGAGUUUUAAAAAAACAAGAAGACAUCGGGAAAGAAUUGAUUGACUUCAAGGUAUAAUGUAAUGGAACAUCCUAUGAAUUAGUGGCAACCAUAAUAAUGACUCCACUAUGGCCCUCCUUUCAAAUGUAAGAAAAUGAAUGAAAUUGGCACCAUCCCUUCAGUUUUUUCUUAACAAAAUAAGAGAUUUGUAUGUAUUCUCUGCUUUAUCGAUAUCAAAGAUAAAUUAAUAAAUAAACCAUCAAAACUGUAUAAAAUGUUUGUUAGACAUGUACAAUUACAAAAUUAUAAGUUCUCCUCAGAAACAAAGUUCUCUAAGUACGCAAACAAGAAAAGCAAAAGCUUAAAGAGUUAGCUUAUAGCAAAAUCAAUGUCCCCAUUUCUCUAAACCACACCUGCUGGUGGUAGGUUCCCAUCUUCACUCAUUUCCCGCUUUCUUUUAAACAGACAAUGAUCAAGCACAAAAGAGCAAACUUUUAAAUAACUCAUAUUACACCACAAAUAGUUCUAAAGAAAACUUAUUCAUAUCCAAUAUGCAACCCCUAAAGUUAGUAAACAGAGUUAUAAAAAAAUAUGUCAAAUUAACAAGCAUUAUUCUCAAACAAAAAGUAUGAUAUGGUUGGGAGUUUACAAGUUCAAAAUGAUAUACACAGGUUAAUUGUCUUAGACUUUAGAUAUCAUCUUCAACAAAGAAAAUAGAUACCGAUUAGACUUGUAAGAAGGUUAAAUGCAAUGGUCAUAAAGACCCAUAGUAAGCCACCAAAUACCAAUCAAUAACUGCUAUAAAAACCAUAAUAAAACCAUAAUAAACUAAAAAUACAACAGCACUAAAAUGCCAACACAACAUCACUACAUUAGCAAUAUAGUAGCAACAAAACCACAAUACGACAUCAAUAGCAACAGCAAAACAACAGCAGUGCAAGCAUCAGUCCACAAAGAACAAACCCAUUCACUGUUUCAAACAAGGAAUCAUCAUACUAAGAUCAUUUCAGAGAAACCCCAAAACCAAUUUCAGUGAAACCCCUAAACCAAUUUCAGAGAAACCCCUAAACCAAUUUCAGAGAAACCCCUAAACCUUCAACCAAUUUCGAACAAAUCCCUGAACCAAUUUCAUAGAAAUGCAUAAACCCUAAACCAACUUCAAAGAAACCCUAAACUGUAAGAAAAUGACGAUGAACAGUACCUGUUCAAGGUGAACGAUGGAGUUGAGCUUCGAUGAACAAAUUUCGCUCGGAGAGGAAGAGAGAAGAGAGAGUCAGAGCUGAGCGACGAGAGAUUAAGGGCUGAGCGACGAGAGAGUGAGAGCUGAUCGACGAGAGAUGAGAGAGUGAGAGCAAAGUGACGACAGAGUGAAGAGAAAUUGAGAGAAGGAGCCAAGAGAGAGAGCUGAGAGAGAACUUCAGCAAAACUGAUAGAGAACUUCAGCAAAAGUGAUAUGUGUACAAUAAGGGGACAAUAAAUAUAUAUUUAUAGGUUAUAGUUCCAAAUUUUUUUAAAAAGAGUGGUAUUUUCAGUUACAAUUAUAAAAAUGGUGGCAUUUUGAGCUAUUUCCUUAUUUUUUAUUCAACAUGGACGCAGAAACUGUUGCUAAACUGCAAACUUCUUAAAAUAUUUGUCUCACUUUCUCAACCCUAUAUUUGUCUAACUUUCUAGAUCCAUGUACUGAGAUUUAUUAGGGAAAUAUUGUAGAAACUGAUUAUUUUGAAAUAUUAAAUGUGAAAAACUGAACAAAAAUUUGAUGGGUUACAUAUUUCAACUCAUUUCAGCAGCUUAGAUUUUGAAGACCUCGGAAGAGGCCAUGCAGUGAGCCUAGCUAGUGCACUGUUGAUCACUUCAGUGUCUACCGAUCUGUAAUUUUUCCAGAUUGGUUAUAUUUUCCUUUACAUAUUCUUAUAUUAUUCCCAGCUGUAAGUGUUUUACACACUUGUCUAUUAGAAAAGGGGAGACUUAUAAAUAAAUCCAAAAUGGGUACAGUAUUUAUAAAGAAUGACAAAAUUAAAGUGUUUGGGCAAUAAUGCCCUUAUUCAUUUUGAGAUUGCCUAAGGAAUAUUUUUUCUGAUUUUCAGAAGAUGCCAAAGGACCGUUGUUUGAUGAUUGCCGUAAGGAGCUAAGAAAACUUGCUUUGAUAGUUUUGGACAGAUGCAUGCUACUGUUGCUGGGAUGAUCUCUUCACGUGAAAUGAGGAUGAUGAUGCUUCUACACUACACAAUCCAACGAAUUCACAUGUCUAUUUCAGAUACAAGUAUAAACUAACAAGGCUUUAAAAUAUGGGCUGAUGCACUGUUGUUGAUGUUGCUGACACUGUUACUGUGUUGUUGAUACUGUCACUGCGUUGCUGUUGGAAAAAGCACAAGGACUUCACAUGUUGCUUUCGUCUUUUGUGGAGGAGAGAGACCUAGGACUUGCAUGUCUUAGAUAUUUAAGAUAAGGGGCUUUCGUUCCAUUUUGAAAAUACUUUGGGUGUUUUUGAAAGGUGAUUGUUUCUUUUGGGUUUCUCACUAAAUUUCGCUUUAGAAGGGAAAAUAAUAAUAAUAAUGUCAAACAAAGUAGGGUAAAUAUUCAGAUAUGCUCAUAUUAUUAUUCUUCUCCAAUAUUGAGGUAUUUAUACAAGUACAAAGAUGUGUUAACCCUAAAUAAAAUAGGAAAUAUAUCUAAAUUAUAAUAGGCAGUAAAUCUCUAUUACAAUAGGACUAAAUAAUAAUUGGUAAGUAACCAAAAUUCUAAUGAAAUAAGGAAUCAAAAUCCUAACUAAGUAAGGACUCGCCAACACUCCCCCUCAAGUUAGGGCAAACAUAUUUCGCAUGCCUAACUUGACAAGCGAGUCAUAGAACACCAUACUUGAGAAGCACCAAUUGUAGAGAAGGUCUUUUCGUCAACCACGAGUGAAACAAGUGACAAACUAAAGCAAAGUUCGCAGCGGAAACACAAGAGCGAAUCCUAAAAAAUAGGGCACAUAGCAGAACACAAAAAUCCUGGAGCACGACAGUAGAUAAGGCAGAACACAGAAACCCUGUUAGCACGGCAAUAGGUAAGGCAGAAAAAGUCAAGAGCAAAGGCAAGGUCAACAGGCGUGACCACAACGAAAACACACCAGCAAAGACAUGAGCAACAAUAUUAGCACCAUAAUAGACAUGAGCAACAAUACUGGUACCAACAACAGCAAUACAAGGCACUGGCACCAGCAAGAGCAACAAGGCAUGGACAUAACAUGCAUAAUCAAUAGUAAUCAACAUUGUCCCCAACAAGAGUCAUAAUAGGCAUGAGCAAUAACAUUGUCCCCACUAAGAGACUUAACAGGUAUGAGUAACAGUACUGGCACCAGCAAAGGGCAUAGUAGUCAGCAGCAAUAACAAUGACAAAUACUUCUAUUAUUGCAGAGACAACUUCUCUUCACUCCCCAUCUCCCCUUGAAGAGAAGGGGUCAUCGGAACCAUAAGAAAAGUGGCACUUAAGAAACAGAAGUUGACUGACGCUCAAAUGUAGAAGAAUCAGCCAUGGCAAAUAGGUAGCUGAAUUGCAGCGGAAUAGAUGAGCAGCGGUGUCACUCCCCCUCAUAUCUGAUAAUGUAUGAGAGUCGAGAUUUGGAGAAAGCAAUAUCGAAAAAUAAAGUUGCAGAACCCAAAUAAAGUUGCAUCUAUCUCCCCAUCAAAUCCGACACUGGUAAAGGGUCGAGAUUUGAAAGAGGAGAAAUUGAAAUAAUAGUAAAGAGACUCAAACAUGCAGUCUCAUGGCAGAAACAAAUGCAAGAGGGGAAGAUGGUAGCAUACGGUUGUCCCAUGAAGAAAAAACUUCAGAAAAGGAGAAUAGUAAGGGAGGAAACCUAGCAAAUCAUGAACAGAGACAAAGACAAAGAUGCUCAAACUGAGAAGCGGAAAGGCAACUCAAGAGAGCAACCGAAGAAGACAGAGGCCCGCAGAACAGUCAAAGUUAAGGCUCGGCGAGUGGUGACGAUGCUCGCGGAGGAAAGCAACGGCUCGGUGAGCGGUGAUGAGGCUCACGGAGUAAAGAGACUUGUUAUGAAGUUUCAAAGAUAGAGAAGCUGAGACAUCAAGAAAGACCAUCUGGCAUACAAAGAUGAAAAAUAAAAAUUUUGGAACAGUAGCAAAGAAGCAUGUGAAGGCUGGUGCGGUGAAAACACAUAUGAAAGGAUGAACAAAAGAAGAUGACUAUACAAGAUGAAGACCCAUGAUGGGUUAGGAAUGAGGAGUGCCAACGACUCUCAAUUUGGCAGAGGUUAUCGCAGGUUAGGAACCUGGCUCUGAUACCAUGUCAAACAAAGUAGGGUAAAUAUUCAGUUAUGCUCAGAUAUGCUCAUAUUAUUAUUUUUCUCCAAUAUGGAGAUAAUUAUACAAGUACAAAGAUGUGUUAACCCUAAAUAAAAUAGAAAAUAUAUCUAAAUUACAAUUGGAAGUAAAUCUAUAUUACAAUAGGACUAAAUAAUAAUUGGUAAGUAACUAAAAUUCUAAUGAAAUAAGGAACCAAAAUCCUAACUAAGUUAGGACUCGCCAACAAAUAAUAGUACAACUCUUAUUAGCAACAGGUUACAAACUUCUUCUACAACACACCAACAUGAAUCUAGCCCUGAUCCACUCUUUUACAUACUUGAAAACAAAACAAAACACGAAAAACAAAAAACAAGAAACAAGAUAGGGAGAAAAUGGCUACGGAGAGACUUCCUGCUAAUCAGGGGCGGCCCUGGGGUGGUGCAAGUGGCGUCACCGCACAGGGCCCCCGAUUCUUAAGGGCCCCCAAAAAAUAAUUCUUUAUAUUAUAUAUAUAUAUAUUAAUAUUAUAUGAAUCGUAUAUAAAGUAUAGCGUCUGGAUGAUAAAGAGACUCAUUAUCAUUAUCUUAGUCAUAAGAUUCAAAAUGAAUUGAUACUUUUGUUAGCUUCUGAGCUCAAAAGUGCAAUCAUUAAAAAGAUUGAAGAAGCUAAAUAUUUUUCUGUGAUUCUUGAUUGUACUCCAGAUGCUAGAAACCAAGAACAAAUGAGUUUGAUAGUAAGAUGUGUGGAUGUCUCUACUAAUUCAAUAAAGGUUGAAGAAUUCUUUUUGGAAUUUUUGAUUGUGAAUGAUACAACAGGACAAGGACUUUUUGAAGAGUUGCAAACGGUGUUGCAAAAACUUAAGCUUGAUAUUGAUAAUGUGAGAGGACAAGGCUAUGACAAUGGAUCAAAUAUGAGUGGGAAAUAUCAAGGUGUCCAAAGAAAAUUUUUGGAUGUAAAUCCUAGAGCAUUGUACACACCUUGUGGUUGUCAUAGUCUUAAUUUAACACUUUGCGAUAUUGCAAACUCUUGUGGAAAAGCAAAAGAUUUUUUUGGAAUCAUACAACGUAUUUAUACAUUGUUUGCUAAUUCUACAAAGCGGUGGAAGAUAUUGAAAGAUAAUGUUAAACACUUAACUCUGAAAUCAUUGUCAGUUACACGUUGGGAAAGUCGUAUUGAAAGUGUGAGAGCAAUAAGAUUCCAAGCUGCAGAUUUAAGAGAAGCUUUACUUCAGUUAGCAGAAAGUGACGGUGACUCCAAAAUAACAAGUGAAGCUAAUUCUUUGGCAACAUAUGAACUUGGAAAUUUUGAGUUCUUAUUGGGCAUGGUUAUUUGGUAUGAUAUAUUAGGUGGUGUCAAUGUAGUGAGCAAAAACUUACAAUCUGAAGACAUGCUUAUUGAUGUUGCUAUUGAUAAAGUGAAAGGGUUGAUUACUUUUUUUUUGAAAAGUAUAGAGAAAAUGGGUUUACAGAAGCUAUGUGUACUGCUAAAAAAAUUGCUACUGACAUGGGAAUUGACCCGGUGUUUCCUGAGAAGCGAAAAAUUCGUAGAAAAAAACAUUUUGAUGAGAAUACUUGUGAGCUAUCCCAAUCAGUUCCUGAAUCAACUGAAGAAAAGUUUAGAAUUGAUUAUUUCUUGUAUUUAGUGGACCAAGCUAUUGGUUCUUUACGAAGAAGGUUUCGACAAUAUCAAGAGUAUGAGAAUUUUUGGGUUUUUGUUUACUUCAGAGAAGUUAAAUUCAUUGGAUGAUUGCGAUUUGAAGAAUAGUUGCAGUCAUCUGGAAAGCAUUUUGAAAAAUGACAAGUUUUCUGAUGUCGAUGGGGAGGAUUUAUUUGUUGAGUUGAAAGUUUUACAAGAGCUUUUACCAAAAGUAAAUACCACAGCUACUGCAAUAUUAAAUUUCUUGAAAAGAUUAAAUUGUUUUCCAAAUGCAUUCAUUGCAUAUAGAAUCCUAUUGACUAUUCCUGUUACUGUUGCAUCUGCGGAAAGAAGUUUUUCAAAAUUAAAAUUGUUAAAAUCAUACUUGAGAUCAACUAUGUCGCAAGAAAGAUUAAAUGGACUAGCUUUGAUUUCAAUUGAAAGUGAACUUCUUGAAAAACUUGAUUAUGAACAUUUGAUUGAUGAUUUCUCUUCUAAAAAUUCAAGAAGAUCAAUUUUCAGACAUUAGUAUUGUACUAGCUGUGUUUUUUUUUUUCUUCUAGGGUAAAAGCUCUCAUAAUAAUUUUAAUUCUUCAAAUAAGACAGCAAAUACAAUGUGAUGAAUUUUGGAUAAUCAGGUAUGUUUUUGUUGUUGCUUUUGUGUUUAAUGCAAUAUAAUCUAAUUUUUUUAAUGACAUUUGUGUGCAACUACUCUUUGAUUUGUGAUUGCCAAUUUUUUUUUCUUUCUAUUAAACACAGAUUGCUUAUUGGAGGCAGCAAGAGACCUUAUAGGGGCACAAGGAGCUUAUUUUUGUACAAAACAUUUAACUUUAUCAAAUGGAAACAUUUAAAUUUUUAUGAAUUUGAUUUCUGAUUGUCAUUGCAUAUUUAUUGAUGGUGAAUUUUAGUUAUAAAAAAAAAAUUGUUUAUGACAUUAAGUUAUGGCAAAUUUUUAUAGUAUUUUCGUAUUAGAUUAUGCGAGGUCCCAAUUUAAGUUUCGCACAGGGCCCUCAAAAUCUCAGGAACGGCCCUGCUGCUAAUACUUGAUCAAUAACAGAGAUAAUAGAGCACACUGUUUGUAUGACAAUGAGUAUCAGAAGAAUAAUAGCUGCAAAGAGAGAAAUAGCUGCCCAAGGUGUGUUGAAAUACUUUUGUCUCAAAUUUGCCUUCCGUCUGUUCGUGGUCUUCUUGCAGUACUCGUUUAGUUUGCCAGCAAGAUCACCAAAAUAGUAGUUUCCGUGGUUCGGAGCAACUUUACUGCAAAGCUUGUUAAUCAUAAUGGAAACCUUAUUGUUGUCACCUAGCGUGUUUACAACAAUUCCAUUGUCAACAAGCAACUCUACAUCCUUUGGGGUGUUUACAAAUUUAUCCAGGAUGAAAACAUAAUCGCUUAUGUAUUUAUCCACGCAAUGGCCUUGUUCAAAGGCAAUGAGAUUUCUAUGUGUAAGCUGUGUAAUCAUGUAUUUCAAUUUUUGGAAUUUCCAAGGUGUUUUUCUUGAACUGUAUAUCGAAUAAGUUCUUGCUUGAUCCCACGUUAAACUUAACUCCGGCCUGGUGUAGUUUUGUCAUGCUGGGUGUACUUUGGAGCCCUCCAUUUUUUUUUCUUUUGGCAGAUGUAAAGUUCUAAUAAAAUCAACAAAAUGUAAAGGUUUUUUAGGAUCAGGAGGCAUAAAAGACUUACGGAAGGCUGGUGAGUUCUCCAAGUUUUCUAAACGCAGUGCCUGUUGGAAGAACUUGUAAGAGAGUUCAAUUAUUGAAGGCUCCCCAGUCUGAGCACCUGUGAGAUUGUAAAGAUCCUCGAGAAUGAAAAAUGGCAGCUGAUUUACGAGCAUAAGCAUGUCAGGCAAUAUAUUUUGUAGCACCCAUGGUUUUUUAAAUAUCCAAGCAUCAUCAUCCUGCAAUUUUUCUUCCUGAAAUUUUUCUUCGGAUUUAUUCCUCAACAAUAGCUCAAUGACAAAGGCGGCAUCAACUAGAAUGAUAUUCACAAAAGUAGCAAUGUUAAACUUCUUAGGGCUAGUUUGGCGGCGUUGUGCUUUUAAAAAAAUAUGCUUCUGCUGUGCUGUGAAAAUAAUUAGCUGUGAAAAAAAGCUACUAGGCGUUUGGUAAACUGUUUUUGAAAAACUGCUGUGAGUAGUCAAAGUGUUUGGUAAAUUUUUAUCAGAAGUACUUUUAGUGUGUAUAAUGACCAAAAAGGACAUGAUGAUGAAAUUGUUUGUUAUUUUCUUCAUUCUUUUUCUACUUUAAAAAAAAAAAAAACCCAAUUUCACUACAUAAAUUUUUAUUCUUUUUUAAUUCACACCUUUUUAUCAAAAAAUUUAAUCUACAAUUAACAUACAUAUUUUACCAUAAAUUAUAAAUUACUAUUAUAACAAAAGUAAUUCUAAAUAUUGUUAUAUUAAUAUGGGCUUCGGACAUGACAAAAAUACAAAAAUUGUUCAAUUUUAAAAUGCCCCAAUAGAUCACUACAAUAUAAAAGAAGCUAAUUAGAUGCAUUCAUUAAACUUGUAGCGAUGCUAUUUCUUAAUGCAUUCAUUAGCUUCUUUUUUUGGUUUCCAAUGGUUCUCUAACAAUUUUAACUAAAAAAACAACCAUAAUGCUUUGUGAACAAUAAAUUCAAGUCCAAAUCUGCUAUUGCCCACACCAUACAUAUAUACAUAAUUGUUCCUUUCAUAAAACUUGAAGAUUCAAUAGUAAUUACACAGUUUACCAAUCUUGAUUCCAACUAUAUCCAUAAAAUUAAACUAUAAUUAGAAAUAGAGGAGCUACAUGUGAUUACUCAUAAAUGCUUCCCACUCUCAUCAUCAUCAUCAUCAUCAUCUUCCUCCUCUGUACUUUGCCUUUCACAAAUGGACAAGACCAGAUGGUAACGUACACGACAUGGUCCACAUAUAGAUAAAUUUUGGGUUCACUGGAGAACAUAAAAGAGUUUUUACACGAAUACAAAGUUAGUUAAGUAGUGAAUAAAGUAAAACUAUUCUGUACAAUUCUAGCUGAUGCAGUCCAAAAAGAAUAUAUGUCUAAUAACUUAAAUAACAAUAAAGAGAAACAAAAGCCUCAUGAAAAAUGCUAGAGUAAAAGUUACAUAACUGAAUCGAUGGACAGAGAACUCCACAGGCAGAGAAACAGCAACAAAAAUUGUCAAAACAGUAGCAAGACCAUGUUGGAGUCAAGGCCAAAGAUCAUAUUUCCUGUGUAUCUUCUUCCAUUCUGAAUUAUUCUCGUAUUCAAAUACUGUAACUCUAUUUCAAGUGCACCCCAAAAUACUUAUCUAAGGCCAGUACAUAGGACUUCAUAAAGGGUGCGAUAAAAAAUAUUGCCCCUUAAUUGAUAAACAGAACCAAGAUCCCAACAGCACACCAAAACUAUACCAACCACACCUACAUAAUAUGGACAGAAAAUCCUGUUGUUCCGAUCUCUAACCACACCAAUGACAUUCAUUAGGAAAAUACAAAAGAUGGGUACCCUGCAUUUCUAACAUUUAAGAUAAAAUUCACUGCCAGCUAAUCACAAAUUUGAAAAGAUGGCAAGAAAAUUGGCUAAGCUUUAACAAAAACCAGAGCAGUCCUUGCAUAGACCUGACUUUUUGCUCCAAGCUUUAGCAGAUCACUUACUGGUAGAGAGCAGAGAACAUGUAUGUGAAUAUCUGAAGUUGGAAGGGUAAGCCAUCACAAACACCAAGAGAUCUGAUUCUCAUCUCUUGUUACAACAACAAAUCACAAACACCAAUACAUCUGAUUCAGAAUCUCAUAAACAAUGGAGGAACAAACACAUAUUCACACACAUAUAAAUCCCUAAACAGAAAAAAUAAAAAAUAAAAAAAAAACCAUGAAAGUCAUAGGAGAAUCAAAUUGAUUUGGGCCAAAAUUGCCUAAAAAGAAAACACUCCUAAAUAAACUUCAAUUCACUUUUAAAAACAGUAAAACAUGAUUGAAUCAUUCUUUAAAACAAUUCCCUAAUAUACAUGCAUGAUAAUGACAUCAUUUACCCCUGAAUCAAAUGCCUUUCACUGGUCAAGCCACAAGUCUGUGUUUUGGGAAUUGCUGAGCUGCAUCAAUCCUGCCAAUGUAAAUUCUGCCCCUAGGCUCUCUCAAAGUGCGUUUACAACCUAUGCUAACAUAUACUAGAGUUUGUUUUAGUAUCUAGAAAAUGCCAACACUAAUUUCGUAACACGUAGAAAUUGUUACAUAUUGGAAGUUUUUAUCAUUUUUUCUUCCAGUCUCUCCACCACUCACUAAUACAGAUUACUCAUGUGAUGAGUUUACAAAACAUAUUUCUCUACUCCCACAAAGACCAUACUUUUUCUCAAAAGACUAUAUCACUUUAUCUCUAUCUUUGUGAAAUGUAAAAAGUUGAAACUUUAAUGUCAAACCUCGACAAAAGAUGAACAUCCAUCAUCAAUUACAUUGAAUUUGAAUUUGUUGAACUUAAGUAGUUUUACUUCUCUGUCAGCGUUUGAUGACUUGAUUUGUUAUUUACUUCUUCUUUUUUCCUUGGAAAUGUGUUCCAUCAACGUGAGGAAGAAAAAUAUGCACAAAUUAAUAUAUUUAAUAGAAGCAAAAAUUAAUAUUUACAAAAAUAUGCACAAAUCAAGUAAAAUUAAUAAAGCAUAAAUUGGAAAGGGAAAAUAUGUAGAGGAUGCAUUGUAGGAUUGCUCAUGCCAAUAAUUGUACCCUCUAAAUAUAUAGGGACAUAUUUUUUUUUGUUUUCAUGACAUGUGGUCCUAAAAUUAUUGUUCUUAGCGGGCUCUCCACCCCUCUCGACUGAAAACCUAUUGUGUAAAUCUUCAAUCCUGAAUGAUGCACCUAAAACUCAUGUUGCAAUACACAUCCACCCAUUCUCAGGCCAAUUAUUACUCCUAGUGGGCUCUCCACCCCCUCUCAAAUUUAAGUGGUCCAUUAUUAUUAACCGUAUAUUUUAUGGACCAGCCAGCUGUGAGGUUUUAUCUCAAAAACCUUUCUCCCACAUGCCACAAUUUAUGUCUGAUACAUCACAUCAUGCCAGUUGUCUCAAAUGAAUUUAAGUGAGUGAGGCAGUGUUACUUCUGGGUACCCCUCAUUAUUCGUCUAUAAAUUGGUGAAGCCAGUUGCUACUGUUACCAUAAGAGCCAGCUCCGACUUUCAAAAUAAAAAUUCCAACAACGGUCUUAGUGCCUUCAAUUGUAUGAGUCAUUGAACAUGCAAAUGAAUAAAAUAUGAAUGAUAAAAGUGUUUGAUAAAUCACCAAGUUAUAGAACACUUGAUGAUUUAUCUCAAAUAAAAAUUCAGCUUUCUAAAGUUUGUGAAUUGAAAAUAUAAUCGUUAAAGCUCUCUAAACAAAGAAGACGAAAGUCUUAUUUUAUAGAAUUUUUCUUUACAAGAAAGAAAACAUGUUGAAAACCAAAUCUCCAAUUUCCAAGGCUUGACAGAAAAUCAAAAAAAUAUCUUUCCUAUUCUAGAGAUUGGUCACAUGUAGUUCAACCAAUAGGAAAUGAGAUAUUUAAGAAAGCAAGAUUUUGAUCAAUACCAAUAUCAAAUGAAUUCUUAUACGCCUAGUCAACUAUUAAGGGUAUCUUGACUCCUUGAUAUUGUGAUAUGAUUGAAACAUGAUUUCCAUGUUAGAAAAUUAAGGGGAUGUUAAAACAUGAAAGUAAUAGGAGAAUCAAAUUGAUUUGGACUAAAAUUGCCUAAAAAGAAAACACUCUUAAAUAAACUUCAAUUCACUUUUAAAAACAGUAAAACAUGAUUGAAUCAUUUUUUAAAACAAUUCCCUAAUAUACAUGCAUGAUAAUGACAUCACUUACCCCUAAAUCAAAUUGUCACGCCCCGGACCUGGGGGUCAGUGGAAACCCCACGUUCGGUGCGUGAGAAAAUAAAAAGUAAAAUAAAAUAAAAAGAAUGCCGAAACAAGGGUUUAAAAUAAACUUCUCUUAUAAAAAUAACUCCAAAAUCUUACAACUUUACAAGAAAUAAAUAAAGCCCUAUCAUUCUUAUCUAAUUCAGCCUCAACUGGUUUAGUCCUUGUCUUGCCCACUAAUUCAUCUAAAAAAUGAAGAGUGUUGCUAAACGAACCCUAAAAUUAAUUGAGUACACCCUACUACCAAACGAUUUAUUGAAUUUGUCACAUCUCGGGAUCAACUCCGCCGUAGCACGAUAUUGUUCGCUUUGGGCCCUCCCUCUCUGGCUCGCAUGGUUUUGUUUCUGGGAACUCACGAGUAACUUCCCAGUGGGUCACCAAUCCUGGGAUUGCUCUAGCCCACAACUCGCUUAACUUCGGAGUUCCUACGACUCCGAAGCCUGUGAGCUCCCAAAAGGUCUCGUGCUAGAUGGAUGCGGGUGUGCACAUAUAAGGCACAUCACCCCCUCUCCGUUGGUUGAUGUGGGAUCUUAUAGAAUUACUAAUUUAUCCUAAUAUAAAAUGACCAAAGAAGAUAAAAUAAUAUUGGUAUCUAUUGCUUUGAAUCCAUGCCUUCAAACAAAUUGACUUAAUUUUUAACAAACAACACGGAGUCCAGGAGAAGUGUAUUGAUCCAAGUUGAUUUUUGUAUGCGUAAAACUUAAACAAUCAAUAACACAAAGCAGUUCAUGCUGAAAUAUUGGAAACCCACACCCAAAGAGUUCUCCGCUGCGAGGUUGAAGGCAGGAGAGAUGGGUGACAGAUUUUACUUCCACUGCGAAGUUGGAGGCUAGGAGAGUCUGUGACUGCCAUGGUUGAGGGAGAAGAUGCGUUCAAAAUGCCUAUUGAUAUUUUACAUUAUUGGCUUUUUUCAAAAGUGAAAGUUUUUUUAUGGGUAAAACCUAAAUUUACUUUUUCUAUACAAGUUAACAGUGUUUGUGUAUUGUGAAAAGGUGGAGAGACGUGUCAAAAUUUUAGACAAAGGACAGGAGGAGAUAGGGAAUUUGGGGACAGCAGAUCUCAACUCCCUUGAGACCCUAUUCUCUACGCCACCCCUCCCCCUCAACAACCCUAGUCACCAUUUCUCCUUCAACUCCAACGGCAACUCAUUAAAACCCAAUUCUCAAAUGCAACAAUCUAAUCCCAAUCCCAAUUCAGAUGUUUCUAAAAAACCCAUUGUCGUGGUGGAGAACUGCAAUUCCAGGUGGUGGUGGUGGUACCACAUGGGAGAGAGAAAAAAGAAGAAGAAGAAGCAGGAGAGAGAGAGUUUUUUAUUUUAUUAUUAUUUUACUGUAAUUUUUUAAUUUAAAUAAUUAAAAAAAUUAAAAGUUAAAGAGGAUGUACCAUGGGUAUUUUUGGUAGUUAAAUAAGGUGUACUUAGGGUCAGUUUGGCAUUGCUGUGCUGUGAAAAUAAUAGCUGUCAGAUUUGCUGUGAGAGAAAUCAGCUGUGAGAGAAAUCAGUUUGGCGUUUGAUAAAAUUUUUGUUAAAAGUGUGUUGAUAUUGAUUUUAUGCUUAAUCCGAAAAUGAUUGCUGCAUAAUCAUUAAACCCAGCGCCUCUUCGAAACUGAUUCCUAUAUAAUCAGAAAAUGAAAGCACCUCAUUAGCUGCUUUCCUUUAUAGCUUUCUCUCACAGCAAUUUUUAACAAUAAGUGAUUUUCUCACAGUUUACCAAACGGGUUGGGCUUCUCAAAAUUUUUUAAAAAUCACUUAUUACCCCAAAUAAGCAAUACCAAACGGGCACUUAGUUAAUUUUACAUUUUAAUUUAAACAUUAGGGUGUACUCAGUUAAUUUUAGGGUUCGUUCAGCAGCACUCAAAAUUAAACAAGGUGAGGGAUGAGCAAGUAGGGACAUGAGACAUUGCCACAGUAGAUUGAUAUAACUAAAUAUUAUUAUAAACAUAGAAAUAUAUAAGUAUUAUUAUAAUAGGAUUCAUAAUAAUUAAUAUAAAAGUAUAACAACAAUAUUUACAUUUAUGUACCAAGAUAAUUACACAUAUAAAUAUAACCAAUAUAUAUUUUUAUAUAUUUUAAAAUAUAAGUCUUUACGUAAAUGCCUUUCACGGGUCAAGCCACAAGUCUGUGUUUUGGGGAUUGCUGAGCUGCAUCAAUCCUGCCAAUGUCAAUUCUGCCCCUGAGCUCUCUCAAAGCACGUUUAAAACCUAUGCUAACAUAUACUAGAGUUUAUGCUGUAUCUAGAAAAUGCCAACACUAAUUUCGUAACACGUAGAAAUUGUUAGAGAUUGGAAGUUUUUAUCAUUUUUUCUUCCAGUCUCUCCACUACUUAUUAAUACAGAUUACUCAUGUGAUGAGUUUACAAAACCUAUUUCUCUACUCUCGCAAAGACUAAACUUCUUCUCAAAAGACUAGAUCACUUUACCUCUAUCUCUGUGAAAUGUAAAAAGUUGAAACUUUAAUGUCAAACCUCGACAAAGUGUUCUACUUUACAAACUUCUUGUGUCUACCAAUUUGUACUAAAAUUAAUUUCUCUACAGUGCUCAGAUUCAUCAUAUGUGUGUCCUUAAUUUUAGUGGAAAUUGGAAGUUUCCAUAAUUUUUGCUUUAAGUCACUCUUCUGAAGGAAGUUGAGGUUCCACUUCAUAAUCCAAAAUGUCAGGUUGACUUAUGGCAAACAAUGUAAAUAUGUAGGAGUACUAUGACCUUUUAUAGCAUUUUUAGUUUGAAUUUGGGUUUUAUACAUAGAUUUCAAAAUUAAUAGGUUGAUGCCUAGGAAAUAGAAAUUGUAAGGGCCUAUAUUAGAGUAGCCCUCUUAAAAAUAAUAUUAAUUAAUGAAUAUUUGUUCUUCUUGUUGUUUUGAAGUAGUGGUGGGAGGCAGACCAACAAAAAAAAAAUAUAGUGAAGGCUUAUAAGAGCAUUUACAAUCAUGCUCCCUAUUUUUUAGUUAAAAUUUAGCUAAAAAUAGAAAAAAAGUUAUUAUAGGAGCUCUUUAUAAAGCUCCUUUAUAAAAUUUGAACUCCAAUCAUACUCCCUAGUUUAGGGAGUCAAAAAUACUAUAGUUAUUUUUUAAUUCAAUUUGAUUUUGGUUAAUCUCUAUAAAUAUGAAAAAAUAGUUAGCAUUAAUUAAAAGUUUAAACUAUGCAUAAAACAAAGAAACAUUAAAUUAUAGGGAGCCACUAUGAGUCAUUACUCUCUCCUCAGAUUUAGGAGCUCCUAAAGGUCUCCCUAUUUUAUGAGGUGGAUAAGGAGCAUGGUUGGAGUUGUAUUUCUUCAAUUUCCUCCCUAAAAUUUGUCUAAGGAUGUGGUUUAGGGAGCCCAUUGUGAAUGCUCUAACUCUGGUAAAACACGAGUGACAUGGACAACAUAUGUUACGUCGUACUGAAGAUUUUUGGGUUUCUUUAAUUGGUUAAGUAGCAUCCACACAGCUUCCUAAAUCAUCUCCUUAGACAAAUUUUAGGGAGGAAUUGGAAAAGUACAACUCCAACUAUGCUCCCUAUCCACCAACUAAAAUAGGGAGACUUCUAGGAGCUCCUAAAUCUGAUGAGAGAGAAAGGACUCUUAAUGACUCCCUAUAAUUUAAUGUUGCUUUAUAUUAUUUUGUAUACAGACGGGUCAAUUAUAUUAAAUUAAAAAAUAAUUAAAGUAUUUAUGACUCUCUAAACUAGUGAGCAUAAUUGUAGAUCAUCUUAUAUACCUUAAUUUGAAGAUUCUUUAUUUGGGUUUCUUUCAAGACUUAUCACCUUAGCCACGCCACCUACACGUCUGCAAGCUUUCCUAACAAGGAAGGGGAGGCUGCGCAAUACUUAUCACCUUAGCCACACUACACCAAAUUGACGUCUGCAAGCUUUCGUAAUCUAACAAGGAAGGGGAGGCUGCGCAAUACUUAUCACCUUAGCCACACCAACACCACAAGACCAAUAUGUGUAGUCCAGGAGGCUUUCCCAUUUUAAUAUAUAUUAUCAAAUAAAAUAAAAAUCAAUCUAUUAUCAUAUAUAUUAUAAAAUAAAGAUUAUUGCUCCAUCCUCCAUGCACUUGCAUGCCUCUUACAAAGUGUGAAGUAGAUUUUGUGUGCUCCAAGUCAUUGACGAGAGCUGUAACAUGGUUAGCUGGAUUUAUAAGAUCUUUUCUUUUCUGGGAAUUUUCUGAAUCAAGAAAAAUUAAGUAAAAUUAAUAAAGCAUAAAUUAGAAAGGAAAAAUAUCUAGAGGAUGCAUUGUAGGAUUGCACAUGCCAAUAAUUGUAUCCUCUAAAUAUAUAGGGACAUAUUUUUUUGUUUUCAUGACAUGUGGCCCUAAAAUUAUUGUUCCUAGCGGGCUCUCCACCCCCUCUCGAUUGAAAACUAAUUGUGUAAAUCUUCAAUCUUGAAUGAUGCACCUAAAACUCAAGUGUCCCAGGCCAAUUAUUGCUCUCAUACCACUUGUUGUAAUAAACAUCCAUCCAUUCUAAAGGAAAGAUAACCAUCGAUAUUAUCUCAAAUUUAACCACUUAAGUUCAUUAUGAUUAACUAUGUAUCUUAUGGACCAAUCCAAUCAUGAGGUUUUAUACCCAAUUAGAUCGACUAAUACAAAGUUCACACGUGGAUUGAAAAGCGCUAUCAGUAGGGGAGUGUUCGGCACCCUUUACUGCCGAACGCAACACAAGACCCCUUGCAUGCCUUCACUAAGUUGAGCCUAUCUAUUUUUUAGCAUUAACAAUAUAUAUAGAUUGAAAAAAUAAAAUAAAAAUCAAUCUAUUAUCAUAUAAAAUAAAUAUUAUUGCUCCAUCCUCCAUACACUUGCAUGCCCUCUUACAAAGUGUGAAGUAGAUUUUUUGUGCUCCAACUCAUUGACUAGGGCUGAAACAUGGUUAGUUGGAUUUAUAAGAUCUUUUCUUUUCUGGGAAUUUUCUGAAGCACGGAAAAUCAAAUAAAAUUAAUAAAGCAGAAACUGUACCCUUUAAUUAUAUAUGGACGUAUGUUUUUUUGUUUUCAAGUCUUAGAUGACAUGGGGACCUAAAAUUAUUGCUCCUAGUGGACUCUCGACCCCUCUCAAAUUUAAGUGGUCCAUUAUUAUUAACCACAUAUUUUAUGGACCAUGCAGCUGUGAGGUUUUAUCUCAAAAACCUUCGGUACAUUUCUCCCACAUGCCACAAUUGUAUAUUCACAAUUACGGCUGUUACGUCACAUCAUGCCACUUGCCUCACAUGCAACAAGUCUGUGUUUUGGGGAUUGCCGAGCUGCAUCAAUUCUGCCAAUGUCAAUUCUGCCCCUGGACUCUCUCAAAGCACAUUUAAAACCUAUGCGAACAUAUAUUAGAGUUUAUGAUGUAUGUAUCUAGAAAAUGCCAACACUAAUUUCGUAACAUGUAAAAAUUAUUAGAGAUUGGAAGUUUUUAUCAUUUUUUCUUCCAGUCUCUCCACCACUUAUUAAUACAGAUUACUCAUGUGAUGAGUUUACAAAACCUAUUUCUCUACUCUCGCAAAGACUAAACUUCUUCUCAAAAGACUAGAUCACUUUACCUCUAUCUCUGUGAAAUGUAAAAAGUUGAAACUUUAAUGUCAAACCUCGACAAAGUGUUCUACUUUACAAACUUCUUGUGUCUACCAAUUUGUACUAAAAUUAAUUUAUCUACGGUGCUCAGCUUCAUCGUAUGUGUGUCCUUAAUUUUAGUGGAAAUUGGAAGUUUCCAUAAUUUUUGCUUUAAGUCACUCUUCUGAAGGAAGUUGAGGUUCCACUCCAUAAUCCCAAAUGUCAGGUUGACUUAUGGCAAACAAUGUAAAUAUGUAGGAGUACUAUGACCUUUUAUAGCAUUUUUAGUUUGAAUUUGGGUUUUAUACAUAGAUUUCAAAAUUAAUAGGUUGAUGCCUAGGAAAUAGAAAUUGUAAGGGCCUAUAUUAGAGUAGCCCUCUUAAAAAUAAUAUUAAUUAAUGAAUAUUUGUUCUUCUUGUUGUUUUGAAGUAGUGGUGGGAGGCAGACCAACAAAAAAAAUAUAGUGAAGGCUUAUAAGAGCAUUUACAAUCAUGCUCCCUAUUUUUUAGUUAAAAUUUAGCUAAAAAUAGAAAAAAGUUAUUAUAGGAGCUCUUUAUAAAAUUUGAAUUCCAAUCGUACUCCCUAAUUUAGGGAGUCAUAAAUAUUAUAGUUAUUUUUUAAUUCAAUUUGAUUUUGGUUAAUCUCUAUAAAUAAAUAAAAAUAUGAAAAAAUAGUUAGCAUUAAUUAAAAGUUUAAACUAUGCAUAAAACAAAGAAACAUUAAAUUAUAGGGAGCCACUAUGCCAAUAAUUGUAUCCUCUAAAUAUAUAGGGACAUAUUUUUUUUGUUUUCAUGACAUGUGGCCCUAAAAUUAUUGUUCCUAGCGGGCUCUCCAACCCCUCUCGAUUGAAAACCAAUUGUGUAAAUCUUCAAUCUUGAAUGAUGCACCUAAAACUCAAGUGUCCCAGGCCAAUUAUUGCUCUCAUACCACGUGUUGUAAUAAACAUCCAUCCAUUCUAAAGGAAAGAUAACCAUCGAUAUUAUCUCAAAUUUAACCACUUAAGUUCAUUAUGAUUAACUAUGUAUCUUAUGAACCAAUCCAAUCGUGAGGUUUUAUACCCAAUUAGAUCGACCAAUACAAAGUUCACACGUGGAUUGAAAAGCACUAUCAAUAGGGGAGUGUUCGGCACCCUUUACUGCCGAGCGCAACACAAGAUCCCUUGCAUGCCCUCACUAAGUUGAGCCCAACUAUUUUUUAGCAUUAACAAUAUAUAUAGAUUGAAAAAAUAAAAUAAAAAUCAAUCUAUUAUCAUAUAUUUUAUAAAAUACAUAUUAUUGCUCCAUCCUCCAUACACUUGCAUGCCCUCUUACAAAGUGUGAAGUAGAUUUUUUGUGCUCCAACUCAUUGACUAGGGCUGAAACAUGGUUAGUUAGAUUUAUAAGAUCUUUUGUUUUUUGGGAAUUUUCUGAAGCAAGGAAAAUCAAAUAAAAUUAAUAAAGCAGAAACUGUACCCUUUAAUUAUAUAUGGACAUAUGUUUUUUUGUUUUUUUGCUCUCGACCCCUCUCAAAUUUAAGUGGUCCAUUAUUGUUAACCACAUAUUUUAUGGACCAUCCAGCUUCGGUACAUUUCAAAAAGCUUCGGUACAUUUCUCCCACAUGACACAAUUGUAUAUUCACAAUUACUUCUGGGUACCCCUCAUCAGUCGUCUAUAAAAUGGUGAAGCCAGUUGCUACUGUUACCAUAAGAGCCAGCUCCGACUUUCUUUAAUUUCUUGCUACAUCUGUUGCUAAGUUAAUUUCAGUCCUAAUGGGGUUUCAUCUCCCACUCAUCUUUGCUAUUCUCAGUGUAAGCUCUGCAAUUUGAUUAACUUUUCCAUUCUCUCUCAUUGUACUCUAUAUAUAUAAAUGAAAGUUUUGUGUUCCUAUAAUUCUCUCCGAUUUUAUUUAGUACGUACUUAAGUGUCGUCCACUAAUUAAUUACACUUUGUGAGAUUUGAUUUUAAUUAGAGUUCGAAUUAAUGUUGCAGCUAGCAGCGGUUGCACUGGCAAACAAUGCUGCUCAACCAGCACCUCAACUUUACUGGAACUCCGUCCUGCCAAACACACAGAUGCCAAGAUCUAUCAGUGAACUUCUGCAUCCUGGUUUGUGUUCAGCUCUUUAUAAUCUUAGAUAUCUCUUCUACCUGCCAUUUUACUAAAAUAUGUUCGACCACAUAUUUAUCAGCUAACUACUGUGAUUACAAGAAUGACACUUAUUUUCCAAUAUAAUUUGCAGACUCCACAAAUGAAGAAAAGAGCAAACCUGAAAUUUUCCCAUUGCAGGGCAAUAGAGUUUACACUCAAAGCCAUUAUAAAAAACGUCCUCCUCCUCCAUCUGACGAGGGCAAACCUGAAACUUUCCCAUUGGGCAAUAGCCAUUACACUCAAACCCGUUAUAAAAAACGUCCUCCUCCUCCAUCUGACGAGGGCAAACCUGAAAAUUUCCCAUUGGGCAAUAGCCAUUACACUCAAACCCGUUAUAAAAAACGUCCUCCUCCUCCAUCCGACGAGGGCAAACCUGAAAAUUUCCCAUUGGCCAAUAGCUUUUACACUCAAACCCGUUAUAAAAAACGUCCUCCUCCUCCAUCUGACGAGGGCAAACCUGAAAAUUUCCCAUUGGCCAAUAGCUUUUACACUCAAAGCCAUUAUAAAAAACGUCCUCCUCCUCCAUCUGACGAGGGCAAACCUGAAAAUUUCCCAUUGGCACGUUCUCCUCCAUCUGACAGUCAACUAAAGCAUUACAAAGACUUAGCUAUUUUCUUCUUCGAGAAGGACAUGCGCCCGGGCACAACUAUGAAGUUCCAAUUCCCUAGAAAUUCAAACACGGCUACUUUCCUGCCACGCGAAAGUGCUCAAUCGAUCCCCUUCUCCUCUAAGAAACUACCAGAAAUUUUCAACCAUUUUUCAGUGAAGCCAACAUCUGAGGAAGCCAAAACAAUUAAGCAAACAAUCGAAGAGUGUGAAGCUCCAGGCCUUAAGGGAGAGGAAAAAUAUUGCGCCACAUCUUUAGAAUCAAUGGUUGAUUUUAGCACUUCGAAGCUUGGAACAAGAAACGUUGAAGCAAUCUCAACGGAGGUAUUGGAAGAAGGAGCCACCAAGUACAUGCACAACUAUACAACAAUGCCGGGACUGAAGAAGUUGGAAGGUGACAAAGUCGUUGUGUGUCAUAAGGAGAACUAUCCCUAUGCUGUGUUUCUCUGCCAUGCAAUAAAACAAACAGAAGCUUAUGUUCUCUCCCUGAAAGCCGAUGAUGGGAUGAAGGUGAAAGCAGUAACCAUCUGCCAUCUAGACACAUCAGAAUGGGACCCAGAGCAUUUGUCCUUCCAAAUCCUCAACGUUAAGCCCGGAACCACUCCCAUCUGCCAUUUCCUUACCACUGAUGCUAUUGCCUGGGUUCCAAAACACAAAUCUGCAUGAUCAUCACUUAGCACUGUACGUGUAAUAAGCUUGGUCGGGUUGCACCCUAGGCCUGCAUAAUUAUCUCCCUACUUAUUUCUGCCUCUUCAUCAUGCGGUGUAAGAUAUAUGAUGAGAUGAAGUUUUCUCUUGUAACUAUGUAGACUACUUCAACUUGUACUCAUAAUAAAGCACGCUGUUGGGGGGUUCUACUUAAUUUCGUUCUCUCCAAUGUUUGAGUGUUGAAUUGUUACGUUGGAAUAGGCUGCUAAUGCAUGUAGUUAGAGAAGCCUUCAUUUAUAUCAAAGUCCUCAAACUAUCAAGAAUUAAUGUAUCCAGAAACAUAUACCAAGACGCAAAACAACAUAUUUUCCAUUCUCUGUCUGUAACACCAAAGCAAACUUCCUUUAUCACAUCAUUUAAAGGAUCAAAUUCCAGUACUAAUCUAAUCCAUCAUGUAAAGCAUACAAGUGCCUACCUAAAUUUGUCCAUUGGAUAUAUAUGUCACUUUUUAUUUUUUGAUAGAGAUAUAAAUGUUGAAAAAAUUAGAGUACACAACUCUUAUAGACACUACUACGAUUUACUAUUUGCGCGACGGAAGUUUGCGCGACGAACAUUGUUUCGUCGCGCAAAAAGCACUAUUGCGACGAAAAAAAAAUACCGUAGCGCAAACAACAUAACACAAGCGCGACAAACAGUUUCGUCGCGCAAACAAUCUAUGCGCGACCAAUAUUAAUUUCGUCGCGCAAAGGUAGGGGAAAAAAACCCGGUUUUUUUUUUUUGGCGCCAUAAUCUUGCGCGACAACAACAAUCGUCGCGCAUGACAAUAUUGCGCGACAAUUCAAAGAAUUCGUCAGGUAAAGAUGGACAGAAAAUUGUCUCAUUUUUUUGGCGGUAAAAAACUUUGCGCGACGAAAUUUUUCGUCUCAAAAGACAACUUAGCGCGACGGAAAUAUGUACCGUCGCGUAAAAAAACGAGGGAUACUUAUUUUUGGCGCCAAAAUGCAGGGUGGAUAAAAAAAAUUUUGCGCGACGGAAUUACCUUCGUCGCGUAAAGUGUAAUGCCGGUGCUUUCUUGCGCGACGAAAUAAAUAAUUUGCGCGACGUAAUUUAAACCUUGCGCGACGAAAAGUAUUAUUUGCGCGACGAAAUUUUGUGCGACGAAUAAUAUGUUUCGUCGCACAAAAAAGCAGAUGUCGACAGGUAAUUGCGCGACGGAAAUGUUGUUUUGUGCGAUGGAAAAGUGGGUUUUCGCGACGGCAUUUUGCGCGACGGAUAUUGGUGUUCGUCGCGCAAAGUCCUUCUUCUUCAUAUUAGUAUCUGCCAUUGCAGAGGCAGAAUGCAGAAAUUGCAUUCUGCCUCUCUCUCACUCUCCCUGCCGCUGCUCUGCUGUGAAUUCAAUACGUUCAUUGGGUAUGUAUUUUUUGUCGUUAGUUUAAAUGUAUUAAUGUAAAUUCGUAGUAACGCUAUUAAUUUUGUUAUCGUUAGGGAUAUUUGUGAUUAGUGAUUGGUGGAGAACGAUUGAGAAGGUAUGUUAUUGUAAAAGUUUGUUUGUUAUGUUUGUAAUUUUUUUGUGAAGUUAUAUGUAUAUAAUGUUGUGAAAUUGUGCGUGACAUAGCACAAUGUGUUGUGAUGUACGAAGUUAAUUGAAAUUAACUUCGUACUUUUAUUUUUAUGUUUAGUAACACGUAGUUUCCCGUUCGAGAUUAGUUGGAUUUCGUGCAUGGAUGAGUAAUGCAUGACUGCGGUCCAAUUAAUUCUUGAAUUGUCCCAUUAUUUGGACAGUUUGGUAAUGCAUAGUGUUGUCACAUAAUCUUCGGCUACAGGAUUAGGUUUCGAUUGUGGAGAUUUCGGUGUCAUCUCGGUACGUUCUUCGAGUGGUACGUAGGUAUUUAUACCUAUGCCCACUUCAAGAACUGUGUCGAGAUGCUGCCGAAAUUAAUCCACGUCGAAAUCUAAUCUCAUGUAGCCGUAGGUUACGUGACAGGACUAUGCAUUCCCGAAUGGGAUAGGGCCCUUACCGGAGGCAUAAGGUGACAUUAUAACUUCGUAUGAAGUUGUUGUGAUUGUUGUGUCGUGAUUGUGGUUUCAUGAAUUAUGAGCAGAAGGUGGAUACAUAACCCGAAUAGAUGCGCAGACGAAUACUUGGAUGGAAUCGAGGAUUUUAUUGAGUUUGCACAUAGACACAACCCGGGUGCAAGUAGAAUCCGUUGUCCUUGUAGGAGGUGUAACAACACGUUGUGGGAGACAAUUGAAAAUGUUGGAUUUCAUUUAGUAAGGAAUGGAAUGAUUGAAACAUAUAGCAUUUGGAACCUUCACGGCGAACAUGUAGGCCAUGCUUCGUCUUCAAAUGCCCCAAGAGUGGACAAUGUUGAACCUAUUGUGGAUCCUAAUGAUCAAGUCAUGGGUAUUAUACAGGAUGCUUUUCCAUUCGCAUCGACCAACAUCAAUCAGGAAGGGGAAGAUAACGUGCCUACACCAAUAGACAGUGCGGAGUUUGAACAGUAUGAAAAACUGUUAAAAAAUGCCAACCAAGAGUUAUACCCGGGGUACGAGAGCUUUUCCGUUCUCACUUCUAUUGUGGAGCUAAUGCACGGAAAAAUAAAGUAUCGUAUGUCGAACUUGUGUUUCGAUUACUUUUUGGGGGUUUUCAAGAGAAUGCUUCCGACGGAUAAUUAUUUGCCGAAAGACCAGAAACAUGCACAGAAGGUGUUGCAUGGUCUUGGAUUGGGUUAUGAAAAAAUCCACGCUUGCAAAAACAAUUGCAUGUUAUUCUACAAAGAGCAUGAAACGUUGGAUACAUGCCCUAUAUGCAAUGAGUCGAGGUUCAAAAUGACAUCCCAGAAUAGAACGACUAAGAUACCACAAAAAGUCAUGCGUUAUCUGCCCCUUAAACCUGGGUUGCAGCGAUUGUAUAUGUCGACGCAUACUGCCACAGACAUGAGAUGGCAUAAGGAAAAACGGGUAGACGAUGAUGUGAUGCGGCAUCCUGCAGAUGGGGAGGCAUGGAAAGAGUUCGAUCGAACGUUCCCCGAGUUUGCUGCUGAUCCCCGAAAUGUAAGAUUGGGACUUGCCACUGACGGAUUCAAUCCGUAUGGGGUUCUAAACCAACACCACAGCACUUGGCCGAUUUUCGCAUUCCCAUAUAAUUUGCCGCCUUGGAAAUGCAUGAAAAAAGAAUACAUGAUGAUGACUGUUUUGAUAACUGAGGAUCCUGGCAGGUCAAUUGAUGUGUACUUAAGGCCUCUGGUUGAUGAGCUGAAAGAUUUAUGGACAAACGGUGUUCGCACGUACGAUAAAUCAACUGGGAGGAUGUUCACUUUGCGAGCAGCAAUUAUGUGGACUGUGAAUGAUUUUCCAGCAUAUGCAAUGGUUUCUGGGUGGAGCACAAAAGGUUAUAUGGCAUGUCAUGUAUGCAAGGAAGAUGUAACUUCUGGUUGGCACGCGGGAAAAGUUUGUUACCUUGGUCAUCGGAGAUGGUUGCCAUGGGACCACGAGUGGCGAGAAAAAGAUAAAGAGUUCAACGGGAACACAGAGCGUCGCCUCAGACCUGGAGAAUGGUCCGGUGAUGAGAUCUUGGAACAGCUGAACCGUUUGGAUUUUGGUCCGUUCGGAAAAACAAUUAGUCGGACCAGACCUUCUACACAUUUGAACUGGACGCACAAGCCUAUGUUUUUUGAGCUCCCAUAUUGGUCGAAACUGAAAUUGAGGCACAAUCUAGAUGUGAUGCAUGUUGAGAAAAAUGUAUUCGACACAUUGGUGGGCACGAUUCUAGAUAUCGAGGGGAAGACGAAGGACACGAUCAAAGCUCGUCUUGAUUUGGAAAGAAUGGGCAUACGAAGGGGUUUAUGGAUGAAUAGGGACAGUGAUAAAGCUAGAAGGGAUCUUGCAUUCUUUUCUAUGAAACCGAAUGACAAAAAGGAGUUUCUAAAGUUUGUAUCGUCUGUCAAAUUUCCCGAUGGGUAUGCUUCUAAUAUCGCACGUUGCGUGAAUGUCGAUGGGGGUAAAUUUACUGGACUUAAGAGCCAUGACUGCCAUGUUCCUGUGGGUAUUCGACACCUACUGCCGGAAGAUGUGGUGAAGCCAAUCAUGUUGUUAUCCAGAUUUUUUUCCCAACUGACGGCAAAAACAUUGCGAAGGACAGACAUGUUUCAGUUGCGCCAUGACAUUGUCCAAGUCCUAUGCAAGUUUGAGAUGAUAUUUCCUCCGGCUUUCUUUACAAGUAUGAUGCACGUAAUGGUUCACUUGCCAGAAGAGGCAUUGCUUGCUGGUCCUGUCAACUAUCGCUGGAUGUAUCCAAUAGAAAGGUAUAUAAUCUUUAUCAUUUGUGUAUGCAUCAUUAUCGACACUUUGCUAAUUUGUAUCAUAUCGUUUUAUUUUGGCAGGCUUCUCGGAGAGCUGAAAAAAAGUGUACGCAACAGGGCAAAGCCCGAAGGAUUAAUUAUAGAGGCUUGGGUUCAAUAUGAGUCGCUUACUUUCUGUGGAAUGUAUUUAAAAGAUGUGGAGACGGUUUUCAAUCGUCCUCAACGCAAUAAUGACGGAGGUAUGAGAAAUGAAAAACUUUUUGUUUUUGCCCAAAGCGCAUGACCAUUUGGAGAUCCUGGACGAGGAGAGUCGUUUUCUAGAAAUGACAUGGAGGUAGCGCAUUGGUUCGUACUGAACAAUUGUGAUGAGAUAAUGGCCUACUUAGAUGAGCAUGAACAGAUGAUGAAGCGAGAACAUCCAUCACAUUUGGUUGCCCGGAAACAUCGUGAAUUAUUUCCACAAUGGUUUUUGGAUUCUGUAAGUUAUAACUGUUUUGUAAUUGACAAAUAUAAAUUGUAGUAUUUAAUUUUGUCAGACUAACAUGUAAAUGAUUUUGUAUACUAUUAGGUGAAUAAAUUGAAAUCAUCGAAUUCCCCCACUUACAGUGAUGAGUUAUAUAACUUGGCGUUCGGCCCAAUUCGUGCUGAGUUGUUCUCGGGUUGUAAUGUUAACGGCGUCAAAUUUUUGGGGGCCGCACGAGAUGACAAGUUGUGUAUGCAAAACAGCGGUGUCCAUGUCCCAGGUGGAGGCGAAAGUACGGACAUUGAUUUCUAUGGCAAACUGACAACUGUCGUGCAAUUGCUUUAGAAAGAUCGAUACCAAGUCAUCAUGUUUAAGUGUCGAUGGUUCGAUACCAACCCAAAUAGGGCGGGAAGUGUUAAAAUCGACCAUGGAGUACUGUUUGUGAACAUGGCGUCCCAAAUUGUGUAUCUAGAUGACCCUAAAGCCGGGAGCGGGUGAAAAGUUGUGCAGAAGAUGGAUCAUAGGAACGUGUAUGAUAUACCAGAACUAGACCCAAGUGACAACGACGUCGACAAUGUGGCUGACCAACGUUUAGAAUCUUCAAUGGAAAAUGAUGCGGAAACACUUCGAGAUACAAAUGUUAUACAAGAACCGUUUCAAAUAGAAGGAGUGUCUUCAGUAGAAAUACCGAUUCAGUCAAUUACAAUUGACCUCGGUGAUCUUCCCCGAUACGAUGUUGCAGUGGGUCCUAGCAACGCCGAUGAUGCAGUUAUAGAGGAGGAGGAGGAAGAAGAUUGGGAGACCGAGAGUGAUGAUAGCGAUGAUAACGAAAGUUAUUAUAGUUCAGAUGAUGAAUAAUGAAUUUAUUUGUAAAGUUAUUAUGUUAGUGUAUUCAUUUUGUGUAAUACAAAUCUUUGAAUAUAUGUAGUUGUCCAUAUGUAGUUGUGUAUUCAUUCUCCAUAUUUCAUCACAAACUUCAUUGGAAUGUCAAUACUUUAGUCAAUACUUAUUACGACCCCAUGCUUGUCGAUUGGUUUUUAUUUAUUUAUUUAUUAAUGUCUUUAACUCUUCAAUUAUUAUUUUUUUCUUUUGAGAUAUAGUUAUUUCUUCAUGUUUAAACAAAAAAUAUAAGUUAUUUCUCCAAUAUUAUCUGUGUGCCACUUAUUUUUCUUCACUUUGGUUCAUGAUUAGUGGCAUCAAUCUAGUCAAACCGAUAAAAUCGGUCGAUUCAAAUCUUAAUUAUCAAUUUAGUUUGGUUUUGAUGAAGAAAUACAAAGCCUUUCCAAAAAAUACAGAGCAUAAAAAAUGAUGAAUACAAAACCUUUCCAAAAAAUACAAAGCAUACACAAUUUGAAUUAAAUGAGGAUUUAUGGCGCCAAAUCCUUGCGCAACGAUAAGGAGCCCUUCGUCGCGCAAAUAUAUAUUAGGUAACGUUAUAGUAUAAUAUAUACCCACAUAUAUAUUUAAAAUUGGCGAUCGAAGUAGUUCAUUGUAUUCAUAUGAAGUGUAGGACUGUAGCUGCAAAAAAUCAUCAACAUCGGAGUUAAAAUAACCGUUCAAUCAUCACUUUUUAUUUAGAACCGUCGAAAAGUUUUACCCCGUUACUUAAUCUCUGAAUGUUUUUUUUGUCUGAUUUUUGCUGUCUAUGAUCUCGAAGUAUAACAAAACAAGUUUGACGGCUGGAUGACUGAAGCUAGUUUCGUAGACUGCGUGUGCUAUCAAAAUCAUAUAUUCACCAAAAACUCAAAAAUUUGUUCAUACAUUUGUGAAAAUGUAACUUAAUGUUUAUGUGGUAUCCCCUAGUGUAAAAAUAUGAAAUUGAAGAUCAAAUUCAGUCAUUGUAUUCAUAUAGGGUCAACAAAUGUUGCUGUAAAAAAUGAUCAAAAUCGGAGUUAAAAUAACCGUUAAAUCAUGACUUUUCAUUUAUAACCGUCAAAAUAUUUUGUCCUGUUCCCUGAUAUCUGAAUGUUUGGUCGUUUUGAUUUUUGGCGUAUACGAUCUCCAAGUAUAAACAAAUAAGUUUGCCGGUUGGAUCAUUGAAACUAUUUUAGGGUUUAGGGUUUAGGGCUUAGGGCUUAGGGUUUAGGGUUUACAUUUUAGGGUUUAGGUUUUGCGCGACGAAUAAACAUUCCUUUCGUCGCACAAAGUGAAAGUGACAAAGAUUGCGCGACGGAUAAGUCUUCCAUUCGUCGCGUAAUCUGGGACACACAUUUCACCCCUCCAUACCCUUUGAACACUUAGUGAAAAUUUCAACCGAAUGAAAUUCUUGAACCCGCGCGACGAACAAAGCAAAUACGUCGCGUAAAGUGGACGUGAACAAGAUUGCGCGACGGAUAAAUCUGGUAUUCGUCGCGCAAUCUGGGCCACACUUUCACCCUUCCAUCCCCUUUGAACACUUAGUGAAAAUUUCAACCGAAUGAAAUUUUUGAACUCGCGCGACGAACAAAACAAAUACGUUGCGCAAAGUGGACGUGAACAAGAUUGUGCGACGGAUAAAUCUAAUUUUCGUCGCGCAAUCUGGGCCACGCUUUCACCCUUCCAUCCCCUUUGAACACUUAGUGAAAAUUUCAAGCGAAGCAAAAUCUUCAACUCGCGCGACGAAUAAAAGUAUUCGUCGCGCAAAAGGCACAGGCCUCUGAUUUUUGUUAGCAAACAUUGCGCGACGUUUACUGUCUUCGUCGCGCAAAAGGCACAGACCCUUCAGUUUCAGCCUCCCGCUAAACCCAAAAUUUUCCCAAAAUUUUGGCGGAACGACAGCGUUUUGCGCGACGAACAUAUGACUUUCCGUCGCACAAGGUUAACCUUGCUCGACGUUUACUAUCUUCGUCGCGCAAAAGCACAAACCCUUCAGUUUCAGCCUCCCGCUAAACCCUAAGUCCCAAAAUUUGGGCGGAACGACAUCGUUUUGCGCGACGAAUAUAUGAUUUUCCGUCGCGCAAGGAGAACCUUGCGCAACGUUUACUAUCUUCGUCGCGCAAAAUCACAGUUUCAGCCUCCCGCUAAACCCUAAAUCCCAAAAUUUUGGUGGAACAACAGCGUUUUGCGCGACGAACCAUGUAUUUUUCGUCGCGCAAAAGGCACAGACCCUAAUCCCCAUUCAAAAUUUGGCGUUCUGGGAGACCUUGCGCGACGGAUAUUUCAUCGCGCAAGAUUCAUUAAUACCAUUUUGCACGACGCAUUCUGUUCUUCGUCGCGCAAAGUCGAAUAAAUUUGCAGAAACGGCCCGAUGCCUCCUUCUUCCCCAUUUUCUGGUUUCUCUCCGUUUCUUCCUCUCUCUCCGCCGUCACCUUAGCCCUCUCUCUCUGCCAUCACCUCAGCCACCUCCGCUCGUUCCGUAGCCUCCCUGCCGUCACCGUCGAGCCUGCCGUCGCAAUUUCGUCAGUUUUUCCCGAUUCUUCGCCGGCCGAUUUCUCUCUCCUCCGGCCACCAUUUUCGACGCCUAAGGUAUGAUUUCUCGACUAUUUUUUGUGCUCUAGCUGAUGGUUGGUUAGGAUUUCUUGAAUUUUCGCUAUAGGAAAUAGGAAUUAAAACCCUAGGUUUUGGCCGCUUUGGGAAUUUCAAAUCCGGCCACUUCCGGCCAUUUUUCGGGGUAGGUCCGAGAACAAAAGUGGCUCCAAUUAAUGUUUUCAACCUAGGGUAGGAACCUUGGCCCUUAGUUUUUAGAAUUUUCCGACGAAUGUUAUCGCUUUGGACACCCACGCGCUGCCGGCGCGUGUGGUGGCGCGUGGGAUGUUGUGGCAGUGGGGCAUUGGGUCCCAGAGCAAUCCCCUGUUUGUCACGAGCGCGUAGGUUUGCUCGGAUUUGAAUUUGGUUAUCGUUUGAGUCUUGAUCGGAUUUCGGCUAUUGUGCGAUUUCCAGGUUUGAUAUGUUCGGACCGUUGGAUCGAACUCAAACUCACGUAGUUGUACCUUUGUGUUUCUACGAUCGUUUAGGAUUCGACCGAUCGUUGAUCGGUGUCCCGGAUACUUCGAAAUUCCAAACCCUAGGUGAAGCUAUGCUUUUAAUUAAUUAGUUUAAAUUCUUAAUGAAAUUAUAUGUGCAGAUGUCAGAUUUGAUUAGACGUGGUAGGUCGAUGAUGACUGCACCGAGUUCGGAUCCCCCUGCUCAGUCGGCAUAUGCUGCCACUGCUCCAGCUUUGAUGGAGCACGUGCUGGUUGGUCCCGGGGCGUCCCAGGCGCCUGCGUCAUCUGCGUCAUCCGUCGCGCAGCCAGCUAGUGCUAGGCGGCGGCACCGGCCCGCCGACACGACAUCGACCGACGGUACUGGUGCCUCGGGAUCACAGCCAGAUAUAACUACCAUUUUGUAUUGUUAAUUUUAUAUUGAAAUUUGACAAUGUUGUUUAUUUAACAUUAAUAUCUUUUUUCUUUGCAGCGAAGAAGAACACCUGAGGGCCGUGUCGUCAGCUGAAGACGGCGAAGGUCACCCGGGUGACCAACAGUCGUAUCAGCAUCGGAUACGACGAGCGCCAUCGGGCUGCACCGACGGCGGAGUUGCAUAGCUCCUUGGCCCACGACAUUGGCCACGUCGUGCGGACCCAUUGCCUGAUGCAAUGGAAGUCUUGGAGGGUCAUGCCUGACGAGAUCAAGGUGGAGGUUCGCGGCCAGUUGUCGGUAUGUACCUUACAUUUUCAUUAAUUUUCUUUAAAAUUGUGUAUAUUUCUAUUACUUAACGUAUCUAAUUAAUUGAUUGCAGACGAACUAUAACUUGGAGGAUCUCGACGAAGAGUCGUUGGCGUACGUCAACAGACUCUUCGCUGAGAGGUACAAGCAGUGGAAGAGCGACUUGCACCAUCAUUUUCAGGCCUUUGAUGAUCCGCAAGUCGCUCUUCAGGAGGGUUGCCCGAAGGAGCUUGAGGGGCGGGAGGAUAGUUGGGAGUGGCUCUGCGCUCAUUUUCAAGCGUCCGAAUAUGUGGUAUUUUUUUAAUAAUAUUUGUUUAAUUAUUACUUAUUUCUUAUUAAUGUUUAUUUCAUUUUUUUUAUUUCAUUAUUAUUUAAUUUGUUAUGUUUUAACUAAUACGUUUCAUUUUUUGUAUAACAGAAUAAGGCCCAAGUGAAUAAGGGUAAUAGGAAGAAGAAGACCCUUCUCCACCAUUCCGGCUCCAGGCCCUUUUCGUAUAGGAUGGAUGCCCGGCGACGGGUAAUAAUCACAUAAUUUAUAUUUCAUUUUUAAUGUCAUUUUUAUUAAUUUAUUUUUUUCAUACUAAUAUUUUUCUUCUCUUGUUCAAUUUAGGAGGGGUCCAAGUUCCCAGAGAUCGACGUCUUUGGUGACGUUUAUGUUCGACCCGGGAAUGAGUUGGCCGAGUCCCUUCAUGUAAGUAUUAUUUAAUUUUAAUUCUUAUGUUACGCAUUCAAUUUAUAUGCAUGUUUAAAUUUAUAUUUUAUGUUAUGUUCAACAGACGACGAUGGUGGAGAGGAGCCAGUUGGUUCUUCAGGAGUCCGCCUCCCAGCUUCCUCCCGAGACUCCGAUCGAGUCUGUGGCUCCUCCACAGGAUGCUGGAUUUCAGAUCUUGACGGAGACGUUGGAUCAGACUCUCGGGAGGAGGCCGGGGACAUAUUGUCGAGGGAUGGGGAAUGCCCGGCGGAGGGAACCUAGACCUCGUUCAUCGGCCCAGUCAAACAGUCAGGUGACUGCUUUGACAGCACAGGUGGCCGAGCUUCAGGGUCAGAUGUCGGUGAUUCUACAGUCCCUCGCACAGAGCGGCUUUCCAAUCCCGCAGUUUCGUGCGUCAACCUCCCAGCCCGUCCACCCCGAGUAUGCCCACCAGACCACUGCCCCGGUGGACGCCCAGACCUCCGAGCCGCAUACUGGCGACGACCCGAUUGAUUUUGCUUCAUUAUUUGAUUAGUGUAUUUAUUUUCAUCAUAAACAUUUAUUUUAUUUGUAAUACAUUUAUUUUAUUUUAUAACAAAAUUUUGUUCUAAUUUAUUUUUAUUGCAAUUUCAUUGUUUAAUCAAUAAAAAAACCAAUUUUAUUUAAAAAAAAUAAAAAUAAAUAAAAAACAAAAACAAAAAAAACAAAAAAAAAUUGUAAUAUUAUUUUUGCGCGACGGAAGACAUUUCGUCGCGCAAAACCACAUGUAACAAAAAAAAUUAAAAAAAUCAAUUUUUUAUUACUUUAAUUCUUGCGCGACGAAUACAUACGUCUCGCAAACAUUUUUUGCGCGACGAAAUGUUUCGUCGCGCAACAGCUUUUGCGCGACGACUGAAAUUUUCGUCGCCAAAUAGAUGAGCGACGAAAACUUUCUCAUCGCGCGAAUAGUUCUGCGACGAAUAUAUACGUCUCCCGGACUAGUUUUGCGCGACGAAUUAUUUUCGUCGCGCUAUUCGUUUCGUCGCGCAAAUAUACGUGCGCCGAAUACUUUAUCGUCGCGCAAAUAUUUAUGCGACGAACAGUUGUUUCGUCUCCACACCGUUGGUGCAACGAUGGUUUACCCGUCGCACAAUUAUGCGCGACGAAGUGUUGUACCUCGUCGCGCAAAGGCUUUCUUCACGAUCUUCGCGCGACGGAAGGUGCGCGACGAAUUUUUUGUCGCGCUGAAAUUAGGGCGACUAAAUAAGACUUUGCGCGACGUUUUGUUAUUCGUCGCGCAAAGAGUAAAAUGUAGUAGUGAGACUUGUUGGAGACAAAACAGGUAAACAAAUUACUUGUAUUAGACUCACAAAAUAUUACAACAAGACAACUCUCAAAGAAAAGACAAACUCUCACACUUCUCACAAGGACUACUUAACUUUAUAGCUUAUUGCAUAUAGCAUAUGCAAACACAAUUAGAACAUACCUACGUACACUAUGGGAACACUCGUGUAUAUUUCAACACAAGAAAACAUGUGCACCGUGCACGGUUCACAUGAAGUAAGAAAUGAAGAGGAAAUAAAGAAGAAGAAUACAAAAGAAAAUGGAGAUGAGAAAAAAAAAAAAACCGAAUAAUGAAAAAUGAAUUGACAAUUAUAUAUGGUUGACAUUAGAUCUAAUAUUAUAUGUAACAACUAUUGAUCUAAAAUAAACAUUAAAUCAAACAAUAAUUAAAAGAUUUGACAAUAUAAAAAUUUAUUGAGGACAAAAAAAGGCAAAAACUUAUGAAAAAUGGAAACAAUAAAUAUGAACUGAGUCAUCAACUCACCAUGGUAAGUUUGCUGACGUAUAAAAAUAGUCAAUGGACAUCGAAAAGUAAUUGGCUUACAUCAAAAAUUAAAAUCACGUGGGUUAUUCCUAAGAAACCUUAAUAUUUGCCUUCCAUUUGUUCCAGCAAAAUAAAAGUCAUUGCUACUUAUUGUAACCCCUUUUCCAAGCUUAUUAAUCAAAGUAGACACCUCACUGCUGUCACCUAGCCAAUUUUCAACAAUGUCAUACUUAACAAGCAACUCCACAUCCUUUGAGGUGUUCACAAAACGAUCCAUGAGACUAACAUAAUCACUUAUGUACGUCUCCUCGUAGUGGCAUUGUUCAAAUGCGAUGAGAUUUCUAAUUAAUACCUCUGUAUGAUCGCUUAUUUUCAAUCUUGGAAUUUCAAGAGUCCGGCCAGCAAAUCUAAUAAGGUAUUCAUUGAUCCCUCAUUCAACUUGAACCCUGCCCUGUGUAGCUCUGUGAUGCUGGGUGUGUUUAUAGUUAUGAGUUUCCCGUCAUUAGUUUUUAGGGUUAUUCGUUAUAUGAGUCCCUGAACUUAGACCCGAUUUGCAUUUUAGUCCCUCAAUUUCCAAAAUCGUUCCAGUGGUCCUUCAACUUUAGUUUCGUUAGGACAAAUGGUCCUGCCGUCAAAUGAUUAUAAAGUGGAAAAAACAAGAACAAAAAAGGAAGUGAGUUAAAUUUGCACCUGCUAUGUUCAAACGACAAAGUUCGUUUCCGUUUGGUCGAUUACAAGAGAAGCUCAAUGCAGCUUACUUGGUUCCUCUUGGUAGAUGGAAAUAUAAUUUUUCUCCUAAUAACAAAGGUUUAGUGCAAUCAAUGAUGGGCUGUAUAGAACAACUUUUUUGUUUUAUAUGUUUAUGUGAGACAAGUUUUGCCAGAUUGAAUUAAUGUCUUCUAGCUAUGUACCUUAUCUUUUUGCCGGGCCAUGAGUUGAAUGUAGAGGCAGAGCAUGGCCUUGGGUUUGUAAAAGACAAAAGACUGAACCAGACGUAAUUAUUUAGAUUUUGGAUCCAGUUCCACAUCCCAAAGAGAAAACCACAAGUUUGCAAGCAAGUUUGUCCAUAUUAACACUACGUAGAGUAUAGGCAGUGUGCUACUCAUCUCACUUUCUCAACCUACCCUAUAUUUGUCUAAAAGAGUUUCUAAUUUCGUGUACUGAUUCACUACUACAUUUUACACUUUGUGCGACGAAGAGAAUUUCGUCACGCAAAAUACAUUGGUCGCGCAAAGUUUAAAAAAAAUUUUAAAAAAAUAAAAAAUUCCCGCGUCCAAUUUUUGGUACUUGUCCAAAUUUUUUGAGUUUUGCGCGACGAAUACUAACAUCGCGCAAAUAUUUGCGCGACGAAAUAUUUUUUGUUUUAAAUUUUUUUAAUUUAAAAUAAACUAAUUUAAUAGUUUGCGCUACGAAAUAUUUUGUCGCGCAAGGUUUUUGACUUUUUGUUUUAUUAUUUCUUUAAUAUGAAUUUAUUUAUAUGAAUUUUUUGAAAUUUUUACUUUUUAAAUUUAAUUUAAUUGUAUGAUUUCUUUUUAAAAUUACUUUAAUUUAAAUUGAUAUUAAUUUUUACUUUUUAAAUUUAAUUUAAUUGUAUGAUUUUUUUUAAUUACUUUAAUUUAAAUUGACAUAUUCAAAAUAAAAUUACAUAUGAAAAAUAGUGAUUAAAUUAUCCAAUAAAUAUAUAUAUAUAUAUAAUAUUCAAAAUGUACACAUAAAUUAACAAAGCACAAUAAUAAAAUCCUAAUACAAGCGUAUUGUGGUGGUAGUGUCGGAGGAUAUGUUUUGAUAGCUUCCUAAUCCUCAACUUUAGCCGUCAAAGUCUCGAUGAUUCCCUACAAAAAAAAUAAAUAUGGUCAAAUAACCACAAACAAAAAAAAAAAAAAAAAAAAAGGCAUAAUCUCCCCUAAAAUUGUUAUACCACAAAUCCAACCCAAACUCCAAUCCCUCCCCUUUACUCAACCCCAAAACCCACACAAACUCAAAAUUAACUCCAAAAACACAUAUUAAUGAAAAAAAUUUAAAAUUUGGAGAGAAUAUACCUUUUGGCAAGAUUGAGAGUGAAUGAGAGGGAGAAGUGAGUGUGAGAGAAUUAGAGAAGAUAGUGAUAGAGAGAUGAGAGAGAUGAGAGAGUGAGUGAGAGAGAGUGAGAGAUAGUGAAGAGAGAGAUGAGAGAUUAAGUGAGAGGAGUGAGUGAGAGAAAUGGUGGGAUUUGGGGAGAGGGAAAGAGAAAGGAGAGGUAAGAGUAGAGAAAGGCAUUGAGAAAAUGGUGGAUGAGUUAUUUCGGUUUUAAAAACCGUAUCACUUUGCGUGACGAAAAAUAUUGUUGGUCGCGCAAAGGUUUGCGCGACGAAAAAUAUUGGAAUAUUGAUCGCGCAAACUUUUGAGCGACGAAACAUAUUGGUCGCGCAAAGUCUAAAAAAAUUAUUUAAAAAAAAUAAAAAUCCCCGCGUCCCAUUUUUGGUACCCGCCAAAAUUUUUAAAUUUUUGCGCGACGAAUAUAGGAAUAUUGAUCGCGCAAAGUCUAAAAAAAUUAUUUAAAAAAAUAAAAAUCCCCGCGUCCCAUUUUUGGUACCCGCCAAAAUUUUUAAAUUUUUGCGCGACGAAUAUAGGAAUAUUGGUCGCGCAAAGUCUAAAAAAAUUAUUUAAAAAAAUAAAAAUCCCCGCGUCCCAUUUUUGGUACCCGCCAAAAUUUUUCAAUUUUUGCGCGACGAAAAAUACAUAUUGGUCGCGCAAAGUCUAAAAAAAUUAUUUAAAAAAAUAAAAAUCCCCGCGUCCCAUUUUUGGUACCCGCCAAAAUUUUUAAAUUUUUGCGCGACGAAAAAUACAUACUGGUCGCGCAAAGUCUAAAAAAAUUCCCGCGUCCGAUUUUUGGUACCCGCCCAAAUUUUUGCGAGACGAAAAAUAUAUAUUGGUCGCGCAAAGUUUUGAGCGACAAAAAAUAUUGGUCGCGCAAAGUCUAAAAUUUUUUUAUUUUUUUUUUAAAAUCCAGCGUCCCAUUUUUGGUACCCGUCCAAAUUUUUAGAGUUUUGCGCGACAAACUGUUGGUUGCGCAAACUUUUGAGAGACGAAAAAUUGGUUCGUAACACAAUAUUUAUAAAAAUAAUUGUUAUGAAUAAUAAAAAUAAAAUUAUUUUAUUUUACAAUUUAAAAUAUAAAUAAGGUUAAAGCUGCUUAAGAAAUAUAUAUACUAUUCAAUUUCUUAAGUGUUAUACGUACAAAAUAAAUAAAUUUAAAGGUACUUAAUAAAUAAAUAUAUAUACACACACCAUUCAACGAUCCAACCGUCAGACUUAUUUGUAUAUACUUCAAGAUCGUAUACCCCAAAAAUCACAAAAAACAAACAUUUAGAGAUCUAGUAACGAGACAAAACUUUUCGAUGGUUAUAAAUGAAAAAUUACGAUUUAACGGUUAUUUUAACUCCGAUUUUGAUGAUUUUUUUUUACAGCUACACUCCUUGACCAUAUAUGAAUACAAUGACUGAAUUUGAUCUUCAAUUUAAAAUAUUUACACUAGUGGAUACCACAAAAUCUUAUGUUAUAUCUAACGAACGUAUAAAUAACCUCUUAAUUGUUAGUGAAUAUAUUGUUUUGAUGGCAUAUGCAUUCACCAAAACUAGUUUCAACGAUCCAACCAUCAAACUUGUUUGUUUAUACUUCGAGAUCAUAUACGCCAAAAAUCAGAAAAAAUAAACAUUCAGAGAUCAAGUAAUGGGACAAAAAUUUUCGACGGUUAUAAUGAAAAAUCACGAUUUAACGGUUAUUUUAACUCCGAUUUUGAUGAUUUUUUACAGCUACACUCCUUGACCCUAUAUGAAUACAAUGACUGAAUUUGAUCUUCAAUUUAAAAUAUUUACACUAGUGUAUACCACAAAAUCUUAUGUUAUAUUUAACGAACGUAUAAAUAAACUCUUAAUUGUUAGUGAAUAUAUUGUUUUGAUGGCAUAUGCAUUCACCAAAACUAGUUUCAACGAUCCAACCGUCAAACUUGUUUGUUUAUACUUCGAGAUCAUAUACGCCAAAAAUCGGAAAAAAUAAACAUUCAGAGAUCAAGUAAUGGGACAAAACUUUUCGACGGUUAUAAUGAAAAAUCACGAUUUAACGGUUAUUUUAACUCCGAUUUUGAUGAUUUUUUACAGCUACACUCCUUGAACCUAUAUGAAUACAAUGACUGAAUUUGAUCUUCAAUUUAAAAUAUUUACACUAGUGGAUACCACAAAAUCUUAUGUUAUAUUUAACGAACGUAUAAAUAAACUCUUAAUUGUUAGUGAAUAUAUUGUUUUGAUGGCAUAUGCAUUUACCAAAACUAGUUUCAACGAUCCAACCGUCAACCUUGUUUGUUUAUACUUCGAGAUCAUAUACGCCAAAAAUCGGAAAAAAUAAACAUUCAGAGAUCAAGUAAUGAGACAAAACUUUUCGACGGUUAUAAUGAAAAAUCACGAUUUAACGGUUAUUUUAACUCCGAUUUUGAUGAUUUUUUACAGCUACACUCCUUGACCCUAUAUGAAUACAAUGAACUAAUUCGAUCGUCAAUUUAAAAUAUAUAUUUUCUAACAAAAACCCAAUCUGAACAACAAUAAUAUAUUUUUCUAACAAAAAUCCGAUCCGAUCUAAAAUAAUAAAUUUAAAGCUACUUAAUAAAUAUAUAUACUGUUUAAUUUCUUAAGUGUUAUGCAUACAAAAUAAAAAACAAAAAUAAAUUAGUAUAGGCGACAAAAUGUUUGGAUUACGUCAUGCAAAGAUUUUAAAAUAUAUAUAUAUAUUAUUUUUAUAAGGACUUUGCGCGACGAAGUUCAUUGUUUCGUCGCGCAAAGUCACUUUGAGCGACGAUGUAUUGUUGUCGCGCAAAAGUUUGUCGCGCAAAGUUACUUUGCGCGACGAAUUUUUUUUCAUCGCUCAAAAUUUGGUCGCGCAAGACUUUGAGUGACGAUGUAUUGUCGUCGCGCAAAAGUUUGUCGCGCGAAGUGACUUUGCGCUACGAAUUGUUUUUCGUCACGCAAAAUUUGGUCGCGCAAGACUUUGAGCGACGAAGUUUUGAGUUUCGUCGCGCAAAGUGACUUUGAGCGACGAAUAGUUUUUCGUCGCGCAAAAUUUGGUCGCGCAAGGGGUUUUUUUUUACUAGUAUGAGUUUUAUAUACAAUUUAUAACAAUAUUUUCAGGCAAAAAAAUGUCUUGGCAAGAAAAUGUACAAUUUGUUACGUACUUAACUGGAACGAUUACCUUCAAAUUCCUAUGGCCAAUUACCUUCUUUUUUCUUCCUUUUUUUUUUUUUUUUUUUUUUGGUUGUUGUUGUUCUUUUGAUCAAGUUGCAUAUUCCAAAGAACGAAAACCAGUACAGGCUCUUUUCCAAUGCAAGCUCUUUUCCCAUGUUUCCCUCUGUUUUUCUCCUAUUUUUCUUAUAUGGAAGUGAUUAAAAUACACCUCUAAGCUUGUUUUGCGUUUGGUAACCGACUGUAAAAGCUCAAUGCAGAUAGUUUGAGGUAGAAUUUUCUCCAAUUUUACUAGCACAGUGAUAAGCUAUACUAUAUGUAACAACAAAUUGCUUUAAUAAUGAUAAUGAAAAAAGUGUGAUCCAUCGAAUAUUUGCGGGGUUUUGUUCCAAGUCAACACAUCAAAUUCUUUUACACCAUGAAAUUAAAAAAAAUUUAUUCAACCAUCUCGACCUUAUGCUCGAUCAUUUUGCACAAGCAACCGUCCACGUACCCCAAUAAUUUAAAAGGGCUGAUGAUCUUUAAUUUGGCGAAAGCUUCUAUCUACUUCUACCGCGCUAUAUAUGAGCUAUGCAAUUGUGACGGUGUUACAUGACGUCACAAUGUCGUAGGGAUAAAAAAAUAAUAGUCAUGGUUUCUUAUUAAUGUUAAUACAGGCAUAGCAAAAAGCUUGUAUUUCUAGUGGUUAAGAACAAUUACCCAUGCACUUGAGAUAUUAUGUGCUUAAAUCCCCUCUUCCCCAAUAUUUCUUGUAUAAAAAUAAAAAUAAAAAUAAAAAUAAUAAAGAUAUUGAUAUUGUAUUCUAUAAAGUGUUGGACAUGUUUUAUACCCCUUUACUGCAAAUUACAGUUUGACACAUGUACAAAAAUAAUAGGUAAGUGUUGGACAUCAAGAGUACUUACAUAUAGGUUUAAUAGGUAAGUUUUGAAUAUUUCUGUCUUUAGCUUUAAUUAUUGAAAAUCAACCUAUUAUCAUAUUAAAGACUUAUCCAUGUUCAACGUACAUUCUCUUAUUUUUCUCUCAUUGAAGUAAAUACAAAACUAAGCACAUAGUGGAAAAGUAGGUCACGAUUAGGGGUGGGUUUGGUCUGGGUUGGUUCAGUUUUGGGCUCAACCCGAACACCGAACCGUAGACCUCGAUUUGGCUAUUUUGGAAACCAAAACUAAACCAUAAUUAAUGAAAACCGACCACUUCAAUUACCUUCUGGUCUUCCAACCAGAAGAAAACUCAAAACUUUAACCAUACCAAGUGCAACAGAAUUACACCAGGCUGGAGUCAAGUUUAUGAUGGUUAAAGAUAAAAACUUAUUUGACAUACAAUUUGAGAAUGGAAUCCUCAAAAUUCCACACCUGCGAAUACAGGGUUAAACAGAAAUUUUCUUCCGCAAUUUUAUUGCCUAUGAGCAGUGUGAGCUCCAUGAUCAUUACAUCAACAACUAUGUCUUCGUCAUGGACCGCCUGGUCGACAGUGCCAGGGAUGUGGAAUUGCUUGUGAAGAGUGGAAUUCUUGAAUCCAUGCUACCGGACAGCGAGGCAGCAGGGGAAUUUAUUAAUUCUCUUGACUUGGGGCCUAUUUUAGGCAAGCUUGAAACAAGACUAUUUCAGUUCACCAUGGGCUGGCCUGUCUAUUAUUGUAGCCGCUAUACUAGUUGUGCUCACAUUUAUUCAAACAGUGUGCUCCGUAAUGGCGCUGUAGGUUCUUCAUUUCCUCAAUUUCAUGUUUAGUGGUUGCAGAUUUGUUGCUCAUGUACGUGUUUAUCUAAAGUUAAAUAAGAGUGAUUGACUGAUAGUCUGUUAGUUUGUUUUUCUGGGGUUUUUCCCCUGUUCGUCAAAAAAGAAAAAGAGAAAGAGUGAUUGCUUGUGCCUGUUUGGGCCUAAUUUGACACACCCAAUCCAAAAUCAAAAAGUCCAUGUCAAUUUUGGACAGCCACCAGCAUUCCCUUUGUAAUUAGGCCAAAAACUGCACACCCAACCUAGCACUGGAGCCUAGAACAAACAAGGUAAACUCAGGACCCAAGCAGUUUGAUUUUUUCAUUUAAAUUGGAAUCAAGGGCCCCAAGUCAAAAAAGCCCAAGCCCAAGGCAGAUUUUUUACCAAAAAGACCCAAGGAAGCCCAGUGCAUGCGAAUUGCUUAGCCCACAAUCCCAAAACUCAAAACUAAGUUUGGCAUGAUUAAAUAAAGAUAGAGAGAAGCCCAAAAUUGAAGAAACCCAAAACAGUUUUAUCAAAAUUGUCAGCUCUCUACCCAAGACCUAAAAAGGGUCAAAAAUACCACUAUUGGCAAAAUUGACGCACUCAGCCUUGGAUCACAAAGAAAUCCACGUGACUAUUUGACUUUGAGAAGUCAACAAUUUCAACUAGUCACAAGAGAAGUUGAUUGGAAUUAAUGUAGGCAGGUCAUUACAGAAAAGACUUCUUUGAAACUCUGUAGCCAAAAGAUCAAAAUCCCUUUCUAUAUAAUUCUGCAUCAGAGUAGGUGGUCUUUCCAAGAGAUAAGCAGACUACGUUUUCAAGAGAUAAGUAGAGAAUGAGGGAGUUGUUCAACAAGAAAAGCAAACUAACCAUCAUGAUAGGUUGUGUUCUUUCUCUCUACAAAAAACAAUAGGGAACAAAGAAGAGUUGGUUUUUCUUUCAGAAAAAGGAAGGAAAAGACCUACAUGAAAACUAAUUAUUGAUGGUUCUUCUCUGCCAGAACAGAUAACUUCUCAUUUUCUUUGACAUUUAAAAAUGAAAGGUCUCGCUUUUACAAAAUCUGCCGCCCAUUAUUUAAAGAUUAGAAAACCCACUCCAGCAUUUCCUAUAAAUAUGAGAGGAGGUGAUGUCACAUCACGGGAUUGGCUCUGCCGUAGCACGAUAUUGUCCACUUUGCGCCCCCCUCUCUACCCUCACGGUUUUAUUUUUGGGAACUCACGAGCAACUUCCCAGUGGGUCACUCAUCUUGGGAUUGCUCUAGCCCCCAGCUCGCUUAACUUCGGAGUUCCCAUGACUCCGAAGCCAAUGAGCUCCCAAAAGGCCUCGUGUUAGAUGGAGGCGGGCAUGUACAUAUAAGGCACAUCACCUCCUCUCCGUUGGUCGAUGUGGGAUGUUACAGGUGAACAUAUCAAAGGACAGCCAAAAAAUCAAUCAAAGACAAAAACUCAAAAUGAUCACUUGAUCUCAAAAGCCUUCAAAACACUGAAGCAAGCAAAGCUCAUUGAGCCACAACGAACAAGUCAGCUAGAAUUCAGAAUCUUUAGAGUCAGUUCAGUUUCAGAGAAAUAAUCAAAGAAAGCGAGAUCUCUCUCGUUACAAAUUUGGUUCAGCUUAAAGCCAAAACAAGCAGAGUUCAGGUUCUUACAAAUAUGAAAACCUCAAUAAAUUUAUGGAGAGCCCUGAUCAAGCAAAACAGGUACUACAGUGCAGUUCUAGCUUAGUAAUAAUCAAAUCCACCCACUUCUGCCCCUUCCAGAUUGAGAAGGUCCCAAUUCUGCCCAUUCAAAAAGCCUUCCAAGACUUGAAAUAGAUUAAAGCUCUGCCAAACUCAAAUGUUGGAAUCAAUUCGCAGCUGAAACAUGACAGUUGAAGGUGUUGAUAGUCCAGUCCAGCACAGACAUACCCAGUCUAGCCCAGAUCAGAAGCAUUCACCGAGGCAGAAAUUGAAGUCCAAAGCUCUUUUUGUCUUUUUAGAGUUGGUCUUCCUUUUCUGAGCUUUGUAAAAGGCAAUUCUGCCUAAAACAGUUCACUUUCUUAUCAUUUAUUCUGGCCAGAACUACCAGUUUUGUACUGUGAAAAAUUAUGAAGUCCUCACCAGUCUAAGGCAAGAAAAGAACUUACUUGGGAGAUAUUCCUCACCAAAUUCACAACCGUUUGUUUAGAAAUCAGUAACUUGGUGUAACGACCCGGUCCUAAAUAAAUUGGUAAUUAUUAAUUUAUUCAGAUAAAAGACCAUUUUGCCCAUAGAAUAUUUUAAUAGGUUUACAUGUUGACCCGGGAGGCUUCGGUGAAAUUGUUACAUCUCGGUCCGAAAAAGUGUUAAAAUAAUUAAAGUAGAGUGCUGCUAAAAGAACCCUAAAAUUAACUGAGUACACCCUAUGAUCUAAGUACACCCUAAUAUUUUAAUUAAAAUAUAAAAUUAACUAAGUACACCCUAUAAAACUAUCAAAAAUAACACUGAUACACCCUAAUACUUGUAGCAUUAUUUUAUAGUUGAUUAUUUUAAUAGUGUUUAUAAAUCUUUGACUUUUCAUAUGGAUUUAUGCUUCUACUAAAAUUGUUGCCACUUUUUUUCCAAUUCCAAGUUCUUGCAAUCACCACAUCUUUCGUUAAAAACACAAUAGGACAAGCAAUCUCUUGAUUAGGGUUGAAUAUGGUUAGUAGGGUGUACUUAUUAAUAUUAUAUUUGUUUCACAAUUCCAUAUAUCCUUUUUGGUCAUUUUAUAUUAGGGUAAACCAGUAAUUCAAUAUAUACUUUUAUAGUAGGGUGUACUCAGUUAAUUUUAGGGUUCGUUUAGCAGCACUCUUAAAGUAAGAGAGAAUAAAAUGAAAUAAACAUUAAAAUAAAAUGAUUUGAAUUAAUUAAGGUUUUUGAGAAAUUAAAAUAUUAUUUAAUAUUAUAAGGGGAAAAAGAUCAUUUUAAGUUUGGGAAGGAAUUUGGAAAUUCCAAUUGUACCGUUGUGUAGAGCAUGUCGAAACGAGUCCGUAGACACGUAGUGGACUCGAAUCGUAGUUAUAACGGAGAAAUGGCGAUCAAAAGAAGUUCAGUGGCAUAGCCAUAAAUAUUUCGAAGUUCAGUUUUUUUAAAACCCAAAUUUCUUCUCUCUGGGGAGUGGGAGAGCCAACUUCAAAUGGUGAUUUCUCCCAACUCCGACCACCACACUUCCCUCUUCCUUCAGUUUUGGCAUCAUGAUGGGUUCCAUCCCGGAAUGACACAUUUUCGACGCUAAGGACGUCACAAAUGGUAUUUGAGAUGCUUUGUAAAUUUGUAACCAUGGAAAACACAAUGAACUUUAUGUUCGGAGUUGCAAGAGAACAUUAAGGGGAAUAUGGAGAGUGGGAAAAUAGUAAUAAGUGGAGAUCUGUAUGCUUACUUACUACUGAACUUCCGUCGUGGUGGUUAGUAUGAAAAAGUGUUAGAGAUUAUAGAUUUUAUGGAGGAACAUGGUUGUACACUGAUAAGUAGUCGGUAGGAGUUGAUUUAAGUUCCAAGAGAAAUUCAUUAUGAACUGGGAUGAAUUACUGCAAGAUUCUUGCUGUUUUGAAGUUAUUGAUUUUAGGGGCAUCACCUCUGAAUGAUCAUAAUAACCAUGCGUGGGCUCUGCAUGAGGUUUCUUUGACAUUGUUUGAUUUUGUGUAUUGAUAAUUACACUUAGGGGUGUCACGUUUCUAGAAACGUGUCUAUCCAAAUUGUUGUAUCUCAAUAUCCUAUGGAAGGAAAGCUGAGAAGCUGAAAAUACUGGAUUUAUGGUGGUGAGAUAAAAAUUGUCAGGAACUUUCAAAAGUCAAAUUAUUUCACAAAGGGAAAUACUGGAGAGAAGUAUUAGAGAAUUUUCUUUGGAUAAGUUAUAUAGGAGUGGAGGAGUUGCGAGUUUAACCAAGGAGGGUUGUGACAAUUUAAAUUGAGAAGUAGUGGUGUUGGGUGAAGUAUUAUUUCAUUCGCGUGGGCUUGAAUGCCGCGAUUGACAGGAAUGGAACAUUAGGGUUCUUCUUCCUUGCUCUCUCACGCGAGCUCGCCAUAGAGAGUAUUUCUUGGCGUGGUACUGGCUUCGUCCGACCUCCGAUUACUGUGAUUUUUGAAAGGACCCGGCCCAAAUUUCUCAAAAUCCGAGGCGAAUCCUGUGAAAUUCCCGACAUCACUCCGAUGCCAGGCCCACUUACUAAAGACCGAGACUUUCUGCCGAACUUUCGGCAGAGUCUCCCCUAUAAAUUGGACAUUUUCCAAAACUACCACCUGCAUAAAACACAAUUUAUAUCCCCAACUGGCAGCAUGCACAAGAUAAUUUCAUGCAAAUCACAUAAUCGGCCUGCGGCCUUCAAAUAAUUCAAAACGAAACCACCAAGCACACUAUCAAAUUAAUUCCUACCUUAAACAAGGCAAACAAUAAAUUUAAAUAUGAAUUAUGACUACUAAAUUUCAACAUACGAGGUUUUAACCUCCUAACACAAUCACAUCUAUGUCCGCGGCUGCACCUAAUAACCUUAGGCUGCCUACGUACCUUCACUGAGGGAUCAAGCCACACGUAGUUCUUCCGUAAAACCCAAUUCCACACAUAGGCAAUACCUUUAUUCAUUUCUCUGUAUUUCACAUAAUCUCCCCAUACGCCAGUACUACCAUUGCCACGUAUGGGACUUGUCAACAAGCCGGAUAACCUACACCACGUGCGAUCUCAACAUAAUAUCACAUAAUCUCCUCAUACGCCGGUACAACCAGCGCCACGUAUGGGGCCUGUCAACACGCCGGAUAACCUACGCCACGUGCGACCUCAUCAUACUAUCACAUGAUCUCCCCAUACGCAGGUACAACCAACACCACGUAUGGGGCCUGUCUCAACGCCGGAUAACCUACGCCACGUGAGACCUGAACAUAAUAUCACAUAUCUCCUCAUACGCCGGUACAACCAAUGCCACGUAUGGGGCCUGUCAACACGCCGGAUAACCUACGCCACAUGCGACCUCAAUAUACUAUCACAAUAUCUCCCCAUACGCCGGUGCAACCAACGCCACAUAUAGGGUCUGUCUCAAAUUGGAUAACCUACGCCACGCUAGACCUCAACAUCAUAUCACAAUAUCUCCUCAUACGCCGGUACAACCAACGUCACGUAUGGGGUCUGUCCGCAUGCCGGAUAACCUACGCCAUGUGGGACCUAACUUUCACAGAGUGGUACUUGUAGUGUAACCAAAAUCUGGGGAGGUGCCUAAGGUAGUGCAUAUAGCACUUCAAACUGACAUUCUCUCACUUAUCUAAACUAAUACUAGAGGUCUUCCCAUUUUAAUGGUACCAGUCUAUAGUAGAUUGUAACGUAAUUUAAUCAUAAAAAUAAUAUUAUUUCUAGACCAACGAUUAUUCACAUAAACAUGAAUUUCAUAAUUUCACUAUUUAAAAUAAUAUCUAAAAGUUUCCUAUAAUACAAAUAAACACUCUAAAGAUCCCAACUUAGUCAACACAGCUCAACAAUGCUCAAGACCUGUCAUUAGGGUCAUUAUGAUCCUUCUAGGAAGGUAAAACUACCUCGAAAGACUCAAGGUCAACCAAGGGUCAAACCACCCACAAUUGGUCAAACGGGCCCACGGGGCCCACGACCUCCAAAUUCCAAUCCGAAGGUUCCUAUGGGAUCUACAAGGUAUAGGACACUCGUCUUGCAAGUUAAGCCUAGAUCGGAUGGUCAGAUCGCUCACGAUCGCACAAUCUGAUGGUUAAUAUAAAACAUAAACUUUAAAUUAUUUAAUCGGAACAUCCGGGGCUCCCGAUUCACGAUCUGUUCCUACACGAUCCUAGAAAUACAUAGAUUAACAUAUAUUAAAUUUGAGACCAUCCAACGGUCCUAACCUAUCGAACCCGGAUAACGCGCAAUAGGCGAUAUUCGUUCGAUAGUCAAACGACGUCCGAAUUGAGAUUUACGAAAUCCUACGCACUCGUGACAACCUAAGGAUCUCAUUGAGACAUAUUGCUAUCCCAAAACCGACCGAAAUCCAAUUCGAAAAUCGAGUUACUUACGUUAAGAAUCGACCGAAUCCUACCCAACAGGCAGCUAGAGCAUGAAAAGUAUGUGAGAAACCAUACCUCACUCGUCGAAAUCAGUGGCCAAAGGAGGGAGAUCGACGAUAGAGAAGUUCGGACGAACUGACCGCUUCUUCUCCAUUUUUCAGCGAAACCACGGUAGCUGGUGGCGGGACCUAGCUGGGGUUGGAAGAGGAUGACGCCCCGGUCAUUUUGGUAUCGGCCUCGUGGUCAUCGGUGGCCGGAUGAGAAAACAGCCGGCGAAAAUGUGACCGGCUGCCGUUGCGCACGCGAGAGAGACCACGAGAGAGAGAGAGAGAGAGAGAGAGAGAGAAAUCUGAUUGUGCCACUGAGAUUCUUUUGACCAUAUCUCUCUCGUUACAACUCCGAUUCAAGCCCACCACGUGUCUACGGACUCAUCUCGGUACGACCUAUCCAAAAAUACCAAUCACUACCCCAAAUACUUUUUGGAUCAGAAAGUGACCAAAUUACCCCUACCUCAAUGGUAACUUUGUAAUUUCACUUAAAUAAUUUAAAUAAGGGAUUAAAUUUGGAGUCGGGGUGUUACAAUUUUUGUUGCUAAAUGUUGUCAUCAUUUCUCCUCUACAUCACUCAGUGAUCAUUCACUCCCAUUUCUCUAGUUUACACGGUGAAUUUUAUUUCUAAAAUUUCUUAAAAUUCCGGCCACUGUGAGUUUGACCAGCGACUUGGGUUACUUUUGCCCAUCUUUUUGGAAAUGGAACCGAUUUGAGGAAGAUUAGGAGGAAAGAUACAUAGGCCGCUGAGGCAGAAGUAAAGCCGGAGCUUUACCAUAGACAGAAGUUGUUUUAGAAGUCCUGGAAGAUUGUGAACAGGAAUUGGAAGUUUGCAUGGGGUGAUAGGAUUUUUAGUACUUGUGCAAACAGUGUUAAAAAUCACAUAAAAUACUUGCAAGAAUACAAGGCUAUUGUAGUCUAGAUGCUCAUGCAAGGUCGUUUUCCUCAAGGACUAAUUAGCAAUUUAUGUAAAAAUAAAUUCCAAUUACUACUUAAAAUAAAAAGUCAAGAAAGAUGAUUAUAAAUUUGGUUGAUUCUAAAAAACAAAUAUUAAACAAAAACAAAUACGAUUGAAAGAAAGAGUUUUGAAUAUCAAUUUAUAAAAACACUAGGGUUUCACCAUCACCUAGCAAUCCUAUGAACUUUUACCAAUUACUUAUGAUUUGCACAUGCCACUUUGAAGGUUAGGUUUUCCUAAUGUAUAUUCUACUUAGAACCUCCAACACAGAAUGUAUAUCCAACAUGCAACCCGUCCGGACGUUCGGAUCAAAUCUGAACAUGAAAGACUCAUUAAGUUUUGUGAAAACCCUUUGAAAAACCAUGCAACCCUUAAGACGUGGUGUUCAUCUUAAGUGAAAUUACAAUUAUUAAUCAGAAGAAGCUAGCAUCAAUUUCAGGGAACCUUCCGACCAAAAUUGCAUCCAAUUACUUUUCUAAAGAUCCUAAUGGUGAUCAGGCAUUAAGACAAUUAGAUAGUUUAAAACAGUGAUUAACAAUUCAAAAUACGCAUGCACUCAUCAUAAGCAAUUAAAUAAAAAUCACAUAUUCAUGCUAAGGUUCAAGGCUUCACCCUAGCAAAAGAAAUUUAGUUACGCAUACUCAUAAUUGAAAUCCAAGAAAAUAUCAUUAAGAAGAAAAGAACGAAAACACCUGAAAGUUGUGAAAACCCAAAACCCUAGCAAUUGCUCUCCACAAUGCAAAGUUCAAAAGUGAAAAGGGAGUCCUCCAUUCCUUGUGAGAAAGAGCUUAAAUACCCCUUAAAACCUAGCUGCCAAUGUACAGCUUUUCUAUCCCCACAAGGAAACUAAUUAAAAUAAAAUAAUACUAGGAAAUAAAGUCCAAAUUGGAAUAGGAGAAUCUGCUCAAAAUCUGCCCAGCCACGUUUUGGCCCCAAAUCUCCUCCAAAUCUGGCCCAAGAUAGCUUGUUUUAAAGAUAAAAAAUGUUCUGAACACUUCUUUAGAAGGCCACGAACCCAUCCGAGGUCAUCUUGGGCUCCAAAAACGCAAUAAAAGCCCAACACGUCACUAUUCCAGCACCGCGCACUGCUCCUUUAUUUUGUUGCCAGAAAAUAACCGCUUGGAAGAAAAAUCUGAAAUUUUGAUACGAUCAAGCUAAGUGACUCAAGAACGUCCUCCAACUGGAAUUACUCCAAAAUUCCUCAAUUUGAUUAUGUUUUGCUCCAGAGAGAUUCGAAAGUCCUAUAUUGGAAAUAUAAUUCAAAGUAUCAAAAGUCUUCCAAAAUAAUAACCAAAAUAUACUAAGAAUGAGGUUAAAUAUAUAAUAUAAAAUAUGUCCAUCAAAAUACCCCCAAACUUAGCUUUUGCUUGUCCUCAAGUGAAACAAGACUCAAACAAAAAUAAAAACUUAACAGAUUAGACAUCUGGCUAACACUUAACUAGGACAAAAUUUCCACCUUCAAGUUGCAAUCCAUAGAAAAUUUUAAAAACUAGAACAUCCUUUCAAUAGAUCUAAGUAAUCCCACCACAAAGUCUAAGCUAUUUAGACUCAAUUAGAAAAGAAUUCACAAACUUCUUUCGGUGCAAAGUGAACCAUUAUGGUUAUGGAGACUUGACUAAAACCCUUAACUCUCAUCCCUUUUAUUCAUACUUCACACACUCCACACUUUUUGUUUUUUUUGUUUUUUGUUUUUUGUUUUUUUGUUUUUUUUUCUUUUUGUUUUUAUAGUAACAGUAGUGGUUGUGCAAUGUUGGUUCCCUUAAGCUUUCAAUCCAACCGUGUAGCCAGCUUUAGGUCAAUGUCUCCCAAACCACUCGGGUUUUAGGGCACUAGGUGUAGAACACCCCUAAGGACUUAUUAACUCAAGCUGAAAAGGCUACGAAACCAACUAACCACCCUGCCUCAUGCCAAAACUCUACCUUUUGUCUCGAGAAUCACUGCUGAUUAGGCAGGAUUGACCCGGUUACUAGCAAAGCUUCGGGUGAGGUAAUUAUUACUUUAUAACACAAACUAACUUUAUUUAUAUUGAACAUAAAUUAAAACACAUUUGGACAAAAAGUAAGUAUUCCAAUCUCACUCCCCAAAAACCAUGUUGGUGUGAUGUGCAAAUUUCAAAGUAUAAUUCAUGAAUUAAUGUCUAAGCAACAAUAAAUAGAAAAUACUCUACCGUGGGAUUGAUUUUCACCAUGUCCAUUUGUUCUAACGUUUAAAAUAAUCUAUGGAUAUUGACUGAAAAACGAAAAUUUGUAAACAAGACUCAAAAAAUGAAAAAUAAAAAAAAUUACGUUCCCACCCCCUAACUUAAAUCACACAUUGUCCUCAAGGUGGGGUAAAUAAUCAAAAGAAACAAGAGCAGAAACAAAACGACUAAAACUUAGAAAAUGGAAAUCAAAAAUAAAGAAAAUACUCUAAGAAAAGAAAUUAGGAAGGCAAAGGAUGAGAUCCAGAUGGAUCUGGUAAUCCUAUCCGUAGAGAUGGAAAGAUUCUAUACACGCCAUUGAGACUGGAUUUGGAGAUGAGGAUUUGACCCUACCUUGUUCGACGAAUUCCCUCAAGGGGAAUUAUAGCAAUAAAAUACAUAUGCUUCUACAAACAUUUAAUUGCACUGCUACGACGUGGAAAGAGUGCUUUGGGGUCUCAUCUCAUGUGAACCCGUUCGAGUAGAAAUCUUUCAUUAGAAUCAGAAAUGGGUCAUGGUAAAGAGAGGUAGAUGAUGAUUACAGUUCGGUAAAAAUGAUCAUUUCUGACAUUCCUCUCAAAGAACCGUGUUGGCAAUGUCGUUUAUCGAUUCUAAAGAAAGAAGAAAAAUAUCAACAAGUCAAAGAACGUGGAUUUCUUUUAAGGGGAGAGCUAGAACAAAAUCAAAUCACGAAUGGAAGAGUUUAGCUUUCAGAGGAAGAUUGAGCAUUACAGCAGCUAUUAAAGGAUAUUUUUAGUUGAAGAAUGAGAUUUUUCUUCCUCUGAUUGUUUAGCUAGAGCUUUUGGCUUGACUGCCAACGUGGUUGUGGAGGAAGAAACUUGGGAACCCGAGUAGUAGAUGCGAGCCCACUACCCAUACCCCUUUUGAGUGACAGGUAUGAAAUUUCAAGGAUGAAAUUUUUAUAAGAGGGGUAGAUUGUAACGACCCGGUCCUAAAUAAAUUGGUAAUUAUUAAUUUAUUCAUAUAAAAGACCAUUUUGCCCCCAUAAUAUUUUAAUAGGUUUACAUGUUGACUUGUUGACCGGGGAGGCUUUGGUGAAAUUGUUACAUCCCGGUCUGAAAAAGUGUUAAAAUAAUUAAAGUAAGAGAGAAUAAAUUGAAAUAAACAUUAAAAUAAAAUGAUUUGAAUUAAUUAAGGUGUUUGAGAAAUUAAAAUAUUAUUUAAAAUUAUAAGGGGCAAAAAGAUCAUUUUAAGUUUGGGAAGGAAUUUGAAAAUUUUGAUUGUACCGUUGUGUGGAGCACGUCGAAACGAGUCCGUAGACACAUAGUGGACUCGAAUCGGAGUUGUAACGAAAAAAUGGCGAUCAAAAGAAUUUCAGUGGCAUAACCGUAAAUAUUUUGAAGUUCAGUUUUUUUAAAACCCACAUUUAUUCUCUCUGGGGAGUGGGACGUGCCAACUUCAAAUGGUGAUUUCUCCCAACUCCGGCCACCAAUUCAAGUAAGACCGGCCCCGUUAGAACCACCACACUUCCCUCUUCCAGUCCCAGCCCAUCUCAGUCUCGAUCCGCCGUCGUAGUCGCCGAAAAUCGCCACGAAACAAGGUGGUUUGGAUAGUUUUUGUCGAAAUUUCGUGGAGCUCGUUCUCCCUCCUCCGGCCACCGUUUCAGGCGAGUGAGGUAUCAUUUCUCACCUAUUUUCUAUGAUAUAGCUGAUGGUUGGAUAUGAUUUGAUAAAUUUUGAGCGUUGAUAGUUCGAUUUUCGAAUCAAAGUUUGGCCGAAUUUCGGGAUGAAAUUCCGGCCACUUUCGAUCACUUUUUGGGGUAGGCCCAAGAACAAAAGUGUCUUCAAUUGAUGUCCUGAUCCCAGGGUAAGAGCAUUGGUCGAAAAUUUUGAGAUUUUCCUGCUGGUGGUAUCGCUUUGGGCACCCAUGCGCUGAUGGCGCGUGUGGCAGCGUGUGGGCACUGUAGCAGAGGGCCAUUGUGUCCCAAUGCGACCCCCUUGUUGUCACGAGUGCGUAAGGGUGCUCGGAUUCCAAUUUGGUUGAGGUUUGAACCCCGAAUGGAUUUCGUAUAUUGUACAUUAUCCGGGUUUGAUAGGUUUGAACCGUUGGAUAGUCUUGAAUUUAAUAUAUGUUAGUCUAGACAUCCCUAGGAUCAUAUAGGAUUUCGCGGAUCAUGGAUCGGAGCCCCGGAUGUUCUGAUUUAAUAAAUUAAAGUUUGUGUUUUACAAUAACCGUCCGAUCGUGCGAUCGCGAGCAAUCCGACAGUCCGAUCCGAACCAAACUUGCAGGACGGGUAUCCUAAAUCUUGUAGAACCCAUAGGAGCUUUCGGAUAAGAAUUUGGAGGUCGUGGGCCCGGUUGACCAAGAUUAGGUAGUUUGACCCCUCGGUUGACCAUGAGUCUUCCGAGGUAGUUUCACCCUUCGAGGAGUACUAGAAUGACCUUAUUACAUAGUCUCGACCUUUAAUUGAGCUAUGUUGACUAUGUUGAGAUUUUUAGAGUGUUUAUUAUUAUCGUAUGAAAACUCUUGGAUAUUACUUUUAAUAAUUGAAAUUAUGGAUUUGAUGAGCGUGGGUAAAUUGAUUUGAUGAGUGGUGAAAAGAAGUCGUGGGCUUGGCUAUGACUAUUAGGAAGUGAGGGGACAUUUAUGUUGAAUAUGCAUUAAUUUCAACAAUUGAAAGAACAUGCAUGGAAUGGGUAUAUAUAUAUAUAUAGAUAAAUUGGAUUAAAGAUUGAGAAAUUAAUAAGUUGAGAUAUUAGUAAUAUUUAAUUGAGAAAUGGAUUUUGAGGUGGAAAUUGGAAGGUUGAAUUUGGGGAAUUUUGGAAUUGAGAAUUAUGGGUUAAUACUGAAAGAUGUAGGAUUAUACUAUGUAAGUACCAUCCCCUAGUUACUAGGCUUCCCAUACGUGGAGUUGGAAUUUCUGGCGUGUGGGAAGGAUAUAUGAUUAUUAGAUCUCACAUGCCGUUGGAUUUUCCAGCGUGAGACAGACCCCAUACGUGGGGUUGGAUUUUUCGGCGUAUGGGGAGAUUAUGUGAUGGUUAGGUCACACGUAGGGUGGGAUUUUCCAACGUGUUGACAGACCCCAUAAGUGGCGUUGGAUUUUCCGGUGUAUAGGGAGAUUAUGUGAUGGUUAGGUCACACGUGGCAUAGGAUUUUCCAGCGUGUUGACAGACCCCGUACGUGGCGUUGGAUUUUCAGCGUAUGAGGAGAUUAUGUGAUGGUUAGGUCCCAUGUGGCGUAGGAUUUUCCGGCGUGUUGACAGACUCCAUACGUGACGUUGGAUUUUCCGACGUAUGGGGAGAUUAUCUGAUGGUUAGGUCACACGUGGAGUAGGAUUUUUCAGCGUGUUGACAGACCCCAUACGUGACGUUGGAUUUUCCGGCGUAUGGAGAGAUUAUGUGAUGGUUAGGUCACACGUGGCGUAGAAUUUUCUGGCGUGUUGACAGACCCCAUAUGUGGCGUUGGAUUUUCCGGCAUAUGGGGAGAUAAUGAGAUGGUUAGGUCACACGUGGCAUAGGAUUUUCUGGCUUGUUGACAGACCCCAUAUGUGGCGUUGGAUUUUCGCGCGUAUGGGAAGGAUAUGUGAUUAUUAGGUCUCACAGGUGGCGUUGGAAUUUCCGGCGUAUGAGACACUAACAGUGAGAAGAGAAUGAGAUUAUUUUUCUAUAUCAGAGAAAGGUUAGAGUAUAAAAAGAAAUAUGUUUGGUGUGUGGUAAUUUAAAUUAAAACAGGGAAAGAUAACUUACCUGUACUACUGAAACAGUUGUGUAACAUUUGGAGCAUGAUUAUGGAGUGAAAGAACUACGUGUGGCUUGAUCUCUCAGUAAGGGUACGUAGGCAACCUAGGUGCAGUCGUAGACUAAACGUUAUUUAUGUUGUUUUAUUGAGAUUGGUUCUGACCCUGUCGUUGGUCCUGAAAUUCGGUUGAAAACUAGAUGCGAGUAAAUAAUUGUUCAUACUCCCGUUUCGUUGAGGGAGGAUUGUGUAAAUGUGUUCUGGUCAAGACAGGUAUAAGAACUCGUUUAGGAUUGAUGUACGAUUUGGGCUAAGGCCUUAAACUACUUGUUGUUGUAUUAGGAGAUUAAAACCUCGCAUGUGGGAUAAUUGGGAAAGUUAGAUGAUGUAAAGUGCACUUAGGCAUUCAUAUAUAUGUUUAAAUUUAUUAUUUGUCUUGCUUAACGUAAUUGUUUGACUUAUGGGCUUUAUUGGUGAUUUGCUUCAGAUUAUUUAAAGGCCGAAGGCCGUUUAUGUGAAUUGCAUUUUGAUACAUUGUGCAUGCUACUAGUUGUGGAUAUUAAAUGUGUUUUAUGCAGGUUGAAAUUUUUGGGAUUGUUCAAAUUACAGGGGAGACUGCCAAAAUUUUGAUAGAAAGUCUCGGUCAUUAGUAAGUGGGCCCGGCAUCGAGGUGAUGUCGGAAUUUACACAAGAUUCCUCUCGGGUUUUCAGGAAUUCGGGGCGGAUCCUGUUACUUGGGGUGCAAAUUAUCCAUUUGUUCACCCGUUUUCGUGUUUUACUUCUGAGGUGGAAGGGCGAAGUUUCCCACUGGCUUGGAGACCACUUGUUGGUCGACAAGUCAGCUUUCUUUGGUGUGUGUGAGCGUGCCACUGCUAGCAAUGUAAAUUCUAGCAGACUUAUUUUUUAGAGUGGAUAACUUGCGCCUCAAGUUACUGACUUCUAAAACAAAUGAUUGUGAAUUUGGGUGAGGAAUAUCUCCCAAGUAAGUUCUUUUCUUGCCUCAAACUGGUGAGGACUUUCACAAUUUAUCUCAGUAUCAAAUGGUUGUUCUGGCCAGAAUAGAUAAUAAUAAAGUAGACUGUUUCAGGCAGAACUGCCUUUUACAAAAUUAAGAAGGGAGAAAUCAACUCUAGAAAGGAAAAAAGAUGGCUGGAAUCCCAUUUCUGCCUGGGUAGAAACUUCUGAUCCGGGCUGGACUGGGUAUGUCUAUGCUGGACGGUGCUGUCAACAACUUUAGCUUGCUCGGCUUUAGUUGUAAAUCGAUACCAAAGUUCAAUUUUGGCAGAGCUUCAAUCUACUUCAAGCCUUGGGAGACUUUUGAGUGGGCAGAACUGCAGCUUCUUCAGUUUGAAGGGACAGAAGUGGCUAUUCUCGAGGAUUUAGCAAGCUGGAACUAUGCUAUAAAAUUUGUUGAGGUUUUCAUAUUUGUGAAAACUCAAACUAUGUUUGUCUUGGCUUUUGCUGAACCAAAUUUGUAACGAGAGGGAUCUUGUUUUCAGAAGACUUAUUUUCUAAGUCUGAACUUUGGAAUUCUGAUCUAAAGCUGUUUUCUUGUUUGUUUUUUUUUGAUUGACUGAUGAAUUGAGUGUCCUUUGUUUCUUUGCCUUCUUUCGCUUUUAUAAGAGAUCCUCCUAAGGAGGUCAUUUUUAAUCCUAAACAAUGGGCGGCAAAAAGAUCUCUUAUAAUGUAAAGUAAGAAGGGUUUCUUAUCAAUCAAGGCAGAUAGGUUCUGAGCAGUCACCUCCUAAAAACAGUCCAUUCCCUGGUUUCCUGGGUGGCAGCUUUCUAAUUCAACCAACGCCACCGUCUGUGUGGGCUUUUUAUGGCAGUUUUGGCUCUUUUCUUUUGUAUUUUCUGAGUGGUUCCCUGUUUCCCGUUCUAAUUUAGAAAGCGUGAUUCGUGAAUUCCUUGGGAGAUGGUGUAUUGAUUUGGAGCAAAAUCUUGAACACAGAUGGGUUUUUGAUCUUCAAUUGGCAGUGUUUCAGAGACGUCCCUCUCACAUUUUUAAACUUUAGUUGGAAUUGCUGACUUUUCCAAAGUUGAGGCAAUCACGUGGGUGUGUCUUUGAUCCCUUGGUUUUGAAUCUAUCGAAAAUUACGGGCUGAUCUUUGAAGCCCAUUUCGAAAGUUUCCACAUCUGGGCUUUCUUUGGGCUGAGGCUUUAUUUCCAACAUUCUUGGUGUGAAGCCCAAACUGUCUGGGUCUUAUUUUCGUUUUUCUCAAGUCUCUGGGCUGGGCAGGCAAUUUUAUCAUGGGCCUGUCUUCUGGUCUUGGGCGUGCCGAAUUUGGGCCCAAACAAUGCCCCCUAAGUCUGAAUCGUUUUGGAAUGGUUUCAGACUUAAUGUUUUGCCAUUUAAUUCACGUGCCAGUUUCUUCCGUGUUUUCGCCCACGUCUGCCACGUUUGCCUGCUACGAACUAGAGUUCGUGGGAAAACGGCUAGUUAUUAUCUAGUUACUAGCUAAUAAUCAUCAGGUGCCGUCCCAUCUUCUUCUUCCCACGUUUUCGAGCCCCUCUUUAAAAGAAAUUCAAAUUCAUAGCUUCUGAAAAAAGAAACCCUAAACCUUCCAGCUCUUGUUCCUGCGAGUUCUUUCUUCGAGAUUUCCAAAGCCUUCUUUAGACCUUCCUUUCUUCUGCUUCUUCCCUUGAAUCAGAAAUGUCUUCCCCAAGGUCCCGCGCUCAGUCUUCUUCCGCUUCAGUUCCUCCCGAUUAUAUCACUGGGAGCGGGAUUGAUGCUCACGCGAUAGAAAUCAGGAGCAAGCUUCAUCCCUUUGCCCAGAAGAAUCUGGACGAGAAUGUCCUCCAUUUGUUUGAGAACACCCUGGUGUUAGGGCCUCACUGGUUUGGUCCUGUUCCAGCUGAGAUGGCAGAAUUGCUAAAAAAGGAUGCCGAGGCUCCUUUGUGUUUUGAGAGCUCUUCUGCCCUGGCUUCUUAUUCUUGGGUUAGCAAGAAUUUGAGCCGGUCCUUCCCGUCCAGCGAGGUGAGGAAUAGUCUGGUCAAAUGGGCAGACUGGAUUGAUAGACUUCUCCCGAGAUAUGGGGGUCACUGGAGGAGAGCUGGGAUUUAUGACGCCAUUUUUCUGUCCAAACAAUCGAUUAACAGAGAUGAGAAUCUGCUUGCUGCUGCUUUAUGCUUCUGGAAUUCUGCCAGCAAUACAUUUGACUUCCGCGUGGGUCCUAUGGCGCCAACCUUGCUGGAUAUGGCUCAGAUUUUUGGGUUCAGGCCCCAUGGUAGGCCUGUUGAUGCCAUUGGAGAUUAUCACAGGCGAAGGAAUCAAGAGAAAGUGGCCACCCCUUUUACUAUCCCUCCAGCCGUGAUCAACCAGAACUGCUCUUUCUCCAACUAUCUGAAGAAGUUCAGUGCUGAUAAGGACAAGGAUCAGCAACAUAUGUUGUUCCUUCUGUAUUGGCUGAAUUGGUUCGUUCUCCCCAAUCGGUCUUCUGCAGUUCUGCUAGAGUACAGACACUUGGCAGAAGCACUCCACAAUCACACUGAUGUGGGGCUCGGGCCUACAGUUCUGGCUCACCUUUUCAAGAAUCUGCAUACUUCCACCCUGGAGAACCCAUUGAACCUGUCAGCCCCUGGCGCAUUCUGGAUGAUCCAGAUCUGGCUGCAGGUUUAUUUUCCAGAACUAAGGUUCCCAGACAUAGUUCUGCCUGAAGAUCAAGUCCUGGCUCUUCCUCUGAUGUCGGCAGAAGUGCCCAAGCAUUCUAUUGAGGAGUAUUUGAUGCUCUUCAGGCAUUGUACAAAGAGGUCGGCAGCUCAGUGGCAAGUGGUGAUCAGGAGGACCUAUCCUUGGUUCCAGACCGGAUUUCGGUUGUUUGAGAAGGAGCCAGAAGAUGAAGCUGCCAGAACAGAUUUCAGGAGGAAAUUUCUGAGCAUUACUCUGCCCAGAGAUCUACCCCAUGGUGGGGGCAAACCUCCAAACUAUCAUCUGGGGGCAGAAGUCUACCAUCCCAACUUCUGCGCGAGGCAGCUUGGUUGUCCCCAACUCAUUCCGCUGAAAUCAUAUCGGAGUUGUAACCGGGCCUCUUCUUGGAGGGAUGCAGAUGAUCUGGAGGUGCACAAGGAUGCCCGGUGUGCAGUGAACAAAAUCAACAACAGCACGGAUGCCCUCUAUCCCUCGUGGGAGCUGAAUUCCUGCAGUUCUGCCGACUUUGACGCAUGGUGGAAAGCCAGAUUCCAAAGUCUGCCUGCUUCUGUCACUGCCCUCAAGGUGCUGUUUGAUGGUUGGGAAAACUGGGUCGUUUUUGCGAAUGGGGAUGCCAAGACGCAUAUGAUCCAGACCAUCAAGGAUAUUAACGCGCAAAUUAUAGAAGGUAGAUUUCUGAUUCUGUAUGGGGUUCGUUCUGUCCUGAUGAUUGAUUUCUAAUGUCUAUUCUGCCUGUAUCAGAUCCUUCUUUGACCAGCGUAGGUGGGCAGUCUGUUCAUGCUGGGGAAGUGAUUGGUAAGUCUUUUCUUUUAAUUCUAUUCUGUCUUUUCCUGCUGGAUUGGUCUCUAAUGUCUAAUGCCUUGGUGCAGUCUCUUCCGUUAUUGCUGCCGGGGACUUGGAGCUCCCUUCUGCGGAUGAAGGAGAUGAGGUCCAGACAGAACAAACACCUACCGAGGCCGCUCUUUCUGGCAGAAGAAAAAGGAAAGGACCUGCCCCUCCUUCGGAUAAUCCCACGCGGCCUGGUAUUUCAGGUAAGCUCGUGAUGUUCCAACCAUUCUCUUUAAAUUUAUUAUGUCUUGCCUUCUUUUCCCUAAUACUGCUUUUUGUUCUGUGCAGCUGGAAGUCCUUCCCCUCCUCCUACCAAGUUGAAAAAACUUAAAAAGAGGAGUGAGGAGGAGUAUGUCGCCGCGGAAGAGACGGCAGCAAUUCCCACCACUACCUCCGGGACGGAUGAAGAGCUGCGAGAGGCUUUUGAGGAGGUGGAGCAGGAAAAAGAAUUGGAAGAGCUGGAAGAAACGCCUCAGGAAAAAACGGCAGUGGCGGAAGGAGAGGUAAGUUUUAUUUCUGUGAUUCGCAUCAGUUCCCUUCUCGCCCUGUUUCUUCCGUUCUGACCCUUAUUUUGUAGGAGAAGAUCCCUGCUGAGGUGAUUGCAGAGAGCAUUGCCUUGGCGCAGAAGCAACAAGGGGGUCCAAGGGCUGAGCGGACUAGCUCAGAACUAGCCCUAUUUGAGGAUGCUGAGGCAGAGCAUUCUACUGCCGUUCCAGCGGCUGAGGAUCAGGCGGAACGGUCUGCAUCAGAGCCUGUGGAUCAGGCAGAGCUGUCUGUUGUGGUUCCGGAGGCUGAAGUGGAAACAACCGCCGCUGCCCCUGUGGUUGUGGUAACUUUCUUUCUUUAUCUGUCCACACUCUCCUGCAUUUCUGCCUUGUUCUUUAUUUUUAACUGUUGUAGCCUUUUCAGGUAGAAGUGCCUAAAGCUGUUGGCGUCCUGGCAGCGGUUACCAGUCCCCAGAAGCCUCCCAUUGUUGCUGUAAGUUUUCAUAACUUUUGGGCCUUUAUUUUCCACUUUCUGCCUGGUCUUACCUUAUGCUUUCUUCUUGCAGAUGCCAAUUCAUUCCCUUCCAGGAUCAUCUGCCACGGCUUCUUUUGCUGAUCCAGAACUCGAAGAGUUUGAAGCCAUGGAUCUGGAUGCCCAAUUGGACAGAUUGGAGAAACUCAGCUCUCCUCCAGGCAAGGCAAAAUCUAGGGCAGUGGAGGAGGCCAUGGAGAGGUUGAAAAUCUGGCAGUCUAAUGAGCUGGAGUUUGAUCAAGACAAUGAAGCCUUAAAUCAGCUGAUGAAGGACCUGGACCUGCUUCACAGACAGAACAUGGCUCCAAAACCUAUCCUUGAGAUGGGCCUAAGCUUGGCCAGAGAUGUGCUCAAUCUGCAUGAUCGCUAUGAGGAUCUCAGGCCUACUUUCAAGACUUCUGAAUUCUGCAAGGCCACUCAUGAAGCCAACCUGGCUGAUUUUGCAAAGCAGAAAGCAGAACUGGAUCAGAUGGUGGCCGGAUAUAAGGAAGCCAGGGCCACUGCGGACAAGCUGGAGAAGCCGAUGGAAGAGCUCCAAAAACAACUGGCAGAAUGCAGGGAGGUGCAGAGCAGGCUUGGGGCUGGACUGAGUUCUAAAACUAAGGCCACUUUCCUUGUGCAAAGUAUGGUUGCAGCUUCCAGGACAGCCUUGGAGAUUGCAGAGGCUUCAAUUCACCAGGGGGUGCUGCUCCAGAAAGAGCUUUCUGUCAAGAAAGCGAACCUGCAGGAGACUCUUAGAAAACUAGGAUUUUAGCUUCUUCUUUCCUUUUAUUGUUCGAAUAAUUUGCCGCAAAGGUGGCUAUUUUUAUAUAAGCUUUCAAAGCAUUUUACUGCUUUUCAUUUAUUCUUGAUGCAAUAACUGGAUACGGCUUUGAAAGUAAAAAACAGAACAACUUUAAAGCAAAAAUAAAUCUAAACAAAAUUCUUUUCAAGAAACAAAAAGGUCAAACUUGUUCCUCUUCUAUCCCGGGAUCUGUUUAUACAGCCUGCGAAUCCCACGUGGUUGGAUAGAACUUCUUUAACCAUUUACCAUUGAUUGGGGCAAAAUGAACAACUCCAUCUCGGUCCUGCAACCUGUAUGCCCCCAUUCCGAGGAUUUGGUUAAUUAUAAAAGGGCCUUCCCAUGUAGGUGACCAUUUCCCAUAUCCAGCUAUGUGUGCUCCAAGGGGCAGAAUUGCCUUCCAGACUAUCUCUCCCUCUUCAAAACUCUUGUUUUUGACUCUUUUGUUGUAGGCCCUUGAUACAGCCUGUUUUCCUGCUAAGAGUUUGUUGAGGGUGUCAAUUCUGCUUGCAUCCAAUUCUUCCAAUUCCAGCAACAUGGCUUGAGAGUAAUCCUCCCCAGUGAGACCAUGCUGGUGAGCAAUUCUAAGAGACUGGACCGCUAUCUCCAUGGGAAGAAUUGCAUCGUGGCCGUAGGUUAGAGCAUAGGGGGUCAUGCCAGUUGCUUCUCUCUUUGAAGUUCUGUAUGCCCACAAAGUUUCUGAUAACUUCUCAUGCCAUUACUUUGGAUUCUUCUCUAGCAUCUUUUUGAUGAUAUUGAUAAUCACCUUGUUACUUGAUUCCACCUGUCCAUUAGCUUGAGCAUAGUAAGGAGUAGAUUGAAGCAGUUUGAACUUGAACGUUUCUGCCAUAUCUAGCAUGUCCCUAGAUAUGAAAGAAGAACCCCUAUCGGUUGUGAUUGAUUCUGGAAUGCCAAACCUUUGUAUGAUCUGUUCUUCUAUAAAGGUGAUGAUCUCUUGAGAUGUUGUGGUUUUUACUGGCUUGGCCUCUACCCACUUGGUGAAGUAAUCUGUGGCAACGAUAAUGAAACAGUGCUGCUGGUUGCUGGCUGGAUAGAUUUUGCCAAUGAGAUCCAUUGCCCAUCCCCUGAAAGGCCAUGGUUUUACUACUGGAUUCAUGGGAACCGAAGGAGCCUGCUGGAUUGGGCCGUGCCUUUGACAGGCUUCACAUCCUUUGGAGUAGUUGAUGCAAUCCUUCAUCAUGGUUGGCCAGAAGUAGCCAUACCUUCUGAUUAACCAGCACAUCUUUCUUCCCCCUUGGUGAGCUCCACAGAUCCCCUCAUGGGUUUCUCCCAUGGCUUUCAUAUAUUCUGUCUUCCCGAGGCACCUUAAUAGUACCUCAUCCUUACUUUUUCGGACCAAAUCUUCAUUCCACAUGAGGUAGUUUGUAGCCAUGAUUCUGACUCUUUUCUUAGAGGGCAGAGUGGGAUAUCGUAAGUAAGUCAUGAUAGGCUCCCUCCAAUCAUCUUCAGUGAUCAAGGCAGAAUUGACUUCUAUCUCCAUUCCUCUCGUCAAAACAGAUGGUAGACUUUUCCUUCCUAUCUUGAUGAUCCUUUGGACGCAGUCUUCGGGCAUUUGUAUGCCUGAUGCCACCUGAGCCAGUUCAUUGGCUGCAAAGUUUUCCUCCCUUGGGAUGUUCUCCCAAGUAGCUUCUCUAAAUUCUGUUAGCAGAUUUCUAGCUGCUACUAGAUAUACAGCCAGAGAAGGAUUCAGACACUUAUAUUCUCCAGCAAUCUGUUUUAGGACAAGCAUGGAAUCUCCCAAGAUCUCCACGGACUGGACUCAUAAUUCUACCAACAUCUCGAGCCCUAUAAUCAAAGCCUCAUACUCGGCCAUGUUGUUGGUGCAUUGGAAAUCUAGCUGGAAGGAAUAGCAAUGUCUGACCCCUAAUGGUUCUUCCAGAACAAUCCCUGCUCCUGAAGCCUUGUCUGUCUUUGAUCCAUCAAAAUAUAACUUCCAAGGUGUGAGAUGAAUCGAGUAGAUUGGAUUGUUAAGGCAAACAUGAGCUCUAGUUAGCAGAUCUGCAUUUGCUAUGUCCAAAGAAUCCAUGUUUUCAAUUUCCUCUCCCGAGUGAUCUACCAAGAAGUCUGCCACAGCUUGCCCUUUGACAGCUUUCUGGGGGACAUACCUGAAGGUGAAUUCUGUCAAAGCCAAAGUCCAUUUCCCAAUUCUGCCCCUCAGCAUUGGUCUUGUUAGCAUGUAUUUGAUUAAGUCUGUUUUGGCAAUGAUGUAGAUAGUAUGUGGCAGCAUGUAGUGCCUGAGCUUUACAGCAGUGAAAUAUAAGGCCAGGCAAAGCCUUUCUAUUGCGGAAUACCUUCUUUCCACUUCUGUCAAUGUUCUGCUUAGAUAGUAGGCUGCCUGUUCUUUUCCUUCUUUGUUAUCUUGAACUAUUAGACUUCCAAUGGAUACUUCUGAUGCAGAUACAUAAAGCUUGAGGGGUCUGCCCCUUUUUGGUGGGGACAGAACUGGUGGAUUUGAGAGGUAAUGCUUUAUUUCCUGGAAAGCCUGUUGGUGCUGUUCUUCCCAUUUGAAUGUCUGUUCCUGCUUCAGUCUUAACAGGGAAGAAAAAGGUUGGAUUUUUCCUGCAGAAUUGGAUAUGAAUCUCCUUAGAAAAUUGAUUUUUCCUAAGAGACUUUGAAGUUCCUUCUUGUUCUGAGGUGGUAGAGCUUCUAUGAUGGAUGUUGCUUUAUUUCUGUCAACCUCUAUACCUCUCUGGUGGACCAAGAAUCCUAAGAAAUUCCCUGCUUGGACUCCAAAAACACAUUUUUUGGGGUUCAUUUUCAGUUUGUGCUGCCUCAUUCUUAGGAAUGCCCUUCUCAGGCUUGCUACGUGAUUUCCUUCCUCAGGGGAUUUAAUCACCACGUCAUCUAUGUAUACUUCCAAGGAAUGUCCUAUCAUAUCAUGAAAAAUAGAAUUCAUUGCCUUUGGUAGGUGGCUCCCGCAUUUCUCAAACCGAAAGGCAUUACAGUAUACUCGAAAGCACCUAUAUGUCCUGGACACAUAAAGGCUGUCUUGUGGAUGUCCUGUUCUGCCAUCAUGAUCUGGUUAUAACCUGCAUUGCCGUCCAUGAAAGAUAGCAUCUGGUUAUGAGUGGCUCCAUCCACUAGCAUGUCUGCCAUUGGCAUAGGAUAUUCGUCUUUAGGAGAUGCCUCAUUCAGAUUUCUGUACAAUAUUUGCUAACCAAUCGGAAUAGACGGCUGGCCUGAUGAAUCCUGCCUUGAGCAGCCUUUCUAUCUCUUCUUUGACCUUUAGUUCUGUGUCCAUAGACAUUCUUCUUCUGGCCUGUUUGACUGGAAGGUAGCCAUCUUUAAUUGGCAGCUUGUGCUCCACUCACUGCCUGUCCAAUCCUGGCAUUUCGUGGUAAUGCCAGGCAAAACAAUCUCUGAACUCCUGUAAAAGUGCCAUGAGUUCAGUCUUGAGUGGUUCCUUCAAAAGUGUGCUGAUGAAAGUAGGCCUUGGAUCUUCUUCUGUUCCUAAGUUUAUCUCCUGUAGAGGAUCCUCUACUUCUGGCAGGGAGUCAUCCAGUGCUGCUGGUGCAAAAUCUAAUACUUCCUCCUGUAAAAUUUCCUCCUCUUGCUCUUUUGUGCUUUCAUGGGUGAAUUCUGCCAUAUUGAUGGCUGGAUUCUGUAUGAAAAGCCUCCUUUCUCCCCAGUAUAUCAACAAUCUUUUUGUGAUGGAUCGGAUUGUUGCAGCUCGAUCCUUGUCUAGUUGAUUCGGACUAAACAUCAGAGUUCUGGAAGUUCAGCACAAAAAGGUCUAUUCCAGUCCUCUAGAGAACUGGCUAAACCUUCUUCAAUGAGUCUUUGGGCCGUGACACCAUGUGGACGGCCGUUCUGAUUGACUCCAAGGAAAGUGAAAGGACCGAGGUCAUCAUGAUAAUACCUUGUUUCAAAGCACAUGGCAGAGGGCAGGAAUGGCCGUGGAUCAGCCUCUAUAAUCUCCAUGCAGCCUUCUUCAUUCCAUAGUGCUAACUGCGGGUGGAGGGUGGAAGGAAUACAAAGGCUCUGGUGAAUCCAAUCCCUGCCAAGUAGUGCAUUGUAGGUGGUGGAAGUAGUGUCUAUAACAAAGAAUGCUAUUUUCAACUCUUUGCUUCCGAUUAUGACAUCCACAUCUAAGAUGCCAUGUAUUUUGGUGAUGCAACCAGAAGUUGGUGACGGUCAAUCGUGUUGGAAUCAGAUCUUUCUCUGUCCUGCCCAGCUUGGUCAGCAUUCUGUGGGGUAAUAGAUUAAUGGCUGCACCUCCAUUUACCAUGAUCUUGGAAAUAGGAAUACCCCCAAGAUUUGCCGUUAUAAACAAAGGUCUGAGGUGAAACAAGGUUGCUCUGUAGCUGGUUUAUUGGCUGUUCUGCCUGUCUUGGGGUUUUCUGCUUGUGGUUCUGGUGGCUCCUCUGCUUCUGCCAAUCUACAUUCAAAGCUUUCCUGAGAGAAAACAUCCCCUUCCAGAGUGCUUUCUUGUCCUUCGGCUGCCCUGAAUUUACUUGGUAGGAUGAAUACCAUGUUAAUUCCCAGAUCACCCUGUAGGAGGUCUUCUAAUUCUGCGCCAAAAGCUUCUGUUUCUGGGUCCAAUUCUACACCAAAUUCCAUUAAUUCUUCCCCGUAUUCUUCCGUCCAGUCAUCCUGUUCUGCUACUUCGAGGGGCUCUUUCUGAUCAUCUGCGGAAGGUUCAUAGUCCAAUUGCUCUUCUUCAUAUUCCUCAGUGUAGUCGUCUUCUCCUUGUAACGGGGUAGACCCAGAUUUCUCUGGUGUCUGCGUGGUGUCAGGACGGCUGCUGGACGACGAGGCCACAUGGAUAGGAGACCUGGCUGGGGGUUCUGUUUUCAGCAAUUCCCUUGACUGGCAAGCUUUCUGUUCUGUCUGGGGAAGUGUUUCAGGAUUUUUUCCUUUCCUAGCAGAACUGGGUUGUGAACGUACCUGCGUAUUAUCUUGGCUCUUAAGAUAUGUGCAGUAUUGCCUCUGGAUUCUCCUUUUCUGGGUUCUGGUUAGCUCCAGAGUCGGUCUACCGCUUCUUCCUACGGAAUACCAUCUCCCUUCUAUGAUCGUUGCCAAGGAUCUUUCGUUUCUGGGCAUCUUGACUGGUAUUUCCUUUCUGGGUUGCUCCAUCCUCCUCUCGCUGUAUUGUGUAGGCCUAAGACAGCUCUUCUGCCUUGUUUUGUCUCGGGAUGAGGUUCCAAUUCUGUCAAAGACACUAGGUGUGGGCUGAUUUUGUCUGUCUAGAACCACCUCUAGCUCUGUUUCACAUUUGCACCUACUGCAGAGCACUACCCCAGCCGAGAUGGUCGCUCUUGGUAUUUGACUGGUCUCCCUUAUGAUUCUUCUGCCUCUGCUGCAACCAGCAUCUGUGAUUGGCUCGGUUUUCCUCUGUUCUGGCCAAUUUAAGUUGACCAUAUUGACUUGUGGUUGAGGAAAAGGAUCCGUUGUGACGGAUGGUGGUUUUUCUGCCAGUUUCAACCUUCCUGCCGUUAUCCCUUCUUGUAUUACGUCCCUGAAAACAACACAACUAUUGGUAGAAUGGUUCCAAGAGUUGUGCCACCUGCAGUACUGUCUGCCCUUGAGUUCUUCCGGCUUCGGUAUUCUGUGAGGCGUCUCUAUUGCCUUCUACAGUAGCAUUUCGUGGAACAAGGCAUCAACCUUGGUUAAGUCAAAAGAGUAAACCUUGUUUUACGUUGGUUUGUUUGGAACGAAUCCUCCUGUGAAUGGUGGUGGCUUUUGGUCUUUAGGUGGCUUUGUGAGGGCUUUGCAACUAAUGGGAUGUUUUAGUUUUGCCAUUUCUGCCACUGAAACCUCUUUCUCUUCUGAUUCUUCUGCAUCUUCUUGUGAUUCCACCUCGAUCAGGUGGACUGAAGAAGAAGGGGUUUUAUAGUAUGUACCUUUGGAGGAGUUCCUCCUUUGCUGUUCCUCCCUGAGUAACUCCUCAUAUUUGGAUGCCUUAUCAGCCAGUUCUGCCAGAUCUCCGAACAAUAUCCCGUCGAACCUUUUCCUGAGAGAGAUUUUAAGGGCAACUUGGGCCAUCUGGAUGAAGUGUCUUUCUUCCAUCGGGAUUCGGCACUUCAUUUUGAGCUUUCUGAACCUGGUUAUGAAAUCUUGGGCCGGUUCAUCUUCACUUUGCUUGAGGGCAGCUAGAUCACUGAUGGUGACUUCUGGCUGAAUCCUGUAAUAGUAGUCAUGGAAGACAUUUUCCAUCUGUUCCCAGGUUUGAACAGAGUUAGCUGGCAGGCUGGUGUACCAGGUAAAAGCUUGCCCAAAAAGAGAGUUGCCGAAAAGCCUUAAUUUCAGCAGAGGGUUGCUUUCUAUAGCUAUGCAUUGGACGGAGAACCUGCCUAUAUGUUCAACUGAGGAAGAAUGGGGGUCUUCCCCAUUGAACAAAGUGAAGUUUGGCACUUUGAAACCUGGAGACAACAGUAUUUGAUCGAUAUAGGCUGGGUAUGGCUUUCUGUAAGUAGGCCUUUCCCCUAUUCUAGCCUCGGGUUCCAUGAUUUCUCUGAUCAUUCUUUGCAACGCUCCUAUGUCAUUCAAAGCAUUGACUGGGGGAAGAUUUUGUCCCUGUUCUGGCUGAACGUAAUCAAACCUGGGCUCUGCUCUGUGUGGUCUGGGUGGAACUUCCUCCCUGUGUUCUUCCUGCUCUUCGACUUCUGGAUGAUUCCUCCAGUUUGCCCCCGGUCUAUUCCUGUCAUGAUUAGCAAAAAGGUUGUUCCCUCCUCGGCCUCUCCUCCUUCUUGCAAGUGGAGGGAAUGGAUUAGGGUCCAUCCUUCUGGGUCUAUAUGGCAAUACUGCCGGUGGUUCAGGCAGAAGCGCCAAAGGUUGAUCAUGUGGGAGCACAUGAAGUGGAAUGGGCUGAGGUUCUGGCUGGUUCUGAGCCAGUGCCAGGUUAUCUGGUUGAGCUGGGGCUUCAUGUUUUUGAUUAGGAAGGGCUCCUUCCCUCGGACCAGCCUGAAUUUCUCCGUGGUCUGGCACUCCAGCCAUCUGUGCAACUAGGAAAUUUUCCUGGUAUGGCCAUAUUAGUCCUGGCGGAGGGCCAUAAGGGAGAUCCAACUGCUGGAUUACAGGAUCUGGGUUUGGGUUUCUGGCCAUGGCGGAUUCUCGGUCCUUCCGGAACUGUCUGUUUACCUGCCAUUACAUCAUGGCUGUCAUGUUAUUGAGAGUGUCCUGGCUCCUUCGUACUGUGAUCUCUUGUCGGAGUACUGACUCCUGUAUUUGAUUCAUCCUUUUGGAGCCAGUCCUGGAACGUCUACUUCCUGUACUGCCGUGGGCAGAUUGCCUAGCAUCGCUUUUUUCUGAUUCGAGGCCUUCCCUGAGAACCAUCUUGUUUUUCUCCAUAUCUGGUGUGGGUUCUGACUAGAUCUUCCGGUAUUUGUGAAUCUGUGAAUGAUUCUGUCAGAGUAUAUAUACUGAGAAGUCCCACUGGGUGUGCCAAAUUAUUCACCCGUUUUCGUGUUUUACUCCUGAGGUGGAAGGGCGAAGUUCCCCACUAGCUUGGAGACCACUUGUUGGUCGACAAGUCAGCUUUCUUUGGUGUGUGUGAGCGUGCCACUGCUAGCAAUGUAAAUUCUAGCAGACUUAUUUUUUAGAGUGGAUAACUUGCGCCUCAAGUUACUGACUUCUAAAACAAAUGAUUGUGAAUUUGGGUGAGGAAUAUCUCCCAAGUAAGUUCUUUUCUUGCCUCAGACUGGUGAGGACUUUCACAAUUUAUCUCAGUAUCAAAUGGUUGUUCUGGCCAGAAUAGAUAAUAAUAAAGUAGACUGUUUCAGGCAGAACUGCCUUUUACAAAAUUAAGAAGGGAGAAAUCAACUCUAGAAAGGCAAAAAGAUGGCUGGAAUCCCAUUUCUGCCUGGGUAGAAACUUCUGAUCCGGGCUGGACUGGGUAUGUCUAUGCUGGACGGUGCUGUCAACAACUUUAGCUUGCUCGGCUUUAGUUGUAAAUCGAUACCAAAGUUCAAUUUUGGCAGAGCUUCAAUCUACUUCAAGCCUUGGGAGACUUUUGAGUGGGCAGAACUGCAGCUUCUUCAGUUUGAAGGGACAGAAGUGGCUAUUCUCGAGGAUUUAGCAAGCUGGAACUAUGCUAUAAAAUUUGUUGAGGUUUUCAUAUUUGUGAAAACUCAAACUAUGUUUGUCUUGGCUUUUGCUGAACCAAAUUUGUAACGAGAGGGAUCUUGUUUUCAGAAGACUUAUUUUCUAAGUCUGAACUUUGGAAUUCUGAUCUAAAGCUGUUUUCUUGUUUGUUUUUUUUUUAUUGACUGAUGAAUUGAGUGUCCUUUGUUUCUUUGCCUUCUUUCGCUUUUAUAAGAGAUCCUCCUAAGGAGGUCAUUUUUAAUCCUAAACAAUGGGCGGCAAAAAGAUCUCUUAUAAUGUAAAGUAAGAAGGGUUUCUUAUCAAUCAAGGCAGAUAGGUUCUGAGCAGUCACCUCCUAAAAACAGUCCCUUCCCUGGUUUCCUGGGUGGCAGCUUUCUAAUUCAACCAACGCCACCGUCUGUGUGGGCUUUUUAUGGCGGUUUUGGCUCUUUUCUUUUGUAUUUUCUGAGUGGUUCCCUGUUUCCCGUUCUAAUUUAGAAAGCGUGAUCCGUGAAUUCCUUGGGAGAUGGUGUAUUGAUUUGGAGCAAAAUCUUGAACACAGAUGGGUUUUUGAUCUUCAAUUGGCAGUGUUUCAGAGACGUCCCUCUCACAUUUUUAAACUUUAGUUGGAAUUGCUGACUUUUCCAAAGUUGAGGCAAUCACGUGGGUGUGUCUUUGAUCCCUUGGUUUUGAAUCUUUCAAAAAUUACGGGCUGAUCUUUGAAGCCCAUUUCGAAAGUUUCCACAUCUGGGCUUUCUUUGGGCUGAGGCUUUAUUUCCAACAUUCUUGGUGUGAACUGGACUAAACAGUUAGUCGGACCAGACCGUCUACACAUAUGAACUGGACUCACAAGCCUAUGUUUUUUGAGCUCCCAUAUUGGUCGAAACUCAAAUUGAGGCACAAUCUAGAUGUGAUGCAUGUUGAGAAAAAUGUAUUUAACACAUUGGUGGGCACGAUUCUAGAUAUCGAGGGCAAGACAAAGGACACAAUCAAAGCCCGUCUUGAUUUGGAAAGAAUGGGCAUACAAAGGGGUUUAUGGAUGAACAGGGACAGUGAUAAAGCUAGAAGGGAUCUUGCAUUCUUUUCUAUGAAACCGAAUGAUAAAAAAGAGUUUCUAAAGUUUGUAUCGUCUGUAAAGUUUCCUGAUGGGUAUGCUUCUAAUAUCGCACAUUGCGUGAAUGUUGACGAGGGUAAAUUUACUGGACUGAAGAGCCAUGACUGCCAUGUGUUUAUGCAACGCCUACUUCCUGUGGGUAUUCGACAUCUAUUGCCGGAAGAUGUUGUGAAGCCAAUCAUGUUGUUGUCCAGAUUUUUUUCCCAACUGACGGCAAAAACAUUGCGAAAGACAGACAUAUUUCAGUUGCGCCAUGACAUUGUCCAAGUCCUAUGCAAGUUUGAGAUGAUAUUUCCUCCAGCUUUCUUCACAAGUAUGAUGCACGUGAUGGUUCACUUGCCAGAAGAGGCAUUGCUUGCUAGUCCUGUCAACUAUCGCUGGAUGUAUCCAAUAGAAAGGUAUAUAAUCUUUAUCGUUUGUGUAUGCAUCAUUAUCACAGACUUGCUAAUUUGUAUCAUAUCGUUUUAUUUUGACAGGCUUCUCGGAGAGCUGAAAAAAAGUGUACGCAACAGGGCGAAGCCCGAAGGAUCAAUUAUAGAGGCUUGGGUUCAAUAUGAGUCGCUUACUUUCUGUGGAAUGUAUUUAAAAGAUGUGGAGACGGCUUUCAAUCGUCCUCAACGCAAUAACGACGAAGGUAUGAGAAAGGAAAAACUUUCUGUUUUUGCCCAAAGUGCACGACCCUUUGGAGAUCCUGGACGAGGAGAGUCGUUUUCUAGAAAUGACAUGGAGGUAGCGCAUUGGUUCGUACUGAACAAUUGUGAUGAGAUAAUGGCAUACUUAGAUAAGCAUGAAGAGAUGAUGAAGCGAGAACAUCCAUCACAUUUAGUUGCCCAGAAACACCGUGAAUUGUUUCCACAAUGGUUUUUGGAUUCUGUAAGUUAUAAGUGUUUUGUAUUUGACAAAUAUAAAUUGUAGUAUUUAAUUUUGUCAGACUAACAUGUGAAUGGUUUUGUAUUAUAUUAGGUGAAUAAGUUGAAAUCAUCGAAUUCCCCCACUUACAGUGAUGAGUUAUAUAACUUGGCGUUCGGCCCAAUUCGCGCUGAAUUGUUUCGGGUUGUUAUAUUAAUGGCGUCAAAUUUUUGGGAGCCGCACGAGAUGACAAGUUGUGUAUGCAAAACAGCGGUGUCCAUGUCCCAGGUGGAGGCGAAAGUACGAACAUUGAUUUCUAUGGCAAACUCACAACUGUCAUUCAAUUGCUUUACAAAGAUCGAUACUAAGUGAUCAUGUUUAAGUGUCGAUGGUUUGAUAGCAACCCAAAUAGGCCGGGAAGUGUUAAAAUCAACCAUGGCUUACUAUCUGUGAACAUUAACAGAACUUGGUAUGAUGACGACCCUUACAUUUUGGCAAACAUGGCAACACAAAUUGUGUAUCUAGAUGACCCUAAAGCCGGGAGCAGUUGGAAAGUUGUUCAGAAGAUGGAUCAUAGGAACUUGUAUGCUAUACCAGAACUAGACCCAACUGACAAUGACGUCAACAAUGUGGCUGACCAACGUUUAGAAUCUUCAAUGGAAAAUGAUGCGGAAACACUUCGAGAUACACAUGUUAUACAAGAACCGUUUCAAAUACAAGGAGUGUCUUCAAUCGAAAUACCGAUUCAGUCAAUUACAAUUGACCUCGGGGAUCUUCCAAGAUUCGAUGUUGCAGUGAGCCCGAGCAACGAAGAUGAUGUAGUUAUAGAGGAGGAGGAGGAGGAUUGGGAGACUGAAAGUGAUGAUAGCGAAGAUAACGAAAGUUAUUAUAGUUCAGAUGAUGAAUAAUUAAAUUUUUUAUAUUUUUAUUAUGCUAGUGUACAGACUUUGUGUAAAACAAAAGUUUGAAUAUAUGUAGUUGUGAUAUCCAAACCUUAUAUAUGUGGACAACUGAAACAUUAUUAAAAUAAAUUUAGUUAUAAAACAUCGGUAAAUCAAUAUAUCCAAACCCUUUUAAUAUUCAUUUAAAAUUUUUUUUUUUGACAAAAACGUUUACAAAAUGAAAAUGAUAAAAUAUUUGUUAUAAAACAUUGAUAAAUAAAUAUAUCCAAACCAUUUUCAUACAAAGUUUGAAAAUUAUUGACAACAAACAUUUUUCAAAAAUGAAAAUCCUUGCGCGACGAAGUACACCUCGUCACGCAAAGUUUGCGCGACCCAGUAAACAGUCGUUGUGUAAAGUUAAAACAUUGCGAGACAAAUUAUCAUCCGUCACGCGAUAGAAUUUUGCGCGACGAAUAUUUACUCUCGUCGCGCAAAUGUAUAUUCUUUUAUAAUAUAUUUUAUAUACACAUAUAUAUUCGAAAUUGACGAUCGAGUUAGUUCAUUGUAUUCAUAUAGGGUCAUGGAGUGUAGCUGUAAAAAAUCAUCAAAAUCGGAGUUAAAAUAACUGUUAAAUCAUGACUUUUCAUUUAUAACCGUUCAAAAAUUUUGUCCCGAUACUUGAUCUCUGAAUGUUUUUUUUUUCCGAUUUUUGGGGCCUAAGAUCUCGAAGUAUAAACAAACACGUUUGACGGCUGGAUUAUUGAAACUACUUUCGUAGAAUGCGUAUGCCAUCAAAACUAUAUAUUCACCAACAAUGAAUAGUUUACUUAUACUUUCAUUAAAUAUAACAUAAGAUUAUGUGGUAUCACCCUAGUGUAAACAUCUUAAAUUGAAGAUCAAAUUCAGUAAUUGUAUUCAUAUAGGGUCAAGAAAAGUAGCUAUAAAAAAUCAUCAAAAUCGGAGUUAAAAUAACCGUUAAAUCAUGACUUUUCAUUUAGAUUCGUCGAAAAGUUUUGUACUGUUACUUGAUCUCUUAACGUUUUUUUUGUCAGAUUUUCGGCGUAUACGAUCUCGAAAUAUAAAAAAACAAGUUUGCCGGUUAGAUCAUUAAAACUAGUUUCGGGUUUAGGAUUUCUGCAGUUUAGGGUUUAGGGUUUGCGCGACGAAGCCAUUUCGUUGGUCGCACAAAGCCUGCAAAGAACAGUCUUGCGCUACGAAACUAGGAUUCUUUGUCACGCAAUCUCAACCAGCCCUUUCACCCUCUUCCUCCUUGGACACUUAGCCAAAAAAAGUUGCGAGUUUACAGAAAGCGGCUUUGCGCGACGCUGCCGGUAUUCGUCGCGCAAUAUGUAUGCCAAUAAAACCUAAAUCCCAAAUUUUGGCGAAUUACAACUUUGCGCGACGAAUAUGGGAAGCUUCGCGCAAAGUUUUCAAUCUUUCCCGCUAAACCCUAAGUCCCAAAAUUUUGGCGGAUUGACAACAUUGCGCCACGAAAGAAGGUACUGUGCGUCGCACAAAGUUUUCAAUCUCUCCCGCUAAACCCUAAGUCCCAAAAUUUUGGCGGAUUGACAAUAUUGCGCGACGAAAGAAGGUACUGUGCAUCGCGCAAAGUUUUCAAUCUCUCCCACUAAACCCUAAGUCCCAAAAUUUUGGCGGAUUGACAACAUUGCUCGACGAAAUAUGGUACUGUGCGUCGCGCAAAGUUUUCAAUCUCUACCCAAUAUUUUGCCGGAUUGACAACAUUGUGCGACGAAAGACGAUACUGUGUGUCGCGCAAAAACUACCCUGAUACCAAAUUUUGGGAUUAACAAUAUUGCACGACAGAAGUUAUACUUAUGUCGUCGCGCAAGUGUCAAUUAAAAUAUUUUGCGUGACGCUUUUGUUUGUUCGUUGCGCAAAAUCGAAUAAAAUUGCAGAAACGACGCGAUAGCCUCCUUCUUCCCCAGAUUUGUUUUUCUACCCUAACUCUCUCUCUCUCUCUCCGCCUUCAGCUCAGCCCCCUACCCCAGUGGAUUUUGGACGACGGCGCCACAACAGUGGUACCCCGGAGGUUUCCCGCCGUCACCGUCGAGCCAGCCGCCCUAAUUCCUCGAUUUUCACCGAAUCUGCGCCGCCGUCGUUCUCUCUCCUUCGGCGACCAAAUCCGACACCUGAGGUAUGGUUUCUGUCCUAUUUUUGAUGCUUUAACUGAUGGUUGGGUAGGAUUUGUGUAAUUGUUGCAAUAGGGCAGUGGAUUUGAAACCCUAAAUUUCGACCGAUUUUUGAAUUCCAAUUCCGGCCACUUCUGGCCAUUUUUCAGGGUAGGUCCGAGAACAAAAGUGGCUCCAAUUGAUGUUUUGAACCUAGGGUAGGAACCUUGGCCCUUAGUUUUAAGAAAUUUUCGACGAUUGGUAUCGCUUUGGACACCCACGCUCUGCCAGCGCUUGUGGUGGCGCGUGGGGUACUGUAGCAGUCUUGCAUUGGGUCCCAGUGCAAUCCCAUAUUUGUCACGAGCGCGUAGGUGUUUUCGGAUUGGAAUUUGGUUACCGUUUGAGUCUCGAACGGAUUUUGCCUAUUGUGCGAUUUCCGGGUUUGUUAUGUUCGGACCGUUGGAUCGAACUCAAACUCACGUAUGGUGUACCUUGUAUUUCUUGGAUCGUCUAGGAUUCGACGGAUCGUGGAUCGGAGUCCCGAAUACUCCGAACUCGCAAACCCUAGGUCAAGAAUCUUAAUAAAAUUGUAUGUGCUUUCAAAUAUUCGUAUGUUUUAUUAAUUUGUAUGUGUAUUAAUGAAAUUGUGUAGAUGUCAGACCUGAUUAGACGUCGUAGGGCGGUGACGACUACGCAGAGUUCUGAGCCCCCGGCUCAACUGACAUCUGCUGCCACUGCGCCAGCACUGAUGGACCACUUGGCAGUUGGUCCCGCGGGGUCCCAGGCUCCUGCUUCAUCAGCUUCAUUAGUGGCACAACCUGUUAGCGCCAGGAAGCGUCAUCGGCCUGCCAGCACCACCGACACCACAUCCACUGAUGCGUCGGGGUCACAGCCAGGUAUAGAUUUCCUUAAACUCCAGUUAUUUAUAUUUUUGUUUUUGUUUUUAUUUUUGUUUUUGUUUUUGUUUUUGUUUUUAUUUGUGUGUGUAUUUUAUAGUUAAAUUUGUUAUUUAUUUAACAUUAAUGUCAUCUUUCUUUGCAGCCAAGAAGAACACCCGAGGGCCGUGUCGGUAGUUGAAGACGGCGAAGGUCACUCGGGUGACCAACAGUCGUAUCAACAUCGGAUACGACAAGCGACAUCGGGCUGCACCGACGGCGGAGUUGCAUAGCUCCUUGGCCCACGACAUUGGUGAUGUCAUUCCGAGCCAUUGCCCGAUGAAAUGGAAGUCUUGGAAGGUGAUGCCUGACGAGACCAAGAUGGAGGUUCGCGGCCAGUUGUCAGUAUGUAGGCCUUUUAAUUCUUUUUCUUUCAAAUUUUAUAUUUCUAUUAUUUAAAUGUAUUUAAUUAAUUUAUUGCAGACGAACUACAACUUGGAGGACCUGGACGACGAGUCGUUGGCGUACAUCAACAGACUCUUCUCUGAGAGGUACAAAUAGUGGAAGAGCGACUUGCACCACUAUUUUGAGGCGUUUGAUGAUCCAGAAGUCUCUCUUCAGGAGGGUUGCCCGAAGGAGCUUGAGGGGCGGGAGGAUAGUUGGGCGUGGCUCUGCUCUCAUUUUCAGGCGCCCGCUUUUGUGGUAAUUUGUAAUAUGAAUUUCAAAUUUAUUAUAUUUUUCUUACUAAUGUUUUUUUAAUGUUUUAUAUUUAAUUUCAAUUUCAACUAAUACGUUUUAUUUUUUGUAUAACAGAAUAAAGCCAAAGUCAAUAAGGGCAAUAGGAAGAAGAAGACUCUUCUCCAUCAUUCGGGUUCCAGGCCCUUCUCCUAUAGGAUGGAUGCAUGGCGGCAGGUAAUCAUAAAAAAAAUUUUAUUUAAUUUUUAAUAUUUAAUUAUUCUUAAUUUAUUUUUUUGUACUAAUAUUUUUCUUCUCUUGUUCAAUUUAGGGGGGUCCAAAUUCCCAGAGAUCGACGUCUUUGGCGACGUUUAUGUUCGACCUGGGAAUGAGUUGGGCGAGUCCCUUCAUGUAAGUAUUAUUUAAUUUUAAUUAUUAUGUUACGCAUUCAAGUUUAAAGGUUAUUAUAUGAAUGUUUUAAUUUAUAUUUUAUGUUAUGCUAAACAGAUGACGAUGGUGGAGAGGAGCCAGUUGGUUCUUCAAGAGUCCGCCUCCCAACUUCCUUCCGAUACUCCGAUCGAGUCUGUGGAUCCUCCACAGGAUGCUGGGUUUCAGAUCUUGACGGAGACAUUGGAUCAGACUCUAGGGAGGAGACCGGGGAUAUAUUGUCGAGGGAUGGAGAAUGCCAGGCGGAGGGAAGCCAGACCCCGUUCAUUAGCGCAGUCAAGCAGUCAGGUCACUGCUUUGACAGCACAGGUGGCCACUCUUCAGAGUCAGAUGUCGGACAUUCUGCAGUCCCUCGCACAGUUCGGCAUUCCAGUCCCGCAUUUUGAUGCGCCGACCUCUGAGCCCGUCCAUCCUGAGCAUCCCCACCAGACGACGGCCCUUGUAGACCCCCAGACCUCUGAACCGCAUGUGCCAGACGACAAUGUAGAUUUUGGAACAUUAUGAUUAGUUUUUUUAUUUUCAUAAUUAUUUUUUAAAUAUUUCUCUUGCAGCAUACAUUUAUUUUAUAUAAUAAAUAUGUUCUUUACAAUUCUUUUUUUUAUUGGAAUUUCAUUUUAUUACCCAAAAAAAAAAAACCAAAUUUAUUUUUUUAUAAAAUAAAAUAAAAAGUAAUAUUAAAAUUAAAUAAUAAUUAUAUAUAUUAAUUUUGCGCGACGAAAUCUUUCUCGUCGCGCAAAUUUAUAUAUUACGAAAUAAAAAUGUUUCAUUUUUUUAAAUACAUAUAAUUUAUUCUUGCGCGACGAAUAUUUUCGUCUCUCAAAAAGGAUUUGCGCGACAACAGUUUUUCGUCGCGCAAAAUGUGUUGACACGAAUUGCACGACGAAGAUAUCUUUGUGCCGCAAAUAUCUACGACACGUAUUGCGCGAUGAAAAUGUUCGUCGCGCAAAAAACGUAUGCGCGACAACAAUGUUUCGUCGCGCAAUACGUGUAGACAUGAAUUGCGCGACGAAGAACUCUUGGUGCCGCAAAUGUGUACGAGACGUAUUGUGCGACGAAUAUUAUUCGCCGCGCAUCGUUGUGGCGACGAACCCGCUUUCGUCGCGCAUAAGUUUGUGCGACGAACUAUUGCAUCGUCUCUGAACCUUUUGUGCAACGAAGGGUAACCGUCGCACAAAUUUGCGCGACGAGUGAUACAAUCAGUCGCGCAAAGUCUUUCUUCACCAUCUUUGCACCACAGAUUACGCGCGACGAAUUUUCUGUCGUGCUUGAGUUUGUGCGACCAAAUUUAACUCUGCGCGACGAAAUUGGCUUCGUCGCGCAAAUCGUAAAAUGUAGUAGUGGAAGUUAUCAACAUCUAUAGGAACCCCAAUGAAAAGGCUGUUAACUAAUAAUGAAGUAAACCCCUCAAUGUUUCCGCGUAUCAGAUAUCUCUCAGAAUAUGCGAUUCCAUACUCAAUAAGCAACUCCACAUCCCCUGAGGUUUUCACCAAACCACCCAUUAAGGAAACAUACUGACUCAUGUGUAAUUAUCAUUACUCAUCGGGUAAUGCAAUUGUUCAAAGGCAAGGACAUUUCUCAUUAUUUCUGUAGUGAACCCCAAUGGAAAUGGUGGGAUCUUCAGAACCCCAUUGGUGCUACUGAAUUGUAUGUCAAAUAUGUUUUCACCUUGUCGCGCCUCAAACUUGACUCCAGCGUGCUGUAAUUCUGUCAAGCUGGGUAUGGAUGAUGGGAGUUCCCCUCCAGCUUUUGAUUCCAACGGUUGAUAGAGUUUAAAUAUUUUCCUGUAAAGAUCAACAAUAUGUGCCACUGAUCUAAAAGUCUCCAAAUUGUCUUCCAUUUUGUCAACAGGCAAUAGAUGUUCGAAGAAACUGAAAGAAAGACUAAUUAUUGAAAGCCCCUCAGUAAUGCAGUUAUUGUCAGCAUCAGCAGGGAGUGUAAUUUUCUGUGGGUCGAAAAGAUCCUCGAGAAUGAAGAAUGGCAACUGAUUUUCAAGCAACCACAUAUCUGUCCAUACAUCUUGCAACAUACCUGGUUUGUCAAAUAUGCGGUCAUUUUCAUCCCAAAAUUUGAAGUAGUCCUUCAAUAAGAGCUCAAUAACGAAGGCGGCAUCCACUAGAAUGAUUGUUACAAAUUCAUCACUGCUAAACUUGAUGGGUUCUCCAUAACAACGUCUCAAUCUUGCUUCGUGGUCCUUUAUUUUCUUAAUAUAAUCCUCCAAACUCACAUUGGUCCGACCUAUAAAAUCUUGCAGGUAUCUCUGUUUGUGCUCUUCCUAUACGACAUUCAAGCCUUCCUUUCCAUGGUGAAGUGGGCCUAUAGAGACCACCUGAGGUGUGCAGAGCUUUUCAUUCACACUUCGUAGUCGUUGAGGAACUCUGUAGAUACAGCACUUGGAGGAUGGGGGAGACAAGCUAUUGAACCCUUUUCUCAUCGAAUUUGCUAAUGAAAUGUAUGGGUUUUCUAUGUCAUUUUGAGCAGAUUGAUGGCUUCCUGCCAUUUUCCAGCUCCUGACUAUAUGUGGUGUUCCGAUUGUAACAGAUUACAAUAAUGAUGAGUAUGGAUAACUGAAUUACUGAUAAAACAAUCAAGAAACAUUUCGUUAUUUUCCAUUCCCAAUAACGAAAUCAAAAUGUUCAAGGAAAUAUAAUCAGGAUAUUGCAAUUAUAUAGCCAUUCAUAAGCUGCCUGGCAUGGAAUAAGAGGUGGAAACCAAAUCUACUUAUUGGCCAAAGUUCGAAUUCACUAUAUAUAGAUAUAUAUUUUGCCAAAAUCUAAAACUGACCAACCUUAGAUACAAAAACACGGUACAGCCCGGUUAAAGUAAUUCCAAGUGCGAAGAAAGAAAGGAAUUGAGCGUUUGUACCUCUACAGCUAGCCAAAUUUUCUAUUGAUUCUUUAAAUUUUAGAGAGCAAUUACUCUUAAUUUGGUAGGUGUAGGACUGUGCAACUUCAAGCUUUAAUGAAAGAAGCCAAGUUUAUUCUAAGGGGACAAGUCAGAGACAACGAAAUUUUGCUCAGCUUCAUUUUCAAAUUUGCUGCUUAAGAAGGAAAUUUAAUAUGUUUGUUUCACAAAUUGUAUUGUCAUCAAUGAAACUCGUGCACACCCAACGAAAUUUGCAUGGCUUAUUUUCAAAGGAGUACUGCUAUUUCCAUCCUCUGUCCUAUUUUUCCACUCACCUUAUCUUCAAAAUUUUAAAGACAAAAAUAAACCCCUUUGUAAAAUGCUUAAAAAGAAAUUUAAUAUGUUUGUUUCAAAAAUUGAUAUUGUCAUCAAUGGUUAAAGAAUUGCUGGUGACAACAUAUACUUCUUUUCUACUGUAUUAAUUUCUUUCUUUAUUUUUUCUUCAGUAUAGUUCUGCCUUUCUUUUACAUGUUUAUGCGCAUAUUUGACACGUUCAAGUAUACUUAUAUAACAAAUGCAAUGAGUUUGUAGUCACAAAAAUCAAGGAUUGAAAACAAAAAGUAAUAUUAUGUGCAAGAGAAACUUACCUGCAGAAACUGAAGAACUCCUCUAGUUUCUUCUCUGUCGCUAUGUACUCCCGCGUUCAAGUUAUUAUUCUUACAAUGUACAUACACUAUUAUAUAAUGGCGAGAAGGCUCUGAUUAACCUCCUUUUUGCUUCAUUGGAUGGGGCAAGAAUGGAAUUGUCACCGUGGGUGUGGAGGUGAUCUACCAUUUGAGCAAGAAAUUCCCACAUAUUCUUUAACUAUUUUUCAAGCAUGCAUAUUCCUCCCUAUCAAUCUUUGGUCUCUUCUUUUACUAUUUUUCAAGCAUGCAUACUUUGAUUUUAAAUCAUCUUUUCCGCACUAAUUUGCUUCAAUCAAGAAACAGUUAAUAUAUUUUGUAUCAUCAUUAGAGAACACUUGAAACUGCAUAAGUUAAUUUUGAAGAUGAUGGCAGAACCAAAAUGUGUAUAGCUUAUAACUAUAAUUUCUUGAUUACAACAAGAGGUUUCAAGUUUUCAACAACACAAAUAUGAAUCUCCCAAGCAAAGAUAAACAAUAAAGCAAGCAUACGGAUUGUCAAAUUGCCUUCAAUCACUCUAAAAUACUUCAUACCGUCCGACACUGGCUUCAAUUACUCUACAAUACUUCAAUUCAUAUAUUGUCCUAUUUUCACAUGUACAUCCUGCUUUUACUUAAGGGUUAAUUGUUGAUUUACCCCUUGAACUUGUACUCUACUUUCAAUUUGCACCCUCAACUUUUUUUUUUGAAAAUUAGGUGCAUGAACUAAUUUUUAUUGCCAAUUCCCCCUACCAACAUGUCAUCUAAUAGUCUGUCAAAUCAUUAAAAAAUAUAAUAUUUUUGGAAAAAAUUAAAGAAAAAAAAAUUCCUAAGGACCCACAGACCCAGAACCCACCCUCCGUUGCCCCCGCUUGCUGUUUUCUUCUCCUCCCAGUCCCCCAUGACCACCACCCUCCACUGCCACACCAAUCCCCUACCCAACAGACCCCUCACCCCUUCUUUUUUUUCACCCCCGAACCCAGCAUGAGUUAUUGGUUAAUACCAUUUUCUUAAUUGCCAAAUAAAAAAAAAAAACAGAGUUAACCCUCUGUUAAGCUAGCUGACUAGUGGGGCGAAAUGGAGGAAAAUCAAUAUGGAGACAGCGGAUCCGGUCCCGUGUAAGUGUAUCUGAUGGAAUAAAAGAAUGAUAUUAUUGGUGGUGGGUACGGUUAUGUGGAAGUAAUAAUGGGUAAGAGAAGAAACUUGUUCUCUUGUGAUAAUCAAAAGACAGAAAGUAGUGGGAAAAGACAGAAAGUAGUGGGACACUAUUUUAGAUAUGAUAAUGUUCCUUCCUUGAUUGAUGCAAAUGAAGAGAAAAGGGUGGCUUUAUAUAAUAGCCACUACCGACCUAACACAUUAAAAACACAACUAACACCAAACAUAGUUAAUUCAACUAACUUCUACCACACCAUUAAUUUAACACACAACUACUAACAAACUGCCAACUAUUUCAAAGUUACCAGCCGACUAUUAAUGAAGUCUAGAUUACUUUAACAUCCUCCCUUAAGCUAGACUUCAUUUACGCCAAUUAAUUUUCUCAUCUUGAUGAGCGGCUCUUUCUUCAACGGUUUGGUGAACAAAUCUGCCAGCUGAUCUUGGGACUUGCAAUACAGAACCUCAACUUCUUUAUCUUUGAUUAGCUCUCUGAUGAAAUGGAACUUGAUCUUGAUGUAACACCCCGACCCCAAAUUUUCCCAAAUUUUACCCUUAUUUAAUUAUUUAAUUAUUUAAGGGUAUUUUAGUCAUAUUUUUAACCGGAGAGAGUUUGGGACCGUGACUAGUAUUUUUGGAUAGGUCGAGCUGAGACGAGUUCAUAGACACGUAGUGGGCUCGAAUCGGAGUUGUAACGAGAGAGAUAUGGUCAAAAGAAGCCCAGUGGCACAAUCGUAAAUAUUUCGAAAUGGGAUUUUUUAUAAAAACUCAAAUUUUUCUCUCUCUCUCUCUCUCUCUCUCUCUCUCUCUCUCUCUCUCUCGCGACUCCUCUCUCUCUCUCCCGUCGGCCUCUCCUCUCUCUCUCUUCGUAACUCCGGCCACCGGCCGCGGCUGCGGACGGGGCCGGUGUCAAAAGAACCGGCUCGACCUCGGCAUCACGACCCAGCCCAUCCCCGCCAUCGGCCGCCGCUCCAGCCGCCGGAAAAUGGCGAUUUUCGCCCAGAUGUCGCCGGAACUUCAACGCCGUCGAUCUCCCUCCUCCGGCCACCAAUUCCGUCGACCCAGGUAUGGAUUUUGAACCUCUCGAGCUGCUCUAGCUGAUGGUUGGGUAGGAUUAGAUCGAUUCUUAGCGUAGAUCACUCGAUUUUCGAAUUGAAAAUCGGCCGAAACUUCGGCCGCCGUGAUCGGCCAUUUCCGGCCACUUUUUGGGGUAGGUCCAAGAACAAAAGUGGCUCCAAAUAGGGUGUUAUACCUAGGGUAGGAGUUUGGAGCCGUGGUUUUGAGAUUUUCCGGCGGAGCGUUAUCGCUUUGGGCACCCACGCGCUGCUGGCGCGUGCGGCGGAGCGUGGGCACUGUAUAAAAAGUAGCGAUGUAUUCCGAUGAGAUCCUUAGGUUGUCACGAGUGCGUAGGAUUUUGCGGAUCUCAAUUCGGACGUCGUUUGACUAUCGAACGAAUAAUCGCAUAGUGUGCGUUAUCCGGGUUCGAUAGGUUGGGACCGUUGGAUGGUCCCAAAUUUAAUAUAUGUUAAUCUAGGUAUUUCUAGGAUCGUGUAGGAAUUCACGGAUCGUGAAUCGGAACUCCGGAUGUUCCGAAUAAUAAUUUUAAGUUUAUAUUUUAUAUUAACCAUCAGAUCGUGCGAUCGUGAGCAAUCCGACCGUCCGAUCUGAACCAAACUUGCAGGACAAGUGUCCUACACCUGGUAGAACCCAUAGGGACUUCCGGAUCGGAAAUUGGAGGUCGUGGGUUCUGCAGGUCCGUUUGACCAGGGUUAGAGUAGUUUGACUCUUGGUUGACCGUGAGUCUCCCGGAGUAAUCUCACCCUUCCAGGGGGAAUUAUCGGGAGCUAGACUAUUGUGGAGGGUUACACAAUAUUAGAAUUAUUUAUAUAAAUUAUGUGGUUGUACAAGGGUACAACAGAGUCUAGAAUGUCAGUUUGGAGUGCUAUACGCACUACUCUAGGUACCUCCUCGGACUUUGGAAUUUCUACAAGUACCACCAAGUGAAAGUUAGGUCCCACGUGGCGUAGGUUAUCCGGCGUGUCGACAGACCCCAUACGUGGCGUUGGUUGUACCGGCGUAUGGGGAGAUUUGUGAUAUGAUAUUGAGGUCCCGCGUGGCGUAGGUUAUCCGGCGUUGGGACAGGCCCCAUACGUGGCGUUGGUUGUACCGGCGUAUGGGGAGAUAUUAUGAUAGUAUGGCAUGGUCGCACGUGGCGUAGGUUAUCCGGCGUGUCGACAGACCCCAUACGUGGCGUUGGUUGUACCGGCGUAUGGGGAGAUUUGUGAUAUGAUAUUGAGGUCCUGCGUGGCGUAGGUUAUCCUGCGUUGGGAUAGGCCCCAUACGUGGCGUUAGUUGUACCGGCGUAUGGGGAGAUAUUAUGAUAGUAUGGCAUGGUCGCACGUGGCGUAGGUUAUCCGGCGUGUUGACAGGCCCCAUACGUGGCGUUGGUUGUACCAGCGUAUGGGGAGAAUAUGUGAAAUACAGAGAAAUGAAAUAAGGUAUUGCCCAAGUGUGGAAUUGGGUUUUAGGGAAGAACUACUUAUGGCUUGAUCCCUCAAGGAGGGUACGUAGGCAGCCUAAGGUUAUUAGGUGCAGCCGCAGACUAAAUAUUAGUCAUAAAUUGUAAUUGAACUGUUUGGUAGUCGUUUGAGGAAGUAUUGAAAGGCCGAAGGCCAUUUGUGUGAAUUGCAUGAAAUUAUAUUGUGCAUGCUGCCAGUUGGGAAUAUUAAAUGCGUUUUUAUGCAGGUAUAAAUUUUGGGAAUGUCCAAUUUACAGGGGAGACUCUGCCAAAAUUUCGGCAGGAAGUCUCGGUUUUUAGUAAGUGGGCCUGGCAUCGGGGUGAUGUCAGGAAUUCCAAAGGGUUCGUCUCGGGUUUUGAGAAAAUUCGGGGCGGGUCCUUUCACUUGAUAUGCUUACUCUUGCUGUGAAACAUUGGAUUUUUGGAAAGACAAAUAGCUGAUUUGUUGUUGCAGAACAGCUUUGUAGGUCCUUCUUGAACUUGACCCAUCUCUUCUAAAAUACUUUUCAGCCACCUAGCUUGACAACCUGCUGAUGCAAGAGCAACAUACUCAGAUUCUGUAGUUGAAAGUGCCACUAUAGAUUGCUUUUUGGAGGACCAUGAAAUCGCACUUGAGCCAAUGCUAAAGACAUAACCAGAUGUGCUUUUGCAAGUAUCAACAUCUCCACCCAAGUCACUGUCACUGUAGCCAGUCAAAUUUAGAUUCUGAAUAGGAUAAUAAUGCAAACCAUAAUUGAUAGUUCCAACCACAUAUCUUAGGAUUCUCUUUCCAAGCUCCCAAUGAACAUCUUUUGGUGACUCCACUAAACGGCUGAGGAAGCUUACUGCAUAUGUAAGAUCUGGCCUUGUUGUAGUUAAAUACAAGAGGCCACCCACUAGACUUCGAAACAAAGUUUGAUUUACCAUUGUGCUUCCAUCAUUCUUACCUAUCUUAACACCAACCUCCAUUGGAGUAGCAAUUGACUUUGCAUUUUCCAACCUGAACCUUUUCAACAAUUCCUUUGCGUAUUUCUUUUGAGAAAUAUAGAUACCAUUCUCAUUUUGUUUGACUUCAAUUCCAAGAAAGAAAUGAAGCAAACCAAGGUCUGUCAUUUCAAAUCUUUGUGACAUAAUCAUCUUGAAAUUAUCACACAUUUGAGCAUUACUUCCAGUAAAUAUUAAGUCAUCCACAUAUAAGCAGACAAUCAAAAUCUCACCUUGAGAGUUCUUCUUGGUGUAAAGAGUAUGCUCAUAUGGGCAUUUGUGAAACCCAUACUCUUGGAAGAAUGCAUCAAUCCGACUGUACCAAGCUCUUGGAGCUUGUUUCAAACCAUAUAAAGCCUUCUUCAAUCUACACACUUUUGUUUCUUCAUUUCCCUGCACAUAACCUGGAGGUUGAGCAACAUACACUUCUUCUUCCAAAAAACCUUGCAAGAAUGCUGGUUUAACUUCCAUUUGAAAGACUUUCCAACAAUUUUGGGCAGCAAGAGCUAACACCAUUCGGAUGGUGUCAAAGCGUGCAACUGGAGCAAAAACUUCAUUGUAAUCAAUUCCAUAAUUUUGCUUGUAGCCUUUAGCUACCAAGCGAGCUUUGUAUUUCUCAACUUCUCCUUGAGCAUUCAGCUUGGUCUUAUACACCCAUUUUACUCCUAUAGGCUUCUUUCCUUGAGGAAGAUCAACCAGCUCCCAUGUGUCAUUUUUCUUAAUGGAAUCAAUUUCUUGAUCCAUAGCCUUCACCCAAUUUUCAUCCUUUGAAGCCUCUUCAAACAUAAUUGGGUCUGCAUCUACAAAUAGAGCAAAAUUUGUGCCACCAUUAGUGAUCAAAACAUAAUCACUAGAUGGGUACCUUGUGGAUGGUUGAUGAGCUCUUGUUGAUCUCCUUUGUCCUCUGCAAAUUUCUUCUUCCUCACUGCUAUCACUAGAAGAAGUUGAUGAUGACCCUUGUGAUGAAGAUUCCUAUGAUGAUAGAGUUGUUGGUGGAGUUAAAUCUGGAUUUUCAAGGCCAAUGUCCAACAGUAUUGGACUUUGAUUUUCAGCUUCACUCCAAUUCCAUGCUUCUUCUUCAUUGAACUUGACAUCACGACUAACAAUAAUCUUGUUAGUCAAUGGAUUAAACAACUUAUAUGCCUUGGCCUUUUCACUAUACCCAACAAGAAUGCACUUUUCUGAUUUGUCAUCCAAUUUUCUCCUUGUUUUAUCAGGAAUAUGAGAAUAAGCAAUGCUGCCAAAUAUCCUUAAGUGACUAAUACAUGGCUUGAGGCCACUCUAAGCUUCUUGAGGAGUCUUGCCUUCCACACUAUUGGACGAUGCACGGUUCAAGAGAUAUACAGCACAUGCCACUGCUUCUGCCCAAAAACGAUUAGGCAUUGCUUUUGCCUUCAACAUGCUUCUUGCCAAUUCCAUAACGGUCCUAUUUUUUCUCUCGGCCACACCAUUUUGCUGUGGGGUGUACCGAGCUGUGAACUGAUGCUUAAUCCCAUUUUCUUUUAGAAAAUUUUCGAACACAUUGGAUGAGAAUUCUCCACCUUGAUCAGACCGCAAGGUUUUCAAUGCAAAUCCACUUUGCUUCUCAGCCAAAGCUUUGAAAACUUUAAAGUAAUCAAACACCUCUGAUUUAUAUUUGAGAAAAUAGACCCAUGUCUUUCUGCUAUAAUCAUCAAUGAAUGUAAGAAAGUAGCGGUUACCUCCUGUUGAUGUUGUGUUCAUGGGCCCGCAUACAUCUGAGUGCACCAGCUCAAGAGGAUGGGAUGCUCUCCAAGAAUUUCCUGUAAGAAACGAAUUUCUCUGAUGUUUUCCCAGCACACAUGCUUCACAAACUUGUGUUUGAUGCUGUAUCGUUGGUAGGCCUCGUACCAUAUGUUGUUUCCCCAUCAAUGAUAGUGUAUUGAAACUCAAAUGCCCAUAGCGUAGAAGCCACAACCAUGAGGAAUCCUUGAUAAGUGCACUUAAGCAAGCAAAAGAUUCAUACUUUAUGUUCAGAGAAAACAUAUUGUCUCCUGACAUCUGCACCUUUGUAAUUAGAGAGUUGUACUUGUCUCUAAUUACACACUGGUCUUCCCUGAACUGAAUAUUAUGGCCUUUAUGAAGAAGUUGCCCCACACUAAGGAGAUUGUAAUUUAAAUCUGGAACAUAUAACACAUCAGAGAUUCUUUUUUGUUCUCCAGACUUGGAUAGAAAAAGAAUAUCUCCACAUCCUUUGGCCACUAGCUUUCCACCAUCACCAAUCCUUACUUCUGAGUUGUUGGUAUGCUUGAAAUUGACAAAGGCACUUUUGUUGCCUGUCAUGUGAUUACUACAUCCGCUAUCAAGAUACCAUUUUUCUGCACACACGUUUCCUUCCCUGGCAGCUGCAUAUGCAAGUAGAACCACAUUAUCAUUUUCCCUUUCAGAAGCUUUUUCAUGCACAAAGCUUGAUUCGGCUCCUCCAUUUGUUUUGUUUUUGCAUGUUGACUUGAUGUGCCCAUAUUGCUUGCAAUUGUAGCACUGAAUAUUAGAAAGAGAGGAACCUUGUUCUCUUCCUCUUCCUCUUGAAUAACCACCAUAAUCUCCUCUUCCUCUUGGAUAACCAUAAUCUCCUCUUCUUCUUGAAUAACCAUAAUCUCGUGCAGAGCCUUCAUCAUUAGUUUUUUUUAGGUCAUUUGCAUAGCCACGUCCUUGAUUAUUUCUUCCUCGUCCACGAGUAAAGCCGCCUCUUCCUCUUCUAGAACUUCCUCUGAAUGAGACUUGAGAUUGAAAAGCUUGCUCAACAGGGCCAGAGUCAAACUGCUUCAGUCGUAACUCAUGGGAUUGAAGAGAACCCAUUAAACUGUCAAGAGACAAAGUAGACAGAUCUUUGGAUUCUUCAAUUGCCACCACAAUAUAUUCAAACUUUCGGGGACAUACUUCGAAGAAUUUUUUCAGCAACUCUCUGAUCUUCAAUUUUUUCUCCAUUAAUUCUCAGUUGGUUGACUAGAGAAAUGACACGAUUGAAAUAGUCUUCAACAGAUUCUGACUCCUUCAUACGUAACAUAUCAAACUCACCUCUUAGAGUUUGCAGUCUUGCCAUCUUCACUUUAUCUUCUCCUUUAUAUGAUGCAAAGAGAGUGUCCCACGCCUGUUUUGAUGUAAUGCAUGAUGAGAUUCUUUCAAAGAUAGCUUCAUCCACUGCUUGAAAGAUAAAGAAUAAAGCUUUUUUGUCCUUCUUACGUGUCUCCUUCAGCUCUGUGAGUUGUUGUUGAGUGAGGACUGCUUGAUCAUUUGGCUCCACAAAGCCAUUUUCAACCACCUCCCACAAAUCUUGAGCAGCAUACAACACCUUCAUUUGGAUGCUCCAUUGACUAUAAUUCUUCCCUGUAAACUUUGGAAGCUGGGGCUGUAACAAGUUGUUGUUUGAAGCCAUAUGAUUCUGAGUUUCCAGCUCUGAUACCACUUUGAUGGAAUAAAAGAAUGAUAUUAUUGGUGGUGGGUACGGUUAUGUGGAAGUAAUAAUGGGUAAGAGAAGAAACUUGUUCUCUUGUGAUAAUCAAAAGACAGAAAGUAGUGGGACACUAUUUUAGAUAUGAUAAUGUUCCUUCCUUGAUUGAUGCAAAUGAAGAGAAAAGGGUGGCUUUAUAUAAUAGCCACUACCGACCUAACACAUUAAAAACACAACUAACACCAAACAUAGUUAAUUCAACUAACUUCUACCACACCAUUAAUUUAACACACAACUACUAACAAACUGCCAACUAUUUCAAAGUUACCAGCUGACUAUUAAUGAAGUCUAGAUUACUUUAACAGUAUCGAAUCUAGCUUUAAUAUGUAUUGGGUCCUCUGGACAAGAAUUCUAUCCUUUUCGUCCUAACUAAUAUGUAGGGGAAAAACAAUACAUCAAUUAUCCUUUUCGUCCUAACUAAUAUGUAGGGGAAAAACAAUACAUCAAUUAUGAAUUUUUUUUAUCUGGGUUCGAAAUUAAAUAUGAAUGGAGUUUUGGAGGCUUAAAAGUUAUAAGCUCAAGAAAGGAAGGAAACUAUAUGUACAUUUGGGUCGGAGGCAAAGGUCCAGUCAUCUACCGUCCAGGAUAUACAGUAUCAAAAAAGGCUUAAGAAUUGUAAUAAGGUGACAUACGCCCACAUACGGCCAACGCUAGCAUAUUUCGUAAGUGUAUUAUAUGUCUUCUAAGUAUAUCAUAGUUAUGUGUCAAUUUUAGAUCCAAUUGCACACCCAAAAUACAGAAACAAAAUCAUUGAGAAUACACUUUUUUUCACUUAUAUUUUGAAUAUGCAUUGCCUGUAUUUCAUGUGUAUGAUAUAGGGGCUUCACUUAUAGUUUUUGCACAAAACCUCCCUUGAUGAAGGAUGUCUUAGAUUAAUGACAUCAAUGAUUUGUUACAUUUGGAGUACCCAACAUAACAGCUCUCUGAUUAACAAUAAAGUUAUAAAAUUUCAACAGUUUCAUACCUAACAAGCAUAGAGAAACAAAUAAAACAACCACAUUGCUUCGAUCACUGUACAUGCACACAGCUCACUUUCACUAACUACAGAGGCUAUAUUUUCUACAUAUACACUAACUUUUUCUUUCUCCAGCUCUCUUACACCACCAGGCUGGUGACAAACCCAGCUCGCGUCAUGUGGAGGACCAAAAGGAAAUGACAAGGAGAAAACGGCUAAGGAGAGACUUACUCUCAACACUUAGAAGGCAGAGCAGAGAUAACAGAGCACACUGCUUGUAUAAAAGUGAGUAUGAGGAGAAAAAUAGCGGUAGCAAUUGAAAUAGUUGCCCAAGGUGUGUUGCAAUAGUUUUGUCUCAAGUUUGCCUGCCAUUUGUGCCAAGACGUUCUGCAGUACUUGUUGAGGUCUGCACAAAGAAUAGCAAAAUAGAAGUCAUUAGAGUCCACAAUGACCCCAUCUGCAAGGUUGUUGAUCAGAGUAGACCCUCCACUACUGUCACCGAGCAUAUUUUCGACGAUUCCUUGCUUAACAACCAACUCCACAUCCGUUGCGGUGUUCACAAAGCGAUCCACGAUGACAACAUAAUUGUUUAUGUAAUUCUCCAUGCAAUGGCAUUGUUCAAAGGCAAGGAGGUUUCUGAUUGUAAGCUCUGUCUCAUCACUUAUUGCUAAUUUUGGAAUUUCUAGAAUCCCAUUAGCGAAUUGUAUGUCGAAUAAGUUUUUGGGUGAUCCCACCUUAAACUUGACUCCUGCUCUGUGUAACUCUGUGAUGCUGGAUGUGUUUAAGAGUUUCAAGUCGCCCCUUAGCAGGUGGUUUCAAUGGUAGAGGUAGAUACAAAUUUCUACAAAAAUCUACAAAGUGUUCUACUUUAGAAGUACAUAAUUUCUCCAUAUUGCCAUCCGUUCCCUCUAUGUGCAUUAGAGUUUUGAAGAAAUUGUGGCAAAGGUUAAGCAUCGAAAGCCUCUCAAUAUUGUUAUUGUUAGAAGAGACUUUGAUUUUUUCGGGGUCAAAAAGUUCCUCAAGAAUGAAGAAUGGCAGCUGAUUUUCAAACAACCGCAUGUCAGGCCAUACGUCUGGCAACAGCCAUGGUUUGUUAAAUAUGCGGUCAAUUUCAUCCUGCAAUUCAUCGAAACGAUACCUCAACAAGACCUCAAUGAUGAAGGCGGCAUCCACUAGAAUGAUUCUCACAAAUUCAUCACUGCUAACCUGAAUGGUUUCUGCAUAACAACUGCGCAGUUUUGCUUCUUGGUCUUUUACUUUCUGUACAUAAUCGGCUAGGCUUACCCUGGUCCGACGUAUAUAAUCUUGUAAGUACCUCUUUUUGUGAUCUUCCAUGGCUUUUAGGCCUUCCUCGCCAUGAUGAAGUGGGCCUAUAGAGACUACCUGAGGUGUGUAGGCCUUUUCACUCACACGCCGUAGUCGUUCAGGAACUCUAUAAAUGCAACACAAGGAGGAGAGGGAAGACAAGCCAUCCAACUCCUCACUCAUUGAAGUUACUAAUGGAAUGCAAGGGUUUUCAAUAUCAUGUGGAGCUUGAUCGCUUCCUUCCAUUUUCCGCUGAUGUGUUUGUUGUUGUCAAUCAUAAUGGAUGAUAAUGAAAUGAUAGUCACUGACACAACAAUAAACAAAUUUUUCAAGAUGGCUGAGAAAAUUAAUACAAACAUUGCAAUUAUAAGACCAAACACACAAAGACUUUUGAUCCUUGUAACUCUUACAUACCACACUAGUGCCUUAAGAAUUCGAUUUGAAUGCACCAAAUUCAUUCAAAACUCUUCUGGUCAACUCUGUUUCUUGUAAUUAUUCUUGGAAGAUUCUAAUACAUUUUUGAUUGAAAAAUUCCUACUAAUCAUGUGAAUCAGUACCAAAGUUUAUUUCAAAUUAACAUACAAACCCCACUUUUUUUUUCCUACAUAUAUACUUCUUUAUUUCCCCUCAACUUAUUGGAGCUUCUAAUAAAGCAAAUUCUUUCUGUGAUGAUAUCAGAUAGUAGAUUAUGCUUCCAGUCAAAACAUAGACAAACCAAAAUCCCAUUAGAAGAGAAGAAAAUAAUAUACGACAUUCACAUAACCUUCUGCUCAAUUCCAAUUUCCAACUACAAUGAAACAUAAGACACUUAAAAGCUUCAAGAAAUUGGAUGUGCAAGCAAACAUAGCGAAAUUAUGAAAGACAGAGAAAGGUGUUGGGCAUUGAAAACAUACCUGAUACGUAUUGAAACACAAUUUUUUUUUGCCUUUGGUAGAUGGAGUAGCUAGAAAAGCUCAAUGCACUUGCUCUUCUGCUACAUUUCAAUAUAAGAACAUUGUUUGGAAGUCCGGUCAAUUCCUCAAAGCUUCCUUGCCUUUGUUUUGACAUGCCGAUGCCCGUCUUGGGGAAGUUUGAAUAAUCCAUUGCAGGCCCCAUGAUAGGAUUUUUAGUACUUGUGCAAACAGUGUUAAAAAUCACAUAAAAUACUUGCAAGAAUACAAGGCUAUUGUAGUAUAGAUGCUCAUGCAAGGUCGUUUUCCUCAAGGACUAAUUAGCAAUUUAUGUAAAAACAAAUUCCAAUUACUACUUAAAAUAAAAAGUCAAGAAAGAUGAUUAUAAAUUUGGUGGAUUCUAAAAAACAAAUAUUAAACAAAAACAAAUACGAUUGAAAGAAAGAGUUUUGAAUAUCAAUUUAUAAAAACACUAGGGUUUCACCAUCACCUAGCAAUCCUAUGAACUUUUACCAAUUACUUAUGAUUUGCACAUGCCACUUUGAAGGUUAGGUUUUCCUAAUGUAUAUUCUACUUGGAACCUCCAACACAGAACGUAUAUCCAACAUGCAACCCGUCCGGACGUUCGGAUCAAAUCUGAACAUGAAAGACUCAUUAAGUUUUGUGAAAACCCUUUGAAAAACCAUGCAACCCUUAAGACGUGGUGUUCAUCUUAAGUGAAAUUACAAUUAUUAAUCACAAGAAGCUAGCAUAAAUUUCAGGGAACCUUCCGACCAAAAUUGCAUCCAAUUACUUUUCUAAAGAUCCUAAUGGUGAUCAGGCAUUAAGACAAUUAGAUAGUUUAAAAUAGUGAUUAACAAUUCAAAAUACGCAUGCACUCAUCAUAAGCAAUUAAAUAAAAAUCACAUAUUCAUGCUAAGGUUCAAGGCUUCACCCUAGCAAAAGAAAUUUAGUUACGCAUACUCAUAAUUGAAAUCCAAGAAAAUAUCAUUAAGAAGAAAAGAACGAAAACACCUGAAAGUUGUGAAAACCCAAAACCCUAGCAAUUGCUCUCUACAAUGCAAAGUUCAAAAAUAAUUAAGAAGUCCUAAAUUCCUUGUGAGAAAGAGCUUAAAUAUCCCUUAAAACCUAGCUGCCAAUGUACAGCUUUUCUAUCCCUACAAGGAAACUAAUUAAAGUAAAAUAAUACUAGGAAAUAAAGUCCAAAUUGGAAUAGGAGAAUUUGCCCAAAAUCAGCCCAGCCACGUUUUGGCCCCAAAUCUCCUCCAAAUCUGGCCCAAGAUAGCUUUUUUUAAAGACACUACUACAAAAAGUGAAAAAGACGACCAGAAAACAACGACGGUCUAAGUGAAAACCGUCGUGGUUUUUAAAAAGACGACGGUUCUAAAAACACCGUCGUGUAAUACCACCUUAGACAACUAAAAAAUGGAGAUUCAAAUGGCUGUUCAAAAACAACGACGUACCUAAUUAAACAACCGACGUCUAUUUGAAACAGAUUUCCGCAGUGUAAAAUCAAAGCAAACAAAGAACGGCAGAAGUUAUGAAUAGACCGACGUAGAAAGUAAAGACGACGAUUUCAAUAAAAGCCGCCGUUUUUACUCAUAAAAUAACACGACGAGGUUUUCGUAUAAGACGCCGUAUAAUUACAAACAAAUCCACGGCUUUAAAAUACAAAAUAAUCUUAACAGAUGACACAGAUUUGCAAUCAGAGAGACAAUUUUUUGGAAGUUGAUCAACGUCGUUGAAAAUUUGCAAUCAGAGAGACAAUUUUCAACGACGGUUAUAUUAUACCUAACGACGUUUAAAAACAAAUCAACGUCGCUCAACAAAUAUAUUACGUCGUCUUAGUCUUACUUAAGACGACGAAAAACGACGACAGUAGUAAAAAAACAGUCGUUGUUUUUAUAUUCUUAUUUUAUUUAAAUCUGUCGUGUUAGUUAAAAACGACGGCAUAACAAAAAACCGUCGUUUUGUUUCAAACUGAAUUAAUUUAAAAUUUCUUCAGGAAAGCAAAAUCUAUUUAUAAUUUCCUCGGGUUAGUAAUAUUGUGUCGUGUUAGUUUACAAAUUCUAGAACAUUAAUUUCCCUCAUUUUAAAUUUUCUCGGGAAAGAAAAAUCUAUUUAUCACGCUUUGUAAUUGAAAACUAAAACUGAAAGAAUUCUGGAAAAAAAACUCUAUUUAUAAUUUAAAAAUAAAAUGCACGUCGGUUGUAGUACACUUAACGACGUUUAACAAAAUAAUCUACGUCGGUAAUUAUAAAUCUACCGCCAUCUUACCCUAAUAUAGACGACGAGAAAAGACGACGGUAGAACAGAAAACCGCCGUUGUUUCAGUUUCUUUAACAGUUUGGUCCUUUAUCUUUCUGCAGGACUUGUAUAGUUCAAAGCAUUGACAAUGUCUUCAUCAUAUCUCCCAGCAACUACUGAUUCGAUUGCUCAUGCUUUAGAGGCCAUCUGAAGCCAUUUCUAUUCUUUAUCGCAUUCUUGAAACCCAUCUUCUUCUUCUGAAGCUCUACGGAUAAAGGAANNNNNNNNNNNNNNNNNNNNNNNNNNNNNNNNNNNNNNNNNNNNNNNNNNNNNNNNNNNNNNNNNNNNNNNNNNNNNNNNNNNNNNNNNNNNNNNNNNNNNNNNNNNNNNNNNNNNNNNNNNNNNNNNNNNNNNNNNNNNNNNNNNNNNNNNNNNNNNNUUUUUUUUGGGGUUGGUUUUUUAUAGUAACCAGUUAUAACAGUAGUGGUUGUGCAAUGUUUGGUUCCCUUAAGCUUCGAUCCAACCGUGUAGCCAGCUUUAGGUCAAUGUCUCCCAAACCACUCGGGUUUUAGGGCACUAGGUGUAGAACACCCCUAAGGACUUAUUAACUCAAGCUGAAAAGGCUACGAAACCAACUAACCACCCUGCCUCAUGCCAAAACUCUACCUUUUGUCUCGAAAAUCACUGCUGAUUAGGCAGGACUGGCCCGGUUACUAGCAAAGCUUCGGGUGAGGCAAUUAUUACUUUAUAACACAUACUAACUUUAUUUAAAUUGAACAGAAAUUAAAACACACUUGGACAAAAAGUAAGUAUUCCAAUCUCACUCCCCAAAAACCAUAUUGGUGUGAUGUGCAAAUUUCAAAGUAUAAUUCAUGAAUUAGUGUCUAAGCAACAAUAAAUAGAAAAGACUCUACUGUGGGAUUGAUUUUCACUAUGUCCAUUUAUUCUAACGUUUAAAAUAAUCUAUGGAUAUUGACUGAAAAACGAAAAUUUUAAACAAGACUUAAAAAAAACUAAAAAUCUAAAAUUUACUUUCCCACCCCCUAACUUAAAUCACACAUUGUCCUCAAGGUGUGGUAAAUAAUCAAAAGAAACAAGAGCAGAAACAAAACGACUAAAUCCUAGAAAAUGAAAAUCAAAAAUAAAGAAAAUACUCUAAGAAAAGAAACUAGGAAGGAAAAAUAGAAGAAUAAUAAAAUAAAAUAAAAUAAGAAAGAAAAGGAGAAAAACAACAAUAGAAAAGAAAUAGGAAAGAAAAUACCCAAAAAUGAGACACCUUGGGGAUUCAAAGGCAGGACCAGGCGGAGUGUUGCGAAAAAGCGCUGACCAACUCAACCACGUCCACACUGGCAUCAAAUAGGAGCGACAGCUACAAUAUAACCUGCUGUAGCUGCUGCAUCUGUCAUUUGAAAAAUAUUGGAUUCCCUUCUCCUACCCCGAGCUCAGAGCCGAAAGGCUCUCUUCUGUCCAUUCCCAUUUUGCAGAAGAAAAAAGAAUAUUGCUGGAUAAACCAAAGCCUCCGCUGUGUCCAGAGAAUCAGAAAAGGUCUCUGAUUUCUCUCUUCUCAAGGCCAUCCAUCUCCGCCUUCACUCUUCUUCAUUCUCUCCAACACUCACGAUCCUUUCCUCUCUUUCAACCCAAUUACACCAGCGUUUUCAUCUGCGUGAGGAGGCCACAUUUGCAGCAAACACAACCAGUGAGGUUGAAUUAUCUGAUGCACCUGAAUUUUUGGAUGGUUUUGGAGUCCCUAGAUUCCUCAAAUUCAGAUCUGUCUCCAUCCAUGUCACCAGAUGCUAACUUGUUCCAAGAUGAAAACAAGCUGAAGCCGAACAAGAGUCUAUUCUCCACCAGUAAGGACCCCAGAUCUGUGCAUCCCGUAGGUAAACUUUCGAACCCCAGAACUGGUUUUUUUUUUUUUUUUUUUCCGUUUUUUUUUUGUUUUGAAAAUAAAAGAAGUAAAGAGUUUAGAAAAAUUGGGUUGCCUCCCAAUAAGCGCGCUAUUUUAAGUCUGUAGCUAGACUUUGCAGAAGCCUGGUGGUCAAAUCACUGGUUCCUUCAGAGUCAAAGACUCGGCUGCAAUGUCAAAGGGUGUCUCCACGUAGGGUUUUAGCCUAUGACCAUUCACCUUGAACGUGUUGCCUUUAUCUUCAUUAGUGAUUUGAACUGCUCCAUGAGGAAAAACUUGAGUCACUAGGUAGGGUCCAGUCCAGCGAGAUUUUAAUUUCCCUGGAAACAACUUGAGCCUUGAACUAAAUAACAGAACCUUUUGCCCUGGCUGAAAUUCCUUCCGUAAAAUUUGACUGUCAUGAAAUGCCUUAGUUCUUUCCUUGUAGAUGCGAGAACUAUCAUAAGCACCUUGACGAAUUUCCUCUAGCUCAUUUAACUGCAAUUUCCGCUUUUCCCCAGCUGAGUCAUAUGCAAAAUUUAACUCUUUAAUGGCCCAGUAAGCUUUAUGCUCCAGCUCCAUAGGUAGAUGACAGGCUUUCCCAUAAACAAGUCGGAAUGGUGACAUCCCAAUAGGAGUUUUAUAAGCUGUCCUGUAUGCCCACAAAGCAUCAUUUAGUUUGAAACUCCAAUCCUUGCGUGUAGAGCUCACUGUUUUCUCCAAAAUACGCUUUAUUUCUCUGUUUGAAACUUCAACUUGACCAGAUGUCUGUGGGUGGUAUGGUGUAGCCACGCGAUGAUUAAUCCCGUAUUUUGCCAGUAGGUUAGCAAAUGGUUUAUUAAUAAAAUGCUUCCCCCCAUCACUAAGAAUAACACGCGGUAUUCCAAAACGUGGAAAUAUAACCCCCUGGAGGAACUUCAGGACCACUGAUCCUUGAUUAGUUGGUGCUGCAAUGGCCUCGACCCAUUUUGAAACAUAUUCCACAGCCACUAAAAUAUAUUGGUGCCCAUUAGAAGAUGGGAAUGGCCCCAUGAAAUCAAUACCCCAAACAUCAAAUAGUUCAACAAUUAGGAUACUUUGUUGGGGCAUUUCAUUCCUUCUGGAUUGAUUGCCGACCCUUUGACACCGAUCACAUGCCUUGCACCAAUUCUGUGAAUCUCUAAAAAGUGUUGGCCAAAAUAACCCACUCUGUAGGAUUUUCUCUGCUGUCCUUUUCUGCGCAAAAUGUCCUCCUCAAGCAUAGUGAUGAGCAAACUUUAAAACACUUUCUUGUUCAGCCUCCGGAAUACACCUGCGAAUAAUCUGGUCUGCACAAUACUUGUAUAAGUACGGUUCAUCCCAGAAAUAGUGCUUUACAUCAGAUAAAAACUUCUUUUUCUGCUGGUAGGAAAAAUCUGGAUGCACCACACCCUUAGCCAAAUAAUUGACAAUAUCUGCAAACCAAGGUGUGUCAAUUUUGACAGCAAAUAGCUGUUCAUCUGGGAAACUUUCACUCAAUGGUAGAGAAUCUGCCUCUGUAGCUGCUGGAAUAAUUAAUCUAGAUAAAUGAUCAGCCACAACAUUCUCACUGCCCUUCUUGUCUUUAAUCUCUAAGUCAAAUUCUUGAAGUAAGAGAACCCAACGAAUCAAUCUAGGCUUUGCAUCCUUCUUAGACAACAAGUAUUUUAGUGCAGCAUGAUCUGUAUAGACAAUUAUUUUAGCCCCAACCAAAUAAGACCGAAAUUUCUCUAGUGCGAACACAACUGCCAACAAUUCCUUCUCUGUAGUUGCAUAGUUAAGCUGUGCAUCAUUUAGAGUACGACUUGCAUAAUAGAUGACAUGGGGAAGCUUAUCUUUUCGCUGCCCUAAAACUGCCCCGACAGCAUAAUCUGACGCAUCACACAUUAGUUCAAAUGGUAAAUCCCAAUUUGGUGCAGCAAUGAUGGGUGCCGAAGUUAGGAGUGCUUUCAACUUGUUGAAUGCUUCUAAACAGGCCUUAUCAAAAUUAAAUGGUGCAUCCUUAGCCAAUAAAGUGCACAAAGGUCGACUAAUCUUGGAGAAAUCCUUGAUGAACCGACGAUAAAAACCUGCGUGUCCUAAGAAGGACCUCACACCUUUUACUGAUGUAGGAGGUGGCAGCUUUGCAAUAACUUCAAUCUUUGCCUUGUCAACCUCGAUGCCUUUGCUAGAAAUUGAAUGACCCAAGACAAUUCCCUGUUCAACCAUGAAAUGCCACUUUUCCCAGUUUAGCACUAAAUUUGUCGCUUGACAUCUCUGAAGAACUAAUGAUAAAUUCUGUAAGCAUUGAUCAUAUGAAUCCCCAAAAACAGAAAAAUCAUCCAUAAAAACUUCCACAAUAUUUUCGACCAAGCCAGAAAAAAUACUCAUCAUACAACGUUGAAACGUAGCAGGUGCAUCGCAUAAUCCGAAUGGCAUCCUCCGAUAAGCGUAAGUACCAAAUGGACAAGUGAAAGUAGUCUUCUCUUGAUCCUCUGGUGCUAUUGGAAUCUGAUUAUACCCAGAAUACCCAUCAAGAAAACAGUAAAAAGCCCGCCCAACCAACCUUUCUAACAUCUGGUCAAUAAAAGGCAAUGGAAAAUGGUCUUUUCUCGUCCCUGUGUUAAGCUUCCGAUAAUCUACACACAUUCUCCAACCCGUAGUCAAUCGUGUAGGAACUAACUCAUUAUUAUCAUUUUUCACCACUGUAAUACCGGUCCGUUUAGGCACAACUUGAGUCGGGCUAACCCAUUUACUGUCAGAAAUAGGAUAAAUCAUACCUGCAUCAAGUAAUUUCAUAACCUCUGUUCUAACCACCUCUUUCAUAAUUGGGUUAAGGCGGCGUUGAGCAUCAACUGUUAGCUUUACGUCGUCUUCCAUUAAUAUUCUGUGCAUACAUAGUGCUGGGCUGAUUCCCUUGAUAUCCGCAAUUGUCCAUCCCAAUGCAUCUUGAUAUUUUCUCAAUACACGAAGCAAUUUAUCCUCCUCUGUCGGUGUUAAAUCUGCUGCAAUUAUAACUGGCAACGUCUCUGCAGCUCCUAAAUAUGCAUAUUUAAGAUGUUGUGGUAAAGGCUUCAGCUCCAAUUUUGGCGGCUGCUGUCUGGAUGGUUUAAGGGGCUGUUUGGGCUCCCCUAAACUCUCAUACACAUUCCUAAAUUUUGGCAACACUGUGGGCAGACUGUUCAAUGCGUGUAUGUACUCAUGAACACCUUCAUCUUCAAAAUCUGUCUCAAAUGCCCCCUGUAAAACAUGCAACAACUGAUCUGUUUUUGAAUUAGCAUAAAAUCUGUCCUGCACCAUACUGUCUACCAUGUCAAUACGCAUACAAUCUAGCUGUUCAGCAGGACGUUUUGUUGCCGCAAACAAAUUAAACACCACAGAUUGGUCCUGAACCCGUAAAGUCAAUGUUCCAGCUUCCACAUCAAUUAAGGUCCUAGCUGUUGCCAUAAACGGCCUCCCCAAAAUAAUAGGUGUUUGAAGGUCUUCAUCCAUGUCUAAAACCACAAAAUCUGCCGGUAGAUAAAGAUUAUCAACCUUAAUAAUUAGAUCUUCAAUAACACCUCUUGGAUAAGUGAUUGAACGGUCAGCUAGUUGAAGUAUAAUUGAUAUAGGCUUUAAAUCUCCUUGCCCCAAUCGCUGAAAAACAGAAAAAGGCAUCAAAUUAAUACUUGCACCCAAAUCAAUUAAAGCACUCUUAAAAUUAGAAUUUCCAAUAGUGCAAGAAAUAUUAAAACUCCCUGGAUCUUUUUUCUUAGGUGGUAGUUUGUGUAGCAAAACUGCAUUGCACUGUUCUGUCAAAAUAACUUUUUCCAAAUCUGAAAGCUUCUUUUUGCUGCUGCAAACUUCCUUCAAAAAUUUGGCAUAUGAUGGAAUUUUCUUGAUUGCAUCCAGUAAGGGAAUGUUGAUUUGAACCUUGGAUAAUGUCUGCAUAAAGUCCUUGAGUUGCUGAUCUUUUACUUUUGGCUUCAAACGUUCUGGAUAUGGAAUUGGGGCCUCAUAAACACGCUCAGGUACUUGUUUUGGAACAGUUUCUAGAUCUGCCAUAUUAUGUUUUUCUACAGGUUUGGCAGGUUCUGCUGCUGCAAAAUUUUCUGUAUGAUCCUCCACUGCAUGCUGCUCCUUUUCAAUGUUAUUUUCACGAUUGUCAUAGCUUUUUCCACAUCGUAAAGUCCGAACAACUUUGCAAUCUUCACGUCCAUUUGGAUUAGGAAUUGUUUGACUAGGAAAUUUGCCCUUUUAUCUGUCUGAAAUCUGUGUAGCUAGUUGUCCAAAUUGUUGCUCCAAACUUUUAAUAGAUGCUUCAACAUUUUGAAAUCUUUGAUUGUUGCCCUCGAUGAAUGAUUGAGUUGUUGCUGCCAGUUUAGCAAGUUGAUCUUCCAUAGAUGGUUUGGAGGGAACAAAAGGUUUUUGUGCAUGCUGGAAUGGUUUGGCAUUAGUCUGAUUGUCACCCCAUUUGAAAUUAGGGUGAUCCCUCCAUCCAGGAUUGUAAUGAGUUGCAUAUGCAUCAUUCCUAGGCCUUUGAUAGCUGUUCAUCAUAUUGACAUGUUGUUCAACAAGCUCUGGGUAAGAGUCUCUAUGUGGGCAGCCCAUUAUGUCAUGUGUAGCCAUACUGCAUAUAGUGCAAACUGUUGAUGUAGGUGGCUGCUGUGUAGAACUUGCUAUAUGUUGUAGAAGCAUAUCAAACUUUGCAUCAAUUUUCUUAUCCAUUUUUUCCAUUUGUGCAGACAUGUUGGGAGAACCUACUGAUAACUCAAAAAUGCCCCUUUUCUGUGAAUGUUCUGCUGCCCAUUGCUGAGAUUCUGUAGCCAUCAUAUCAAACAGUUCAAAUGCCUCUCUUGCAGAUUUAUUUGAUAAUGAUCCUCCAGCUGAUGCAUUCACAUGGCUCUUAGAUGUAGGAUUAAGCCCAUCAAAGAAAAUAUUCAUUUGUGUAUCUGAAUCAAUUUUAACAUGUGGACACUUUAUGUACAUCUUUGUAUAUCUCUCCCACGCUUCAUGAAACUCUUCAUUAGGCUUCUGUGUGAAUGUCAAAAUCUCCCUCUUGUAAUUCAAUGUCUUGGAUGCUGGAUAAUAUUUGUUCAGGAAUUUUGUGUGUAACUGCUGCCAAGUAGUAAUGCUAUUAGCUGGUAGAGUGAAUAACCAAGUUUCUGCCUUGUCCUUCAAAGUGAAAGGGAAAAGACGUAACUUAAUAGCCUCAGCAGAAAAACCCCUAAUCAAAAUAUUCUUGCAACCCACAAUAAAUUUUGCAAUAUGUAUGUUUGCAUCUUCAUUAGGCAAUCCCCGAAAAGUAGGUAGAAUUUCAAGCAUAUGGUGCCUGAUCUCGAACGAAUCACCCUCUUCUUGUUCAGGAUACACAAUGCAAUUGGGAACAUCAGUGGCACGGGCUUCCAAUGACUCCCUGAGUGGUCUACCUGCCGCAGGUAAUUCUAACGCCAUGUUACUCUCGUUUGCAAACAGAUCCUGCAGAAAAGUGCCCUGCAGUGAACAGUCCCAAGCCCAAGUAACUUCUCUCCGCUGUCUAUGCAGUGUGCGCUCUGGUUCUGGAUCAAAUUGUACAAUCUGUGUAGUUCCUGAUCUGGUCUGGACCAUGCAGUCUGCAAAAUCUGCAACAGAAACAAAAUUGUUCAAUUUCAAUUUUUUUUUUUGGACGAAAAUUAAAAAUAAAAUAAAAUGAAAUAAAUCAGAAAAAGGUUAAACAAAAAUUGUCUAAAAUAGUCCCCAGCAACGGCGCCAAUUUCUUGAUAGGAUUUUUAGUACUUGUGCAAACAGUGUUAAAAAUCACAUAAAAUACUUGCAAGAAUACAAGGCUAUUGUAGUAUAGAUGCUCAUGCAAGGUCGUUUUCCUCAAGGACUAAUUAGCAAUUUAUGUAAAAACAAAUUUCAAUUACUACUUAAAAUAAAAAGUCAAGAAAGAUGAUUAUAAAUUUGGUGGAUUCUAAAAAACAAAUAUUAAACAAAAACAAAUACGAUUGAAAGAAAGAGUUUUGAAUAUCAAUUUAUAAAACCACUAGGGUUUCACCAUCACCUAGCAAUCCUAUGAACUUUUACCAAUUACUUAUGAUUUGCACAUGCCACUUUGAAGGUUAGGUUUUCCUAUUGUAUAUUCUACUUGGAACCUCCAACACAGAACGUAUAUCCAACAUGCAACCCGUCCGGACGUUCGGAUCAAAUCUGAACAUGAAAGACUCAUUAAGUUUUGUGAAAACCCUUUGAAAAACCAUGCAACCCUUAAGACGUGGUGUUCAUCUUAAGUGAAAUUACAAUUAUUAAUCACAAGAAGCUAGCAUAAAUUUCAGGGAACCUUCCGACCAAAAUUGCAUCCAAUUACUUUUCUAAAGAUCCUAAUGGUGAUCAGGCAUUAAGACAAUUAGAUAGUUUAAAAUAGUGAUUAACAAUUCAAAAUACGCAUGCACUCAUCAUAAGCAAUUAAAUAAAAAUCACAUAUUCAUGCUAAGGUUCAAGGCUUCACCCUAGCAAAAGAAAUUUAGUUACGCAUACUCAUAAUUGAAAUCCAAGAAAAUAUCAUUAAGAAGAAAAGAACGAAAACACCUGAAAGUUGUGAAAACCCAAAACCCUAGCAAUUGCUCUCUACAAUGCAAAGUUCAAAAAUAAUUAAGAAGUCCUAAAUUCCUUGUGAGAAAGAGCUUAAAUAUCCCUUAAAACCUAGCUGCCAAUGUACAGCUUUUCUAUCCCUACAAGGAAACUAAUUAAAGUAAAAUAAUACUAGGAAAUAAAGUCCAAAUUGGAAUAGGAGAAUUUGCCCAAAAUCAGCCCAGCCACGUUUUGGCCCCAAAUCUCCUCCAAAUCUGGCCCAAGAUAGCUUUUUUUAAAGACACUACUACAAAAAGUGAAAAAGACGACCAGAAAACAACGACGGUCUAAGUGAAAACCGUCGUGGUUUUUAAAAAGACGACGGUUCUAAAAACACCGUCGUGUAAUACCACCUUAGACAACUAAAAAAUGGAGAUUCAAAUGGCUGUUCAAAAACAACGACGUACCUAAUUAAACAACCGACGUCUAUUUGAAACAGAUUUCCGCAGUGUAAAAUCAAAGCAAACAAAGAACGGCAGAAGUUAUGAAUAGACCGACGUAGAAAGUAAAGACGACGAUUUCAAUAAAAGCCGCCGUUUUUACUCAUAAAAUAACACGACGAGGUUUUCGUAUAAGACGCCGUAUAAUUACAAACAAAUCCACGGCUUUAAAAUACAAAAAUAAUCUUAACAGAUGACACAGAUUUGCAAUCAGAAGAGACAAUUUUUGAAGUUGAUCAACGUCGUUGAAAAUUGCAAUCAGAAGAGACAUUUUCAACGACGGNNNNNNNNNNNNNNNNNNNNNNNNNNNNNNNNNNNNNNNNNNNNNNNNNNNNNNNNNNNNNNNNNNNNNNNNNNNNNNNNNNNNNNNNNNNNNNNNNNNNGGAAGUUGAUCAACGUCGUUGAAAAUUUGCAAUCAGAGAGACAAUUUUCAACGACGGUUAUAUUAUACCUAACGACGUUUAAAAACAAAUCAACGUCGCUCAACAAAUAUAUUACGUCGUCUUAGUCUUACUUAAGACGACGAAAAACGACGACAGUAGUAAAAAAACAGUCGUUGUUUUUAUAUUCUUAUUUUAUUUAAAUCUGUCGUGUUAGUUAAAAACGACGGCAUAACAAAAAACCGUCGUUUUGUUUCAAACUGAAUUAAUUUAAAAUUUCUUCAGGAAAGCAAAAUCUAUUUAUAAUUUCCUCGGGUUAGUAAUAUUGUGUCGUGUUAGUUUACAAAUUCUAGAACAUUAAUUUCCCUCAUUUUAAAUUUUCUCGGGAAAGAAAAAUCUAUUUAUCACGCUUUGUAAUUGAAAACUAAAACUGAAAGAAUUCUGGAAAAAAAACUCUAUUUAUAAUUUAAAAAUAAAAUGCACGUCGGUUGUAGUACACUUAACGACGUUUAACAAAAUAAUCUACGUCGGUAAUUAUAAAUCUACCGCCAUCUUACCCUAAUAUAGACGACGAGAAAAGACGACGGUAGAACAGAAAACCGCCGUUGUUUCAGUUUCUUUAACAGUUUGGUCCUUUAUCUUUCUGCAGGACUUGUAUAGUUCAAAGCAUUGACAAUGUCUUCAUCAUAUCUCCCAGCAACUACUGAUUCGAUUGCUCAUGCUUUAGAGGCCAUCUGAAGCCAUUUCUAUUCUUUAUCGCAUUCUUGAAACCCAUCUUCUUCUUCUGAAGCUCUACGGAUAAAGGAAGAGGCUAUCACAAAUCUGACGGAUCUUCUUAGUCAAAAAAAUCAAGCAGAGGAUCAGGCACAUCUGAUCUUCAGAUUUCCCUGAGAAGCGAACUUUCCUUCGACAGCGAGUGGAGGCCAGGCUUGCAUCUCUUUUGAUGGAAAGCAAGGAGUAUUCAGAAGCACUAAGUGUCCUAUCAGGCUUGAUCAAGGAAGUGAGAAGGCUAGUUGACAAGCUUCUUCUUGUCAACUAGCCUAAAUGUAAGCUCAAUUUCUCUUUGAGAAAGACCUCCAAAUUAUUGUCUUUGAGAUGUGAGAGACAGUGUCUCUGAGAGAGGAAGAACUUGGAACCCUAAAUGUAAACCGCGAAAAUGAAUGAAAGCGACAAAUUUAUAGAAUAAAUUUUUAAAACCAACGGCGGUACUUACCAAGAAACCGCCGUUUCAAUUGUAAAAUCAACGUCGGUAUUACUGACGUAUAUUACAGAACUCCACGUCGGUACAUUAAUAAUCACGACGUCUUAAAUAAUCUACCAUGACGCGAGUUAUUACUUAUGUACUUUAAUUUUUGAGUUUACUACGACGGUACCUACAACACUACUGUCGUAUUUAUUUACCACGUCCGAAGUUAAAUUUACCGACGUAUUUUGUACUUUAUACGUCGUAGUUAUAUGUAACCGCCGUAUUAUUUUUUUGAAAUGGUUUUAUAUGUAAGCAACUUUUCGUCUACUUGACUUACACAUUAGUUGUUUUUAUAUUCUUAUUUUAUUUAAAUCUGUCAUCCAAAAAAGAAACUUUACAUAUUGCAGAAUAUUAAUUUCCUUCGUUUUAAAUUUCCUCCGGAAAAAAAACUCUAUUUAUAACGCACUGUAAUUGAAAAAUAAACUGAAAGGUCACGGGAAAAAAAAUUCUAUUCAUAAUUUAAAAAUUAAAAUCCACGUCGGUUAUAUUAAACCUAACGACGUUAAAUGAAAUGAUUCCACGUCGAACGAAAAAUAUUUCGUCGUGUUAGUUAAAAACGACGUAGUUAAAUGUAACCGCCGUAUUAUUUUUUUGAAAUGGUUUUAUAUGUAAGCAACUUUUGGACUUACACAUGCACUGUUUCCAAACCCGAUUAAAAAUUUCAAUCUCCAGAGAAACCUUUUCGUCUUUUUUCCUUGUCAGAGCAUUAUCAGAGUUUCUCAUCGUCUUCCUCUCGUCUUCUUCGUCGUCCUUGAACUUAAACAUCGAUCAUCUUCCUCUUGCUUUCAUUGCACGCAAAAGGUAAGCUUUCAUUUUCACUAUUUUGGUUACUGUUUUGCAUGCUCAUACGUUUUUUGUUUGAAAAAUCUUUUUACCUUUUUUCUGGCCAAAAUCAUUUUACUUCUUUCCAAGUUUGAUAAAAUAUACAGACAAAAAGGGAAAGUUUCCAACUUUGAAGACAACUACCUCAACUAAAUGAGACGACGGUAGACCACGACGGUUCGUCAGUUGUUCUAGCGUCGUCUGAAAAUUGACAAAGUUGUUUUUAAAAUAAUAGUCUUUUUUUAUAUGCUUGUUUAAUUGCAGGUUUGAUUUCUCUGAACAAUGGUUUUUGUUUUUCCCUUAUUUGAUAAAAUAUAAAGAAAAAGAAACUAGGGUUGGUAUCUAAUAUAGACGACAAAAUAUCUUAUUGUUUUACGUCGUGUGAAUGUUAAUACCACGACGGUGUAUUACUAUUAACGUCGUAUGAACAUAAAUACCACGACGUUAUAUAAAUAAUAGUUUACCACGACGGUGUAUUACUAUUGACGUCGUGUGAACAUAUAUACCACGACGUUAUAUAAAUAAUGGUUUUAAACAUUUAUUACGUCUGAGAUUAUUUCAUUGCGUCGUCUAAAAUCAUAUCAUACGUCGUAUUUUUUUAAUACCGUCGUUUGUGUUCUUAAUGUUUUCCUGAAAUAUUUUCACUUGCAGUUUUGUCUGUUAAAAUGGUUUCUCAACAACAAACUAAGGAUUCUGGCUCCAAGAAGCUUGGAAUGGUAGCUCCUCAAGACAAGUCUUCGAAGGAGAUGAAGUCUUCGAAGAAGAUGAAGUUUGCUUCAUCAUCUGCUGAGACAGAACCAACCAGCCAGACAACAAUCUCUGAUGAUUCAAAGACUGGUCGAGGCAUGAGCACAAUGCCUCGUGUUGUGAAGAGAAAGCUUCAGAAACUGAGGCCAAUUGUUGAGUACAAUAAAAGGGGGAAAGGUGUUGGCCAAGCACAUAUUGAGAUGCAGUCGUAUAUUGGUGUGUUGGCACGCUCCAGGAUCCCACUUGUGGACAAGAAAUGGUCCCAAAUCCCCAAGGAUAUAAAGGAGCAGAUUUGGGAAGCAGUUGACAUGGCUUUUGUCGUAGGCCAAGGGGGCAAGACCUCUGUUUUAGCUUCUGCUUCCAAGAAAUGGAAGGAUUUCAAGUCUACACUAACGAGGCAUUAUAUCCUUCCAUACACCAAUGACAGGGAGAAAUUAAGCCAACCCCCUGAAACAUAUAAAUUCAUAGAGAAAGCACAAUGGGAUGCCUUUGUAGCUUCAAGGCUAUCCAAAGAUUUUGAGUCUGUGCAUUCUCAACAUGCACAGAUUAGGGAGAAACUCGAGUACAAUCAUCGAUUGUCUCGAAAAGGAUAUGCUGGAUUGGAGGAUCAAUUGGAGGAAACCAUGCCUGGGGUAGAAAUUGAUCGAUCUACCUUAUGGAAGAGAGCUAGACAGGACAAACAUGGUAACAUCCCUGAUCCAAAGGUGGCAGAGAAAGCAAAAUUAAUUGUAAGCCUACUAUCACUCUGUUUUAAAUUUUUAUUAAACUGUGAAUUAUUCUUAUUACGUCGUAUGUUAUAUUUUUCGUCGUGUGAAUGAUAUUACCACGUCGAAAAGUUUUUAAAAACGUCGUUAAAGGUCUAAAUAGGAAUCACUACUAAUUUUCUGUAAUUAUAGCAUAAGACGUCGGUGGUUCAUUUUCGCGUCGUUUGAAUGAUAUUACCACGUCGAAACUUUUUUAAAAACGUCAUUAACGGUCUAAAUAGGAAUCACUACUCUGUUUUCUUUAAUUAUAGCAUAAGACGUCGGUUGUUUAUUCAUUUCGUCGUUUUAAAUAAAUAACCACGUCGGUAUAACUACCGUCGUGAUAAGUUAUAAUAACGUCGGUUUAUACGUUAUUGCGUCGUGUGAAAUUAUAUAAUACGUCGUUUGUACAUAAAUAACCGUCGUGUGUUUUUUUGUUUAUCUUUGUUUUAGGAUGAAUUGCAGAAACAAGUCUCGGAAGGCAAAGUCAGAGUAGAUGGCAGCAAUGAUGUGCUGACCAUGGCUUUGGGCCCCGAGCAUCCAGGCAGAGUGAGGGGAGUUGGUGCUGGUGUUUCCCCAAGGCAAUAUUUCAAUUUGCCCAAACCACAGAGGGUGAGCUUUGACGACCAUUUGAAGGACAGUUUAAGAGUUCUCCUUCAAGAAGAGACUAAAAAGAUGGAGGCUAAGGCAAGGGAAGAGGCCUUAAGAAUGGAGGCUAGGACAAAACAAUUGGUAGAGGCUGAGAGGGAGCAUUUCCUGAGUCAGCUUUCCCAAUUAAUUCCCAAUUUUGAUCCAAGCAUGCUUAAACCAAGAAUUAGCCAAAGCCCCAAAAAUCCAAUGUCUGACAAAGCUAGCUGCUCUGGAGGUGAUGUGAGAUCCCUACAUUUGGAGGAUGAUACUGCCAAAAUGGGGAAACAUCAGCCAGAUGAAGAGAAGGAAGAAGAAAAAAGAGAUGAAGAGAAGGAAGAAGAAAAGGAGAAAGAAGAUGAAGAAAAGCAUGACGACAAGGUAUGUUCACAUAACUUUGCCUUUUUUAUUUGUUUUUCAAAAUUUCAGACGUCGAUAUUUUUAUUUAAUCCGUCGUUUGUUUAAAACUUAGACGGCGGACUUUUUUUAAGACGUAAUAAAAUAUUUAAACGACGGUUUUUGCACCGUCGUUUAAAUGGUUUCAGACGACGCUUUAUUCAUAAAAUCGUCGUCUUUAUUGAAUUACCACGACAGUUUUUUCACCGUCGUUUAAAUACUUUUAAGACGACGUUUUAUUCCUUAAACCGUCGUCUUUGUUGAAUUACCACGUCAUUUUUUUUAUUUCUUUAAACAGGUUAUUGAAGUUGGUGCUUAUUCAAAUAUGGAGGCGCCAUCUUCUUUAAAAACCCUUUGUCGUUUUGUGGAAACGACACUCCUGCCUGAGGAUAAGACACUCCAAUUUACAAUUGAUAAGGAGGUGUUUGGUGGUGAGCGCGAUACCUUCCUCCUGCCUGAAGAUAUUACACAAUUUGCAGGCAUGGAAGAAAUUGGAGCUACUGUAUUGGCUGUAUAUAUGAGGUUUGUACUUCUAAAAUAAUACCUCGUUGGUUUAUAUAUUGCGUCGUCUUAACUAACUAACCACGUCGUCUUAACUAACUACCGUCGUGAUAAAUAUAUUAUAACGUCCUCAUCUAUUUCAGUACGUCGUGUGAAAUAUUAUAAUACGUCGUUUUUUUAUACAUAACCGUCGUGUUUGUUUGUGCUGACUUGUUUAUAUUAUUUUAUGUAUUUAGGUACUUACACGAUGUUUUGAAACAAGCCAAUAUGUGCAGCAUGGUUGGCUUUAUCGACCCUGCUACAGUUAGUGCCAACUCUGGCACAAUAACUGAAAGAUCACGACUGGUAGCAGCUCGACUUCAGAAGACAGACGGUGAACAGAUUUUCAUGAUGCCUUACAAUCCAGGGUUAGUCUCCUUAGGAUUUUGUUUUUAUGAUUUUCAAUAAAUGACAGCUUAUAAACUAACCACGUCGGUGUUUUAUUUUAUUUAGUCGUUUGAAACUACUAACCACGUCGGUAUUUAUUUAUCGUCGUGAUAAAUAUAUAAUGUCGUCGUUAUCUACUUUAUUUCGUCGUGUGAAAUACUAUAAUACGUCGUUUUUGUAAAUAACCGUCGUUUUUAUAUUCAUUUUGUGCAGCCGUCAUUGGAUCUUGCUGAUUGUAAGAGCAAAGAAGGAGACCGUCUAUUUUCUGGAUCCUCUGCCAGGUCAUCGUGUGGUCGACGAAGAGGCGAAAAACAUCGUGAACAGUGCUUUAAAAAUAUAUAAUACCCACAUAGCCCGAGCACGACGUAAAAAUGUAAUUUGGAAAACUCUCUCAGGCACACCAAAGCAACCCAGCAAUGUCGAAUGCGGGUACUAUGUGAUGCGCUUCAUGAGGGACAUCAUCAUGGAUCCUUCCUUGGGGUUUGAGAAUAAGGUAAGAAGAAAUUACCUUCAUACAUUUCACGUCGUUUUUUGUAUUAUCAACGACGGUCAUGUAAAAUUAACGUCGUUGAAUGGAUAUACUACGUCGGUUAUGAAAAAUAUCGUCGUCUGUGAUUGAAUUUCUUUUUAUUUAUAAACCCUAAUAGUCAUUGUUUAUGCAGUAUGCCAAGGGAAACCAGGAAGCUUCAUACCCCCAAGAAGCCAUUGAUGAAGUCCGGAAUGAAUGGGCAGAGUUUGUUUUCCAAAUUAUUAAACAGGGCAAUUAUUGAACACUUGAUAUUUAUGUAUAAUGUACAAAUUUUCUCUAUAAUAUGUAAUGUAAAAAUUUGUUGAGGUUUUCUUAAAUUAAAAAAAAAACAAACAUACAAAUUGCUUAACCGACGUGUAAUACUUUUCCAACGACCUAAUAAAGUCAAAAACCGUCGUAUUUUGUUGUUUCGUGUUUUAAACAAAUACGACGUAAAAAUAUAGUUAGACGACGUUCUUUGAACAAUUGAGUCGUUUAUGGUUUACAACAUCUUCAAUUUCUUAAGGGUUCAGGGUAUCAUCGACGACGUUUAUGUAACGACAGCGGUUAAGUCGUGGAAUAUAUAUUUUACGUCGUAUAGUUAAAUAGCCGCCAUGGUUUCUCAUUUUAACGACGUCAUUUUAACGACUUAGUAGUCUAUUACAAUUUACAACGUCUACAAUUUAUUAACACCGACGUGGUUUGUUGUUGUGGUAAGAAUAUUUUAUUAUUUUUAUAUCAAAAUAUUCAAAAUAAAUUUAAAAUAAAUCAGAAAAUUGAAAAGUCAUCUCCUAUGAAGUCAUUGAUAUAUUUUCUUCCACAUAAACCUUGAAAAAAUUCAUUUUGAAUAACAAAAAUUUAAAAUGACCAUCCAAAACAAAAUUGUUUUGAUGAGUCAUAAAAUCACUUCUAGUUUUAUGGUUUAGGGUUUAGAGUCUAGGGUUUAGAGAUUAGGGUUGUUAUUUGUUGGGGUUUAUUUUUAAAGUAUAAUUUUUGGGUAGUCUAGGGUAUAUGUUAGGCUUUAAAACCAUAAAACCUUUUAUAAACUUAAUUUUUUAAAUUGUAUAAUUUAGUUUUAUGGGUUUAGGGUAUUAAUUUUUAACGACGGUGGUUGCGUCGUGGAAUACAUAUUUUACGUCGUACAGAAAAACAUACGACAUGGUUUACGCUUUAAACGACGUCAUUUUAAUAUGUAAGUCGGUUUAUAUAAUUUACAACGUCUUUAAUUUCUUAACACCGACGUGGUUUUUCAGUCGUCGUUAUAUAAAAAAUUCAAAAUAAAUUUAAAAUUAAUCCGAAAAAUGAAGCUUCAAAAUGAACGGCCUUACGUUCUUAAUCCGAAAAAUGAAGUUUCCGUCGUGGAAUAUUAAAUUUACGUCGGUACUUGUAGAACUUUCGCCUUGGUUUUUCUUUCGACGUUUUAAAACGCGCGAGCUCUAAAAAUUUUCGCGUGACCUAAAUUUUUUUAGAUUUGGCUCUUAUUCUUAUACUUCGAACCCUGAAACCUAAAAUUUUCAGAUUUCGCUCUCUCACUUCUGCUCUAAUUAAAAGUUGCACUCUCCAGGCUUCGUCGAAUCUGUGAGCUCGUCCAACCUGUAAGUACAAACCCUAUCUUCCCCUUGUAAAUUCAUUGAAUGAUAUUAGGUUGUUUUGUUAAAGGGUUUUAUGUGUAUGCUUUGCGAUCUGUUAAUAAUGUGCUUAUAGGUAUGGGUUCAUAGAUUUUCUGUUUAAUGGGUUCAUGGAUUACAUUAUCUGUUAUGUUGAAUUGGGAAUGGAUUUAAUUUUGUCGUAUCUUUUAAUCACCCUAUGUUAUGUUGAAUUGGGAAUGGAUUUAUUGUUUUCAUGCUUGGUUUCAUGUAUAUGUUGGUUUCUUGCUUGGUUUCAUAUAUAUGUUGUGUUCUUAAUGGGUUUUGUGUUCUUGAAAAUAAACUGAGACACGACAAAUUUUAAGGCAUACGACGACGAUUACACGACGGUUUUUUUAAACUACCGUCGUUGUAUUACUUAUACAAGACGGUUUUUUCAUAAACCGUCGUUUGUAUUACUUAUAAUAGACGACGUCUGUUGAAAAUCCGUCGUCUAUAUAUGCCAAAUACGUCUGUUUUUGUUUAAAACCCGUCAUCUCUGUUGUGUAUUACUUGCGAUUAGAUCAUUGUAUAAUCUGCUAUAGUGAUGGUCAUUGCCUGUAUUUUCACUUUAUUAUAGAUAAUAGGUUAUAGUGUCGGAGAUGGAUAAGUCAUGGAUGCACUCGGAUAGAAGAUCGAAGGCAUAUGAAUUUGGGGUGGAAGCAUUUUUGAACUUUGCUUGAGAAGUACUUUCCCCCUUCAUUCUUUGAUAUCAUGGUUCAUCUAGUAGUACAUCUUGUCAGAGAAGUUCGUCUAUGUGGGCCAGUAUAUUUUAGGUGGAUGUAUCCGUUUGAAAGAUAUAUGAAAGUGCUGAAGGGGUAUGUUCAGAAUCGUACUCGUCCCGAAGGUUGCAUUGCUGAGCGGUAUAUAGCUUAAGAAGCGGUAGAGUUUUGUACUCAGCAUUUAUCUGAUGUUAGUACAGUUGGAGUGCCUUCAAGCCAAAAGAUGGGACUUUCAAAGCCAUUAUCAGGUUGCACAGUGAGCGUAGUUGAUCAGGACCUGUUGAAUCAAGCACAUCUAUAUGUCUUGGAGAAUACGGAGGAAGUCCUACCUUAUAUCGAGUACGUAUGAGCUUUAUUCUUUAAGUUUCCAUUUUAAAUUAUUUCUUAUGUUUAUCUUCUAUAUUUGGGACCGUAAUGCUUGAAUUUUUCGUGUCAUGUAGGCAACAUAUGAUCCACAUCAAGAUUGCUUAUCCAAAAUUUAGAAAGAGAACAAAGUGGCUGCAGGAUAAGCACAAUAGCACUUUCAUUCAAUGGCUACGCUUCAAGGUAUAUGUUGUUGAAUAACAUAUUUCUCUUUUAAUUUUCUUCUUAUUUAUAUGUUAGAUUGAAUUAAGAUAUGAUUAAUUUGCAGGUUCAAAGUGAACUUGAGGAAGACAAUCAUGGCGUAUCAGAAAAUUUAAGGUGGCUAGCAGCUGGUCCAAACAUGUCAGUGCCAUUAUAUAGGAGCUAUCUUAUUAAAGGUAUUAAAUUCAAUAUCAAGGCACAAGAUGAUGUGCGGACAACUCAAAAUAGUGGAGUUUAUUUACUUGCACAUACCAUGCAAGUUGCUAGUGCCAAGGAUAAAAACCCAAUUCUCUCAAACAUGGGUUUCUAUGGUGUCAUUCAAGAAAUUUGGGACCUUGACUACCAAAAGUUUACAAUCCCAGUCUUUAGGUGUGAUUGGAUAGAUAGUUCUGGUCUUGUAGUCGACGAACUUGGAUUUACCCUUGUAGAUUUGAGUAAAAUUGGACAUAGGAAUGACCAAUUUGUUUUGGCUUCUCAAGUCAAACAAAUAUUUUUUGUUGACGACCCGAUGCAUCGUGGUUGGUCGGUAGUGUUAUCAAUGCCUAAUAGAGAAUAUAAUGAUGUUAUUGGUGAUGAAGUCUUAGGUGAUGUGAUAAUUGAGUGUGAGCCAUUUACUAGAGGGAUGCCAAAUGUUGACACAUUUGAUGAACUGGUGGGUGAGUUAGGCGGUCAAAAUAUUCGAGAUGGGUGUGAAGAUAUAUGGAUUGAAUGAUGCUUAUGUAAUUGGCAGUGUAUGACAUUAAUUUUGUAAUAUAUUGUAAUGUGAUUUCUUCACUUUCUACGUUCAAAUAAAACACGACGUUAUUGUGAACCAGUUAUUCAGCAUAUUUACCGACGUCUUAAAGCAACGUAACAAUGAAGAACCACGACGCUAUUGUGAAGCAAUUAUUCAGGAUAUCACGUCGGGGAAGGAUUAAGAACCGCCAUGUAAUUCAAAAUAACACGACUCCAAUCCCAUAAUACCGACGUCUAAAAAACGAGAUAUAUAAUCUGAACGUUAAAAAAUACGACGUCAUCAUACAUUUUCCACAUCGCAAGUUCUUUUAUAAACGAAGAGGAACGAAAUGAAUUCCGACGGAAAUUCAUUAUAACCGCCGUCUAAUAACAAUUAAACGACGUUAUUUGUAAUACGGCUCUCAUCAUAAUCAACGCCGUCUAUAUGUUCUGUAAUACGGCUCUCAUUUAUUUGGAACCGACGUUGUUUAGAAGUUCAACGUCGUCUAUAUUAUUAAGUGCGUCGUGAGUAAUGAUGAUAGAUAUAAAUACAACGUCGACUAUAUAAAUGCCACUGACGUUGUUUCGCAUUUCAACGUCAACUGUAUAAAUACAUACGUCGUAAAUAAUGACACUGACAACUAUUUCCACGUCAUCUUUUUUAGAAAAAUCGAAGUGGAAAAUUUAUUUCACGACGGUUGUUUGUAAAUAAGAGACGUAGUAUAUUUCAAUAACGUCGUCUUCUCAUGUAUUUAAAGACGUCAUAUUUUUUCUUGUCGUGUAAAUUAUAUUUAACGGCGUAGUAUUUUAGUUGUCGUCGUUGUAUGUAUAUCUUGCGGCCUUGUUCUUUUAACAUGUGUCAUAUUUUUCCUUUUUAACGACGGUGAUUUGUUUGAGUUGGUCGUCUAUUCUCAUCCUCGACUAUUUUCUAGAACUUUAGCAGACUAAACACGUCUGUUUUUAUUGUUUUCCGACGUUGUUUUAUUUAACAACGUCUAAUAUUUAUCGUCGUUGUUUGUUUCUGAAAAUAUGACGUAUAAAUUUUGUAAUACGACUCUCAUAUAUUUGUAACCGACGUUGUUUCGUUUUUCAACGUCUACUCUAUAAAUACAUACGUCGUAAAUAAUGACACUGACAACUAUUUUCACGUCAUCUUUUAUCGAAAAAUCGAAGUGGAAAAUUAAUUUUACGACGGCUGUUUUUAUAUAUGCGACGUAGUAGGUAUCAAUAACGUCGUCUUCUAAUGUAUUUAAAGACGUCAAAUUUUUUAUUGUCGUGAAAAUGAUAUUUAACGGCGUCGUAUUUUUAUUUUCGUCGUUGUAUGUCUAUCUUGCGGCCUUGUUCUCUUAAUAUGUGUCAUAUUUUUCCUUUUUAACGACGGUUUUUUUAGAGAGUUGGUCGUCUAUUCUCAUCCUCGACUGCUUUUUUAGAUCUUUUUGCAGUACAAAGACGUCGUUUUGUAUUUGUUGAUGACGUUGUAUAUUUUAACAACGACGGUGAUUUUGCGUCGUGGUUUAUGAGGGAAAAGAUGACGGUGGAUUCCACGACCAUUGAAAAACCGAAUACACGACGGUGAUUUACCGUCGUCUUUUUGCUUUUUUGUAGUAGUGAGAUAAAAAUGUUCUGAACACUUCUCUAGAAGGCCACGAACCCAUCCGAGGUCAUCUUGGGCUCCAAAAACACAAUAAAAGCCCAACACGUCACUAUUCCAGCACCGCGCACUGCUCAUUUAUUUUAUUGCCAGAAAAUAACCGCUUGGAAGAAAAAUCUGAAAUUUUGAUACGAUCAAGCUAAGUGACUCAAGAACGUCCUCCAACUGGAAUUACUCCAAAAUUCCUCAAUUUGAUUAUGUUUUGCUCCAGAGAGAGUCGAAAGUCCUAUAUUGGAAAUAUAAUUCAAAGUAUCAAAAUUCUUCCAAAAUAUUAACCAAAAUAUACUAAGAAUGAGGUUAAAUAUAUAAUAUAAAAUAUGUCCAUCACCCCACAACAACUAAAGAACCAACAUUUUGUAGAAGGUUUUGUCUAUACCUUUGACUGUAAGUAAAUCUCUUGUAUCUGCUCCUGUGGUUCGGUGAAGUUUCUUUGUGUCCUUUCUGCGGAGUCUCCCAUGCUUGUUCCAUGAAAAUGUUCUAGGAGAAAAUACGGUUGUUUCUUACUAGAUUCAAAUGAUUAAGAAAAAUAAAAACGCAAGAAAAAAGGUAUUUUCUUGAUGGACUUGGUGAUGAAAAAUAUCACUCUCUUUAUAUGUCGUCUUCCUUGGACUUUGAGACCUUGGGUUUCGAUUCUUCUUGAGGAUUGCAUAGGGUUUCUAGGCCCAAGAAUACUUUGAGUUAGUUUUUGCGUUUUGGGCUUUGAGACUUUGAGACUAUAAUGAGUGGAAAGUUAUAAGGGGUAAGUUAUAAGGGGGUCACUUUAUAGCCAUCAGAUUAAUCCAAGGGCUGGGGAGAAUUGAGAUAAAGUUUCACAAUUGGGUAGGUGAGGAACCCAAACCCGAAUUGAAUAUCCAGCACGUCCAAAAAGAAGAAGAAGAGGGAAACACGUCCGAAAAAGAAGAAGAAGAGGCAAGUUCGAAGUUUGAACAGAAAGAACUCAUCUCUCUAAAACACAGAGGUCUGAGAUACCCAAUGAAGGCAACGGCUAACGACAGUUGAAGGCAACAAUUCGCCACUCCGUUCUCCAGACCCCGAAAAAGUAUUUAUUUGGAGUAGAAGGGGCAAAGGUGUGGAUUCCAAAUCAGUGAAGGGGCGAAGCAGUGGAAGGGGAAGGGGAGAAGCUGUAUUCGUUGGAAGUGUAGGUUCCAUUUGUGGAGCAAAGAAAUAGAAAGACCCCACACAGACACCUUGCAAUAACCAGCAUUUGGUGAGUAAUUUAUGGAAUUUGAGUUUAGGGUUAGAGUAAUGGUUUUCCCCAAUUUGUACCAUAAAUUUUGUUGGAUUUGGCAUCUCUUCGUUGUGCUUCAGUUGCAUGUUAAUUUUUGCUUAGGUAUAUGUUAAAAAAGGAAUGAAAAUUAAGUCAAUAACAAGUGAAUAACAUGUCAAUAAUGAUAUGAAUAAGAUAAUGGUGUUGAAUUGGAGGAGGCCCUCAAAACCUUCCACAUUUGAAGCAGUGCAUAGUGCAGAUUAAGAAGAGGCGCUAGAAUAUAUAUAUAUAUUUUAUGAAGUAAAUAUGAUUUCCUUUGUUACUAAAUUUGCCUGAGAAACAUUUGAACAGAUAAUAAUAAACUCAUGAAUAGAACUGCAAAGCAUUUGAUGAGCAAUGUAAGGAAUUUAAGUUUAGGGUUAGAGUAAUGGCAUCUCUUAUUUGUGCUUCAAUUGCAUGUUAAUUUUUGCUUGGGUAUAUGUUAAAAAAUGAAUGAAAAUAAAGUCAAUCACAUGUCAAUAACAUCUCAAUAACAUGUCAAUAACAUGUCAGUAAUGAUAUGAAUAAGAUAAUUGUGUUAAAUUGGAGGAGGCGCUCAAAACCUUCACAUUUGAAGCAGUGCAGAGUGAAGAGUACCUCUCUGGCACUAGAAUUUAUAUAUUUUGUGAAAUAAAUAUUAUUUCAUUUGUUACUAAAUUUGCCUAUGAGAAAUGAGAACAGAUAAUAAUAAACUCAUGAAUAAAAGUGCAAAGCAUUUGAAAUGAAGGUUGAUCUAUGACGAUUGUGGGUGACUGAAGAAAAAGGUAGAAAGAAAGAAGGAUGUGGCAAUUGCUUAGCAAGCAGAUAGCAGAGUACAUGCUUUGCUUUGCUUCCUUCCACUAUAUUUCUUAUUUAUUUAUUUUGGGUUGUGUAUGAGAUGACAAUAAUUGUCAUGUGUGUGAAGUGCAGAACUUGCCUACAUUGCACUCACACGAGUAUGGAUGCAUAAAUAAAACACGUGAAAUUGUUUGUAAUUCACAUAAUCAUUGCAUUAACAGGUAUUUGCACAAAAAUUGUCAUAUUGCUUUGAUGAUGUUAAAGGCUGUGAUGAGUAAUCCCUAUGCUCAUGUACUUUGUAAAAGUUGUAAUGUGCCUGGUUGACUAGUUGUGAUUGUGCAAAUACGUGGUAGUAUAUAUGUUCACGUUAUUUCACAUUGUAUUUGAGGAAAUGGGAUCCAACGUGGAGCUGGUAUGGCCAGAGGCAGAGGUAUAUUCGUCACGGGUGAACAACUGCUCACAUGCAAAUUCAUCUCUAGCUGCAAUUCGAGCGAAGUUGAGUGCGGAACAAUUAGAACAAUUCAAGACAUCAUGCUUUGGCCAUCUUCUGAAUAUAGAUAAGAUUCAGUUUAGCGGGCAGAUUGUGCAUGGGGUUGUGUUGCGUAGAGUAGCGGGGCAGGGUGUGAAAGACUUGGAUGGACUGAGUUUCUUAUUAGGGUGUGACGUUGCUCAGUUCACUCGUCAGGAUUUCUGUUUGAUCACAGGGCUUCGUUUUGGGGAAGUGCCUGAAGUUUCCAGUGGAGAGAGUGAUGAAAUCAGACUUCAGAAAAGAUAUUUUAUAGACGAAGGAAUUACAUGCAAUGCUUUAGAAGAAGCAUUUGUGAGGUGCACAGAGGAAGAUGACAUCUACAAGCAAGCUCUUGUUUACUUUGCUGAGUUAGUGGUUUUGGGAAGGGACAAACAUUUGAACAUCAAUCUAAAUUACCUGACCCUUGUAGAGGACUUGGAUGCGUUCAACAGGUAUCCGUGGGGUUCGGUGUCCUUUGACAAAACCCAAGACAGUCUAUUUUCUGCACCAACAAAGUAUGUGAAAAGCUUGGAAAAUGAAGAGGGAAGAGGGAAGGGGAAAAGUAAGGUAACGGGAACAAGCCGGAGAAAUGAGAAGGGCAAGAAGGAUAAGCAUGGUGAAGCGCAAAUGAGUGGCUGGAGUUUUAAAGGUUUCACGUAUGCUUUCCAGGUACAUGGUAAUAAUGUUCAUGUCAGUUAUGUUUUGUUUUUCUUUAAAACAUAAAUAAUGACUUUUGUCCUGUGAAUUGUGUAGAUUUGGGUAUAUGAAUUAAUUCCUAGAAUGGCGGACCUGAAUUACUGCAAGGUUGUUGAUCCGACCGUUGUCCCGCGUAUUUUGCGAUGGAGAACUACUACGUCUGUUCCAGAGAUGAGAAAGUUGAACAAUUAUUUUUUCCAGAGCAAAGAGGUUUGGUUUGCAGCCCUUGGAACUAUUGAUAAGAUUGAAUGAAAUUAUGAAGUAGAAUGAUUUGAUAUGACUCUUGUCUGUAUUCUGAAACAGUCAGUUCAGUUGCGGGCGCUAUGUCCGAGUGAAGAGGAAAUGAGACAGCCAUAUUGGAGUUGGCCACAGGAUCGCCCUGCUGUUGUCUCAGCAGAGUCAAUUCCUUCUUCAUGUGGUGAUCUUGAUGAGUUGAACAAGGUGGUAAGUUGGUUGAGGUCCGAGUUGUUUCAAGUAAAGCGGGAAAAAGACGUCCUUCACUUAAAGGUCAUACGGAUGGAAAAACUGUUGGACCAAUGUUUAGGUCCUCAGUUUGAGCAGGAAGUAAGGAGGGACCUAGCUUUACUGAAACAGAGGACGAAUCGUUGUGUCAUCUCACAUCUAUUUAAGGGAUAUGGGGAAAUGGAUGACAUUCAAUGGGAUGAAGGGCCAAGUAACAGAAAUGAGGGAGAGGAAAAGGAAGAUGAAGGGAUUGAAGGGGGUGAAGGGCCAAAUAAUAGAAAUGAGGGAGCACAUAAGGAAAAGGAGGGGAUUGACGGAGAGGAAAAGGAAGAGGAGGGGAUUGAAGGGGGUGAAGUGCAAGGAAAACCAAGUGAGGUAGAGGAAGGGCAAAGGAAAAGAAGUGAAGGAGAGCAAGUGCAAGUAAAAAGUAGCAAAGGAGAGGAAGCCCAGAGACAGAGCAGUGAGGGAGAGGAAGUGAAAAGAAAAAGCAGUAAGGGAGAGAAACUGCAAAGGAAAAAAAGGGAGGGCAAGGAAGUGAAAACACAAACAAGUGAGGAAAAGGAAGUGCAAAGAAACCAAUGUGAGAAAGAAGAUAAUGAAGUUAUGUUGCUUGGGGGUGACAUUGGCGAGAGCACGGAGGGGACACUGCUUGAGUUUACUGUCGGGGACAUUGAUUUGGAUGAACCUACAGCUGUGCUAUCUCAGUUGAACGUGUGGUUGAAUGAUAAAGGUAAAGCUCUGGCACAAGGGGUCCAAUUACGGAAAAGGAAGAGGAUCAUUCCUUUGUGGAAGAUCAUUGAAGGCAGUGAAUUGGUUCCAAAAAUUGGGGCACAGACAACCGGACUGAAGAUGUUAGACCCAAUGAAGGCGAUUUCGCAUGAUGAUCUGGUGAAAUUGCUGAAACUUUGUUGGGAAUGGCGCCAGGACCCAAAGUAAGUCCCUUGCAAUUAUAAGAUACAAGCAUGACUGUAUAUAAUUUUUUAUAUACAGUGUUCUAAAACUGUUUUAUAUUCAUAGUUUGGUGAUGCAAUUUGGCAACGUGGAAGCUGAGAUUGAAUUCUUCGCUUCCCUCGUGAAAGCUGAUGGUUGGCUGAAAGGAGAUGUAAGUGUAAUUGAUUAUGCAUUUGUUUUAAUGUACAUACAUUAUGAGAUUGACAAGAAAAACAUGUUGCAGCACAUUGAUUUGGGGUUGUAUCUCAUCCGGAAGCGACAACAACAGUUGGAGACAGAUUCGGUAGAAGUAGCGGACUGGACAACGACCGAUGUUUUUUUUAUGGUAUGUCAUCGGCCUUGACCAAGUGCCGUUAAUAAUUACACAUUUUCCAUACACACACUAGUGGAGGUGUUUAACCAUUGAUUGUUUUGUAUUUCACAGAAUCACAUUCGUACUUGCUUUGCGGAUAAUAAAAGAAAAAAACAGCAGCUUGGGUGGAAAAUCAGGAAAAGUUUACUAACCGUUGUAAAUGGGAAGGUUCCUCCGUGUGGGUUGGAUUGGCAGACCGUCUAUAAGGUGUAUACCCCAUUUAUGUUGACGAAGUACAAGCAUUGGGUGGCUGUAAUGAUUGAUCUGGUAUUGUGUGAAAUCAAAGUGUACGAUUCAAAGGUUUCACUAAUUCCAGAUGACAUCGUAAAGGAAGAACUCGGCCCGCUAUCAAUUACGCUUCCAAAUCUUCUCAACACCAUCGACUUUUAUGAAAAAGGUGUUUAUGCAAACAAUUGCAGCCAAGAUUAGUGGUGUCCGUGGCCAAUAGAGCGUGUGGAUGUUCCACAACAGUCUAAUGAGUAAGCACAACUUGCAAUUUAAUUUUAUUACUUUCAAUUGUCAAUUACGUUAGAAUGUCAUUAGUUGAAUUGAUCGAGUUCUUGUUUUGCUUCAGAGGCGAUUGUGGCAUGUUUGUGUUAAAGUACAUUGAGCUUUUCAGCGCUGAGCUUCCGUUAGCUACUUGCACCUCGCACAACAUGCCUUUUUUUCGGUUGAAAUUGGCUGCGGAGAUAACAAGGGGAGAUGCUUACUUCCCAUGAUAUUGGUUGAAGAUGACAAAUGGUACAUGAGAAGGUUUUGGGAAUGUCCAUUCUCAAACUAAUGUAAAUACACAAUAGAGAAGUACGGGUCCUUAUCGAAUUCUACCGCUAACUCCUUCAUGACAUUUACAUGUUUGUUAACCAAACUGCAUUGAAUUGGAAUUUUAAGACUGCAUAUGUGAAUUGGGAUUUGAAGAUGGCUUUUUAAGUGUAUUACAUCAUUGCAAAGUGAUAUGUCAUUGUUGAUGCAAGCCACCAUUAAUCGCAAUGUGUUGCAUCAUAAUAGGUGUCUAAACAUGCGAAAGGUUUUCCGCAGCUCAGUAGCAUAAAAGUAGAAACAAAGACAAUAUACACAAAAUGAACAACAAUUCACAAAUGCACCGACAAGCAAUACACACACAACAGACAAACAAUAUACACAAACUUGGCCUGCCAUAUACAGAGAAUAGACAUGCAAUAUACACACAGUAGACAUGCAAUAUACACACAAUAGACAUGCAAUAUACACACAAUACUCCCUUAACACACACAAUAGACAUGCCCUUGCCCACAAUAAUGAUGCAAUAUACUUCAGUCCCCAAGUACACCAACCAUAGGGAAGUCGUAUUGAAUAGGAUAUUAAACUUAACAGUUGUUCUUCCUACUAAAAGAAAGAAUAAGGUUCGUUUCCCCCCUUCAUUCUUACUUGAGUGAUACUUGUGGCCCCAAUAAACAUCCAAUUUUGGGGCAAUGAUAUUCCAUAUACAUGCAGCAAACUAUCAAUAAACCUUCAAUAAACCUUCAAUAAACAUUCAAUAUCGUUUCUAUAACAUGCGAAAUACAUGCAGUUACCAAAUAUUACAAAAUGGGUUUAGGGUCUCAUUGGUGGUGCGUGCAACAUGUCUUGUGCGGGAGAACUUUCACAAUCUUUUAAACCGUGCAGUUAAAUGAUCAUUAAAAGAACAAAUAAAAUGACAAUUGAUACAACUAAUAAAACUAAUACCAAGUCCUUAAUGGACUUCAGCAUGUUCAGCACUCUAGCAUCAUACGUGUCAUCUUGAUGUUCUGCUUCAGCGGAGGUUACAUCAACCCAUUCGAAUCCAUUGCAACUGGUGGCUCCCUAAUUGCAGGCAUCAUAUAUGGAAUAUAAUUCUGUCAGAGUUAGACAUAGGUUUUUUUUCACCCACAUACAUAUUCUUUAAAUUAAAACUUACAUAGGAGGUUAGACACUUCCAGAAUGGCUUCCCUCGAUUUUUGUCAGAUUUUGAAACCCGAAGCACCAUUGUAGCUCCACAAUACUGACACCUCUUUGUUUGAGCGGGAGAUGAAGAUGAAGACAUGUUUAAUCUUCUCAGUUGUACCUCUUCUCACUCAGAUCUUCUCACUGAAACCUCUUCGGACUCAUACCUUCUCACUCAUAGUUGUCAUUCAUACCACUUCACUCAUAACCCUAAACUUGUCACUCAGCUCUCUCUCAUCUCUGCCCAAAUCGAGUUAUAUUUCUUUUUUUUGGGAUCAUUUGGUGGGUUGGUCACGAUGUCGACACCUGUACCGUCAGCAUUGUGACAUCUUUUAGCCCGAAAAGCAAUAUAAACUACUUCACUACCAAAUAUAUUUUCUGAAUAAUGACGGGACACUGCUUCAAUUUUAUUAAUUUAUUUAUAUUUCAUUAAGGCAACUAGUUGGAUAAGAAUCCGUCAUUAUUGGUUCCAUUUUAAUAACAUUACUAGGGGUAAUUGGGUGUGGGAAAAUGAAAAAGUAUAUGAUGGGACCUUCUGUCACUAGUCAGUAAUCCAUCACAUUUGUAUCAAUGAAUUUGAUAGUGGGAUAAACCCAAAAAUGGCUAUGCAAAUAGCCAUUUAAUUAACUUUUUGACUGUCUGACUCUGUAUGCACCGUUAUGACGUUUUCCCUUCUUUUGUCUUAAGUUUUAAUUCACUGGGGUUCAGUUUCUUUCAAAAGGGUCAACUUGGAAAAACCCCAACUGGAAACACCUUUUCAAAACACUAUAAACAGAGGCUAAAACAAAACGUGUACCCCAAAUAUUAUCAUUUAUCCCCUCUGCCACUCCUCAAAUCGUUCCAUUCCAAAAACUUUUCAAUGAAUUCGAAACACUUCACUACAGUCGGAGGAAAGAGAAGGAAGCAUGUCCAUUUCGAUAUGCCCGAAGCCUUCAUCCCGGAGUCCGCUUGGUUUCAAGUCAUGUUAUACGUGGCAACCGAAUCAUCGGAAGAUCUCUUCCGUAUGGCAUCUGUGUGACGAUUGUUCCGAACUUUGGCAAACAGUUCACAAGUGUGGAACACCAUUUCAAUGGCAAAGUACCCAGACCAUCCUAUAUGGUACCGUGCCAGACCUGCGGUCCAGCAUUUCUUGCAACAAUGCAGGGCUUGCGAUAACCCUGAGUCCAUAUUUAGAGAAGCAUUCGAAGGUUUUUUCAGGCACGGUAAGGUGGAAGCGUUGUAUGGGAUGCGCAUUGCAGCCACGGCAGGCCAUAUGGAAGCGGCAUAUGUAGUUGGACUACUUGGUAUGUCCGGAAUUGGUCAGUCAAAAGAGGAUGCAUUACAAUUCUUGUGUUCUUUGAAUCAACGUAACAACAUUGAUAUGAAAGGAACCAGGGAUGCUUUGACAGGAAGAUUUCACGGAGCAUUUGUUGCAAGACAUAUCGUAGAUAUGUUUGACUAUGGGAAGAUUAAGUUCAAUCGGUGCAGCGCUUGUAACAACAAUGAAUGGUAUUUUGUUAUUCCAGGCUGGCCUAGUGAAGACAAGAUAAAUCCUGCGUUGUGGACUUGUUGCAAUCGAUGCAAAUGGCACCGUGAGAGUAUUUUUUGGUGCAAACUGAUGCGUGAGUAUGUUGUGCGAGGGAAUCACGUAUUUUUGCAUUAGUUUUAGUACGAAUUUACGGUUUUGAUGCAUUGUGGACUUGCUUCUCUUCACUUCUAGGUUGGCUGGCUACGUUAUACCUAUCUCAGUUUAAAUGUUGUUCAAAUGUUGGUAUUUUGUCAUAAACCGUUUUAUAUAUAAAUGUAUAAUAUUUAUUAUAUAGCGGAAUUAUUACUUACAUCAUAGACGGCUAGGAAUGACAUUUUACUGACACAGAUAUUUUGCUCACCGACCCCAAUCUUCAUAUUUGAUAAACGAAAAGUUAUGCAUGGAGUAAAUAGGUGUCUUUUCACCAGUGCUUGGGAAUGACAUUUUCCCACUUAGCAUAUCCGAAAGGAUUUGGUUACACGUUUCUUAACCUAGGGGGUUGAACAGUGAAUGACGUAGACUAUUUUUUGUGUGUGGAAGGAGUACAAUGGAUGACUUGUAUAUUUCCAUAUUAUGUUUCAAAACAUCCCUUCAACCUAAAAAAUAAAAAAAUUAACAAAUUGAAGAACAGAGAAACCGAUGAGCACUACAAAUGGCCUAUUCGCACGGAAAAUAAAAUUGUUUUCAACAAGUUGGACUAAAUAUAAUUAACAAAUGGACAGCCUAAAAAGUAAUAUCAUAAUAAUUAUAAUAAUUGUGGAUAAAUAAUAAUAAAAUACUAAUGUAACAUAACCAUUAAACAGGGAAUGCAGUAGGAAGAUGAAAUCGCAAUAAGUUCGUAGAAAUUUUGGGAUCGUUUUUCUAAUUUUUGUGUAUUUAGUUAUGAAUUUUCCAAGAAAAAAGGUAAUAAAAUAAUAAUUUAGGGUAAAAUGGGAGGAUGUGGCCAUGUUCGGUAACGUACACUUGUGCAAGUAGUCAAAAGUGACGGGCUGAGAUCGCGCCAGGUGUCAUAUUCUUGUUAAUUUUGGAUUCUUUUGUUAAAAAAUCUUUGAAACUAGGUAAUAAAUAGUAGGAAAAUCGUAAAAAUGGCCCAAAAAUUACUCCGGCCUCCUUUUGACGUCCUAAAACUAGGAGAACCUAUAAAUCAUUCGUCUCGCAAUGAAAUAAUCCAAAUUGUGUUACAUAACUCACUUUCCUCUUAACCCUAAGUAUUGAUGUUUGUUAACUUCAACUUGAAUAACCUACUUCAACAAGCAUCUCCCGUUAAUAUUGGGAAUUAAUUUUACAAAUGCGUAACAAUGAAUCGGAGAAUUCAGCAACGGAGAUGGAGUGUCAAUGAGUUCGUAGCAAUUUUCGGAUAAUUUUUUUAUUUUGUGUGUAAUUAGUUCUGAUUUUUGUAAGGAAAAGUAAUAAAAUAAUAAUUUAGGGUAAAAUGGGAGGGUGUGGCCAUGUUGACUGACGUACACUUGUGCAAGUAGUCAUCAGUGACGGGCUGAGAUCGCGCCAGGUGUCCUUUUGCUAUUAUUUUGGCUUUUUUAGUGCAACAAUCUGUGGACAUAGGUAAUAAAUUCUACGAAAAUCCAAAAAAUGCCCGGAAAAUGAGAAAAUGAAAAUUAUUUGUACAUAACUCACUUUCCUCUUAACCCAAAUUCACGUUAACACGUAUAUUUCGGAUAAUAUUCGAAAUAUAAUUUCUAAUAAUACAAUAUUUAGUUUCACUAUAUACAAUAAUAUGUUUUUUUUAUAAUAAUGUACAUAAAUAAUAAUUGCACAUGCUUUGAAGCCAUCAUUGCAACUACGCCUAGAGCUUUGAAGACGUCAGUUCGUAUUCAAUAAGUUGUCCACAUGCAACUGCACCUAGAGUUUUCAACACGUCAGAGGUAUUCAAUAAGUUGUCCACAUGCAACUGCACCUAGAGUUAUUAACACGUCACAGGUAUUCAAUAAGUUGUCCAUAUGACGCCGCAUUGGGAAUCAGUAAUAUAUUUUCAAUCAUGUCAAAUCACAUAAAUAAUGCCAUACUUUUUCUCAAUAACCUCACACAAGUGAAGCAAUUUUAAAACCCUUAGUGAAUAUUUAUCCUAGUCUAUAUGAGUGAUUAUAUAAUCAGUUGCAUAAUAUUUUUUUCACAGUAUAUGUUAACUUUGAGAGGGAUUCCACAAACAUAAAAUAUAAAGAAAGCAAGAAAUAGUAGGAAAUGAACCAGUACAAAAAACAAUAUAUAAAGUGUACAUAAUAAUUCCAUAACCUUGUCACAAACGCACUCACAAAAGCUUUUCCAUAAACCUUGUCCUAACAUAUAAUAAAUAAAGGCAACAUUGCAUAUGAUGCAACCAUGUCCAAAUCUGAUAAGUGAUCAAAAACAAAUGGACAUGGCAGCAACAUAUGAUUGAAGUAGAUGGGCUCUUUGCAUCUUCUGUUUUCGUAAUUAAAGACAUCAAAAUAUUAAGGUUUAAAUCUUCCAUAGUAGUUAGCAUCAAAAUAGCUUUGAAGCAGAGUGUAACGAAAAUUCCAAUUCCACUUAUUUGCCUCUGCUCAAACACGAGAACCAAAAUGGUUACUUCCCUUGCUGAGUAUAUUUGGUGACGUCGGAAACGGUAAUAGAUGACCAAUCAAACCCGGGUACGACGAGUUUUGCAUAGGAUCGGAAGUAGUCGAAUCCAGCUUGCAUCACACGCUUCUUUGACUCCACUACAUUAGAUGAGUUCUUGUAUUUUUGAACAGCUACACUCUGAAGUCGUUUGUGUCUACGCUUCAUGCGCUGCAACUUCGCCCUAUCCAGAUUGGCCUGCCUUUUGUCAUCUUCAAUUUGGCCUUCCACAAAUUCCAAACGUGCCCUUGCCCUUUGGAUUUCAUCACCAAGUUGAAGAUGCCUCUCCUUCCAAAAAGCAACAACUCUUUCAGACUCAAAACUUCCAACAAAAUGGUCAUUCUGUCUAGCAAUGUGACAUUGCUUGUCUGGUGACUCACUUGCGUGUCGAAGCCGGUCUUUGUUUGGAGGGGUGUUUAUUAUACUCACAUCAAACUUGGUUGUGCUUAUGCUCAUUCUUUGGGGGGAAUGAGUUUGUUUGCUUGAGAGAGUAUCGGUAGAUGGAGACAGAUUCGGUGGAGGAGUGAGUUUUGUGUGGAAGGAGAUUUUAUAUGAAAGGGGUGAUAGUAAUACCAAGAAAAGGGUUCCCGCCAAAAAAUAUUUGGUUGACAAAGUAGAAAUUAUUUUUUUAGUCUGAUACAAUCUAAGUUUAAUCCUAACUAGUUUGGUUGAGUUAACUAAGUAGAUGUCACUUCCAUUGACUUUCUUUCAACAACUAUCAGUGGUGUAAGGAGAGUGUGAGGUUGACAUGCUUGAAAAGCAAAAGCUGACACCUAUUUUUAAAAAAUUCCCGCCAAAAAGUACAUAUGUUGACUACACACAAGCUUUGGUAUGUUGGUCUAUAAACCUAUGUUCCCUUUCUCAAACGAAAUUGCAUAUGCAAUCCUCAUCCUCCCAAAACAAAGAGGAUUAUUCAAGCAUGUCAACCUCUUCAGGCGCCAACAACACAAUCGAACAUGACAAAUUGGAGUCACAGGUUCUAUUUCCACAUUGUACUCGCCGACCCCUUCCUUUUUCAACAUCAUUUGGGAGUGAGGGGGACUCCGAUGAUCCAUUAGAGGCAAUACAUGCAGUCAGUGGCAAGCUGGAUUAUAAUUCCAGACUGAUCAAUUCAUGGCACGAGAAAUGUGUUGAAGACGAGGCAAUUUUGGCUGAUCUUAACAUUAGGGUGAGCAAAGCGUUAUCCCAAAAGAACAAGUACUUGAAGCUGAGUCAUAGCAGGAAGCUGAAAGCUGAGGAGUUGGAUACAGUAAUGAAUGAUGAAAUGAAAGGUUGUUUGAUGAACCAUAUGCGAUGCGAACAGCACCAUACUGAACUGGAGUUGGCAUUCAACGAAGGAUUCGACAAAUUCCGAGCAUUUGCGGCAACUACUCAUACAAGUUAUGAUUGGAACUAUGUGUCCCCUGAUGCUGUGAGAGAGAUACUAGACGAUGGGGGUGACAUGAAUGAGCAUAAGCACGUCAAAGCUGCUCGGAAGAAGCCGACCGAUACGACUAAGUGAUUGCGGCUACCGCUGUUCAGUUAGUUGAGGGUGACCGUGGUAUUGCACAUAUACUCCCUUAAUGUCAUUAUCUAACUUAAAAUAACACAAAUAUCAGUUUCAUUUGCUUGAUAUAUAAUUAUUGGGACUAUGUAUUGCAAGUCAUCAUGUGUUAUAAUGUCUAACAUUAUAUUUUGCAAAUAUGGAAAUAUUAUUCAAGAAGCAGUCAAUAUCACAGAAAGCCGGGAAUCAGUAAAUGCUCCUUAUCAUGUCCAUUUACAUUAAAGAGCUGGAGUACUAAUGUGUUCAAAAAAAACUGACACGUGAGUCAUAAGUAACAUAACAUGUGCUAUACAUUGUUUACUGAAUGGUUUAUGGUUUAUUUGUAUAUAAUAAAAUUUCAAAUAUUGCUGAAGAUUUAUUUCGUGUAUAUCACUAGGGAUAUGAGUGGCCAUAAGCAUGUGAGACCUGCUAAGAAGAAGCUGACGAGUACGACCCAGUGAUUGGCUACCGUUGUUCAGUUGGUUGGGGAGAUCGUGGUAUUGCUAUGAGGAAGCACACAAUAUGUUUUGCAAUCAAAUGUUCUUUUGUGUGUGGAAUUAUGAGUAUUUAUGUAAGUUAGUGUACCCUUUAAUAUUUUUCACCUAAGUAUCGAAAUGCAGUUUUUGAAUGUUAUGUUUUUUUUUACCCGCUGCUUUCUAUUUGCUCUGUUCCAACAAAGUGCUUCAAGUAUCCUUCACUUACAAAAGUGUACAAAAUCGUGCCCCUAAUAACCAGUCGGAAAAAGUGGCUACUGCUGGAAAUGAUUACUGGUAAUGGAAACAACAGCUGGCUGCUGUAAUUGCUGCAUUACCGUGAGGAUUUGAAAAAUGAAUCUCUGUUAAAACAAAUUUCACCCUAAACUGCCCAUUUUACAUGGUAAAAGUCAUUGCUUCUUCAAAUCUUUUGCAGCUACACGAUGCGUGGUCAGAAUCUUUGACAUAUACGACUUCUGCCACUCUUGUUUCCCAAUUUUUUCUUUCGCUCACGUUGAACACAACUUUACAAGCAUCCUCUGUUUUGAGCUCUAGGAAACAUGCUGUACUUUGUAUUAGUUCUUGCUCAAACUUUUGAAACAUUGUCCUUGUGUACAAGGUAGCCAUUUGUUUGUUCAUUGGCAUCGGUAGAAGACAUUGAGCCACUUCAAAUGCAUCUGCGUGAUCAGCAACUAACUCUUUUUCACGUUGAUGAGAAAGUGCCCUCUCAAAUCGUAUUAUGAAAUCCAUCAACGAAUUUCUCCUUGAUAUGUAUUGCUUGAAAAAACCAUGAGAACCUUCCGCUCUUUGGCUGCUUGACAUUCCAGCGGCAAAAAAUUGUCGUGCGUAGGCUGGAACCCAAGAUUCCCUUAAAUCAAACAUUGAACUUAGCCAUGGAUGGUCAGUCAAACCAGCCUUUGUAACCACAAUAUUCCAUUUUGCAUCAAACUCAUCCUUAUUGUCAGUAUCCCAUAUGGCUUUCUGAAAUUCAGGCCAAUACUCCUUAUAAGCGUCACGUGGUAACUUAACAGAGAACUUUGAUGUGAUGUGCUAUAUGCAAAGUCGAUGAAAUGUACUCGGGAAGGCUAUUGAAAUCGCUAUGGCCAUUGCCGCAUCUUGAUCUGUAAUGAUCGUUUUAGGUUCCCCACCUGGCAUGGCUUUCUUAAACUCCUCAAACAUCCAAACAAACGACUCAGUCGUUUCCUUGCUCAAAAAUGUGCAUGCUAACACAAUUGUCUGACCAUGGUUAUUAACUCCCAACAUUGGUGCAAAUGUCAAGUCGUAUCGAUUCGUGUUGAAUGUGGUAUCAAAUACAACAACAUCUCCAUAAAACCCAUACGCCCGUCUAGAAGUUGCAUCUGCCCAAAAACAUCGACUAAACCUAUCAUGCCCAUCUCCCUCAAUCUUGAAAUAAAAAGCCUCAUUUUUUUUCUGUUCAGCCAUAAAAUACUCGGUCACUAGUUCAACAUCGUGGUUCCUCAGCUUCCCAAUCACACUACAUUCAAGAUUGUAGAUAUCUUUUUUGAUAAAACCGAUUUUAUCCAUUCCUCCGGAUUGCACCUCGAAAAUACUUACCUUCUGAUGAAUGGGAAUAUUAACUGAACCCAACUGUUUUGUGAGUACUUUUGUAGAAUCUGAAAUAUGACGGUGUGAUCUCAAUAAAUGCAUUCUUUCUAAGGGUGUCAUCUUAUGAUUGUGUCCCUCUGCAAAAAGAGAAAUGUUAUACUUGUUGCUCCCAUUUGUCUUCACAACCACAAUCUUUGCUUUGCAAUUGCAUCUACUUAUUCCCCGUUGUCUUUUUCUCUCCCGAGUUUCAUCCUUCCUGUAUGCACCUUGUUUGCAACAUACAAAUUCUUUCCUCAAAAUCUCUUUCUUAUUUUUCCCCCAAAAGCUAGAAUGAAGUCGAAUACCAAAGCCAGCCAAGAAUGCAUAUCUAUUAUAGAAAUUGUAAACGAGGUCAAGCGAGUCAAACUUCAUCCCAACUGCUGGUGUUUCCUCAUUUCUUACUUCAGGAAUAUAAACCCUCCCAUUAGCUGUUGCACAUUCAUCACUCUCUGAGCCCCCAGACAUUUUAUCUACGUAUAUUAUUGAUCCACUUCUAUAUUACUGCAUAGCAAUUAUUCAUUCAUUAAUCAGUCAUUACUGCAUCACAACAUAUCAAUGCAUUCCACUUACACAAAACAUUGCCCAAAUUGACACAAAAUACGCAUAGCCUAACUUCCGAUUACACAAAACACAAGCAAAAUUUCAUAAAAGUUACGUCAUCUCUUGUGAAAUAAUCUGGUCAAAAUAACAUUAGAACCAACAUGUUCAACUAAGAACACAAAUGUAAUUCAAACCACCAAUUACAGAACUUCACCCAAUAUCCUCUCCAACUGCUUACUCCUAAUGUCAUUAAGCCUAAGUUUAGGUUCUUUUACCUACAUUUCAUAAUUUUUCACCCCGACCAACAACAAUGAACUAAGUAUAUUGAAUAUUCACAAGGAAAUGACACAUUAUUGAUGCCACAAAUGACGAAUUUCCCACCCUCACAAAAAAUAAACCUAACCCAAUAAAAUCAAUCCAGCAAGUGAACUUACCUCUCAAAAUCAAUCGAGAGCUCUGAAGUCAGUCAGCUUGAAAGAAUGUGGUGGACAUUAGAGAAGACUCUUUGGUAUUUGAGACUCCAUCUCUAUCAAAAUCGAGGAACAACUGCUGCUGCGGCUUCUAGCUACAAAAACAGAUAUGCUACUUUGCUUUCAUCUAGAAUCUUGUCAGCUGAAUGAAAAAGAGAAGGGGUUUUCACUUGAGCCAUAGAAUCAAAACAGGGCAACAGCUAGGUAAGAGCCAUUCUUCGUAAUACCCAGGAUACCAUAGAUCGCAGGCCUCCCAACGAGCUAAUGACAGUGGAGUGACUAUAAGGUUUGGGAGAUUUGGAUCCUUCUAAUUGUGGGUUUGCUUUACAUUCAAAAAGAAAGGAUUGUGUUCUUCAGUUUUUCACAGAGAGGGAAAGAGGGGAACAACUGAAGUUGGGUUUCUAACGGGUUAGAUUUCAACCCGAUUCUACAUGCACCCUCUUUUAAAAACUCACCGUUGGAUGAAAUCCAACGGCUCUUACAUACCCCUCAAAAACACCCCUUAUAACUUCCCACUCACUAUAGAAGCUCCCCCAACUAAAUCCCAAAAGGGAAACAGAUUUGAACAACAUACAAAUUUGAAGGACACACAAAUAUGAAUCUCAGCACCGGUGAGAAAUUAAUUUUAGUUGAGGUUGGUAGGUAGGCAUUGGAAGUUUUUAUUGUUUUUGCUCCAAGUCCCUCCUCCACUCACUAAUACAGAUUACUCGCAAAUGAACUAAAGUCUGCAGGGAUAUAUGGACUCCCCUGUCCAUACGAAUGUUGGAAGAAAUGUGUGUUAAAUUUUAGAGAGACGGGUCUGUGACCCACCACUAGCAACGUUGAUAUUGUCUCCAACUUAACUACAUGUUUAGUAGAUGUGGGGUUUUAUACAAAAAGUAUUGAUGUUAUUGGGAAUGGAACCACUUAUUAUAAGUUAAAAUUUAUUUAGUCAAGUUUCCUAUGUGGGACUUUCUAUUCUUCAACAAGCCCCUUCAUGUGGGACCACCACAUAGUGGGCCACACGUAGAGCCAAGUCCACAUCGGAGUCAAUCAUUCAAGCCCAAUACCUAAACACCACGUAUUGUGUGAGGGGUAGGGGUAAACAUUCAAGCCCAACAUAUGAACACUGUAACAUCCCAACUCCAAAUUUAAUCCCUUAUUUAAAUUAUUUAAGUGAAAUUACAAAUUUACCCUUGGGGUAGGGAUAUUUUGGUCAUUUUCUUACCCGAAAAGAGUUUGGGGCAGUGACUAGUAUUUUUUGGUAGAUCGUACUGAGAUGAGUCUGUAGACAUGUAGUGGGCUCGAUUCGGAGUUGAAACGAAGAAGUUACGAGCAAAACAUCACCAAUGGCAAAACCGUAAAUAUUUCAAAAUGAAUUUUUAAUAAAAAAAACCUGAAAAACCCUCUCUCUCUCUCUCUCUCUCUCUCUCUCUCUCUCUCUCUCCUGCGCACAGCCCCUUUCCCCCCUUCGUUUUUUCUUUCCGUGGCUUCCAAGAGCCACCAUCGCCACCACGAAUCACCACCGGCCAUGAGGCCGGACUCGUUCGAACUGCCGCCGCAUCCUCUUCCUGUUCCGGUCGCUCCCAGUCGCUGCCAUCCGCUGUGCUGGCCGGAAAUCGAAGAAAACCAGCCGAUUUUUGUCAAACUUUCGGCCGCUCGUUCUCCCACUUCCGGCCACCAUUUUGGCCAUCCAGGUAUAGAUUUUGAACCUCUCGAGCUGUUCUUGCUGCCUGUUGUGUUAGAUUUGGGAGAUUUCCGCGUUUUGAAGGUCGAUUAAACGAUGGAAGUUUGGCUGGUUUUUGGCCUCCGAUUCCGGCCACUUUCGGUCACUUUUUGGGGUAGGUCCAAGAACAAAAGUGGUUCCAAAUAGGGUGUUAUACCUAGGGUAGGAGUCUUGAGCCGUGGUUUUGAGAUUUCUCGGUGAUGCGUAAUCGCUUUGGACACCCAUACGCUACCGGCGCGUGUGGUGGCGCGUGGGCACUGUAGAAAUGGGGUAUUGUGUCCCGAUGCGAUCCCCUUGUUGUCACGAGUGUGUAGUGUGCUCGGAUUCCAAUUUGGUUGACAUUCGAACCCCGAACGAAUUUCUCCUAUUGCACGUUAUCCGCGUUUGAUAGGUUUGAACCGUUGGAUAGUCUUGAAUUUAAUAUAUUUAAUCUAAGCAUUUCUAGGAUCGUGUAGGAAUUCACGGAUCAUGAAUCGGAACCCCGGAUGUUCCGAUUUAAUAAUUUAAAGUUUAUGUUUAUAUUAACUGUCAGAUCGUGCAAUCGUGAGCGAUCCGACCUUCCGAUCCGGACCAAACGUGCAGGACGUAUAUCCUAAACCUUGUGGAACCUAUAGGAACUUUCGAAUCAGAAUUUAGAGGUCGUGGGCCUAGUGGCCCCGUUUGACCAAGUGUGGAUAGUUUGACCCUUGGUUGACCUUGAGUCUUCCAAGGUAGUUUUCCUUCCUAGAAGGAUUAUAAUGACCCUAAUGACAGGUCUUGAGCGUUGUUGAGCCAUGUUGACUAGGUUAAGAUUUUUAGAGUGUUUAUUAUUGUCGUAGGAAACUCUUGGACAUUAUUUUAAUAAUUGGAAUUAUAAAAGUGAGUUUUGGGUUCGGCUAUGACUUUAGUGAAUGGACUUUAUUUUUAAAUGAAUAGCAUGGCUUUGUGAUGGAAUUUUUAGGCAUGUGAAUUUAAUGGUUUAUUGAAAUUCAUUUUUAUAAUUAAUAGUUAAUUUAGCAGUUUUGGUAAAGUAUUAGUGAUGUGUGGGGUACUUGGGAUUUUGUUGAGGUUUAUACAAUAUUAGAGAUUAACUUAUAUAUUUAAAUAUAGGUAUGAAUGUAUGAAAAGAGUUUAGAAUGUCAGUUUGAAGUACUAUACGCACUACCCUAGGUACCUCAUCGGAUUUUGAUUACACUAUAAGUACCACCCUGUGAUUGUCAGGUCACCCAUGGCGUAGGAUUUUCCGGCGGAAUGACAGACCCCAUACGUGACGUUGGAAUUUCCGGCGUAUGGGGAGAUGAUAUUAUGAUUGUUAAGUCACACGUGGCAUAGGUUAUCCGGAGUGCUGACAGACCCCAUAUGUGGCGUUGGAAUUUCCGGCAUAUGAGGAGAUUAUGUGAUUGUUAAGUCCCACGUGGCGUAGGUUAUCCGGCGGGAUGAUAGACCCCAUACGUGGGGUUGGAAUUUUCGGUGUAUGGGGAGAUGAUAUAAUGGUUAGGUCACAUGUGGCGUAGGAUUUUCCGGCUUGAUGACAGACCCCAUACGUGGCAUUGGAAUUUCUGGCAUAUGGGAGAUUAUGUGGUUAUUAGAGAGAUGAAUUAAGAUUAUUAUACUGAGUUGGGAACGAAUGAUGUUUGAAAAAGAUUUUGUUUGGGAUUUCUGCAAUUGAUUGCAUGUUGAUGGACUUGGAAAUUUUGUAUGAAAGAACUACGUGUGGCUUGAUCCCUUAGUAAGGGUACAUAUGCAGCUUAGGGUAGUGCCUAGGUGCAGCCGUGUGCUAAACUUUACUCAUGUUGUGUGAUGGAGAUUCGUUCGGACCUUGUUGUUAGUCCUGAAUUUUAGGUGAAAAUGAGAUGCAGUCUUGUUAGGAGGUUUAAAUUUUCUACGUUUAAUAUUUGGGAAUUUAGAUGAUGGAAAUCGCAUUUGGCGUUCAUAAAUGUGUUUGAGUUUAUAUUUGCAUUGUUUAGAGUUAGUUGGUGGUUUCGUUUCGAAUUAUUUGAAGGCCGAAGGCUGAUUAUGUGAUUUAUAUGAAAUUAUCUUGUGCAUACUGCCAGUUGUGAAUAUCAAAUGUGUUUUAUGCACGUUGAAAUUUUUAGGAUUGUUCAACUUACAGGGGAGACUGCCGAAAUUUCGGCAUAAAAUCUCGUGCCCUUAUUCCUUAUUGGGAAAAAUGAUUUAGUUUUAGAAGUGGGUUCGACAUCGGGGUGAUGUCGGGAAUUUUCACAGGAUUCAUCUCGGGUUUCGGGAAAUUCGGGUCGGGUCCUGUCAAACACCACGUAUUAGGUAAGGGUAAAGGCUCAAUUCAGGCCCAGUCAAUCAACCCAUUAUGAUAUCAUGUUAAAUUUCAGAUAGACGGGCCUGUGGCCCACCACUAGUAACAUUGAUAUUGUCCCCAACUUAACUACAUGUUUAGUAGGUGUGGAGUUCUAUACAAAAGAUCUCGAUGUUUUUAGGAGUGAAACCACUUAUUAUAAGUUGUAAUUUAUUUAGUCAAGUUUCCAGUCAACCUGACUUUGAUACCAUGUUAAGAUUUUAAAGGGACGAACUCUUGGCCCACCAUUAGCAAUAUCGACAUUGUCCCCAACUUAACCACCUGUUUAACAAGUGUGGGGUUUUAUCCUAAAGAACUCGAUCUUAUUAAGAGUGGAGCCAUUUAUUAUAUGAAACUUUCUAUUUUGUUAACUCUGUGUAUUCUUCAUCAAUGUGAACACCCCUAAACCAAUCAUACCUGAUACGGAUUGAAACACAAGUUUGUUUUUUGCCUUUGGUAGAUGAGUAGCUAGAAAAGCUCAAUGCACUUGCUCUUCUUCUGCUACAUUUCAAUAUAAGAACAAGGUUUGGAAGCCAGGUCAACUCCUCAUAGUUUCCUUGCCUUUGCUUUGACAUGUCUAUGCACUUCUUGGGGAAGUUUGAAUAAUCAAUUGCAGGCCCCACGACAACUAAGGAACCAACAUUUUGUAGAAGGUUUUGUCUACACCUUUUGACUAUAAGUAAAAUCUUUUGUAUCUGCUCUUAUGUUUCGGUGAAGUUUCUAUGUGUCCUUUGUUGAACGAAAAAAUGAGGUUGUUUCUUACUAGAUUCAAAUACUUAAAAGAAAAAAAGAAAUUAUUGUUUCUUAAUUGAUUUUAUGGUGAACAAUAUCAAACUCUCCUCUUAUACGUCUUCUUCGUUGGACUUGGGGUUGUUUUCCUUAUAUGUCCCUUAUAUAUAUAGGGCCUUUGGUUGAGCCCACAAAUACCUUCAGUUAGUUUUUGGGUUUAGGGGCCUACAGAACCUGCACUAAACAAUAAAAGAAAAUACCUAAUUAGUUUAGUACGAAUUCUAUAAUGAAGGCUUUAUUAGGUAAGAUUUUAUUUCUUAAUCGUUAGAUCAAAUUUGACAGGACCCGUUCCUGAAUUUCUCGGAAAUCAGAGCGAACCCCGUCCUUGUUUCGACAUCACCCCGAUGCAGGGUCCACUUACUAAAAACCGAGACUUUCUACCAAAAUUUUGAUAGAAUCUCCCUUGUAAAUUGAGCAAACCCAACAAAAAUUUCAGCCUGCAACAUACAUAAAAAUAAUCCCAACCAGCAGCAUGCUUACAACAUACAACAAAACGUACUAAAUGGCCUCCGGCCUCACAAGUAAAAUUUAACAUGGGUAAUCUACUGAUGUAAACGAUUCGGCCUUCGAACACUGCUUGCAACCUUCCUGAAGCGACUACUGGCUAAGGGGCGCAAAACAGAAAACAUGUGAGUGGACAAAAACAAGAUUCAAUUAAAACAACAUAGUAACCCCACCGUGUAAAAAUAAUGCUCAAGACAUGUAGGUUUACAAUUCAUAAUUAAAUAUUCAAAAACAAAUUUCAUUUAAAAUUCUUUAAAACCACAAAUCACUCCAUCCAUAAAACCUCAUGCCCACAAUUUUACUGCUCCUACCAACCCACUGUAUAGACUCUAAUUUCUUCACAAUCACAACUAUAUAUAAAUAUAUAAAUUGUAUCAUACAACAUACUCCUCACACUACUUAGGUACAGGGGAAACAAUCCAACCGGAGGAUCGUUUAACUAGCCCGCAGGAUUUUCAGGUGCUAUCCUGAGUCUAGGAAUGAGUGGUCCAACCAGGGGACGAAACUCUAUAGCUCACACACCGGAACAUCCAACGCCACGUGUAGCUCCAAUACUAAGUCCUACAGGCACAGACUGGAUCACCACACACCGGAACAUCCAAUGCCAUAUGUGAUAAUCCCAAGCAAUAUACAGAGUCUUCCCAUACGUCGGAACAUCCAACGCCGCGUAUGGAAAGUGUUCACACGCCGGAACAUCCAACGCCACGUGUGGGAAGCCUAUUAACUGGGGAAAGUACUUACAUAGUGUAAUCAUACAAUUUCUCUCAACAACUCCUCAUACUCAAGUUCUUCCACAAACUCACCUCAACAAUCCCAAGUACCCCACCUAUAGACAAUAUAUAUAUAACUUCCCCAAAAUCUAUACAAAACAUACUCUCGAUAUCCAAAUAUGCCAAACUCACAAUAUAUUGCCAAAGUGCAAUACAAACAUCAAAAUCAACACAUGAAUAUAAUAUAUAUUCAAUAUACCAUUUAAAACAUUAUGCGUAAAUCUUUCAUCAAUAAAACCAUGCGUAUGAUUGAAAACAAAGUCCACUCACAAGUAUUCCUACGCUGCUUGACCACGAGAGAGUCCUGCCUGCUGAGUACGUGCAGUAGGAGCACCUAUUUUGAGAUACAAACCUUUAAUUAAUAUAAAAUUACUUCAAAACGGAAAACACAAAUUAAAUACUUAAAUCCCCAAGUUCCCAGUACAUGUACGUUGAACGAGGUAUCCUAAGGUCUAGUUACAAGUUUGGGAAUCGCUCACGAUUGGACGGUUAUCGCUAACCCACAAAUUUUGAAUUAUUGAAUCGGAACAUUCGGGGCUCCGAUUCACGAUCCGUGAAGUCCUACGUGAUCCUAGGAAUACCUAAAACAACAUAUUUUAAUUGGAAAACGCACAAUAUGCGAAAAUCCGUUCGAUAGUCAAACGAUGUCCGAAUUGAGAUUCGCAAAAUGCUACGCACUCGUGACAACCUGAGGAUCUCAUCAGGACAAAGUGCAACUUCACCACCCUCACCCACGCGCCGGCAGCGCGUGGGUGUGUAGAGUAAAUUCCGGCGAUGGAAAAACUCCACACCUACUUGAGGUCAGGAUCUCAUCACUCAACUACAGGGAGGUUCAAUUAGGACGGCAACUGGCCGGAAUUUCACUUUGAAAUCCAGCCAAAACUUAGGUUUUCUAAUCGGUUCCUAGACAACAAAUCGAUCUAAACCUAUGCAACAGUCAGCUAGACUAAGGAAAAAGAGGAAGAAACCUCACAUUUUUCACUGGAAUCGGAAGGGAGAGGCGACGGGGCGACGUCGGGAAGACUCGGGUUUGAACCAGUCGAUGCCGUUGACGAUUCUCGCAUUUUUCGGGGGGACUUUGGGUGGUUCGGGUUAGUGGCUUCACGACGAGUCGAACGGGACCGGUCUCGGGGGCUGGGGUGGUCGGGUGUGGUGGCGGUGUGGUGGUUUUCGUCUCGGUGAACAGUAACAGGGGAGGGUUUCGCACGCGCAGAGAGGGACUCGGGAGAGAGAGAGAGAGAGAGAGAGAGAGAGAGAGAGAGAGGAGAGAAAAGAAAAAUUAGAUUUUUACUCUCCUCUUUUCAAAAUAUUUACAAGUUUGCCACUAAUGAUGUUUUGAUCGCCAUUUUCUUGUUACAACUCCGAUUCAAGCCUACCGCAUGUCUAGGAAUUCAUCUCAGUACCACCUACCCAAAAUUACCAGUCAUGGUCCCAAACUCUUCCCGUAACAGAAAAUGACUAAAAUACCCCUACCCCAAGGGUAAAUUCAUAAUUUCACUUAAAUAAAUUAAAAAUAGGAAUCAAAUUUGGAGUCGGGGUGUUACAAAAUUGGUUAGUACGAUCCAACGGUUAAUAGAUAAAACUUUACAUAAAAGUCAUAUAUAAGGCCCUCACUAUAGAAUGACUCGUUAGUUUAGUCUCUUGUUACAUAUCAACUGUUAGAGAUAUUUUUUUAAUAAGGAUCUACCAUACCACAUAGUUGGAUAAGACAUUAUACACAACUUUUGUAAGAGCAUCUCCAGCGAGCCAGGCCAGCCCAAGCAGCAAGGGGCCUUAAGCCCGGUAAGCAGCUCCAGCGCUCAAGAUUCAGCCCAGGCAAGGUGUGGAACCCACAAGGAGAUCUGGCCCGUCACCUUGCCUUUGGGUUUCAGUCAGGCUGAUGUCAACGAAAGAAUUUCAAAAAAAUUUUGCCGUUGCAAUGCACGCGCCAACGAUAAAUUUUCUUUGGAUUUCUUGCGUUGAUCCACAGCUACCAAAAACCAACGGCUACAAGCCACGUGGCUUCUCCAAGAGCCUCUGAUCCAAAAAUCUUGUCAAAUCUAACGGCUGUCCAUUUUUUGGCUAAAAAAAUAUCAAAAAAUUAUGGAAACAUUUUCUAUAAAUACCUACAAAUAUUAUUCACUUCCCACACCAAACCUUCAUACAAAUUCAUAUCCUUUCAAUAUUUUUCACUUUCCACACAAGAUUUUCUACUACUAAAUUUCAUUUGUGUAAAAAUACAAGUGGCCUCUUCUAUCAAAGCCGGAGGCGCGUGGACAACCGUGGAAGAUAUUUUGUUGUGUGAGUGUUGGGUCAAAGUUGGUCAUUGCCCGAUCACCGGCAAUGAGAUGAAGUCCUCUCGUAGGAGUUUCUGACAUCGCAGCGAAAGUAAGAUGUGAUAUGAGAAUGUAAGGAAUUUGAUGAGAGGAAUGGGAUUUGAGGAGUUUGAUGUAGGAAUUGAUGUUGAAUUGGAUUUGGGAGGUAUGUAUAUAUGAUUUGAGAGUAUGUGUUUAGGGAUUUUGAUAGGAGGAUUUGAGGAAUUUAGAUUUGAGGGAUUUGGAUUUGGGGAAUUUAAAUAUGAGGAAUUGAUUUAGGGUUUGGGUUUGAAUAUGAGAAAUUUGAUAUGAGAGUUUAGAGACAACUGAUGAUUGAUUGCUCUAAUACCAUGCUAAAAUAUAAAUAUGGUUUGAAUACUUUAGGUUGAGUUUUAUUCUUUUCCAUAAGGAGGUAUAUAUAGCAGUUUACAUGAGUGUUUUACAAGGAAAUAGAUACAGUAAUCAAUUAGGAUAAUAUCUCCUAAUUAUACAAUAAUUUGUCAACUAUAUAGAAUAGGAAAGUAAAUUCCUUAAUUAAUCAAGAAAAUAAAUCUCAUUGAUUAAUUAAGAGACUAACGUCAACAUUUAUAAGCCAUGGAAGAGCAGAAAAAGAGGUACUUAGGAGAUUUUAUACGUCGGACUAAGGUAAGCUUAAAGGACUAUAUCAAAAAAAUAAGGGACCAAGAAGCAAGACUGAGAAGUUGUUAUGCAAACCCAUUAAGUUUAGCAGUGAUGAAUUUGUAAAAAUCAUUCUAGUGGAUGCUGCCUUCACUAUUGAGUUCUUAUUGAGGUUCUAUCUGAAAGGAUGUAGACAUGAAGGAGACCGCUUAUUAAACAAAUCAGCUCCCAUUCUUUAUUCUUGAGGAUCUUUAUCACACAUACAUAAUAACCGACUCUUUUAGGAAUUAUUACAGUACUCAUGAUCAUGAGAGGCUUUCAAUAAUUAAUAUUUCUAAGAAUUUCGUCACAGCUGGAAUAUUGAAUUUGGAGGGGAAGGGAGACAAAUGGAACAGAAUAUCAUCUUCUUCUAGUGUUGGAAAUUUUAUAUUAUUUAAUAAUAUUUAAUUUCUAUUGUGAAUGAAAAAUAAGUUUCUUUAAGAAACGUGUGUCUUAGGCCAGUUUUUCUAACUGGUCGGCUUCCUUAGAUUUGUGCCUAUUGCUUUUCAAAGUAUAAUGAUGCAAUGGUUGUAUCUCGUUCAGGCAAAUGGAAGGUAUAUAGCAAUUUAUAGAACAAUACAGUAAUCCAGAAGAAAUAUUAUGAAAUGAAAAGAAUAAAAAGUAAAAAAAGAGAAGGAAAGGAAUUCCCACCUGCAAUGUAUAUGUAUGAAAGGAAGGACCAAGUUUGUUUUAAAAUGGUAAGAACAAGUUGAUUUAUAAUUGGGUUCAGAUCAACUCAUGGAUUUCUUGCCUUUUCUAUUCUCCUUCCUUGGACAUGAACUGUUUAAUCUUGGCUCUUCCCCAUCAUGUUGGGCCUAUCUUCUUCUUGAGGAUUGUAUAGGCCCAGGAAAUGCUUCAAGAUAGUUUUUGUGUUUUGGGCAUUGGGACCUAACUUCACAAAAAGAAAACAGAUUUGGCCAAAAAACAAAUUUGAAGGACAUUGAAAUUGUACCUGUAGGAUAGGUUAAAACACUGUAAGGGAGGUAAAUAGUACGUUUACAUAGUUUAAGUGUAAUAAAGGAAUAAAAACAUGCCCAGAGGAUUGAUAAGUGAUAUCAAUUCUUGAAUAUAGAGAACGUAAAAUAAAGGAACACGUAUAAAAUUAUUUUAUGUGGUAAAACCCCAUCUCUAGGGAAAAUCCACGGGACUUCUUAGUCCAAAACAAAUCUAUUAUAGAACGAUGAUUACAAGAAGUACUCACACACUUAUCCUAGACACAUUCUAGAUAAUGUUUACUGACCUCUUCGUAACUCAACUUCUGUCACAGGAUGAUCUUUCGACACUUCUUAUGUUGAACGCAAUACUAGUCACGAUUUCUUUCAAGCUCAUUGGAGAAAAACCGCCACAACAGUCUCGGUGCCCUCAAUCUUAUGAGUCACUGAACAUGCAAAUGAAUACAAUAUGAAUGAUAAAAGUGUUUGAUAAAUCACCAAGUUAUGGAACACUUGAUGAUUUAUUUCAAGUAAAAAUUCAGCUUUCCAAAGUUUAUGAAUUGAAAAUAUGAUCGUUAAAGCUCUCUAAACAAAAAAAACGAAGGUCUUAUUUUAUAGACUUUUUCUUUACAAGAAAGAAAACACGUUGAAAACCAAAUCUCCAAUUUCAAGGCUUGACAGAAAAUCACAAAAGUAUCUUUCCUAUUCUAGAGAUUGGUCACAUGAAGUCCAACCAAUAGGAAAUGAGAUAUUUAAGAAAGGAAGAUUUUGAUCAAUAUCAAUAUCAAAUGAAUUCUUAUAUGCCUAGUCAACUAUUAAGGGUAUCUUAACUACUUGAUAUUAUGAUAUGAUUGAAACAUGAUUUCCACGUUAGAAAAUUAAGGGGAUUUUAAAACAUGAAAGUAAUAGGAGAAUCAAAUUGAUUUGGACCAAAAUUGCCUAAAAAGAAAACACUCCUAAAUAAACUUCAAUUCACUUUUAAAAACAGUAAAACUUGAUUGAAUCGUUCUUUAAAACAAUUCCCUAAUAUACAUGCAUGAUAGUGACAUCACUUACCUCUGAAUCAGAUGCCUUUUACGAGUCAAGCCACAAGUUUGUGUUUUGGGGAUUGCUGAGCUGCAUCAAUCCUGCCAAUGUCAAUUCUGCCCCUAGGCUCUCUCAAAGCACGUUUACAAUCUAUGCUAAUAUAUACUAGAGUUUAUGCUAGUAUCUAGAAAAUGCCAACACUAAUUUCGUAACACGUAGAAAUUGUUAGAGAUUGGAAGUUUUUUUCAUUUUUUUCUUCCAGACUCUCCACCACUCACUAAUACAGUUUACUCAUGUGAUGAAUUUACAAAACCUAUUUCUCUACUCUCACAAAGACUAUACUUAGGGGGGGUGUAUUCAAUUAGGAGUCUAGAGCGUUUAAAAAGAUUUUGUUUAAGUGCCAGCUUUCAUAGAACUUGAUGGAACUUUAUAAUUCGUAUAGAACUUGAUAGACUUUCAGAAGACUUCUGUAUAAUUUGUUAAUAAAACUUUCUUAAGCUUUCAUAGAACUUGAUAGGCUUUUAUUCCAGAAUUAUGUAGACAGUAUAUUUCAUUUUAUCCCCAUCCUUGUCAUUUAAAGAAAGAAACUUGAAUGUUUUCAAUCAAAUUUGUUUUUGUUACCAAAGCAAAAACAAAAAGUACUUGUUUGCGAAGGAAGAACAUAUGCACAGUUCAAAAUGAAAAGAAUAAGAAGCAAAGUACCUAUUGGACCAAUGAAUGCUGUGUCAACUAGAGAAGCAAUUGGAUCGGCUGUCAAAGCCAAUGCUACAGGCAAUGCAUCGAUGGUCCAAAUUGCAAUAAAAAAUAUUUUGUAUAAUGGUUCUUGCAGACAAAGACCACAUAAAUUCUGGACUGGUCCAGCUUGAAUAAUAAGGUUAGAUUAGCCGAUGGAUGAGAGUAAAAGCAAAGAAAGUUGAUGAAUUCAUCACCAAUUAUUUAAUAACUGUAACAUCCCACAUUGACCAACGGAGAGGGGGUGAUGUGCCUUAUAUGUACAUGCCCACUUCCAUCUAGCAUGAGUCCUUUUGAGAGCUCACUGGCUUCGGAGUCAUGGGAACUCUGAAGUUAAGCGAGUUGGGGCUAAAGCAAUCCCAGGAUGGGUGACCCACUGGGAAGUUGCUCAUGAGCUUUAGAAACAAAAAUCAUGAGGGCAUAAAGGGAGGCCCAAAUUGGAUAAUAUCGUGCUACGGCGGAGCCGAUCCCAGGAUGUGACAAUAACCAAUAGAGUAUUUAAACAUAAACAACAAUGUUUGAUAAACAAAACAAAUAGUCCAAAUAUUAUCCAAAAAACAAUUCUAAAACCAAUCAUUCCAAACAAACUAGUCAUUCCCAAAAACUCUCAAAAAACCCACUCAUUCCAAAUUAUAGGAUAUCCAAUUUGAGCGCUCCUCAGGAGACAUUUUCAAAAAUGCAUCCUUUUUUGUGUUACUAUGCAACAAAGAGAGCGCUUUAUAAUGAGCACGUUCAUCCAAAUUUGAGGUCUCCUUAAUGGCAUCCCACAUAUAACUCUGCUGCUCUCGCUCUUUUCCCCUUUUUGCCAAUAGGUUAUGGACCUCCCGGAAGUCGGUGACAAUUGAAUCAAUGCUAAGGCUAAUUCUUCCCAUAGCUUGUUGGGUGGUCACAUUUGAGAUGGCAUUCCCUUCCAAAUCUAUUCUAGUUCGUUUCCUCUAGUAACAAGCAUAAAUCCUAGUAACAAGCAUAAACCCUAAUCCCAACCUAUAACCUAAUAACAAGAAAAACACGAUGAAAAAAAAAUCAUGGAAAAAGAAAACCCAACGAGGUAUUGAUCAAAAAAAAAAAUAGGGAGCAUACCUUCACAGAUGGAGGAAGGAAGCUGUUUGUCUUCACAGAGAGAAAAGCUAGGGAAAGAGAAAAACGUCUGAUGAAAUACUUUGGGGGGAGGUUGGAUUUCUUUUGGUCUUUGAUAUUUAUAACUCUCCCCUUAAAACCUACAAAAAUUUAUCACUUAAUGAAAUCCUUCCAAAUAUAUGACCUUUCGAAUACACCUAGAUUUGAUUCAACUUUUUUAUAAUCCUAAUUGAAUACACCCAUAUUUGAGUGGACUUUUUAAAAGUUCAUAUAAGUCCGAAUUGAAUACACCCAGACUUGUAAAACCUCUUUUAAAGUUUGUAUAAAUCCAAAUUGAAUACACCCGGAUUUUUAAAAUAUUUUUUAAACGCUUUAUAAUCCUAAUUGGUACAUCCCCCUUAUUCUCAAAAGACUAUAUCACUUUACCUCUAUCUCUGUGAAAUGUAAAAAGUUGAAACUUUAAUGUCAAACCUCGACAAAAGAUGAACUUCCAUCAGUUGCGUUGAAUUUGGAUUUGUUGAACUAAAGUGGUUUUACUUUCUCUGUCAGUGUUUGAUGACUUAAUUUGGUAUUUACUUCUUUUUUUCCUUGGAAAUGUGUUCCACCAACGUGAGGAAGAAAAAUGUGCACAAAUUAAUAUAUUUAAUAAAAGCCCAAGAUUUCGGAAGCACAUAAUUUCUACAAAAAUCUAGAAAGUGUUCUACUUUACAAACUUCUUAUGUCUAUCAAUUUCUACUAAAAUUAAUUUCUCUGUGGUGCUCAGAUUCAUCAUAUGUGUGUCCUUAAUUUUAUUGGAAAUUAGAAGUUUCCAUAAUUUUUAUUUUUUGGGAAUUUUCUGAACCAAGAAAAAUCAAGUAAAAUUAAUAAAGCUUAAAUUGGAAAGGGAAAAUAUCUAGAGGACGCAUUGUAGGAUUUCUCAUGCCGAUAAUUGUACCCUCUAAAUAUAUAGGGACAUAUUUUUUUUGUUUUCAUGACAUGUGGUCCUAAAAUUAUUGUUCCUAGCGGGCUCUCCACCCCCUCUCAAAUUUACGUGGUCCAUUAUGAUUAACCAUAUAUUUUAUUGACCAUCCAGCUGUGAGGUUUUAUCCCAAAAACCUUAGGUACAUUUCUCAAUUAUGUCUGAUACAUCACAUCAUGCCACAAUUGUAUAUUCACAAUUAUGUCUGAUACAUCACAUCAUGCCACUUGCCUCAAAUGAAUUUAAGUGAGUGUGGCAGUGGGAAGUAAUUACUUCUAGGUGCCCCUCAUCAUUCGUCUAUAAAAUGGUGAAGCCAGUGGCUAUAAGAGCCAGCUCCAACUUUCUUUUAUUCGUCUAUAAAAUGGUGAAGCCAGUUGCCAAGUUAAUUUCAGUCCUAAUGGGGUUUCAUCUCCCACUCAUCUUUGCUAUUCUCAGUGUAAGCUCUGCAAUUUGAUUAACUUUUCCAUUCUCUCUCAUUGUACUCUAUAUAAACGAAAGUUUUGUGUUCCUAUAAUUCUCUUUGAUUUUAUUUAGUACGUACUUAAGUGUCGUCCACUAAUUAAUUACAGUUUGUGAGAUUUGAUUUUAAUUAGAGUUCGAAUUAAUGUUGCAGCUAGCAGUGGUUGCACUGGCAAACCAUGCUGCUCAACCAGCACCUCAACUUUACUGGAACUCCGUCCUGCCAAACACACAAAUGCCAAGAUCUAUCAGUGAACUUCUGCAUCCUGGUUUGUGUUGAGCUCUUUAGAAUCUUAGAUAUCUCUUCUACCUGCCAUUUUACUAAAAUAUGUUCGACCACAUAUUUAUCAGUUAACUACUGUCAUUACAUGAGUGACACUUAUUCACAAAUCGGCUGAUCACUUAUUUUCCAUUUUACAUGAGUGAUAUAUAAUUUGCAGACUCCACAAAUGAAGAAAAUAUCGUGAAUGCUGUUGGGAAUGGAAAGCGCAAACCUGAAAUUUUCCCAUUGAGAAAUAUAAAUUACGUUCAAAGCCAUUAUGGAGUGUUAAAUAGAAAUUACGUUCAAAGCCAUUAUAAAAAACGUCCUCCUCCACCUGAAAAUAUCCCAUUUGCAAAUCGAAAAAAGUACGCACUAGGUUCUCCUCCAUCUGACAAUCAACUACUCCAUUAUAAAGAGUUAGCUAUUUUCUUCUUCGAGAAGGACAUGCGCCCUGGCGCAACAAUGAAGUUCCAAUUCCCUAGAAAUUCAAACACGGCUACUUUCCUGCCACGCGAAAGUGCUCAAUCGAUCCCCUUCUCCUCUAACAAACUACCAGAAAUUUUCAACCAUUUUUCAGUGAAGCCAACAUCUGUGGAAGCCAAAACAAUUAAGCAAACAAUCGAAGAGUGUGAAGCUCCAGGCACUAAGGGAGAGGAAAAAUAUUGCGCCACAUCUUUAGAAUCAAUGGUUGAUUUUAGCACUUCGAAGCUUGGAACAAGAAACGUUGAAGCAGUCUCGACGGAGGUAUUGGAAAAAGGAGCCACCAUGUCCAUGCACAACUAUACAACAAUGCCGGGACUGAAGAAGUUGGCAGGUGACAAAGUCGUUGUGUGUCAUAAGGAGAACUAUCCCUAUGCUGUGUUUUUCUGCCAUGCAAUAAAACAAACAGCAGCUUAUGUUCUCUCCCUGAAAGGCGAUGAUGGGGAGAAGGUUAAAGCAGUAACCAUCUGCCAUCUAGACACAUCAGAAUGGAACCCAGAGCAUUUGUCCUUCCAAAUCCUCAACGUUAAGCCCGGAACCGUUCCCAUCUGCCAUUUCAUUUCCACUGAUGCUAUUGCCUGGGUUCCAAAACACAAAUUUGCAUGAUCAUCACUUAGCACUGUGGUGUAAGAUAUAUGAUGAGAUAAAGUUUUUGGUAUUAGUGGUCGGGUUGCCUGAAAAACACAGAUUACAGAAACUGCUUGAAAUUAACCCGAUCAUGUUUUCUCUUGUAAGACUUCAACUUGUACUCCUAAAGCAAGUUAUAUUUAUGAAGAGAUAUUAAUCUAUAUAUAUUUUAUGUAUAUAUAUAUAUAUAUAUAUAUGCUUUGGCUUUGUGGUUCUACCCAGUGUUUGAGUGUUGAAUUGUUACGUUGGAAUAGGCUGAUAAUGCGUGUAGUUAGAGAAGCCUUCAUUUAUAUCAAAGUCCUCAAACUAUCAAGAACUAAUGUAUCCAGAAACAUAUACCAAGACGCAAAACAACAUAUUUUCCAUGCUCUGUCUGUAACGCCAAAGCAAACUUCCUUUAUCACAUCAUUUAAAGGAUCAAAUUCCAGUACUAAUCUAAUCCAUCAUGUAAAGCAUACAAGUGCCUCCCUAAAUUUGUCCAUUGGAUAUAAAUGUUGAGAAAAUUAGAGUACACAACUCUAAUAUGAUAGUUGUACACAACUCUAAUAUCAUAAAGCAAACAAAAUUUCUAAGUUAGUUUGCUUUAUGAUAGUUGUUUUUUGAAGGGGUCCUUAGAUCCUAUCUCAAAAAGUUUGGCUUUUAUUAGGUUUAACUCUGGUUUUUAUCUCUACCCACUAACUUUUAUCUCUCAUUUUUAUUACCCAUUUUACCCUUUAAAAUAAAUAGGGCAAUAAACUAAAAAUUCUGAUUUAAUGCAUGUUUUACUCAUAAGAGAACUAAAAACUAAAAAUUCUAUACUCUAACACAAAAAAUGAAAACUAAAAACUAAAAUUGAAAUGGUUUCAAGCAAUUGCAUGUCAGGCGCUAUAUAUAAUGUAUUAGCCAUGGUUUGUUUAAUACGCGGUCAUUCGUCAUUUUCCCAUUCAAAAUAUUGAAAUUACGAACUACAUACCAUGAAAGAUAAGAAACUAAAAGCUUCAAGCAAAUAGAAAUGUGCUACAAACAUAGUAAUGAAGAUGUGGAAGCAUUAUCUCAGACGAAUGAUUCUGAAGUGGAAAAAACAAGAACAAAAAAGGAAGUGAGUUAAAUUUGCACCUGCUAUGUUCAAACGACAAAGUUGGUUUCCCUUUGGUCGAUUACAAGAGAAGCUCAAUGCAGCUUACUUGGUUCCUCUGGUAGAUGAAAAUAUAAUUUUUCUCCUAAUAAUAAGGGUAUAGUGCAAUCAAUGAUGGGCUGUAUAGAACAACUUUUUUGUUUUAUGUGUUUAUGUGAGACAUGUUUUGCCAGAUUGAAUUAAUGUCUUCUAGCCAUGUACCUUAUCUUUUUGCCGGGCCAUGAGUUGAAUGUAGAGGCAAAGUAUGGACUUGGGGUCAAGUUUGACUUGUAAAAUAAUUAGGAAUUGAAUGGCUCCUACGUUCAAUUAUUUUAAUUUUUUUUCCCGAGCCAUUCAAUUCCUAAUUAUUUAGAUUUUCGAUUUAGUGAGCAUCCACAAUCAUGCUCUCUAUUUUUAAGUUAAAUUUUAGUUAAAAACAUAUAAAAGUUAUUUAGGAGCUCUCUAUAAAAUUUAAACUUCAAUCGUUUUCUAUAGUUUAGGGAGUCAUAAAUGUCAUAACUCUUUUUUGAUUGGUCCAUCUCUAUUAAAAAAUAAAAUAAAAAAUAGUUAGCAUGAAAUAAAGGUUUGAAAUACUCAUUAAAUAAAGCAGCAUUAAAUUAUAGGGAGCCACUAAGAGUCCUUUCUCUCUCCUCAAGUUUAGGAGCUCCUAGAGGUCUCCCUAUUUUAAGAGGUGGAUAGGGAGUAUGGUUGGAAUUGUAUUUUUACAAUUCCUCCCUAAAAAUUUUCUAUGGAUAGGUGGUUUUAAGGAACCCAUUGUGGAUGCUCUGAUCUCAAAGAAAGAAAACCUCGAGUUUGCAAGCAAGUUUUCUACGUAUGUAUAUAUGAAAAACUGACAUUUAUGAAAAUAAUAAAUCCAUAUUUUUAUGUAAGCCAACUUUCUAAAUCCAUGUACUAUAUUUAUUAGGGAAAUAUUGGAGAAACUGAUUAUUUUGAAAAAUUAAAUGUGAAAAACUGAACAAAAAUUUGACAGGUUACAUAUUUCAACUCAUUCAGCAGCUUAGGUUGUGAAGACCUCAGAAGAGGCUAUGCAAUGAGCCUAGCUAGUGCACUGUUGAUCACUUCAGUGUUUACCGAUCUGUAAUUUUUCCAGAUUGGUUAUAUUUUCCUUUACAUAUUCUUAUAUUUUUCCCAGUUGGGGAGACUUAUAAAUAAACCCAAAAUGGGUACAAUAUCUAUACAGAAGGACAAAAUUAAAGUGUUUGGACAAUAAUCCCCUAUUCAUUUUGGGAUUGCCUAAGGAAUUCUUUUUCUGAUUUUCAAUGAUGCAAAGGACUGUUGUUUGAUGCUUGCCGUAUGGAGCUAAGAAAACUUGCUUUGAUAGUUUUGGACAGAUGCAAGCUACUGUUGUUGGUAGGGGUGGGCACGGUCCGGAUUGGUUCGGUUUUACUCUCAAACCACAGCUGAACCAAUAAGAAAAUAACGGUUCGGUUUGGUUCGGAUUAGCCUAAAAUCAUAAUGGAAACCGAACCAAUCCAAACCACUUGUAAUCGGUUUGGUUCGGAUUGGUUCGGCCGGUUUGUGCCUAACACAAAACCAUGCAUUUUUCAACCUGCUCUUACAUUAUAAUGCUAACAUUUUGCCAUUAUAUCAUUCCAUUCCAUUCCAUCAAAGGCUAAUACAACAUCAUUCCAUUUAUUCAAAGGUUGUCCAAUGUCUAGCAUGCAUCUAAGUUCACAAUUUCCAUCAAAACAAACAUAUACAUAAUUUGCAUUAACCAAGUAGCAUUACAUUUACUCAUUGCAUUCAUCACAAUUCAUAAGAGAUGAGAACGAAUCAAUUUUACUUUAACAUAUUAAACAAAUGCAUUCUUUGUAAUAGUUAAACAUUCUCACAUCAUGAAUAUCGGCAAGCUUAUAAAGCUGCUGCACCAACUUGCUAAUUGAUUCGUCUGUACCAGGAACAACAGUAGUAAUGCGAGAGAACCCCUCAACUUCUGCAUGGCCAACAGCUAAACUCUGGAAACGAGAAACCAGCUCAAUUAUAACAAAUGCCUAAAACUUCUACCUUAACAGAAGACAAAGGAGGAAAUAACAGCAGAAGGAAACCAAAUUUCUCAAUUUAAUAACUGAUAUUUCCAAAGGAUUCUUAAGUCUAAAAUUCGACCAAGACUUGAUUAACUAUUCCAAUGUCUAGCAUGCAUCUAAGUUUAUAACUUUGUUCCUUCUUUAACAAAAAGAACAAGGAGAAAAAGCUAAUAAUAAGGUAUCCUUCUUUAACAGGCAUCAAGCAUAUCACAUAAGCAACAUUUUAUAUACAUUAUUCUAUGAACAAAACUAAAUCAAAGCAAGGUAUGCUACAGUCUUUUUGUACAAUAAAAUAGAUUAACAUAUUUUAUAACCAUAAAAAUGAAAAAUUAGGCCUCAUAGAAAAUACCAUUUUAUUUUUCAACUCUCUAACUUUUUAUAUAACCAGUUAUUGGAGACAAUACAAAAAAUAAAGUAGUAGACAGAACUAGCAUAUUUUACAAACCCAGCUGAUGAUGACGAUCCACCACCAACAAUAUUCCCAUAAUCAAUCCUUGCAUAACCUGAUGGUCGAUGAUGGAACUUGGGUUUUGUAGAGAUGGAUUUCGCUGAGGACAAAUGGGUGGGUUUCGCCGAGUUCGAAUCAUGUUGGCUUGAGUUAGCGUCGAGGGAGAGGGAGAGGGAGAUGUAGCAGAGAGACAAAGAGAGAGGGAGAGGUAGCAGAGAGAGAUGGAGAAAUAAUGAGAGGGAGUUGCGGCUAGGGUUAAGAGACGAAGGAAGGGAGAUAGGAGAGAGGCUCUUCUGAGGGAGAGAGAAUGGUUAGAUAACUUAGAUGUGUCCGUGAGUUGUAGUUUUGGAGUCCAAUCAAGUGUUGCAGGGUACAUGGUACACUCUUAAAUAACCACUCAAACCUUGCCACAUGUAAACUAAAUUAAAUAAAUAAUAAAUUGAUUUAUAAUCGGUCCGGUUCGGUUUAGGACAGUUUUUAAAACUCUCAAACCACAGCUGAACCAAACCAAACCGGUUCGGUUCGAUUUUUCAAAAUGUUGACUUUUUCUUUGGUCAAAACCAAACCAAACCAAUCCAAUAUAAUCGGUUCGGCUGGAUUGACCUGAUCGGCCAGAUUGAUGCCCACCCCUAGUUGUUGGGAUGAUCUUUUCACGUGAAAUGAGGAUGACGAUACUUCUACACUACACAAUCCAACGAAUUCACAUUUCUAUUUCAGAUACAUGUAUAAACAGACAAGGCUUUAAAAUAUGGGAUGCUGCACUGUUGUUGCUGCUGCUGACACUGUUACUGUGUUGCUGCUACUGUUACUGCGCUGCUACUGGAAGAAGGACAAGGACUUCACAUGUUGCUUUCGUCCUUUGUGGAGGAGAGAGACCUAGGACUUGCAUGUCUUAGAUAUUUAAGAUAAGGGGCUUUCGUGCCAUUUUGAAAAUACUUUGGGUGUUUUUGAAAGCUGCUUGUUUCUUUUGGGUUUCUCACUAAAUUUCGCUAUUAGAAGGGAAAAUAAUAAUAAUAAAAAUACAGCUCUUAUUAGCAACAGGGUUACAAAUUCUUCUACAACACACCAACUGUUGUAAAAGUUUGAAGGUGGAGCCCACAGAGGAAGUUUCCUUGCAUCUUCCAGGAACUUUCCCUUCCCUGUAUUUAUCAAUUCAGGAAGUUUCCUUGCAUCUUCCAGGAACUUUCCCUUCCCUGUAUUUAUCAAUUGAGGAAGUUUCCUUGCAUCUUCCAGGAACUUUCCUUCCAUGUAUUUAUCAAUUCAGGAAGUUUCCUUGCAUCUUCCAGGAACCUUCCCUUCCCUGUAUUUUACCAAAACCUUAGCCUAUAAAUAGGCUUGCUCAUUCACUUGUAAUACACACCAAAAUGAAGAGAAGAAUGAGUGAGGAAAGAAAGAAAGGAAGAGAAGGAAGAAAGAGGGUGAGUAAGUAGAGAGAAAAAUAGAGUGGAGAGAAAUUAGUGAGCCACAUAUAUUGUAAACACUAAAGUUGUAGCCCUAUUAUUUUACAUAGUGGAAAAGUUACUACUGCUGCUCUCCGGGGACGUAGGCAUAGCCGAACCUCGUUAAAUACUGUGUCUCAUUUACUUUACGUGCAGCUCAAUAUUCAUACAUAUUCCAGGUUAUUUUUAUAACACGUUAUCAGCACGAGAAGCUCUCAGGUAUAAUUUUUGUGCUGCACUAUUAUCUAUACUACUAACCACUAACAAAAAUGGACCCUUGGUAAUACUAAACAUAUUAUCAGUGGGAGACCGUUACUAAUACUAACUUUUUCUUAUUUUAUUCGGUGGUGGUUUUAACCCCACAUUUAUUUACUGUAUGGUGUAGGUUUAUUACCCAUACAUGCACCUUUACUUUAUCGCAAAUUUAUUUUACCGCAUAUUUAUUUUAUUUACUGUAUGGUGUAGGUUUAUUACCCAUACAACAGUAUUUAUUUAAAAGGGUGGUGCGAGUUUAUCGUCCACGCCUUUGCUUUUAUUUAAAUGUAUGGAGCAGAAUUAGUGCCCAUACAAGCACAAUUUACUUUACCGCACAUUUAAUUUUAUUUAAAGUAUGGUGCGGGAUUAACGUCCAUACAGCAAGCAAUUUAAUUUAUGAAUUUAAUUUACCGCACAUUUACAUUUAUUUAAAAGGGUGGUGCGGGUUUAUCGUCCACGCCUUUACUUUUAUUUAAAUGUAUGGAGCAGAAUUAAUGCCCAUACAAGCACCUUAACUUUAUGAAUUUAAUUUACUGCACAUUUACAUUUAUUUAAAGUGUGGUGCGGGUUUAUCGUCCAUACCAGUAAUUUAUUUAUCAGCAAUUUAUUUUAUGGAUUAAUUGUUUAUUUAUCAGCAAUUUAUUUUAUGGAUUAAUUGUGCUGUAUGAUGAGUUUUUCCAGUAUGCAGAUCAGGACCAGAAGUUCCUUGAUCCUCAUCAUACAAUUACAUCAGGACUUGAAGAUCCUUGAUGAUGAUAUUAAAAUGAGAGCUGGCAGUCUCACCGGUACUGUAUUUGUAAACAUGUGAUUGGACUUAAAGGUCCUUGAUCCCUGACAUGUAAAUAAGGACCUAGAGUUCCUUAAUGAUGUAACAGUACCGUAUUGGUUCAUAGUGCCGUACACAUUGAUGAUAACUGUACUGGCAGAUGAAUAGAUACGUAUUCAUGACUUGAUGAAUAGUACUAUUCACAUGAAUAGUGACGUAUGCAUAAAUAUUAACCAUUUUGGGUAAACCGUCACUAUAUACAAAAGGGAACCUGCAGUUCCUUAAACUCAUGGAUGAGCAAUUAAAUGAGAUGCCAGAAGUUCCUCAAAAUAUGGACAAUUAUGUAAGGGCUUGAAGUCCCGAAAUAUGUACAGAAAAUUGUAAAAAUGUCCAUACCAUGAGAAUAUGUGGCUUUGGCCUGAAGUUCCAAAUUUAACAGUGUUGAGAACCUGAAGUUCCAACAAUUAAAUGGACAACCCUUGAGGUAUUAUUGCAAAUUGUGGUAUGCCACAUAUUUCUUUGGCAUAAGAAGAUGAUGAAUUUAAUAAAGUUCGAUUUUGUUAUAAUCGACACCUCAAGGAAGAAAUAUAUUUUGUGAAUUCCGGUUGUUAAGAAUACACCGCGAAAUGGAUAAUAUUAAUAUAAACCUCAAAUAAUGAAUUGAGACUCCCCACAUAUUUUGUUAUAUCUGGGCCGGAAGCCCAUGGAUCCAAAUAUAUGAGAGAUCCUAAACUUGAAGUUGUGGGUAUAUAGUAGUUAAUGCUCUUCACUACUAUAUUGCGAUAUUAUCAUGGCUUUUACUCAAUUCAUAUUUCAUGUCCAUUUGAAAAGGGCAAAUAAAUUCUGAGUUUGUGCCCAGGCCAUAAGUUCCGGGCUACCAUACGUUGAAAUAUGAAAUUUGGGAGAGUCGAUGUGGUUAUUUGAACCUAUAAGGCACAAGGUUCCAAAUCGUCAUUUUGAAAAGACGUAAAAACCAAAGGUGCAAGUUUAAGAAUGUGCGCAAUUAUUAUUACAGGAACAUACAACAGAUAGAUUUUUUCCACUUGCAAUGAAGGUGCAGGCCCUGUAAAAUCUAUAAAAUUACAUUAUGUUCUGGAAGCCUCUGAAGGAAGAGGACGGCGCCUCUUAAGCUUAGCCAUGAGCUUCUCAUGGUCUCCCAAAAUUCUUUCAUUGGAGACCUGCAGCAUGUCUAGCCUUCUCAGUGUAUCAACAGAGUACGAACUCACCAGUUUCAACAAGGAAUUAUUCUCUCCUUUAAGUUUCUCAACCUCCUGUUGAGACUCAUGAAGCAUUCUUUGGAGAGACGAAUUUUCAGUUGUUAAAUUCUCAACCUCGUUUGCUCUGGCACGCAAACGAUCAGCCAUGUUAGAAACAGAAACAGCACUCUGAAUGCUAAAAGCCAUUGAGUCAUCAAUAGCCUCUUCCUCUGAUCUCCCCGUCAACAACAUUUCAUCCAUUGGAGUAAUGAAAUUCCUAGCUACUAUGACAGCAGUAGCAUCAUUCAUCAUCACAGAAUCAUUAACUGUGAGAUGACGAUUUUUGGAUACAAAGGAUGGACGCCAAACUUGGGCGUCACUGGUAGUUGUGGGAGUAUCAUUUAAAUUGAAAUAAUUUGGGCAGGAAGAAGAGGAAGCCAUUUUUAAGAAGGUUUCGAAGAAAGCCUUAGGAAAACUAAAGUUUCAUAAAAUGAAGGAAGUUAAGUUGAAACGCAAUUGCUCCAAUCAAGUUUUGCAAAGGCAAUAUCUAUAGACGAAAAUAUGGCAAUAUCUUCAGGAUUCCAAUAUCUUCUCGAAUCCCCAUAUUAUCUUUUUCUUUCCCAGAGUCCAAAACUUCACGUGGCCUCUAAUAAUGCCUGUCGGCACUUUCGGCGUUUUUCAAAGUAUUAUUUUCAAAGCCGAUCUUGCUUUACGGAUUUCACGGAACUACUUUUUCAAAAGUAUCCCGAGAAUCUCGCAAUUUUCCUAUGGUUAAUUUGAAAUUCACCGGUUCUACCUAUUUAUUGUAUUUAUGUAUAAAUGUGUUACUAACGAAAUUUUCUUUGCAAAAGACAUCCAGUUUUCUCCAUACCUAGUGAUGCGAUAUCUACUUAUUUUUCUUAUCAGUGAGCACUUAAUAUGCCUGAGAAGCAAGACUAUCUCUGAUCAUACAUUCAGGAAGCAAGACUAUCCCUGAUCAUGUUUCCGCUACAUUAGGGAACUGUGAAGGUGACCUUAUGCUCCAAUCUCCUGAGGUCUUUCUAGACUAGGAGAAAUGAGAGCUUGUUGUUUGCUCCCACCAGCUUCCUUCCUUGAUUGCUUACCUUACCUUGCAAUCAAUAUCACAAUCUUUUUGCAUUUUUUCUCUUUUUAUAACUCUCUGUUCAUAAGAGAUUUUAUUUCUUUAGAAUGAACAUCUGAAGAAUGAAUCCAUGAAGUAAUCCUAACUAUGAGGGUUAUUUGUUUUGACAGAGGCAAAAGAGUUGUGAUUUUUGCUCUUGCAGGAUAUAACUAGAUCAUCAAGCGCUACAUUAUAUUUACUGGGCUGAUAUGAGCUUGAAUGAUACUUGAGAAAAGUUUCUCCCACCUAAGGAUGUAAGCAAUACUUGUGUUAUUUUAUGCUUAUAUACCUAUUUGAUAUUUUAUCUUGAAAGGUAACUAAAUGGGGAGAUAAGUCCGUUCCAAAAGAAUGACUUGUAUGUAUCCAUGAAUUAUUAAUGCAAAUUUUACAGAUUGCAAGUUGGAUACAUUGAUAAUACACUGCACAGAUUAAAGUCCCAUAAGAACAGAAUAUGGGUAUAGCAGUGAUCAAUAUGAUGCACGCCUAUUGCGUAGCAAAUGAUAUGGAUUGAAGUCCCGAAAGGACAAUCCUUUGACAUUUCAAUAUUGAUAUUAUGCACGCCUAAUGCGUAGCAAAUUAUAUGGGUUAAAGUCCCAUAAUAUGGGUUAAAGUCCCAUAAAUUAAUUGACAUGUAUGUAUUAAUCUGUGGCAUGCCUGCAGCAUGACAGAUAUAUGGGUUCUAAAUGUUCCAACUCCCUAAAUGGAGAUUAUCCACGCCCUACUAUAAAAUAACGCUCCAUUGGAGGUUAUAAUCCACAUUCUCACAUAAUAAAAGCCCCCUGCAGUGGCUUGGGUACCCAAAAGCAAAGAAAUGCUUAUAAUUGAUGCAUGCGCAUGCACAUGAGAAUGGUGGGAUCAUGAAUUGAUGAAUGACAAUUUUUGAUCAUGAAUUGAUGAAUGACAAUUUUUGGUUUUAGAGUAGCUACUCAAAUCAUCAAUGGGCUGUGUUGAUUGGAACCACGUUCAAUUAUUAAAUGUCGACAAUAUCAUUGGCCAAAAUGGAACGAGGUAAUUCCAUUAUAAAUGAGAAUGAACGUGAAAGAACAAACCCACAAUACGAACCCCAAAAUUUGUUAAUACUAAAAGUUAUACUUGGGUGUUCGGAAUAAAAGGAAAUAUAUCUACUUUGUAUGACACACUGUUUCUGGCAGAAACAAGGAAUGUUGGGUUUUCUCCAUAUUUACAGAUUCAAUUGUGCCCCCCUUAUUACACAAUUACGGAGACCAACAUAUUAUCUUUAAGGGUUAUUAAUGCACAGAGCAUAUCGCCAGAAGCGAUUUCCUAAAGAUGUAUAAAUAGCUGGGUAAAAGCUAUAUAAUGUGUCAUAAAGUUUAAUCCCUUUUAACCAAAAUCUGUUGAGAGGAUUGAUAUUGCAUAGAGCAAGUCCCUAAAGAACAUGUGCUUGAAGCACAAAAUUUGUACUCAAUAUUAAUAUGCAUAAAUUACCUCAGUGAGUACAUUGAUUAUAAUGUGAUUGCAACACAUUAAAGCUUCUGCAGAAUUCAUGAAAUAUUUGUCUCGAUCGAGCAUUAUGCCAACGAGAUUCUUGCUUAUACUAAGAAAGUAUUAAAGUAUUUUUAUGAGGAUUAUCCGUUGGACACUUUAAUGAUUUUCCGGAAGUAUAUUGGACCGGACAUCAUAUUUUCCAGAUAGGGCUCAACUCCAUCACCAUCAUUUUGGGAUGAUGUGAGGUAUAUUUGAUGCUAUCUAAGCAUAACACCAUAUAGGGGCAUAUUUUUUUAGUGAACUUAUAAAUAGCCCAAGUGUUCUAAGAUAUGCGGACUCAGGAAAUCUCUAUGGUCGCUUACUGGAAAAAGCUAGUCAUGAAGUUUUCAGGGGGAGAUAUUCAUCAGGGAGAGCAUGGUAUUAAUAAAGACCUUCAUACACUAUUGACUCACAGCAGCAGUGUCAACUAUGAUAUUCAGACAGAUGAUCAACAGUAUGGCUUAAAGAUAUUUUGCCAAGCAUCAGGGGGAGCGUGCUGUCAAUACAGACCCUUACCCACUGUACUCUUUUUCCUUCGUCCAGGUUUUUAUCCCACUGGGUUUUUCCUGGCAAGGUUUUAACGAGGCAGUGUCGCACGCGCGUCAAUAUACACAGAAUUUUAUGUUACACGUGAUUAUGUACUCUUUUUCCCUUCGACCAGUUUUUGUCCCACUGGGUUUUUACUGGCAAGGUUUUUAACGAGGCAUAUUCCAUAUCAUUUGUGGUCUCCAAGGGGGAGUGUUGUAAAAGUUUUAAGGUGGAGCCCACAGAGGAAGUUUCCUUGCAUCUUCCAGGAACUUUCCCUUCCCUGUAUUUAUCAAUUGAGGAAGUUUCCUUGCAUCUUCCAGGAACUUUCCUUCCGUGUAUUUAUCAAUUCAGGAAGUUUCCUUGCAUCUUCCAGGAACCUUCCCUUCCCUGUAUUUUACCAAAACCUUAGCCUAUAAAUAGGCUUGCUCAUUCACUUGUAAUACACACCAAAAUGAAGAGAAGAAUGAGUGAGGAAAGAAAGAAAGGAAGAGAAGGAAGAAAGAGGGUGAGUAAGUAGAGAGAAAAAUAGAGUGGAGAGAAAUUUCUCCAAGAGAGAAAAAUUAGUGAGCCACAUAUAUUGUAAACACUAAAGUUGUAGCCCUAUUAUUUUACAUAGUGGAAAAGUUACUACUGCUGCUCUCCGGGGACGUAGGCAUAGCCGAACCUCGUUAAAUACUGUGUCUCAUUUACUUUACGUGCAGCUCAAUAUUCAUACAUAUUCCAGGUUAUUUUUAUAACACCAACAUCAAUCUAGCCCUGAUCCACUCUUUUACAUACUUGAAAACAAAACAAAACACGAAAAACAAAAAACAACAGGGAGAAAAUGGCUCCGGAGAGACUUACUGCUAAUACUUGAUCAAUAACAGAGAUAAUAGAGCACACUGUUUGUAUGGCAGUGAGUAUCAGAAGAAUAAUAGCUGCCCAAGGUGUGUUGAAAUACUUUUGUCUCAAAUUUGCCUUCCAUAUGUUCGUGGUCUUCUCGCAAUACUCGUUUAGUUUGCCAGCAAGAUCACCAAAAUAGUAGUUUCCCUGGUUAAUCAUAAUGGAAACCUUACUGUUGUCACCUAGCGUGUUUACAACAAUUCCAUUGUCAACAAGCAACUCUACAUCCUUUGGGGUGUUUACAAAUUUAUCCAGGAUGAAAACAUAAUCGCUUAAUUAUUUAUUAACGCAAUGGCAUUGUUCAAAGGCAAUGAGAUUUCUAAGUGUAAGCUCUGUGUAAUCAUGUAUUUCAAUUUUUGGAAUUUCCAAGGUGUUUUUCAAGAACUGUAUAUCGAAUAAGUUCUUGCUUGAUUCAACGUUAAACUUAACUCCGGCCUGGUGUAGUUUUGUCAUGCCGGGUGUACUUUGGAGCCCUACAUUUUCUUUUAGGGUUGGAUCUGGCAGAUGUAAAGUUCUAAUAAAAUCAACAAAUUGUACAGGUUUUUUAGGAUCAGGAGGCAUAAAAGACUUACGGAAGGCUGGUGAGUUCUCCAAGUUUUCUAAACGCAGUGCCUGUUGGAAGAACCUGUAAGAGAGUUCAAUUAUUGAAGGCUCCCCAGUCUGGGCACCUGUAAGAUUGUAAAGAUCCUCGAGAAUGAAAAAUGGCAGCUGAUUUUCUAGCAUAAGCAUGUCAGGCAAUAUAUUUUGUAGCACCCAUGGUUUUUUAAAUAUCCAAGCAUUAUCAUCCGGCAAUUUUUCUUCCUGAAAUUUUUCUUCGGAUUUAUUCCUCAACAAUAGCUCAAUGACAAAGGCGGCAUCAACUAGAAUGAUAUUCACAAAAGCGGCAAUGUUAAACUUCUUAGUGUCUUCAUAAUAAUGACGGAGUUCAACUUCUCUCUCCUUUAGGUACCUGAGUUUGUGAUCUUCCAUGGCUUCUAAGUUUUUGCUGCCAUGGUGAAGUGGGCCUAUUGAGACUACUUGUGGUGUGUAGGCCUUUUGUUUUACGUUCCGUAGUCGCUCAGGCACCCUGUAGAUACUGCAGGCAGGGGACAGGGCACGGAAGUUUGUCAACUGAUUUUCCAUGGAAGUUGCUUGGUUUUCUAUGUCAAAAGAAGCUUCAUUGCUGCUUUCUUCCACUUUCUUCCUCCGCAUUAUGUGUUGUUCUGAUUGUAAGUGACGAGGAUGGUGAUGAUUCUAGACACCAUAAUCAACAAAUGUUUCAAUCAUAAUUGACAUUUCAAGAUGCUCCGACAAAAAAUUAGAAAACAUUCAUCACAAAAUGCGAACUCAUACAACAGAUGGGUUGAGAAGAUCCACACAUUGCAAUCAUACAAUCCAAUUGAACAGGGAUUACUCCCUAUUCUCCUCUCUCUCUAAAAAAGAUUUUCAUAUCGAUAACAUCUUAUUGCAAGGGACUUGUACAUCAAGUGGUGAAGAACAGAAAUUCAUAUUCUUUCAAUCAACAAAUUUCGAAGAAGUUUGUUUGUUUUAUUUUUGGGGGAAAAAAAUCUGAGCAUAUAUAGAUGCAUAUUAUACGUAGACCUAAGGUGAAAACAUACCAGAUUUUUACUCCAUUUUUCAUGAGGUUUAAGUUCUUGAUGUAUAUAUUUAUCUCAAGUGUAACAUCCCACAUUGAUCAACGGAGAGGGGGUGAUGUGCCUUAUAUGUACAUGCCAGCCUUCAUCUAGCACGAGGCUUUUUGGGAGCUUAUUGGCUUUGGAGUCAUAGGAACUCUGAAGUUAAGCGAGUUGGAGCUAGAGCAAUCCCAGGAUGGGUGACUCACUGGGAAGUUGCUUGUGAGUUCCCAGAAACAAAACCGUGAGGGCAGAGAGGAGGGCCCAAAGCGACCAAUAUCAUGCUACGGCGGAGCCGAUUCUGGGAUGUGAUAAUUUGGCAUCAGAGCUACUCUGCCGUGUGGUGUGAGUGUGCCGACGAGGACGCCGAACCCUUGAGGGGGGUGGAUUGUAACAUCCCACAUUGACCAACGAAGAAUGGGUGAUGUGCUUUAUAUGUAUAUGCUUGCCUAUAUCUAGCACGAGGCCUUUUGGCAGCUUACUGGCUUCCGAGUCAUAGGAACUCCGAAGUUAAGUGAGUUGGUGCUAGAGCAAUCCUAGAAUGGAUGACCUACUGGGAAGUUGCUCAUGAAUUCCCAGAAAAAAAAAGCUGUGAGGGCAGAUAGGGGGGCCCAAAACGGGCAAUAUCGUGCUACGGCAGAGCCGAUCUUGGGAUGUGACAUCAAGAAUUUAUAUCCUCCCUUUUCAGAUCUCAUGUUCCAGUCAAUACAUAACGAAACAUAAGAAACUAAAGUCUUGUUUAUACCCAUCCUCCCACCCACCCACGGCCAUCCACCCCUACCCCCUAUCUCCAUUAAAUCUACAAGUAGCUCAUCAAUUUCUCCACCAUCCCAAGUUCAAUAUACCACCCAACAACCAUCUUACCCAUCUUCUCAUUGAUCUUCCACCCAACAUCCAACACUAUCUUCAUAAACUCUUUAGCUUAAUCUCUCUGUUGCUUUUGUUUUUUGUUUUUUAGAAAUUAAAUUUUUUAGUUUAUUUUUUUGUUGGUACAAAUUCAAUGAUAAAGAACAUCGAACUCGUCGCAACAUCCUGUUCUAGAUCCAAGCUCUACCACCAUCACAACCCUCUCUUGACCUCCGACCAACCUUAACACCCAACUUCAAAUCUAGGUUGUUUGAAACCCAGCCCCCAACAACCCCCCCAAGUCAUCCCAUUGCAACUGACUUGUAGAUGAAGUAGUAAAGAACAAAAAGUCAUAUUCUUCCAAUCAAAACGUAUCAAGUCAAACAAAAUUUCUAGUUAGUUUGCUUUAUGAUAGUUGUUUUUUGAAGGGGUCCUUAGAUCCAAUCUCAAAAAGUUUGACUUUUAUUAUGUUUAACUCUAGUUUUUUGCAAUUUUUUUUUAUCUCUACCCACUAACUUUUAUCUCUCAUUUUUAUUACCCAUUUUACCCUUUAAAAUAAAUAUAGUAAUAAACUAAAAAUUCUGAUUUAAUGCAUGUUUUGCUCAUAAGAGAACUAAAACCUAAAAAUUCUAUACUCUUACACAAAAAAUAAAAAAUAAAAACUAAAAUUAAAAUGGUUAUCAAACAGACCCUUAUAUUACAAAAAACCUUAACUGACCACCUUAUAUGGCAACUGAUNNNNNNNNNNNNNNNNNNNNNNNNNNNNNNNNNNNNNNNNNNNNNNNNNNNNNNNNNNNNNNNNNNNNNNNNNNNNNNNNNNNNNNNNNNNNNNNNNNNNUAGCAUUCUAAAAAAAGUGGCCUCAUGGCAGCAUUCAUUAAUUGACAUGGCAUGACACAUCAGUUGCCACAUAAGGUGGUCAGUUAAGGUGGUCAAUGUUGUGUGUCCAAAUAGCAUUACUAAAAAAAAAUCAAAUAUUGAACUCAUCAUAAGAGAACACAGAAAAACCUCACUGCUUGCAACUCUUACACCACCACUACACGAACAGAACAACUGCUAAUUAAAAUGAGUCACAUGUCACAUGUCACAUGUGGUACUUAACUCUAAAAACUUAUUUAGAUUAUAUAUCCAUAUUUAUAUAUCCUACUCCUCGAUCAAAACAACCAUGAAACAUAAGUGACUUAAACCUCUAGGCAAAUGGACGGUAUAUAGCAAUUUAUAGAACAAUACAGUAAUCCAGAAGAAAUAUUAUGAAAUAAAAAAAAUAAAAAGUAAAAAAAGAGAAGGAAAGGAAUUCCCACCUGAUAUGUAUAUCUAUGAAAGGAAGGACCAAGUUUGUUUUGCCUUUGGUUAAUGACUAGAAAAGCUCACUUGUAUAUUGCUUUCUCCGGCCGUAGAUGCAAGAGAAAUUUUCUCUUAAUAAUAGCACAAUGAUCGGGUAAUCGUAAGAACAAGUUGAUUUAAAAUUCAGGUCAACUCAUAGAUUUCUUGCCUUUUCUAUUCUCCUUCCUUGGACACGAGCUGUUUAAUCUUGGAAUCUUCCCCCAUCAUGUUGGGCCAGUCUUCUUCUUGAGGAUUGUAUAGGCCCAGGAAAUGCUUGGAGGUAGUUUUUGUGUAUUGGGCCUUGAGACCCAACUUCACAAAAAGAAAACAGAUUUGACCAAAAAAACAAAUUUGAAGGACAUUGAAAUUGUACCUGUAUGAUAGGUUAAAACACUGUAAGGGAGGUAAAUAGUACGUUUACAGAGUUUAAGUGUAAUAAAGGAAUAAAAACAUGCCCAGAGCACUACUACAAUUUUUCCCUGUCCUGGCAACCCUUUGUGAUCGGUAAAAACACCAUUAUUGACGGAACUUCGUCAGUAAUUGCUUCUUGACGACUGCAGCGACGAAAAUGAGUAUAGUCAGUAAAAGUCCCGUCAGUGUUACUAUUACUGACCAACUUUUGCAACUUAUUCGUCAGUAGAGGUGUGUCUCUGACACAAGUCAUGAAGUGACUCUAAAUUAUUACUGACAAAACAAAUAGCCACUAUUAAACAAGCUUUUGUCAGGAUUAUUAUUUUAGGAUGGAGUACUAGUGGCAAAGAUUUGUCAAUAUUGUUUUCAACAAAAAAAAAAAUUCAGUCAAUUUGCUUCUGAGCUGAUGCGCCUUUAGAUAUCCUUUUCUGAAAUGUCUUUUGUUUUCUAAUAUAAUGGAUGUUUUUCUUUAAUAAAAAUUUAAUGGAUUCUGAAAAUGUAAUAACAAUUAUAAAUACUCAUAGAUUGAACCAUUCAACCCCCAUCCUUAUAAAUAUAAACUACCAAUGUCGAUUACAAUAGCCAAAUAUUACAAAGUCUGCCUACAUCAGUAGAGUUCAAAAACUUUAGGUGCCCUUACUAUACAAAAGUAUGCAAUUCCAAAUAUUCAACAAAUACACUACAAAAGCAUGCAUACCCCAAUAGGGUCCAAAAUACAACGUCAGCAACUAUAUAUACCAAAAAUGCAUAACACUAAGUAACUGCAUCUAUUCAAGUCCAUGAGUACCUUGAUCUGAUUCUAAAAAGUCUGUCUCACUUGGGUAUGCAUCCCCCCUCAGCAAUCCAGUUAACCCACCAAUAGGAGUAACUGACCUGGCUUGAUAAGGCAUUUGAUGGAACAUCUGCGGCGAGUAAUAUGACAUAUGGAAUGGGUUUGGCAGCUGCUGGUACAAUGGGUGAUGCGAAGCUGACGAGCACGAUAACAUCUGCCUCAUUUCCUCAAUCUCUUGCUGGUUAUGCUUCAGCAACUCUUGCGUCGCCUUCAAUUCAGAACGCCAAUGAUCCUGGUCAUGUUUGUACCUUUCUUGUAACUCUACAUACUGUGACUCAAGGUGAACAUAGUCGUGCCCUCGCAAUCUCUUGGAUGACCCUGCUUUCGUUUGAAUCCAAGGCACCUGAUGGGGUUUCACCCCAAGUCCUUCACCACGAACACUAUUAUUUGUCUCAGGACCCAUUGCCUCAACAUAAGCCCUUCUUCGUGUCUCUAAAUUAUCAGGACAUUCAUCUUCAACCAAUUCCUUCAACUUUUCCUGCAUUUCAGCCUAACAAAAACAAAAUAUAUAUCCUUCUCCAUCAAAUUGUGGUCAUCAUAGAACUAGCCCAAUAAACUCUACAAUGAUGAAUUGCAUUAUGUAAUAAAAAUUUAGGCCAAUUAGUCUUCUGGACCUCUACUGUUUUGUUUUUCAUAUGCUUAAACAAAUAAAAGAACAUAAAGAAUAGUGAACAAGAAAAAAAAACUACCUCCAAACAACUUUCCAUAUGCUUAAAAAAAAAAAAAAAAAAAAGUCAACCAAAACAAAAUAAGAGAAACAUCCUGGACUAUGGCUAACAAUUCCUCAUGAAAAUGAACUUAUAUAUAAUUAUUCCAAUAUAUAGUCCAUAUGCUUACAUAUUUCUGCUCAGCCACCAAGUUAACCCAUGAUCGAUCUUCGUCACGCCGUGUAUGCUUAUCUUGGAAAAACCAAAUAGGAUCGGGGUCUUCACCAUGUUUCUUAUUCUUAGCAUGCAAUCAAUAAAAUAAAAUAAGAUAAUCAAUUAGCUAACACGACCUCAUAUGCUCAAUAUUUGAAUAUAGUAAAGAGUAAACAUUCAAGUGCAUCAUCAAAACUGACAUAUUGUGCUUUGCUGCGAGCAUAAGACUUUGUUCUAGAUGUGUGAUUCAAUGUUUGUUUACUCCGAUUUUCAACAUUUCUUUUAGCUUGCUCCUUUUAUUAGCAAAAACAAAACAUACUUAAUCAUUGCACAGAUUAUAUAUACUGAGUGUUGUGUAAUAAUACGUACUGCAAUCUCAUCUUUUUCCCAAUGUUCAACCAACACCCUCCAUUGAUCUGGGUCUACACGAGAAUCCCCACAUUGCCACCGUCUUUUACUUCCUGUGAAAGGCUUAUAAUAAGCUUUCUUCAAAUCACUCUUGAAACUUCUCCACAAUUUUUCAAUAUUCUUCAUUGUUACAUCCUUGAAGACAUGAAUCAUAGGUUGUUGUUCAGGACGAAAUUCAAUGGUGCCCUGCAUCCACAAUAAGGUAGUCUUACAUCAAGUUGAAAUAUACCUAUUAAACUCAAUUUCAUGCAAUAAGUAUUCAAUAAUUUUAGGAAAACCAAACCCGUAGAGUGUCCCAGACAUCAAGUUUGCAAGAGUCUGGUACUUUUUCCCAUUUUAAAUACUUGAUCGGAAUUAGAUUGGCAUCCCGCGCCAAAAUACCCAUGUAUCUAGAAAAAUGGGGACUAUUGUCACUAAUAACUCUGCCAAAUGGAGAUAAAUCAACUGACUCUUUUUUGUUAUUUAGAAACCAGUUGCAUUUCCCUUGACCUCGACCUUGCUUCGCCUCCUUGCCUACAUGAAAAGUUAAUUUUAACUGAUCAAUACAACAAGAAAAUAAUAAGAAACUGUAAGGUAAUAAGUUUCUCACACAUUAUUCAAAUGAAAAAUUAGCAUAGCUAUUUGGAGAUGAUGUGAUCGUGAAACAUCCCAUAUUCAAUACAUUUGUAUAUGAUUAAAACAUACCAAUUUAUUAAAAGAAAAAGGAAAAGAAAACCAACAUACCAGUAGCACUUAUAGAACCAUCUCCCUCUAGACUAUCCCUAAAGUCAGCGUUGGGCCCUUCUUGUGAACUAUCUUGAGAACUGCUCAUCUAAAAAAUUUGAUAUGCAUAACAGUGAAGGGGUAACAAAUUAAUCAGACAUCAUUGGUAAAAGAAACUAUUACUUCAACAUUCUAAUACAAAACAAUCUACUAAAGAAAUUCUUGUACAAUAUUCUUAAAAUUACGUAGUCCAUUUAAGCUGACAGCUCAUCAAAAUACAUGAAAAAUUCAAUACUCCAUGUCAUCAUAAAGCUCAUCCUCGUUUUCAGUAGAGAGAUCGUCUGAAGACUGUUCAUCUUCUUCAUCCUCAUUUCCGGGCUCAUGCUCAUCUACCAUCUCAUCCAUAUCAACCCUAAUAUGAAAUUCCUCAUUGUCUAGCAGCUGAUCAUCAAGAUUCGGAAUGGCAUAAUUAUCAGUAGCACUUAAAAGGGUUAUCUAUAGUUGGAGCUAGAUCACUAUCUUCUAGCACAUCAAAAAAAUCUCUUGGUUGAGUUUGGGUUGGCACAUGCCAAUGACUGUCUUCUGGAUCUACAACAUAAAACACUUGUGUAGCUUGAGAAGCCAAUAUGAAAGUGUGUCUUUCGUUUGUCGCAACCGAUUGAAACUAACCAAAGGGAAACCAUACCCAUCAAACCUCAUCCCCCUAUCACUAGCAGUAUCAACCCAAUCACAGUUAAAUAAUGUAAUUUUCCGACCAUUAUCAUUCUGUUCUAUUUGACCCCCGUAAUUAAGUUCAUAAAUCUCUUUAAGAACACCAUAAUAAUCAACAUUGCCAAUUACUGGAUUGCGAUCUCUUGCGCUUGAGUAACUAGAUGUCUCUGCACAUUGAAAUACACCACUAUUCUGAUUCUUCUUUUUAUCGUCUACUGAUUUAAUCCGGAACCUACACCCAUGAAUUAUGUGAUUCUUAUACUUGUUCACAAAUCUACUAGGACCAAUUGAUAGCCAACGCAAGUCCUCAGAUAUUGACAGAUCAUGGGCUGUGUACAAUUUAGUAACCUAUAAUUUAAAACAACAACUAAAGUAAAUAACUUUAAUUAAAAAUAUGGUGCAGCAACAUAAAAUGAAUCAUAUUACAACUAAACAUACUUACAUGAUCCUUGAACCAAGUUGGAAAUAUCUUAUUUCUCAUCCCCUCAAUUUCCUGUAUGGUCUUCCGUCGAUUACUUUGUCUCAAUUCUUGGAAGCAUUUUCUGUUUUACAAUAUAAUAUAAUGACUUGUUAGUUAUUAAUUCAUAAUUGAGGAUUGAAAAAAAAAAAUAUCAACAACUUGCUUGUUUUUAUUCAUAAAUAUCUUACUCUAAAAAAGGGGAAACUUCAUCGCAAUUGAACAAGACCACUCUGCGACAUUGGUCCCAAACAUCUUUGUCAAGAUAUAUUUGUUCAGCUGAACCCUUAGAAUGACAUGAAGAGUCAAAAACUUUUAGCUCCCCAAUGACACCACGACCAAUACCAUCAGCAUUUCGACCCUUUCGAUUCCUUCGAGUCUCAACGUUGCUAAGAUACAUGGUACACAUAGCUAAUCCCUCGUCGACAAGAUAUCCUUGUUCCAUACUUCCUUCAGGAUAACUCUUAUUCUGAACAUAUUUCUUUAAUGUUUGUAGGUAUCUAAAGAUAUGGCAAAAUUGAACAUGUUAAUUUACAAUUAAAAUGGAAAACUAGAAAUAAUAAAUAAGAUUUGAACUAAUUACCUUUCAAUGGGAUACAUCCACCGGUAUGGGGCAGGCCCUGCGAUUGCAGCCUCAUCUGCCAAAUGCAUGAUUAAGUGUACCAUCACAACAAAGAAGGAAGGAGGGAAUAUCUUUUCCAUCUGGCAUAAUGUCACUGCAAUCCGAGGUUUUAAAGCCAUGUAUGACGCUUCAUAUUCCUUCUUACUACAUAACCGUCUAAAAAUUGCACUUAGCUCAAGCAAAACAAUGGUAACAGCUUUUGGUAAUACUCGUCGUAUUGCAAGGGGCAGCAGCUGUUGCAUUAUAAUAUGAUAGUCAUGACUUUUCAAUCCGUGUAUUUUUCUCUCAUUCACAUUAACACAUCUAGACAGAUUUGCAGAAUACCCAUCAGGAACUCUCACAUUUGCCAAGACUUCGCAAAACAUUGUUUUUUCCCUUUUCCUCAUGUCAAAAAGUGCUGGAUCAAAAACUUCCUUACCUUUCCCAUUUAUAUAAGGGUGCUGUUUUCUCCUUAUAUUCAAAAUUUGAAGGUCCUUACGAGCUUUUAUUCCAUCCUUUGUCUUCCCAGGAAUAUUUAACAGUGUACCUAAAAUGUUUUCACAAACAUUCUUUUCAAUAUGCAUUAGAUCAAGGUUAUGCCGUAUCAAAAGAUAUUGCCAAUAUGGUAACUCAAAGAAUAUGCUUUUCUUCUUCCACUGAACUUUGUUACUAUUUAUAUUCGUUGUGGGAUAGGUAUUUGUAUUCCUAAUGGGACAAGAACAUUUUUUGGGUUUUCCUUGCCCAACAAAAACAGCUGACUUCUUUUUGGGUUUUCGAAAUGUGAAUGUCAAACUUGACAAUUUUUCUAAACACUGUGAACCUGUCAAGGGAAUAGGUGGAAGAGCAUGUUCUUCCUUACCGUUAAAGGCUGCUUUAUCUCUUCGAAACCUAUGUUGUAUAGGUAGAAAUCUCCGAUGACCCAUAUAACACAUCUUACUACUAUUUGCCAAAUGCAUUGAGACUGUAUCAUCCAUGCAAUGCGGACACGCUUUCUUCCCCUUCGUGCUCCAUCCUGAAAGAAUUGCAUAUGCGGGAAAGUCAUUAAUCGUCCAUAACAAUGCAGCCUUCAUUGUAAAAGUUUGGUUGGCAAACACAUCAAACGUCUUAAUACCAACCUCCCACAACUCUUUCAACUCAUCGAUUAAAGGCUUCAAAUACACGUCAAUAUUAUUGCCAGGCCCAUCAGGACCAGGAAUUAUUAACGAUAACAAUAAAUUUGGUUGCUUCAUACACAUCCAUGGAGGCAAAUUAUAAACUGACAGUACAACAGGCCAUGUACUAUGGGGUUUGUUCAUAUUUGAAAAGGGAUUAAACCCAUCACUUGCAAGCCCCAAUCGCACGUUGCGUAUCUCCGAAGAAAAUUCAGGGUAUAAGGAAUCUAAAUGCUUCCAUGCACGAGAAUCUGAUGGGUGCCUCAUGAAUCCAUCUUUAGGACAUUCGGUUGCAUGCCAUCUCAUAUCUUCAGCGGUAUGCUUCGACAUAAACAAUCUUUGCAACCUUGGUUUUAAUGGAAAAUACCGAAGAACCUUGGUUGGAACCUUAGCUGAUGUGUUCUUACUCAAAGAACCUCCCACAAUAUUGACUUUGUACCUUGAGGCACCACAAAGUGCACACUCAGUCAAGUCUGAUGUAUCUUUCCAAAACAGCAUACAAUCAUUGGGGCAAACAUCAAUCCUCUUGACUGUAAGUCCCAACUCCCUAAUGAUUUUUUUAGCAUCAUAAUUAUUUUUUGGUAAACAAUUCCCCUCUGGCAACAAUUGUUUAACCAAUUGUAACAGCAUUGUAAAGACAUUAUCGCUUCCCUAAACAUUUAAUCUGGAACAGUCUUACAACAGAAUACAAUUUCUUAUAUUUACACCUAGGGUACAACUCCAUAUCUGCUUCUUCAAGUAACUUAUAAAAUAUUUCAGCCUCAGGUGUUUGGCCAUCAAAGAUAGGUGGCUCUGUCGAAGUCCCAACAGUUUCUCCAAUUAUUGGUUGCACAAAGGCUUCAUUGAGAAAAUCAUGAAUGUCAUCUAUACAAACUUCUUCAUUAUGAACUGAUUCUAUAUCCUCUUGGAAUGGUAAAUUUGUCAUGGGCUCCCCAUGAUGCCUCCAAGGGCCAUUCAUAUAUGUGGGAUCCAUUCCUUUUUCUAUAAGAUGAAGCUGGAUGAUGUUUCUUUCAUAGUGAUAACGGUUACAACAUUUUUUGCAAGGACAUAUGACCCUCUCUCCAAAACCCACUUUGGCAAAGACGUCAUCUAAAAACAUUCUCAUUCCGUCUGCGUAUUCCUUACAAUUUCUCCUUAAAUGUACCCAACUUUUAUCCAUAGUUCACCUAUAUUGAGUGCAAGGCACCAAAUACAAUUAUUCAGCACAGAUCAUCCCUCAUACUUAUUGUCUAUAAAUUCCUAUCAGGUGGGUCAAUUUAUUAUCCAUUAGAUGACCCUCAUGACCAUCUACAUCAAUUCACAAGAAAAACCAAAUUAAAAUAACAAAAACCUGAGUCUAAAGAAUAUAUUAACUAAGAAAUUGCACAUUCAUUCAACUGAAGAAAAGAACUAUAACACCAAACAACUAGACCCACUUAAUAGCUAAAGAAACUCACGUCAUAACAACAAAGUAUACAUAUUAAACAACAUAUCAACUCAUAGAUAAAAGCCCGAUAAUCUCAAUACUAUGAACAAUCUUAUUCAAAAAUAAUAAGAUAACAGCAACAUAAUAGAAAAAAGUAAAGGGAAACACACCUGGAUUCUAAGUUUCCAACAACAAUUCAACACUCCUGCAGUAGAUUAAUACAUACAUACCCACAUAUCAAACUUCACCAACAAAUAAUAAAAAAUUAAAACAAGAGCUUUGAAAAAUCAAAGGAUUCGUGUCACAUCCCGGAAUCGGCUCCGCCGUAGCACGAUAUUGUCCGCUUUGGGCCCCCCUCUCUGCCCGCACGGUUUUGUUUCUAGGAGCUCACGAGCAACUUCCCAGUAGGUCACCCAUCCUGGGAUUGCUCUAGCCCCCAACUCGCUUAACUUCGGAGUUCCUACGACUCCGAAGCCAGUGAGCUCCCAAAAGGCCUCGUGCUAGAUGGAUGCGGGCAUGCACAUAUAAGGCACAUCACCCCCUCUCCGUUGGUUGAUGUGGAAUCUUACAAUCCACCCCCCUUAAGGACCCGACGUCCUCGUCGGCACACUCGCACCACACGGCAGAGUGGCUCUGAUACCAAAUUGUCACAUCCCGGAAUCGGCUCCGCCGUAGCACGAUAUUGUCCGUUUUGGGCCCCCCUCUCUGCCCGCACGGUUUUGUUUCUAGGAGCUCACGAGCAACUUCCCAGUAGGUCACCCAUCCUGGGAUUGCUCUAGCCCCCAACUCGCUUAACUUCGGAGUUCCUACGACUCCGAAGCCAGUGAGCUCACCCCCUCUCCAUUGGUUGAUGUGGGAUCUUACAAUUCGUUUAUAUCUUGGAAUAAAAUCAGUAUUCUAAUUUUUAUAUCUAAUUGGAAGGAUUCAUGGGUCAUUACCUACACUAAAAUACUUGAAAAAAUAAAAUAAACAAACAAAAUAAGAACAAAAAUUUCACCAGAACAGAGGCACAAAAAUCUCACCAAAACAGAGGGCCUCUUUAAUGAAGGACAACCAAGUCAGCCCCAAUUGAAAAGAGCAAAGAACCCCCAGAUUUAAUCUCUCUCUCAAUCUGAAUCAGCAACCCCAAUUGAGAAAAGCAAGGAAAACCCCCCAAAUUUAAUCUCUCUCUCUCAAUCUGAAUUAGCAACCCCAAUUGAGAAGAGCAAGGAAAACCCCCCAAAUUUAAUCUCUAUCUCUCUCAAUCUGAAUGAGCAGACACGAAAAUCACUACCACACAUGACUCCAACUCCAUUAGCUAUGAGGAAGAAUACAAUUCAUUCUUCAAUGAAAAGAAGAGGGAAGAGAUGGCCGGUUUGGAGGAAGUAGAAAAGCUCAAGUAAACAAUUGAAGUUUUUUAUAUAUCAAUAGGAAAAUUUUGAAGUUAAAAAUUAUAUUUAAGAAUAGUAUUGGCAAUCGAACUCGUCAGAAAAAAAGUUGGCUUCCUGGUGUCUGAAAAUUUAGGCGCUUAUGUUUUCACUUCCCGCGUUAAAAGAGACUGGCGCAGUGUCUCGUCAGUAAAGGUAGUAAUGACAAAAGACUUUGUCAGUAUUAUUUACUAGUGAAAAAUCACUUUAUUUUGCUAGUAUUUGGUCUCAGUACUGACUAAGCUGCUCUUUCAUCAGUAUUAGUCCGUCAGUAUAAGCUAAAAUUGUAGUAGUGAGAGGAUUGAUAAGUGAUAUUAAUUCUUGAAUAUACAGAAUGUAAAAUAAAGGAACACGUAAAAAAUUAUUUUAUGUGGUAAAACUCCAUCUCUGGGGAAAAUCCACGGGACUUCUUAGUCCAAAACAAAUCCAUUAUAGAAUGAUGAUUACAAGAAGUACUCACACACUUAUCCUAGACACAUUCUAGAUAAUGUUUACUGACCUCUUCGUAACUCAACUUCUGUCUCGAGAUGAUCUUUCAACACUCCUUAUGUUGAACGCAAUAUUGGUCACGAUUUCUUCAAGCUCGUCAGAGUUCUUCCAACUCUCCUAAUAUUGAAUCCGAUACUAGUCACGAUUGAUUCAAGCUCAUCGUAGAAAAACCGUCACAAUGGUCUUGGUGCCCUCAACCGUAUGAGUCAUUAAACAUGCAAAUGAAUACAUAUAUGAAUGAUAAAAGUGUUUGAUAAAUCACUGAGUUAUGGAACACUUGAUGAUUUAUCUCAAAUAAAAACUCAGCUUUAAUGCUUUCUAAACAAAGAAGACGAAGGUCUUACUUUAUAGACUUUUUCUUUACAAGAAAGAAAAUAAGUUGGAAACCAAAUCUCCAAUUUCCAAGGCAAAAUCACAAAAGUAUCUUUCCUAUUCUAGAGAUUGGUCACAUGUAGUCCAACCAAUAGGAAAUGAGAUAUUUAAGAAAGGAAGAUUUUGAUCAAUAUCAAUAUCAAAUGAAUUCUUAUACGCCUAGUCAACUAUUAAGGGUAUCUUGACUCCUUGAUAUUUUGAUAUGAUUGAAACAUGAUUUCCAAGUUAGAAAAUUAAGGGGUUGUUAAAACAUGAAAGUAAUAGGAGAAACAAAUUUAUUUGAACCAAAAUUGCCCAAAAAGAAAACACUCCUAAAUAAACUUCAAUUCACUUUAGUAAAACAUGAUUGAAUCGUUCGUUAAAACAAUUCCCUAAUAUACAUGCAUGAUAAUGACAUCACUUACCCCUGAAUCAAAUUUGUUAAUGUAUGCAUUUUGAGUUUUUUUUUCUUUUGGCUUCCCUUGACAAUUUUGUAAUAGGAAAAUCAUUGUAGUUUCUCAAGCUCUAAGUUUAGAUUAAGAAUUACUUCUCUAGGUGUUCUUAUCUGCCUACAUUCUGAUGGAAAACAAUGCGUUUGACAAAGGUAAAUUCUGCAUUACACUACAUUGCAUUCACUAAAUUUCUUAAGAUUAUGACUAGUCAUCUUUCUUUCGUAUGACUAGUCAUCUUGCAUUCGUAUGACUAGUCAUCUUUCCUUCGUAUGACUAGUCAUCCUUUGUUUCAAUUAGGAUUUCCAGCUCACUGUUUCCAGCUGGGGCUUAAGCAUUUUUUUGUCCUUUUCUACGAAUUUCUCAGCUUCCAUGUGUCUAUUCUGACCUAGGAAUUUUUGGUAAAAGCCAUAGAAUUCCUCAUUUGGCAGCCGUCACUUUUGGGGACAAGUUGUGGAAAGUUUCAUAGCAAACUUUCGCUUCUUCUUCCUCAAGAGUAACCUUCAUAUUUUUCAUCUUUGAGUUCUCUAAAUUGUUUCUUUUUGAAAACUGCAUUUGAAAUAUGAAAACUUCAUCUUGCUAGAUCAAACACUCUAUCAUAUACAUCUAGGUCAGAUUCAAGAUUGAUUUCUUCAAGAGUAUGGUUUCUUGAAGAAAUUGGUCAUUUUCUCCAUGAAUCCAAAUUUCAUUUCUGUCUGAGUUAGAGCUUGCAAGCUGGUGCCAUGGGAUGAAUGAGCUGAAGAAGGAGCUGCCAUUGCCAUGAAGAACUGAGCUUCAAGCUUUGCUAAGUUGGAGAAGAAGAUUGCACAAAGGAGAUAUAGCAUCUUCCUAAAUAGACCUAGGAAUUUCUUGAGCUUGCUAGUGUUCUUUGUAAGAAUCUUUUUGCUUAGUGGAUUGCCUGGUCGGUUGAUGACCCCCAGUUUUUCCCAAUGGUGGGUUUCUGGGUGAACAAUAUCUGGUUUCCAUCUCUGUAGAUUUUUUGGGUUUGUGUUCUUGAUAGUUGACUAGUCAUCUGAAUUUGUGUGGUUGACUAGUCAUCUUUUUCUGCUGUUUGGUGUUUUCUUGAUUAUGUUGUCUUCACACACUUUUACCAUAGUUGUUGCUAGCACAAGGGAUGCCUAGAUUGAUGGGUCCUUCUGAGUGCCUAGGUUGUCACUAGUAAUUCUCUAGGCCUGCAGGUACAUCUUGGUAUGCUUUGUGUAUGUUAUUGUUUGGUUUAAUUCAUAUCUAACAGUUGACUAGUCAUAAGAGUAUUUGGUCAAGGUCUAGAGUGUGUGAAGUUUGUUGCGUUCUUGAUUGAAUAUCUUUUAAAUUUACCCUUCGUCACCUAAUUACCAAUUUGCAGACUCCACAAAUGAAGAAAAGAGCACAAAUAUCGUGAAUGCUAUUGGGAAUGGAAAGGGCAAACCUGUUCAAAAAGGGUAUGGAGGGGGCGUUAGACUUUACGUUCAAAAAGGGUAUGGAAAACGUCCUCCUCCAUCUGACAGUCAACUACUCCAUUAUAAAGACAUAGCUAUUUUCUUCUUCGAGAAAGACAUGCGCCCUGGCUCAACAAUGAAGUUCCAAUUCCCUAGAAAUUCAAACACGGCUACUUUCCUGCCACGCGAAAGUGCUCAAUCGAUCCCCUUCUCCUUUAACAAACUACCAGAAAUUUUCAACCAUUUUUCAGUGAAGCCAACAUCUGUGGAAGCCAAAACAAUUAAGCAAACAAUCGAAGAGUGUGAAGCUCCAGGCAUUAAGGGAGAUGAAAAAUAUUGCGCCACAUCUUUAGAAUCAAUGGUUGAUUUUAGCACUUCGAAGCUUGGAACAAGAAACGUUGAAGCAGUCUCGACGGAGGUAUUGGAAAAAGGAGCCACCAUGUCCAUGCACAACUAUACAACAAUGCCGGGACUGAAGAAGUUGGCAGGUGACAAAGUCGUUGUGUGUCAUAAGGAGAACUAUCCCUAUGCUAUGCUAUGUUUUUCUGCCAUGCAAUAAAACAAACAGCAGCUUAUGUUCUCUCCCUGAAAGCCGAUGAUGGGGAGAAGGUUAAAGCUGUAACCAUCUGCCAUCUAGACACAUCAGAAUGGAACCCAGAGCAUUUGUCCUUCCAAAUCCUCAACGUUAAGCCCGGAACCGUUCCUAUCUGCCAUUUCAUUUCCACUGAUGCUAUUGCCUGGGUUCCAAAACACAAAUCUGCAUGAUCAUCACUUAGCACUGUACGUAUAAUAAGCUUGGUUGGGUUGCACCCCUGUAUAAUUAUCUCCCUACUUAUUUCUGCCUCUUCAUCAUGUGGUGUAAGAUAUAUGAUGAAAUGAAGUUUUUGGGAUUAGUGGUCGGGUUGCCUGAAAAACACAGAUUAUAGAAACUGCUUGAAAUUAACCCGAUCAUGUUUUCUCUUGUAACGAUAUAGACUUCAACUUGUACUCAUAAUAAAGCAUGCUAUAUUUAUGAAGAGAUAUUAAUCUAUAUAUGCUUUGGCUUUGUGGUUUUACCCAGUGUUUGAAUGUUGAAUUGUUACGUUGGAAUAGGCUGCUAAUGCAUGUAGUUAGAGAAGCCUUCAUUUAUAUCAAAGUCCUCAAACUAUCAAGAACUAAUGUAUCCAGAAACACAUACCAAGACGCAAAACAACAUAUUUUCCAUGCUGUCUGUAACACCAAAGCAAACUUCCUUUAUCACAUCAUUUAAAGGAUCAAAUUCCAGUACUAAUCUAAUCCAUUAUGUAAAGCAUCAGGGACAGACUCAAGAUUUCAAAAUGGAGUGGGCUAGAUUUUAGGUCCGGCUAAACUUUAUAGGGAGACUUAUGAAAUUAAUCAUAAUAUUAUAUAAAUUUAAUUUAAAAACAUAUCAUUUUUAUUUUAUUUAUUUAAAGAGUCCAAUUUUACACCAACAAUGUCAUCAACAAUUGAUUAUAUAUGCUUAAAAUUAACAUUAGUUGACAACUCACAACUCAUAUUGCAACUUAUUUAGUAUAUGUGUUUUAUACUAACAAUAACAAAAGAAAAACACUUGACUGGGCUAUAGCCCAGUUUGUACACAUUGCAGGCCCGUCCUUAUAAAGCAUACAAGUGCCUCCCUAAAUUUGUCCGUUGGAUAUAUAUAUGUCACUUUUUAUUUUUUGAUAGAGAUAUAAAUGUUGAGAAAAUUAGAGUACACAACUCUAAUAUCAUAAAGCAAACAAAAUUUCUAAGUUAGUUUGCUUUAUGAUAGUUGUUUUUUGAAGGGGUCCUUAGAUCUAAUCUCAAAAAGUUUGGCUUUUAUUAGGUUUAACUCUGGUUUUUGCAAUUCUUUAUCUCGUAGUGGCAAUGUUCAAAUGCGAUGAGAUUUCUAAUUAAUACCUCUGUAUGAUCGCUUAUUUUCAAUCUUGGAAUUUCAAGAGUCCGGUCAGCAAAUCUAAUAAGGUAUUCGUUGAUCCCUCAUUCAACUUGAUCCCUGCCCUGUGUAGCUCUGUGAUGCUGGGUGUGUUUAUAGUUAUGAGUUUCCUGUCAUCAAUUUUUAGGGCUAUUCGUUAUAUGAGUCCCUGAACUUAGACUCGAUUUGCAUUUUAGUCCCUCAAUUUCCAAAAUCGUUUCAGUGGUCCUUCAACUUCAGUUUCGUUAGGACAAAUGGUCCUGCCAUCAAACGAUUAUAAAGUGGAAAAAACAAGAACAAAAAGGGAAGUGAGUUAAAUUUGCACCUACUAUGUUCAAACGACAAAGUUGGUUUCCCUUUGGUUGAUUACAAGAGAAGUGAAAGGACCCGCCCGAAUUUUCUCAAAAUCCGAGACAAACCCUUUGGAAUUCCUGACAUCACCCUGAUGCCAGGCCCACUUACUAAAAACCGAGACCUCCUGCCGAAAUUUCGGCAGAGUCUCCCCUAUAAAUUGGACGUUUCCCAAAAUUUAUACCUGCAUAAAAACGCAUUUAAUAUUCCCAACUGGCAGCAUGCACAAUAUAAUUUCAUGCAAUUCACACAAAUGGCCUUCGGCCUUUCAAUAAUUCAUAUCCAACUACCAAACCAUUCAAAUACCAAAUAUGACUAACAUUUAGUCUGCGGCUGCACCUAAUAACCCUAGGCUGCCUACGUACCCUCCUUGAGGGAUCAAGCCACACGUAGUUCUUCCCUAAAACCCAAUUCCACACUUGGGCGAUACCUUAUUUCAUUUCUCUGGAUUUCAUAUAAUCUCCCCAUACGCCGGUACAACCAACGCCACGUAUGGGGCCUGUCAACACGCCGGAUAACCUACGCCACGUGCGACCAUGCCAUACUAUCAUAAUAUCUCCCCAUACGCCGGUACAACCAACGCCACGUAUGGGGCUUGUCCCAACGCCGGAUAACCUACGCCACGCGGGACCUCAAUAUUCAUAUCACAAAUCUCCCCAUACACCGGUACAACCAACGCCACGUAUGGGGUCUGUCGACACGCCGGAUAACCUACGCCACGUGCGACCUCACACAAUAUCACAAUAUCUCCCCAUACGCCGUACAACCAACGCCACGUAUGGGGUUUGUCUCAACGCCGGAUAACUACGCCACGUGAGACCUGAAACAUCAUAUUACAAAUCUCCCCAUACGCCGGUACCACCAACGCCACGUAUGGGGCCUGUCCCAACGCCGGAUAACCUACGCCACGUGGGACCUAACUUUCACUUGGUGGUGCUUGUAGUGAAUCCAAAAUCCGGGGAGGUAUCUAAAGUAGUGCGUUUAGCACUCCAAACUGACACUCUAGACUCUGUUGUACCCUUGUACAACCAUAUAUAAUUAUAGUUAUAUAAAUUAAUUCUAAUAUUGUGUAACCCUCCACAAUAGUCUAGCUCCCGAUAAUCCCCCCCUUAGAAAGGUGAGAUUACUCCGGGAGACUCACGGUCAACCAAGGGUCAAACUACUCUAACCCUGGUCAACCGGACCUGCAGAACCCACUACCUCCAAUUUCCGAUCCGAAAGUCUCUAUGGGUUCUACCAGGUAUAGGACACUUGUCCUGCAAGUUUGGUUCAAAUCGGACGGUCGGAUUUCUCACGAUCGCACGAUCUGACGGUUAAUAUAAGAUAUAAAAUUAAAAUUAUUAUUCGGAACAUCCGGGGUUCCGAUUCAUGAUCCGUAAAUUCCUACACGAUCCUAGAAAUACCUAGAUUAACAUAUAUUAAAUUUGGGACCAUCCAACGGUCCCAACCUAUCGAACUCGGAUAACGCACACUAUGCGAUUAUCCGUUCGAUAGUCAAACGACGUCCGAAUUGAGAUCCGCGAAAUCCUACGCACUCGUGACAACCUAAGGAUCUCAUCGGAACACAUCGCUACAUUUUCUACAGUGCCCACGCACCGGCAGUGCGUGGGUGCCCAAAGCGAUAACGCUUCGCCGGAAAAUCUCAAAACCACGGCUCCAAACUCCUACCCUAGGUAUAACACCCUAUUUGGAGCCACUUUUGUUUUGGACCUACCCCAAAAAGUGGCCGGAAAUGGCCAAUCACGGCGGCCGAAGUUUCGGCCGAUUUUCAAUUCGAAAAUUGAGUUGCCUACGCUAAGAAUCGAUCUAAUCCUACCCAACCAUCAGCUAGAGCAGCUCGAGAGGUUCAAAAUCCAUACCUGGGUCGACGGAUUUGGUGGCCGGAGGAGGAGGAUCGACGGCGUUGAAGUUCCGGCGACAUCUGGGCGAAAAUCGCCAUUUUCCGGCGGCUGGAGCGGCGGCCGAUGGCGGGGAUGGGCUGGGUCGUGACGCCGAGGUCGAGCCGGUUCUUUUGACACCGGCCCCGUCCGCAGCCGCGGCCGGUGGCCGGAGUUACGAAGAGAGAGAGAGGAGAGAGAGAGAGGAGAGGCCGACGGGAGAGAGAGAGAGAGGAGUCUCGCAGGAGAGAGAGAGAGAGAGAGAGAGAGAGAGAGAGAGAGAGAGAGAGAGAGAGAGAGAGAGAGAGAGAGAGAGAAACCAGAUUUUAUAAAAAAAAUCCCAUUUCGAAAUAUUUACGAUUAUGCCACUGGACUUCUUUUGACCAUAUCUCUCUCGUUACAACUCCGAUUCGAGCCCACUACGUGUCUGUGAACUCGUCUCAGUACGACCUAUCCAAAAAUAUAAGUCACGGUCCCAAACUCUCUCCGGUUAAAAAUAUGACUAAAAUACCCUCAAAGCAGCUUACUUGGUUCCUCUAGUAGAUGGAAAUAUAAUUUUUCUAGCUAAAUUUCUCAAAUGGUCCUCAAACUUGUACGCGAUUUACAUUUUGGUCCAUCAAUUAAAUUAUUAGUCCAAAUGGUACAUAAACUCUAUUUUAAUCGCCCAUUUGAUCGAACCGUCUAAUUUUCUGUUAGAUUUAACCAAAUUUUAGGGUAAAUAUGACUUUUCAUAAUUAACAAAUAAAAUAGGAUUAAAAUAAUUAAAUACAAAAUUAGAAAAAAAAAAUGAAGAAAAGGAGGAAGAACAGAAGAGGAAGAAACCCAGAAGAAGAGGAAGCGGACAAGGUUAUUGCAAUGGCUUUCUUAAGUAAAAUUGGGAAUAUACUCAGAUGGACUGCAAAGAAGCAUAUCUGAUCUGAAUUAUCUCCUUUCAAACUAUCUAUCCAUCAAGCAGUAAGAUGCAUGUCAAACAUGGUGAGUUCAAAACUCUUAUUGGAGGUAUUUCGUACCAAACAGAUGAGCAGAGUCUGAAGGAAGCUUUUGCAAAAUAUGGUGAAGUUAUUAAUGCAAGAAUCAUCAGUGACCGUGAAACUGGUAGAUCUAGAGGAUUUGGGUUCAUCACUAGCGAGGAGGCAUCCAGUGCAAUCCAGGCCUUGGAUGGGCAUGAACUUCAUGGCCGUCGAGUAAGGGUGAAUUAUGCUACUGAUAGACCUCGCCCUAACUUCGGUGAUGGAGGUGGUUUUGAAACUGCUAGCACUGGAGGUGGUUUUGGCAAUAACAUCAAUUUGGGUGUUGCUGUUGCUGUUGGUGGUGCUCAUAACUUUGUUGGCGGUGCUGACAACAGCUUUGGCAGUGGUGGAGCUCAAUUGGGAGAGAACAAAGGUGGUUUCAGCUUGCAUGAUCCCUUGAAAGGAAAUGAUAAGGAUGAUGAUGAUGAUGCCGGCAACUUUCUCAAGAGGGCUUGAUAAUAUUUAGAUAAGAGGAGCGAUUUAGUUUGCUUCUAUGCAGAGCUACUAGUAGAUUGUCUUUUUGUUACAGCUGCAUGUCCCCCCUCCCCGUCUUUCUAAACUAUUAAUUUCAUUUGGCGGAAUUUUCUGUGAAUUUCAUGCACCUUUUAGUGUGCUUUGUCAACUAAGGACCUGGAUUGUGGGAAAAAAAGAAGCAAAAAAAGAAGAAACCAGGAAGAAGAAGAAGAAACCCAGAAGCAAAAGAAGAAGAAACCCAGAAGAAGAAGAGAGAGAGAGUUGGUGGAUGCAAUGACCAAGUUGCCCUCAUAUUUAACGGAAAUAUUGAUAGAAUGUAACGGUAGGAUCAAUGAAGCGAAUAAUAUAGAGUUGAUGUACCAUUUGGACUAAUAAUUUAAUUGAGGAACCAAAAUGUAAAUCGAGUAUAAGUUUGAGGACCAUUUGAGUAAUUUACCCUAAUUUUUCUCCUAAUAAUAAGGGUUUAGUGCAAUCAAUGAUGGGCUGUAUAGAACAACUUUUUUGUUUUAUAUGUUUAUGUGAGACAAGUUUUGCCAGAUUGAAUUAAUGUCUUCUAGCUAUGUACCUUAUCUUUUUGCCGGGCCAUGAGUUGAAUGUAGAGGCAGAGCAUGGACUUGGGGUCAAGUUUGACUUGUAAAAAAUUAGGAAUUGAAUGGCUAAUACGUUCAAUUAUUUAUUUAUUUAUUUAUUUUUGUCCGAGCCAUUCAAUUCCUAAUUAUUUAGAUUUUCAAUCCAGUGAGCAUCCACAAUCAUGCUCUCUAUUUUUAAGUUAAAUUUUAGCUAAAAACAUAUAAAAGUUAUUUUAGGAGCUCUCUAUAAAAUUUAAACUUCAAUCGUUUUCUCUAGUUUAGGGAGUCAUAAAUGCCAUAACUCUUUUUUGAUUGGUCUAUCUCUAUUAAAAAAUAAAAUAAAAAAUAAUUAGCAUUAAAUAAAGAUUUGAAAUACUCAUUAAAUAAAGCAACAUUAAAUUAUAGGGAGCCACUAGGAGUCCUUUCUCUCUCCUCAAGUUUAGGAGCUCCUAGAGGUCUCCCUAUUUUAAGAGGUGGAUAGGGAGUAUGGUUGGAAUUGUAUUUUUACAAUUCCUCCCUAAAAUUUGUCUAAGGAGGUGGUUUAGGGAACCCAUUGUGGAUGCUCUCAUCUCAAAGAAAGAAAACCUCAAGUUUGCAAGCAAGUUUUCUACGUAUGUAUAUAUGAAAAAAUGAUAUGAAAAUAAUAAAUCCAUAUUUUUAUGUAAGCCAACUUUCUAAAUCCAUGUACUAUAUUUAUUAGGGAAAUAUUGGAGAAACUGAUUAUUUUGAAAAAUUAAAUGUGAAAAACUGAACAAAAAUUUGACAGGUUACAUAUUUCAACUCAUUCAGCAGCUUAGGUUGUGAAGACCUAAGCAACAAAUCUGCUACUGGGGUGUUGGGGUUUUCUACGUCAUGUGGAGCUUCAUUGCUGCAUCCUUCCACUUCCAUUAUGUGUUGUUCUGAUUCUAAGUGAUGAGGGUAUUAUUGGCACCAUAAUAAACAAAUCAUUUCAAGAUGGUUCCUUCAAAAAUUUAGAAAACAUGCAUCACGAAAUUUUUUAGAAAACAUGCAUCAUGAAAAAAUUACGUGAACAAUAUACUUACACCAUGGGAUCACUCCCACAUAUUGUAACACCCCGACUCCAAAUUAAAUGAUUAUUUUAAUCGAUUUUUAUAAAAUUACGAAUUUACCCUUGGGAUAGGGGUAACUUGGUCACUUUCUUCUUCGGAAGGAUUUUUGGACCAUGAGUGGUAUUUCUGGGUAGUUGGUACCGAGACGAAUUCGUAGACAUGCGGUAGGCUUGAAUCGGGGUUGUAACGAAAAAGUUACGGGCAAAAUAGUGUCAGUGGCAAACUUGUAAAUAUUUCGAAAAGGGUUAGGGUAAAAAUCAGAUUUUUCCAGUUUUACCUCACUUUCUCUCUCUUCCUCCCGAUUCUCUCUCUCUCUCCCGCGUCUCUCUUCCUUCUCCGAUCUGCAGAUCGCAGAGCCGCCGCCACAGGCCACGGCUAGCCCCGAGACCGGACCCAAAACGAUCGGCCAAACCUCGCCGACGUCCCCCGACCCAUCUCCAGCCGCCAGCCGCCGCCUCGUCGCCGGAAACCACGGAUUUCAGGCCGAUUCUUGUCUGAGCUUCCAGUCGAUCGUUCUCUCUCCUCCGAGCACUAUUUCAGACGGGUGAGGUAUGGUUUCUCAUCCAAUUUUUGAGUUCUAGCUGAUGAUGGUAUAGGUUUUCAUUGAUUUUGAGUCUAGAAAACCGAUUAGGAAUCUAGGUUUUGGGCCGAAUUUCAAAAUGAAAUUCUGGCCAGUUGCCGGCCGAAUUGGAGCUUCUCGUAGUUGAAUGAAGUGAUCCUGACCUCGAGUAGAAGCUAGAGUAGGAAGGGUGAGCUCGGGUGUGGAGUUUUUCCGUCACCGGAAUUACUCUGCACACCCACGCGCUGCCGGCGCGUGUGGCGGUGCGUGGGCGAGUCUGGUGAGGAUGUAAAUUGACCCGAUGAGAUCCUUAGGUUGUCACGAGCGCAUAGGAAUUCGCGGAUCUCGAUUCGGAUGUCGUUUGGCUAUUGAAACGGAUUUUCGCAUAUUGUGCGUUAUCCGGGUUCGAUAGGUUCCGACCGUUAGAUCUUUCCCAAAUUAAAAUAUGUUGUUCUAGGUAUUCCUAGGACCGUAUGGGACUUCACGAAUUCUGAAUCGGAGCCCCGGAUGUUCCGAUUCAAAAAUGCAAAGUUUGCGGGUUAGCGAUAACCGUAAAAUCGUGAACGCUUCCUAAACCUGUAAUCGGACCUUAGGGUACCAUCUUCGACGUGCACGUAUGGGAAUUUGGGGAGUUAAGCAUUUAAUUUGUAAUUUCCGCUUAGACGUGGUUUUUAUAUUAAUUAACGGUUCGUAUUUCGAAAUAGGUAUUUCGACUGCACGCACGCAGCAAGCAGGACCUUCACGUGGUCAGGCAGCGAGGGAAUACUUGUGAGUGGACUUUGUUUUAAUCAUAUGCCUGGUUUUAAUUAAUGAAAGAUUUUGCAUAAUGUUUUAAUGGCUUCUGGAUUUUAUGUAUUAUAUGCAUGAAUUAAUUUCAAUGGGUGUAUAGCAAUUGGCAAUAUAUUAUGAGUUUGGCCUUUUGGGUUUUGAGAGUGUAUUUCAUGUAUAGAUUGGGGAAGUAUAUUUUGAUAUAUAUAUAUUCUUUUAGAGGAGAUAUUUGGGUUGUUGGAGAGUGAUAUGGAAGAAUGUGAUUAGAGAGGAGUUGUGGGAUUACACUACGUAAGUACCUUCCCCGGUUACUAGUCUCACUCGCGGCGUUGGAUGUUCCGGCGGGUGAGACACUUUCCGUAUGCGGCGCUGGAUGUUCCGGCGUACGGAAAGACUGUGUAUAGAGUUUAGGGUCAUCACCAUGGCGUUGGAUGUUCCGGUGUGUGAUGAUCCAGUCUGCGCGCGUAGGACAUAGUUUGAGAGCUACACAUGGCGUUGGAUGUUCCGGUGUGGGAGCUUUGGAGUUUCGUCCCCCGGUUGGACCGCUCAUCCCUAAACGCAGGAUAGCACCUGGAAAUCCUGCGGACUAGUCAAACGAUCCCCCAGUUGGAUUGUUUUCCCCGGUACCUAAGUGGUGUGAUGAGUAUAUCAUAUAGCUAUUUAUAGUUAUUUAUAUAUAUAUAUUUAUGUGUAUAUUUAUUGAAUAUGUAUAGUUGAGUGUGAAAGGAAUUGGAGUUUGUUUAAUAGUUGAUAGGAGUGGUGAGUUUGAGAGAAUGGGGUUCUUUUUGAAAGAGAUAACUGAUGUUUUUAGAUGAGUUUUACUGAAGCAUAUUUUGAGUAAUUUCUUAUUGAAUUGUGAACCUGCAUGACUUGAGCAUUAUUUUACAUGGUGGGGUUACUAUGUUGUUUUUAACUGCAAACCUGGUUUUUGUCCACUCACAUGUUUUCUGUUUUGCGCCCCCCCAGCCAGUAGUUGCUCUUGGAAGUGCAAGUGGUGUACGAAGCGGAAUCGGUGCAUCUUUCUAAUUAGGAAUUGUGUAAAUUCUUCUACUCAACUGUUCUUGUAAUCUAAAUUCAGUAGAUGCUCUGUAUUUGCCAUGGUAGAUUUUACUUGUGAGGCCGGAGGCCACUCUAGUAUGACUUAUGUAUGUAUGAAAGCAUGCUGCUGGUUGGGAUUAGUAUUACUGUGUGUGCAGGUUGAAUAAAUUUUGUUGGGUUUGUUUAAAUUGCAGGGGAGACUCUGCCAAAAUUUUGGUAGAAAGUCUCGAUUAUUUAGUAGUGGGCCCGGCAUCAGGAUGAUGUCGGGAUCAAGACGGGGUCCGCCUCGGUCAACGGGAAAUUCCGGGGCGGGUCUUGUCACAUAUUUGAACACAUAACACGUGUUCAAGGUUAUAUAUUUCAUUACCUUCACAAUAGGUACCAAACCGUACCAUGGGAACAUUCAUAUACGCACAACAUACUUAUAACAUACUUACACUCGUGUAUAUUUGAACACAAGAAGACGUGUGCACCACCGUGCACGGUUCACAUGAAGUAAGAAGAUGAAGAGGAAAUAAAGAAGAAUACAAAAGAAAAUGGAGAUGAGAAGAAAAAAAAAACACGAAUAAUGAAAAAUGAGUUGACAAUUAUAUAUGGUUGACAUUAGAUGUAAUAUUAUAUGUAAUAACUAAUGAUCUAAAAUAAACAUUUAAUCUAUUCACUCGUUUCGUGUUUACUCCUGUGAUGGAAGGGCAAAGUUCCCCAUUGCCUUGAAAACCAUUGACUGGUCAACAAGACAACUUUCUUUGGUGUGCGAGCGUGCCACUACUAGCAAUAAAAAACAUAGCAGACUUCUUUGAAAUAUAUAACUUGCGUCCUAAGUUACUAAUUUCUAAACAAGCGAUCGUGAAUUUGGGUGAGGAAUAUCUCCCAAGUAAGUUCUUUUCUUGCCUCAGACUGGUGAGGACUUCACAAUUUAUCUUAGUACAAGAUUGGUAGUUUUGGCCAGAAUAAAUGAUAAUAAAGUGGACUUUUUUAGGCAGAACUGCCUUUUACAAAACUAGAAAGGAAAAGAUCAACUCUAGAAAGACAAAAAAAUGGCUGAAAUUCCAUUUCUGCCUGGAUAGAAGCUUCUGAUCCGGGCUGGACUGGGUAUGUUUGUUCUGGACUGAAUUGUCAACAACUUCAACUACUAAGCUUCAGCUGUAAAUCGAUACCAAAGUUUGAGUUUGGCAGAGUUUUAAUAUAUUUCAAGCCCUGGAAGGCUUUUCGAACGGGCAGAACUGCAACUUCUUUGGUCUGAACGGGGCAGAAGUGGCUGGACUUAAGGAUUACUAAGCCGGAACUGCACUAUGGUACCUGUUCUGCUUGAUCCGGGCUCUCUAUAAAUUUGUUGAGGUUUCCAUAUUUGUGAAAACUCAAACUCGGCUUGUCUUGGCUUUUGCUGAACCAAAUUUGUAACGCGAGAAGUCUCGUUUUGAAUGACUUAUUUAUCUGAGUAUGAACUUGGAAGUUCGAUCUAUAGCUGGCUUCUUUUGUGGCUCGAAUGAGUUUUUGGUUGCUCUAGUUUGUUUUGAAGGUUCUCAAUGAUCAAGUGAUCAUUUUGAGUUUUUGCCUUUGGUUGAUUUUUGAUUGUUUGAUUGAUUGUUGAAAAAUGAGUGUGUUUUGCUCUGUUCACCCUCUCCUAUAUUUAUAAGAAAUGCUUUGGAGUAGGGUUUCUAAUUUUUUAGAAAUCGGCGGCAGAUUUUCUCAAAAGAUCUUUCAUUUUUUAAAAUGUAAAGAAAUAGGGGUUUUAUCAAUUCUGGUAGAUAAGCUCUCAAUGGUCAGUUUCUUUAAGUCAAUCACUUCUCUGUUUUUUGAAAGAAAACUUAAUCCCUCUUUAAUUCCAACUGCCCCUUGUGAGAGCUCAAACUGUGAUGGUUAGUUUGAUUUUCCAGUUUAAACAACUUCCUGUUUCAUGCUUUAUCUUUUUUUAGAAAACACAGUCUGCGUAUCCUGAAAGAUGGUGCCUUCUUUGGAGUAUAAACAAUAUCUCUGAAUAUAUAAAAGGGUUUUGAUCUUCUGGUGGCAGAGAUUUCAGAGACAUCCCUUCUUUUCGCCUGCCUCUGUCAACUCUUUAUUAACCUAGUUGAAAUUGUUGACUUUCCUAAAUCAGAGAAAAAGAUUCACUUUGGUAUGUUUCCUUUUGGGCUCCUUCUUCUCUUUUAAUAUGCCCAAACCCUUUUGUUUUUCCUGGAGCCAUGAGCUGAUUGCUCUUUUUUUCUUUUUUCGAGGCCCAAGUUUAUUUGCAGAGUCCAGACUGCUUGGGCCCUGUGGUUUGUCUUUGUUGUUUUUGGGCUGGGUGUGUCAAAUUAGGCCCAAACAAAGUCAAACAAUAAUUAAAAGAUUUGACAAUAUAAAAAUAUAUUGAGAACAAAAAAAGGCAAAAACUUUUGAAAAAUGGAAACAAUAAAUAUGAAUUGAGUCAUCAACUCACCAAGGUAAGUUUGCUGAUGUGUAAAAAUAGUCAAUGGACUACAUCGAAAAAUAAUUGGCUUACAUCAAAAAUUAAAAUCACGUGGUUUAUUCUUAAGAAACCUUAAUAUUUUUGGGUUCAUAUAUUUUUUGUAUUUUAAAAAAAAAGAAAAAAAAAAUCUGACCAUGUAUGUAUGAUGAUGAUAUGCAUGUUAUUUUUAGACCUAAGGUAAAACAAACAAACUUUUUACUCCAUUUUUCGUGAGGUUUAUCAAAAGAAUUAAACUGUUAUAUCCUCCAUUUUAGAUUUCAUGCUUCCAUUUAAAGAAAAGAAUAUCAACAACAAAAAAAGAAUAAAGUUACAACAUUGAUCAAUUCAAAUGUCCAACUAUCGGAUCAUGAGCCUCUGCACUUAGAGACUACGCAUUUACCCGUAUUUCGUUAAAUUUAGACCAUUAUAAUAAUCUAACCCCUUAGAAUGGGACACAUCAUCAAGUUUUUUUUCCUUUCACUAAACAGAAGAGUUAAGUUUUAUUUGUGGGUAACUAAACUCUUGUUUAGAGCAUGUUUUUUAUUUAUUUUUCUUUGUUCUGUGUAAAUUAUAAUAGGUUAGAUUAUUAUUUGUGGGUGACUAAAAUCUUGUUUAACAAUAAUAGUUAACGUUUGUUUAGAGAAGAAAAAAAAUUUGAUGAUGUGUCAUGUUCUAAAGGGUUAGAUUAUUAUAAUGGCCUAGAUUUAGCGAACUGUAGAUAAACGCGCAGUGUCUUAAUGCAGAGGCUCGAGAUCCCCAACUAUCAUUGAAACAUAAGAAACUAAAAUCUUCAAGAAAAUGCUAUCAAUUGAAAAAACAAUAAUUAAAAAACAAAAAAAGGAAGGGAAUUCGCAGCUGCUAUGCAAAAAAGAGCAAGUCGGUUCAAUGAUUUUUUCUUCUUCUUCUUUUUGUUAUGGAAAUGAAAAGCUAAAUGAUGGGCUAUAUAUGGGAAGAAGCUCAAUGAUUGAAUUAAUAUCUUCUAUCUACAUUCUACCCUCUUCCUCGCUACAUACACAAAUGGUGCACGUACAUGGACAUGGGUUGACAUGAAUAAGAACAGCGACGCGUACUUGUUUUUAUUUUUGGUUCUUUAGAUCCAGUUGCACGUACCAAAGAAAGAAAACCACAGGUAUGCAAUGCAAGCUCUUUUCCCAUGUUUUCCUCUGUUUUCUCCUAUUUUUCUCUCUUUUUUAAAAAAAAAAAAAAAGAUAUACGGAAGUGAUUAAAAUACUCCUCUAACUAAGCUUGUUUUGCGUUCGGUGGCCGACUGUAAAAGCUCUGCUCAAACCUAACGUACUAGGUAUUUAUUUUAUUGCUCUGUUCAGACCUAGUGAUUAAAAUGCACUUGCGAUUUUGUGUUUCAAUUCCCUCUCCCCUAAUAUUGCUUGUAUAAAAAUAAAAACUUUUAAAAAGACAUUAAUAUUGUAUUCUAUAUUCUAUAAAGUGUUGGACAUGUUUUAUAUUGUUGACAACCCCCUAAUAUUUUGGUGGUGCCCAGUUAUAUUCAAUUCGUAUGUAUUUAAUUUGCCACUUACAUUCUUGCCUUAAUACAUUUAGGCUUAUUUUUAUACAAAUUUCUCUAACAUAACUUUUGCACAUUCUUUUAGUCUCUAAUAUAUAUAUAUAUAUAUAUAUACAGAGAGCUUCCAUUGAGGGAUCCCUCAAAUAAACUUAUUUGAGGGACACUCCUUGUAGGCCCCACUCCGAAUUGUAUUUCACUAAUACAAACCGUCUAUUUUGUAGAUACUCAUUCAAAGAUCAUCUCUACAAAAAAUCACUUGAAUCCGAUAUCAUUUGACCACUCAAUUAAGUUAUUGAAAUUUUAGCAUUUUCUUGAAGCACCGUGUUCAUUGAUUUUGUAAGACACAAUUGGAUGUCGAAACGGUUUCCGAUUUGUCUAAUUUUUUGUAAGGAUGAUCUAUGAAUGAAAACCUAAAAAAUAGGUAGUUUGGAUCAUUGAGAAAAAAAUUGUAUGGUACCUUAAAGGGCGUCCCUCAAAUAAAAUUAUUUGAGGGAUCCCUCAAUAGAAGGGGACUGUAUAUAUAUAUAUAUAUAUAUUUUCUAAUAAAUAAUCUUACCCAUUUGAGUUAUCAGCUAUUUUCUUUUAGCCCGGAAAAUCGACAUUUUGACAGAGAGUUGAAAAGAACUCCCCAAUUUUAAUGUCAGCCACUUGAAAAAAAAAACAUAAAUUUAAUGACAACAAUUACAUUUAGCAAUGCAACCUAAAAACUCAACCUUUGCGCCCCUUUCACAACGUAGAUAGCAGAGUAAGGAUAUUCGGAUAAGAACCAAGACAUAAGCCAGAGAAACUACGAUAGCCAACCAGGGCCUUCAUUUCUUACCAUCUGAACAAUGCCACCAUUUUGUUUGGUAAGUAUUUAAUAACAUUUCUUGCUCUUCAUAAAGUAAUAUUAAAACGAAAUUUGCCUAAAUUUUUCUUACCAACAAUGCAUACGAAAAAAAAAAAGGAAGAUUCACUAUUAUACUCAAUAUAGGAGCCCAAAUUAUUUAUAAUUAAAAAAAAAACCUUACAUGAAAUGGACUUUAGAAACACACUCAAAACCUAUUUACAACAAAACAAAGACUUUUAACUUCUUUUAAAUUACAAAACUAUCAUUGAUUUCUUAAACAAACCCAACCCCAAUACCUCAUAAAAAAACCCAAAAUACUUGAUAAAGCAUCAAAGUAAUUUAAUAAUCAAAAUUAAAUUCAAUAGGACCAGCAGUUAUUUUUUGGGUUUUUUUUGUUUGUUUAUAGAAAUUAAAUGGUGUAGGAUCUAUCUAUAUUAUUAGUGCUAAGAAUGGAUAUGUGACUAAAUAAUUCCAAAAAAAAAUUAUAAUAAAUCUACAAUUUUUCUUUUUAUAAAAAAAUUCUACAAAAAUUUAUUAGAUUAAUAGGCACUACUAGAAAAUCUCCAUAUAAGCCACUAAUACACCCAUGACAGUUGUCCAAGCGUAGUGUUGUCAUUCAAUAUUCCCCACAGCAACCAGCAUCCAAUAAAGGGUUGCCUCUCUGUAUGUAGCUAUUUGAGAAUAUAAAAGAAAUAUUUUUUAUUCAACAUGGACGCAGAAACUGUUGCUAAACUGCAAACUUCUUAAAAUAUUUAUCUAACUUUCUAGAUCCAUGUACUGAGAUUUAUUAGGGAAAUAUUGUAGAAACUGAUUAUUUUGAAAUAUUAAAUGUGAAAAACUGAACAAAAAUUUGAUGGGUUACAUAUUUCAACUCAUUUCAGCAGCUUAGAUUUUGAAGACCUCAGAAGAGGCUAUGCAAUGAGCCUAGCUAGUGCACUGUUGAUCACUUCAGUGUUUACCGAUCUGUAAUUUUUCCAGAUUGGUUAUAUUUUCCUUUACAUAUUCUUAUAUUUUCCCAGUUGGGGAGACUUAUAAAUAAGGGAAAUAGCCCUAAAUGCCACCAAUUUUAUAAUUUUUUGUCAAAAUACCACCCCUCCCCAAAAUUUUUAAAACUACCACCUAUAAAUACAUCUUUAUUGUAAAUUAAUUGCACCCAUAUCACUUUUUCAGAAAUUGGGUUCUCCCUCAACUCUCUUGGCUCUGUCUCUCUCUUUAGCCUAGCUCUCUCUCUCUCUCCGACAUAGUCAUCUUCCUCCCUCAGCCAUCCAAGCUUAACUCCACAGUUCACAUCCACGAGGUACUGUUCACGUUCCUUUUCUUAGAAAUUUGGGGUUUUUGUGAAUUUGGUUUAUGAUGUAUGGAUUUGUAUGAAAUUGGUUUAGGGGUUUCUUCCAAAUUGGUUUGGUAAGAAGGUGAUGUUGUUGUUGCUGUCACUGACAGACUAUUUUUCCUGGGUUGUGGUUGGUGGGUGUUACUGCGAAUGCUUACAAGGUUGCUGAUUCUCCUUCUAAGGUCUCUCUUUCUCUCUAUUUCUACAAAUUCUAAGGUUUUUUUUUUUUUUUGGGUUACUUUUUUUUUUUUUUUUAUUUCUUUUGCUAAUUGUAAUUGGGCCUUUGUUGCAGAGGUGGAUUUGUUUUGUGCCCAAAAGAUUGUGACUUUGUUGAAAGUUCGUAAAUAGAAAAGGCAGCUGCCCCCUGCGGCUUGGAACGCUCAAUUCGGAGGUAUUAUGCCUUGAAUUUUUACAAAAGAAGAAUUGAAACUACCUUAUAGAAGGCAAAACAAAAAUAUAUAAGAGGAAAAAAGGAGAAAAUUUAUCUAAUUUCCCUUUUUUUAGUUGUAUUUUUNNNNNNNNNNNNNNNNNNNNNNNNNNNNNNNNNNNNNNNNNNNNNNNNNNNNNNNNNNNNNNNNNNNNNNNNNNNNNNNNNNNNNNNNNNNNNNNNNNNNNNNNNNNNNNNNNNNNNNNNNNNNNNNNNNNNNNNNNNNNNNNNNNNNNNNNNNNNNNNNNNNNNNNNNNNNNNNNNNNNNNNNNNNNNNNNNNNNNNNNNNNNNNNNNNNNNNNNNNNNNNNNNNNNNNNNNNNNNNNNNNNNNNNNNNNNNNNNNNNNNNNNNNNNNNNNNNNNNNNNNNGGGGGAAGGGACACCCUAUUUCGUUACAGGGUUUAUUGACUGCAUUCUUCCUUGUUCUAGAAGACCUCCUCAGUUCCAUUGAGCCGACAAACCUUAUGAAGUUGAAUGUGAAGUGUUACCUUGCAUCUACAUGUUUCAUCUUUUAACUUUAUUUUCAUGUUUCACACUGAUGCUUGUAGUUAUUUCUAGUUUUGCAUACAGAUUAGCAAAUAGGUUAUGCAUUUACUGUUUAGUCAUCUAAUGAUUUGAUAUCUAAUAUUUAGGCAUAUGGGAAUUUAUAGAUGUACCGAUUAUGCAUACAUAUAGGUUUUGUGCUUGUAUUAGGAAGUUAGAUUCUUGUGGUUCCUCUUCAAUGGCAUGAAUUUAAAUUGUUGUGCUUCAUGAUUAGGGUCUGAAGAACAACCAUGUAGUAAGAAAGUUGGAGAAACGUCAACAGAUUUGCACCCUUGACCAACAUAUUGAAGAGUAAUUUGGUGGUGGUCGUCUAUUGGCUUGUAUCUCAUCACGACCUAGAUAGUGGCUGUGCUGAUGGGUAUGUGACUUUAUUUGCCUAUGUCUGUUUCUAGUCAGCCGAUAUGUCAUUGGCAUAUUAGUGUAGUUACCAUAUUGCAAGGGCUGAAAUCUGGAUGAUAACAGCUUCUUUUUAUUGUUGUUUUAAAGUGAAGUAUGUAUGGAUCUUAUGAAAUUUUUACAGAAAUAUAUUGGAGGGCAAAUAAUUUUAUUUUAGUUUUUUUAUUCCCAAAUGAUACCCAAAACAUGUAAGCUUCACACUAUGUUAAUUUCUGCAGGAUGGGAAAACAUUGGACAAUGAGUUGGAGGUUGUUAAGGGAAUGAAGCUAGACAUGGGCUACAUAUCCCCUUAUUUCAUCACCAACCAGAACAAUUAGAAAUGUGUAAGUUUUGGUUUGAUUCAGGGAUGACUAUGUCUUGAAACUGUUAGAGGGCUGCUUGUUAAAGUUAGUAGCACCUCAAGUCCCUUUUUUAUUGAUGCUGAUUAUCUUCAAACUUGUGUAUGUGCUGAUAGGAAUUGGAAAAUCCUCUAAUCAUAAUCCAUGAGAAGAAAAUCUCAAGUAUUAAUGCUGUGGUUAAAGUAUUGGAGUUGGUCUUGCAGGUUAUCAUUUCUCUGGUUAGGUUCACUAGUUUCUUCUUUUUUAUCAUGAAUUGGUUGACAAACUUUUGCUCUUUUUCAAAAGCAAAGGUCUUUGCAUUUUGUUAUAUCUUUCAGAACCAAAGUUAUAAAAGAAAAUGGUUUUCCUCUUUGUUAAUUGAGAAUCAUCUGCAGUUAUGAUUUCAGAUCUAUAGAUAACUUGUUGUUGCUGAUAUUGCUACACGGGAGGAGAAUAGAACAGCUUGAAAAAUGUGCAAGAAGAGAGAGCUAACUCAUACACCGAAGAACAAAUUGGUGAAGUUAAGAUCAAAUUAGUAGAAUUUGUGAGCUCUCCAUUAUUUAUAAUUAUAGGUAGGAAGUAUGUAUGUAAUAGAGUAAAGAUUGGUUGACUAUGUAAUAACAAUUGAAUUUUCAAGUUUUAUGAAAGAAAUAAUUUUUGAGCAUAUAUAUUUGUUAAUAAAGCAUUAUAAUUGGUUUUCUAGUUAAAAUCGUUGUAUAGAAUCGUAGGAAACAAAAACCUAAAUAUAACAGCUUGGGAACUUAUUAGACGACAGAUUUAAAGAUAAUAAAAUGUAGUCUGAAUUGUUAGGGUUCGGUGGCGAUUUAUUUUGCAUGUCUAAAUUGUAGUCUGUAAUAUAUGUGUGUGUAUUGUAUGUAGAUUGACUUAAUAUUGCUAUCCUAUUGCAUGCGUAUUGUACUAAUAUUGCCUUUGUAUUGCAUACAUAUUGUAUGCAUAUUGCCACCCUAUUGCAUGUAUAUUGUGAUGUUAUUGCUGUUGUAUUGCCGUUAUAUUGCCCUAAUAUUGCCUCUCUAGUGUAUGUAUAUUGGCCUAAUAUUGCCAUUAUAUUGUAUGUAUAUUGACUAUGACUCAUCAAUGGGUUUACGGUUUAGGCCCUACUUCAUUCAAAAAGAAGACGACGACGAGAAAGAAACAAUGUGCCUUUCAAAAACAAGCAGUCAGGUGCAUUAUAAUUGCACCGUAAGACAUUGUAAGAAAUUAUUUUAAAAGAUAAUAACAACUAAAAAAUAAUUUACCAAAAAAGGAAGGUAUGAAUAAAUAUGCAAAUGCUUCGUCAUGGGUUGAAGAAAAGGAUGAUUACAUUUGGUGGUUUGAUUAUGUUUGGUGAUAUGAUAUGUUGUUCGUCUGAAUCUUCAUAUAUGUAAUUGUUAUGUUAAUACUUGACACAAAUUCAUCUCGUAAUCAUCCAAUUAUUAAAGCUAAGUAAAUGAAAUGAAACAAAAGAAGAAGCCCAAAAUAAACAGAAACAGCAAUUUCUAGCACCCAUUUAUCGCUUCUGUAUUACCACUGUAUCACCAACGUAUCACCAGCUUAGCGUUGAUGACCAUUAGUUCAAACAUUAUGUGAUCUAAUAGGGAUAACUAAUUUUUGGAACAACUAAUGAAUCUUCAAAAAGAUAAAGAACAACUAGUAAACUAAUGUAUGCAGUUUAACUUUGCACGGGUCAUAGUGCUCAACAUGAUAUUUGGCAACCAUCUCUACACUUGGUGUAUAUUGCAGGCUUCUAUGCAUUCCAAACCUUCAUUCUUCUGUGAUAAAACUGUUAAAUUACCAAGAUUUCUAACACAUGGAAGUAAACAAACGAAUCUGCACAUUUAUUUGUACAUACACACUGCGUAUUGCACAUCUGCGCAUCUAUUAAUCACCACACCAAUGUUUCAAAGAUUGAUUCAGAGGGCAAAAUGAUUGAUUACAUAUUUCAAAUUAGUCAUCUGCUCAUAAGAACUUGGCCCUAAAACUGUACUAAUGGUAAAUAUACUGACAUAAUAGCUAUUAAUGAAAAAUUCUAAACAAACGAGGGACUUAUUUUUCUAAUAUUGUAGUGGAAGCAUGUUAAGUGAUUUUCCACAUUUGUUCAUGGGGGUAAAGUAUAUCUUACCCCUUUCUAAACAUUAUGAGGUUUCAAAUUUCAAUAACAACAGAAUGCUAAGCAGAAAAGUAGAAUUGCUACAUAAAUUACUUAGAAGGAACAAAGUCAAAACUAAUUUGACAAAUCUUAAGAAAGCUGUAUGCUUCACUAAGUCAACUAACAGAUUCCCAGUGCAGGAAAUGAAAUAUACCUAUAUCACAUAAAUUGCAAAGAAAACCACAGAGACUAAAUGUUAACAAUGGAUACAAAAAUGAGUAGAAUUCAGUGGAAACGAACACAUCGUUUCAAACAAGUAAAUUGUUAUAUGUCCAUAAAGAGCAACUAUGUUUAUAUAUGGAGGUGUACGAAAUAGUUCAACUUCAAAAUGGAAACAGUUUAUGUGCCAUGUAAGGCAAUGAACAUAUAACAAGGUGAGUCUUCAACAAAUUAAAAGUAGACAAUUAUUUUCAAACAAUCUGACAGCUGCCCGAGAAAACUGAGGGAGUUAAGGCAUGAGAUGCAAACAUGAUAAACACUGUUAAGCACUCGGACGAACCCAUGCUAUAAUACAAGCCAACAGACAAUCACCACCACCAAAUUGCUCUUCAAUAUGUUGGUCAAUGGUGCAAAUCUGUUGAUGCUUCUCCAACUUUCUUACUACAUGGUUGUUCUUCAGACCCUAAUCAUGAAGCACAACAAUUUAAAUUCAUGCCAUUGAAGAGGAACCACAAGAAUCUAACUUCCUAAUACAAGCGCAAAACCUAUAUGUAUGCAUAAUCGGUACAUCUAUAAAUUCCCACAUGCCUAAAUAUUAGAUAUCAAAUCAUUAGAUGACUAAACAGUAAAUGCAUAACCUAUUUGCUAAUCUGUAUGCAAAACUAGAAAUAACUACAAGCAUCAGUGUGAAACAUGAAAAUAAAGUUAAAAGAUGAAACAUGUAGAUGCAAGGUAACACUUCACAUUCAACUUCAUAAGGUUUGUCGGCUCAAUGGAAUUGAGGAGGUCUUCCAGAACAAGGAAGAAUGCAGUCAAUAAACCCUGUAACGAAAUAGGGUGUUCNNNNNNNNNNNNNNNNNNNNNNNNNNNNNNNNNNNNNNNNNNNNNNNNNNNNNNNNNNNNNNNNNNNNNNNNNNNNNNNNNNNNNNNNNNNNNNNNNNNNGAUAUGAAGAAACAAAAUGAAUCUCCCACAAGCCUAACAGGCUAAUACCAUUAACAAGGUCUGAAAUUGACUCUAUAUCAUGUACAUAUAUAUAUAUAUAAACUCCAUCUUUACAUAUUGGAACUACAUCAAUGUAAACCAACUAGAUCGACCCUGCAUCCUGAACACCACCCCCCCUCCCAAAAAAAAGACCGAGAAAAAAAAAAUACAACUAAAAAAAGGGAAAUUAGAUAAAUUUUCUCCUUUUUUCCUCUUAUAUAUUUUUGUUUUGCCUUCUAUAGGGUAGUUCCAAUUCUUCUUUUGUAAAAAUUCAAGGCAUAAUACCUCCGAAUUGAGCGUUCCAAGCCGCAGGGGGCAGCUGCCUUUUCCAUUUACGAACUUUCAACAAAGUCACAAUCUUUUGGGCACAAAACAAAUCCACCUCUGCAACAAAGGCCCAAUUACAAUUAGCAAAAGAAAUCAAAAAAAAGUAACCCAAAAAAAAAAAAAAAAAACCUUAGAAUUUGAAGAAAUAGAGAGAAAGAGAGACCUUAGAAGGAGAAUCAGCAACCUUGUAAGCAUUCGCAGUAACACCCACCAACCACAACCCAGGAAAAAUAGUCUGUCAGCGACAGCAAAAACAACAUCACCUUCCUAUCAAACCAAUUUGGAAGAAACCCCUAAACCAAUUUCAUACAAAUCCAUACACCAUAAACCAAAUUCACAAAAACCCCAAAUUUCUAAGAAAAGGAACGUGAACAGUACCUCGUGGAUGUGAACUGUGGAGUUAAGCUUGGAUGGCUGAGGGAGGAAGAUGACUAUGUCGGAGAGAGAGAGAGAGAGCUAGGCUAAAGAGAGAGACAGAGCCAAGAGAGUUGAGGGAGAACCCAAUUUCUGAAAAAGUGAUAUGGGUGCAAUUAAUUUACAAUAAAGAUGUAUUUAUAGGUGGUAGUUUUAAAAUUUUUGGGGAAGGGUGGUAUUUUGACAAAAAAUUAUAAAAUUGGUGGCUUUUAGGGCUAUUUCCCUAUAAAUAAACCCAAAAUGGGUACAGUAUCUAUACAGAAGGACAAAAUUAAAGUGUUUGGACAAUAAUGCCCCUAUUCAUUUUGGGAUUGCCUAAGGAAUCCUUUUCCUGAUUUUCAAUGAUGCCAAAGGACUGUUGUUUGAUGCUUGCCGUAUGGAGCUAAGAAAACUUGCUUUGUGUUAUAAAAAUAACCUGGAAUAUGUACGAAUAUUGAGCUGCACGAAAAGUAGAUGAAACACAGCAUUUAACGAGGUUCGGCUAUGCCUACGUCCUCGGAGAGCAACAGCAGUAACUUUUUCACUAUAUGAAAUAAUAGGGCUACAACUUUAGAGUUUACAAUAUGUGAGGCUCACUGAAUUUUCUCUCUCUUUCUUCUUCUCUCUUUUCUUUCUUCUUUUUCUCUUCUCCCCUUUCUUUCUUUUCUCCGUUGGUCACACUCCCCUUUACAAUUGGUAUGCCUAUUUAUAGGCUAAUGUUUAGGCAAAAUACAGGGAAGGGAAGGUUCCUGGAAGAUGCAAGGAAACUUCCUGAAUUGAUAAUGUCACACCCCGGACCGACUCCGCCGUAGCACGAUAUUGUCCGCUUUGGGCCCUCCUCUCACUGCCCGCACGGUUUUGUUUCUGGGAGCUCACGAAGCAACUUCCCAGGGUGGUCACCCAUCCUGGGAUUGCUCCAGCCUCCCACUCGCUUAACUUCGGAGUUCUUACAACUCCGAAGCCAAUGAGCUCCCAAAAGGCCUCGUGCUAGAUGGAUGCGGGUGUGCCAUAUAAGGCACAUCACCCCCCUCUCCGUUGGUUUGAUGUGGGAUCUUACAAUCCACCCCCCUUAAGGGUCCGACGUCCUCGUCGGCACACUCGCACCACACGGCAGAGUGGCUCUGAUACCAAAUUGUCACACCCCGGACCGACUCCGCCGUAGCACGAUAUUGUCCGCUUUGGGCCCUCCUCUCACUGCCCGCACGGUUUUGUUUCUGGGAGCUCACGAAGCAACUUCCCAGGGUGGUCACCCAUCCUGGGAUUGCUCCAGCCUCCCACUCGCUUAACUUCGGAGUUCUUACAACUCCGAAGCCAGUGAGCUCCCAAAAGGCCUCGUGCUAGAUGGAUGCGGGUGUGCCAUAUAAGGCACAUCACCCCCCUCUCCGUUGGUUUGAUGUGGGAUCUUACAGAUAAAUACAGGGAAGGAAAGUUCCUGGAAGAUGCAAGGAAACUUCCUGAAUUGAUAAAUACAGGGAAGGGAAAGUUCCUGGAAGAUGCAAGGAAACUUCCUCUGUGGGCUCCACCUUCAAACUUUUACAACACUCCCCCUUGGAGACCACAAAUGAUAUGAAAUAUGCCUCGUUAAAAACCUUGCCAGUAAAAACCCAGUGGGACAAAAACUGGUCGAAGGGAAAAAGAGUACAUAAUCACGUGUAACAUAAAAUUCUGUGUAUAUUGACGCGCGUGCGACACUGCCUCGUUAAAACCUUGCCAGGAAAAAUCUAGUGGGAUAAAAACCUGGACGAAGGAAAAAGAGUACAGUGUGUAAGGGUCUGUAUUGACAGCACGCUCCUCCUGAUGCUUGGCAAAAUAUCUUUAAGCCAUACUGUUGAUCAUCUGUCUGAAUAUCAUAGUUGACACUGCUGCUGUGAGUCAAUAGUGUAUGAAGGUCUUUAUUAAUACCAUGCUCCCCCUGAUGAAUAUCUCCCCCUGAAAACUUCAUGACUAGCUUUUUCCAGUAAGCGACCAUAGAGAUUUCCUGAGUCCGCAUAUCUUAGAACACUUGGGCUAUUUAUAAGUUCACUAAAAAAAUAUGCCCGUAUAUGGUGUUAUGCUUAGAUAGCAUCAAAUAUACCUCACAUCAUCCCAAAAUGAUGGUGAUGGAGUUGAGCCCUAUCUGGAAAAUAUGAUGUCCGGUCCAAUAUACUUCCGGAAAAUCAUUAAAGUGUCCAACGGAUAAUCCUCAUAAAAAUACUUUAAUACUUUCUUAGUAUAAGCAAGAAUCUCGUUGGCAUAAUGCUCGAUCGAGACAAAUAUUUCAUGAAUUCUGCAGAAACUUUAAUGUGUUGCAAUCACAUUAUAAUCAAUGUACUCACUGAGGUAAUUUAUGCAUAUUAAUAUUGAGUACAAAUUUUGUGCUUCAAGCACAUGUCCUUUAAGGACUUGCUUUAUGCAAUAUCAAUCCUCUCAACGGAUUUUGUCUAAAAGGGAUUAAGCUUUAUGACACAUUAUAUAGCUUUUACCCAGCUAUUUAUACAUCUUUAGGAAAUCGCUUCUGGCGAUAUGCUCCGUGCAUUCAAUAACCCUUAAAGAUAAUAUGUUGGUCUCCGUAAUUGUGUAAUAAGGGGGGGCACAAUUGAAUCUGUAAAUAUGGAGAAAACCCAACAUUCCUUGUUUCUGCCAGAAACAGUGUGUCAUACAAAGUAGGUAUAUUCCCUUUUAUUCCGAACACCCAAGUAUAACUUUCAGUAUUAACAAAUUUUGGGGUUCGUAUUGUGGGUUUGUUCUUUCACGUUCAUUCUCAUUUAUAAUGGAAUUACCUCGUUCCAUUUUGGCCAGUGAUAUUGUCGACAUUUAAUAAUUGAACGUGGUUCCAAUCAACACAGCCCAUUGAUGAUUUGAGUAGCUACUCCAAAACCAAAAAUUGUCAUUCAUCAAUUCAUGAUCCCACCAUUCUCAUGUGCAUGCACAUGCAUCAAUUAUAAGCAUUUCUUUGCUUUUUGGUACCCAAGCCACUUCAGGGGGCUUUUAUUAUGUGAGAAUGUGGAUUAUAACCUCCAUCGGAGCGUUAUUUAGUAGUAGGGCGUGGAUAAUCUCCAUUUAGAGAGUUGGAACAUUGAGAACCCAUAUAUCUGUCAUGCUGCAGGCAUGCCACAGAUUAAUACAUACAUGUCAAUUAAUUUCUGGGACUUUAACCCAUAUUAUGGGACUUUAACCCAUAUAAUUUGCUACGCAUUAGGCGUGCAUAAUAUCAAUAUUGACAUGUCAAAGGAUUGUCCUUUCGGGACUUCAAUUCAUAUCAUUUGCUACGCAACAGGCGUGCACCCAUAUUGAUCACUGCUAUACCCAUAUUCUGUUCUUAUGGGACUUUAAUCUGUGCAGUGUAUUAUCAAUGUAUCCAUCUUACAAUCUGUAAAAUUUGCAUUAAUAAUUCAUGGAUACAUACAAGCCAUUCUUUUGGAACAGACUUAUCUCCCAAUUUGGUUACCUUUCAAGAUAAAAUAUCAAAUAGGUAUAUAAGCAUAAAAUAACACAAGUAUUGCUUACAUCCUUAGGUGGGAGAAACUUUUCUCAAGUAUCAUUCAAGCUCAUAUCAGCCCAGUAAAUAUAAUGUAGCGCUUGAUGAUCUAGUUAUAUCCUGCAAGAGCAAAAAUCACAACUCUUUUGCCUCUGUCAAAACAAAUAACCCUCAUAGUUAGGAUUACUUCAUGGAUUCAUUCUUCAUAUGUUCAUUCUAAAGAAAUAAAAUCUCUUAUGAACAGAGAGUUAUAAAAAGAGAAAAAAUGCAAAAAUAAUGUGAUAUUGAUUGCAAGAGAAGGUAAGCAAUCAGGGAAGGAAGCUGGUGGGAGCAGACAAUAAGCUCUCAUAUCUCCUAGUCUAGAAGGACUCCCGGAGAUUAGACCAUAAGAUCGCCUUCACAGUUUCCUGAUGUAGUGGAAACGUGAUCAGGGAUAGUCUUGCUUCCUGAAUGGAUGAUCAGAGAUAGUCUUGCUUCUCAGGCAUAUUGAGUGCUCACUGAUAAGAAAAAUAAGUAGAUAUCUCAUCACUAAGUAUGGAGUAAACUGGAUGUCUUCUGCAAAGGAAAAUUUCGUUUAGUAACACAUUUAUACACAAAUACAAUGAAUAGGUAGAACCGGUAAAUUUCAAAUUAACCAUAGGAAAAUUGCGAGAUUCUCGGGAUACUUUUGAAAAAGUAGCUCCGUGAAAUCCGUAAAGCAAGAUCGGCUUUGAAAAUAAUACUUUGAAAAACGCCGAAAGUGCCGACAUGCAUUAUUAGAGGCCACGUGAAGUUUUGGACUCUGGGAAAGAAAAAGAUAAUAUGGGGAUUCGAGAAGACAUUGGGGUCCUGAAAAGUUGCCACAUUUUCGUCUAUAGAUAUUGCCUUUGCAAACUGCGUUUCAACUCAACUUCCUUCAUUUUCCGAACCUUUAGUUUUUCUAAGACUUUCUUCGAAACCUUCUUAAAAAAAUGGCUUCCUCUUCUUCCUGCCCAAAUUAUUUCAAUUUAAAUGAUGCUCCCACAACAACCAGUGACGCCCAAGUUUGGCGUCCAUCCUUUGUAUCCAAAAAUCGUCAUCUCACAGUUAAUGAUUCUGUGAUGAUGAAUGAUGCUACUGCUGUCAUAGUAGCUAGGAAUUUCAUUACUCCAAUGGAUGAAAUGUUGUUGACAGGGAGAUCAGAGGAAGAGGCUAUUGAUGAAUCAAUGGCUUUUAGCAUUCAGAGUGCUGUUUCUGUUUCUAACAUGGCUGAUCGUUUGCGUGCCAGAGCAAACGAAGUUGAGAAUUUAACAACUGAAAAUUCGUCUCUCCAAAGAAUGCUUCAUGAGUCUCAACAGGAGGUUGAGAAACUUAAAGGAGAGAAUAAUGCCUUGUUGAAACUGGUGAGUUCGUACUCUGUUGAUACAUUGAGAAGGCUAGACAUGCUGCAGGUCUCGAAUGAAAGAAUUUUGGGAGACUAUGAGAAGCUCAUGGCUAAGCUUAAGAGGCGCCGUCAUCUUCCUUCAGAGGCUUCCAGGACAUAAUGUAAUUUUUAUAGAUUUUACAGGGCCUGCACCUUCAUUGCAGGAAAAAAUCUAUCUGUUGUAUGCCCCUUUUCUGUUAUAAUAAUUGCGCAUAUUCUUAAACUUGCACCUGUGGUUUUUACGUCUUUUCAAAAUGACGAUUUGGAACCUUGUGCCUUAUAGGUUCAAAUAACCACAUUGUCUCUCCCAAAUUUCAUAUUUUAUCGCAUGGUAGCCCGGAACUUUUGGCCUGGGCACAAACUCAGAAUUUAUUUGCCCUUUUCAAAUGGACAUGAAAUAUGAAUUGAGUAAAAGCCAUGAUAAUAUCGCAAUAUAGUAGUGAAGAGCAUUAACUACUAUAUACCCACAACUUCAAGUUCAGGAUCUCUCAUAUAUUUGGAUCCAUGGGCUUCCGGCCCAAAUAUAACAAAAUAUGUGGGGAGCCUCAAUUCAUUAUUUGAGGUUUAUAUUAAUAUUAUGCAUUUCGCGGUGUAUUCUUAACAACCGGAAUUCACAAAAUAUAUUUCUUCCUUGAGGUGUCGAUUAUAACAAAAUCGAACUUUAUUAAAUUCAUCAUCUUCUUAUGCCAAAGAAAUAUGUGGCAUACCACAAUUUGCAAUAAUACCUCAAGGGUUGUCCAUUUAAUUGUUGGAACUUCAGGUUCUCAACACUGUUAAAUUUGGAACUUCAGGCCAAAGCCACAUAUUCUCAUGGUAUGGACAUUUUUACAAUUUUCUGUACAUAUUUCGGGACUUCAAGCCCUUACAUAACUGUCCAUAUUUUGAGGAACUUCUGGCAUCUCAUUUAAUUGCUCAUCCAUGAGUUUAAGGAACUGCAGGUUCCCUUUUGUAUAUAGUGACGGUUUACCCAAAAUGGUUAAUAUUUAUGCAUACAUCACUAUUCAUGUGAAUAGUACUAUUCAUCAAGUCAUGAAUACGUAUCUAUUCAUCUGCCAGUACAGUUAUCAUCAAUGUGUACGGCACUAUGAACCAAUACGGUACUGUUACAUCAUUAAGGAACUCUAGGUCCUUAUUUACAUGUCAGGGAUUAAGAACCUUUAAGUCCAAUCACAUGUUUACAAAUACAGUACCGGUGAGACUGCCAGCUCUCAUUUUAAUAUCAUCAUCAAGGAUCUUCAAGUCCUGAUGUAAUUGUAUGAUGAGGAUCAAGGAACUUCUGGUCCUGAUCUGCAUACUGGAAAAACUAAUCAUACAGCACAAUUAAUCCAUAAAAUAAAUUGCUGAUAAAUAAAUUACUGGUAUGGACGAUAAACCCGCACCACACUUUAAAUAAAUGUAAAUGUGCGGUAAAUUAAAUUCAUAAAGUUAAGGUGCUUGUAUGGGCAUUAAUUCUGCUCCAUACAUUUAAAUAAAAGUAAAGGCGUGGACGAUAAACCCGCACCACCCUUUUAAAUAAAUGUAAAUGUGCGGUAAAUUAAAUUCAUAAAUUAAAUUGCUUGCUGUAUGGACGUUAAUCCCGCACCAUACUUUAAAUAAAAUUAAAUGUGCGGUAAAGUAAAUUGUGCUUGUAUGAGCACUAAUUCUGCUCCAUACAUUUAAAUAAAAGCAAUGGCGUGGACGAUAAACCCGCACCACCCUUUUAAAUAAAUACUGUUGUAUGGGUAAUAAACCUACACCAUACAGUAAAUAAAAUAAAUAUGCGGUAAAAUAAAUUUGCGAUAAAGUAAAGGUGCAUGUAUGGGUAAUAAACCUACACCAUACAGUAAAUAAAUGUGGGGUUAAAACCACCACCGAAUAAAAUAAGAAAAAGUUAGUAUUAGUAACGGUCUCCUACUGAUAAUAUGUUUAGUAUUACCAAGGGUCCAUUUUUGUUAGUGGUUAGUAGUAUAGAUAAUAGUGCAGCAUAAAAAUUAUACCUGAGAGCUUCUCGUGCUGAUAACGUGUUAUAAAAAUAACCUGGAAUAUGUACGAAUAUUGAGCUGCACGAAAAGUAGAUGAGACACAACAUUUAACGAGGUUCGGCUAUGCCUACGUCCUCGGAGAGCAACAGCAGUAACUUUUUCACUAUAUGAAAUAAUAGGGCUACAACUUUAGAGUUUACAAUAUGUGAGGCUCACUGAAUUUUCUCUCUCUUUCUUCUUCUCUCUUUUCUUUCUUCUUUUUCUCUUCUUUUCUUUCUUCUUUUCUCUUCUUCUUCUCUCUUCUUUUUCUCUUCUCCCCUUUCUUUCUUUUCUCCGUUGGUCACACUCCCCUUUACAAUUGGUAUGCCUAUUUAUAGGCUAAUGUUUAGGCAAAAUACAGGGAAGGGAAGGUUCCUGGAAGAUGCAAGGAAACUUCCUGAAUUGAUAAAUACAGGGAAGGGAAAGUUCCUGGAAGAUGCAAUGAAACUUCCUCUGUGGGCUCCACCUUCAAACUUUUACAACACUUUGAUAGUUUUGGACAGAUGCAAGCUACUGUUGUUGGGAUGAUCUUUUCACGUGAAAUGAGGAUGACGAUACUUCUACACUACACAAUCCAACGAAUUCACAUUUCUAUUUCAGAUACAUGUAUAAACAGACAAGGCUUUAAAAUAUGGGAUGCUGCACUGUUGUUGCUGCUGCUGACACUGUUACUGUGUUGCUGCUACUGUUACUGCACUGCUGCUUGAAGAAGGACAAGGACUUCACUUGUUGCUUUCGUCCUUUGUGGAGGAGAGAGACCUAGGACUUGCAUGUCUUAGAUAUUUAAGACAAGGGGCUUUCGUGCCAUUUUGAAAAUACUUUGGGUGUUUUUGAAAGCUGCUUGUUUCUUUUGAGUUUCUCACUAAAUUUCGCUUUAGAAGGGAAAAUAAUAAUAAUAUUAAUAGUACAGCACUUAUUAGCAACAGAGUUACAAACUUCUUCUACAACACACACCAACAUGAAUCUAGCCCUGAUCCACUCUUUACAUACUUGAAAACAAAACAAAACACGAAAAACAAAAAACAAGAUAGGGAGAAAAUGGCUACGGAGAGACUUACUGCUAAUAGUUGAUCAAUAACAGAGAUAAUAGCGCACACUAUUUGUAUGACAGUGAGUAUCAGAAGAAUAAUAGCUGCAAAGAGAGAAAUAGCUGCCCAAGGUGUGUUGAAAUACUUUUGUCUCAAAUUUGCCUUCCAUAUGUUCGUGGUCUUCUCUCAGUAACUCGUUUAGUUUGCCAGCAAGAUCACCAAAAUAGUAGUUUCCGUGGUUCAGAGCAACUUUACUGCAAAGCUUGUUAAUCAUAAUGGAAACCUUAUUGUUGUCACCUUGCAUGUUUACAACAAUUCUAUUCUCAACAAGCAACUCUACAUCCUUUGGAGUGUUUACAAAUUUAUCCAGGAUGAAAACAUAAUAGCUUAUGUAUUUAUCCACGCAAUGGCAUUGUUCAAAGGCAAUGAGAUUUCUAAGUGUAAGCUCUGUGUAAUUAUGUAUUUCAAUUUUUGGAAUUUCCAAGGUGUUUUUCUUGAACUGUAUAUCGAAUAAGUUCUUGCUUGAUCCGGCCUGGUGUAGUUUUGUCAUGCUGGGUGUCCUUUGGAGCCCUACAUUUUCUUUUAGGGUCGGAUCUGGCAGAUGUAAAGUUCUAAUAAAAUCAACAAAAUGUAAAGGUUUUUUAGGAUCAGGAGGCAUAAAAGACUUACGGAAGGCUGGUGAGUUCUCCAAGUUUUCUAAACGCAGUGCCUGUUGGAAGAACCUGUAAGAGAGUUCAAUUAUUGAAGGCUCCCCAGUCUGAGCACCUGUGAGAUUGUAAAGAUCCUCGAGAAUGAAAAAUGGCAGCUGAUUUCCAAGCAUAAGCAUGUCAGGCAAUAUAUUUUGUAGCACCCAUGGUUUUUUAAAUAUCCAAGCAUUAUCAUCCUGCAAUUUUUCUUCCUGAAAUUUUUCUUCGGAUUUAUUCCUCAACAAUAGCUCAAUGACAAAGGCGGCAUCAACUCGAAUGAUAUUCACAAAAGCAGCAAUGUUAAACUUCUUAGUGUCUUCAUAAUAAUGACGGAGUUCAACUUCUCUCUCCUUUAUUUUCUCGAAAUAAUCCUUCAAUUUUACAUUAGUCCAAUCAAGAAAACACUUUAGGUACCUGAGUUUGUGAUCUUCCAUGGCUUCUAGGUUUUUGCUGCCAUGGUGAAGUGGGCCUAUUGAGACUACUUGUGGUGUGUAGGCCUUUUGUUUUACGUUCCGUAGUCGCUCAGGCACCCUUUAGAUACAACAGGCAGGGGACAGGGCACGCAAGUUUGUCAACUGAUUUUCCAUGGAAGUUGCUUGGUUUUCUAUGUCAAAAGAAGCUUCAUUGCUGCUUUCUUCCACUUUCUUCCUCCUCAUUAUGUGUUGUUCUGAUUGUAAGUGACGAGGAUGGUGAUGAUUCUAGACAACAUAAUCAACAAAUGUUUCAAUCAUAAUUGACAUUUCAAGAUGCUCCGACAAAGAAUUAGAAAACAUUCAUCACAAAAUGCGAACUCAUACAAUAGAUGGGUUGAUGAUAUAACCAUUAUUUCGUACAUUUUUAUUAUCUUUCUCUUAGAUUCUUGCUAUGGUUCUUGAGUGAGUUUAGUCCAUUUUUACUUAGUUUUGUGUUUUACUAGGUUUGAAGAGUAAAGAUGGAAAAGCAAGCAAAAGGUGCAAUUUUGGUAUUGAAAUAUAAUGUGAAAUCCUAGGAGCAGAAUGUGUUGUGCGGAUCGGACAACUUUACAGAACAUACUGUACUUCCUCAGAGCGAACCAGAUGUUGAACCUUAUAUCAUUGGAAAGAUACGGAUGUUCGCCUUCUGUAGAAUUUCGCGGUUCAUGAUUCGGACGUGUGUGGAGAGAGUUGUGGCCAUUUUAGUACGGACAGUUCGGGCAGAAUGUGUUCUGCGGGUUUUGCAAAAUAAUCCAUUUGAAGUCCAAUCCUUGGAGUUUAAUUUGUGUCAAUUACAUUUGGGAAGUGUCUACAAGGAUGUGGAGUUAUUUUCUGAAGUCUGACCCUUUAUUUAGUAGGAUUAUGGAUGCCAACUCAUCAAAGACAAUGAAGCCAAACUAGGAAAACAUAGUUACCAAGUCAAAAGAGGAUUUGUUCCUUAUUUAAAGAAGACCAGAAAAUAGGGUUCUCUCAUGCUGGAAUUUGAAGGAGAGUUAAAGAGCCGCUGCCAUCGUCAAGUUCUCAAGCAUCGUCAUAAUCCAUAAGUUCUAUUUUAUGUUUUCUAGUUUUUCAAUUAUGUUUUCUUUGAACAUGAGUAACUAAAUCAUUCUCUAGGGCAAGGAUGACGCCCGAGCAUGGAUAGUUAUGAUUUUUAAUGCUAUUUAAUGAAUUCCAAGUUUCUUUUAGAUGAAUGUUUAAUCACUAUUUUAAUUGUUGCUAUUUGUUUAAGUUCUUUGAUUGAUCACCUUAUGACAUGACCCGCCCCGAAUUUUUCGAAACACGAGACGAAUCUUGUGGAAUUCCCGACCACACCCCAAUGCCGGGCCCACUUACUAAAGACCGGGACUUUCUGCCGAAAUUUCGGCAGAGUCUCUCCUGUAAAUUGAACAUUUCCCACAAUUUCAACCUGCAUAAAACACAUUUUAUAUUACCCAACUGGCAGCAUGCACAAUGUAAUAACAUGCAAUUCACAUAAACGGCCUUUCGACCUUCCGAUAAUCCACAACAAACCACCAAGCACGCUAUCAAAUCAAUUCAUACCUUAAACAAGGCAAACAAUAAAUUCAAUCACACUUAAGAAUGUCAAAGCAAUCCACUACAUUUAAUUUUUCUCAACACCCAACAUACGAGGUUUUAACAUCCUAACACAAUCACAUCUAUGUCUGCGGUUGCACCUAAUAACCUUAGGCUGCCUAUGUACCCUCACUGAGAGAUCAAGCCACACGUAGUUCUUCCUACUAAAUUCCGAUUUCCAAACACAUACAAUACCUUUAAUCAUCUCUAUGAUAAUCACAUACUCUCCCCACACGCCGGAAAUUCCAACGCCACGUAUGGGGUCUGUCAUCACGCCGAAAAAUCCUACGCCUCGUGUGACCUAACCAUCAUAUCAUCUCCCCAUACGCCGAAAAUUAUAACGCCACGUACGGGGUCUGUCAUCCUGCCGGAAAAUCCUACGCCAUGGGUGACCUGACAAUCACAUAAUCUCCCCAUAUGCCAGAAAUUCCAACGCCACGUAUGGAGUCUGUCUCAACGCCGGAAAAUCCUACGCCACGCGAGACCUAACAAUCACAUAAUCUCCCCAUAUGCCAGAAAUUCCAACGCCACAUAUGGGGUCUGUCAGCACGCCGGAUAACCUACACCACGUAGGACCUAACAAUCAUAGCAUUUCCCCGUAUGCCAGAAAUUCCAACGCCACGUAUGGGGUUUGUCCUCAUGCCGGAUAACUUACGCCACGUGGGACCUAACAAUCACAUAAUCUUCCCAUAUGCCGGAAAUUCAACACCUCAUAUGGGGUCUGUCAGCACGCUGGAUAACCUACGCCACGUGUGACCUAACAAUCAUAGCAUAUCUCCAUACGCUGGAAAUUUCAACGCCACGUAUGGGGUCUGUCAUCAUGUUGGAUAACCUACGCCACGUAGGACCUAACAAUCACAAGGUGGUACUUAGGGUAGUGCGUAUAGCACUGACAGAAAAUCACAAAAGUAUCUUUCCUAUUCUAGAGAUUGGUCACAUGUAGUCCAACCAAUAGGAAAUGAGAUAUUUAAGAAAUGAAGAGUUUGAUCAAUAUCAAUAUCAAAUGAAUUCUUAUACGCCUAGUCAACUAUUAAGCGUAUCUUGACUUCUUGAUAUUGUGAUAUGAUUGAAACAUGAUUUCCAUGUUAGAAAAUUAAAGGGAUGUUAAAACAUGAAAGUAAUAGGAGAAUCAAAUUGAUUUGGGCCAAAAUUGCCUAAAAAGAAAACACUUCUAAAUACACUCAAUUCACUUUUAAAAACAGUAAAACAUGAUUGAAUCGUUCUUUAAAACAAUUCCCUAAUAUACAUGCAUGAUAAUGACAUCACUUACCUCUGAACCAAAUGCCUUUCACGGGUCAAGCCACAAGUCUGUGUUUUGGGGAUUGCUAAGCUGCAUCAAUCCUGCCAAUGUCAGUUCUGCCCCUAUGCUCUCUCAAAGCAUGUUUACAACCUAUGCUAACAUAUACUAGAGUUUAUGCUAGUAUCGAGAAAAUGCAAACACUAAUUUUGUAACACGUAGAAUUGUUAGAGAUUGGAAGUUUUUAUCAUUUUUUUCUUCCAGUCUCUCCACCACUCACUAAUACAGAUUACUCAUGUGAUAAAUUUACAAAACCUAUUUCUCUACUCUCACAAAGACUAUACUUCUUCUCAAAAGACUAUAUCACUUUACCUCUAUCUCUGUGAAAUGUAAAAAGUUGAAACUUUAAUGUCAAACCUCGACAAAAGAUGAAUUUCCAUCAGUUACGUUGAAUUUGGAUUUGUUGAACUUAAGCGAUUUUACUUUCUCUGUUAGUAUUUGAUGACUUAAUUUGGUAUUUACUUCUUCUUCUUUUUUUCCUUGGAAAUGUGUUCCACCAACGUGAGGAAGAAAAAUAUGCACAAAAUAAUAUAUUUAAUAGAAGCCCAAGAUUUCGGAAGCACAUAAUUUUUUCAAAAAUCUACAAAGUGUUCUACUUUACAAACUUCUUAUGUCUACCAAUUUCUACUAAAAUUAAUUUCUUUGCGGUGCUCAGAUUCAUCAUGUGUGUGUCCUCAAUUUUAGUGGAAAUUGGAAGUUUCCAUCAUUUUUGUUUUCUGGGAAUUUUCUGAACCAAGGAAAAUCAAGCAAAAUUAAUAAAGCAUAAAAUGAAAAGGGAAAAUAUCUAGAGGAUGCAUUGUAGGAUUGCUCAUGCCAAUAAUUGUACCCUCUAAAUAUAUUGGGACAUAUUUUUUUUUGUUUUCAUGACAUAUGGUCCUAAAAUUAUUGUUCCUAGCGGGCUCUCCACCCCUCUCAAUUGAAAACCUAUUGUGUAAAUCUUCAAUCCUGAACGAUGAACGAUGCACCUAAAACACAUGUUGCAAUACACAUCCACCCAUUCUCAGGCCAAUUAUUGUUCCUAGCGGGCUCUCCACCCCCUCUCAAAUUUAAGUGGUCCAUUAUGAUUAAUCAUGUAUUUUAUGGACCAUCCAGCUGUGAGGUUUUAUCUCAAAAACCUUCGGUACCUUUCUCCCACAUGCCACAAUGGUAUAUUCACAAUUACGUCUGAUACCUCACAUCAUGCCACUUGCCUCAAUUGAAUUUAAGUGGGUGGAGUGUUACUUCUGGGUACCCCUCAUCAUUCGUCUAUAAAAUGGUGAAGCCAGUUGCUACUGUUACCAUAAGAGCCAGCUCCGACUUUCUUUAAUUUCUUGUUUCGUAUCCACUAGCUACAUCUGUUGCCAAGUUAAUUUCAGUCCUAAUGGGGUUUCAUCUCCCACUCAUCUUUGCUAUUCUCAGUGUAAGCUCUGCAAUUUGAUUAAGAUUUCCAUUCUCUCUCAUUGUACUCUAUAUAAACGAAAGUUUUGUGUUCCUACAAUUCUCUCCGAUUUUAUUUAGUAUGUACUUAAGUGUCGUACGUCCACUAAUUAAUUACACUUUGUGAGAUUUGAUUUUAAUUAGAGUUCGAAUUAAUGUUGCAGCUAGCAGCAGUGGGAAACCAUGCUGCUCAACCAGCACCUCAACUUUACUGGAACUCCGUCCUGCCAAACACACAGAUGCCAAGAUCUAUCAGUGUACUUCUGCAUCCUGGUUUGUGUUGAGCACUUUAGAAUCUUAGAUAUCUUUUCUACCUGCCAUUUUACUAAAAUUUGUUCGACCACAUAUUUAUCAGUUAACUACUGUCAUUACAAAUCGGCUGAUCACUUAUUUUGCAUUAUGACGUUGAUAUAUAAUUUGCAGACUCCACAAAUGAAGAAAAGAGCACAUAUAUGAAUGCUGUUGGGAAUGGAAAGGGCAAACCUGAAAUUUUCCCAUUGGGCAUUAGACGUUACGUUCAAAAACGGUAUGGAGGGGGCAUUAGACGUUACAAUCAAGAACGGUAUGGAAAAGGUCCUCCUCCAUCUGACAAUCAACUACUCCAUUAUAAAGACUUGGCUAUUUUCUUCUUCGAGAAGGACAUGCGCCCUGGCGCAACAAUGAAGUUCCAAUUCCCUAGAAAUUCAAACACGGCUACUUUCCUGCCACGCGAAAGUGCUCAAUCGAUCCCCUUCUCCUCUAACAAACUAUCAGAAAUUUUCAACCAUUUUUCAGUGAAGCCAACAUCUGUGGAAGCCAAAACAAUUAAGCAAACAAUCCAAGAGUGUGAAGCUCCAGGCCUUAAGGGAGAGGAAAAAUAUUGCGCCACAUCUUUAGAAUCAAUGGUUGAUUUUAGCACUUCGAAGCUUGGAACAAGAAACGUUGAAGCAAUCUCGACGGAGGUAUUGGAAAGAGGAGCCACCAUGUCCAUGCACAACUAUACAACAAUGCCGGGACUGAAGAAGUUGGCAGGUGACAAAGUCGUUGUGUGUCAUAAGGAGAACUAUCCCUAUGCUGUGUUUUUCUGCCAUGCAAUAAAACAAACAGCAGCAUAUGUUCUCUCCCUGAAAGGCGAUGAUGGGGAGAAGGUUAAAGCAGUAACCAUCUGCCAUCUAGACACAUCAGAAUGGAACCCAGAGCAUUUGUCCUUCCAAAUCCUCAACGUUAAGCCCGGAACAAUUCCCAUCUGCCAUUUCAUUUCCACUGAUGGUAUUGUCUGGGUUCCAAAACACAAAUCUGCAUGAUCAUCACUUAGCACUGUACGUAUAAUAAGCUUGGUUGGGUUGCACCCUAGGCCUGUAUAAUUAACUCCCUACUUAUUUCUGCCUCUUUAGCACUGUACAUAUAUAGACUUCAACUUGUACUCGUAUAGCAUGCUGGAAAAAAAAAGGACCAAUAGGGAGAAAAUGGUGAACUAAGGAGAGACUAAUACUUCUGGUUCUUAGAAGGCAUAACAGAAAUAAUAGAGCACACUGCUUGAAUGCAAGUCAAUAUUGUUAGAAAAUUAGGAGAUUUACUUCCUAAUAUAUUAUGAUUCUAUUUAUUUCCUUUUGUAUUGAUAUUAUGUAAUUAGGACUUUAUCUUAGUUUCCUAGUAUAACCCUACUAGGGUUUGUACUCUUGUAUUAUAAAUACCUCCUUUUGGAGAAUGAAGUAUAAUCUGAAAAUAUUCUAUCCACUUUGUUUGACAUGGUAUCAGAGCAAACUUUUCUAGUGACCUGUGUGUUGUGCCAACCCGUAUUCUAGCCCCAUAUUUUUUCUCUACCUAUGCCGUGUGUGCCCCCCCUCUGGGUUUGUGGGUUGUGUUGUCGUGUUGGUGUCAUUCCUAUCUUCGUGCAUCUGCCGUAUUUGAGCCUUUGCUGUGUUCCGCUGUGUACUCUGUUGUGUUCAUACCUCUAUUGUGUUCGUGCCUGUCUUCGUGCAUCUGCUGUAUUUGUGUCUCUAUUGUGUUCCAUUGUACAAUCUGCCGUGAUCUGUUGAAUUUAUGAUGUAAUCAUAGGUGAUAACUCAUUUGUUGGUGUUGUUGUUGCUGUUUCUGGAAAUUUAUGUGAUUCAGACUCUAUUCCAUUUACUGGCUACAAUACUUAGAUAAUUGAUACUGGUACUUAUGAUCAUAUUGACAGGACUCGCCCCGAAUUUCCUGAAACCCGAGACGAAUUCUGUGGAAAUUCCUGACAUCACCCCGAUGUCGGGCCCACUUCUAAAACUAUAUCCUUUUUCCCCAAAAGGAAUAAAGGCAUAAGACUUUCUACCGAAAUUUCGGUAGAGUCUCCUAUGUAAAUUGAACAUUGCCCAAAAUUUUAACCUGCAUAAAACACAUUUUAUAUUACCCAACUGGCAGCAUGCAUAAAGUAAUAACAUGCAAUUCACAUAAACGGCCUUCGGCCUUCCGAUAAUUGGCAACAAACCACCAAGUACGCUAUCAAAUCAAUUUAUACCUUAAACAAGGCAAACAAUAAAUUCAAUCACACUUAAGAAUGUCAAAGCAAUCCACUACAUUUAAUUUUCUCAACAGCCAACAUACGAGGUUUUAACCUCCUAACACAAACACACUUCGUUCUCACUCAAAUAGCAGGACCAACUUCAAGGUCCGCAUCAUACUCAAUAAUACACAAGUAAAGUUUAAACCGCGGCUGCACCUAGGCACUACCCUAGGCUGCCUACGUACCCUUAUUGAGGGAUCAAGCCACACGUAGUUCUUCCUACUAAAUCCUGAUUUCCAAACACAUACAAUAAUACCUUUAUUCAUCUCUCUGUUAAUCACAUAAUCUUCCCAUACGCCGGAAAUUCCAACUCUACGUAUGGGGUCUGUCAUCACGCCGGAAAAUCCUACGCCACGUGUGACCUAACCAUCAUAUCAUCUCCCUAUACGUCAGAAAUUCCAACACCACGUAUGAGGUCUGUCAUCCAGUCGGAAAAUCCUACGCCACGGGUGACUUGACAAUCACAUAAUCUCUCCAUACACCAGAAAUUCCAACGCCACAUAUAGGGUCUGUCUCAAUGUCGGAAAAUCCUAUGCCACGCGAGACCUAACAAUCACAUAAUCUCCCCAUACGCUGGAAAUUCCAACGCCACGAAUGGAGUCUGUCUCAACGCUGGAAAAUCCUAUGCCACUCGAGACCUAACAAUCACAUAAUCUCCCCAUAUGCCGGAAAUUCCAACGCUACAUAUGGGGUCUGUCAGCAUGCCGGAUAACCUACGCCACGUGUGACUUAACAAUGAUAACAUCUCCCCAUACGCCGGAAAUUCCAACGCCACGUAUGAGGUCUGUCCUCACGCCGGAUAACCUACACCAUAUGGAACCUAACAAUCAUAGGGUGGUACUUAGGGUAGUGCGUAUAGCACUUCAAACCGACAUUCAAAACUCUAUUUAUACCUUUAUAAAUUUAUAUAAAAAUAUAUAUAUUAAGUUCUAAAGUUGUAUAAGCCUCAACCACAAUCUAGCAUCCGAUAAUCCCCCCCAAUUUAAAACAAUAAAUUAAUAUCAUAAACCCACAUAAUCAACAUAACUUAACAACGCUCAAGACCUGUCACUAGUGUCAUUGUAAUCCUCCUAGGAAGGUAAAACUACUUCGGAAGAGUCACGGUCAACUAAGGGUCAAACUACCCAAACUUGGUCAAAUGGGCCCACGGGCCCCACGACCUUCAAAUUCCGAUUCCAACCUACCGAAAUUUCUUAUGGGUUCUACAAGGUUUAGGACACUCGUCUUGCAAGUUUGGUCCAGAUCAGACGGUCGGAUCGCUCACGAUCGCACGAUCGGACGGUUACUAUAAACCUAGCCCUAGGGUUGGUAUUUUCGGAGUAUCCAGGACUCCGUUUUACGAUCCGUCGAAUCCUAUACGAUCUUGAGGAUGUCCAAACUAACAUAUAAUAAAUCUAUGACUAUCCAACGGCUCAAACCUAUUGAACCCAGAUAACGCACAAUAUGCGAAAUCUGUUCAAUAGUCAAACGACGUCCGAAUUGAGAUCCGCGAAAACCUACGCACUCGUGACAACUUGAGGACCUCAUUAGGACAAACUGUAGCUUCACCACCUUUGUCCACGCGCCUGCAGCGCAUGGGUGUGUAGAGUAAAUUCCGAUGAUGGAAAAACUCUACACCACCGCUCACCCUUCCUAUCCUAAAUACUACUCGAGGCAAGGAUCACUUCAUUCAACUACGGGGAGGUCCCAUUUGGACGGCAACUGGCCCAAAUUUCACUUUGAAAUCCGGCCAAAACCUAGGUUUUCAAAUCGGUUUUCUAGACAUCAAAUCGAUCCAAUCCUAUCCCAUAGACAGCUAGAGCUCAGAAAAUAGAUGACAAACCAUACCUCACCCGACGGAAUUGGUGGCUGGAGGAGAAAGAUUGAGCGAUGAGAAGUUCUGUCAAAACCGACUCGUUUUCGACUGAUUCCAGCGAGCACAGUUGACGAUGAUGGCUAAGACUAGUCGGGAAAAGACAAGGGAGAGGUGGUGAUUCGAACGGGACCGGUCUCGAGGCCAGUCGUUGACUGUGGAGGCUGCAAUAGCCUUGAAGGGUGGCGGCUGUAAAAACGAAGGGGAGGGGGGCUGUUCACGAUGGAGGAGAGAGAGAGAUAGAUAGAUAGAUAGAGAAAAAUCUGAAUUUUAUAAAAAUUCCAUUUUGAAAUAAUUACGAUUGUGCCACUGAGUUUCUUUUGACCGUAACUUCCUCGUUACAACUCCAAAUCAAGCCCACUAUGUAUCUAUGAACUCAUCUCGUCGAGCUCUACGCAACGGUAGAGCUGAAAUUCUCAAAUUUCUUCCUGAUCAAAAAGUCAACUUUAAACCCAAUAAAAUAUUCUAUGGGUAUAAUGGUCUUUUAUCUACAUAAAUUAAUAAUUUCCAAUUUAUUUAGGACCGGGUCGUUACACAUAUGACUUAUGAUGCUAUAUUUUUUUAUGAGUUGUCUAGUAAUACUCGUGACCCAUACAUAACUAGUGCUAAUGGCUUGCCCUAUCCAAUUACUGGCGAGGGCAUAAUCUCUCACUCCUACUCUGUCCUUGUCUCGUGUGUUACUCGUUCCCAAUAUCCAUUGUAACUUGUUGUUUGUUGGCCGAUUACUUGAUACACUUAAUGCUUAUGCUACUUUCUAUCCUACACAUUGCUCUUUUCAGGAUCUCAAGACUUGCGAGACGAUUGGGCAUAGUAAACGGAUAGGGGGCUUAUAUUAUUUGACAUUGUCUUCUGCACCAAUUCGUGGUUGUGUCAUUCAUACUGUUCAAAGUUGUAGUGUCAAGGACAAAUAACAAAUUUGGUUAUGGCAUCGUCGCUUGGGACACUCGUCGUUCGGCUAUCUUAAGCGUCUGUUUCCAUCUUUAUUCCGCUCUUGUGACGAGUCCAGUUUUAAGUGUGAGACAUGUAUUUUGGCCAAGAGUCAUCGCACUGUGUUUCUUUUAAGUGACAGUAAAGCUGCAAAACCUUUUGAUUUAGUAUAUUCGGAUGUAUAGGGACCUGCUCGUGUGACUUCUAAUGGUUUCUAUUGGUCUAUUACUUUUAUUGAUGACUGCACUCUCCCCAUAGUCCGGAAUUACCAACGCCACGUAUGGAGCCUGUACGCACGCCGAAAAAUCCUACGCCACGUGGGACCUCAUCAUCAUAUCACAUAGUCUCCCCAUACGCCGGAACUACUAAAGCCACGUAUGGGAUUCGUCUCAACGCCGGAAAAUCCUACGCCACGUGAGACCUUACAAUCACAGGAUGGUACUUACACAAUGUAAUCAAACCAUCUUUAUCUCUUUAAUAUAUAUAUAUAUAUUCCCAAUUUCCCCAAGUUUAAAACAAUAAACUAGUUCCUUAAACCCACUAAUUAACAUAACUCAACUAAUGAUCAAGACCUAUUGAAAGGACUCGCCCCGAAUUUUCUCAAAACCUGAGACGAACCCUUUGGAAGUCCUGACAUCACCUCGAUGCCAGGCCCACUUACUAAAAACCGAGACUUCCUGCCGAAAUUUCGGCAGAGUCUCCCCUAUAAUUUGGACAUUUUCCAAAAUUUAUACCUGCAUGAAAAUGCAUUUAAUAUUCCCAAUUGGCAGCAUGCACAAUAUAAUUUCAUGCAAUUCACAUAAAUGGCCUUCGGCUUUCCAAUAAUUCUUAACCAGUUACCAAACAAUUCAAAUACCAAUUAUGACUAACAUUUAGUCUACGGCUGCGCCUAAUAACCUUAGGCUGCCUACGUACCCUCCUUGAGGGAUCAAGCCACACGUAGUUCUUCCAUAAAACUCAAUUCCACACAUAGGUGAUACCUUAUUUCAUCUCUCUGUAUUUCACAUAAUCUCCCCAUACGCCGGUACAACCAACGCCACGUAUAGGGCCUGUCAACACGCCGGAUAACCUACGCCACGUGCGACCAUGCCAUACUAUCAUCAUAUCUCCCCAUACGCCGGUACAACCAAUACCACGUAUGGGGUCUGUCUCAACGCCGGAUAACCUACGCCACGCGAGACCUGCACAUCAUAUCACAUAACUCCCCAUACGCCGGUACAACCAACGCCACGUAUGGGGCCUGUCCCAACGCCGGAUAACCUACGCCACGCGGGACCUCAACAUCAUAUCACAAAUCUCCCUAUACGCCGGUACAACCAACGCCACGUAUGGGGUCUGUCGACACGCCGGAUAACCUACGCCACGUGCGACCUCAACACAAUAUCACAAUAGCUCCCCAUACGCCGGUACAACCAACGCCACGUAUGGGGCCUGUCUCAACGCCGGAUAACCUACGCCACGUGAGACCUAACUUUCACUUGGUGGUGCUUGUAGUGAAUCCAACAUCCAGGGAGGUACCUAAAGUAGUGCGUAUAGCACUCCAAACUGACAUUCUAGACUCUGUUGUACCCAUGUACAACCAUAUAUAAUUAUAGUUAUAUAAAUUAAUUCUAAUAUUGUGUAACCUUCCACAUUCAUCUAGCACCCGAUAAUCCCCCUUAGAAAGGUGAGAUUACUCCGGGAGACUCACGGUCAACCAAGGGUCAAACUACUCUAACUCUGGUCAACCGGACCUGCAGAACCCACGACCCCCAAUUUCCGAUCCGAAAGUCUCUAUGGGUUCUACCAGGUAUAGGACACUUGUCCUGCAAGUUUGGUUCAGAUCGGACGGUCGAAUUUCUCACGAUCGCACGAUCUGACAAUUAAUAUAAAAUAUAAACUUUAAAAUUAUUAAUCGAAACAUCCGGGGCUCCGAUUCACGAUCCGUGAAUUCCUACACGAUCCUAGAAUUACCUAGAUUAACAUAUAUUAAAUUUGGGACCAUCCGACGGUCCCAACCUGUCGAACCCGGAUAACGUACAAUAUACGAUCGUCCGUUCGAUAGUCAAACGACGUCCGAAUUGAGAUCCGCGAAAUCCUAUGCACUCGUGACAACCUAAGGAUCUCAUCGGAAUACAGUGCUACUUUUUCUACAGUGCCCAAAGCGAUAACGCUUCGCCGGAAAAUCUCAACAUCACGGCUCCAAAAUUCCUACUCUAGGUAUAACACCCUAUUUGGAGCCACUUUUGUUCUUGGACCUACCCCAAAAAGUGGCCGAAAAUGGCCGAUCACGGCAGCCGAAGUUUCGGCCGAUUUUCAAUUCGAAAAUCGAGUUGUCUACGCUAAGAAUCGAUCUAAUCCUACCCAACCAUCAGCUAGAGUAGCUCGAGAGGUUCAAAAUCCAUACCUGGGUCGACGGAAUUGGUGGCCGGAGGAGGGAGAUCGGCGGCUUUGAAGUUUGGACGACGUCGGCCGCUUCAUCUCCAGAUUCCGGCGAAUCCGCGGCGGCUGGCGGCGGGAGGUGGCUGGGGUAGGAAGAGGACGACGGCCCGGUCAUUUUGGUACCGGUCCCGUCGUCAUUGGUGGCCGGAGGAGAGCACGGCCGGCCAAAACGUGGCCGGCGGUCGUCGCGCGCGAGAGAGGAGAGAGAGAGAUCGCGCGGAGGAGAGAGAGAGAGAGAGAGAGAGAGAGAGAGAGAAAACCAGAUUUUUAUAAAAAAAAGUCCCAUUUUGAAAUAUUUACGAUGUGCCACUGGGCUUCUUUUGACCAUAUCUCUCUCGUUACAACUCCGAUUCAAGCCCACUACGUGUCUAUGAACUCGUCUCAGUACGACCUAUCCAAAAAUACAAGUCACGGUCCCAAACUCUCUCCGGUUAAAAAUAUGACUAAAAUACCCUUAAAUAAUGAAAUAAUUAAAUAAGGGUUAAAUUUGGGGUCGGGGUGUUACAUCUAUCACCAGGAUCAUUAUAAUCCUCCGAGGGAGGUGAAACUACCUCGGAAGACUCACGGUCAACCAAGGGUCAAACUACCCAAAUUUAGUCAAACGGGCCCACGAGACCCGCGACCUCCCGAUCUGAAAGUUCCUAUGUGUUCUACAAGGUUUAGGACACUCGUCAUGCAAGUUUGGUCCAGAUCGGACGAUCAGAUAGCUCACGAUCGGACGGUUAUUAUAAACAUAAACUUUAAGUUAUUAAAUCGGAACAUCCGGGGCAAAGAUUCACGAUCCGUGAAUUCCUACACGAUCCUAGAAUUGCCUAGAUUAACAUAUAUUAAUUUUAAGACUAUCCAACGGUCUGAACAUGUCAAACCCGGAUAACGCCUAAUAUGCGAUAUGCGAUAUCCGAUCGAUGAUCAAACAAUAAUCAAAUUCAAAUUCGAGCAUACCGUCACGCUCGAGACGACGAGAGGGUUAUUUUAGAACUCUAAGACAAGCCACCACAUGGCCCACGCGCUGACAGCGCGUGGUUGUCUAGAGAAAUUUCCAGCGGCGGGAAAAACUCCAAACCGCCAGCCAAGACUCCCAGGUUAGGUAAAUCACAUGUAGUGGAACAACUUUUGUUCUUGGACCUACCCCAAAAAGUCGACGGAAGUGGCCGUCGGAGGCCGAAACUGGCCUAAACUUCUAUCGCUUAAUUGACAACCAAAAUGCAGCAAUUGAUCCUAAAUAACCCAACCAGCAGCUAGAUCAGAUUGAGGGGAUGGAAAAGCAUACCUAGAUCGCAUGAUUUGGUUACCGAAAACGUCCGAACGAGCUUCCGAAAAAUCCGCAAAAAACCUUUCGGAUUUCUGCAAUUUCCGGCCAGCACCAGCAGUUCCAGCAGCUGAGGUUGGUCGGAAAAGGAAGAGGAGGUGGCAGCGGUUUGAACAGGUCCGGCCUCGUUGCCGGUGGUGAUCCGUGGUGGCAACUGUGGCUCUUGGAAGCCACGGCUGUGCAGAAAAAUGAAGGGGGAGGGGGCUGCGCGCGUGGGGAGAGAGAGAAAGUGAGAGAGAAUCAGAUUUAUCAAACCUUUUUUUGCCAAAAGUACGAGUAUGCCACUAAGGGUAAUUUGAUCGUAUCUUCUUCGUUACAACUCCGAUUCGAGCCCAUUACGUGUCUACGAACUCAUCUCGCUGUGCUUUACACAACGGUACGGUUGAAAUUCCCAAAUUCCUUCCCAGUCAAAAAGUCAACUUUAAACCUAAUAAAAUAUUCUAUGGGCAAAAUGGUAUUUUCUCUGAAUAAAUUAGUGUUUACUAAUUUAUUUAGGACCGGGUCGUUACAAUACCCAAAAAUUUCCUGUGUCAGAAUCAACACAUGGCAGCAGAGAAAGAAAGGGGAAUAGGACAAAAUAGUUGGUUAUCCAGCUGGAAAUCCUACAGAGCAAGGAUGACUAGUUAUACGAGAAACAGAUGACUAGUCAUCAUUUUAUGAAAUCAAUUUAAUGCAAUGUGAUGGAAUGCACAAUUUACCUUUGUCAAUUUGCUUGAACCUCUAUACGAUAGUUGUUAGUUAAGAACACCUAGAGAAACUAUUCUUAAUCUAAACUUGAGCUUGAUAAAAAUAAUAAAAAUCUUAUUACAAGAUUAUCAAGGAAAGUGUUGUGUCUACCCAAGUGCAAGUAGUCACACGUAGUAAUAAUCUUGGAAGUCCAAGUAUCGUAUCCUCAAGGAGCAGGUAGGCAAAUAUCUGCACACAAAGAAAUAAUUAAACAUACCACAAUAAAAGUGACAAGCAAAAUGGAAAAGUUAUUUAUUUGAUUGUUGUGAAAAUUGAAUUUAAAAAUGAAAUAUCAAUAAUGGAAAUGCUAAGGCAUCAAGGUUCAAUUCUUUAAACAAAAUAUGUUUCAUGCUCUUUACUCCAGAUUAUAACUCGAUUAAAAUCAUCAUCGAGAAACUUUAACCGGAAGAUAAAGAAAUUAAAACCAAUUUAAUUUUUCAAUGUAAUCUUUUAUUAAUGAUUGUUCAGAAAAUGGAAUUGCUUAAUAUCUACUCUUUUAAUUUAAAAGCAUGCCAAGUCAGUUCUUAACAAUGAGAAAAAUAAAAUUGAACUCAUGAAAAGGUAAUAGCACUUAACAUCAAUCAAAAUAAAAGGAUAUGAAAAUAUUGAACAACCAAAAAUAAAAGAAUUUAGCAAUUCAUACCGUAUAUUGGAUUAAAGAACAAUUCACAAACUUACUUAAAGAACAUUCCCUUUAGCCUUAGCUAGAGUUCUAGCAACUCAAUUACAAAGGAAAACAUAAACUAAAUGGAUAAAGAAAUCAGUCAUAGUGGUGCCCUUGCCAAAGAAGUUGAUGGGUAAUUUAUAGUGAAUGAGGUGAGUGGGAAGUUAAUACAUGGGUAAUGAAGGGUUUAAGUAAGGGAUUAAUUGGAUUAAACAUUGGUUGAUGGUGGAGAGUUAGUGGAAAAGAAAUAACGGUGAGGUAAAUAGGCGUUAAAUGGCUAUGAAUGACAUGAAAUAGGCUCUUUAGCUUCAACGGUUGUGUCUUCUCUUCUCCCUCUUUACUUCUCUUUAUAAUCACAAUAAUCCAACAAUCAAUUCUUCAAUAAAAUCCGCCAGCAAUUCUCUUCACACCUAGCUUGAACUUGGACAAAUGUAUGUCUUCAUCUUUUGGCUUUCUAACUUCCUACCGAAGAUAAAUUCACCUAAUAAGUUCACCAAAUUAAUAUAGAAAAUUCAUAAAUCCAGUUGAUGAGAAUAAAAUGUAACAAUAAGUGAAAUUAUAUUUAUUAAGUCAAAAUUAUAUCAUAAAGUCUCCAAAAUAAUAUUAAAAAUAUAUAAUUUAAGACUCUCAUCACAAAGCCAAAAGAAAAACUCAAAAUGCAUACAUUAACAGUUUUGCCAUAUUGAAUUAAUGUCUUCUAGCUAUGUACCUUAUCUUUUUGCCGGGCCAUGAGUUGAAUGUAGAGGCAGAGCAUGGACUUGGGUCAAGUUUGACUUGUAAAAUAAUUAGGAAUUGAAUGGCUCCUACGUUCAAUUAUUUUAUUAUUAUUAUUAUUUUUUGUCCGAGCCAUUCAAUUCCUAAUUAUUUAGAUUUUUGAUCUAGUUAGCAUCCACAAUCAUGCUCUCUAUUUUUUUUUUUUGGUCAUAAAUGCCAUAACUCUUUUUUUAUUGGUCCAUCUCUAUUAAAAAAUAAAAUAAAAAAUAGUUAGCAUUAAAUAAAGGUUUGAAAUUCUCAUUAAAUAAAGCAGCAUUAAAUUAUAGGGAGCAACUAGGAGUCAUUUCUCUCUCCUCAAGUUUAGGAGCUCCUACAGGUCUCCCUAUUUUAGGAGGUAGAUAGGGAGCAUUGUUGGAGUUGUAUUUUUACAAUUUCUCCCUAAAAUUUGUCUAAGGAUGUGGUUUAGGGAGCCCAUUGUGGAUGCUCUCAUCUCAAGGAAAGAAAACCCCAAGUUUGCAAGUAAUUUUUCUACGUAUGUAUAUAUGAAAAACUGACAUUUAUGAAAAUAAUAAACCCAUAUUUUUAUGUAAGCCAACUUUCUAAAUUCAUGUACUGAUAUUUAUUAGGGAAAUAUUGGAGAAACUGAUUAUUUUGAAAAAUUAAAUGUGAAAAACUGAACAAAAUUUUGACGGGUUACAUAUGUCAACUCAUUCAGCAGCUUAGGUUGUGAAGACCUAAGCAACAACCCUAGUGCACUGUCGAUCACUUCAGUGUCUACCGAUUUUCCUUUCCAUAUUGUUAGAUUAUUCCCUGCUGUAACACUUGCAUUUAGAAAAUAAUAGUACAGCUCUUAUUAGCAACAGUUUUACACACUUGCAUGAAUCUCACUAUGUUAAAGCAAUCACAUAGCACACCUUUAUUGAAAACAAAGCUAGCCCUGAUCCACUCCUUUACAUACUUAAAAACAAAACAAAACGAAAAAAAGAUAGGGAGAAAAUGGCUACGGACUUACUGCCGACAAAAAGAGAUAAUAGCGAACACUGUUUGUAUGACAGUGAGUAUGAGAAGAGUAACCGCUGCAAAGAGAGAAAAAGCUGCCCAGGCCCAGGGUGAGUUGAAAUACUUUUGGCUCAAAUAUGCCAACCAUCUGUUCCUGCACUUCUUGCAGUACUUGUUUAGAUUGUCAGCAAGACCACCAAAAUAGAAAUUUUGCUGGUCCGGAGCAACCCCCUUGCAAAGUUGGUUAAUCAUAGUAGAAACCUUAUUGUUGUCACCUAGUGUGUUUACAACAAUUUCACUCUCAACAAGUAAAUCUACAUCCCUUUUGGUUUUUACAAAUUUAUCCAGGAGGAAAACAUAAUCGCUUAAGUAAUUGUCUGUGCAAUGGCAUUGUUCAAAGGCAAUGAGAUUUCUGAGUAUAAGCUCUGUGUCAUCACGUAUUUCUAGUUUUGGAAUUUUCAGAGUUCCAUUAUGGAACUGUAUCGCGAAUAAGUCGUUGCUUGACUCCAGACGACUUGAUUCCGGACGAAACUUAACUCUGGCCUGGUGUAGUUUUGUCACGCUGGGUAUACAUGGGAGUUCUCCAGCUUCUGAGGUACCGGUAUCCAAAUAUUGCACAUGUAAAGUUCUAAUAAAAUCAACAAAAUGUAAAGGUGGUUCAGUCCCCUCCACUUCGUCUUCCGACCUCUGUAAACCCACUACCUUUUUGAAGAAAUGGUAAGAGAGCUUAAUCAUUGAAGGCCUCUCAGUCUCAGAAUUCUUAACUCUGACUUUGCUUGCAUCGAAAAGAUCCUCAAGAAUGAAAAAUGGCAGCUAAUUUUCGGGCAAAAGCAUGUCGGGCACUAUAUUUGUUAACAUUUAUGGUUUUUUAAAUAUCCAGUCAUUAUAUCGUCUCGCAAUUCUUGGAAAUGGUACCUCAACAAUAGCUCAAUGACAAAGGCAGCAUCAACUAGAAUGAUACUUACAAACUUGUCGCUACUCUUGAAGUGCUGAGCGUUUCCAUAACGACCACGGAGUUCAUCUUCUUGGGCCUUUAUUUUCUCUGCAUAAUCCUUCAAGCUAACCUUAUUAUUCCGAUGAAGAAAAUUUUGUAGGUACCUCGGUUUGUACUCUUCCAUGGCUUCUAAUUCUUUGUUGUCAUGGUGAAUUGGGCCUAUUGAGACUACUUCCGGGGUGUAAGCGUUAUUUCUGCCCCGUAGUCACGAAGGAACCCUGUAGAUACAGCACUCAUCAGAGGGCCUAUUGAGACAAACUAUCCAACCGCCGCUUCAAAUCUGCUACUGGGGUUUUGUGGUUUUCUACGCCAUGUGGAGCUCCAUUGCUGCAUCCUUCCACUUCUAUUAUGUGUUGUUCUGAUUGUAAGUGAUGAGGGUUAUUGGCACCAGGGGCGGAUCUAGCCCUUUUUUGGCUAGGCAGCCACCCAGUCGAGAAUUUUCAUAAAAACAAAAUAGGUACGUAUUGUUGUAAAUGUAUGAGUUGGUGGAUGACCACCAUACCUCUUAGCAUUCACCUUUUCUAAUUCUAUGUAACUAUACACUAAAUGCCAUAGUUAUGGACUUGUAACUUAUGAGUUGUUAAUGUUUUCUUACGUGUAAGCCUAUAAAUAAGAGGGCUAUCUUGGCAUAUGUGUUCGUCACUAACUAUAUAAUUUAAGUUGUUUUCAGUGACUAAUUUAAAUAAUUGUCAGAAAAUUUGGUCAUUAAAAAUUAAAAAAUAAGGGUCAAUUAUUUUAGUGACCAUGAAGUAUUAUUAGUCAUUAAAUUCAUUGUAUUUGUGACCAUUAUUUAUGUGGAAUUGGUCACUACUGACCUUUUUUCUUGUAGUGUACAUUCUUGCCUUAAUACAGUUAGGCUUAUUUUUAUACUAAUUUCUCUAACAUAACUUUUGCACAUUCUUUUUAUAUUAUAAUAAAUAAUCUUACCCAGUUGAGUUAUAAACCAUUUUCUUUUAGCACGGAAAAUCGACAUUUUGACAGAGAGUUGAAAAGCACUCCCCAAUUUUAAUGUCAACCACUUGGAAAAAAAAAACAUAAAUUUAAUGACAACAAUUACAUUUAGCAAUGCAACCUAAAAACUCAACCUUUGCGCUCCUUUCACCACGCAGAUAGCAGGGUGAGGAUAUUCGAAUAAGAACGAAGACAGAAGCUAAAGGAAUUGCGAUAGCUAACCAUAGUCUGCAUUUCUUACCAUCUGAACAAUGCCACCAUUUUGUUUGGUAAGUAUUUAAUAACAUUUCUUGCUCUACAUAAAGUAAUAUUAAAGCGAAAUUUCCCUAAAUUUUUCUUACCAACAAUCCAUACCCAAGAAAAGGGGAGAUUCACUAUUAUACUCAAUAUAGGAGCCCAACUUAUUUAUAAUAAUUAUAAAAAAAAACCCUCUAUGAAAUGGACUUUAGAAACACACCUAAAACCUAUUUACAACAAAACAAAAAGACUUUUAACUUUUUUUAAAUUACAAAACUGUCAUUGAUUUCUUAAACAAACCCAACCCCAAAACCUCAUAAAAAAGCCCAAAUACUCAAUAAAGCAGCAAAGUAAUUUAAUAAUAAAAAUUAAAUUCAAUAGAGUCAGCUGUUAUUUUUUGGGUUAUUUUUUAUUUGUUUAUAGAAAUUAAAGAGUGCUGCUAAAAGAACCCUAACAUUAACUAAAUACACCAAAUGAUCUAAGUACACCCUAAUAUUUUAAUUAAAAUACAAAAUUAACUAAGUACACCUUAUUUAACUACCAAAAUUACCCGUGUUACACCCUAAUACACUCUAUCACUGUUCACCCGUUUAGUUUUUGCUCCUGUGAUGGAAGGGUAAAGUUCCCCACUGCCUUGGAAACCAUUGACUGGUCAACAAGUCAGCUUUCUUUGCUAUGUGAGCGUGCCACUGUUAGCAAUGAAAAUCCUAACAGACUUCUUAAAAUGGAUACUUGCGCCCAAGUUACUGAUUUCUAAACAGUGAUUGUGAUUUGGGUGAGGAAUAUCUCCAAGUAAGUUCUUUUCCUGCAUCAGGCUGGUGAAGACUUUAUAAUUUUCACAGUAUAAAUUGGUAGUUCUUGCCAGAAUAGAUGAUAUAAAGUGGACGGUUUUUAGGCAGAACUGCGUUUUACAAAAUUAAGAAGGAAAAAUCAACUCUAAAAAGACAAAAAGAUGGCUGGAAUCCCACUUCUGCCUGGGUAGAAACUUCAGAUCCGGGCUGGACCGAAUACAUUCAUGAUGGACUGAGCUGUUAACAACUUCAAUUGCUUAGCUUUAGCUGUAAAUCGAUACCAAAGUUCAAUUUUGGCAGAGCUUUAAUCUACUUCAAGCCUUGGAAGGCUUUUGAGCGGGCAGAACUGCCGUCUCUUCUGGCUAAAAGAGGCAGAAAUGGCUGAAUUUGAGGUUUACUGAGCUGGAACUGCACUGUUGUACCUGUUCUGCUUGGUCAGGGCUUUCCAUAAAUUUGUUGAGGUUUUCAUAUUUGUGAAAAACUCAAACUCUGCUUGUUUUGGCUUUUGCUGAACCAAAUUUGUAACGAGAGAAGUCUUGUUUUGAAUGACUUUUCUCUAAGUUUGAGCUUUUGAAAUUCUAGGAGAGAGAGAGAGAGAGAGCUUUUGAUUGCUCCAGUUUGUUUGAAGGUUCUCAAUGAUCAAGUGAUCAUUUUGAGUUUUUGCCUUUAGCUUAUUUUUGGUUGUUUGUUUGAUUAUCCUUUGCUCUAUUCACCUUCUCCUAUAUUUAUAAGAAAUGCUUUGAAGUAGGGUUUCUUUCUUUUAAUAAUGGGCGGCCAAAAUUCUCAAAAGGUCUUUCAUUUUUUUAAAUACGAAGAAAAAGGGGUUUUCUCAAUUUUGGCAAAUAAGUUCUCAACAGUCAAUUCCAUUGAAAGAGAACCUGACUUUUCUUUAAUUCCCAACUGCCCUUGUGAGAGCUCAAUCGUGAUGGUCAGUUUGCUUCUCCAUUUUGAACAACUUCCUGUUUCCUGUUUAUCUUUUUAGAAAAUACAAUCUGGGUAUCCCUUGAAAGAUGGUGCCUUUUUUGGAGUAGAAACAAUGUCUCUAAAUAUAAAAGGGUUUUUUUUUUAUCUUUUGGUGGCAAAGAUUUCAAAGACGUCCCUUCUUUUCGCCUGCCUCUGUCAACUUUUUAUCAACCCAGUUGAAAUUGUUGACUUUCCUAAAUCAAAAAAAGAGAUUCACGUGGGUCUGUUCCUUUUGGCUCCUUCCUCUCUUUUAAUCAUGCCUAACCUCUUUUGAUUUUACUGGAGCCAUGGGCUGAUUGCUUCUCUUUUCGAGGCCCAAGUUUAUUUGCAGAGCCCAAACUGCUUGGGCCCUGUGGUUUUGUCUUUGUUGUUUUUGGGCUUUUUAGGCUGGACGUGCCAAAAUUAGGCCCAAACAAUGUCCCCUAAGUUUGAAUCGUUUCUAGAACGGUUCGAGAUUUAAUGAUUUUGGCCAUUAAUUCGUGCGCGCCAACUUCUUUCGUUUAAUGCACGUCUGCCUACCACGAGCUAGACUUCAUGGGAAACUGUUUUGUUACUAGCUAGUUACUUAGCUAGUUAUUAUCAUAUGGCGUCUCGUCUUCCUCUUCCCACGAUUUCAAGCCCCUUUUUUAAGAAAUUCGAAACUCCAACUUCUGUUUAUUUCAAAAACUAGCUUCUUUUUAGACCUCGACAAUUCUUAGUUUUCCCCAGAAUUCUCACUUUUUCUUCGACCAGACUCUGCCUUUCUUAUCAUUUCCUUUCCUAGUUCAACACUUCUGAUCAUGUCUUCUCCCAAGACUCGUGCUCAAGGUUGGUCCUCCUCAGUUCCUCCUAAUUACAUCACUGGGACUGGGAUUGACAAUCACGCGAUAGAGGUUAGAAGCAAACUGAUAGGACCCGCCCCGAAUUUUCCAAAACCCAAGGCGAAUCCUGUGAAAUUUCCGACAUCACCCCGAUGCCGGGCCCACUUACUAAACACCGAGACUUUCUGCCGAAAUUUCGGCAGAGUCUCCCCUAUAAAUUGGACAUUUCCCAAAAUUUCAACCUGCAUAAAAACACAUUUAAUAUUCCCAACGGGCAGCAUGCACAAAAUAAUUUCAUCCAAUUCACAUAACGGCCUUCGGCCUUUCAAUAAUUUUCAACAAACUACCAAGCACACUAACAAAUCAAUUCAUGCCUCAAACAAGGCAACCAAUAAAUUCAAAUAUGCAUUAUGACUACCAAAUUUCGACAUGCAUCAUUUUGCUUUUCCAAUCUCAAUAGAUGAGGUUUUAACCUCCUAACACAAUCACAUCUAUGUUCGCGGCUGCACCUAAUAACCUUAGGCUGCCUACGUACCCUCACUGAGGGAUCAAGACACACGUAGUUCUUCCUUAAACCCAAUUCCACACAUAGGCAAUACCUUUAUUCAUUUCUCUGUAUUUCACAUAAUCUCCUCAUACGCCUGUACUACCAACGCCACGUAUGGGGUCUGUCAACACACUGGGUAACCUACGCCACGUGCGACCUCACCAUAUUAUCACAUAAUCUCCCCAUACGCCUGUACUACCAACGCCACGUAUGGGGCCUAUCGACACGUUGGAUAACCUAUGCCACGUGCGACCUCAACAUAAUAUCACAUAAUCUCCCCAUACGUCAAUACAACCAACGCCACGUAUGGGGUCUGUCUCAACGCCGGAUAACCUACGCCACGCGAGACCUGAACAUCAUAUCACAAUAGCUUGCCAUACGCUGGUACAACCAACGCCACAUAUGGGAUCUGUCGACACGCCGGAUAACCUACCCCACGUACGACCUCAAUAUAAUAUCACAUAAUCUCCCCAUACGCCGGUACAACCAACGCCACGUAUGGGGUCUGUGUUAAAGCCGGAUAACCUACGCCACGCGAGACCUGAACAUCAUAUCACAAUAUCUCUCCAUACUCCAGUACAACCAACGCCACGUAUGGGGUAUGUGGACACGCCGGAUAACCUACGCCACGUGCGACCUCGAUAUAUUGUCAGGUAAUCUCCCCAUAUGCCGGUACUAUCAAUGCCACGUAUGGGACCUGUCCGCAAGCCGGAUAACCUACGCCACGUGGGACCUAACUUUCACAGGGUGGUACUUGUAGUGUAACCAAAAUCCGGAAAGGUGCCUAGGGUAGUGCGUAUAGCACUUCAAACUGACAUUCUAGACUCUUUAUACCUUUACAAACAUAUAUAAACAUAUAUAAUUUAAUUCUAAUUGUGUAAACCUCAACAAUAGUCUAGCACCCAAUAAUCCCCCUAGGAAGGUGAGACUACUCCGAAAGACUCACGGUCGACCAAGGGUCAAACUACCCUAACAUUGGUCAAACAGGCCCACGGGGCCCACGACCUCCAAAUUCUGAUCCGAAAGUUCCUAUGAGUUCUCCGAGUUAUAGGACACUCGUCCUGCAAGUUUAGUCCAGAUCGGACGAUCAGAUCGCUCACGAUCGCACGAUCUGACGGUUAAUAUAAAACAUAAACUUUAAAUUAAUAAAUCAAAACAUCCGGCACUCCGAUUCACGAUCCGUGAAUUCCUACACGAUCCUAGAAAUACCUAGAUUAACAUAUAUUAAAUUCAAGACCAUCCAACGGUCCCAACCUAUCGAACCCAGAUAACGCGCAAUAGGCGGUAUCCGUUCGAUAUUUCCCUUUAAUAAUUUAAAUAAGGGAUUUAAUUUGGAGUCGGGGUGUUACAAUCUACCCUCCUUAUAAAAAUUUCAUCCUCGAAAUUUCAUACCUGCUAGAAGAGGAAUCUGCCAGAACUGACUUUAGGAAGAAGUUCCUGAGUGUCACUCUGCCAAGAGAUCUGCCCCACGGAGGUGGGAAGCCUCCAAACUAUCAUUUGGGAGCAGAAGUCUAUCAUCGCAACUUCUGUGCAAGGCAACUUGGCUGCCCCAGCUUAUUCCACUAAAAUCAUACAGAAGCUGCAAUCGGGCCACUUCCUUGAGAGAUGCGGAUGAUCUGGAAGUGCACAAAGAUGCUAGAUGUGCAGUAAACAAGAUAAAUAACAGCGCAGAUGCCCUCUAUCCAGCCUGGGAACUGAACUCCUGCAGUUCUGCCGAUUUUGACGCUUGGUGGAAAUCCAGGUUUCAUGGUCUGCCAGCCUCCAUUGCUGCACUCAAGGUGAUUUUUGAGGGCUGGGACUCCUGGACUGUCUACGCGGAGGUGGAUGCCAAGAACUUCAUGGUGCAGACCAUCAAAGACAUUAAUGCCCAGGGUAUAGAAGGUAACUUUCAAUUCUGUCUGUCUUGCCUAUUCUGUCUCUUAGUGAUGAUGCCUAACAGUUUUGUUCUGUAUAUAUCAGACCCUUAUUUGACAGAAAACAUAGGUGGACAGUCUGUCCAAGCUGGAGAUGUGAUUGGUAAGUUUUUCACUAUUCUGUUCCUUUCAUUAUUUUCUUGCUUGAUUGACUUCUGACUUUGUCUAUUUCUUGUGUAGUCAUUGCUGUCAUUGCUGCUGGGACUUGGAGCUUCCCUCUGGAGAUGAAGAGGAUCUAGCUGCUGAGGCUAUUCCUUUUGGCAGAACAUCCAGCUGCUGAGGCCAUUCUUUCUAGCAGAAGGAAGAGAAAGGAAAUUUCUUCUGCCCAGCACAGUGCUGCUCAGCCUGCGACUUCAGGUAAGUUCUGACAGUUUGAGCUUUUCGUAAUUCUAUUUUGUCCUAUUCUGCCUUAUGUUCUAAUGGUUUAUUGUCUGCUUAUUGUAGCUGAAAGUUCCUCUCCUCCUCCUACUAAGUCAAAAAGACUUAAAAAGAGGACUGUGGUGGAAUAUAUGGCCAUGGAGGAGUCUGCAGCAGUUCCCACCAACACUUCUGGGACGGAUGAAGAGCUGAGAGAGGCCUUCAAGACAGUGGAAUAGGAGAAAGAGCUAGAAGAAACAGAAGAAGAACCUCAAGAAAAGGCAAAAGAAAUGGAAGAAAAUGUGAGUAUUGUUUUCUGGCUAUGUCAGCUUUUCUUUUGUUUCUUCAUUUCCUCUGUUCUGACUUCUGUCUAUGUAUAGAAGGAAAUCCCCGCUGAAGUGAUUGCAUAGAGCAUUGCUUUGGCGCAGAGGCAGCAGGAGAAUCAAAGGGCAGAGCUGACCAGCUCGGAGUUGGCCCUUUUUGAAGACGCAGAGGCAGAACACUCAACUGUUGUUCCAGCAGCUGAGGAGCAGGUGGAGCAGUCUGCAUCAGAGCCUGUGGAGCGAGCAGAACUACCUGUUGCAGUCCCAGCACCUGGAGUGGAAGUGGCUGCUGUUGUUCCCGAAGUUGUGGUAAUUUUUAUUCUACUUCUGUCCACCUGUUUCCUGCAAUUCUGUUCUGUCUGUGCUUCCUUAUCUAUUAGUCUUUUCAGGUAGAAGUGCCUAGGCCUGCUGGGGUUUUGGCAGUGGUGACCAGCCCCUUGAAGCCUCUCAUCGUUGCUGUAAGUGUUAAUGCAUUCCUGGGCUUUUUCUUUUCUGUCUCUGCCUAGUUCCUACUCUUGUUCUUUUCUGCAUAUGCCUAUCCAUUCCCUUCCAAGUUCAUCUGCCACAGCUUCCUAUGCUGAUUCGGAGCUGGCAGAAUUUGAGGCUCUGGAUCUGAACGCCCAGCUAGACAAGCUGAACCCUAAACCCUUGAGAAACUCAGCUCCACUCCUUGCAAGGCAAAGUCCAAGGCAGUGGAGGAGGCUAUGGAGAGACUGAAGAUCUGGCAAUCAACUGAUCUGGAGCUGGAUAAGGACAGGGAAGCUGUUGACCAAUUGAUGAAGGAUCUGGACCUUCUGCACAGACAGAACAUGGCCCCCAAACCCAUACUUGAGAUGAGCCUUGGCUUGGGAAGAGAUGUGCUCAACCUCCACGACCGUUACGAGGAUCUCAAGCCCACCUUCAAGACCUCUGAGUUCUGCAAAGCCACCCAUAAAGCCAACUUGGCUGACUAUGCAAAGCAGAAGGCAGAACUGGACCAGAUGGUUGCAGGAUACAAGGAAGCCAAAGCCACUAUAGACAAGUUGGAGAAGCAGAUUGAAGAGCUUCAAAAACAAUUGGCAGAGUGCAGAGAGGUGCAGAGCAGGCUCGGGGCUAGACUGAGCUCUAAGACCAAGGCCACCUUCCUUGUGUAGAAUAUGGUUUCAGCUUCUAGGCCAGCUUUGGAAAUUGCAGAGGCUUCAAUCCACCAGGGGUGCUACUUCAGAAGGAACUCUCCAUUAAAAAGGCCAACUUGCAAGAAACCCUUAGGAAAUUAGGGUUUUAGAUUCUAGUUUUUUUUUAAAGAAAUGUAAUAAAUAAUUUAGCCAUAAAAAGUGGCUAUAUUUAAAUAAAAGUUCAUUUAUUUUUGUGGGAAUUCCAAAUUCUUUCGACAAAAAGAAAAGAGAGAAAAAGUAAUUUAAAGCAUACUUAACAAAUUACAACGAAAAUGAAAGUGAUCAGAAAUUCAAACAACAGUUUUAUCUUGCUGUCUCUCUAUUCCGGGAUCUGUCUGUACCGCCUGUGAAUCCCACAUAGUUGGAUAGAACUUUUUUAACCAUUUGUCAUUAAUUGGUGCAGUAUGGACAUCUCCAUCUCGAUCAUGUAAUCUGUAUGCCCCCAUUCCAAGGAUCUGAUUAAUUAUGAAAGGACCUUCCCAUGUAGGUGACCAUUUUCCAUAACCAUCUAUAUGCGUUCCAAGGGGCAGAACUGCUUUCUAGACUAUUUCCCCCUCUUCAAAACUCUUGUUCUUGACUCUUUUGUUGUAAGCCCUUGAUACAGCUUCCUUUCCUGCUAAGAGUUUGUUGAGGGUAUCGAUCCUGCUUGUAUCCAAUCCUUCCAGUUCUAGCAUCAUAGCUUGAGAGUAGUCUUCUCCAACCAAACUGUGUUGAUGAGCAAUUCUGAGGGAUUGGACUGCUAUCUCCAUAGGCAGAAUUGCAUCGUGGCCAUAGGUGGUCAUGCCAGUUGCUUCUCUUCUUGAAGUUCUAUAUGCCCACAGAGUUUCUGACAACUUCUCAUGCUACUAUUUUGGAUUUUUCUCAAGCAUUUUUCUGAUAAUGUUGAUGAUCACCUUGUUACUUGAUUCUGCCUGCCCAUUAGCUUGGGCAUAAUAAGGGGUGGAUUGAAGCAGUUUGAAUUUAAAUGCUCCUGCCAUUUCCAACAUUUCUCCAGAUAUGAAAGAAGAUCCCCUAUCAGUUGUGAUUGAUUCUGGAAUGCCAAACCUUUGUAUAAUCUGCUCUUCUAUGAAAGUGAUGAUUUCUUGAGAUGCUGUGGACUUAACAGGCUUGGCUUCCACCCAUUUGGUAAAAUAAUCUGUAGCUACAAUAAUAAAACAGUGUUGUUUGCUACUGGCUGGAUAAAUCUUACCAAUGAGAUCCAUUGCCCAUCCUCUGAAAGGCCAUAGUUUUACUACUAGAUUCAUGGGAACUGAAAGAGCCUGCUGGAUUAGCCGAGCCAUUUCCUUUUAUGCUACCGAUUUCUUUUAUGCUACUGAGCCGGGCAAAACCAAUAAAAUAAAGAAAGGCAACGAAUUUAUUAACCGAGUAUAAAGGAGAGAGAGGGAUUCGAACCCUCGAUAGUUCUUUGUUUCGAACUAUACCGGUUUUCAAGACCGGAGCUAUCAACAACUCGGCCAUCUCUCCGAAAUAAAAUUUAUAUUUUAUUCCACCUAAUAGAACAUGGACAUAUGAGUUGAUACGAUUACUAUCUAUAGAAAGAUAUCAGGUGUGAGUCUAUAGGUCUAUCUAUCUGUAUAUAUAUAUAUAAUAUAGAUGCAUGAUCCAGCAAGCAUGCCCCUGAAGUUGACUUACGCUCAAAUGUAGAAGAAUCAGCCAUGGCAAAUAGGUAGCUGAAUUGCAGCGGAAUAGAUGAGCAACGGUGUCACUCCCCCUCAUAUCCAACGAUGUAUAAGAGUCGAGAUUUGGAGAAAGCAAUACCGAAAAAUAAAGUUGCAGAACUCAAAUAAAGUUGCAUCUAUCUCCCCAUCAAAUCCGACACUGGUAAAGGGUCGAGAUUUGAAAGAGGAGAAAUUGAAAUAAUAGUAAAGAGACUCAAACAUGCAGUCUCAUGGCAGAAACAAAUGCAAGAGGGGAAGAUGGUAGCAUACGGUUGUCCCAUGAAGAAAAAACUUUAGAAAAGGAGAAUAGUAAGGGAGGAAACCCAGCAAAUCAUGAACAGAGACAAAGACAAAGAUAAGGUACUCAAACUGAGAAGCGGAAAGGCAACUCAAGAGAGCAACCGAAGAAGACAGAGGCCCGCAGAACAGUCAAAGGAAAGGCUCGGCGAGUGGUGACGAUGCUCGCGGAGGAAAGCAACGGCUCGGUGAGCAGUGACGAGGCUCACGGAGUAAAGAGACUUGUUAUGAAGUUUCAAAGAUAGAGAAGCUGAGACAUCAAGAAAGACCAUCUGGCAUACAAAGAUGAAAAAUAAAAUUUUUGGAACAGUAGCAAAGAAGCAUGUGAAGGCUAGGUGCGGUGAAAACACAUAUGAAAGGAUGAACAAAAGAAGAUGACUAUACAAGAUGAAGACCCAUGAUGGGUUAGAAAUGAGGAGUGCCAACGACUCUCAAUUUGGCAGAGGCUAUCACAGGUUAGGAACCUGGCUCUGAUACCAUGUCAAACAAAGUAGGGUAAAUAUUCAGUUAUGCUCAGAUAUGCUCAUAUUAUUAUUCUUCUCCAAUAUGGAGAUAUUUAUACAAGUACAAAGAUGUGUUAACCCUAAAUAAAAUAGAAAAUAUAUCUAAAUUACAAUUGGAAGUAAAUCUCUAUUACAAUAUGAGUAAAUAAUAAUUGAUAAGUAACCAAAAUUCUAAUGAAAUAAGGAACUAAAAUCCUAAGUAAGUAAGGACUCGCCAACGAAUAAUAGUACAACUCUUAUUAGCAACAGGUUACAAACUUCUUCUACAACACACCAACAUGAAUCUAGCCCUGAUCAAUUCUUUUACAUACUUGAAAACAAAACAAAACACGAAAAACAAAAAACAAGAAACAAGAUAGGGAGAAAAUGGCUACGGAGAGACUUACCGCUAAUACUUGAUCAAUAACAGAGAUAAUAGAGCACACUGUUUGUAUGACAAUGAGUAUCAGAAGAAUAAUAGCUGCAAAGAGAGAAAUAGCUGCCCAAGGUGUGUUGAAAUACUUUUGUCUCAAAUUUGCCUUCCGUCUGUUCGUGGUCUUCUUGCAGUACUCGUUUAGUUUGCCAGCAAGAUCACCAAAAUAGUAGUUUCCGUGGUUCGGAGCAACUUUACUGCAAAGCUUGUUAAUCAUAAUGGAAACCUUAUUGUUGUCACCUAGCGUGUUUACAACAAUUCCAUUGUCAACAAGCAACUCUACAUCCUUUGGGGUGUUUACAAAUUUAUCCAGGAUGAAAACAUAAUCGCUUAUGUAUUUAUCCACGCAAUUGCCUUGUUCAAAGGCAAUGAGAUUUCUAUGUGUAAGCUGUGUAAUCAUGUAUUUCAAUUUUUGGAAUUUCCAAGGUGUUUUUCUUGAACUGUAUAUCGAAUAAGUUCUUGCUUGAUCCCACGUUAAACUUAACUCCGGCCUGGUGUAGUUUUGUCAUGCUGGGUGUACUUUGGAGCCCUCCAUUUUUUUUUCUUUUGGCAGAUGUAAAGUUCUAAUAAAAUCAACAAAAUGUAAAGGUUUUUUAGGAUCAGGAGGCAUAAAAGACUUACGGAAGGCUGGUGAGUUCUCCAAGUUUUCUAAACGCAGUGCCUGUUGGAAGAACUUGUAAGAGAGUUCAAUUAUUGAAGGCUCCCCAGUCUGAGCACCUGUGAGAUUGUAAAGAUCCUUGAGAAUGAAAAAUGGCAGCUGAUUUACGAGCAUAAGCAUGUCAGGCAAUAUAUUUUGUAGCACCCAUGGUUUUUUAAAUAUCCAAGCAUUAUCAUCCUGCAAUUUUUCUUCCUGAAAUUUUUCUUCGGAUUUAUUCCUCAACAAUAGCUCAAUGACAAAGGCGGCAUCAACUAGACUGAUAUUCACAAAAGCAGCAAUGUUAAACUUCUUAGGGCUAGUUUGGCGUUGCUGUGUUUUAAAAAAAAAUAUGCUUCUGCUGUGCUGUGAAAAUAAUCAGCUGUGAAAAAAAGCUACUAAGCGUUUGGUAAACUGUUUUUGAAAAACUGUUGUGAGUAGUCAAAGUGUUUGGUAAAUUUUUAUCAGAAGUGUUUUUAGUGUGUAUAAUGACCAAAAAGGACAUGAUGAUGAAAUUGUUUGUUAUUUUCUUCAUUCUUUUUCUACUUUUUUUUUUAAAAAAAAAACCCAAUUUCACUACAUAAAUUUUUAUUCUUUUUUAAUUCACACCUUUUUAUCAAAAAAUUUAAUCUACAAUUAACAUACAUAUUUUACCAUAAAUUAUAAAUUACUAUUAUAACAAAAGUAAUUCUAAAUAUUGUUAUAUUAAUAUGGGCUUCGGACAUGACAAAAAUACAAAAAUUGUUCAAUUUUAAAAUGCCCCAAUAGAUCACUACAAUAUAAAAGAAGCUAAUUAGAUGCAUUCAUUAAACUUGUAGCGAUGCUAUUUCUUAAUGCAUUCAUUAGCUUCUUUUUUUGGUUUCCAAUGGUUCUCUAACAAUUUUAACUAAAAAAACAACCAUAAUGCUUUGUGAACAAUAAAUUCAAGUCCAAAUCUACUAAUGCCCACACCAUACAUAUAUACAUAAUUGUUUCUUUCAUAAAACUUGAAGAUUCAAUAGUAAUUACACAGUUUACCAAUCUUGAUUCCAACUAUAUCCAUAAAAUUAAACUAUAAUUAGAAACAGAGGAGCUACAUGUGAUUACUUAUAAAUGUUGCCCACUCUCAUCAUCAUCUUCUUCCUCCUCUGUACUUUGCCUUUCACAAAUGGACAAGACCAGAUGGUAACGUACACGACAUGGUCCACAUAUAGAUAAAUUUUGGGUUCACUGGAGAACAUAAAAGAGUUUUUACACGAAUACAAAGUUAGUUAAGUAGUGAAUAAGGUAAAACUAUUCUGUACAAUUCUAGCUGAUGCAGUCCAAAAAGAAUAUAUGUCUAAUAACUUAAAUAACAAUAAAGAGAAACAAAAACCUCAUGAAAAAUGCUAGAGUAAAAGUUACAUAACUGAAUCGAUGGACAGAGAACUCCACAGGCAGAGAAACAGCAACAAAAAUUGUCAAAACAGUAGCAAGACCAUGUUGGAGUCAAGGCCAAAGAUCAUAUUUCCUGUGUAUCUUCUUCCAUUCUGAAUUAUUCUCGUAUUCAAAUACUGUAACUCUAUUUCAAGUGCACCCCAAAAUACUUAUCUAAGGCCAGUACAUAGGACUUCAUAAAGGGUGCCAUAAAAAAUAUUGCCCCUUAAUUGAUAAACAGAACCAAGAUCCCAAUGGCACACCAAAACUAUACCAACCACACCUACAUAAUAUGGACAGAAAAUCCUGUUGUUCUGACCUCUAACCACACCAAUGACAUUCAUUAGGAAAAUACAAAAGAUGGGUACCCUGCAUUUCUAACAUUUAAGAUAAAAUUCACUGCCAGCUAAUCACAAAUUUGAAAAGAUGGCAAGAAAAUUGGCUAUGCUUUAACAAAAACCAGAGCAGUCCUUGCAUAGACCUGACUUUUUGCUCCAAGCUUUAGCAGAUCACUUACUGGUAGAGAGCAGAGAACAUGUAUGUGAAUAUCUGAAGUUGGAAGGGUAAGCCAUCACAAACACCAAGAGAUCUGAUUCUCAUCUCUUGUUACAACAACAAAUCACAAACACCAAUACAUCUGAUUCAGAAUCUCAUAAACAAUGGAGGAACAAACACAUAUUCACACACAUAUAAAUCCCUAAACCGAAAAAAAAAAAAAAAAAAAAAAAAAAAAAAAAAAAAAAAAACAUGAAAGUAAUAGGAGAAUCAAAUUGAUUUGGGCCAAAAUUGCCUAAAAAGAAAACACUCCUAAAUAAACUUCAAUUCACUUUUAAAAACAGUAAAACGUGAUUGAAUCGUUCUUUAAAACAAUUCCCUAAUAUACAUGCAUGAUAAUGACAUCAUUUACCCCUAAAUCAAAUGCCUUUCACUGGUUAAGCCACAAGUCUGUGUUUUGGGGAUUGCUGAGCUGCAUCAAUCCUGCCAAUGUCAAUUCUGCCCCUAGGCUCUCUCAAAGUGCAUUUACAACCUAUGCUAACAUAUACUAGAGUUUGUGCUAGUAUCUAGAAAAUGCCAACACUAAUUUCGUAACACGUAGAAAUUGUUACAUAUUGGAAGUUUUUAUCAUUUUUUCUUCCAGUCUCUCCACCACUCACUAAUACAGAUUACUCAUGUGAUGAGUUUACAAAACCUAUUUCUCUACUCCCACAAAGACCAUACUUUUUCUCAAAAGACUAUAUCACUUUAUCUCUAUCUUUGUGAAAUGUAAAAAGUUGAAACUUUAAUGUCAAAUCUCGACAAAAGAUGAACUUCCAUCAAUUACAUUGAAUUUGAAUUUGUUGAACUUAAGUGGUUUUACUUUCUCUGUCAGCGUUUGAUGACUUGAUUUGUUAUUUACUUCUUCUUUUUUCCUUGGAAAUGUGUUCCAUCAACGUGAGGAAGAAAAAUAUGCACAAAUUAAUAUAUUUAAUAGAAGCACAAAUUAAUAUUUACAAAAAUAUGCACAAAUCAAGUAAAAUUAAUAAAGCAUAAAUUGGAAAGGGAAAAUAUGUAGAGGAUGCAUUGUAGGAUUGCUCAUGCCAAUAAUUGUACCCUCUAAAUAUAUAGGGACAUAAUUUUUUUUGUUUUCAUGACAUGUGGUCCUCAAAUUAUUGUUCUUAGCGGACUCUCCACCCCUCUCGAUUGAAAGCCUAUUGUGUAAAUCUUCAAUCCUGAAUGAUCCACCUAAAACUCAUGUUGCAAUACACAUCCACCCAUUCUCAGGCCAAUUAUUACUCCUAGUGGGCUCUCCACCCCCUCUCAAAUUUAAGUGGUCCAUUAUUAUUAACCAUAUAUUUUAUGGACCAGCUAGCUGUGAGGUUUUAUCUCAAAAACCUUUCUCUCACAUGCCACAAUUUAUGUCUGAUACAUCACAUCAUGCCAGUUGUCUCAAAUGAAUUUAAGUGAGUGAGGCAGUGUUACUUCUGGGUACCCCUCAUCGUUCGUGUAUAAAAUGGUGAAGCCAGUUGCUACUGUUACCAUAAGAGCCAGCUCCGACUUUCAAAAUAAAAAUUCCAACAAUGAUCUUAGUGCCUUCAAACGCAUGAGUUACUGAACAUGCAAAUAAAUACACUAUGAAUAAUAAAAGUGUUUGAUAAAUCACCAAAUUAUGGAACACUUGAUGAUUUAUCUCAAAUAAAAAUUCCAAGGCUUAUUUUAUAGAAUUUUUCUUUAUUACAAGAAAGAAAACAUGUUGAAAACCAAAUCUCCAAUUUCCAAGGCUUGACAGAAAAUCAAAAAAAUAUCUUUCCUAUUCUAGAGAUUGGUCACAUGUAGUUCAGAAAAUCAAAAAAAUAUCUUUCCUAUUCUAGAGAUUGGUCACAUGUAGUUCAACCAAUAGGAAAUGAGAUAUUUAAGAAAGCAAGAUUUUGAUCAAUAUCAAUAUCAAAUGAAUUCUUAUACGCCUAGUCAACUAUUAAGGGUAUCUUGACUCUUUGAUAUUGUGAUAUGAUUGAAACAUGAUUUCCAUGUUAGAAAAUUAAGGGGAUGUUAAAACAUGAAAGUAAUAGGAGAAUCAAAUUGAUUUGGACUAAAAUUGCCUAAAAAGAAAACACUCCUAAAUAAACUUCAAUUCACUUUUAAAAAUCGUAAAACAUGAUUGAAUCGUUUUUUUAAAACAAUUCCCUAAUAUACAUGCAUGAUAAUGACAUCACUUACCCCUAAAUCAAAUUGUCACGCCCCGGACCUGGGGGUCAGUGGAAAUCCCGCGCCCGGUGCGUGAGAAAAUAAAAAGUAAAAUAAAAUAAAAAGAAAGCCGAAACAAGGGUUUAAAAUAAACUUCUCUUAUAAAAAUAACUCUAAAAUCUUAUAACUUUACAAGAAAUAAAUAAAGCUCUAUCAUUCUUAUCUAAUUCAGACUCAACUGGUUUAGUCCUUGUCUUGCCCACUAAUUCAUCUGAAAAAUUAAGAGUGUUGCUAAACGAACCCUAAAAUUAAUUGAGUACACCAUACUACCAAACAAUUUAUUGAAUUUGUCAAGGUUUUGUUUCUGGGAACUCACGAGCAACUUUCCAGUGGGUUACCCAUCCUAGGAUUGCUCUAGCCCACAACUCGCUUAACUUCGGAGUUCCUACGACUCCGAAGCCAGUGAGCUCCCAAAAGGCCUCGUGCUAGAUGGAUGCGGGUGUGCACAUAUAAGGCACAUCACCACCUCUCCGUUGAUUGAUGUGGGAUCUUACAAAAUUACUAAUUUAUUCUAAUAUAAAAUGAUCAAAAAAGAUAAAAUAAUAUUGGUAUCUAUUGCUUUGAAUCCAUGCCUUCAAACAAAUUGACUUAAUUUUUAACAAACAACACGGAGUCCAGGAGAAGUGUAUUGAUCCAAGUUGAUUUUUGUAUGCAUAAAACUUAAACAAUCAAUAACACAAAGCAGUUCAUGCUGAAAUAUUGGAAACCCACACCCAAAGAGUUCUCCGCUGCGAGGUUGAAGGCAGGAGAGAUGGGUGACAGAUUUUACUUCCACUGCGAAGUUGGAGGCUAGGAGAGUCUGUGACUGCCAUGGUUGAGGGAGAAGAUGCGUUCAAAAUGCCUAUUGAUAUUUUACAUUAUUUUCUAUACAAGUUAACAGUGUUUGUGUAUUGUUAAAGGUGGAGAGACGUGUCAAAAUUUUAGACAAAGGACAGGAGGAGAUAGGGAAUUUGGGGACAGCAGAUCUCAACUCCCUUGAGACCCUAUUCUCUACGCCACCCCUCCCCCUCAACAACCCUAGUCACCAUUUCUCCUUCAACUCCAACGGCAACUCAUUAAAACCCAAUUCUCAAAUGCAACAAUCUAAUCCCAAUCCCAAUUCAGAUGUUUCUAAAAAACCAAUGGUUGUCGUGGUGGAGAACUGCAAUUCCAGGUGGUGGUGGUACCACAUGGGAGAGAGAAAAAAGAAGAAGAAGAAGCAGCAGAGAGAGAGUUUUUUAUUAUAUUAUUAUUUUACUGUAAUUUUUUAAUUUAAAAAAUUAAAAAAAUUAAAAAUUAAAGAGGAUGUACCAUGGGUAUUUUUGGUAGUUAAAUAGGGUGUACUUAGUUAAUUUUCAAUUUAAUUUAAACAUUAGAGUGUACUCAGUUAAUUUUAGGGUUCAUUUAGCAGCACUCAAAAUUAAACAAGGUAAGGGAUGAGCAAGUAGGGACAUGAGACCUUGCCACAGUAGAUUGAUAUAACUAAAUAUUAUCAUAAACAUCGAAAUAUAUAAAUAUUAUUAUGAUAGGAUUCAUAAUAAUUAAUAUAAAAGUAUAACAACAAGAUUUACAUUUAUGUACCAAGAUAAUUACACAUAUAAAUAUAACCAAUAUAUAUUUUUAUAUAUUUUAAAAUACAAGUCUUUACGUAAAUGCCCUUCACGGGUCAAGCCACAAGUCUGUGUUUUGGGGAUUGCUUAGCUGCAUCAAUCCUGCCAAUGUCAAUUUUGCCCCUGGGCUCUCUCAAAGUACGUUUAAAACCUAUGCUAACAUAUACUAGAGUUUAUGCUGUAUCUAGAAAAUGCCAACACUAAUUUCGUAACACGUAGAAAUUGUUAGAGAUUGGAAGUUUUUAUCAUUUUUUCUUCCAGUCUCUCCACCACUUAUUAAUACAGAUUACUCAUGUGAUGAGUUUACAAAACCUAUUUCUCUACUCUAGCAAAGACUAUACUUCUUCUCAAAAGACUAGAUCACUUUACCUCUAUCUCUGUGAAAUGUAAAAAGUUGAAACUUUAAUGUCAAACCUCGACAAAGUGUUCUACUUUACAAACUUCUUGUGUCUACCAAUUUCUACUAAAAUUAAUUUCUCUACGGUGCUCAGAUUCAUCAUAUGUGUGUCCUUAAUUUUAGUGGAAAUUGGAAGUUUCCAUAAUUUUUGCUUUAAGUCACUCUUCUGAAGGAAGUUGAGGUUCCACUCCAUAAUCCAAAAUGUCAGGUUGACUUAUGGCAAACAAUGUAAAUAUGUAGGAGUACUAUGACCUUUUAUAGCAUUUUUAGUUUGAAUUUGGGUUUUAUACAUAGAUUUCGAAAUUAAUAGGUUGAUGCCUAGGAAAUAGAAAUUGUAAGGGCCUAUAUUAGACUAGCCCUCUUAAAAAAUAUAUUAAUUAAUGAAUAUUUGUUCUUCUUGUUGUUUUGAAGUAGUGGUGGGAGGCAUACCAACAAAAAAAAAAAUAUAGUGAAGGCUUAUAAGAGCAUUUACAAUCAUGCUCCCUAUUUUUUAGUUAAAAUUUAGCUAAAAAUAGAAAAAAGUUAUUAUAGGAGCUCUUUAUAAAAUUUGAACUCCAAUCAUACUCCCUAGUUUAGGGAGUCAAAAAUACUAUAGUUAUUUUUUAAUUCAAUUUGAUUUUGGUUAAUCUCUAUAAAUAAAUAAAAAUAUGAAAAAAUAGUUAACAUUAAUUAAAAGUUUAAACUAUGCAUAAAACAAAGAAACAUUAAAUUAUAGGGAGCCACUAUGAGUCGUUACUCUCUCCUCAGAUUUAGGAGCUCCUAGAGGUCUCCCUAUUUUAUGAGGUGGAUAAGGAGCAUGGUUGGAGUUGUAUUUCUUCAAUUUCCUCCCUAAAAUUUGUCUAAGGAUGUGGUUUAGGGAACCCAUUGUGAAUGCUCUAACUCUGGUAAAACACGAGUGACAUGGACAACAUAUGUUACGUCGUACAGAAGAUUUUUGGGUUUCUUUAAUUGGUUAAGUAGCAUCCACAAUGAGCUUCCUAAAUCAUCUCCUUAGACAAAUUUUAGGGAGGAAUUGGAAAAGUACAAUUCCAACUAUGCUCCCUAUCCACCAACUAAAAUAGGGAGACCUCUAAGAGCUCCUAAAUCUGAUGAGAGGGAAAGGACUCUUAAUGACUCCUUAUAAUUUAAUGUUGCUUUACUUUAUGCAUAUUUUGAACUUUUAAUUAAAUCAAAUUAUUAUUUUUAUAUUAUUUUGUAUACAGACGGGUUAAUUAUAUUAAAUUAAAAAAUAAUUAAAAUAUUAAUGACUCUCUAAACUAGGAAGCAUAAUUGUAGAUCAUCUUAUAUACCUUAAUUUGAAGAUUCUUUAUUUGGGUUUCUUUCAAGACUUAUCACCUUAGCCACACCACCUACACGUCUGCAAGCUUCCGUAAUCUAACAAGGAAGGGGAGGCUGCGCAAUACUUAUCACCUUAGCCACACCACCUACACCACAAGACCAAUAUGUGUAGUCCAGCAGGCUUUCCAAUUUUAAUAUAUAUUAUAAAAUAAAAUAAAAAUCAAUCUAUUAUCAUAUAUAUUAUAAAAUAAAGAUUAUUGCUCCAUCCUCCAUGCACUUGCAUGCCCUCUUACAAAGUGUGAAGUAGAUUUUGUGUGCUCCAAGUCAUUGACGAGAGCUGUAACAUGGUUAGCUGGAUUUAUAAGAUCUUUUCUUUUCUGGGAAUUUUCUGAAUUAAGAAAAAUCAAGUAAAAUUAAUAAAGCAUAAAUUAGAAAGGGAAAAUAUCUAGAGGAUGCAUUGUAGGAUUGCACAUGCCAAUAAUUGUAUCCUCUAAAUAUAUAGCGACACAUUUUUUUUGUUUUCAUGACUUGUGGUCCUAAAAUUAUUGUUCCUAGCGGGCUUUUCACCCUCUCUCGAUUGAAAAUCAAUUGUGUAAAUCUUCAAUCUUGAAUGAUGCACCUAAAACUCAAGUGUCCCAGGCCAAUUAUUGCUCUCAUACCACUUGUUGUAAUAAACAUUCACCCAUUCUAAAGGAAAGAUAACCAUCGAUAUUAUCUGAAAUUUAACCACUUAAGUUCAUUAUGAUUAACUAUGUAUCUUAUGGACCAAUCCAAUCGUAAGGUUUUAUACUCAAUUAGAUCGACCAAUACAAAGUUCACACUGGAUUAAAAAGGGCUAUCGGUAGGGGAGUGUUCGGCACCCUUUACUGUGGAGCGCAACACAAGACCCCUUGCAUGCCCUCACUAAGUUGAGCCCAACUAUUUUUGAGCAUUAACAAUAUAUAUAGAUUGAAAAAAUAAAAUAAAAAUCAAUCUAUUAUCAUAUAUAUUAUAAAAUACAUAUUAUUGCUCCAUCCUCCAUACACUUGCAUGCCCUCUUACAAAGUGUGAAGUAGAUUUUUUGUGCUCCAACUCAUUGACUAGGGCUGAAACAUGGUUAGUUGGAUUUAUAAGAUCUUUUGUUUUUUGGGAAUUUUCUGAAGCACGGAAAAUCAAAUAAAAUUAAUAAAGCAGAAACUGUACCCUUUAAUUAUAUAUGGACAUAUGUUUUUUUGUUUUCAAGUCUUAGAUGACAUGGGGACCCCUCUCAAAUUUAAGUGGUCCAUUAUUGUUAACCACAUAUUUUAUGGACCAUCCAGCUUCGGUACAUUUCUCCCACAUGCCACAAUUGUAUAUUCACAAUUACGUCUGAUACAUCACAUCAUGCCACUUGCCUCACAUGCCACAAUUGUAUAUUCACAAUUACUUCUGGGUACCCCUCAUCAGUCGUCUAUAAAAUGGUGAAGCCAGUUGCUACUGUUACCAUAAGAGCCAGCUCCGACUUUCUUUAAUUUCUUGCUACAUCUGUUGCUAAGUUAAUUUCAGUCCUAAUGGGGUUUCAUCUCCCACUCAUCUUUGCUAUUCUCAGUGUAAGCUCUGCAAUUUGAUUAACUUUUCCAUUCUCUCUCAUUGUACUCUAUAUAUAUAAAUGAAAGUUUUGUGUUCCUAUAAUUCUCUCCGAUUUUAUUUAGUACGUACUUAAGUGUCGUCCACUAAUUAAUUACACUUUGUGAGAUUUGAUUUUAAUUAGAGUUCGAAUUAAUGUUGCAGCUAGCAGCGGUUGCACUGGCAAACAAUGCUGCUCAACCAGCACCUCAACUUUACUGGAACUCCGUCCUGCCAAACACACAGAUGCCAAGAUCUAUCAGUGAACUUCUGCAUCCUGGUUUGUGUUCAGCUCUUUAUAAUCUUAGAUAUCUCUUCUACCUGCCAUUUUACUAAACUAUGUUCGACCACAUAUUUAUCAGUUAACUACUGUCAUUACAAGAAUGACACUUAUUUUCCAAUAUAAUUUGCAGACUCCACAAAUGAAGAAAAGAGCAAACCUGAAAUUUUCCCAUUGCAGGGCAAUAGAGUUUACACUCAAAGCCAUUAUAAAAAACGUCCUCCUCCUCCAUCUGACGAGGGCAAACCUGAAAAUUUCCCAUUGCAGGGCAAUAGAGUUUACACUCAAAGCCAUUAUAAAAAACGUCCUCCUCCUCCAUCUGACGAGGGCAAACCUGAAAAUUUCCCAUUGGCCAAUAGCUUUUACACUCAAACCCAUUAUAAAAAACGUCCUCCUCCUCCAUCUGACGAGGGCAAACCUGAAAAUUUCCCAUUGGCCAAUAGCUUUUACACUCAAAGCCAUUAUAAAAAACGUCCUCCUCCUCCAUCUGACGAGGGCAAACCUGAAAAUUUCCCAUUGGGCAAUAGCCAUUACACUCAAAGCCAUUAUAAAAAACGUCCUCCUCCUCCAUCUGACGAGGGCAAACCUGAAAAUAUCCCAUUGGCACGUUCAGGUUACCAACGAAAAAAUUAUGGAGCAAGUCCUCCUCCAUCUGACAGUCAACUAAAGCAUUAUAAAGACUUAGCUAUUUUCUUCUUCGAGAAGGACAUGCGCCCGGGCACAACUAUGAAGUUCCAAUUCCCUAGAAAUUCAAACACGGCUACUUUCCUGCCACGCGAAAGUGCUCAAUCGAUCCCCUUCUCCUCUAAGAAACUACCAGAAAUUUUCAACCAUUUUUCAGUGAAGCCAACAUCUGAGGAAGCCAAAACAAUUAAGCAAACAAUCGAAGAGUGUGAAGCUCCAGGCCUUAAGGGAGAGGAAAAAUAUUGCGCCACAUCUUUAGAAUCAAUGGUUGAUUUUAGCACUUCGAAGCUUGGAACAAGAAACGUUGAAGCAAUCUCAACGCAGGUAUUGGAAGAAGGAGCCACCAAGUACAUGCACAACUAUACAACAAUCCCGGGACUGAAGAAGUUGGUAGGUGACAAAGUCGUUGUGUGUCAUAAGGAGAACUAUCCCUAUGCUGUGUUUCUCUGCCAUGCAAUAAAACAAACAGAAGCUUAUGUUCUCUCCCUGAAAGCCGAUGAUGGGAUGAAGGUGAAAGCAGUAACCAUCUGCCAUCUAGACACAUCAGAAUGGGACCCAGAGCAUUUGUCCUUCCAAAUCCUCAACGUUAAGCCCGGAACCACUCCCAUCUGCCAUUUCCUUUCCACUGAUGCUAUUGCCUGGGUUCCAAAACACAAAUCUGCAUGAUCAUCACUUAGCACUGUACGUAUAAUAAGCUUGGUCGGGUUGCACCCUAGGCCUGCAUAAUUAUCUCCCUACUUAUUUCUGCCUCUUCAUCAUGCGGUGUAAGAUAUAUGAUGAGAUGAAGUUUUCUCUUGUAACUAUGUAGACUACUUCAACUUGUACUCAUAAUAAAGCACGCUGUUGGGGGGUUCUACUUAAUUUCGUUCUCUCCAAUGUUUGAGUGUUGAAUUGUUACGUUGGAAUAGGCUGCUAAUGCAUGUAGUUAGAGAAGCCUUCAUUUAUAUCAAAGUCCUCAAACUAUCAAGAAUUAAUGUAUCCAGAAACAUAUACCAAGACGCAAAACAACAUAUUUUCCAUUCUCUGUCUGUAACACCAAGGCAAACUUCCUUUAUCACAUCAUUUAAAGGAUCAAAUUCCAGUACUAAUCUAAUCCAUCAUGUAAAGCAUACAAGUGCCUACCUAAAUUUGUCCAUUGGAUAUAUAUGUCACUUUUUAUUUUUUGAUAGAGAUAUAAAUGUUGAGAAAAUUAGAGUACACAACUCCAAUAUAGACUUGUUGGAGACAAAACAAGUAAACAAAUUACUUGUAUUAGACUCACAAAAUAUUACAACAAGACAACUCUCAAAGAAAAGACAAACUCUCACACUUCUCACAAGGACUACUUAACUUUAUAGCUUAUUGCAUAUAGCAUAUGCAAACACAAUUAGAACAUACCUACGUACACUAUGGGAACACUCGUGUAUAUUUGAACACAAGAAAACAUGUGCGCACCGUGCACGGUUCACAUGAAGUAAGAAAUGAAGAGGAAAUAAAGAAGAAGAAUACAAAAGAAAAUGGAGAUGAGAAAAAAAAAACACGAAUAAUGAAAAAUGAAUUGACAAUUAUAUAUGGUUGACAUUAGAUCUAAUAUUAUAUGUAAUAACUAAUGAUCUAAAAUAAACAUUAAAUCAAACAAUAAUUAAAAGAUUUGACAAUAUAAAAAUUUACACGUCAGCAAACUCACCAUGGUAAGUUUGCUGACGUGUAAAAAUUGUGAAUGGACUACAUCGAAAAAUAAUUGGCUUACAUCAAAAAUUAAAAUCACGUGGGUUAUUCCUAAGAAACCUUAAUAUUUUUAGGUUUAUAUAUUUUUUGUAUUUAAAAAAAAAAAAAAAAAGAGAAAUCUGACCAUGUAUGUAUGAUGAUGAUAUGCAUGUUAUUUUUAGACCUAAGGUAAAACAGACAAACUUUUUACUCCAUUUUUCAUGAGGUUUAUCACAAUAAUUAAACUGUUAUAUCCUCCAUUUUAGAUCUCAUGCUUCCAUUUAAAGAAAAGAAUAUCAACAACAAAAAAAGAAUAAAGUUACAACAUUGAUCAAUUCAAAUGUCCAACUACCGGAUCAUGAGCCCUUGCACUUAGCGAUAUGCAGAUAAAUGCGUAGUGUCUUAAUGCAGAAGCUCGGGAUCCCCAAUUACCAUUGAAACAUAAGAAACUAAAAUCUGCAAGAAAAUGCUAUCAAUUGAAAAAACAAUAAUUAAAAAACAAAAAAAGGAAGGGAAUUCGCACCCGCUAUGCAAAAAAGAGCAAGUCGGUUCAAUGAUUUUUUUCUUCUUCUUUUUGUUAUGGAAAUGAAAAGCUCAAUGAUGGGCUAUAUAUAGGAAGAAGCUCAAUGAUUGAAUUAUUAUCUUCUAUCUACAUUCUACCCUCUUCCUCGCUACAUACACAAAUGGUGCACACCAGUAACUAAGCUUGUUUUGGGUUUGGUGGCCCACUGUAAAAGCUCAAUGGAGAUGGUUUGAGGUAGAAUUUUCUCCUAUUUCAAUAGGACAAUGAUGAGAUCUAUGUAACAACAAAUUUCUUUAAUAAUGAUAACUAAAAAAAGUGUGAUUCAUUGAAUAUUUGCGGGGUUUUGUUCUAAGUCAACACCUCAAAUUCCUUUUACACCAUCAAAUUCAAAAAGUUUUAUUCAACCAUCUCGACCUUAUGCUAAAAAUUUAUUUUGUUCAUACUUAACGUACUAGGUAUUUAUUUUAUACCAACGAGUACGAUGGUCCAUAUAAGUAUUCUAAUCAUUCACUCCAGUUGCAGGCCCCAAUAAUUUAGAAGGGCCGAAGGUCUUUCUUUUUUUCUUUUUUCUUUUUUGAGAAAUUCUAUGAUUGCAUUCAUAAUUCAGGCAAAAAAGUCACUAGCCACAAAAGGGCCAGUACAACAACGGAGCGGUCUAAUAUCAAAAUUAAGACAAUCUAGUGUGUCUCCACUAACGAUCAGGCGAGCCGAUGGUCUUUCAUUGGAUGAAAGCUUCUAUCUACCGACCCCACUAUAUGAACUAUGCAAUGGUGAUGAUGUUACAUUGCAAAAAAUAAAAAGUCAAGGUUUCUUAUUAAUGUUAAUGAAGGCAUAGCAAAAAAUUUAUAGCUCCAAUGGUUCAAAGCAGUUACCCAUGCACUUGAGAUUCUGUGUUUGAAUGCCCUCUCCCCUAAUAUUGCUUGUAUAAAAAUAAAAACUUCUAAAAAGACAUUAAUAUUGUAUUCUAUAUUCUAUAAAGUGUUGGACAUGUCUUAUAUUGUUGACAACCCCCUAACACUUUGGUGGUGCCUAGUUAUAUUCAAUUCGUAUGUAUUUAAUUUGCCACUUACAUUCUUUCCUUAAUACAUUUAGGCUUAUUUUUAUACUAAUUUCUCUAACAUAACUUUUGCACAUUCUUUUAGUCUCUAAUAUAUAUAUUUUCUAAUAAAUAAUCAAGAUCUAAUAAAUAAUCUUACUCACUUGAGUUAUAAACUAUUUUCUUUUAGCACAGAAAAUCGACAUUUUGACAGAGAGUUGAAAACGACUCCCCAAUUUUAAUGUCAACCACUUGAAAAAAAAAACAUAAAUUUAAUGAAAACAAUUACAUUUAGCAAUGCAACCUAAAAACUCAACCUUUGCGCCCCUUUCACAACGUAGAUAGCAAGGUGAGGAUAUUCGGAUAAGAACCAAGACAGAAGCCAAAGGAACUGCGAUAGCCAACCAGAGUCUCCAUUUCUUACCAUUUGAACAACGCCACCAUUUUGUUUGGUAAGUAUUUAAUAACAUUUCUUGCUCUACAUAAAGUAAUAUUAAAACGGAAUUUGCCUAAAUUUUUCUUACCAGCAAUCCAUAUGGACAAAAAUAAAAUAAAAUAAAUAAAUUUACAAUUAUACUCAAUAUAGGAGCCCAAAUUAUUUAUAAUUAAAAAAACUUAUAUGAAAUGGACUUUAGAAACACACUUAAAACCUAUUUACAACAAAACAAAAAAACGUUUAACUUCUUUUAAAUUACAAAACUAUCAUUGAUUUCUUAAACAAACCCAACCCAAAAACUUCAUUAAAAAAAAAAAGCUCAAAAUAUUAGACUCACAAAAUAUUACAACAAGACAACUCUCAAAAAAAAGACAAACUCUCACACUUCUCACAAGGACUACUUAACUUUAUAGCUUAUUGCAUAUAGCAUAUGCAAACACAAUUAGAACAUACCUACGUACACUAUGGGAACACUCGUGUAUAUUUGAACACAAGAAAACAUGUGCACCGUGCACGGUUCACAUGAAGUAAGAAAUGAAGAGGAAAUAAAGAAGAAGAAUACAAAAGAAAAUGGAGAUGAGGAAAAAAAAAACACGAAUAAAUGAAAAAUGAAUUGACAAUUAUAUGUGGUUGACAUUAGAUCUAAUAUUAUAUGUAACAACUAUUGAUCUAAAAUAAACAUUAAAUCAAACAAUAAUUAAAAGAUUUGACAAUAUAAAAAUUUAUUGAGGACAAAAAAAGGCAAAAACUUAUGAAAAAUGGAAACAAUAAAUAUGAACUGAGUCAUCAACUCACCAUGGUAAGUUUGCUGACGUAUAAAAAUAGUCAAUGGACUACAUCGAAAAGUAAUUGGCUUACAUCAAAAAUUAAAAUCACGUGGUCUACCUACUAUAUAGGAUGAAAAAAUUAGGUGAACAAUAUACUUACACCAUGGGAACACUCCUAUAUAUUUGAACACAUGAACACGUGUUCAAGGUUAUAUAUUUCAUUACCUUCACAAUAGGUACCAAACCGUACCAUGCGAACAUUCAUAUACGCACAACAUACUUAUAACAUACCUACACUAUGGGAACACUCGUGUAUAUUUGAAAACAAGAAGACCUGUGCACCACCGUGCACGGUUCACAUGAAGUAAGAAGAUGAAGAGGAAAUAAAGAAGAAGAAUACAAAAGAAAAUGGAGAUGAGAAGAAGAAAAAAAAACACGAAUAAUGAAAAAUGAAUUGACAAUUAUAUAUGGUUGACAUUAGAUCUAAUAUUAUAUGUAACAACUAAUGAUCUAAAAUAAACAUUAAAUUAAACAAUAAUUAAAAGAUUUGACAAUAUAAAAAUUUACACGUCAGCAAACCCACCAUGGUAAGUUUGCUGACGUGUAAAAAUAGUCAAUGGACUAUAUCGAAAAAUAAUUGGCUUACAUCAAAAAUUAAAAUCACGUGGGUUAUUCCUAAGAAACCUUAAUAUUUUUGGGUUUAUAUAUUUUUUGUAUUUUUUUUUUAAAAAAAGAAAAGAAAUCUGACCAUGUAUGUAUGAUGAUUGUUGGUAAAUUUUAACAACAAUAUUAAAACCUUGCAAGUGCACAAAUCAAAUGAUAGUAUAGUAAGCAAGCAAGGGUCGAUCCCACAGAGAUUGUGAUCUAAAGAGAUGUUUAUCAAUGUCACGCAAUGAAAAUCAAAACAAAGGACUUCCAAACACAAGCCAACACCAAGGGGGGUUUUGAUUUGUUUUUGUGAAUCAAACAAAAUAAGGAAAAGGAAACAAAAGAGAAUUUAAAUUAGAGUUUAAGAGAAAUUGGUUUAAAAACAAUCAAGAACAAUAGCUAGGACUUACUAUCCACCUCCAAACAAUCAAUCAAUCCAUAAACAACAAUAGAUAAUCAAUUUCUAGCAAGCAUAUGAUGACGACACUCACAACAAGAUCAUGGCAUUUGACUCGAGUUGUAUGAUUCUCUCUUAAGUGUAUGUAAAGUGUAUGGCAUUUACAUCAAUACGUGUAUUCUUAAUUAAAAUCUAGUAUGACAUUUACUCAAAUUAACAAUCAAGAAUCCAUUAAGAUCAAAGAGAAUAUGAGUGUCACAAAAACCCUAAAACAUGACAUUUGUUAUUAGGAAUUCAAGAAUCGAUUUCUCAUAACUAGUUCUUAACCCAAUUAUUCGUUGCAAACAAGAACACAUUCAAUAUGGCAAUUGACCUAUGUUCUACAACAAUUUAAUUCCAAUACAUGCUUCUAAGUUAGCUACUCAAAGAAACAAAAUACCAGAAUUCACAUAACAUAGAGAAACCGAAAUCAUCACGCUUGUAGAAACUAAAAAUCCAUUAAACUUGUUUAUAAAAUUGAAAUCAUGUCUAGGGCUUCAAGAUUAAGCCCUAACUAACAAGAAAUUAGUUACUCAUGGUCUUGGAUGAACUCAAAAAUAAAUACAUAAGAACUGAAAAUUAAAAGAAGGAAGGAAAAGAAAGAACUCGUUCGCAGCUUUCUCCUCUUGCGCAGUUGACCUCUUUAGGACGUGAAUCCUUUUUAUCAGGCCUUGGCUCGUCUUUUAUAUCACUUAUAUCAGAGUUCUAAACCCUAAAAUUGACUGAAAAGUCGUCCAAGAAGUCUUGAUAAACAAGGAAUCCAAAUAGGAAAGUAAAAAUCACAAUUCCUAACUCCACUGGGAUAUACAGCUCAGCCCAAUGUUCACACGAUUUGGGGAUCUUCGACCUUGUAGAAAAAUUAUUAAAAAUAUAUUUUAGAAAGAUAAAUGUCUUAUCUUUCCAACAUAUAUAGCACGUAACUUGAAAAAUUUGGAAAGGCUUCCGUUUCUUCACAUUCACGUAACAUGUACGAAACUGUCCUGUCUGCACGUGGGCUAACUUUACUUGUAAUACUGUACCAAUUGGCUCGGUAGAAAAUUCUAGAAAAAUAAUAGAUUGAACUUCAAGAUGUUAGCUUUCAUCUCCAAUUGGUCUUGUGCUAAAAUUCCUCCGAAAAGUUGAUUUUCCCUUAAAAACCUUCUAAGAGCGCAGAAAAGCUGAAAAUCAGAAGAAUAAAGUAAUAAGCCCUUUUUAAAUCUAAUUCUCUUACAAAACCAAAGUAAAAAGAGUACAUAAAUGAGUAUAUUUAUGGACUUAUCAAUGAUGAUAUGCAUGUUAUUUUUAGACCUAAGGUAAAACAGACAAACUUUUUACUCCAUUUUUCAUGAGGUUUAUCACAAUAAUUAAACUGUUAUGUCCUCCAUUUUAGAUCUCAUGCUUCCAUUUAAAGAAAAGAAUAUCAACAACAAAAAAAAUAAUAAAGUUACAACAUUGAUCAAUUCAAAUGUCCAACUACCAGAUCAUGAGGCCCUACACUUAUAGACUACGCAUUUUCUCGUAUUUUGCAAAAUUUAGACCAUUAUAAUAAUCUAACCCCUUCAAAUGUGAAACAUCAUCAAGUUUUUUUUCCUUCACUAAACAGAAGAGUUAAGUUUUAUUUGUGGGUAACUAAACUCUUGUUUAGAGCAUGUUUUUUAUUAUUUUUUUCUUUCUUCUGUGUAAAGUAUAAUGGGUUAGAUUAUUAAUUGUGGGUGACUAAAAUCUUGUUUAACAACAAUAGUUAACGUUUGUUUAGAGAAGAAAAAAAACUUGAUGAUGUGCCAUGUUCUAAAGGAUUAGAUUAUUAUAAUGGCCUAGAUUUAGCGAUAUGCAAAUAAAUGCGUAGUGUCUUAAUGCAGAGGCUCGGGAUCCCCUACUACCAUUGAAACAUAAGAAACUCAAAUCUUCACGAAAAUGCUAUCAAUUGAAAAAACAAUAAUUAAAAAACAAAAAAAGGAAGGGAAUUUGCACCUGCUAUGCAAAAAAGAGCAAGUCGGUUCAAUGAUUUUUUUUCUUCUUCUUUUUGUUAUGGAAAUGAAAAGCUCAAUGAUAGGCUAUAUAUAGGAAGAAAAAAAUGGUGCACACCAGUAACUAAGCUUGUUUUGCGUUUGGUGGCCCACUGUAAAAGCUCAAUGGAUGUAACACCCCGACUCCAAAUUAAAUUCCCUAUCUAAAUUAUUUAAUUUAAUUAAAUAUGGAAUUUCCAAUUUACCCUUGGGGUAGGGGUAUUUUGGUAAUUCUCUUAUCCAGAGAGAUUUUGGAGCAACAAGUGGUAUUUUUAGGUAGAUCAUACUUAGACGAGUCCGUAGAUACGUAGUGGGCUCGAUUCGGAGUUGUAAUGAAGAAGUUACGAUCAAAACAAGUUUUUUUUUUUUUUUUUGGAGAAAUUCUAUAUGAUUGCAUUCAUAAUUCAGCCAAAAAAGCCACUAGCCACAAAUGGUCAAUACAAACUAGCAACAAAAGGGCCAUUACAAUAACGGAGCGGUCUAAUAUCAAAAUUAAGAAAAUCAGGUAUGUCUCCACUAACGAUCAGGCAAGAUCGAAGAAACUCUGGCAUAGGCAUCCCAACUAAGAUUGCAAACUUAGAAUAAUAAAAAAGAGAUAAAGCUUGAAAAAACCAAGCCAUAACAAUACAAAUAAAACUCUCACCAAGGAUAGAUGAAAAGCUGUCACAAAGGAGAAAUGAAAAACUCUCACAAAAGGAGAGGUGAAAACUACACAGACAACCCAAAGAGUCUCUGCAACUUAUUCCAAACAUAAAGAAAAUGCAAAAAAGAUGGUGGUGGAGAUCCGACGCCGAAAUGCAGGUGAAGAUCCAACGUUGAGCCGCAGCCGCCUAUAAUGGUUGGAUGAAAAUCCUAACAAAACUAAGAAAAUAGGGACAACCAUUUAUCUUUGAAAAUGGGGGAAGAGGUGAAAGGAGGAAGAAAGGAAGAGAAGAGGGGAGAGGAGGGAAGAACAAUGGCUUUCUCCCCCUUCAAAGUGGAAAAGGCUCUAAGAGUGUUUUUUGGGAGAAAGGGGGCACGAUCAAAACAAGUUUAAUAGCACAAUCAUAAUUAUUUCGAAGUUGGUUUUUAAUAAAUCAGAAAACACACACACACACACACACACACACACACACACUCUCUCUCUCUCUCUCUCUCUCUCUCUCUCUCUCUCUCUCUCUCUCUCCCGUGCGAUUCUUCCUCCCUCGUCAAACAGCAGCGGUGGUUUUUUCCACCGCCACUGCCACACGCCACCAUACGAGGUGGCACCGGUCCCAAAAGGACACCCAGCUCAUCCUCUUCCAACCCCAGCCAAGCCACGCCGCCAGCAGCAACGAGAUUUGCUGGAAACCGCAGAAAAUCCUGCCGGUUUUUCCUAAACUUCAAACCUCUCGUUCUCUCUCAUUUCUCCACCGAUUUGGAUGUAUAGGGUAUGGAUUUCCACCUAUUUUUCAUGAUCUAGCUGAUGGUAAGGUAGGAUUUCAUUAAUUUUGAGCUUAGGUUAGUUGAUUCUCUAUUUGAAAUUCUGCCGGUUUUGGGAUCGCGUUUUCGGCCAUUUCCGGUCACUUUUUGGGGUAGGCCCAAGAACAAAAGUAACUCCAAAUGGGGUUUUACACCUAGGGUAGGAGUCUGGGCCUGAUAUUUUGAGGUUUUUUCGGCAAGUGUUAUCGCUUUAGACACCCACGCACUGCCCGUGCGUGGGCACUGUAGCAAAGGUGCAUUUUUACCCCAAUGUGUUCCCCUACUUGUCACGAGUUCGUGGGUGUGCUCGGAUUCCAAUUCGUAUAUCGUUUGACUAUCGAACAGAUUUACGCCUAUUGUGUGUCAUCCGGGUUCAAUUUGUUCGGACCGUUGGAUCGAGUUCAAAUUAAUAUAUGUUGAUCUAGGCACUCCUAGGAUCGUGUAGGAAUUCACGGAUCGUGAAUCGAAGCCCCGGAUGUUCCUAUUCAAUAACUUAAAAUUUGUGUUAAACGAUAACCGUCCGAUCGUGCAAUCGCGAGCGAUCCGACUGCUCGAUCGAGACCAAACUCUUGGGAUGUGUUUAGGAAACUCUGUUGGACCUUUAGGAACUUUUGGAUUGUAAUUGGGAGGUUGUGGGCCCCGUGGGCCAGGUUGAUUAUCGGUUGACUAAUUUGACUAGUGGGACCGGAUAGUUGACCACGAGUCUUUGGAGAACAUUUUGUCUCUUGUUAAGUACUAAGAUGGCCUUAGGGUUUUACAAGGACGUGCACCCCCUGUGAGUCCUGAGAGUUAGGAUUUUGAAUUAAAGUUCAGUGUUGGAUUUGAGUAUUCAGUUAAUCUUGGUAUUCUCUCAAAUAGGUUCUUUGGCGCUAGGAAUCGUUCUUGACAAAACCGCGGAGGGUUGAAUGCGCUUUGGACCGUGUGUGAGUAGACAUUUAUUUUCUAAAUGGUUUUAUGAAACUCUUGGAUUGUGAUUAUAAUUUGUGUUGUUUUAUGGAUUUGAUGAUUUAUGGUUAUUAGUUUUCUAAUAGAAUAUUAUGCAUAUUCGAAUUUAGUUUGAAAACUAUUUUGAAAGAAUUAUAAAUGGUUUGAAUCAAAUAAUGAAAUUGGGGUUUUAUCUCGGUUUUAAAGAGAAUUUUGAUUAAUUAAUUAAUUAUAAUGCAUACUUGGAACUUUAUUUGGUUUUGAAAGAUUUGUGUUUUAUUUGAGAUAACUAAGAAGGGAUUUGAGAAACAGUGUGGUAAAUAGGGAUUUGUGGAAAAAAGAAAAGAAAAAAAAAAGGGCUUUUAUGAUUAAGUGUUGGAAUUGGAUUUCAAACCCACCCUAGAAACCUAUCCCUGGUUGCCUACAAAAUGUAUGAGAUGCCUUGGGAAUAAAUGAGUUGCCUCGGAAAAGAUAAAAAUGGUUGCCUUUGGAAAAAGUGUAAUAAGUUUCCUUCGGAAAUUAUGGUUGCCUUCGGUUAAGUCUGUGCACAUAACUAAGAUUGUCUAUACCUACAUAGAGACUACUCUGUAGGUAUCCGGCCAGAGUAUAUUGUCUGUACCUGUGUUGACUAUGCAGGUGUCCGGCCAGUGAUUUGCCUGUACCUACAUAGAGAUUACUUUGUAGGUGUCCGGCCAGUAUUUUGCCUGUACCUGCUUAUGUGGUUGUUCGGCCAGGAUUUUCCCACUACACCUAUCUGAUUGUCUAUAUAGGUGGUUGAUGUAACACCCAGACUCCAAAUUUAACUCUUAUUUAAAUUAUUUAAUUAUUUAAGGGGAAUUACAAAUUUACCCUUGAGAUAAGGGCAUUUUGGUUAUAUUCUUAACCGGAGAGAGUUUGGGGUAGGUCCAAGAACAAAAGUGGCUCCAAAUAGGGUGUUAUACCUAGGGUAGGAGUUUGGAGCCGUGGUUUUGAGAUUUUCCGGCGAAGCUUUAUCGCUUUGGGCACCCACGCGCUGCCGGUGAGUGCGGCGGCGCAUGGGCACUGUAGAAAAAGUGGCAUUGUGUCUCGAUGAGAUCCUUAGGUUGUCACGAGUGCGUAGGAUUUCGCGGAUCUCAAUUUGGACGUCGUUUGACUAUCGAACGAAUAUCGCCUAUUGUGCGUUAUCCGGGUUCGAUAGGUUGGGACCGUUGGAUGGUCCCAAAUUUAAUACAUGUUAAUCUAGGUAUUUCUAGGAUCGUGUAGGAAUUCACGGAUUGUGAAUCGGAGCCCUGGAUGUUCCAAAUAAGAAUUUUAAGUUUAUAUUUUAUAUUAACCGUCAGAUCGUGCGAUCGUGAGCGAUCCGACCGUCAGAUCGUGCGAUCGUGAGUGAUCCGACCGUCCGAUAUGAACCAAACUUGCAGGACGAGUGUCCUAUACCUUGUAAAACCCAUAGGGACUUUCGGAUCGGAAAUUGGAGGUCGUGGGCUCCGCAGGUCCGUUUGACCAGGGUUAAGGUAGUUUGACCCUUGGUUGACUGUGAGUCUCCCGGAGUAAAUCUCACCUACUUUUCAUGCUCUAGCUGCCUGUUGGGUAAGAUUGGAUCGAUUCUUAGCGUAGCCAAUUCGAUUUUCGAAUUGAAAUUCGGCCGAUUUUGGGAUCGCGAUUCCGGCCACUUCCGGUCAGUUUUUGGGAAAUGUCCAAUUUAUAGAGGAGACUCUGCCAAAAUUUCGGCAGGAAGUCUCGGUCUUUAGUAAGUGGGCCUGGCAUCGGGAUGAUGUCGGGAAUUCCAAAGGGUUUGCCUCGGGUUCUGAAAAAUUCGGGGCGGGUCCUUUCAGUUGAUCAGUUUUCCCCUAUUCUCGGUUACCUCAGUAUAUUGUCUGUACUUGUAUCACAAAUGCGAGUGUCCGGCCAGUGAUUUUUUCCCAGGAUGUUCCCCUGCCACCCUGCCGAUUUAUUACACAGGGUAGGCCAGUUAUUUUCCCCAUAGGUGUACUUGCAUGGAGAGAUUUCGUAUAACUUGGUUUGAGAUUGGAUUUUUGGAUGAUUUGUGUUUGAGCUUGCUUGAUUUAUUGGAUUCAAAUGAUGUUUUGAAACUGGAUUUUUAUGAAAUUAUAUUUUGAGUUGUAUUGGAUUUAAAUGUUAUUUGAAGUACAAAUUUGGGUCAAUGAUAUUUUAUUUACUAGAGUUUAUUUUACUUGCACAUGUAUUGAUUAUAUUUUGUUCCUGUAUAUAUACUUAUGUGUAUUAAUGAGUUUUCCAAAGGUUUGCAAAAACAGAGGGGUUAGUAUGUUCUGUAUAAUUACUUUCAAGAAAAACUUUCUUUUUGUCUACUCAUGCUUUUACUGUUUUGUGCCCCCAUGAAGUAGAUAGCUCAGCGUUCGGACAUCUACAUAAGCUACUCCGACGUCGGUGAAGUCCUUAUAAUUCUAAGUAUGAGACUUCAUCUUUCGUUCUCAUGGUUCAUUUGGAAAAUAAUUUUGUAAAUUCAACUUCUGUAGUUGCUCUGAUAUUUCCCACUUAGGAUUGAAAUUGAGGCCGGAGGCCAUGUGAAUUUUAUGUGUGCCUUAACUUGUGUGUGCUGCCUGUUGAGAUUAUUAGAUUGUCGGUAAUUGCAGGUGUUAAUUUGGAGAAAGUCCAUUUUAGAGAGGAGACUUUACCGAAAAUUUCGGUAGAAGUCUCGACCCUUUUAUCUUAAAAGUUUGGGUGAAAGGUGUAAAUUUAGUAGUGGGUCCGGCAUCUCUUAGGUGUCGGUCAGAUAGCAGGAUUCGACACGAGUUCCAAUGGGAAAUUCGGGUCGGGUCCUGUUAAUGGAGAUGGUUUGAGGUAGAAUUUUCUCCUAUUUCAAUUGGACAAUGAUGAGCUCUAUGUAACAACAAAUUUCUUUAAUAAUGAUAACUAAAAAAAGUGUGAUUCAUUGAAUAUUUGAGGGGUUUUGUUCUAAGUUAACACAUCAAAUUCCUUUUACACCAUCAAAUUCAAAAAAUUUAUUCAACCAUCUCGACCUUAUGCUAAAAAUUUAUUUUGUUCAAACGUAACGUACUAGGUAUUUAUUUUAUAUCAACGAGUACGAUGGUCCAUAUAAGUAUUCUAAUCAUUCACUCCAGUUGCAGGCCCUAAUAAUUUAGAAGGGCUGAUGGUCUUUUUUUUUUUUUUUUUUUUUGGUUGAGAAAUUCUAUGAUUGCAUUCAUAAUUCAGCCAAAAAAGUCACUAGCCAAAAAAGGUUGUUACAAUAACAGAGCGGUCUAAUAUCAAAAUUAAGACAAUCUGGUAUGCCUCCACUAACAAUCAAGCGGGCCAAUGAUCUUUCAUUUGAUGAAAGCUUCUAUCUACCGACCCCGCUAUAUGAACUAUGCAAUGGUGAUGGUGUUACAUUGCUAAAAACAAAAAGUCAAGGUUUCUUAUUAAUGUUAAUGAAGGCAUAGCAAAAAAUUUGUAGCUCCAAUAGUUCAGAGCAGUUACCCAUGCACUUGAAAUUCUGUGUUUGAAUGCCCUCUCCCCUAAUAUUGCUUGUAUAAAAAUAAAAACUUCUAAAAAGACAUUAAUAUUGUAUUCUAUAUUCUAUAAAGUGUUGGACAUGUUUUACAUUGUUGACAACCCCUUAACAUUUUGGUGGUGCCUAGUUAUAUUCAAUUCGUAUGUAUUUAAUUUGCCACUUACAUUCUUUCCUUAAUACAUUUAGGCUUAUUUUUAUACUAAUUUCUCUAACAUAACUUUUGCACAUUCUUUUAGUCUCUAAUAUAUAUAUUUUUUAAUAAAUAAUCUUACCCACUUGAGUUAUAAACUAUUUUCUUUUAGCACAGAAAAUUGACAUUUUGACAAAGAGUUGAAAACCACUCCCCAAUUUUAAUGUCAACCACUUGAAAAAAAAAACAUAAAUUUAAUGAAAACAAUUACAUUUAGCAAUGCAACCUAAAAACUCAACCUUUGCCCCCCUUUCGCAACCCAGAUAGCAGGGUGAGGAUAUUCGGAUAAGAACCAAGACAGAAGCCAAAGGAACUGCGAUAGCCAACCAGAGGCUCCAUUUCUUACCAUCUGAACAACGCCACCAUUUUGUUUGGUAAGUAUUUAAUAACAUUUCUUGCUCUACAUAAAGUAAUAUUAAAACGAAAUUUGCCUAAAUUUUUCUUACCAGCAAUCCAUAUGGAAAAAGAAAAAAAGAAAAAAGAAAAAUACAAUUAUACUCAAUAUAGGAGCCCAAAUUAUUUAUAGUUAAAAAAUCCCUAUAUGAAAUGAACUUUAGAAACACACUCAAAACCUAUUUACAACAAAACAAAAAGACUUUUAACUUCUUUUAAAUUACAAAACUAUCAUUGAUUUCUUAAACAAACCCAACCCCAAAACCUCAUAAAUAAAAAAAGCUCAAAAUACUCAAUAAAACAUCAAAGUAAUUUAAUAAUUAAAAUUAAAUUCAAUAGGGACAUCUGUUAUUUUUUGGGUUUUUUUGUUUGUUUAUAGAAAUUAAAUGAUGUAGAAUCUAUCUAUAUUAUUAGUGCUAAGAAUGGAUAUGUGACUAUAUAACUCAAAAAAAAUUUAUAGUAAAUCUACAAUUUUUUUUUAAACAAAAAUCUAUAGAAUCUUUUAUUAGAUCAAUAAUCAAUAGUCACUACUAGAAAAUCUUCAUAUAAGCCACUAAUACACCCGUAACUUAUACAAAUGUGAGCUACUGACAAACCUGUAGCCAAAGAGUAUUGGCCACCUACCACACGACAGUGGUCCAAGCAUAAUGUUGUCAUUCAUUAUUCCCCACAGCAACCAGCAUCCAAUAAAGGGCUGGGCCCCACCCAUAUUCCACCUCUCUUUGUGAAUAUAAAAGAAAUAUUUUUUAUUCAACAUGGACGCAGAAACUGUUGCUAAACUGCAAACUUCUUAAAAUAUUUGUCUCACUUUCUAGAUCCAUGUACUGAGAUUUAUUAGGGAAAUAUUGUAGAAACUGAUUAUUUUGAAAUAUUAAAUGUGAAAAACUGAACAAAAAUUUGAUGGAUUACAUAUUUCAACUCAUUUCAGCAGCUUAGAUUUUGAAGACCUCUGAAGAGGCUAUGCAAUGAGCCUGGCUAUAGUACACUGUUGAUCACUUCAGUGUCUACCGAUCUGUAAUUUUUCCAGAUUGGUUAUAUUUUCCUUUACAUAUGUAUGCUUAUAUUAUUCCCAGCUGUAAGUGUUUUAGCAACAGGGUUACAAACUUCUUCUACAACACACCAACAUGAAUCUAGCCCUGAUCCACUCUUCACAUACUUGAAAACAAAACAAAACACGAAAAACAAAAAACAAGAUAGGGAGAAAAUGGCCUUGAUCAAUAACAGAGAUAAUAGAGUACACUGUUUAGGGUGAGUAUCAGAAGAAUAAUAGCCGCAAAGAGAGAAAUAGCUGCCCAAGGUGUGUUGAAAUACUUUUGUCUCAAAUUUGCCUUCCAUCUGUUCGUGGUCUUCUUGCAGUACUCGUUUAGUUUGCCAGCAAGAUCACCAAAAUAGUAGUUUUCGGAGCAACUUUACUGCAAAGCUUGUUAAUCAUAAUGGAAACCUGAUUGUUGUCACCUAGCGUGUUUACAACAAUUCCAUUGUCAACAAGCAACUCUACAUCCUUUGGGGUGUUUACAAAUUUAUCCAGGAUGAAAACAUAAUCGCUUAUGUAUUUAUCCACGCAAUGGCAUUGUUCAAAGGCAAUGAGAUUUCUAUGUGUAAGCUCUGUGUAAUCAUGUAUUUCAAUUUUUGGAAUUUCCAAGGUGUUUUUCUUGAACUGUAUAUCGAAUAAGUUCUUGCUUGAUCCCACGUUAAACUUAACUCCGGCCUGGUGUAGUUUUGUCAUGCUGGGUGUACUUUGGAGCCCUACAUUUUCUUUUAGGGUCGGAUCUGGCAGAUGUAAAGGUUUUUUAGGAUCAGGUGGCAUAAAAGACUUACGGAAGGCUGGUGAGUUCUCCAAGUUUUUUCUAAACGGAAGAACCUGUAAGAGAGUUCAAUUAUUGAAGGCUCCCCAGUCUGAGCAGCUGUGAGAUUGUAAAGAUCCUCGAGAAUGAAAAAUGGCAGCUGAUUUUCGAGCAUAAGCAUGUCAGGCAAUAUAUUUUGUGGCACCCAUGGUUUUUUAAAUAUCCAAGCAUUAUCAUCCUGCAAUUUUUCUUCCUGAAAUUUUUCUUCGGAUUUAUUCCUCAACAAUAGCUCAAUGACAAAGGCGGCGUCAACUAGAAUGAUAUUCACAAAAGCAGCAAUGUUAAAACUUCUUAGUGUCUUCAUAACAAUGACGGAGAUCACCUUCUCUCUCCUUUAUUUUCUCUAAAUAAUCCUUCAAUCCUACUACUUUAGUCCGAUUAAGAAAGCAUUUUAGGUACCUGAGUUUGUGAUCUUCCAUGGCUUCUAAGUUUUUGCUGGCAUGGUGAAGUGGGUCUAUUGAGACUACUUGUGGUGUGUAGGCCUUUUGUUUUACGUUCCGUAGUCGCUCAGGCACCCUGUAGAUCCAGCAGGCAGGGGACAGGGCACGCAAGUUUGUCAACCGAUUUUCCAUGGAAGUUGCUUGGUUUUCUAUGUCAAAAGAAGCUUCAUUGCUGCUUUCUUCCACUUUCUUCAUCCCCGUAUGUGUUGUUCUGAUUGUAAGUGACGAGGAUGGUGAUGAUUCUAGACACCAUAAUCAACAAAUGUUUCAAUCAUAAUUGACAUUUCAAGAUGCUCCGACAAAAAAUUAGAAAACAUUCAUCACACAAUGCGAACUCAUACAAUAGAUGGGUUGAGAAGAUCCACACAUUGCAAUCAUACAAUCCAAUUGCACAGGGAUUAGUCCCUAUUCUCCUCUCUCUCUCUCUCUCUCUCUCUCUCUCUCUCUCUCUCUCUCUCUCUCAAAAAGAUUUUCAUAUCGAUAACAUCUUAUUGCAAGGGACUGGUACAUCAAGUAGUGAAGAACAGAAAUUCAUAUUCUUUCAAUCAAAAUGUAUAAAUUUUGAAAAAGUUUGUUUUAUUUUUGGGGGAAAAAAAUCUGAACAUAUAUGUAUGUGCAUAUUAUACGUAGAUCUAAGGUGAAAACAGACCAGAUUUUUACUCCAUUUUUCAUGAGGUUUAAGUUCAUGAUGUAUAUAUUUAUCUCAAGUGUAACAUCUCACAUCGAUCAACGGAGAUGAGGUGAUGUGUCUUAUAUGUACAUGCUCGCCUCCAUCUAGCACAAGGCCUUUUGGGAGAUCACUGGCUUCGGAGUCAUAGGAACUCCGAAGUUAAGCGAGUUGGGGUUAGAGCAAUCCCAUAAUGGGUGACUCACUGGGAAGUUGCUCUUGAGUUCCCAAAAACAAAACUGUGAGGACAGAGAGGGGGGCCCAAAGCGGCCAAUAUUAUUCUACGGCAGAGCCGAUCCUGGGAUGUGACAAUUUGGUAUUAGAGCCACACUGCCGUGUGGUGCGAGUGUGCCGAAGAGGACGUUGGGCCCUUGAGGGGGGUGGAUUGUAACAUCUCACAUCGACCAACAGCGAGGGAGUGAUGUGCCUUAUAUGUACAUGCCCGCCUUCAUCUAGCACGAGGCCUUUUAGGAGCUCACUCACUUCGGAGCCAUAGGACCACCAUCCCAAGUUCAAUAUACAACCCAACAACCAUCUUAGCCAUCUUCUCAUUGAUCUUCCACCCAGCAUCCAACACUAUCUUCAUAAACUCUUUAGCUUAAUAUCUCUGUUGCUUUUGUUUUUUGUUUUUUUUAAUUUAAAUUUUUUAGUUUUUUUUUUUGGUUGGUGCAGAUUCAAUGAUAAAGAACAUCGAACUCGUCGCAACAUCCUGCCCUAGAUCCGAACUCUACCACCAUCACAACCCUCCCUCUCUCGAUCUCCAACCAACCUUAACACCCAACUUCAAAUCUUGGUUGUUUGAAACUCAGCCCCCUUCUCAAACCCCACCCUCUCUCUCUCUCUCUCUCUCUCUCUCUCUCAAAAUCAACAAGAUUUUCAUGUCAAUAAGAUAAGAUCUCAUUGCAAGUGACUUGUAGAUGAAGUGGGAAAGAACAAAAAGUCAUAUUCUUCCAAUCAAAACGUAUCAAGUCUAACAAAAUUUCUAGUUAGUUUGCUUUAUGAUAGUUGUUUUUUGAAGGGGUCCUUAGAUCCAAUCUCAAAAAGUUUGACUUUUAUUAUGUUUAACUCUGGUUUUUGCAAAUUUUUUUUUUUAUCUCUACCCACUAACUUUUAUCUCUCAUUUUUAUUACCCAUUUUACCCUUUAAAAUAAAUAUGGUAAUAAACUAAAAAUUCUGAUUCAAUGCAUGUUCAUAAGAGAAUUAAGGCCCCGUUUGGGAUUGCUUUUUUUCGUCAAAAACUUGUUUCACUUUAAAGUUAAGCAGUUUAAGGUGUUUGGUAAAAAUAAAAUAUCCUGAUUAUUUUAAAAGCAGUGGCCUUUUGACAGCUGCUUUUAAAAGCAGGUUCUGGGUUGCUUUUCAAAGCUGCUUUCAAAAGAAGCAAAGAUGAACUUUUAAUGAAUGUUUUUUAAUUCCCAAAAUACAAUCAUUCAUUUUAAAAAAUGACACCACCUCCACUUCCACAUCCAACUCCACCACUUGCACCACCACAUUCACUACCUCCACAACCACCGCCAUUACCACCACCACCACAUCCUUCUCCUCCUCAUCCUCCGCCACCACCACCAGAAGCAGAUCCAGAAAUUUUUCAGGAGAGGGGCAAUAAUGAUUUUGAUACUGCCCAAUUAAAAACAUAUUAUGAAAACCAGACCCUUAGUUAAUUUAAAGAUUAAUUAGCACGAUAAAAUAAAUACAUAAUUAAUAAUAAAAAUAUAUUAUCACAGUGAAAGAUUAGAUCAACAAACAAGUAGUAUCAAUCAAAUCCUAAUUAAACAAAAACUCUAAUAUCAAAGUGUGAUUUGAGAUCAUUGUGCAAGGACUCUUCUUCGUUGUUGUUUUUUAUUAUUUAAUUUUUUUGACAGAUGGGCUUCUUCAAAUUGGGAGCAUUGAGGUAAGCCUUUUGGUAUUACAUUAUUAUUAUUAUUAUAAUGAAAUAUUUAUUAUAACAACCAAGUAAUUGAAGCCAAACAAUGAAUCUUGAAACGGUUUGCACAAAAAACGAAGAGUUUGAAUUUUUGAAAAACACUUCAUUUAAACCAUUAAACAUAGAUCAAGGACGACGCCGUUUGUGACAAAUAAAAAUAGGGUUGUCUUCUUCAUUCGUGAACCAGAGCCUCCAUCAGGACACACCUCUACAACUCCUCCUCUACAACACAGUGUGUGCCUCAAUCGUGUAACUUGCCAUUUGCGAUUCAGGAGGCCUUAGAUCGUCGCACUCACGAGAUGCGCCUUGAUACACUUUUAAACGCUAGANNNNNNNNNNNNNNNNNNNNNNNNNNNNNNNNNNNNNNNNNNNNNNNNNNNNNNNNNNNNNNNNNNNNNNNNNNNNNNNNNNNNNNNNNNNNNNNNNNNNNNNNNNNNNNNNNNNNNNNNNNNNNNNNNNNNNNNNNNNNNNNNNNNNNNNNNNNNNNNNNNNNNNNNNNNNNNNNNNNNNNNNNNNNNNNNNNNNNNNNNNNNNNNNNNNNNNNNNNNNNNNNNNNNNNNNNNNNNNNNNNNNNNNNNNNNNNNNNNNNNNNNNNNNNNNNNNNNNNNNNNNNNNNNNNNNNNNNNNNNNNNNNNNNNNNNNNNNNNNNNNNNNNNNNNNNNNNNNNNNNNNNNNNNNNNNNNNNNNNNNNNNNNNNNNNNNNNNNNNNNNNNNNNNNNNNNNNNNNNNNNNNNNNNNNNNNNNNNNNNNNNNNNNNNNNNNNNNNNNNNNNNNNNNNNNNNNNNNNNNNNNNNNNNNNNNNNNNNNNNNNNNNNNNNNNNNNNNNNNNNNNNNNNNNNNNNNNNNNNNNNNNNNNNNNNNNNNNNNNNNNNNNNNNNNNNNNNNNNNNNNNNNNNNNNNNNNNNNNNNNNNNNNNNNNNNNNNNNNNNNNNNNNNNNNNNNNNNNNNNNNNNNNNNNNNNNNNNNNNNNNNNNNNNNNNNNNNNNNNNNNNNNNNNNNNNNNNNNNNNNNNNNNNNNNNNNNNNNNNNNNNNNNNNNNNNNNNNNNNNNNNNNNNNNNNNNNNNNNNNNNNNNNNNNNNNNNNNNNNNNNNNNNNNNNNNNNNNNNNNNNNNNNNNNNNNNNNNNNNNNNNNNNNNNNNNNNNNNNNNNNNNNNNNNNNNNNNNNNNNNNNNNNNNNNNNNNNNNNNNNNNNNNNNNNNNNNNNNNNNNNNNNNNNNNNNNNNNNNNNNNNNNNNNNNNNNNNNNNNNNNNNNNNNNNNNNNNNNNNNNNNNNNNNNNNNNNNNNNNNNNNNNNNNNNNNNNNNNNNNNNNNNNNNNNNNNNNNNNNNNNNNNNNNNNNNNNNNNNNNNNNNNNNNNNNNNNNNNNNNNNNNNNNNNNNNNNNNNNNNNNNNNNNNNNNNNNNNNNNNNNNNNNNNNNNNNNNNNNNNNNNNNNNNNNNNNNNNNNNNNNNNNNNNNNNNNNNNNNNNNNNNNNNNNNNNNNNNNNNNNNNNNNNNNNNNNNNNNNNNNNNNNNNNNNNNNNNNNNNNNNNNNNNNNNNNNNNNNNNNNNNNNNNNNNNNNNNNNNNNNNNNNNNNNNNNNNNNNNNNNNNNNNNNNNNNNNNNNNNNNNNNNNNNNNNNNNNNNNNNNNNNNNNNNNNNNNNNNNNNNNNNNNNNNNNNNNNNNNNNNNNNNNNNNNNNNNNNNNNNNNNNNNNNNNNNNNNNNNNNNNNNNNNNNNNNNNNNNNNNNNNNNNNNNNNNNNNNNNNNNNNNNNNNNNNNNNNNNNNNNNNNNNNNNNNNNNNNNNNNNNNNNNNNNNNNNNNNNNNNNNNNNNNNNNNNNNNNNNNNNNNNNNNNNNNNNNNNNNNNNNNNNNNNNNNNNNNNNNNNNNNNNNNNNNNNNNNNNNNNNNNNNNNNNNNNNNNNNNNNNNNNNNNNNNNNNNNNNNNNNNNNNNNNNNNNNNNNNNNNNNNNNNNNNNNNNNNNNNNNNNNNNNNNNNNNNNNNNNNNNNNNNNNNNNNNNNNNNNNNNNNNNNNNNNNNNNNNNNNNNNNNNNNNNNNNNNNNNNNNNNNNNNNNNNNNNNNNNNNNNNNNNNNNNNNNNNNNNNNNNNNNNNNNNNNNNNNNNNNNNNNNNNNNNNNNNNNNNNNNNNNNNNNNNNNNNNNNNNNNNNNNNNNNNNNNNNNNNNNNNNNNNNNNNNNNNNNNNNNNNNNNNNNNNNNUACAAACCACAACCACCAACUCCACGUUCAUCACCACCACUACCUCCACUCCACCACUACCAUUACUACUACCACAACAUGAUUAGUACAUAACACUUUUAACAUCAUGUCUAUUUUAGUCAUUAUUCACAUUUACAACAAUUUUAUAUUAAAAUUUACCAAACGGUUUUGACACUGCUUUUUGUACUAACAGCACUUUAAAAAUAUUGUUUAUCAAACAUGGAGUGCUUUACUUUACAGCUAAUUAUUUUCAAAGCACAGCAAAAGCAAAUUUUUUUAAAAGUGACAGCAAUCCUAAAAAUUCUAUACUCUAACACAAAAAAUAAAAACUAAAAACAAAAAUUAAAAUGGUUAUCAAACAUACACUUAUAUUACAAAGAAAAUAUCAAAUAUUGAACUCAUCAUAAGAGAACACAGAAAAACCUCACCGCUUGCAACUCGUACACCACCACUACACGAACAACUGCUAAUUAAAAUGAGUCACAUGUGGUACUUAACUCUAAAAACUUAUUCAGAUUAUAUAUCGUACUCCUCGAUCAAAACAACCAUGAAACAUAAGUGAUUUAAACCUCUAGGCAAAUGGAAGGUAUAUAACAAUUUAUAGAACAAUACAGUAAUCCAGAAGAAAUAUUAUGAAAUAAAAAGAAUAAAAAGUAAAAAAAGAGAAGGAAAGGAAUUCCCACCUGAUAUGUAUAAGUAUGAAAGGAAGGACCAAGUUUGUUUUGCCUUUGGUUAAUGACUAGAAAAGCUCACUUGCAUAUUGCUUUCUCCGGCCGUAGAUGCAAGAGAAAUUUUCUCUUAAUAAUAGCACAAUGAUCGGGUAAUUGUAAGAACAAGUUGAUUUUAAAUUCAGGUCAAGUCGUAGAUUUCUUGCCUUUUCUAUUCUCCUUCCUUGGACAUGAGCUGUUUAAUCUUGGACUCUUCCCCCAUCAUGUUGGGCCUGUCUUCUUCUUGAGGAUUGUAUAGGCCCAGGAAAUGCUUCAAGGUAGUUUUUGUGUUUUGGGCCUUGAGACCCAACUUCACAAAAAGAAAAUAGAUUUGACCAAAAAACAAAUUUGAAGGAUAUUGAAAUUGUACCUGUAGGAUAGGUUAAAACACCAUAAGGGAGGUAAAUAGUACGUUUACAGAAUUUAAGUGUAAUAAUUGAAUAAAAACAUGCCCAGAGGAUUGAUAAGUGAUAUCAAUUCUUGAAUAUACAGAACGUAAAAUAAAGGAACACGUAGAAAAUUAUUUUAUGUGGUAAAACUCUAUCUCUGGGGAACAUCCACGGGGCUUUUUAGUCCAAAAUAAUCCAUUAUAGAACGAUGAUUACAAGAAGUAUUCACACACUUAUCCUAGACACAUUCUAGAUUAUGUUUACUGACCUCUUCUCAACUUCUGUCUCGAGAUGAUCUUUCGACACUCCUUAUGUUGAACGCAAUACUGGUCACGAUUUCUUCAAGCUCCCUAGAGUUCUUCCAACUCUCCUUGUAUUGAAUCCGACACUAGUCACGAUCGAUUCAAGCUCAUUGGAGAAAAACUGCCACAACGGUCUUAGUGCCCUCAAUCGUAUGAGUCACUGAACAUGCAAAUGAAUACAAUAUAAAUGAUAAAAGUGUUUGAUAAAUCACCAAGUUAUAGAACACUUGAUGAUUUAUCUCAAAUAAAAAUUCAGCUUUACAAAGUUUAUGAUGAAUUGAAAAUAUGAUCGUUAAAGCUAUCUAAACAAAGAAGACGAAGGUCUUAUUUUAUAGAAUUUUUCUUUACAAGAAAGAAAACACGUUGAAAACCAAAUCUCCAAUUUUCAAGGCUUGACAGAAAAUCACAAAAGUAUCUUUCCUAUUCUAGAGAUUGGUCACAUGUAGUUCAACCAAUAGGAAAUGAGAUAUUCAAGAAAGCAAGAUUUUGAUCAAUAUCAAUAUCAGAUCAAUUCUUAUACGCCUAGUCAACUAUUAAGGGUAUCUUGACUCCUUGAUGUUGUGAUAUGAUUGAAACAUGAUUUCCAUGUUAGAAAAUUAAAGGGAUGUUAAAACAUGAAAGUAAUAGAGAAUCAAAUUGAUGUGGACCAAAAUUGCCUAAAAAGAAAACACUCCUAAAUAAACUUCAAUUCACUUUUAAAAAACAGUAAAACAUGAUUGAUCGUUCUUUAAAACAAUUCCCUAAAUAUACAUGCAUGAUAAUGAUAUCACUUACCCUUAAAUCAAAUUGUCACGCCCCGGACCCGAGGGUCGGGUGGAAACCUCACCGCCCAGUGCGUGAGAAAAUAAAAAGAAAAUAAAAUAAAAAGAAGCCGAACAGGGUUUAAAAUAAACUUCUCUUAUAAAAAUAACUCCAAUCUACAACUUUACAAGAAAUAACUAANNNNNNNNNNNNNNNNNNNNNNNNNNNNNNNNNNNNNNNNNNNNNNNNNNNNNNNNNNNNNNNNNNNNNNNNNNNNNNNNNNNNNNNNNNNNNNNNNNNNNNNNNNNNNNNNNNNNNNNNNNNNNNNNNNNNNNNNNNNNNNNNNNNNNNNNNNNNNNNNNNNNNNNNNNNNNNNNNNNNNNNNNNNNNNNNNNNNNNNNNNNNNNNNNNNNNNNNNNNNNNNNNNNNNNNNNNNNNNNNNNNNNNNNNNNNNNNNNNNNNNNNNNNNNNNNNNNNNNNNNNNNNNNNNNNNNNNNNNNNNNNNNNNNNNNNNNNNNNNNNNNNNNNNNNNNNNNNNNNNNNNNNNNNNNNNNNNNNNNNNNNNNNNNNNNNNNNNNNNNNNNNNNNNNNNNNNNNNNNNNNNNNNGAUUUCAAUUGGUAUUCAGAGCGUCAGCUCUUAAUACAAAUAGAGAGAUCCUAGGAUUUGUUUUGGUGUUUAGGUGUGCUCACUGUGGAACGGGAUCGAGUUGCUGGAUCUUGCAACUCCCCUCCUUAUUUUGAUGGAAACAACUACGCUGCUUGGAGAGAAAAAUUUGAGAUAUUCCUUGAUGCUCUUGAUGAGUACGCAAGUGAGUAUCUCACAAAAGAGUGGGUUGCUCCUGUCAAGACUGUUGAGAGUAAUGUUGUGCCCAAGCCUAGGUCGGAAUGGACUGAAGCUGAGGUGUUUGCUGCAUAUUCAAACAAGAAGGCCAGAAAUGCCUUAGUUACAGCCUUGUCUAGCACACAAUUUUCACAUAUACAACACAUCCUAAAUGCGAAACAGGCUUGGGAUAAACUAAGGGUGGUUCAUGAAGGGGAUGACCAAGUUAGAUCCCUAAAACUUCAGAUGAUGCCUGCACAAUUUGAAGAACUUAGGAUGUCUGAAACUGAGUCUAUUUCUGAGUUCUAUGGGAGAGUUGAGAUGAUCACUAAUGAAGCCAUGAGUCUCGGUCAACCUAUUGAUGAGCUUCUUGUUGUUCAGAAAAUCCUUCGUGUUCUACCAUCUAGGUUUAGAGCAAAGAAAACCGCAAUCAUGGAGGUCCAAAACUUAAAUGAAAUUAAGCUUGGCAAGCUCGUAGGAAAAUUGAAAACCUAUGAGAUGGAGUUGAAUAUGGAAAAGAAUGACACUAAAAAAUCAAAAAAUGUUGCACUUCAAGGAGUGAAUGAUUCCUCUCUGAAAGGUGGUGAAAAAUCCUCAGGUUUUGAGGAUGAGAUGGCUUUGUUUGUCAAAAAAUUUAGGAGAAUUCUUAGGGAUAAAGGAAAGUUUGCUAGAAAGGGCAGCUCUGGUAGUGAGAGACAAGUUAGACCAUCAACUGAUCAGUCUAAUGAGAGGAACAAGGAUGUCAAACCUUUCACUAAAGAUUUUAGAAAAUCUGUCAAGUGCUUCACAUGUGGAGGCAUUGGGCACUAUGCUGCCCAUUGUGCAAACAAUCAGAAAAAAUACUCCAAAGGAAAGGACAAGGCCAUAAAAGUUAGCUGGAGUGAGAGUGAAAGUGAAGUGUCUCAAGGGGAUUCAUUUUUCUCUGAUAAUGAUGACCAACAUGUUGCUUUUGUUGCCUCUGUGCAGUCAGUGUCUGAUAAAUCUGAUUCUGAGUCAGAUGACCUGUCAUACGAGUGAUUAGGAAGAAAAUAUGAUUGUUUGUUCAAAGAGACAUUGUCUUUGAAAGAAGAGAGCCUCAAACUUGAGGCCAACAACCAUGAACUUCAACAUGAAAUCCUCAUCUUAAAAGAAACCAAAAAGGAGUUGAGUGACAAAUUUGUGUCUCUAGAAAAAGAAUUUGUUGCACUUGUGUCAAUUAGGAGUAAUCUUGAAAAUCAAGUUAAUGUGCUCAAGGAAAGUAACAUUGGUUUCCAGAACUCAAACAAAUUGCUCCUAGGUAAAUUGAAUGAAGCAAAAAAGUAAGGUUAUAUCUAUGACCAUUGGUGCCUCAAAAAUUGACAAAAUGUUGACUAUGGGAAAACCUCAUGGGGACAAAGGUGGUCUUGGAUUUAAUCAUUUUGAUUCUAGUUCGUCUAGCUCUACCACUAGGUUUGUCAAUUCAAAAACUCCAACCAUGGCUUCUCUUGAUGCUCAGCCGGUAGUCAAGAAACCUAAGUUUGUUCCAACUUGUCACUGGUGUGGGUUGACUGGUCAUAUUCGAUCAAUCUGUCUUAUGUACAAAAAGGAUAAGACUAGAAAAUUGUCUUCAAAAUCUAAAAAUCCAAGAUCUUUGCAAGAUCAGGUUGAUCAUUUGCUAAAAGAAGUAACUAAGAUUGCAAAACUUGUCUCCCUUAAAAUGUGUUCACCUAUUGUGCCUAAGUCUACUUGGGUUGAAAAAGGUCAUACCAAAUGUCUUGUUGUGCUAAAUGCUUUUGCUGCAUCAAACACCAACUCUUGGUACUUUGAUAGUGGCUGUUCCAAACAUAUGUUUGGUGAUAAGAGUGUCUUCUCAUCUCUCAGUCCUUUUGAUGGAGGCACUGUGACUUUUGGUGGAGGUCACAAGUCUCAAGUUUUUGGAAAAGGUACUGUUUGUAUCCCUGGUUUACCCGAGCUUAAGAAUGUUAGAUGUGUUAAGGGUCUUACAUCCAAUCUCAUUAGUGUGAGUCAGCUGUGUGAUGAUGGAGUAAUAGAAGUUAGAUUCUCCAAGCAUGGGUGCAAAAUCGUUGGAAAAUGUGGCAAUGAGAUUGUGAGCGUGACUAGGUCUAGGGACAAUUGCUAUUGUAUUGAUGGUGUCAAUGAUGAAAAAGAAGUAGUUUGCAAUAAGGUUGUGAAUGAAACAAGUGUCUUGUGGCAUCAAAGGCUUGGACAUGUGAACUUUAGAGACUUGCAUAAAUUGUCCAAGAAAGAGUUAGUGAGUGGAUUACCAAAGCUUGACAAAUCUGAUCAACAUGUUUGUGAAGGAUGUCAAUUGGGGAAGCAAGUUAGAGUGUCUCAUAAGAAGGUCAAACACAUUCAAACACAAGUAAGCCUUGAACUUGUUCACAUGGACAUUGUUGGUCCUAUCCAAACCUUGUCCCUUGGUGGAAAGAAAUAUAUUCUUGUCAUGGUUAAUGAUUUCUCUAGGUUCACUUAAGUCUCAUUCUUACGUGAGAAAUCUGAAACUUUUCUAAGGUUUAAGUCUGUUUGUCAUCUUUUGCAAAAAGAAAAGAUGACUAGUCAUCUGCCUCUUGUUAGAAUUAGAACAGAUCAUGGUUCUGAGUUUGAGAAUUCUCAGUUUCUGAAAUUUUGUGAAGAAAUGGGAAUUAAGCAUGAGUUCUCUGCACCUAUUACACCUCAACAAAAUGGUGUUGUGGAGAGAAAGAAUAGAGUUCUUGUUGAGAUGGCUCGGGUGAUGCUCAAUAGCAACAAUCUUGCUAAACAUUUUUGGGCUGAAGCUGUAAGUACAGCUUGUUAUAUCUCAAACAGGGUAUUUUUGAGGUCUGGUACCAAACAAACUCCCUAUGAGAUUUGAAAAGGAAAGAAGCCUAAUGUGUCAUAUUUUAGAGUCUUUGGUAGCACAUGCUAUAUUUUGAAAGAUAGGGAGCAUCUUCCUAAGUUUGAUUCUAAGUGUGAUAAGGGAAUAUUUCUAGGGUGUUCCACUUUAAGCCGAGCUUAUAGAGUGUACAACUGUAGGACCAGAACCAUCAUUGAGUCCAUAAAUGUCAAAAUUGAUGAUUUUGCUGCCUCUACUGAGAUGGCAUUAGAUGAGAAUGGUCUUUUUUCUCCUCAUCUCGUGCAAGAAUCUCUAGGUCUGGAUCUUGUAGUUGACCUGUCAACUUUCGGAAAUUUUGUCCCAGUUGACCUGUCAACUCCUUCAACCUCUAGUUCCAUCUCAUCUAUCCAAGUUGUCAGCUCCCAUGCUGAUCAUAGCCCUCUCACUCAAACUGAGAGUGUCAUUAUUGGUCCUCUUAAUCAGGGAGUGAGAACUAGGAAAUAAUUAGCUCAAGAAAUUAGUCAUGUGUGUUAUGUCUCAAAAGAAGAACCUAAGAAUGUGAAAGAGGCGUUGAACCAUGGUGAAUGGUUUCUUGCAAUGCAAGAAGAGCUGAAUCAGUUUGUUAGAAAUGAUGUUUGGUACCUUGUUCCCAGACCUACCAAUACAAAUGUUGUAGGUACUAAGUGGAUUUUCAAGAACAAAACUGAUGAGCAAGGUAAUGUUGUUAGAAACAAAGCUAGAUUAGUUGCUCAAGGUUACACUCAAAUGGAAGACAUUGACUUUGAUGAAACUUUUGCCCCUGUUGCAAGACUAGAAUCAGUUAGAUUACUUCUUGCUAUUGUUUGUCACUUAAAAUUCAAACUUUAUCAAAUGGAUGUCAAAACUGCUUUUUUGAAUGGUAUUUUAAAUGAAGAGGUCUAUGUUGAACAACCAAAGGGUUUUGAAGAUCCACAUCAUCCAAAUGAUGUGUUUCAGUUAAAAAAGGCACUCUAUGGUUUGAAACAAGCUCCUAGAGCAUGGUAUGAGAGGUUAUCUUCUCAUCUUCUAAGAAAUGACUAUGUUAGAGGGUCAAUUGACAAAACUUUGUUUGUCAAAAGGUUCAAAAAUGAUGUCUUGAUUGCUCAAGUGUAUGUUGAUGAUAUUAUGGUUGGUUCUACCUCUGACUUGCAUGUUCAAGAGUUUAUUCAUGUCAUGACUAGUGAAUUUGAGAUGAGUCUUGUAGGUGAGCUUAACUAUUUCUUAGGUCUUCAAAUCAAACAAAGCCAUGAUGGGAUCUUUGUAUCUCAAUCGAAAUAUGCAAAAAAUCUUGUGGAAAAGUUUGGUUUUGAGGAUGCAAAAUCUGCAAGAACUCCAAUGAGCACUAGUGCUAAAAUUCAUAGAGACUUGCAUGGCAAAAGUGUGGAUCAAACUCUCUAUAGAAGUAUGAUAGGAAGUCUUCUCUACUUGACUGCUAGUAGACCAGAUAUUUCUUAUAGUGUUGGAGUGUGUGCUCGGUUUCAAAGUGACCCAAAAGAGUCUCACUUGUUUGCUGUUAAGAGAAUCAUAAAAUAUGUGAGUGGGACUGUUGAGUUUGGGUUGUGGUAUACCUAUGACACUUGUGUCAGUCUGGUUGGUUAUAGUGAUGCCGAUUGGGCAGGUUGUAGAAACCCCUCCCGGGGGGGGGGGGGGGGGGGUCUUUUAUGUAGGCAACAACCUUGUUGCUUGGCAUAGCAAAAAACAAAAUUCUGUCUCCUUAUCCACUACUGAAGCAGAGGAUGUUGCAGCUGGGAGUUGCUGCACUCAACUCCUUUGGAUGAGACAAAUGUUGGAAGCUAUGGUCUUGCUCAAUCAUGCUUUCUCAUCUAUUGUGACAACAUGAGUGCCAUAGACAUUUCUAAAAAUCCUGUUCAACACUCUAGGACUAAGCAUAUAGACAUUAGGCAUCAUUUUAUUAGAGAUCUUGUGGAAGAUAAAAUUCUAUCUUUGGAAUUUGUUCCCUUUGAGAAACAGCUAGCAGAUAUACUCACCAAGGCCUUGGACUUUCAGAAACAUGUCACACUUAGGCAGUCCAUUGGCCUUUGCUCAAUUGAUUGAUUAGCUUGUCUGUUCCUUAUCUUCAGCACAUUGCAGAAUUGUUGACUAGUCAUCUUCGUUUUAGUUGACUAGUCAAAUAUUUUUUUGGUGUGUAAAUGUCUAAAACAUAUGCUUCUUCUGAUCUCUGGUGGUAUGAAGUUUGAAUCAUUUUAUGCUUUGCCUGAUUUGUGGAUAAUUCCCCCCUUCUUGUUUGGAGCCAUUAGAUGAAAUCUUUUGGUGUUCUUUCGUCCUCUUGUUGAGACAAGUGUUGUGAUCCAUUAUGGACAAUCAUUGUUAUAAUCUCCUAUCUUUUCUCACUCUCUUAGGCAAUUUGUUUAGCAUUAAACAAAAAAUAAAAAAUAAACAAAAAAUAAAAAAAAUAAAAAAAAGUGUGACCAAUGUAGUCACGACUCUAGGAAGGUAUAAGGUGUUAUGAUUGAAGAAUCUAGAGCAAGAGCCGCAAAAUUGGGCCACUCAAGCACUUAAGUCUAGGAUGUGCAAAUAACAAGGAUAAUAAAUGGCCAGAUUGAGUGAUGAAAAUCAAAUAGGUUGGGUUUAUGCCUUGAGUUUGUCUUGAAGGUUUAUUAUAUACUUGUCUCUCCAAGAGGGGUAUUUCUUCUUCUCUUGUGUUCUUCUUUUGGCUCUGAACCUCCUCUGUCCAUUUUGCCUUAUCUCUGAGCAUGAAAUCUAAUUCAUAUUCUAUCUAUCAGAGUUAGUUGCACUUGUUUUUGUUUGCACAUGUGGUUAUCUUCUCUCUCUCUUCCUUCCUGUGCUUGAAGAUUUGGACUAGGCUAUAGUAGCUAAUAGAUCGUUGAUCACUUGAUAUAUUUGCUAGUUCAUGUUUGUGUUUUUUUUUUAAAAACCCACAAUCUUGUCUUCCACAGGGUCGAUACUAACUUUGAUGCGUGUCAUGAUAUUGCCUUAGUUGACUAGUCAUCUAUGCUUAUGGUUGACUAGUCAUCCGGUUGUGUUAUAUUUGAUGCCCGUCAUGUUAUUGCCUUAGUUGACUAGUCAUCAUUUUUGUGGUUGACUAGUCAUCUAGUUCUGCCUGUUUUUGUUAUUGCCUUGGUUGACUAGUCAUCAUGCUCAUUGUGGUUGACUAGUCAUCAGGUUUUUCUCCUGAACAAUACGUCCUUUUCUUUAGCGGUUAUUCUUAUUAUUUUAUUUUUUUUUCAUUUUUUUUUCUUCUCUUUUUUGUGUUUUGAGCGGUUCUUUUUCAUUGGGGUCAGUUUUCGCAUUUUUUCCUUUUUAGGUCUGUUUCCCUCUUCUUCGUUAGAGUCUACUUUCACUCCCGUUCUCUCUCUGUUCUCUUCAGACACAAACCCAGGCCCCCGCUUCCCUUUCUCCCUCUGUGUUAGUCUCUUCGCCCCUUCUUCCCUCUGUUUUUCUCUUCCAAUUUCUUCCCGCUGACCACCAUGUCGUCCUCCGCGCCCUUCCUCACUUACCAGCGCCGCUCCAAAUCCAAAUCCAAUGACAGAGUGGAUUUUAUACCCUCCAUUCCUAGGGCUCCUAGGACUCGCUCUUCUCACUCUGUUCCCGCUGGAGACUCCUCCCCGUUUGUGUCUCCUGAGGCAGCCUCGUUCUUCGAUGGUGUUGUCUCUAAAAGGAAGUUUGUGCCUGAGAGAGCUUACCAAAUUGAUGCUCCCCCCUUAGCGGCCCAGGGUUCUGCAACUCAGAUUUUUGAGCACUGCCAUCUCCAUUCUCUCAACACUCUGUCUGGUAAGUUCAAUGCUUCUGUCGUUAAAGAGUUUUACUCGAAUUUUCCUGCUGAUCCUAAGGGGUCUAAUUAUCAGUGUGUUGUUCGUUAUGUGCCCAUUACUCUGAGACCCUCUGUCAUUAAUAGGGUUUUAGGUUUUCGGUCUUGCCCUGGUUUUGAUUCUGAUCAGUUUGCUCUUGCCUCUUCUCAAUACACUAUUGAUCUAUUUAAAACCAUGGCCUAUACUGAUCAAACAAUGCCCCUGACUUCUAAAGGUGUUCCUAUGAAGUCUUAUCUGUCACCAUUCUACAAAUUUCUAUGGGAUUUUAUCUGUCACAAUGUUCUCCCAACUAGAAAUAAUUCAAACCCCACUUUGGCUGGCUGUCAACUCAUGAUUUCAAUGGUGAAUCAUGAUAAAAUUCCCUUUGGGGAUAUUCUUUAUCAUGCAAUUCUUGGCAAAACCAUAGGUCAUGGUACAAAACACAAAGGGACUCUUGUCUUCCCAUGUCUUAUCCAGCGUCUCUGUGAGAGAAACCAGGUGGUUUUUCUUGACUCUGAUCAGUGCACUCCUCCUAUUGCUCCAUUUGGCAAGGCUUUUGUUGCCCUUAGCCAAAAAGUUUCAAAAACUUUUCUCACCUCUGUGUCAUCUACUUAUGAAAAUGACUAUCUUAGAUCUCAGCUUGCUACCAAGGAGAAACAUAUUCAACAUCUGUUAAGCCUCAUUCCAUCCUCUUUGGUUCCUGCUGCUGCUGCUGCUGAAGUACAUCCUCAGCCGACUCCUGCCACGGAGGUCUCAGAUGAUUCUGUAGAUUCUGAUGAGUCUGCUGAUUCUCUUGUUUUUUAGCUACAGUGAUCUUGUAGGCAAUGUCCUAGAUAGGGGGAGUAUUUUUGGACAAGUAUAUGUUUGUAAUUCCCUUGUGGAAAUUUGUUUUUGCUUGGGUAGUCUGUGCAUCUUGAUAGGGGGAGUUGUGUUGUAUUAUUUUGAACAAGUGAUUUUUGCUUUGUAAUCAACCUAUGCUAUGUGUUUUUCACUUUGUUCAAAUCUGAUUAUCUGCCUUGUGUUUCAUCCCCUUGUAUGCUGACUCUCUCUCCUUGCACUUUCCUUAUCAACAAGGAGGAGAACACUCUCAACCCCCAUAUUGCAUAUUGUUUCAAAAUUCUGUGAUAUAAUAUGCCUGUUUUUGUGCCUGGAAGAUUGGUUGUUCUUGCAGGUAUCCUCACUUCAUCAUCUCCUUAGGCUUGGUUUUGGGUUGAGUGUUGUUAGAGAGUGUGUUGUCAAGGAAAGCCAAAAAGGGAGAGAUUGUUAAUGUAUGCAUUUUGGGUUUUUCUUUUGGCUUCCCUUGACAACUUUGUAAUAGGAUCUCUAUUGUUAUUUAUCAAGCUCAAGUUUAGAUUGAGAAUAGCUUCUCUAGGUGUUCUUAACUAACAACUAUCAUAUGGAGGUUCAUGCAAAUUGGCAAAGGUAAAUUGUGCAUUGCAUAACAUUGCAUUAUACUGUUUUCAUAAAAUGAUGACUAGUCAUAUGUUUCUUGGAUGACUCGUCAUCCUUGCUCUCCAGCUUGAUAACCAACUUUUUUGUCCUAUUCCUUUUUCUCUCUCUGCUGCCACAUGGGAUUCUGACCUAAGGGUAUUUUUUGGUCUGUAUAGGCCUUGCGAUUCCUCUUUUGGCAAGCCGUCUCUUUUGUGUAGAAUUGGAGGAAAGAUUGGUUUUCUAUAUUUCCGUUCUUCUUCCACAAGAAAGAACAAUAUUUCAUCUAUGAGUUUUUCCAAAUUGAUUUCUUUAUGAAAAAACUGCAUUUGAAAUAUGAAUUUGCAUCUAGCUUCAUAAAAACAUUCUCUCAUUUAUAUCUAGGUCAGAUUCACUACUGAUUUCUUCAAGAGUAUGGUUUCUUGAAGAAAUUGGUUAUUCUCCCUUGAAUCCAAAUUUUGGUUUCUGUUUGAGUUGAGCUUGCAAGCUGGUGCCAUGGGAUGAAUGACUGAAGAAGGAGCUGCCAUUGCCAUGAAGAACUGGGCUUCAAGCUUUGCUAAGUUAGAGAAGAAGAUUGCACAAAGGAGGUAUUGCUCAUCUUCCUAAAUAGAUCUAGGUUUUGCUUGAGCUUGCUUGUGUUCCUUUGUAAGAAUCUUUUUCUACUUAGUUGAUUGCCUGGUCGGUUGAUGACCCCCAGUUUUUUCCCAAUGGUGGGUUUCUGGGUGAACAAUUUCUGAUUGCAUUCUUGUAAUUUUUCUGGGUUUGUGUUCUUGGUGGUCGACUAGUCAUCGUAUGAAUUAUGGUUGACUAGUCAUCAUUAUCUGCUGUUUGGUGUUUGCUUGAUUAUGCUGUCUUCACACGUUUUCACCAUAGUUGUUGCUAGCACAGGGGAUGCCUAGAUUGAUGGGUCUUUCUGAGUGCCUAGGUUGUCACUAGUAAUUCUCUAGGCCUGCAGGUACAUCAUGGUAUGUUCUAUGUAUGUUGUUGUUUGGUAUAAUUCAUAUCUGACAGUUGACUAGUCAUAAGAGUGUGUGAAGUUUGUUGCAUUUUUGGCUGAAUAUCUUUUAAGUUUACCCAUCGUCACCUAAGUACCGAUUUCAACAUGAGACCUUGCCACAGUAGAUUGAUAUAACUAAAUAUUAUCAUAAACAUAGAAAUAUAUAAGUAUUAUUAUAAUAGGAUUCAUAAUAAUUAAUAUAAAAGUAUAACAACAACAUUUACAAUUAUGUACCAAGAUAAUUACACAUAAAAAUAUAACCAAUAUAUAUUUAUAUAUAUUUUUUAAAAUACGGAUCUUUACGUAAAUGCCUUUCACGGGUCAAGCCACAAGUCUGUGUUUUGGGGAUUGCAGAGCUGCAUCAAUCUUGCCAAUGUCAAUUCUGACCCUGGGCUCUCUCAAAGCACGUUUAAAACCUAUGCUAACAUAUACUAGAGUUUAUGCUGUAUCUAGAAAAUGCCAACACUAAUUUCGUAACACAUAGAAUUGUUAGAGAUUAGAAGUUUUUAUCAUUUUUUCUUCCAGUCUCUCCACCACUCACUAAUACAGAUUACUCAUGUGAUGAGUUUACAAAACCUAUUUCUCUACUCUCGCAAAGACUAUACUUCUUCUCAAAAGACUAGAUCACUUUACCUCUAUCUCUGUGAAAUGUAAAAAGUUGAAACUUUAAUGUCAAACCUCGACAAAGUGUUCUACUUACAAACUUCUUGUGUCUACCAAUUUCUACAAAAAUUAAUUUCUCUACGGUGCUCAGAUUCAUCAUAUGUGUGUCCUUAAUUUUAGUGGAAAUUGGAAGUUUCCAUAAUUUUUGCUUUAAGUCACUCUUUUGAAGGAAGUUGAGAUUCCACUCCAUAAUCCAAAAUGUCAGGUUGACUUAUGGCAAACAAUGUAAAUAUGUAGGAGUACUAUGACCUUUUAUAGCAUUUUAAGUUUGAAUUUGGGUUUUAUACAUAGAUUUCGAAAUUAAUAGGUUGAUGCCUAGGAAAUAGAAAUUGUAAGGGCCUAUAUUAGACUAGCCCUCUUAAAAAAUAUAUUAAUUAAUGAAUAUUUGUUCUUCUUCUUGUUUUGAAGUAGUGGUGGGAGGCAGACCAACAACAAAAAUAUAGUGAAGGCUUAUAAGAGCAUUUACAAUUAUGCUCCCUAUUUUUUAGUUAAUAUUUAGGUAAAAAUAGAAAAAAGUUAUUAUAUGAGCUCUUUAUAAAAUUUGAACUCCAAUCAUACUCCCUAGUUUAGGGAGUCAAAAAUACUAUAGUUAUUUUUUAAUUCAAAUUGAUUUUGGUUAAUCUCUAUAAAUAAAUAAAAAUAUAAAAAAUAGUUAGCAUUAAUUAAAAGUUUAAACUAUGCAUAAAACAAAGAAACAUUAAAUUAUAGGGAGCCACUAUGAGUCAUUACUCUCUCUUCAGAUUUAGGAGCUCCUAGAGGUCUCCCUAUUUUAUGAGGUGGAUAAAGAGCAUGGUUGGAGUUGUAUUUCUUCAAUUUCCUCUCUAAAAUUUGUCUAAGGAUGUGGUUUAGGGAGCCCAUUGUGAAUGCUCUAACUCUGGUAAAACACGAGUGACAUGGACAACAUAUGUUACAUCGUACUGAAGAUUUUUGGGUUUCUUUAAUUGGUUAAGUAGCAUCCACAAUGAGCUUUCUAAAUCAUCUCCUUAGACAAAUUUUAGGGAGGAAUUGGAAAAGUACAACUCCAACUAUGCUCCCUAUCCACCAACUAAAAUAGAGAGACCUUUAGGAGCUCAUAAAUCUGAUGAGAGAGAAAGAACUCUUAAUGACCCCCUAUAAUUUAAUGUUGCUUUAUUUUAUGCAUAUUUUGAACUUUUAAUUAAAUCAAAUUAUUAUUUUUAUAUUAUUUUGAAUACAGCCGGAUCAAUUAUAUUAAAUUAAAAAAUAAUUAAAAUAUUUAUAACUCUCUAAACUAGAAAGCAUGAUUGUAGAUCAUCUUAUAUACCUUAAUUUGAAGAUUCUUUAUUUGGGUUUCUUUCAAGACUUAUCACCUUAGCCACACCACCUACACGUCUGCAAGCUUCCGUAAUCUAACAAGGAAGGGGAGGCUGCGCAAUACUUAUCACCUUAGCCACACCACCUACACCACAAGACCAAUAUGUGUAGUCCAGCAGGCUUUCCAAUUUUAAUAUAUAUUAUAAAAUAAAAUAAAAAUCAAUCUAUUAUCAUAUAUAUUAUAAAAUAAAGAUUAUUGCUCCAUCCUCCAUGCACUUGCAUGCCCUCUUACAAAGUGUGAAGUAGAUUUUGUGUGCUCCAAGUCAUUGACGAGAGCUGUAACAUGGUUAGCUGGAUUUAUAAGAUCUUUUCUUUUCUGGGAAUUUUCUGAAUUAAGAAAAAUCAAGUAAAAUUAAUAAAGCAUAAAUUAGAAAGGGAAAAUAUCUAGAGGAUGCAUUGUAGGAUUGCACAUGCCAAUAAUUGUAUCCUCUAAAUAUAUAGCGACACAUUUUUUUUGUUUUCAUGACUUGUGGUCCUAAAAUUAUUGUUCCUAGCGGGCUUUUCACCCUCUCUCGAUUGAAAAUCAAUUGUGUAAAUCUUCAAUCUUGAAUGAUGCACCUAAAACUCAAGUGUCCCAGGCCAAUUAUUGCUCUCAUACCACUUGUUGUAAUAAACAUUCACCCAUUCUAAAGGAAAGAUAACCAUCGAUAUUAUCUGAAAUUUAACCACUUAAGUUCAUUAUGAUUAACUAUGUAUCUUAUGGACCAAUCCAAUCGUAAGGUUUUAUACUCAAUUAGAUCGACCAAUACAAAGUUCACACUGGAUUAAAAAGGGCUAUCGGUAGGGGAGUGUUCGGCACCCUUUACUGUGGAGCGCAACACAAGACCCCUUGCAUGCCCUCACUAAGUUGAGCCCAACUAUUUUUGAGCAUUAACAAUAUAUAUAGAUUGAAAAAAUAAAAUAAAAAUCAAUCUAUUAUCAUAUAUAUUAUAAAAUACAUAUUAUUGCUCCAUCCUCCAUACACUUGCAUGCCCUCUUACAAAGUGUGAAGUAGAUUUUUUGUGCUCCAACUCAUUGACUAGGGCUGAAACAUGGUUAGUUGGAUUUAUAAGAUCUUUUGUUUUUUGGGAAUUUUCUGAAGCACGGAAAAUCAAAUAAAAUUAAUAAAGCAGAAACUGUACCCUUUAAUUAUAUAUGGACAUAUGUUUUUUUGUUUUCAAGUCUUAGAUGACAUGGGGACCCCUCUCAAAUUUAAGUGGUCCAUUAUUGUUAACCACAUAUUUUAUGGACCAUCCAGCUUCGGUACAUUUCUCCCACAUGCCACAAUUGUAUAUUCACAAUUACGUCUGAUACAUCACAUCAUGCCACUUGCCUCACAUGCCACAAUUGUAUAUUCACAAUUACUUCUGGGUACCCCUCAUCAGUCGUCUAUAAAAUGGUGAAGCCAGUUGCUACUGUUACCAUAAGAGCCAGCUCCGACUUUCUUUAAUUUCUUGCUACAUCUGUUGCUAAGUUAAUUUCAGUCCUAAUGGGGUUUCAUCUCCCACUCAUCUUUGCUAUUCUCAGUGUAAGCUCUGCAAUUUGAUUAACUUUUCCAUUCUCUCUCAUUGUACUCUAUAUAUAUAAAUGAAAGUUUUGUGUUCCUAUAAUUCUCUCCGAUUUUAUUUAGUACGUACUUAAGUGUCGUCCACUAAUUAAUUACACUUUGUGAGAUUUGAUUUUAAUUAGAGUUCGAAUUAAUGUUGCAGCUAGCAGCGGUUGCACUGGCAAACAAUGCUGCUCAACCAGCACCUCAACUUUACUGGAACUCCGUCCUGCCAAACACACAGAUGCCAAGAUCUAUCAGUGAACUUCUGCAUCCUGGUUUGUGUUCAGCUCUUUAUAAUCUUAGAUAUCUCUUCUACCUGCCAUUUUACUAAACUAUGUUCGACCACAUAUUUAUCAGUUAACUACUGUCAUUACAAGAAUGACACUUAUUUUCCAAUAUAAUUUGCAGACUCCACAAAUGAAGAAAAGAGCAAACCUGAAAUUUUCCCAUUGCAGGGCAAUAGAGUUUACACUCAAAGCCAUUAUAAAAAACGUCCUCCUCCUCCAUCUGACGAGGGCAAACCUGAAAAUUUCCCAUUGGCCAAUAGCUUUUACACUCAAACCCAUUAUAAAAAACGUCCUCCUCCUCCAUCUGACGAGGGCAAACCUGAAAAUUUCCCAUUGGGCAAUAGCCAUUAUUCUCAAACAGGGUAUGCAAAAGGUCCUCCUCCUCCUCCUAAAAUUUUCCCAUUUUCAGGUUACAGUCGAAAAAGGUAUGGAGGAAGUCCUCCUCCUCCUUCUCCAUUCGUUCAAAAAGACUAUGGACAGAACGAUAAACAUUACGUUCAAAAAAACUAUGGAAAAGUUCCUCCUCCACCUGACAAUCAACUACUCCAUUAUAAAGACUUGGCUAUUUUCUUCUUCGAGAAGGACAUGCGCCCUGGCGCAACAAUGAAGUUCCAAUUCCCUAGAAAUUCAAACACGGCUACUUUCCUGCCACGCGAAAGUGCUCAAUCGAUCCCCUUCUCCUCUAAGAAACUACCAGAAAUUUUCAACCAUUUUUCAGUGAAGCCAACAUCUGAGGAAGCCAAAACAAUUAAGCAAACAAUCGAAGAGUGUGAAGCUCCAGGCCUUAAGGGAGAGGAAAAAUAUUGCGCCACAUCUUUAGAAUCAAUGGUUGAUUUUAGCACUUCGAAGCUUGGAACAAGAAACGUUGAAGCAAUCUCAACGGAGGUAUUGGAAGAAGGAGCCACCAAGUACAUGCACAACUAUACAACAAUGCCGGGACUGAAGAAGUUGGAAGGUGACAAAGUCGUUGUGUGUCAUAAGGAGAACUAUCCCUAUGCUGUGUUUUUCUGCCAUGCAAUAAAACAAACAGCAGCUUAUGUUCUCUCCCUGAAAGCCGAUGAUGGGAUGAAGGUGAAAGCAGUAACCAUCUGCCAUCUAGACACAUCAGAAUGGGACCCAGAGCAUUUGUCCUUCCAAAUCCUCAACGUUAAGCCCGGAACCACUCCCAUCUGCCAUUUCCUUUCCACUGAUGCUAUUGCCUGGGUUCCAAAACACAAGUCUGCAUGAUCAUCACUUAGCACUGUACGUAUAAUAAGCUUGGUCGGGUUGCACCCUAGGCCUGCAUAAUUAUCUCCCUACUUAUUUCUGCCUCUUUAUCAUGCGGUGUAAGAUAUAUGAUGAGAUGAAGUUUUCUCUUGUAACUAUGUAGACUACUUCAACUUGUACUCAUAAUAAAGCACGCUGUUGGGGGGUUCUACUUAAUUUCGUUCUCUCCAAUGUUUGAGUGUUGAAUUGUUACGUUGGAAUAGGCUGCUAAUGCAUGUAGUUAGAGAAGCCUUCAUUUAUAUCAAAGUCCUCAAACUAUCAAGAAUUAAUGUAUCCAGAAACAUAUACCAAGACGCAAAAUGUCACAUCCCGGAAUCAGCUACUUCCCAGUGGGUCACCCAUCCUGGGAUUGCUCUAGCCCCCAACUCGCUUAACUUCGGAGUUCCUACGAUUCCGAAGCCAGUGAGCUCCCAAAAGGCCUCGUGCUAGAUGGAUGCGGGUGUGCACAUAUAAGGCACAAUACCCCCUCUCCGUUGGUUUGAUGUGGGAUCUUACAAUCCACCCCCCUUAAGGGUCCGACGUCCCCGUCGAUACACUCGCACCACACGGCAGAGUGGCUCUGAUACCAAAUUGUCACAUCCCGGGAUCAGCUCCGCCGUAGCACGAUAUUGUCCGCUUUGGGCCCCCCUCUCUGCCCUCACGGUUUUGUUUCUGGGAGCUCACGAGCAACUUCCCAGUGGGUCACCCAUCCUGGGAUUGCUCUAGCCCCCAACUCGCUUAACUUCGUAGUUCCUACGAUUCCGAAGCCAGUGAGCUCCCAAAAGGCCUCGUGCUAGAUGGAUACGGGUGUGCACAUAUAAGGCACAAUACCCCCUCUCCGUUGGUUUGAUGUGGGAUCUUACACAAAACAACAUAUUUUCCAUUCUCUGUCUGUAACACCAAGGCAAACUUCCUUUAUCACAUCAUUUAAAGGAUCAAAUUCCAGUACUAAUCUAAUCCAUCAUGUAAAGCAUACAAGUGCCUACCUAAAUUUGUCCAUUGGAUAUAUAUGUCACUUCUUAUUUUUUGAUAGAGAUAUAAAUGUUGAGAAAAUUAGAGUACACAACUCCAAUAUAGACUUGUUAGAGACAAAACAAGUAAACAAAUUCCUUGUAUUAGACUCACAAAAUAUUAAAACAAGACAACUCUCAAAGAAAAGACAAACUCUCACACUUCUCACAAGGACUACUUAACUUUAUAGCUUAUUGCAUAUAGCAUAUGCAAACACAAUUACAACAUACCUACGUACACUAUGGAAACACUCGUGUAUAUUUGAACACAAGAAAACAUGUGCACCGUGCACGGUUCACAUGAAGUAAGAAAUGAAGAGGAAAUAAAGGAGAAGAAUACAAAAGAAAAUGGAGAUGAGAAAAAAAAAACACGAAUAAUGAAAAAUGAAUUGACAAUUAUAUGUGGUUGACAUUAGAUCUAAUAUUAUAUGUAACAACUAUUGAUCUAAAAUAAACAUUAAAUCAAACAAUAAUUAAAAGAUUUGACAAUAUAAAAAUUUAUUGAGGACAAAAAAAGGCAAAAACUUAUGAAAAAUGGAAACAAUAAAUAUGAACUGAGUCAUCAACUCAUCAUGGUAAGUUUGCUGACGUAUAAAAAUAGUCAAUGAACUACAUCGAAAAGUAAUUGGCUUACAUCAAAAAUUAAAAUCACGUGGUCUACCUACUAUAUAGGAUGAAAAAAUUACGUGAACAAUAUACUUACACCAUGGGAACACUCCUAUAUAUUUGAACACAUGAACACGUGUUCAAGGUUAUAUAUUUCAUUACCUUCACAAUAGGUACCAAACCGUACCAUGCGAACAUUCAUAUACGCACAACAUACUUAUAACAUACCUACACUAUGGGAACACUCGUGUAUAUUUGAACACAAGAAGACCUGUGCACCACCGUGCACGGUUCACAUGAAGUAAGAAGAUGAAGAGGAAAUAAAGAAGAAGAAUACAAAAGAAAAUGGAGAUGAGAAGAAGAAAAAAAAAACACGAAUAAUGAAAAAUGAAUUGACAAUUAUAUAUGGUUGACAUUAGAUCUAAUAUUAUAUGUAAUAACUAAUGACCUAAAAUAAACAUUAAAUCAAACAAUAAUUAAAAGAUUUGACAAUAUAAAAAUUUACACGUAAGCAAACUCACCAUGGUAAGUUUGCUGACGUGUAAAAAUAGUCAAUGGACUACAUCGAAAAAUAAUUGGCUUACAUCAAAAAUUAAAAUCACGUGGGUUAUUCCUAAGAAACCUUAAUAUUUUUGGGUUUAUAUAUUUUUUGUAUUUUUUUAAAAUAAAAAAAAGAAAAGAAAUCUGACCAUGUAUGUAUGAUGAUGAUAUGCAUGUUAUUUUUAGACCUAAGGUAAAACAGACAAACUUUUUACUCCAUUUUUCAUGAGGUUUAUCACAAUAAUUAAACUGUUAUAUCCUCCAUUUUAGAUCUCAUGCUUCCAUUUAAAGAAAAGAAUAUCAACAACAAAAAAAAGAAUAAAGUUACAACAUUGAUCAAUUCAAAUGUCCAACUACCGGAUCAUGAGCUCCUGCACUUAGCGAUAUGCAGAUAAAUGCGUAGUGUCUUAAUGCAGAGGCUCGGGAUCCCCAACUACCAUUGAAACAUAAGAAACUAAAAUCUGCAAGAAAAUGCUAUCAAUUGAAAAAACAAUAAUUAAAAAACAAAAAAAGGAAGGGAAUUCGCACCGCUAUGCAAAAAAGAGCAAGUCGGUUCAAUGAUUUUUUUUCUUCUUCUUUUUGUUAUGGAAAUGAAAAGCUCAAUGAUGGGCUAUAUAUAGGAAGAAGCUCAAUGAUUGAAUUAUUAUCUUCUAUCUACAUUCUACCCUCUUCCUCGCUACAUACACAAAUGGUGCACACCAGUAACUAAGCUUGUUUUGGGUUCGGUGGCUCACUGUAAAAGCUCAAUGGAGAUGGUUUGAGGUAGAAUUUUCUCCUAUUUCAAUAGGACAAUGAUGAGCUCUAUGGAUUUUUUUUGUUUGUUUAUAGAAAUUAAAUGGUAUAGGGUCUAUCUAUAUUAUUAAUGCUAAGAAUGAGAAUAUGACUAAAUAACUCAAAAAAAAUUUAUAAUAAAUCAACAAUUUUUUUUUUUUAAAAAAAAAUCUAUAGAAUCUUUUAUUAGAUCAAUAGGCACCACUAGAAAAUCUCCAUAUAAGCCACUACUAAUACACCCGUGACUACUGACAAACCCGUAGCCAAAGAGUAUUGGCCACCUGCCACACGACAGUGGUCCAAGCAUAAUGUUGUCAUUCAUUAUUCCCCACAGCAACCAGCAUCCAAUAAAGGGUUGGGGCCCACCCAUAUUCCACCUCUCUUUAUGAAUAUAAAAGAAAUAUUUUUUAUUCAACAUGGACGCAGAAACUGUUGCUAAACUGCAAACUUCUUAAAAUAUUUAUCUAACUUUCUAGAUCCAUGUACUGAGAUUUAUUAGGGAAAUAUUGUAGAAACUGAUUAUUUUGAAAUAUUAAAUGUGAAAAACUGAACAAAAAUUUGAUGGGUUACAUAUUUCAACUCAUUUCAGCAGCUUAGAUUUUGAAGACCUCGGAAGAGGCUAUGCAAUGAGCCUAGCUAGUGCACUGUUGAUCACUUCAGUGUCUACCGAUCUGUAAUUUUUCCAGAUUGGUUAUAUUUUCCUUUACAUAUUCUUAUAUUACCGAUCACUUCAGUGUCUACCGAUCUCAUAUUUCUGGCAGAACAAUAAAUCUUUCAACAUUAAAAGUUUAAAACUCCAAGAUGCUAAAUUUAACGUUAAAAUAAAUAAUUAAAAGGGCUAAUGAAACCUAUAUGCCCAGGUGAGGAGCAUGCCACAAACUUAUUUCAACCCCAAAACUUCAUUAAAAAGCCCAAAACACUCAAUGAGGCAUCUAAGUAAUUUAAUAAUUAAAAUUAAAUUCAAUAUGACCAGCUAUCAUUUUUUGGGUUUUUUUUUGUUUGUUUCUAGAAAUUAAAUAGUAUAGGAUUUAUUUAUAGUUUUAGUGCUAAAAAUGGGUAUAUGACUAAAUAUCUCUAUAAAAAAAAUACCUAUAUGUUUGAGAAACAAAAUAAUAAAACUACAACAUAGGUUAAAAACAUUCUAAUAAACUCAAUACAUAUGGUCUACGUACUAUACAGGAUGAAAAAAUUACAUGAACAAUAUACCUACACCAUGGGAACACUCCUGUAUAUUUGAACACAUAAACACGUGUUCAAGGUUAUAUAUUUCAUUACCUUCACAGUAUUCAUCAAAACCCACCAUGGGAACAUUCAUAUACACACAACAUAACAUACCUACACUGUAGGAACACUCGUGUAUAUUUGAACACAAGAAGACAUGUGCACGGUUGAUGUGAAGUAAGAAGAUGAAGAGGAAAUAAAGAAGAAUAAUACAACAGAAAAUGGAGAUGAGAAAAAAAACACGAAUAAUAAAAAAUGAAUUGACAAUUAUAGAUAGUAGACAUUAGAUCUAAUAUUAAAUGUAAUAACUUUUGAUCUAAAAUAAACAUUAAAUCAAACAAUAAUUAAAAGUUUUGACAAUGUAAAAAGUUAUUGAGGACUAAAAAAGGCAAAAACAUUUGAAAAAUGGAAACAAUAAAUAUGAGCUGAGUCAUCAGCUCACUAUGGUAAGUUUGCUGACGUGUAAAAAUAGUCAAUGGGUUAGAUUAUUAUUUGUGGGUAACUAAAAUCUCGUUUAACAACAAUAGUUAACGUUUGUUUAGAGAAGGAAAAAAACUUGAUGAUGUGUCAUGUUCUAAAGGGUUAGAUUAUUGUAAUGGCUUAGAUUUAAUGAAAUACAGGUAAAUGCGUAAUGUCCAAAUGUAGAGGCUCGGAAUCCUCAUCUACCAUUGAAACAUAAGAAACUAAAAUUUUCAAGAAAAUGCUAUCAACUGAAAAAACAAAAAACAAAAAACAAAAAGGGAAGGGAAUUUGCACCUGCUAUGAUGGGUUGAAUGAUUUUUUCUUCUUCUUCUUCUUUUUCUUUUUCUUUUUGGUUCUUUAGAUCUAGUUGCACAUUCCAAAGAAAUAAAACCUCAGGCAUGCAUGCAAUGCAAGCUCUUUUCCCAUGUUUUCCUCUGUUUUCCUCCUAUUUUCCCAUGCAAACUCUUUUCUUAUAUGGAAGUGAUUAAAGUGUGAUUCAUUGAAUAUUUGCGGGGUUUUGUUCAGACCUAACAAAGUUCUAAGUGAGCACAUCAAAUUUCUUUUACCCAAUCAAAUUCAACUAGGUUUAUUCUACGACCUUAUGCUCGAUCAUUUUCCACAAGCAACCGUCCACGUACCAAGUAUUUAUUUUAUAUCAACGAGUACGAUGGUCCAUGUAAGUAUUCUAAUAAUUCACUCCAGUUGCAGGCCCCAAUAAUAUAGAAGGGCCAAUGGUCUUUCAUUUGAUGAAAGCUGCUAUCUACUGAUAACAAAGUUCAAUGAAGACGUAGGAAGAAACUUUGAGAAGAAGCUUGCAAUUUCUUUUAUUGAUUUUCUCUCUUUUUCGAUCUACUUCACAAUGAACAGUAUCUAAUAUUUAUAUGACAGAAGCACUUAGCUUCUCAGCUACGACUUAACAAACACGUGAACCCACGUGAACUUCUAACUAACUAAACGCAUUAUAUACAUGUCUUUUGCCAAUCAUCCCCCCUCAAUCGCAGUGGUGGCUGGACCAACACUAAGAUUGUGACAGUGUUUCAAAAACAAUGGACUAUGCAGGCCCUUUGUGAAAAUGUCGGCAACUUGUUCUUCAGUAUUGACAUAUCGAACCACCAAAUCAUGACGCUGAACCCGUUCUCUGAUAAAGUGAAAAUCAAGUUCUAAAUGCUUUAUGCGAGAGUUUAAAACUGGAUUACUACUUAAGGCCAAUGCUGAUAAAUUGUCACUAUGUAAGACUGGAGCUUCAGGAACAAUAAUAUGUAAGUCUUGAAGAACAUAUCUGAUCCAAGAGAUAUCAGCAGCACAGUUGGCAAGAGCUCGAUACUCUGCCUCUGUAGAACUACGAGAGACAGAAGAUUGCUUACGAGAGGACCAAGAGAUAGGAUUCUGUCCAAGAAAUACAACGUACCCUGUAGUAGAGCGACGAGUAUUGGGAUCCCCAGCCCAAUCUGCGUCACUAUAGCCAACCAAAACAGAAGAACCAGAUGUAAAUGUCAAACCAUAAGAUAAAGUGCAUUGCACAUAUCUCAGUAUACGCUUAACUAAAGUCAUAUGAAUAUCAGUAGGAGCAGUCAUAAACUGGCAUACGGUGUUCACAGCAUAUGCCAGAUCUGGGCGUGUGAAUGUGAGGUAUUGAAGAGCUCCAACCAAGCUGCGAAACAUUGUAGGAUCAGGAAGUAAUGUACCAUCAGUUGUCAGAACAUGACAAUGAGGUUUACAAGGUGUAAUUGAUGGUUUACAAGUUUCCAUGCCAGCUCUCCUAAGUAAAUCACGAGCAUAUUUAGCUUGGUUGACAAACAAAUCACCAUUGGACUGAUAAGAAACCUCCAAGCCCAAGAAAUAAGUAAGCUGGCCAAUAUCUUUCAUAUCAAACACUUGUCCCAAAUCAUCAAUCACAGAUUGCGCUAGGGUAGAACUUGACCCCGUGAUGAUAAUGUCAUCCACAUACAGCAAAAGAAUAACCACAUUAAGACCAUCAUGCUUCACAAAGAGACUAGGAUCGGAGUGUGAAGAAACAAAGCCCAAAGCUGGAAGAUAUCCAGUGAACUUGGCAUUCCAAGCACGUGGUGCCUGUUUAAGACCGUAAAGAGACUUUCGUAGCCGACAUACAUAAUCUGGAUAAUGAUCAUCAAUGAAUCCCAAAGGCUGUUUCAUGUACACUUCCUCCUGUAGGUCACCAUGAAGAAAGGCGUUUUUAACGUCCAAUUGGCGCAAACACCAUCUAUGAGAUGCAACCAAACUUAAAAUCAAUCGAACUGUGGUAUGACGAACUACAAGACUAAAGGUUUCGUCAAAAUCUAUACCUUGUUCUUGACUAAAACCUUGUGCAACUAAACGAGCUUUAUAUCGAGCAAUACGUCCAUCAGCAUGUCUUUUAAUUUUGUAAAUCCAACGACAACCAACAAUAUUCUUAUCAGAGGGUGAAGGAACUAAAUUCCAUGUACCUUGAGUUUGUAAUGCUUUAAUUUCCUCUGUCAUAGCCUGCUGCCACUCAGACUUUGUACUAGCUUCUCGAAAAGUAUGAGGCUUAUCAAGAGCAGUAAUUGUAGAUAAACAAGUGGAAAAACAUUGAAAAUCACCAAAAUCUUUCUUCUUGCUAAUACCACUUUUAAGACGAGUUUGCAUAGAAUGACCAUGCUGUGGAAUGGAAAUAUGAGAAGAAGAACUAGAGGCAUCUGUGACAGAGAGAGGAAGCAAAACCUGUAAUUGAGCAGGAUCCAAAAUAGGUUGCAUAGUCUGAGCAGAACCUAAGACCUCUUGAGCCUCAUAUGUAGAUACUGAAGAAGAUGAAUUCUCAUUUGAACAUGGGAGAGGAGAGUGAUCAGACUCUGUGGUAGUAACAUAUCUAUAAGGCAAUGAAACUGCUAUAGCUGAGGGAGACAAUUGUGUCAUGACAGAAGAAGAUUAGGUUGAGGAUACUGAAUAAUUCUUCAUUGGAAACUGAGUUUCAUCAUAAAUCACAUGUCUUGAAAUAACCACUUUAUGAGUGUCAGGAUGAAAACAAAUAACACCCUUAUAACCAAGAGAAUAUCCAAGGAACACAUGCUCUGCUGAUCGUGGCUCUAACUUGUGAGAAUUAUAGGGUCGAAGAAGUGGAUAUACUGCAGAUCCAAAAACCUUUAAUGAUUGAAGCUCAGGAUUAUGACCAAACAAUUUGAAGUAUGGAGAUGUCAUUUGAAGAAGCUGACAAGGCAUACGAUUUAUGAGAAAGGUAGCAUGAGCUGCAGCAUAGUACCAAAACUUGUCAUUCAAGGCAGCAGUAGCAAGUAAUGUAAUUGUGGUUUCAAUAAUUUGCCUAUUCUUCCUCUCAGCAACCCCAUUUUGCUGAGGGGUAUAAGGACAUGAAAUCUGAUAGAAGCCAAGAAAUCUUUAAAUGCUUUACUAUUAUACUCCCCACCACCAUCAGAUUGAAAAUAUUGCACAGAAGCUUGAAAGUUCUUAGUAAUAUACGCAUGAAAUUUCACAAGUGUGGGAAAAACCUCAGAUUUAUUGAUUAAUGGAAAAAUCCAGAGAAAUCGAGUACAGUCAUCGAUGAUUGACACAUAAUGUCUUUUCCCAUGUUUUCCUCUGUUUUCCUCCUAUUUUCCCAUGCAAACUCUUUUCUUAUAUGGAAGUGAUUAAAGUGUGAUUCAUUGAAUAUUUGCGGGGUUUUGUUCAGACCUAACAAAGUUCUAAGUGAGCACAUCAAAUUUCUUUUACACCAUCAAAUUCAACUAGGUUUAUUCUACAACCUUAUGCUCGAUCAUUUUCCACAAGCAACCGUCCACGUACCAAGUAUUUAUUUUAUAUCAACGAGUACGAUGGUCCAUUCUAAUAAUUCACUCCAGUUGCAGGCCCCAAUAAUUUAGAAGGGCCGAUGGUCUUUCAUUUGAUGAAAGCUGCUAUCUACCAACCCUGCAAUAUGAGCUAUGCAAUGGUGAUGGUGUUACAUGACGUCAGAAUGUCGUAGGGAAAAUAAAAAAUAAAAAGUCAAGGUUUCUUAUUAAUGUUAAUAAAGGCAUAGCAAAAAAUUUGUAGCUCCAAUUGUUCAAAGCAAUUACCCAUGCACUUGAGAUUCUGUGUUUGAAUCUCCAAUUUUCUCUAAUAUUGUUUGUAUAAAAAUAAAAACUUUUGAAAAGACAUUAAUAUUGUAUUCUAUAUUCUAUAAAGUGUUGGACAUGUUUUAUAUUGUUGACAACCCCCUAAUACUUUGGUGGUGCCUAGUUAUAUUCAAUUCGUAUUUAUUUAAUUUGCCACUUACAUUCUUGCCUUAAUACAUCUAGGCUUAUUUUUAUACUAAUUUCUCUAACAUAACUUUUGCACAUUCUUUUAGUCUCUAAUAUAUAUAUUCUAAUAAAUGAUCUUACCCACUUGAGUUAUAAAUCUUUUUUUUUUAAUCAUGAAAAAUCGACAUUUUGACAGUGAGUUGAAAAGCACUCCCCAAUUUUAAUGUCAACCACUUGAAAAAAAAAACAUAAAUUUAAUGACAACAAUUACAUUUAGCAAUGCAACCUAAAUACUCAAAACCUUUGCGCCCCUUUUGCAACGCAUAUAGCAGGGUGAGGAUAUUGCCAAAGGAACUGCGAUAGCCAAUUAAAAAAAAAAGUAAUGAAGGCUUAUAACUCUGGGUUAAGAGAUUGGUCGUGGAGAAUUUACAUAAUUGGAGAAUGUACCAUCCCACAUCGACCAACGGAGAGAUGGUGAUGUGCCUCAUAUGUACAUGCCCACCUCCAUCUAGCACGAGGCCUUUUAGGAGCUCACUGCAUUCAGAGUCAUUGGAACUCCGAAGUUAAGCAAGUUUAAACUAGAGCAAUCCCAGGAGUGGUAAUCCACUGGGAAGUUACUCGUGAGUUCCUAGAAACAAAACCGUGAGGGCAAGGGGCCGAAAGCAGACAAUAUCGUGCUAUGCCCACCUCUAUCUAGCACGAGGCCUUUUGGAAGCUCACUGGCUUCGGAGUCAUGGGAACUCUGAAGUUAAGCGAGUUUGGGCUAGACCAAUCCCAGGAUUGGUGACCCAUUGGGAAGUUGCUCGUGAGUUCCCAGAAACAAAAUCGUGAGUGCAGGGAGCCCAAAGCCUACAAUAACGUGCUAUGGCGAAGCCGAUUCGGGGUAUGACAGAGAAUAUUCAAAUAUUCAAAAUAUUUAUUUCUUUGGAGUGGAGAUUUCAGCUUGAAGACCAACAAUCAAUGAUCAUGAUUUUAAUCCAAGAAGGCAUAAAUUCAACGACAAAUUUUUGUCAACCCGGGGAGAAUGAUGCAGAUAAAAAGCCAUUAAAGUUUAUGGGGCAUUUGAAUCAAAAGCAUUAAUAAGUUCAAUGCAUGAACGUUUUGUUUUGGCUUCUAAUAAAUUCUAUGUAUUUGGAAUGGAAUAGCUAGAGUCGUAAUUAUUUGGAUGGGGCUUAAUGUAUUUGGAUUAAUAGGUUAAUUAAUUUAGGUGCUAGUUCAAUGUGUGCGGUGAGAGAUUAAGUCUUUAAAUACUUGUAUGCUCAUAUUUCUCAAAGGAGUGGUUGUUGAUAAUUGAAAUUGAAAACAAAGAGAAUGUUCUCUCAUCUUUGCUCAUAAUCUGGAUAUUCUUAGAAUUAACGGGUUUGAGUAUUUUAUUCUAUCUUUUAUGCCAAGUUUCGGGUAUUCUUAGACUAAACGGGGCUUGGUGGUUCGUGGUUCGUGUUUUCCAAUAUCCUUGCUCUUUCCAACAUCCUUGCUCGAGUGCCGCUGCACUAGUUGGUAUCAGAGCGGGAUUCAAUUGCAAAACUGAAAUCCUGUGGAGGAACUGCACCCUAGUUGUGUAGUUAGUCAAAUCUACAUCAGCUGUUAUUAGAAAUGGUUAGUGGUGAUCAUACAUUUGAUCAUUUAUUAGAUUUGGAUCUCCCUCCAGUAUUUGAUCAAUGUUCAGAUGGUUCUUGCGAGAUUUGUUGUGAUUAACAUUUUAUAGUGGAAUGCAUUGAAGAAGUCGUGGAAAAUUAUGUCAACCUUCAUAUUGCAAAUGUCGAUGAUUCCAUCGCUUUAUUCAACUCUCAUGAUACUUUCGAAGUUGUUGAAUAUAUUGAUUUCACGGGGGUUGAAAAUUUCAGUCAUCGUAGUGCAACCACUUUGGUUGAUACCAUAAUUCAUAAUAUCUGGGUUAAGAGAUUGGCAGUGGAGAAUUUACACAAAUGGAGAAUAUUCAAAUAUUCAAAAUAUUUAUUUCUUUGGAGUGGGAGAUUUCAGUUUGAAGACCAACAAUCAAUGAUCAUGAUUUUAAUACAAGAAGGCAUAAAUUCAAGGACAAAUUUUUGUCAACAUGGGGAGAAUGAUGCAAAUAAAGAGCCAUUAAAGUUUAUAGGGCAUCUGAAUCAAAAGCAUUAAUAAGUUCAAUGCAUGACCGUUUUGUUUUGGCUUCUAAUAAAUUCCAUGCAUUUGGAAUGGAAUAGCUAGAGUCAUAAUUUUUUGAAUGGGCUUAAUGUAUAUGGAUUAAUGGGUUAAUUAAUUUAGGUGUGUUUAUAUCGGAAAUAAACGGCCUAUGAUCACCGAACACGUGGACAGGAUUGAUAUUGAUCACAGAACCCCUUCGGCAUGCUUCCUACCGAAGCCAUCUAUCUUGGCCCUUUUUACCAUCGGACACGUGUCAUGCUCACAAUCCAUGUCCACAGUCCCACAUCGGAAAUAUGAGCACAGUGCACACCUCCCAAGGCCUAUUUAAGAAGACCCCUAUCCUCAAAAGGAGGAGAUCAGAACGAACGGUACGCUACCGAUUGAUCUAUCAGUUAACAUUACUAAAACUGUACUUACUAAAGCAUCGGAGAGCCUUCGGCCGGUACCACACCGGUACCCCAAGGAAUUACCGAACGUGUCCUUUUGCAGGUACUUACCCUUCUGAAGUAGAACAUCUUCCGAAGACAGUCACCUGCCGAAGGCAUAAUAUCACUAAGUUGGCGAAAUACGUGCCGAACCACUUUUUCGCAUCAACAGUUUGGCGCCGUCUGUGGGAAUCCAGAAAAAUCAUCAACCCACUAUCUCCAAAACACAUGGGGACCACUUCAGUACCCACGUUCUUAUCGGAAGAAGGGGUACCGUUCGGAAGGUAGACCGGAGCUAGCCCAGCGCUACCCCCAUCCACUCCCUUCGGAAACGCCCCCGCAACCCAAACAACCGCCGAAGCCGAGCUGUUAGUCCAAAUCGCGUCCCUACGGAAGGACAUAGCGAGACUUCAGGAACACAACAACCUUCUUUCGUCCAAAGUGGACGAAACCCAGCAGCUGCUCCACCAGCAGCACACGCAGAACAUCCAAGCAACUCACUCUUCCCAGAGCUUGCAGACCCCCCAUAGGAAGAAGAAACACGAGAAGGUAGCGAGGGCAACGCCCGCACCUUCCAAACAGUUGGUAGUUCCGGCACCCAGGGAUCAGCCGCACAUCCCCAAGAAAGUCUACUCCGAUUGCCGACAUCGGAUUAACGAUCGGGAGGCAGAGAGACAGAGGUCUCCGAUCAGGAUUAGCGCUCGACUAAGGGACUCACGGAUGAAAAUCCUAGGAAGCAAGUCGCCUAUUCGGAAGGUCAGAGGGCUGGACUCCGCAGAGGAGUCAGAAUCCGAAUAUAUCCCUUCCAGGACGCAAGCUUCCACCUACCGUUCGACAACGCCUUCACGGUACUCGGGGGUUAAUUCAUUAAGUCUAGAAAGACGAUCGGAAGAUUAUGGUUCCAAGGAAAUCUCUAGUCGAGACCCUGUUGUCCGACUCCUUUUUCAGAAAGUCCAAAAAAUGGAAAACGACAAAGCUCGCUCCCAAGAACCGGAAUGAGGAAGCUUCGGCCCGGACCAUUCACCAGGCGCAUCCGAGACUCUCGGUAGGAUAAGAAAGUGCAGCAACUGCGUAUACCGUUCUAUAUGGGAACGGAGGACCCCUUAACACACCUCCACUCAUUUCAGUCCGCCAUUGGAUGCAAGGGCCUGAGCGAUGAAAGGCAGUGCCUGCUAUUCCCGUCUUCCCUUACCGAAGCAGCCCUGAACUGGUUCUACCGGUUGGAGCCGGAAACGGUAAAUUCCUUCGACGAGCUGAAACAAAUUUUCCUCAAUCACUUCAUGAUCCAAACGGAUCGUCUUUACUCUGCCGAUGAUCUGUACACGAUUCGGCAAAGAGAGGAUGAACCGUUGAGAGAAUACGCGGUGCGCUUCAGUCACGAAUACUCAAGGUGUCCGAAAACAGACGAUAGGGCAACCUACGGCGCCUUCAAGAGUGGCCUUCGGUCCUCGCAUUUCCGAUACCUAGUACACAGCAGCAACUGGCGCACGUACGAUGAACUGAUGCAGGCAGCAAUCCAUGCCAAAGCCGAAUACUUCAACUCGAAACCCGCGGUUUCGGCACGGCGAGGAGAUGCCGAACCAAGUGCUUAUCCGGUAAAGGCGCCACCCUACGAGAGAGUCGACCCAUAUUUGGCAGGUCAUAAGAGGAAAGACGACCGUGCCGAUCGAAGAGAACACCCGAAGAAGGGAAAAGGGAGGUAUGGUCGCAACGACCACCGAGCGCCCCUGCCGAAUCGUGACCACGGCAAUGAAGUCUUCACCCUAUUGAACACUACCUACGAGGCCGUCCUAAUGAACGAACAAGAAAUAAUACCAAAGCCGAACCUGCGAAGAUCCAAUCGGCAAGACAACCGGGAUACCGGUAAAUUCUGCCGAUACCAUCAGCAUAACAGCCAUAAUACGGAAGACUGUAUAAGCCUAAGAAAAAUUGUCGAACGGUUGAUCAGAGAGGGGAAGCUAGAUCAGUAUAUCGCCCGGCAGCCACCGGCGCCGGUACCGAAUCCAAUUCGGCAGAUAAACAUGAUAAGCACUAUCAGCGGUGGCCCCACCAUCGCAGGAAUGAGCAACCGUUCAAUGAAGCAAUACGUGCGCGCCGCACAAUUUCCGCAGGUAUUCGGCAUAGAGGUGAAUCGGUAUCAUGAAAUACCGAAAGUUCAUUGGGAACCAAUCACAUUUUGCGAAGAGGAGGAAGAGGGCAUCCUCUAUCCCCACGACGACCCAAUGAUCAUUCGAGCAGAAAUUACCGACUACGAUGUAGGACGGGUACUGAUCGAUACCGGGAGCUCGGUGAACAUGAUUUUUGCCGAAGCUUUCCGAGAGAUGGGAAUAAAGGACAGCCAGGUCAACCGGCAGUUGACACCUUUGUUAAGUUUCUCUGGGGACCUGGUCCAACCGGUCGGUAGUGUAAAACUGCCAAUUACCUUCGGCACCGCGCCAAGGAAAACGACGGUAUACAAUCAGUUCCUCAUCAUUGACUGCCCGACAGCGUACAACGUCAUAGUUGGAUGAACGGCACUCACCAGGGUCAAGGCACAUCUUUUCCCCCACAUGCUAUUGAUGAAGUUCCCGACCCCCAACGGCAUAGGAGCUGUCAAGGGAAAUCAGCUAAGCGCGCGGACUUGCUACGCCACGGCCCUCAAGUCAACCUCUUUCAAAAUCCCCAACGAGACCAUGUCUGUACAGGGGAUACCGAACGGUACGGGACCCGUUGACGACCCAAGAGAUGAGCCCCCGACUCCUCACACACAACCCGCCGAGGAACUGGAGACGAUAACCCUGAGCGAAGAGCAGCCCGAUCGUUGGGUUAGAAUCAGCACCAGACUCACCCCUGCCCUCCGAACGCAGUUCAUAGACUUCUUGCGGCGCCAUUCGGAAGUAUUCGCAUGGUCCUACGAAGAAAUGCCCGGCAUCGCCCCAGGGGUCAUCAGCCAUAAACUCAGCAUCUCUCCCGCUUAUAAGCCUGUAAGACAGAAGCGCCGUUCGUACGAUACCGAGCGAUACGAAGCCAUGCGUAAGGAGGUUGACAAACUUCAAACCAUCGGCUUCAUCAGGGAGGCUACGUAUCCGGUAUGGCUGGCAAAUUCGGUGAUGGUCCGGAAGGCUACAUGCGGGUGGUGAAUGUGCCAAGACUAUACCGAUAUGAACAAGGCCUGCCCAAAGGACAGCUUUCUGUUGCCACGGAUAGACCAGCUCGUGGACGCCACCGCCGGCCACGAGCUGCUCAGUUUCAUGGACGCCUAUUCCGGAUACAACCAAAUUUUCGUGCACCCUUCCGACAGCGAACACACCGCCUUCAUAACGGACAGAGGGUUGUACUGUUACAAUGUCAUGCCGUUCGGCCUGAAGAACGCGGGGGCAACAUAUCAAAGGCUCGUCAACAGAAUUUUCGCCAAAUACAUCGGCAGCAUCAUGGAGGUUUACGUUGACGACAUGUUAGUAAAAAGUAGAACUGCCGAAGAACACCUGCACAAUUUUUCAAUCAUGUUCGACACACUGAAAGACUACCGGAUGAGGCUGAACCCGAUGAAAUGCGCCUUCGGUGUAUCUUCCGGGAAAUUCCUCGGAUUCAUGAUUAGUCACAAGGGUAUCGAAGCGAAUCCCGAAAAAAUAAAGGCAAUCAUCGAUAUGAAAGGUCGAAGACGACGAAGGACAUUCAAAGCCUUACCGGACGCGUGGCGGCCUUAACUCGCUUCAUAUCCAAGGCUACCGACAAAUGUGUACCGUUCUUUAAAGCCUUGAAAGGGGAUAAACAGAAUAUCAUAUGGACUGCCGAGUGUGAUAAAGCGUUUCAAGACUUAAAGGACUACAUGGGCAAAGCACCCCUUUUAUCAAAACCACUACCUGGGGAGAUUCUCUCCCUAUACCUUUCGGUAUCUAGCACUGCCGUCAGUUCGGUAUUGAUUCGAAAACCAGAGAAAGCAGAGUUACCGAUUUUCUAUGUCAGUAAGGCACUCCAGAGUGCUGAACUUCGGUAUCCCCCAUUAGAGCAGCUUACACUAGCCCUUGUGGUCUCGGCACGAAGACUUCGGCCAUACUUUCAAGCACACAGAAUCAAAGUUCUGACUAACCAACCGCUCCAGCAAGUGCUCCAAAAACCAGAGACUUCUAGCCGAUUGAUCAAGUGGGCGAUCGAACUCGGAGAGUUCGAUAUACAAUUCAUGCCAAGGCCCGCCGAAAAGGGUCAAGCCAUUGCCGAUUUCAUCUCCGAGCUCACCCCAUCAACAGCACAGGAGAUACCCGAGACCGGGUUGCUAGAGGAACUUGACACCGAGCGCUUUGGUGCCUCAACUCCCGUAUGGAGUCUGCACGUUGAUGGUUCGGCAAACCAACAAGGAUGCGGAGCGGGCUUGGUACUGACAACACCGGACGGACUCAAGAUCGAGUACGCCCUCCGAUUCGACUUCCGAACCUCCAACAAUGAAGCGGAAUAUGAAGCUCUCCUGGCCGGCCUUCGGCUAGCCAAUAGCAUGAAUGCAAAACAAAUCAGAAUUCAUAGCGACCCCCAGCUCAUUGUGAACCAGGUAACGGCGGACUUCGCUGCCAAAGACGCCUCCAUGUAUGCCUACCUUUCGACUACCCAUCAACUGCUCUGAAGCUUUCGAGCCUACGAGAUCAAGCAGAUCCCCAUAAGCGAAAACAGCCAUGCCGAUGCAUUGGCACAUCUGGCUUCGGCAAUUAACGACAAAAUCGGAAGAAAUGUGCCAGUAGAGAUUCUUGCCCAACCGAGCACGGUAGCCUCCGAAACAUGUACCGUACGGUACGAAGAUACAUGGAUGUCUCCUAUCUACUCGUACCUGACCAACGGCACCCUUCCAGAAGACAAGGCCCAGGCCCGAAAGCUUAGGCACCGAUCAGCAAAGUACACCGUCAUCAACGAUGUCCUUUACAAACGUGGCUACACAACUCCAUAUCUCAAAUGCCUUACGGCAGAACAGGGGGACUACGUCCUUCGGGAGAUCCAUAAUGGUGUGUGCGGCGACCAUUCUGGGUCCCGGUCACUCGCCCACAAAGCCUUUCGGCAAGGAUACUUUUGGCCGACCAUGCACCAGGACGCUAAUUCGCUAGUGAAAAAGUGUGAUAAAUGCCAGCGCUUCGGUAACAUACAGCAUAUCCCUGCCGAACCCCUGACACCGAUCGUGAGUCCUUGGCCUUUCGCACAAUGGGGACUAGACCUGAUCGGUCCGAUGCCACAAGGUAAAGGCCAGGUAAAAUAUGCAGUGGUUGCCGUCGACUACUUCACCAAAUGGGUAGAAGCCAAACCUUUAGCAACCAUAACGGCAGCAAAGAUGGAGGAUUUUGUCUGGACUCACAUUUCGUCUGGAUUUCGGUAUCCCAUAUGCUAUCAUUAUCGAUAACGACAGGCAGUUCGAUUCGGAACUCUUCAGGCAAUUCUGCACCGGCCUGAAAAUCAACUUGUUUUUCGCAUCACCAGCUCAUCCCCAAUCGAACGGUCGGGUCGAAGCAAUAAACAAAAUCAUCAUGAAACUACUGAAACGGCAGCUGGACAAAGCCAAAGGAGCUUGGUUGGAGAAGCUUCCUGAAGCACUAUGGGCCAUUCGGACAUCUUACCGAACGUCCACUGGAGAAAUCCCUUUUUCCCUGACUUUCGGUUCGGAGGCUGUGGUGCCUGUGGAAAUUGGCGAACCUUCCUACCGAACGAAAACCUUCGCACCAAAGCCGAAUGAAGAAGCACUUUCUCUAAGCCUUGAUCUUCUUAAAGAGCACCGGGCACAUGCCAACCUUCGGAAUGAAGCCUACAAGCAACGUGUCUCUCGGUACUACGACUCUAGUGUCAGGCACCGCUCCUUCCGAAUCGGAGACUGGGUCAUGCGCAAGGUAUCCCUAGCAACCAAGGAUGCCACGGAAGGAACCCUCGGACCUUAAUGGGAAGGACCCUAUGAGAUCAUCGGGAACCUACCGACUGAGAGACUCCAACGGCAAGACCCUCGGUCAUCCUUGGAACGUGGAACAUCUCAAAUACUACUACAAGUGACCUAGCCUACGGCAGGCCCGAACUGUAACCGCUCAGAAUGUAUUUGUCCUUCAACUGAAAAUAAUAAAAGUCUUCAGCACUAUUACUUCAGAACCUCUUUUUAAUUAGUCUACUAGCCCACGACUGCCAAUAAUGUCGAGUUAACGUUCUACGGCAUCUUUAUUAGCCUACGGCAAUAAAUGACUUUCGGCGACAAUACGUUCGACAAUUUAAACACAUGUUCAGAUUGUUCAAACAACAGUAGAUAAAAACAUGCAUUUGAAUUAGAGAUGCCCUCGGCAUCAAUGUGUUCGGUACACAAAAUAAAAAUAGAAAAAAACUAAUUCUACUAUUAUAAAUAAACGGCAAGGAGCCUCAAGUUUCAUCGGCGGCGACAGCCUCGGCAGAUCCGGAGCCCUCGGCGGCAUCUUCCCCUCGUAUUCUUCAAUCAUGUCCUCCGUCAGCCCUUCCGGUAGAGGAGUAGGAUCAGCGAUGAAGUUCAGAUUCAGCUUCUUCCCGAGGUUGUACCGUUUGAACCGGUACAACAGGUCCGCCAUCUCCGAGCCCACUUCCUUAUCCAGGAGAACAGUGAACUCUUCAGACGAGCGGUACCCCCGGAUAGUUGACCGAAUGGCAGCCUCAAUCUCCGCAGCCUUGGCCCGCUCCGACUCCUCCAAGGCCACCUGCACCGCCUCUUUGGCAGCCUCGGCAUCCCUCGCUGUCGCCAGCGCUGCCUCCAGGAGACCCUUCAUCUCCUCCACCUUCGCCUCCGAAGCGAGACCCUUUUCAGCAGAUGGGCGUGGUCCUGGAGCGCUUUGCCAGCCUCGGCAACCUUGGCCCUGCCGUCCUCGUACGCCUUCUUGGCACGCUCGGCAGCAGCAAUGGCCCGCUUGACGCAGAGCCACAUGUCCAUGGACGCCUACACAAAACAAACAAAGUUAGAAGCAUGCCCCACUUACCAAAAAAAAAAGGACGAAGGAAGAAAGAAAAUCUUAUCGAGGCUUGAAGCCGGAAGGCGCGUCCGGCCUCCUCCCGAAGAAGCUUCUUCGGUAGUUCGUCGAUCUCCAGCAGCUCCAUCUGAGAACCGAGGAUCAUAUGGUUGACGAACUGGACCGUCUUCGCGGGGCAGGCGAUGGUGACGGCUUCGGAAGGACCGUCCACGUCCUCCACCGCAAGGAAAGCCCUUGGGACCUCCGAUUGGCGAGGGCGUUUGGGGACUGGCUCGGCUUCCAGAUCGACUGUCUCCGGCCGCUUGCCGGCAGCCUUGGAAGCUGCGGCCUCGGUAUCCCGAUGCCUCGGUGCAGAGACCUCACCGGCAGUGCGCCCCAGAACAGGCUCGGUGCCCAGCUGUCGCAGGCGCUCCGCGAGGGUCUGAUCCUCCGGAUCCACCACCGCCUGCCGGACGGAAGCUGCCUCGGGCUGCUUUUUCUUUUUCUUGCCCUCCAGGCCCAUCAUUAGGCGCCUCCUGGAGGACUCGUUCAUCUUCUUCGCCUCGGCAGCCUUCUUGCGUCCGUCACUGGUCAAAAGUGUUUGGUCAGUUGGCAAACAAAAGCAACACACAAAAACAAAAAAAAAAAACAAAAAGAGAGAAGGAAAGAUAUACUUACUCUCGGCAGGGUGGACGAGGCCGGCUCUGACAAGGUUGUCGGUGGAGAAGAAGCGUGGGUAAACUCGCUCGGCAGCAGGUACUCUCAGCCUCACUCUGUCGAGCUGCCGGAUCUCACUCUGCUUGGGGCUCGGCUGUUUGAGUUUACCUGUCGGAAGAAGGAAAAUUAGUAAAAUAAAGCAAGAAAAAAGAAGAGAGAAGAGAAGCCAGCCUAUCAAUCGGUAUUUCGGAAACCUACCGGCAAUCUGAAAUGUCGUGGGGACCGGGAAGCGAGGAGGUGUUCCCGAUGGCGAUUCCCAAUCGCCGGAGAGUAGCACCCGCCGAUUCCUCCACGACUUUUGAGAAGUCGGCACCGAGCUGAUGAAGUGCCCCUGCUCGGAAGUCUUCAGGCAGUUCGCCUGAACCCAGCCGCCGUGAUCGGCGCUCUUGGACUUAGUAAUGCUGUAUAAGUACAAGAACUGCUCGUAGGAAGGCUCCCCCUCCUCGGCAAUCCCGAACGCAGCAAUUACCCCGAUCAAGGCCACCCAGAAGUUGGGGUUGUACUGGCCGGGAGCGUACCCGAUCUGGGCAAGGAACUUCUGCACGGCAGGUUUCAACGGCAACCGAACCCCUUGUAGAAGAACGUCGGUGAAGAAGGUCACUUCACCGUUCACUGGGUCGCUGAGGGACUCGACAGGGCUCGGUAUCCUCAUCUUCACCGAGUCCGGAAUGAGGUACUCGGCCCUAAUCCUCUCCAGCUCUCGUUCGGUGAUCUUGUUGGGCUCCAAUUAGUCGACCCCGAACAGAGUCUUCCUAGGCACACCCACCGGUAUCCUAGGCUGCUCUCGAUGGACGAUCGUCACCCUCGGCCGGGAGGGACCGGCAAUGCCCUCACCACGACCGGAGGUGGAGGCCUCAGGCUGAUGCUUAAACGGGCCGACGCGGGUACCGUCCUUGUACACCACGGUCAAGGGUAGCGGUUGCCCCGUCAUAAGCCCCUUGCCGAUGCCAUGGGUGGGAAUGGAGUUCACCUCCUCACCGAAUAACUCAACAUCGGUGUCUUCUCCACCCUCAGCGUCGAGGCUCACAGCCCCGCUGGACGUAUCCCAGCCCGAUGACAACUCCCCAUCGAACGCGUUGGGCUCACUUCCGAACGGCGACUCGCUAUCAGACAUCUACAAAACAAAGAAAGGGAAGCUAAGGCCCGUGCCACAAACUACUCUACCGAUGCCUACAUCGCUACCUAUGGCCACUAGACUACCGAAGAAAAAUUCUAUUUUACGUUCGGCUAGCCUACGCCAUGAAAAGACGUACAAUUAAAUAAAUUGAGAGUAUUUUGAGGGGUACCGAACGGUAUCUUACCUUGAGUAGUGUGGGAUGAGUUGAUCACCGAUCAGAGACUUCGAAAAUUGCCCUGUAUGCCGAGAACCGCUGUAAAAAUCGCCUUGAUUGCCGUUCACUCUCUUCGGAAAUCGCCCGCACAGAGCUCUCGCGUCAACUCACAAUUGCAAAGUGAGCCUUACAUCCGGAGCAACCUCUAUUUAUAGGGAGAAAGCUGUAACGGUACACCUCGGAAGACUAAACGGCUCUUUAAUGCGUCGUCAGACGUGCUGUUGCUGGCCACGUGUCACCCGACGAAUGGCGCCGCUGACUGCACGCCAGGCACGGAAGACGAAGCGUCUCUCUGCCCUUUUGCUCUCAGCAUCGACGACCCCUCAAGUCCCAGGUCAAUCUCCCCCGAACGAUCCUACCGAACGGCAGGUCAACCUCCGAACCGCUAUAGAGAACUAAAUUCCCUUCCGAAGGACCUUCGGAAGAGAACUUGGGGGACUACUGUUUAUACCGGAAAUAAACGGCCUAUGACCACCGAACAAGUGGACAGGAUCGAUAUUGAUCACAGAACCCCUUCGGCAUGCUUCCUACCGAAGCCAUCUAUCUUGGCCCUUUUUACCAUCGGACACGUGUCAUGCUCACAAUCCAUGUCCACAGUCCCACAUCGGAAAUAUGAGCACAGUGCACACCUCCCAAGGCCUAUUUAAGAAGAUCCCUAUCCCCAAAAGGAGGAGAUCAGAACGAACGGUACGCUACCGAUUGAUCUGUCAGUUAACAUUACUAAAACCGUACUUACUAAAACAUCGGAGAGCCUUCGGCCGGUACCACACCGGUACCCCAAGGAAUUACCGAACGUGUCCUUUUGCAGGUACUUACCCUUCCGAAGUAGAACAUCUUCCGAAGACAGUCACUUGCCGAAGGCAUAAUAUCACUAAGUUGGCGAAAUACGUGCCGAACCACUUUUUCGCAUCAACAAGGUGCUAGUUCAAUGUAUGCAAUGAGAGAUUAAGUCUUUAAAUACUUGUAUGCUCAUAAUUCUCAAAGGAGUGGUUGUUGAUAAUUGAAAUUGAAAACAAAGAGAGUGUUCUCUCAUCUUUGCUCAUAAUCUGGGUAUUCUUAUAAUUAACGGGUUUGAAUUUUUCAUUCUAUCUUUUAUGCCAAGUUUCGGGUAAUCUUAGACUAAACGGGGCUUGGUGGGUCGUGGUUCGUGGUUCGUGUUUUCCAACAUCCUUGCUCGAAUGUUGCUGCAUCAAAGGCAGACCAAUAAAAAAAAGAGUAGCAAAGGCUUAUAACUCUCGUAAAACAAGAGUGACGUGGACAUAAUAUGUUACGUCGUACUGAAGAUUUUUGGGUUUCUUUAAUUGGUUAAGUUUAUAUACAUUCAUUUGAAGAUUCUUUAUUUGGGUUUCUUUCAAGAUGAAAACCAUAUCCACAACCAUAACCACAACUUGCCAGGGGCGGAUCCACAGAGGAGCAAGGGUGGUCAAUUGACCCCUACAACCUCUGAAAUCUGCCAUUAGAGGAGCAAAAAUUGACCCUCGCAAGAUGUUCGAUGAAAUGCCCCAAAGGGGCAACUUGUCUGUCCAUGCGCUCCAGCGCUGCUUGCGCGCAGCGCGCGAGCCUUUUUUUUUUUUUUUUUUUGUUUCUCUCGACUUCAAAGGUCGGGUGAGGUUGUUGAGUUCCAACUCGUCUCCCAUCUUGAUUGGAAGUGUAGCUUGCUUACUUUUAUCUUGACGGAGAUAACGAAGUGUGUUCUCUAGUUUAGGGUCAUAUGGUAUAAGCUCGUGACUCUGCGAACGACGACCCAGCAUAUACCUGAAAUUGAAAACAAAACUCAAUUAGAUUGACAAUCCCCGGCAACGGCGCCAAAAACUUGUUGGUAAUUUUUAACAACAAUAUUAAAACCUUGAAGUGCACAAAUCAAAUGAUAGUAUAGUAACCAAGCAAGGGUCGAUCCCACAGAGAUUGUGAUCUAAAGAGAUGUUUAUCAAUGUCACACAAUGAGAACUAAAACACAAUUAAACACGAAAACAAAAUAAAGAUUGAAACCACAAGGACUUCCACACACACGCCAACACCAAGGGGGGUUUUGAUUUGAUUUUGUGAAUAAAACAAAACAAGGAAAAGAAAAGAAAACAGAAUUUAAAUUAGAGUUUAAGAGAAAUUGGUUUAAAAUCAAUCAAGAACAAUAGCUAGGACUUACUAUCCACCUCCAAACAAUCAAUCAAUCAAUCAAUCCAUAAACAACAAUAGAUAAUCAAUUUCUAGCAAGCACAUGAUGAUGACACUCACAACAAGAUCAUGGCAUUUGACUCGAGUUGUGUGAUUCCCUCUGAAGUGUAUGGCAUUUACAUCAAUACGUGUAUUCUUAAUUAAAAUCUAGUAUGAUAUUUACUCAAAUUAACAAUCAAGAAUCCAUUAAGAUCAAAGAGAAUAUGUGUGUCACAAAAACCCUAAAACAUGGCAUUUGUUAUUAGGAAUUCAAGAAUCAAUUUCUCAUAACUAGUUCUGAACUCAAUUAUUCGUUGCAAACAAGAACACAUUCAAUAUGGCAAUUGACCUAUGUUCUACAACAAUUUAAUUCCAAACAUGCUUCCAAGUUAGCUACUCAAAGAAACAAAAUAUCAGAAUUCACAUAACAUAGAGAAACCAAAAUCAUCACGCUUGUAGAAACUGAAAAUCCAUUCAAACUUGUUUAUAAAAUUGAAAUUAUGUUUAGGGCUUCAAGAUUAAGCCCUAACUAACAAGAAAUUAGUUACUCAUAUUCUUGGAUGAACUCAAAAAUAAAUACAUAAGAACUGAAAAUUAAAAGAAGGAAGGAAAAGAAAGAACUCGUUGGCAGCUUUCUCCUUUUGCGCUGUUGAUCUCUUUAGGACGUGAAUUCCCUGUAUGAGGGCCUUGGCUGGCUUUUAUAUCACUUAUAUCAGAGUUCUAAACCCUAAUAUUGACUGAAAAAGUCAUCCAAGAAGUCUUGGUAAAUAAGGAAUCCAAAUAGGGAAGUAAAGAUCACAAUUCCUAACUCUAUAGGGAAAUACAGCUCAGCCCAAUUGUUACACGAUUUGGGGAUCUUCGGCCUUGUAGAAAAAUCAUUAAAAAUAUAUUUUAGAAAGAUAAAUGUCUUAUCUUUCCAACCAUAUAUAGCACGUAACUUGAACAAUUCGGGAAGGCUUCCGUUUCUUCGUAUUCACGUAAUAUGUACGAAACUGUCCUGUCUGCACGUGGGCUAACUUUACUUGUAAUACUCUACCAAUUGGCUUGGUAUAAAAUUCUACAAAAUCACAGAUUGAACUUCAAGAUGUUAGCUUUCAUCUCCAAUUGGCCUUGCACUAAAAUUCCUCUGAAAAGUUAAUUUUCCCUUAAAAACCUUCUAAGAGCGCAGAAAAGCUGAAAAUCAGAAAAGUAAAGUCAUAAGCCCUUUUUAAAUCCAAUUAUCCUACAAAACCUAAGUAAAAAGAGUACAUAAAUGAGUAUAUUUAUGGACUUAUCAAAUUUCUGGCGUGUAAGGCACUUCCCAUACAUGGCGUUGGAAUUUCCGGCUUAUGGGAAGAUUAUGUGAUUAUUAGGUCUCACACGUGGCGUUAGAAUUUCCGGUGUGUGAGACACUUCCUAUAGGUGGCGUUGGAAUUUUCGGCAUAUGGGAAGAUUAUGUGAUUAUUAUGUCUCACACGUGGAGUUGGAAUUUUCGGCGUGUGAGACACUUCCCAUACGUGGUGUUGGAAUUUCCGGCGUAUGGGAAGAGAAUAAGGAGAGGAAAAAAUAAUUAUUUUACUAUAUCGGGGAAAGAUUGAUGCUUAAAAGAAUAAUGUCUUGUGUGUUGUGAUUUAAGGAAAAGGAAUAAUUCUAUAAUUUACUAUUUUAUUUUGCUGUAAUGGAUUGUAUGUUAUUGGAAUCGAGAUUCUUGUAGAAAGAACUACAUGUGGCUUGAUCCCUCAGUAAGGAUACGUAGGUAGCUUAGGGUCUCACCCAGGUGCAGCCGCGAAAUAACUAUAUAUAUAAAAGGUUUAACCGGUUUUGAAUGUGUGAAUGAAUUUUGAGGUGGUUGCGGGAUUUGAAUCCUAAUUAUUACUACUACUAGGUUCAGUUUUGAUUAUGAUGGAACGCCUGAAGCUCGACUCAAACUUGAGCGAGAUUAAAUGCUUGUUUAUUUCUCGAUUAACUUGAUUGGACUUUAUUAAAUAGAAUAUGUGGUUCUGAUAUGUCUGAGAUCCAUUUCGAAAUAAAUGACUGAUAUUAGGUUGAUUAUAUUGAGUAAUGGGCUUGAGGCCCCUAGAACCGAAAAUCGCGUGCCCUUAUUCCUUUUUGGGAAAGGAGGCUAUAGUUUUAGUGACUGGGCCCGACAUCGUGGUGAUGUCAAAUUUUCCACAGGAUAUGUUCUGGGUUCCGAGGAAUUCGAGGCAGGUCUUGUCAACUAAUCAAUCGUCACAUCCCAGGAUCGGCUCCGCUGUAGCACGAUAUUGUCUGUCCGCUUUGGGCCUCUCUCUCUACCUUCACAAUUUUAUUUCUGGGAACUCACAAGCAACUUUCUAGUAGGUCAUCAAUCUUGGAAUUACUCUAGCCCCAACUCACUUAAUUUCGGAGUUCCCAUGACUCCAAAACUAGUCAGUUCCCAAAAGGCCUCGUGUUAGAUAGAGGCGGGCAUGUACAUAUAAGACACAGCACCCCCUCUUCGUUAAUCAAUGUGGGAUGUUACACCUCCCUUCUAAUCUUGUACUAAAAAAAAACUUACACUGAGAAGAGCAAAGAUGAGUGGUAGAUGGAAACCCAUUAAGAUUGAAAUACUUAUGCAACAGGAAGGUGAUGAAUAUGAAGGAAAAAUAAAACUUAAUAUAUAUAAGAUCAAGUGAAAAACAAAAUUAAGUCAUCAAACACUGACAGAGAAAGUAAAACCACUUUAGUUGAUCAAAUCCAAAUUUUAUAUAAUCUGUAUUAAUGAGUGGAGGAGAGACUUGAAGAAAAAAAUGAUAAAAACUUUCAAUCUCUAACAAUUUCUACGUUUGUCCUUCAAAUUUGCUUUUUGGCAACUCUUUUUUCUUUUUGUGAAGUUGGGUCUCAACUUCCAAGGCCCAAAAUGCAAAAACUACCUCAAACUCAAAGCAUUCCCUGGGCCUAUACAAUCCUCAAGAAGAAGACAAGCCCAAUGUGAGGAAGAAGAAAAGAAAAAGGCAAGGAAUCUAUGAGUUGACCUGAUCAUUAUGCAAUUAUUCAGAGAGAAUUUAUGUCACAUCUACAGCCGGAGAAAGCAAUCUGCAACUGCAAGUGAGCUUUUCUAGUCAUUAGCCAAAGGCAAAACAAACUUGGUCCUUGCAUACAUAGCUUAGCAGGUGCGAAUUCCUUCACUUCUCUCUUUCUACUUUUUUUUCUUUUCAUUUUCAUAAUAUUUCUUCUAGAUUAAUGUAUUGUUCUAUAAAUUGAUAUAUAUGUUUCCACAUGUCCAUUUGCCUGAAGGUUUAAGUCGCUUGUGUUUCAUGGUAUGUUUUGAUCGAGGAGUAGGUUGACACACUGGUCAAAGUUGAGGGGGUUCUUUGUAUCUUAUACCCUAUCGAUUUUCUUAGGGGUGUCCUUUCGUGCCGUCACUAUGGUUUUGCUCAGCAUAGCACAUCAACAGGAAAAUGGAAGAAUGCAAUCAUGCUGGUCCAAAUGACACAAUUAACAUGCCAUACGUUCCAUUAGAAACUUCAUUGAGGGAGGAGUUAGAUAGCUUGCCUGCCUUGUCCUCUUCGUGUUGUAUCUACAGAGUUCCCAAUGACAUACGACGUCUGGAGGAAAAGGACUACACACCUCAAGUCAUCUCCAUAGGUCCACCUCAUCAUGGCAAGGAAGGUUUAGAAGCCAUGGAAGAGCUGAAAAGAGGUACCUACGAGAUUUUAUGUGUCGGACUAAGAUAAGCUUGAAAGACUAUAUCAAGAAAAUAAGGGACCAAGAAGCAAGACUGAGAAGUUGUUAUGCAGAACCCAUCAAAUUUAGCAUUGAUGAAUUUGUAAAAAUCAUUCUAGUGGAUGCUGCCUUCACUACUGAGUUCUUAUUGAGGUUCUAUCUGAAAGAAUCUGGACAUGAAGGAGACCGUUUGUUAAACAAUCCGUGGAUGUUCAGGUAUGUACAGCCUGACAUGUGGUUGCUUGAAAAUCAGCUCCCAUUCUUUGUUCUUGAGGAUCUUUAUCACACAUACAUAAUAACCGACUCUUUUAGGAAUUAUUACAGUACUCAUGAUCAUGAGAGGCUUUCAAUAAUUAAUAUUUCAAAGAAUUUCUUCACAGCUGGAAUAUUGAAUUUGGAGGGUAAAGGAGACAAAUGGAACAGAAUAUCAUCUUCUUCUAGUUCUAUUAAUGUGCAACACUUUGUUGAUCUUAUAAGAAUUUUCUAUCUACCAUUGGAAUCAGAAUUAAGAGAUGCAGGGGAGCUCAAAACCUUGAACAUACCUAGCAUCAAAGAGAUGCACCAGGCUGGAGUCAAAAUUAAGGUAGGAUCAAGCAAAAACUUAGUCGACAUACAAUUUGCAAGUGGAACUCUCAUAAUUCCUAAAAUAAUGAUAACUGGUGACAAACUGCGGACCCUGGGAAAUGUCCUUGCCUUUGAACAAAGCCAUUGCAUGGAAGACAACUACUUAAACGAUUAUGUUAGCAUCAUGGGUCGUUUUGCGAACACUCCAAAGGGUGUGGAGUUGCUUGUUGAGUUUGGAAUUUUUCAAACUGCGGGUACCACCAGCGUGGUGUCAUCUAUGAUUACCAAACUUGCCUCUGAGGCUCUUUUCUUUGUCGAUAGAUUCUGUUACGCGACUCUUUGUGAAGAGCGGAACAACUUCUGCAGAUCGUCCUGGAACAAAUGGAAGGCAAAUUUGAGACAAAAUUAUUUCAACACACCUUGGGCAUCUAUUUCUGUCAUUGCCGCUGUUGUUCUCCUCACACACACUCUCAGACAAACGGUGUGCUCUGUUAUCUCUGCUACUUAACCAUUAAAGGGUAAGUCCCUGCUUUGCCGCUUUCUCUUCUGACAAUAAUAUGUAGACUCAUCUCUGUUUUUAUUAUUUAUUUAUUCACUCACAUGGUUCUAGCAGGAACACUUUCGGGAAACUAGUAGUAUUUCAGGUCCUCAUCAAGUAAAGGGAUCCGAGGAAAGCCUGUGAACUCAAGUCCAGAUGAUGAAUGUAAUAUUUCUAUUGUUUGUCCAAAUUUUCACAGUGAAUGAAUUCAAACUGCAGGUUCUUCCUAUCCAGAUUGUUUCUGAUGAAAUAUUAUUUAUUUCUGUGCUAUAAAUUUUUUAGUAAUGAAAAAAGAGAGAAAAAAAAACUUCCAAUGUCCACCAAUCUCUGUAAAAAUUAAUUUGUUUUAUGAUUAAUUUCUCCAUGGUGGUGAUCAAAUCUUUAUUCUUUUUGUGGUUAAGUUGGAUCCCAAGGCCCAUAAACACAAAAACUAACUCAAAGCAUUCCUGGGCCUAGAAACCGCUUGGCAUCCUCAAGAAGAAGACAAGCCCAACAUGAUGUGGGAAGAGUCCAAGACUAAACGGCUCAAGUCGAAGGAAAAAGCAUAUAAAGAGAGUUUGAUAUUUUUCAUCAUCAAAUCCGUUAAGAAUUUUAUGUAUUUAUUAUUAGUAAAUUUAGGUUUUACCCAUAAAAAAAUUUUCAUUUUUGGAAAAAGCCAAAGCUUUUUGAAAAAAGACAGAAUAACCUCUUAACUUUCAAACCAAAGACAUGCAAAUGUAAAGGAUUUCUUAGGAAAUCAAAAAAUAAAUAAGGGCAAUUUUGUCCAUUUUUGCUUGUUUUAAAAAUUUUCUCUCUCCUUUGGGCUUUUCCAAAGUCUCCCUUUAUUAUUUUAUAUUUUUUUAGUACAAGCGAUAGGGAGGGGUUUCUCACACACACAACUAAUGUCAUGGGGGUUUGAACCUGAUACCUCUCUGGUCUACAAAUCAAAACCCUUUUUCACUCCACUAGACCCUGUUGGCUUUUUUUUUUCUUCUUAAGAGCAUUUUAAAUCUAGUAAGAAACAACCUAAUUUUUUCCGGAACAUUUUCAUGGAAUAAGCAUUGCACACUCCGCACAAAGGACACAGAAACUUCACCGAAACACAAAAGCAGAUUUUACUUAUAGUCGACAAACCCUUGUACAAAAUGUUGAUUUUUAGUUGUCGUGGGACCUGCAAUGGAUUAUUCAAACUUCCCCAGGACGCGCAUAGACAUGUCAAAGCAAAGGCAAGGAAGCUACAUGAGGAGUUGACCUGACUUCCAAACCAGAUUCACUAGUUCUUAUACUGAAAUCUAGCAGAAGAGCAAGCUAUCUGCAUUGAGCUUUUCUAGCUACUCAUCUACCAACUGCCAAAAAAAAAAAAAAAAACUUGGGUUUCAAUCCAUAGCAGGUAUGUUUUCAAUGCCCAAACUCCUUUCUCUGUCUUUCUUUAUUUUUCUAUGUUUGCUUGCACAUCCAAUUUCUUGAAGCUUUUUAAGUGUCUUGUGUUUCAUUUUAGUUGGAAAUUGGAAUUGAGCAAAAGGUUAUGUAAAUGUCGUAUAUAAUUUUCUUCUCUUGUAAUGGGAUUUUGGUUUGUCUAUGUUUUGACUGGAAGCAUAAUCUACUAUCUGAUAUCAUUACACAAAGAAUUUGUUUUAUUAGAAUCUCCAAUAAUGCAGAACACGAAAAAGAUUUUUUUUUUAUUUUUUAUUUUUUAUUUUUAUAAAUGUAAUAAUUCAUUCAAGACUUUCAAUUCUUUUCCUUUCGAACAAAUAAAAAAAAUGGUGUCUCUAUGUUAAUGUGAAUUAAACUUUCGUACUGAUUCACAUGAUUAGUAGGAAUUUUUCAAUCAAAACUGCAUUAGAAUCUUCCAAGAAUAAUUACAAGAAACAGAGUUGACCAGAAGAGUUUUGAAUGAAUUUGGUGCAUUCAAAUCAAAUUCUUAAGGCACUAGUGUGGUAUGUAAGAGUUACAAGGAUCAAAAGUCUUUGUGUGUUUGGUCUUAUAGUUGCAAUGUUUGUAUUAAUUUUCUCAACCAUCUUGAAAAUUUGUUUAUUGUUGUGUCAGUGACUAUCAUUUCAUUAUCAUCCAUUACGAUUGACAACAACAAACACAUCAGCGGAAAAUGGAAGGAAGCGAUCAAGCUCCACAUGAUAUUGAAAACCCCUGCAUUCCAUUAGUAACUUCAAUGGGCGAGGAAUUGGAUGGCUUGUCUCCCCUCUCCUCUCUGUGUUGCAUUUAUAGAGUUCCUGAACGACUACGGCGUGUGAGUGAAAAGGCCUACACACCUCAGGUAGUCUCUAUAGGCCCACUUCAUCAUGGCAAGGAAGGCCUAAAAGCCAUGGAAGAUCACAAAAAGAGGUACUUACAAGAUUAUAUACGUCGGACCAGGGUAAGCCUAGCGGAUUAUGUACAGAAAGUAAAAGACCAAGAAGCAAAACUGCGCAGUUGUUAUGCAGAAACCAUUCAGGUUAGCAGUGAUGAAUUUGUGAGAAUCAUUCUGGUGGAUGCCGCCUUCAUCAUUGAGGUCUUGUUGAGGUAUCGUUUCGAUGAAUUGCAGGAUGAAAAUGACUGCAUAUUUAACAAACCAUAUAUGUUGCAGGAUGUAUGGCCUGACAUGCGGUUGCUUGAAAAUCAGCUGCCCUUCUUCAUUCUUGAGGAACUUUUUGACCCCGACAAAAUCGAAGUCUCUUCUAACAAUAACAAUAUUGAAAGGCUUUCGAUACUCAACCUUUGCCACAAUUUCUUCAAAAAUCUAAUGCAUAUAGAGGGAACAGAUGGCAAUAUGGAGAAAUUAUGUGCUUCUAAAGUUGAACACUUUGUAGAUUUUUGUAGAAAUUUGCAUCUACCUCUACCAUUGAAACCACAUGCUAAAGGGCGACUUGAAACUCUAAACACACCCAGCAUCACAGAGUUACACAGAGCAGGAGUCAAGUUUAGGGUGGGAUCACCCAAAAACUUAUUCAACAUAAAAUUCGCUAAUGGGAUUCUAAAAAUUCCAAAAUUAGCAAUAAGUGAUGAGACAGAGCUUACAAUCAGAAACCUCCUCGCUUUUGAACAAUGCCAUUGCAUGGAGAAUUACAUAAACGAUUAUGUUGUCAUCAUGGAUCGCUUUGUGAACACCGCAAAGGAUGUGGAGUUGCUUGUUAAGCAUGGAAUCGUCGAAAAUAGUCUCGGUGACAGUAGUGAAGGGUCUACUCUGAUUAACAACCUUGCGGAUGGGGUCAUAGUGGACCCUAAUGACUUCUAUUUUGCUAUUCUUUGUGCAGACCUCAACAAGUACUGCAGAACGUCUUGGCACAAAUGGCAGGCGAACUUGAGACAAAACUAUUGCAACACACCUUGGGCAACUAUUUCAAUUGCUGCGGCUAUUUUUCUCCUCAUACUCACUUUUAUACAAACAGUGUGCUCUGUUAUCUCUGCUCUGCCUUCUAAGCGUUGAGAGUAAGUCUCCUCUUAGCCGUUUUCCCCUUGUCAUUUCCUUUUGGUCCUCCGCAUGACACGAGCUGGGUUUGUCACCAGCCUAGAGGUGCAAGAGAGCUGGAGAAAGAAAAAGUUAGUGUAUAUGUAGAAAAUAUAGCCUCUGUUAGUGAAAGUGAGCUGUGCAUGUAGAGUGAUGGAAGCAAUGUGGUUGUUUUAUUUGUUUCUCCAUGCUUGUUCGGUAUGAAACUGUUCAAAUUUUAUAACUUUAUUGUUAAUCCGAGAGCUGUUAUGUUGGGUACUCCAAUGUAACAAAUCAUUGAAAAUCUCAUGUCGGUAGAUACUAGUCUUUAAUCUAAGACAUCCUUUGUCAAUGGAGGUUUUGUGCAAAAACUAUUUUAUACACAUAUUUUAUACCCUAAGUGAAGCCCCUAUUUUAUACCCUAAGUGAAGCCCCUAUUUUAUACACAUGAAAAACAAUUUUUGAUCUUCAAAAAAAGCAAUGCAUAUUCGAAAUAUAACUGAAAAAAAGUGUAUUGUCUAUGAUUUUAUUUUUGUAUUUUAGGUGCAUACAAUUGGAUCUAAAAUUGCCACAUAACUAUCAUAAACUUAGAAGCCAUAUAAUUACGCUUACGAAAUAUGCUAGCGUGCGUCGCAUGUGGGCAUGUGUCACCCUAUUACCAUACUGUAUGUCCUGGACGGUAGAUGACUGGACCUUUGCCUCCGACCAAAAUAUACAUAUAUUUUCCUCCUUUUCUUGAGCUUUAUAAGCGUCCAACUCCAUUCAUAGUUGAUUUCGAACCAAAACAAAGAAUUCAUAAUUGAUUUAUUAUUUUUCCAACUAUAUGCACAAGGACCUAUAGCCUUUUCGAGUGUAUAAUUAAUUAGCAUGAAGAAAAGGAUAGAAUUCUUUUCUUGCAGACCCAUACAUAAAUGUAGAUUCGAUACAUUUACGCAGUCCACCCGCACCAAAAGAUUGCAAAAAGUUCACAAUAUUUUUAAAUGUAGAUUCGAUACUUUAAUUGAUUGCUAUGAAAACCUUCUCUGGUGAGGCAUUAGUGGUCUUCAGCUCUUCACCUUGGCAUUGGUGGGUGAAGUCACACCACAUCCCCUACCCUCGGGUUUAGUAGAGUCUCCCGACCACAAAGGUUGGGCAGCGCAAGCAAACCAGAAAAAUUAUAGUUUUGGGAGCUUCUAAUUUAUUUUAUUUUUUUACACUAAACAAACACAGUUGAUUUAAGUAGAAAUCAAUUUAGUCCUUUAGCCAAGCUUGAUGGUAAAGUGGGGCCAAUCACACAGUCCAUAUCCACCCCUUGGAAUCUCCAUAACCCCCAAAAAAGUUUCAAAAAAAAAUUUUUACAAAUAAUUUGAAAUGUUUGAUAAUGAAUGUACACAAAUUAUAGCUCUGGGAGCUUCUAAUUUUUACACUCUAUAGCAACCAAAAAAAAAAAAACCCAGUUAAUUUAAGUAGAACUCAAUGAAGUGCUUUAUUUCACUAAGCCAAGCUUGACGGUGAAGAACUGAUCAACUAACAUUUCUUUUGCAGGUUCUGAAAGAAAAAGUAGAGAGGAAAAAGAAAACGUUGCUUUUCUGCUUUUAUUAUUAUUUGAACCAAUUAAACCGGGGUUGCAUAAGCGCUUCUAUUAUAAAAAUGUUGAAAUCUUCAUAAGAAAUCCAAGUGCCUCCUGGUAAAACAAUUGGGAGUGCUAGCUUAUUUAGAAAGCGCUUCUAAAGGUUUAAGCCAAAUACUGUCAUAAGCGCUUUUGGUUGUUAAAAAAGCACUUUGAGCUAUUCUAGAAGCAUUCACAAACAUGCCCUGGCUAUCUAUGGACUUCUCCUUUUUAUACCCUUGGGAGAGCUACGAACCCACUAAUUUAUAAUAAGUAAAUUUAGGUUUUACCCAUAAAAAAACUUUCACUUUUGGAAAAAGCCAAAGCUUUUUCAAAAAAGACAGAAAAACCUCUCAACUUUCAAACCAAAGACAUGCAAAUGUAAAGGAUUCCUUAGGAAAUCAAAAAAAAAAAUAAGGGCAAUUUUGUCUAUUUUGGCUUCUUUUAAAAAUUUUCUCUCUCCUUUGGGCUUUUCCAAAGUCUCCCCUAAUUAAUACAACAUGCCAAGCCUUAGAAAGGUAAAGCCAGGUUAAGCAUAACAUGAACAGUGAAAACCAGGUUUCACUACAUAUGGAUGUCAUUGCAGCUGUUGUUCUUCUCAUACUCACUAUCAUGCUGUCUGCCUGCUCUGUUGUCUCUGUUACUUAACUUAAUGUUAAAGUAUUUUAGAGAUCGAUUCAACCAAUGUUGUGCCUAUUGUUUUCUUAUAGUUCGUUUGUGUGAGUGGUGGUGGUAUUCAAAUUAUUUGUUUGAUGUAAGACUAAAUAUAUAAUUUUUAACAAAUGUAUCAGGGGUAAUUCCCUUCGCACUGAGAGUUUGAAUAGCUUAUUUAUAUACAAACAGAAGAACCUCCACUUCCCUAGUUUAUUUCUUUUGACUCUGUGGACCAUUCCUCGAAAGAUGAUUCUCGAUCCUGUUCGUAAAAAAAUUUCUAUUUUUAGUUUAAAUUUUUUUUAUAGGUUUACCAUAAUCUUUUUUAAAUUUAUUACUUAAAUAGUGGUAGUGGACAUUGAACAACCGGGAGCAAUUUACUUAUGAUACUUAGUUGACAUUCAUAAAAAGUAUCUAAUGAAUUAUGAGUUCAAUACAUCUAAAUUUUAAAUCAGUAAAAUAUUUAAAUAUUCACUAAAGAAAUAAUAAUUAAAACAUAAUUACUAAUUAAAGUAAUUAAAAACGGCUAAGGUAUUACUUAUUAAAUUAAAGAAGUUGGCCAAAAAACAAAAGUAAAGGAACAUAUUUUAUAUUUUUAAAAUUUAAAGAUAAAAAUAAAAUAAAAUAAACCAAAACAACCUCUCUCGACAAAAUUUCGUCGGCACAAGUUUAUACCGGCAAUAUUUGCCGAAUUAGACCUCUCUCGACGAAACUCACCUCUGCUGACGAAAUUGCGUUGGGAGAAAUCUAAUUAGGUAAAAAGUUGCAUGCAUAUACCCGUGCCAACUAAGUGUAACAUCCCACAUCGACCAACGGAAAGGGGGUGAUGUGCCUUAUAUGUACAUGCCCGUCUCUAUCUAGCACGAGGCCUUUUGGGAGCUCACUGGGUUCGAAGUCAUGGGAACUCCGAAGUUAAGCGAGUUGGGGCUAGAGCAAUCCCAAGAUGGGUGACCCACUUGGAAGUUGCUCGUGAGUUCCCAGAAACAAAACCGUGAGGGCGGAGGCCUAAAGCUGACAAUAUCGUGCUACGGCGGAGCCGAUCCCAGAAUGUGACAAUAUCGUGCUUAUCACUGGUGGAAGACAGUCCGCAGACGGUAUGCUAACCCUGUUCCCUUACUUGGGAAGAGUUUCAGAGGGUAUUCUUCGAUCAGUUCUACCCGCAUUCUUACAAGAAUGUGAAGAAGUCUGAGUUCUUGCAUUUGAAACAGGGACAGAUGUUAGCACUGGAAUAUAAGCAUAAAUUAGGAUUUCUCUAGCCCAAACUCGCUUAACUUUAGAGUUUCCAUGACUCUGAAGCUAGUGAGCUUCCAAAAGGUCUCAUGCUAGAUGGAGGCGGCAUGUACGUAUAAAGCAUAUCACUCUAUCUCCGUUGGUUGAUGUGGGAUGUUACACUUCACCCCCGUUAGUGGCUCGACGUCCUCUUCAGCACACUCGCACCACACAGCAGAGCAGCUCUAAUACCAAAUUGUCACAUCCCGGGAUCGGCUAUGCCGUAGCACGAUAUUAUCCGUUUUGGGCCCCUCCUCUCUGCCCUCACGGCUUUAUUUCUGGGAACUCACGAGCAACUUCCUAGUGGGUCACCCAUCCUAGGAUUGCUCUAGCCCCAACUCGCUUAACUUCGGAGUUCCCAUGACUCCGAAUCCAGUGAGCUCUCAAAAGGCCUUGUGCAAGAUGGGGCCGGGCAUAUACAUAUAAAGCACAUCACCCCCUCUCUAUUGAUCGAUGUGGGAUGUUACAAUAUGUCACAAUUAUAAAUAGGAACCCAAGAAGAACAUAUAUCAUAUAAACUAUUCAACCAGUCAUCAUUAGCCAAUUCACAUUCUUUCAUCAAUUCCUUCCACUUUUCUUCAAAUUCCUCUAUCUUGUAUGUUGACAGAAUACAUUUCUUCAUCUGAAUUUUGAAUUUGGACUUCGUGAAGUACACAUGUGACAAUUUUUCUACAAACUUCUUCUUAAUAUGCCAGAGGCAUAACCGAUGGCGAGUGUUAGGAAAAAUCUUGACAAUUGCUCCUUUCGUUGCCAAGUCUUGGUCAGUAAUAAUGGAAACUAGAUGACGUCCUCCCAUUGCUUCAAGCCAUGUCUCAAACAACCACAAAAUGUCACUUCUGUCUCAUCUUGUAAAAGUGCACAUCCAAAUUGUAUUGAUUGCAAAUGGUGGUUUACUCCUGUGAAUGGUGCAAAUGGCAUAUCAUACUUGUUUGUCCUAUAGGUUGUGUCAAAUGUGACUACAUCUCCAAAAAGUGGUACGCCAUGCAUGAUCAAGCAUCCACCCAAAAGAAAUUAGCUGCCCUUCCGUUUUCAUCACAUUGAAUGGCAUAAAAAAAAAAUUGAGGAUUCUUAGCUUGCUUCUUCCUAAAGUAAGUAAGGACUGGUUGUGCAUCACCUCCAUCCAGUUGUCUAUGCCGGACAUUUCUCAAGUGGUUAUAACAAUCUCUAUUGUUAAAACCAAUAUGCAAUUGGCAAAUUUUCUUCAUGAAAUGUUUCAGUCAGAAUUUUAGCUGUUUUCGGCAUAACCCUAUUUGACUUCAUUUUUAUUCUUCUUUCCGGUGUAACUAGCUUGUGAUUGUGAGAGUCUUGGAAACUUGAAACUUUCCAUUUGUUUGACCAUCUAUCAAGCUUAAUUCUCAUACUUGCUUUGCAUCCACAUUUCACCGUAUAACAAUUUUUACCCGUUCUCUUCAUAUUCUCAAUCUCACUUAUGUCUCUCUCAUCAUUCUCUUCUGAAGCCUUCUGUGAUGUAUUUUUGGGCACAUAUUUUCCUUCAUGUGCACAAACAAAUUAUCUACUCGUUACCUCAUCUAAACGCCUUCUUGUCUUGGAGGAAGAUCAAGUUCUAAUCCAGAAUCCCUCUUGCCGGCCAUACUCUUCAUAAUAGUUUCUUGCUUCUUCCAUUCUGUCAAAUACCAUCCCUGUAUAUGGUGCUUUUAAUUGUGUCACUUUCUUUUUUGGAGUACUUGUUUCACCAUUCUCCACUUGAAUUAUCUCCUCUACCUAUUGAACAUAUUUAUCAUUCUUAACGAUGCAACUUAGAAAAAUAUUGUACAUAUGUUAAUAAGAUAUAUAUGAAAAUGAAGAAUAUGAUUAUCUCUGCAUCAAAAUAUUAAUGCAAGAUGAAAUAUAAUUGAAUAAACUUUCAUAUUGAUUUUAAAAUUUAAUUCUUAUGUUAAAAGACAAUCAUUAAUGGCACUACGAAUUAUUUUUUAACAUAAGAAUUCUUAAUGGCCCAAUAAUUCAGCAAUCCUAACAUCGUAUAAACUUUCAUAUAACAUCGUAUUUAUAAAUAUAUAAAAAAAAUUGCAAUCCUAAUUGUCUACAGGAAGAGCUACAACAAAGAUAAAAAAAUCUCAGAUGAAAGUAACAUACCAAAGAUAUGCACUAAGAGUUGGAGGAAAUAUCUUGUGUGCGCUCCAACAUUUUGAUGAGGCAAUAUUGUAUUCAGAUAUGAGAAAUUGCUUUGACAUAAAAGAACUAUACUGAAGAUGAAUUCAUGGUUGCGUAUAUGCUGUGCAUGAAGAAGAAUAAACUGAAAAGAGUCCUUAUUAGACCUUAAUAAAUAUUUGAGAUUAAAGAGGAGAGAGAGAGAGAGAGAGAGGCGUGCGAAUGUGAUUGUGGUUUGGGUAUUUAGUUUUUGGUGAAAUUUUUUAUUUAUUAGAUCCUAAUAAAUAUUUGAGAUUAAAGAAGCAGGAGAGAUCCUAAUAAAUAUAUUUGUUUGAUGUAAGACCAAAUAUAUAAUUUUUAACAAAUGUAUCAGGGGUAACUCCCUUCGCACUGAGAGUUUGAAUCGCUCAUUUAUAUACAAACAAAAGAACCUCCACUUCCCUAGUUUAUUUAUUUUGGCUCUGUGGAGCGUACUUCUAAGUAAUUUUCAUAGGCACAAGCCAUCACUCUUUUUUUUUUUUUUUUUUUAAAUCAGUAAAAUAUUUAAAUAUUCACUAAAGAAAUAAGGACAAGGACACUGUUACUGUGCUGCUGUUACUGUUACUGUGCUGCUGCUGGAAAAAGGACAAGGACUUCACAUGUUGCUUUCGUCUUUUGCGGAGGAGAGAGACCUAGGACUUGCAUGUCUUAGAUAUUUAAGAUAAGGGGCUUUUGUGCCAUUUUGAAAUUACUUUGGGUGUUUUUGAAAGCGGCUUGUUUCUUUUGGGUUUCUCACUAAAUUUCACUUUAGAGGGAAUAAGGGAAAUAAUAAUAAUAAUAGUACAGACCUUAUUAGCAACAGGGUUACAAACUUCUUCUACAACACACACCAACAUGAAUCUAGCCCAGAUCCACUCUUUUACAUACUUGAAAACAAAACAAAAAACAAGAUAGGGAGAAAAUGGCUACAGAGAGACUUACUGCUAAUACUUGAUCAAUAACAGAGAUAAUAGAGCACACUGUUUGUAUGACAGUGAGUAUCAGAAGAAUAACAGCUGCAAAGAGAGAAAUAGCUGCCCAAGGUGUGUUGAAAUACUUUUGUCUCAAAUUUGCCUUCCAUCUGUUCGUGGUCUUCUUGCAGUACUCGUUUAGUUUGCCAGCAAGAUCACCAAAAUAGUAGUUUUCGUGGUUCGGAGCAACUUUACUGCAAAGCUUGUUAAUCAUAAUGGAAACCUUAUUGUUGUCACCUAGCGUGUUUACAACAAUUCUAUUCUCAACAAGCAACUCUACAUCCUUUGGAGUGUUUACAAAUUUAUCCAGGAUGAAAACAUAAUCGCUUAUGUAUUUAUCCACGCAAUGGCAUUGUUCAAAGGCAAUGAGAUUUCUAUGUGUAAGCUCUGUGUAAUCAUGUAUUUCAAUUUUUUGGAAUUUCCAAGGUGUUUUUCUUGAACUGUAUAUCGAAUAAGUUCUUGCUUGAUCCCACGUUAAACUUAACUCCGGCCUGGUGUAGUUUUGUCAUGCUGGGUGUACCUUGGAGCCCUCCAUUUUUCUUUUCUUUUGGCAGAUGUAAAGUUCUAAUAAAAUCAACAAAAUGUAAAGGUUUUUUAGGAUCAGGAGGCAUAAAAGACUUACGGAAGGCUGGUGAGUUCUCCAAGUUUUCUAAACGCAGUGCCUGUUGGAAGAACCUGUAAGAGAGUUCAAUUAUUGAAGGCUCCCCAGUCUGAGCACCUGUGAGAUUGUAAAGAUCCUCGAGAAUGAAAAAUGGCAGCUGAUUUUCGAGCAUAAGCAUGUCAGGCAAUAUAUUUUGUAGCACCAUGGUUUUUUAAAUAUCCAAGCAUUAUCAUCCUGCAAUUUUUCUUCCUGAAAUUUUUCUUCGGAUUUAUUCCUCAACAAUAGCUCAAUGACAAAGGCGGCAUCAACUAGAAUGAUAUUCACAAAAGCAGCAAUGUUAAACUUCUUAGUGUCUUCAUAAUAAUGACGGAGAUCACCUUCUCUCUCCUUUAUUUUCUCUAAAUAAUCCUUCAAUCCUACUACUUUAGUCCGAUCAAGAAAACAUUUUAGGUACCUGAGUUUGUGAUCUUCCAUGGCUUCUAAGUUUUUGCUGCCAUGGUGAAGUGGGCCUAUUUAACUACUUGUGGUGUGUAGGCCUUUAGUUUUACGUUCUGUAGUCGCUCAGGCACCCUGUAGAUACAGCAGGCAGGGGACAGGGCACGCAAGUUUGUCAACUGAUUUUCCAUGGAAGUUGCUUGGUUUUCUAUGUCAAAAGAAGCUUCAUUGCUGCUUUCUUCCACUUUCUUCCUCCCCAUUAUGUGUUGUUCUGAUUGUAAGCGACGAGGAUGGUGAUGAUUCUAGACACCAUAAUCAACAAAUGUUUCAAUCAUAAUUGACAUUUCAAGAUGCUCCGACAAAAAAUUAGAAAACAUUCAUCACAAAAUGCGAACUCAUACAAUAGAUGGGAUGAGAAGAUCCACACAUUGCAAUCAUACAAUCCAAUUGCACAGGGAUUAGUCCCUAUUCUCCUCUCUCUCUCUCUCUCUCUCUCUCUCUCUCUCUCUCUCUCUCUCUCUCUCUCUCUCUCUCUCUCUCAAAAAGAUUUUCAUAUCGAUAACAUCUUAUUGCAAGGGAAUUGUACACCAAGUAGUGAAGAACAGAAAUUCAUAUUCUUUCAAUCAAAAUGUACAAAUUUCGAAAAUGUUUGUUUGUUUUAUUUUUUGGGGAAAAAAAUCUGUGCAUGUUAUAUGUAGACCUAAGGUGAAAACAGACCAGAUUUUUACGCCAUUUUUCAUGAGGUUUAAGUUUGUGAUGUAUAUAUUUAUCUCAAGUGUAACAUCUCACAUCGAUCAAUGGAGAGGAGGUGAUGUGUCUUAUAUGUAUAUGCUCGCCUCCAUCUAGUACUGGGCUUUUGGGAGCUCACUAGCUUCGGAGUCAUGGGAACUCCGAAGUUAAGCGAGUUGGCGCUAAAGCAAUCCUAGGAUAGGUGACUCAUUAGGAAGUUGCUCGUGAGUUCUCAAAAACAAAACUGUGAGGGCAGAGAAGGGGGCUCAAAGCAGCCAAUAUUGUGCUACGGCGGAGCCGAUCCUGGGAUGUGACAAUUUGGUAUCAGAGCCACACUGCCAUGUGGUGCCAGUAUGCCGACAAAGACGUCGGGCCCUUGAGAGGGGUGGAUUGUAACAUCUCACAUCGACCAACAAAGAGGGGGUGAUGUGCCUUAUAUUUAUAUGCCCGCCUCCAUCUAGCACGAGGCCUUUUAGGAGCUCACUGGCUUCAGAGUCAUAGGACCACCAUCCCAAGUUCAAUAUACAACCCAACAACCAUCUUAGCCAUCUUCUCAUUGAUCUUCCACCCAGCAUAUAACACUAUUGUUGGAGCAUGAAAUUUCAGAUCCUCCAACAAGUAAUUUUUUAUUUCCAUGUUGAGAAGCCGAACACCAUCUUCGAUUAUCACCAUUGAGUGAGGAGGGGGGUACCUGCAAGAAAACACUCCGACCCUCAAGUCAGUGUUCGUUCAUGAAUACCGCAAUAGAAUCAAUCGUAACUCCCUCCCCCUAUGCUGGGGGAUUAGUUAGCCUUUUGUAGCCAUUGAACCCUUGGACUCUAAGUCCCAUAUCCUUAUUUAUCUCCAUGCUCAAUGGUAGUGGAUAUCAUGUUAUUUGAUUCACUCCACUCCAUAAAUUUAGGGUUCAUGGGAAGUGGCUUGUUAUGUGGGCCUUAAUUUUUGCUCCCAUGUCUGCCCCCUUUUCUCUCGCUGGACACGUGUCUCGGGUGUAUAGAGAGAAAAUAUUCUUUGUGGGAAUUCAUUAUGUGUAGAAUUUUAUGUGGAGACUUGACUUAUAUUAUCUUUGAUCACGAAUUCGGCCUUUAGCCAUGAGUAUGGUCUUCGACCAUGAAUAUGAGCUUCGAUCACGAGUUCGAGUUUGGGCUUCGGCCGUAUAGUCUUCAACUAUGUAUUUAACUUUCAGUCACGACUAUGGCUUUCAGCCACAUGAGCUUGAAUUUCUUUCACAAUCGUGGUCUUCAACCACUUGAAUUUGACUUUCAGUCACAAGCAUGAGUUGAGUAUUGGCAUGCCCCCCAUUGGUUUAGAAUGCAUGUGUUUACUAACUAGACAUUGUGGCUCUUGUUUAUCCUCUGUUUAUGUUGAUUUUGUCGUUAGUUGGGCUUCAUAAAUUGCCACCAUAUAGAAAUAGGCUUAUGGCUUAUCUUGAGUGGUGCAGUAGCUGCCUCCACCACGCAAAUGUAGUCAAGAGGUUAACAAGCUGCCAAAUUCUAACCACAAGAUAAUAAUGUUAAUUUCGUCAACAAAAAUCAGAAUACGCAGGCUUAGUAGUAUCUAGAUAUUGAGCAGCAUAUGACUACAUUCAAAUUCAGGCAUUUUAGAGAGCCAUACAUGCAACUGUUCUCAUCUCCCAAAUGCAAGAGAAAUAAGUAAAAUACCUUGGCAUGUGUCAGAUGUAUAUAUAAUCAAUUUAAAAGCUUCUGAUCAUACAUCCUUGAGGCAUGAAUAUAUGCAUUGAUAAAAGAUGUAAGGAUGUUCCAUGCUAUAAUUCGUGGAUCCUGAAAGUGACAAUAGAAAACUUAUCUGUUUGCAGUUCGGCUCGUGCCCCCAUAGAAAUUGGUUUUUUGCCCAAUUCCAAAUUCAUAAUUCAGUGUUAUGACUUCUUCAACUACAUAACAUGACUGCGUACUUGAUGCUGCUAGGUCACGAAACUACCAAAAGCAUGGGGUAGAAAUUCUUCUCUAUUUGGGGCAAAAAUUCAUGCCCCCAUUCGUGCCCCUAAUUCAACCGUUUUGUCACAAACGGUUGCAUACAUCCCAAUAAAAAUUGGAUACUAACCUCUGAAAAUUGAAGGCUCUUUUCACGAAAAUUCUUUUGUGAGAUUUUGGAGCCAUGCGUGAUUGGUAUAGUCCAAUUCAUAUUGUUUUUAUGGCAAGAAGAUGCACUGUGAUAAAAAUUUAUAGUCGUGAAAUGAUAAAAGAGAGUAUAGAAUUCUUCUCUGUUGGGGGAUUUAAUUCAUGCCCCCAUUGUAGCUCCUAAGGCAAGAGUGUAUCCAUGGCUUCUAAUUAUGACUUUUUGUACGGUUUCCACAGACGGCGCCAACUGUUGGAGCAUGAAAUUUCAGAUCCUCCAACAAGUAAUUUUUUAUUUCCAUGUUGAGAAGCCGAACACCAUCUUCAAUUAUCACCAUUGAGUGAGGAGGGGGGUACCUGCAAGAAAACACUCUGAUGCUCAAGUCAGUGUUCGUUCAUGAAUACCGCAAUAGAAUCAAUUGUAACUCCCUCCCCCUAUGCUGGGGGAUUAGUUAGCCUUUUAUAGCCGUUGAACCCUUGGACUCCAAGUCCCAUAUCCUUAUUUAUCUCCAUGCUCAAUGGUAGUGGAUAUCAUGUUAUUUGAUUCACUCCACUCCAUAAAUUUAGGGUUCAAGGGAAGUGGCUUGUUAUGUGGGCCUUAAUUUUUGCUCCCACAACUAUCUUCAUAUACUCUUUAGCUUAAUCUCUCUGUUGCUUUUGUCUUUUAUUUUUUUCAAAUUAAAUUUUUUAGUUUAUAUUUUUUUUUAUUGGUGUAGAUUCAAUGACAAAGAACAUCGAACUCGUCGCAACAUCUUGCCCUAGAUCCGAACUCUACCACCAUCACAACCCUCCCUCUCUUGAUCUCCGACCAACCUUAACACCCAACUUCAAAUCUAUGUUGUUUGAAACUCAGCCCCCUUCCCCAACCCCCCCCCCCCCCNNNNNNNNNNNNNNNNNNNNNNNNNNNNNNNNNNNNNNNNNNNNNNNNNNNNNNNNNNNNNNNNNNNNNNNNNNNNNNNNNNNNNNNNNNNNNNNNNNNNUGUCAAUAAGAUAAGAUCUCAUUGCAAGUGACUUGUAGAUGAAGUGGUAAAGAACAAAAAGUCAUAUUCUUCCAAUCAAAAGGUAUCAAGUCAAACAAAAUUUCUAGUUAGUUUGCUUUAUGAUAGUUGUUUUUUGAAGGGGUCCUUAGAUCCAAUCUCAAAAAGUUUGACUUUUAUUAUGUUUAACUCUGGUUUUUGCAAUUUUUUUUUAUCUCUACCCACUAACUUUUAUCUCUCAUUUUUAUUACCCAUUUUACCCUUUAAAAUAAAUAUGGCAAUAAACUAAAAAUUCUGAUUUAAUGCAUGUUUUACUCAUAAGAGAACUAAAACCUAAAAAUUAUGUACUCUAACACAAAAAAUAAAAACUAAAAAUAAAAAUUGAAGUGGUUAUCAAACAGAUCCUUAUAUUACAAAGAAAAUAUCAAAGAUUGAACUCGUCAUAAGAGAACACAGAAAAACCUCACUGCUUGCAACACCACCACUACACGAACAACUGCUAAUUUGACAGGACCCGCCCCAAAUUUUCUGAAAUUCGAGACGAAUCCUGUGGAAUUCCCGACAUAAUCCUGAUGUCGGGCCCACUUCUAAAACUAUAUCCUUUUUCCCAAAAAAGAAUAAGGGCGCGAGACUUUCUACCGAAAUUUCGGCAGAGUCUCUCCUACAAAUUGGACAUUUCCCAAAAUUUUAACCUGCAUAAAACACAAUUUAUAUUUCCAAUUGGCAACAUGCACAAGAUAAUUUCAUGCAAUUCACAUAAACGGCAUUCGGCCGUCCAAUAAUUAUCAACAAACUACCAAGCACGCUAUCAACUCUAUUCAUACCUUAAACAAGGCAAACAAUAAAUUCAAUUAUGAAUACUAAAUACAACAUGCAUCAUCUAACUUUUCCAAUCCCAAUAUACGAGGUUUUAACCUCCUAACACAAUCACAUCUAUGUCCGCGGCUGCACCUAAUAACCUUAGGCUGCCUACGUACCCUCACUGAGGGAUCAAGCCACGCGUAGUUCUUCCUACUAAAACCCGAUUUCAAACACAUACAAUACCUUUAUUCAUCUCUCUGUUAUUCACAUAAUCUCCUCAUACGCCGGUACUACCAACGCCACGUAUGGAGUCUGUCAACACGCCAGAUAACCUACGCCACGUGCGACCUCAACAUACUAUCACAAUAUCUCCACAUACGUCGGUACAACCAACUCCACGUAUGGGGUAUGUCAACACUCCGGAUAACCUACGCCACGUGCGACCUCACUAUAUUAUCACAUAAUCUCCCAUACGCCGGUACAACCAACCCCACGUAUGGGGUCUGUCAAGACGCCGGAUAACCUACUCCACAUGCGACCUCAACAUAUUGUCACAUCAUCUCCCCAUACGCCGGUACUACCAACGCCACGUAUGGGGUGUGUCCGCACGCCGGAUAACCUACGCCACGUGGGACCUAACAAAUACAUGGUGGUACUUAUAAUGUAACCAAAAUUCGGGGAGGUACCUAGGGUAGUGUGUAUAGCACCUCAAACUGACAUUCUAGACUCUUUUUCAUACAUUUAUACCUAUAUUUAAAUAUAUAAGUUACUCUAACAUUGUAUAAACCUCAACAUCAUCCCAAGUACUCCACACAUCACCAAUACUUUACCAAAAAUGCUAACUUAACUAUUAAUUAUUUAUAAAAAAAAAAAGGUUUUCAAAAAAUCAUUAAAUUCAUAUGCCUAACAAUACCAUCACAAAGCCAUGCUAUUCAUUUAAAAAUAAGGACCAAGAGUUUCCUACGAUAAUAAUAAACACUCUAAAAUCUCAGCCCAGUCAACAUGGCUCAACAACGCUCAAGACCUGUCAUUAGGGUCAUUUUAAUCCUUCUAGGAAGGUAAAACUACCUCGGAAGACUCAAGGUCAACCAAGGGUCAAACUACCCACACUUGGUCAAACGGGCCCACGGGGCCCACGACCUCCAAAUUCUGAUCCGAAGGUUCCUAUGGGUUCUACAAGGUAUAGGACACUCGUCCUGCAAGUUUAGUCCAGAUCGGACGGUCAGAUCGCUCACGAUCGCACGAUCUGACGGUUAAUAUAAACAUAAACUUUAAAUUAUUAAAUCGGACAUCCGGGGCUCCAAUUUACGAUCCUUGAAUUCCUACACAAUUCUAGAAAUACCUAGAUUAACAUAUAUUAAAUUCAAGACCAUCCAACGGUCCCAACCUAUCAUACCCAGAUAACGCGCAAUAAGCGAUAUCCGUUCGAGCCUCAAACGGCAUCCAAAUUGACAUAUGAGCACACCUACGCACUCGUGAGAACCAGGAGUGCCCUUUUUCUACAGUGCCCACGUGCCUCCGCACGUGCCGGCAGCGCGUGGGUGCCCAAAGCGAUUACGCAUCGUCGGAAAAUCUCAAAAUCACGGCUCCAAACUCCUACCCUAGGUAUAACACCAUAUUUGGAGCCACUUUUGUUCUUGGACCUACCCCAAAAACUGACCGGAGGUGGCAUGAAUCGCAAUCCUAAAAUCGGCCGAAUUUAAAUUCGUAAAUCAAAUUUCCUACGCUAGGAAUCGAUCGAAUCCUACCCAACAGGCAGCUAGAGCACAUUAAAAAGAUGAGAAAGCAUACCAAGAUCGAGGAAAAUGGUGGCCGGAGGCAUUCUAACGAGCUCCUUGAAUUUUGGGUUAAAACUGGUCGGAUUUUUACAUUUUUCGGCGAUCACAGGUGGUUCCAGCAGCUGAGAUUGGUCAGGAUGGGAAGAGGGAGAUGGCCCAGUUCUUUUGGGACUGAUGCCACCCCACGCAGUGGCCGGAUGCGACAGUGGUGGCCCAAAAACCACCGCGGUGAACAGUAACAAGAGGGGCUGUUUCUGCGCGCAGGGAGAUGAGGAAGAAGAAGAAAAAUAAAAAGAAAAAGGAAAUUUAAAACUGCCCGGUUACUAUAGCACGGCACUGUUUGCUACAGUACAAAAUUUUAAAAUUUCCUCCUUCGUUACAACUCGGAAUUGGGCGUGCCACAUGUCUACAAACUCAUAUCGACGAGCUCUAAUGGUGCUACUUAAUUCUCCAAAAUCUUUCCGAAUCAAAAAAUGACCAAAAUACCCUUACCCAAAGGGUAUAUUCCUAAAUUCAUAUUUAAAUUAAUUUAAUAAUUUAAUUGAGUAAACAAAUUAGGAUCGGGGUGUUACAUAAUUAAAAUGAGUCACAUGUGGUACUUAACUCUAAAAACUUAUUUAGAUUAUAUAUCCAUACUUAUUUAAAUGAGGUAAAUAGUACGUUUACAGAGUUUAAGUGUAAUAAAUGAAUAAAAACAUGCCCAGAGGAUUGAUAAGUGAUAUCAAUUCUUGAAUAUACAGAACGUAAAAUAAAAGAACACGUAGAAAAUUAUUUUAUGUGGUAAAACCCCAUCUCUAGGGAACAUCCACGGGGCUUUUUAGUCCAAAACAAAUCCAUUAUAGAACGAGGAUUAUAAGAAGUACUCACACACUUAUCCUAGACACAUUCUAGAUAAUGUUUAUUGACUUCUUCGUAACUCAACUUCUGUCACGAGAUGAUCUUUCGACACUCCUUAUGUUGAACGCAAUACUGGUCACGAUUUCUUCAAGCUCCUAAUAGAGUUCUUCCAACUCUCCUUGUAUUGAAUCUGACACUAGUCACGAUCGAUUCAAGCUCAUCGUAAAAAAACCGCCACAACGGUCUUGGUGCCCCCAACCGUACGAGUCACUGAACAUGUAAAUGAAUACAAUAUGAAUGAUAAAAGUGUUUGAUAAAUCACCAAGUUAUGGAACACUUGAUGAUUUAUCUUAAAUAAAAACUCAGCUUUCCAAAGUUUAUGAAUUGAAAAUAUGAUCGUUAAAGCUCUCUAAACAAAGAAGAUGAAGGUCUUAUUCUAUAGAAUUUUUCUUUACAAGAAAGAAAACACGUUGAAAACCAAAUCUUCAAUUUCCAAGGCUUGACAGAAAAUCACAAAAGUAUCUUUCCUAUUCUAGAGAUUGGUCACAUGUAGUCCAACCAAUAGGAAAUGAGAUAUUUAAGAAAGCAAGAUUUUGAUCAAUAUCAAUAUCAAAUGAAUUCUUAUACGCCUAGUCAACUAUUAAGGGUAUCUUGACUCCUUGAUAUUGUGAUAUGAUUGAAACAUGAUUUCCAUGUUAGAAAAUUAAGGGGAUGUUAAAACAUGAAAGUAUUAGGAGAAUCAAAUUGAUUUGGACCAAAAUUGCCUAAAAAGAAAACACUCCUAAAUAAACUUCAAUUCACUUUUAAAAACAGUAAAACGUGAUUAAAUCGUUGUUUAAAACAAUUCCCUAAUAGACAUGCAUGAUAAUGACAUCACUUACUCCUAAAUCAAAUUGUCACGUCCUGGACUCGGGGGUUGGUGGAAACCCCGCGCCCGGUGCGUGAGAAAAUAAAAAGUAAAAUAAAAUAAAAAGAAAGCCGAAAUAAGGGUUUAAAAUAAACUUCUCUUAUAAAAAUAACUCCAAAAUCUUACAACUUUACAAGAAAUAAAUAAAGCUCUAUCAUUCUUAUCUAAUUCAGCCUCAACUGGUUUAGUCCUUGUCUUGCCCACUAAUUCAUCUGAAAAAUUAAACAGGGUGAGGGAUGAGCAAGUAAGGACAUGAGACCUUGCCACAGUAGAUUGAUAUAACUAAAUAUUAUCAUAAACAUAUAAAUAUAUAAGUAUUAUUAUAAUAGGAUUCAUAAUAAUUAAUAUAAAAGUAUAACAACAAUAUUGACAUAUACGUACCAAGAUAAUUACAUAUAUAAAUAUAACCAAUAUAUAUUUAUAUAUAUUUUAAAAUACGGGUCUUUACGCAAAUGCCUUUCGCGGGUCAAGCCACAAGUCUAUGUUUUGGAGAUUGCUGAGCUGCAUCAAUCCUGCCAAUGUCAAUUCUGCCCCUAGGCUCUCUCAAAGCAAGUUUAAAACCUAUGCUAACAUAUACUAGAGUUUAUGCUGUAUCUAGAAAAUGCCAACACUAAUUUCGUAACACGUAGAAAUUGUUAGAGAUGGAAGUUUUUAUCAUUUUUUCUUCCAGUCUCUCCACCACUCACUAAUACAGAUUACUCAUGUGAUGAGUUUACAAACCUAUUUCUCUACUCUCGCAAAGACUAUACUUCUUCUCAAAAGACUAGAUCACUUUACCUAUAUCUCUGUGAAAUGUAAAAAGUUGAAACUUUAAUGUCAAACCUCGACAAAGUGUUCUACUUUACAAACUUCUUGUAUCUACCAAUUUCUACUAAAAUUAAUUUCUCUACGGUGCUCAGAUUCAUCAUAUGUGUGUCCUUAAUUUUAGUUGAAAUUGGAAGUUUCCAUCAUUUUUGCUUUAAGUCACUCUUCUGAAGGAAGUUUAGGUUCCACCCCAUAAUUCAAAAUGUCAGGUUGACUUAAACAAUGUAAUUAUGUAGGAGUACUAUGACCUUUUAUAGCAUUUUUAGUUUGAAUUUGGGUUUUAUACAUAGAUUUCGAAAUUAAUAGGUUGAUGUCUAGGAAAUAGAAAUUGUAAGGGCCUAUAUUAGACUAGCCCUCUUAAAAAAAAUAUUGAUUAAUGAAUAUUUGUUCUUCUUAUUGUUUUGAAGUAGUGGUGGGAGGCAGACCAACAAAAAAAAUAUAGUGAAGGCUUAUAAGAGCAUUUACAAUCAUGCUCCCUAUUUUUCAGUUAAAAUUUAGCUGAAAAUAGAAAAAAGUUAUUAUAGGAGCUCUUUAUAAAAUUUGAACUCCAAUCAUACUCCCUAGUUUAGGGAGUCAUAAAUACUAUAGUUAUUUUUUAAUUCAAUUUGAUUUUGGUUAAUCUCUAUAAAUAAAUGAAAAUAUGAUAAAAUAGUUAGCAUUAAUUAAAAGUUUAAACUAUGCAUAAAACAAAGAAACAUUAAAUUAUAGAGAGCCACUAUAAGUCAUUUCUCUCUCCUCAGAUUUAUGAGCUCCUAGAGGUCUCCUUAUUUUAGGAGGUGGAUAAGGAGUGUGAUUGGAGUUGUAUUUCUUCAAUUUCCUCCCUAAAAUUUGUCUAAGGAUGUGGUUUAUGGAGCCCAUUGUGAAUGCUCUAACUCUGGUAAAACAUGAGUGACAUGAACAACAUAUGUUACGUCGUAGUGAAGAUUUUUGGGUUUCUAUAAUUGGUUAAGUAGCAUCCACAAUGAGUUUCCUAAAUCAUCUCCUUAGACCAAUUUUUAGGGGAGGGAAUUGGGAAAAAGUACAACUCCCACCCAUGCUCCCUAUCCACCAACUAAAAUAGGGAGACCUCUAGGAGCUCCUAAAUCUGAUGAGAGAGAAAAGACUCUUAGUGACUCUCUAUAAUUUAAAAUUACUUUAUUUUAUGCAUAUUUUGAACUUUUAAUUAAAUCAAAUUAUUAUUUUUAUAUUAUUUUGUAUACAAAUAGACUAAUUAUAUUAAAUUAAAAAAUAAUUAAAGUAUUUAUGACUCUUUAAAUUAGAGAGCAUAAUUGUAGAUCAUCUUAUAUACCUUAAUUUGAAGAUUCUUUAUUUGGGUUUCUUUCAACACUUAUCACCUUAGCCACACCACCUACACCAAAUUGACGUCUGCAAGCUUUCGUAAUCUAACAAGGAAGGGGAGGCUGCGCAAUACUUAUCACCUUAGCCACACCAACACCACAAGACCAAUAUGUGUAGUCCAGGAGGCUUUCCCAUUUUAAUAUAUAUUAUCAAAUAAAAUAAAAAUCAAUCUAUUAUCAUAUAUAUUAUAAAAUAAAGAUUAUUGCUCCAUCCUCCAUGCACUUGCAUGCCCUCUUACAAAGUGUGAAGUAGAUUUUGUGUGCUCCAAGUCAUUGACUAGAGCUAUAACAUGGUUAGCUGGAUUUAUAAGAUCUUUUUUUUUUUGGGAAUUUUCUGAACCAAGGAAAAUCAAGUAAAAUUAAUAAAGCAUAAAUUAGAAAGGGAAAGUAUCUAGAGGAUGCAUUGUAGGAUUGCACAUGCCAAUAAUUGUACCCUCUAAAUAUAUAGGGAAAUAUUUUUUUUGUUUUCAUGACAUGUGGUCCUAAAAUUAUUGUUCCUAGCGGGCUCUCCAUCCCCUCUCAAUUGAAAACCAAUGGUGUAAAUCUUCAAUCCUGAAUAAUGCACCUAAAACUCAAGUGUCCCAGGCCAAUUAUUGCUCUCAUACUACUUGUUGUAAUAAACAUCCACCCAUUCUCAAGGAAAGAUAACUAUCGAUAUUAUCUCAAAUUUAACCACUUAACUUUAUUAUGAUUAACUAUGUAUCUUAUGGACCAAUCCAGCUGUGAGGUUUUAUACCCAAUUAGAUCGACCAAUACAGAGGUCACACGUGGAUUGAAAAGCGUCAUCGGUAGGGGAGUGUUCGACACCUUUUACUGCCGAGCGCAACACAAGACCCCUUACCAGGAACUUACCUGCUAAGACACGUGGAGACCCCACAUGUAAUAUCAACAGUCCCACAUCGAAAUUUAACACAACAUGCACACACCUCAAGACUUAUAAAAGUGGGCACAAGUCCCAAAAAUAGGGGAACUUGGUCUUUUGGCAAUUCAGCCAUUACUUUAUCCAUAUUAUUAUACACUCCGUACUUAUUCUAAUUUCAGCAUUGGAGAGCCCUCAGCCCAAGGAAUUACCAAGCAUUCUCCAUCUUGCAAAUUAAUUGCUCUACCGAAGCCCAGAAGGAGCCAAAGGCCAAGAUAGCACUAAGUUGAACCCAAAAAUGUUAAACUAUUUUUUAGCAUUAACAAUAUAUAUAGAUUUUUAAAAAAAAAAAAUCAAUCUAUUAUCAUAUAUAUUAUAAAAUAAAUAUUAUUGCUCCAUCCUCCAUACACUUGCAUGCCCUCUUACAAAGUGUGAAGUAGAUUUUGUGUGCUCCAAGUCAUUGACUAGAGCUAUAACAUGGUUAGCUGGAUUUAUAAGAUCUUUUUUUUUUUGGGAAUUUUCUGAACCAAGGAAAAUCAAGUAAAAUUAAUAAAGCAUAAAUUAGAAAGGGAAAGUAUCUAGAGGAUGCAUUGUAGGAUUGCACAUGCCAAUAAUUGUACCCUCUAAAUAUAUAGGGAAAUAUUUUUUUUGUUUUCAUGACAUGUGGUCCUAAAAUUAUUGUUCCUAGCGGGCUCUCCAUCCCCUCUCAAUUGAAAACCAAUGGUGUAAAUCUUCAAUCCUGAAUAAUGCACCUAAAACUCAAGUGUCCCAGGCCAAUUAUUGCUCUCAUACUACUUGUUGUAAUAAACAUCCACCCAUUCUCAAGGAAAGAUAACUAUCGAUAUUAUCUCAAAUUUAACCACUUAACUUUAUUAUGAUUAACUAUGUAUCUUAUGGACCAAUCCAGCUGUGAGGUUUUAUACCCAAUUAGAUCGACCAAUACAGAGGUCACACGUGGAUUGAAAAGCGUCAUCGGUAGGGGAGUGUUCGACACCUUUUACUGCCGAGCGCAACACAAGACCCCUUACCAGGAACUUACCUGCUAAGACACGUGGAGACCCCACAUGUAAUAUCAACAGUCCCACAUCGAAAUUUAACACAACAUGCACACACCUCAAGACUUAUAAAAGUGGGCACAAGUCCCAAAAAUAGGGGAACUUGGUCUUUUGGCAAUUCAGCCAUUACUUUAUCCAUAUUAUUAUACACUCCGUACUUAUUCUAAUUUCAGCAUUGGAGAGCCCUCAGCCCAAGGAAUUACCAAGCAUUCUCCAUCUUGCAAAUUAAUUGCUCUACCGAAGCCCAGAAGGAGCCAAAGGCCAAGAUAGCACUAAGUUGAACCCAAAAAUGUUAAACUAUUUUUUAGCAUUAACAAUAUAUAUAGAUUUUUAAAAAAAAAAAAUCAAUCUAUUAUCAUAUAUAUUAUAAAAUAAAUAUUAUUGCUCCAUCCUCCAUACACUUGCAUGCCCUCUUACAAAGUGUGAAGUAGAUUUUUUGUGCUCCAAGUCAUUGACUAUGGUUGAAACAUGGUUAGUUGGAUUUAUAAGAUCUUUUGUUUUCUGGGAAUCUUCUGAACCGCGGAAAAUCAAGUCAAAUUAAUAAAGCAGAAACUGUACCCUUUAAUUAUAUAUGGACAUAUGUUUUUUUGUUUUCAAGUCUUAGAUGACAUGGGGACCUAAAAUUAUUGCUCCCAGUGGGCUCUCGACCCCUUUCAAAUUUAAGUGGUCCAUUAUUAUUAACCACAUAUUUUAUGGACCAUCCAGCUGUGGGGUUUUAUCUCAAAAACCUUCGGUACAUUUCUCCCACAUGCCACAAUUGUAUAUUCACAAUUACUUCUGGGUACCCCUCAUCAUUCGUCUAUAAAAUGGUGAAGCCAGUUGCUCUGUUACCAUAAGAGCCAGCUCCGACGUUCUUUAAUUUCUUGCUACUUCUGUUGCCAAGUUAAUUUCAGUCCUAAUGGGGUUUCAUCUCCCACUCAUCGUUGCUAUUCUCAGUGUAAGCUCUGCAAUUUGAUUAACUUUUCCAUUCUCUCUCAUUGUACUCUAUAUAAACGAAAGUUUUGUGUUCUUAUAAUUCUCUCCGAUUUAUUUAGUACGUACUUAAGUGUCGUCCACUAAUUAAUUACACUUUGUGAGAUUUGAUUUUAAUUAGAGUUGGAAUUAAUGUUGCAGCUAGCAGCGGUUGCACUGGCAAACAAUGCUGCUCAACCAGCACCUCAACUUUACUGGAACUCCGUCCUGCCAAACACACAGAUGCCAAGAUCUAUCAGUGAACUUCUGCAUCCUGGUUUGUAUUUGAGCACUUUAGAAUCUUAGAUAUCUCUUCUACCUGCCAUUUUACUAAAAUAUGUUCGACCACAUAUUUAUCAGUUAAAUACUGUCAUUACAAGAAUGACACUUAUUUUCCAAUAUAAUUUGCAGACUCCACAAAUGAAGAAAAGAGCAAACCUGAAAAUAUCCCAUUGGCACGUUCAGGUUACAGUCGAAAAAGGUAUGGAGGAGGUCCUCCUCCAUCUGACGAGGGCAAACCUGAAAGUAUCCCAUUGAGAAAUUCAGGUUACCAACGAAAAAAUUAUGGAGGACGUCCUCCUCCAUCUGACGAGGGCAAACCUGAAAGUAUCCCAUUGAGAAAUUCAGGUUACCAACGAAAAAAUUAUGGAGGACGUCCUCCUCCAUCUGACGAGGGCAAACCUGAAAGUAUCCCAUUGAGAAAUUCAGGUUACCAACGAAAAAAUUAUGGAGGACGUCCUCCUCCAUCUGACGAGGGCAAACCUGAAAGUAUCCCAUUGAGAAAUUCAGGUUACCAACGAAAAAAUUAUGGAGGACGUCCUCCUCCAUCUGACGAGGGCAAACCUGAAAGUAUCCCAUUGAGAAAUUCAGGUUACCAACGAAAAAAUUAUGGAGGACGUCCUCCUCCAUCUGACGAGGAAAAACCUGAAAGUAUCCCAUUGAGAAAUUCAGGUUACCAACGAAAAAAUUAUGGAGGACGUCCUCCUCCAUCUGACGAGGGCAAACCUGAAAGUAUCCCAUUGAGAAAUUCAGGUUACCAACGAAAAAAUUAUGGAGGACGUCCUCCUCCAUCUGACGAGGGCAAACCUGAAAGUGUCCCAUUGAGAAAUUCAGGUUACCAACGAAAAAAUUAUGGAGGACGUCCUCCUCCAUCUGACAGUCAACUACUCCAUUAUAGAGACUUAGCUAUUUUCUUCUUCGAGAAGGACAUGCGCCCUGGCUCAACAAUGCAGUUCCAAUUCCCUAGAAAUUCAAACACGGCUACUUUCCUGCCACGCGAAAGUGCUCAAUCAAUCCCCUUCUCCUCUAACAAACUAUCAGAAAUUUUCAACCAUUUUUCAGUGAAGCCGACAUCUGUGGAAGCCAAAACAAUUAAGCAAACAAUCGAAGAGUGUGAAGCUCCAGGCCUUAAGGGAGAGGAAAAAUAUUGCGCCACAUCUUUAGAAUCAAUGGUUGAUUUUAGCACUUCGAAGCUUGGAACAAGAAACGUUGAAGCAAUCUCGACGGAGGUAUUGGAAGAAGGAGCCACCAAGUACAUGCACAACUAUACAACAAUGCCGGGACUGAAGAAGUUGGCAGGUGACAAAGUCGUUGUGUGUCAUAAGGAGAACUAUCCCUAUGCUGUGUUUUUCUGCCAUGCAAUAAAACAAACAGAAGCUUAUGUUCUCACCCUGAAAGCCGAUGAUGGGAUGAAGGUUAAAGCAGUAACCAUCUGCCAUCUAGACACAUCAGAAUGGGAUCCAGAGCAUUUGUCCUUCCAAAUCCUCAACGUUAAGCCCGGAACCACUCCCAUCUGCCAUUUCAUUUCCACUGAUGCUAUUGCCUGGGUUCCGAACCACAAAUCUGCAUGAUCAUCACUUAGCACUGUACGUAUAAUAAGCUUGGUCGGGUUGCACCCUAGGCCUGCAUAAUUAUCUCCCUACUUAUUUCUGCCUCUUCAUCAUGUGGUGUAAGAUAUAUGGUGAGAUGAAGUAACUAUGUAGACUUCAACUUGUACUCAUAAUAAAGCAUGCUGUUGGGGGGUUCUACUUAAUUUCGUUCUCUCCAAUGUUUGAGUGUUGAAUUGUUACGUUGGAAUAGGCUGCUAAUGCAUGUAGUUAGAGAAGCCUUCAUUUAUAUCAUAGUCCUCAAACUAUCAAGAAUUAAUCCAGAAACAAACCAAGACGCAAAACAACAUAUUUUCCAUGCUCUGUCUGUAACACCAAAGCAAACUUCCUUUAUCACAUCAUUUAAAGGAUCAAAUUCCAGUACUAAUCAAAUCCCAAGGGCGAAACCAAGAAUUUUUCAACGAGUGGGCUAGCUAAAGUUAUUAGCUUAAAAUUUAAUGAUUUUUUCUUUUUUUUGGAACUUCCAAUUUCUCUAGUCUUUCUAGAAAUAAAAGUAAACAUUAAAUCAUAUCAACCAAGCUAGUCCAUAGCUCCAUAGACUAAUUUUCAAAAAGUUUUAACAUAAACCAAAUAGGGUUUAACACCAUAAUGGAUUAAACAUCUAAGACUUUUUACCUAGAUUGACCUUAGGUUUCUUCAUGCAUUCAUAUCAUACAUGAAAAGUUGUUUUAUGUAAAAAUAUUGACUAAGUAUGAAAAAUGGGUUUUCGAAAUAAUCAUUUUCUCAAGAUAAUUUUUGAUGGCUUUUAUUCCUCACACGUCAAAUAAGAAAACUUGAUUUUAUGAUAUUUUAGUAUGAAGUACAUAUUGACUUAAUGAGCCAUCAUUUUUAGCCUAAAUUGUAUUUUGCACUAAAACUGAUUUUUCAUAUUUUGAUUUUGUGGCAAUUUG